AAAGCCCCCUUUUUUAUUAACUUGCAAUAAGCCCACAUGGAAAUUAUUGGUACCUGUGAUUCUGUCUGCUGUAUGUCUCAGGUUGUAUUUCCUGGCUACCUGGUGGUAUGAGAACCUUCUGAAUUUAGUUUUUUGCCCUGCAGUUUUCUUAUCUUAUCUUAUGCUUCCUUCAUAUCAAAAUAUAAGACAUUUUUUGACAUUAUGAUAAUGUAAAAAACGUCUUAUAUUUUGAUAUGGAGGGGGUAUUAAAGAAAGGACGAACGAAGCGAGCGGUUUUUACUGCGUUUAGGGGGGCAGGGGUGACAGUUUCUGUCAUGGCAGUUCGUUUGGAUUUUUGGAAUAAGACCCUGCCUUGUGGACAGAACACGGUUGGAUUAAAUUGGUUACAUUUUUGGAAUAAUACCCUGCCUUGUGGACACAACAAGGUUGAAUUUUUGUAUCAGAGGAAGACUAUUUGUUAAUUAUAUAUGCUUGUGUGAUGUCUUAAUAAGAUAUCCCCAACUAACAUCAAAAAACAUAAAUAAGAGUGCUACAGGAGUGCAUGUUUAACGGAGUAACAUGGUUGUUGGGAUUGGGGUGGGGUGGGGAGAAGCAUUUCCUAACAUAUCAUGAACAACUUAAAAUGACAUUUUUGCAGUUCAUAAUAUAAGACGGACGUUUUUGCAGUUCAAUAGAGGUAGUAUAAGUUACAGGACAACUUAAGUAAAUAGUGAUAACUGUGGCACACACAAACGUACGCAGCCGACAACAUAUGAACUAACAACAGGUAGUCCAUAUCACUAGCAGUACAACACAUUCUAAACCAAGAUAUAUCCAGUGAAACCAUCCGGUCCAUCAAUCCGUGUUUUUUUUUGCGGGGGCCAUCAUCCGUGUUCAUCAUGACUAUAUUGCUAAUCAGUUGAUCUACUAAUACCAUCUAAAUUCAGCCAAAAAAGCGAAUAUGUUCUACCAUUUGUCGUACUUUUUCUUCUUCCUUCUGAGCUAUGCCACUCCGAGUUAGGGUUAGAGAUCGCCCCAAGGUUAAGGGGGUGUGUGUGAGGUAAGUGCCUGCCCUUUCAAAUGAAAAAGAACUACCAAUGCAAAAAAAUGAAAUGAAAUGAAUAAUUGCUAUUUCUUUAUUAAAUUAUACACAAAAAGAAAGUUCUGAAUGCAUUAGGCAGAGCCCUUAUUUGCUAUUAAAAAACAUUUCCAACAAGGACUUUGAGCCUGAUUGUGAAGGAUCAUACGUCUGGUCUCCUAAAUCGGCCAAAUAGGCUUCCUUUGUUUAGUGAAAUAGCCUUUUCCCUUAAGGAUUAUCAUCUGUAUGCCGCUCAAUCUUUUUCUUCUUAGUGAACUUGUUGUCCAUACCAAACUCUUCUGCAAACGUCUCGAUGUCAAAUGCAAUUUCAGAGCAACCCUUUCGAUCGACAAAAUGUGAAGGUUUUGUGCCGCAUCGCUCAAGCCCCAUAGAACUGCCGGACCGAGAUCAGGUGACUCGCCUCUUGGCAGUCACCGCGUAACAUGCGGGCUUACAUCUGGCAUGCAUUCCUGAUCGGAGGGACAUUAACAAGUGAAGGCCAAAGCUGCGCACUUAGCAACGCUCGGGUUGACCAUGGCGGAAAGACGAUUCAGACUUUGCAUGAGAAAACUUUUAUUGUACUGGAGUAUGUGAGAAAAUAUACUGGAAUAAAACAAAUAUGUAAAUUGAUCUGUCCAGAUUUAUUUUACCUUACCCGUUUAUGUUAUACUUCCUUCGUUUCUGAAUAUAAGUCUUUUACAGAUACUAAUAUGGACUAUAUACAGAGCAAAAUGAGUAGAUAUAUACUUUAAACUAUGUUUAUAUAGAUCCAUAUAUAGUCCAUAUUGAAAUCUCUAGAAAGACUUAUAUUUACAAAUGGAGGGAGUAUUUUUUUUCAUUUUUCAUUUUAUAUUUUGAAAUAAAAUUUAUAGUUUGAGAAUUGUUCUUCUCACAUUGUAAGAGCAUCCACAGCCGGACUUUGCAAAUCUGGCCCAGCGGCCACGCCCAGACGUGUCCGUGGACACUGACCGGUCAAGCCUUAAAUUUGCGUUCUCACAACCAGACACCUUCAAUUAUCAUAUCUCAAAUCGGAUCGAGCCGAAUCUACUCGUCGCCGGAGCAGUACUCACCGUCGCUGUCCGCCUUCUCCUUCUUCGGUGGCAGUCUGGCCAUGCACGGACCACCCGAUUAUGCUCUCUGGCAAGGGCGUGUGUGUUCCUCCGCUGCCGUUUCUUCACAAUGCGGGUGCGGACGGUAGCCCUGUGCGUUCGGUUUAUUCGGUUUACAUGAUUCGGUUUAUACGGUUUUUCGGUAUGUACGGUAUUAAUACUUCGGUAAAUACGGUAUGAAAUUAAAAUACGGUUCGGUUUCGGUAUAUACCAAAUUAUUUCGGUAUGGUUUCGGUAUAUACCAUAAAAACCAAAGUUGACGCGAAUUUGAAAAUGACGUAAUAAUAAUUUGCAAAUUUAUGACUCAAAACACAUUCUAUUUUACACAAAUAGUAUAUGACUAUAUAUAUAAGUAUAUAUGCAUGCAUUGAUUCAUCUGUUGAUGGUUAUGGACGUGCUUAGCAUUUUAAAAAGAGAAAAAUGACAAUGUUACAAGAAAAAUGUAGGUGCUUAGUAGUGAAUUUGACUCAUGUACAAGAAAAAUGACAACUUGUACGGUUGUUCAUCUCAAGAAAUAUAAAUUUAUCUUUACUUCGGUUUAUUCGGUUAACCAUUCGGUUUUUCGGUAUAUACCAUAAAAACCAAAGUUCAAAUCGGUAUGAAAAGUUCAUACCAUACCGAAACCAGAAACCAUAAAAACAAAAAAAUCGGUUCGGUUCGGUUUUAAAAUGCACAGAGUGAGCGGACGGCUUUCUCCAGAACCGCGCCCGCAUUGCGAAGAAACAGCAGCGGAGGAACAUGCAUGCCCUCGCCAGAGAGCAGAAUUGUGCGGUCCUGCUGUGGAUGCUCUUACAAUGUGAGAAGAACAAUUCUUAAACUAUAAAUUUUAUUUCAAAAUAUAAAAUGAAAAAAUACUCCCUCCGUGCGUAAAUACAAAUCUUUCUAGGGAUUUCAAUAUGAACUACAUAUAGAUGUAUAUAGACAUAGUUUAAAGUAUUUAUUCACUCAUUUUGCUCUGUAUAUAGUCUAUAUUAGAAUCUAUAAAAAGACUUAUAUUUAUUUAUUUUGGUGAAUACGCUUAGCAGCGUAUCAUUUCAUUGAUAGGUGGGAGGGUUGGAAAGUACAAGGUACAGUUAGCAUCCGUACAGACGUACGCUGGAAGGCGUCUGGAGGGAUGCAUCGAGCAGAGGGAGGAGGGUGCUCAGCCUCGCUACAAUGAUCAGGUUACAGGAAUAAUAGAGGCUAGUCCCUUGGCGCCGGCCUUAGCCCAUAGGCGAGCGUCAUCCUGGAUGGAGACCACCAGAUCAUCAGUGGAGGGUUGUACGCCGUCGAAGAUGGCGGCGUUGCGAUGCUUCCAGAUGGCCCAAGCGGUUAGAGCGACGAUGGAGUUGAGCCCUUUACGGAGUCCGCUCGGCGAGGUGGCGGACGCAAGCGCCCACCAAGCGAAGAAGGUCGUCGCGCCGUCCAUCGGAGGAGUGGUGAGCCGGCACGAAGCCAGGGUCUCAUGCCAGGUUAUCCGGGCAAAGACGCAUCCCGCAAGGAGGUGGUCGAUGGAUUCUGUCUCCUGGUGACAUAGGACGCAGGCGGCGUCGAGCGUGAGGCCGUGACGAGCGCGGCGCUCAGCCGUCCAACACCUGUCCAGAGAGGCGAGCCAGAGGAAAAACUUGGUGUUCAGGGGGGCCCAGCUCCUCCAAAGAAGCUUCCAAGAGGGCGGCGUAGUGGAUCCGUGGAAGAGAGCGUGAUAGCAGGAUUUGGCCGAGUAAAUGCCGUUUGACGUCCAACGCCAGGAUAUCUUGUCGGGUGUGGUAGUGAGGGCCACACCUUGGAGUUUGCGCCAGAGGUGGAUGUACUCAAGGGCCUCCGGGAUCCCGAGCGUGUCGUGGAUGUCACGAAUCCAGGCAUGCUGCUCAAGGCCCUCGCAGACCACGGUGCGUCGCUUGCGCCAGCUCGGUACGAGGGAGAAAAGGCCAGGGGCGAUCUCGGAUACGGCCUGGCCCUCAAGCCAGUGAUCGGUCCAGAAGAGGCAGGUCUUCCCAUCUCCAAGAUGCCAGGAUAUGGAGGCACGGAAGAAGCGAGAUGUCACAUCGUCCGUGAGGAGCUGUAGAUGAUGCCAAGGCCGCGUGGGGUCGGUGGCUUUGAGCCAGAGCCAGCGGCAGCGCAGGGAGAUCCCAGUGAGGUACAAAUCGCGCACACCAAGCCCGCCGAACUCGAUGGGUUGACAUACGCGGGGCCAGCUCACCAAGCAGCUCAAAAAGACUUAUAUUUAGGAACGAAGGGAGUAGAACAUAAAUGGGCAUGCAUAAAAUAAAUCUGAACAGAUCAAUUUACAUAUUUGUUUUAUUCCAGCAUAUUUUCUCACAUACUUCAAUACAACAAAAGUUUUCUCAUGCGAAGUCAUGAAUCGUUUUUCCACCAUGGUCAACCUGUGCGUUGCUAAGUGGGCAGCUUUGGCCUUCACUCGUUGAUGUUCCUCUGAUCAGGAAUGUAUGGCAGAUGUGAGCUCGCAUGUUACACGGUGACUGCCAAGAGGCAAGUCACCUGAUCUCGGUCCAAAACUGCAAGUCUGGCUGUGUAAGUCCUUCAUGUCUUCUGCACCCACAGCUUGUCUCUUCGUGCCCAUCUCAAGGUCCAUGCUUUGAGGGGUCUACAUCCAUUAGUUCAUGCCAUACCAAUCAUUGAUCUUUUCUAAAAUCUAUUAUCAAUGUUCAUUAGAUCAAUGACAUAUAUGUUGUUAUUAAUUACCAAAACCACUCGGGGAUUAGUUGUUCACAACUCAAACCAAUCAAGAUCACCAAUCAAUCCAAAGGACAAAAGAAAUCUAUUCAAACAUCAUAGGAUGUCAACACAUCAUUGGAUAAUAAUAUUUGGCAUAAAGCACCAUGUUCAAGUAGGGAAUUACAGCGGGGUGCGGGAGAGUGGACCAUUGAAAAGAUAUGAGGGAGGUGAUGAAGACAGUGAUGUUGAUGAUGACGAUCAUCGCGAUGAUUGUUCCCCCGGCGGCACUCCGACGCCACCGAUAGAUAGGGGAAGAGAGGCUCCUCCUCCGGCUUGAUCCUCCAUAGCCUCCCCCCUAGAUGGGGAGAGGUUCUCCCUCUGGUCCUUGGCCUCCAUGGUGCCUCGGAGGGGCGAGAGCCCCUCUGAGAUUGGACCUCUUUAUCUGUUUUCUUCUGUUUCUAGGCCCCUGUUUCUGACCGAAAACCGUUUCUUAUAUUCCCGGAGAUGUGUAACUCAGAUAGAGCUGAAAUUUUGAGGGAAUUUUUAUUUGGAAAUUAUCUUCCUUGCGGCUAAAGAAGAGCAUCAACCGACCUACGAGGUGCCCACAAGGCAGGAGGGCGUGUCCAGGGGGUAGGUCGCGCCCUCGUGCCUUGUGGGGCCCUCAAGCACCGUCUUGGGUUGAUUCUUCCUCCUAAAAUCACAUAUAUUUCAAAAUAAUUAUUCGUAAAUUUUUAUCGUGUUUGGACUUCGUUUGGUAUGGUAUUUCUGCAAAACAAGAAACAUACAAAAAAACAGGAACUGGCACUGGGCACUAGAUUAAUAAGUUAGUCCAUCAAAAUAAUAUAAAGGUGCACCAAGACCAUAAAAAAUUAUAAUAAACAUGGCAUGAAUAUUUUAUAAAUUAUAGAUACGUUGGAUACGUAUCAACCACCAAGACGACCGCUGUGGUCGCAUCGAAGCCCGUCUUUUGAUCUCUUUCUUUUGAAACUUCUUCUUUUCUUUGUUUUCCUAUGGUUAGUUCCAACACAAGAGGAGUCAAAGAAUAUUUGCAAGUAUUAGCAGUUGAAUUGUCAAUUCAACCACACAUGAGACUAAAUAUCUGCAGUAAAAUGAUCAGUAGCAAAGUAGUAUGGUAAUAUGAUGGUAGUAGUAAUGAUAGCAAUAGUAACAAUACCAGAAGUAGUGGUAGUUUUGUAGCAGUUGUAACAGUAGCAGCAAUAGUAGUAACUUAGCAAGAACAAUAUGUGAAAAACUCGUAGGCAUUGGAUCGGUGAUUUUGUUGGAUAAUAUUCAUCAUAUAACAGUCAUAACCUAUCUAGGGCGACAUAGAACUAGCUCCAAUUCAUCAAUGGGAUGUACGCAUGUAUUUCGUAAAUAAUCAUAUGUGCUUAUGGAAAAUAACUUGCAUGACAUAUUUUGUCAUACCUUCCCAUGGAAGCGGGGUCCAUAAGGAAACUAAGGGAUAUUAAGGCCUCUUUUUAAUAGAGAACCAAAACAAAGCAUUAACACAUAGUGAAUACAUGAACUCCUCAAAUUUUGAUAAUCACCGGAAAUAAUCCCAAUUAUUGUCACCUUAGGGUAUGCGGAUCAUAACACGUAAUAGGUACAUAUAACUUGCAAGAUCGGAUCAUGUACACAAAUAUAUUGGUGAAACAUAAACGGUUUAGAUCUGAAAUUAUGGCACUCGGGCCCUAGUGACAAGCAUUAAGCAUAGCAAAGUCAUAGCAACAUUAAUCUCAGAACAUAGUGGAUACUAGGGAUCAAGACCUAACAAACUAACUCGAUUACAUGAUGAAUCUCAUCCAACCCAUCACCGUCCAGCAAGCCUACGAAGAGAUUACUCACUCCUAGCGGUGAGCAUCAUGAAAUUGGUGAUGGAGGAUGGUUGAUGAUGACGAAGACGGAAGACCUCCCCCUCUCCGGAGCCCCGAAUAGACUCCAGUUCUGGCCUCCCGAUGAAGAACGGGAGAUGACGGCGGCUCCAUGUCAUAAAGCGCGAUGAAACUUCUUGAUUUAUUCUCGGGAAAUAGGAAUUUAUAGGAUCGACAUUAGGGUCAGCGGAGCCUCGUGGGCCCCACUACCCACCAAGACGCGACAGAGGCGGUGGCACACCCUGGUGCCUAGUGGGAAGUUGGGCCCCCUCUAGUGGGUCUUGGUUCCAAUAUUUUUCUUUUAUUCCAAAAUAAAUCUCCAAAAAGCUUCGUCCAAUUCCGUGAACUUAUAUUUCUGCACAAAAAACAACACCAUGGUAGUUCUGCUGAAAACAACAUCAUUCCGGGUUAGUUUCAUUCAAAUCAUGCAAAUUAGAGCCUGAACCAAGAGCAAAAGUGUUUGGAAAAGUUGAUACGACGGAGACGUAUCAACUCCCCCAAGCUUAACUCAUUGCUUAUUGUCAAGCAAUUCAGAUGACAAACUAAAAGUGAUAAAGAACAACUUUUACGAACUCGUUUGUUCUUGUGUUCAUAUAUAUUCUUAAAUAAUACCUAGGUUUUCAGCAAAGAUCAUAACUAAUCAUGCAAACAAUAACUCCUAGAAAUUAUAUUCACUCAUAUCAAUGGCAUAAUCAACUAGCGAGCAAUAAAAAUAUCUCAAAUGCCAACACUUGUCAAAACAAUCAUGAUAUAAUAUGGCAAUAAUGGUAUCUCUCUAGCCCUUUCUAAGACCGCAAAACAUAAAUGCAGAGCACCUCCAAAGUUCAAGCAGCGACUAAACAUUGUAAUUCAUGAUAGAAGAGAUCCAGUCAUGAUGCACAGAACAUUAACUAUACACAAUGCAUGAGGAUGACAAUAGUGCUCUGAGGACUGGUGCUUAUUUGAGAAGGUGAUGACUCAACAUAAAAGUAAAUAGAUAGGCCCUUCGCAGAGGGAAGUAGGGAUUUGCAGAUGUGCCAUAGCUCGAAGCAUAAAUCAGAGAUAAAUAUAAUUCUGGGAGGUAUACCUUUCUUGUCAACAUUAUGACCAAAAAAUUUCAAUAUCUUCCAUGCUAAACACAUUAGCGGCAGUCCCAAGUGGUAAAAGUAAAGUUUACCCCCCGUCCAACCAAAAACACAAGCCAUGGCUAGCCGUAUCCUCGGGUACCCUCCAUACCAAUAAUAGUACGACAAAGUUUUGUUUAAUUAUUUGCAAUUUUGAUCAUGGGACCGGGCAUCCCGAUUACCAGCCCCUCUCAUGCGAGGAUGAGUGAAUAGACACUCAACAUGAGAAUAAACUGCUUAGUAUGGAAUAUACUGACCACCCCCUGUCACUCCAUGAGCGGUACGGGCACACAAAACAGAUGUUCAUUUGAACUUUUAGAGGUGGCACAUGCAAAUUUACCUGCAAUGGCAGAGUAAUACCGCAUAUAGGUAGAUAUAAUGGACUCAUCUGGAUAAAUUUGGUUUAAGGGUUUUGAUGCACAAGCAGAAUUCCUGCUUAGUAUAGGCGAAGGCUAGCAAAUAGGUUGAGAAGCGACCAGCUAGAAAGCGAAAACAGUUAUGAACAUGCAUUGUGAAUAAUUAACAUUGAAUACUAGUAUGAGUAGGAUAUAAAAACCAUGAACAUAAAUAUCGUGGAGGCUAUGUUGGUUUUGAAUCUACUACAUAUGUGAACAUGGGCCAAGUCAAGCCACUUGAAACAUUCAGAGGAGGAUACCAUAUCAUCAUACUACAUCAUAACCAUUUUAAUGCAUGUUAUAUCUAAAAUAAAUCAUUAUCCACUCCUAGCUACUUAGGCAUGGCAUGAGCAACUAUAAUCUCCAAUUGCCAUUGUAACAUGUUUGUGUUGGAAAUAUGCCCUAGAGGCAAUAAUAAAAGUGUUAUUAUUAUAUUUCUUUGUUCAUGAUAAUAGUCUUUUAUUCAUGCUAUAACUGUAUUAUCCGGAAAUCGUAAUACACGUGUGAAUACAUAGACCACAAUAUGUCCCUAGUGAGCCUCUAGUUGACUAGCUCGUUGUGAUCAACAAAUAGUCAUGGUUUCCUGGCUAUGGACAUUGGAUGUCGUUGAUAACGGGAUCACAUCAUUAGGAGAAUGAUGUGAUGGACAAGACCCAAUCCUAAGCCUAGCACAAAGGUCGUGUAGUUCGUUUGCUAGAGCUUUGCAAAUGUCAAGUAUCUCUUCCUUCGACCAUGAGAGCGUGUAACUCCUGGAUACCGUAGGAGUGCUUUGGGUGUAUCAAACGUCACAAUGUAACUGGGUGACUAUAAAGGUGCACUACAGGUAUCUCCGAAAGUAUCUAUUGUUUUAUGCGGAUCGAGACUGGGAUUUGUCACUCCGUGUAAACGGAGAGGUAUCUCUGGGCCCACUCGGUAGGACAUCAUCAUAUGCGCAAUGUGACCAAGGAGUUGAUCACGGGAUGAUGUGUUACGGAACGAGUAAAGUGACUUGCCGGUAACGAGAUUGAACAAGGUAUAAGGAUACCGACGAUCGAAUCUCGGGCAAGUACAAUACCGCUAGACAAAGGGAAUUGUAUACGGGAUUGAUUAAGUCCUUGACAUCGUGGUUCAUCCGAUGAGAUCAUCGUGGAACAUGUGGGAGCCAUCAUGGGUAUCCAGAUCCCGCUGUUGGUUAUUGACCGGAGAACGUCUCGGUCAUGUCUGCAUGUCUCCCGAACCCGUAGGGUCUACACACUUAAGGUUCGAUGACGCUAGGGUUAUAAAGGAAGUUUGUAUGUGGUUACCGAAUGUUUUUCGGAGUCCCGGAUGAGAUCCCGGACGUCACGAGGAGUUCCGGAAUGGUCCGGAGGUAAAGAUUUAUAUAUGGGAAGUCCUAUUUUGGCCACUGGAAAAUGUUCGGGAUUUUUCGGUAUUGUACCGGGAAGGUUCUAGAAGGUUCCGGAGUGGGGCCCACCUGCAUGGGGGGACCCACAUGAACGUGGGUAGUGGGGGAAAGGCCCCACACCCCAGGUCAAGGCGCACCAAGAUCCCCCCUUAGAAGGAAUAAGAUCAUAUCCCAAAGGGAUAAGAUCAAGAUCCCUAAAAAGGGGGGAUAACAAUCGGUGGGGAAGGAAAUAAUGAGAUUUCUUUCCUCCCACCUUGGCCAACGCCCCAAUGGACUUGGAGGGCAAGAAACCAGCCCCUCCACCCCUAUAUAUAGUGGGGAGGCGCAUGGGAGCUACAGACGAAGUUCUGGCACAGCCCUACCUCUCUUCCUACUCCUCCUCUCCCAUGGUGCUUGGCGAAGCCCUGCAGGAUUGCCACACUCCUCCACCACCACCACGCCGUUGUGCUGCUGUUGGAUGGAGUCUUCCUCAACCUCUCCCUCUCUCCUUGCUGGAUCAAGGCGUGGGAGACGUCACCGGGCUGUACGUGUGUUGAACGCGGAGGUGCCGUGCGUUCGGCACUUGAUCAUCGAUGAUUUGAAUCACGACGAGUACGACUCCUUCAACCCCGUUCUCUUGAACGCUUCCGCUUAGCGAUCAACAAGGGUAUGUAGAUGCACUCUCCUUCUACUCGUAGCUGGUUUCUCCAUAGAUAGAUCUUGGUGACGCGUAGGAAAAUUUUGAAUUUCUGCUACGUUCCCCAACAGUGGCAUCAUGAGCUAGGUCUAUUGCGUAGAUUCUUUGCACGAGUAGAACACAAAGUAGUUGUGGGCAUUGAUGUUGUUCAAUAUGCUUACCGUUACUAGUCCAAUCUUGUUUCGACGGUAUUGUGGGAUGAAGCGGCCCGGACCGACCUUACACGUACUCUUAUGUGAGACAGGUUCCACCGAUUGACAUGCACUUGGUGCAUAAGGUGGCUAGCGGGUGCCAGUCUCUCCCACUUUAGUCGGAACAGAUUCGAUGAAAAGGGUCCUUAUGAAGGGUAAAUAGCAAUUGGCAUAUCACGUUGUGGUCUUGCGUAGGUAAGAAACGUUCUUACUAGAAACCCAUAGCAGCCACGUAAAACAUGCAACAACAAUUAGAGGACGUCUAACUUGUUUUUGCAGGGUAUGCUUUGUGAUGUGAUAUGGCCAAGAAGAAUGUGAUGAAUGAUAUGUGAUGUAUGAGAUUGAUCAUGUUCUUGUAAUAGGAUUCACGACUUGCAUGUCGAUGAGUAUGACAACCGGCAGGAGCAAUAGGAGUUGUCUUUAUUUAUUGUAUGACCUGCGUGUCAUUAAACAACGCCAUGUAAAUUACUUUACUUUAUUGCUAAACGCGUUAGCCAUAGAAGUAGAAGUAGUCGUUGGCAUGACAACUUCAUGAAGACACGAUGAUGGAGAUCAUGAUGAUGGAGAUCAUGGUGUCAUGCCGGUGACGAUGAUGAUCAUGGAGCCCCGAAGAUGAAGAUCAAAAGGAGCAAAAAUGAUAUUGGCCAUAUCAUGUCACUAUUUGAUUGCAUGUGAUGUUUAUCAUGCUUAUGCAUCUUGUUUACUUAGGACGACGGUAGUAAAUAAGAUGAUCCCUUACAAAAUUUCAAGAAGUGUUCUCCCCUAACUGUGCACCGUUGCUACAGUUCGUCGCUUCUAAGCACCACGUGAUGAUCGGGUGUGAUGGAUUCUUACGUUCACAUACAACGGGUGUAAGACAGUUUUACACAGCGAAAACACUUAGGGUUAACUUGACGAGCCUAGCAUGUGCAGACAUGGCCUCGGAACACGGAGACCGAAAGGUCGAGCAUGAGUCGUAUAGUAGAUACGAUCAACAUGAAGAUGUUCACCGAUGAUGACUAGUCCGUCUCACGUGAUGAUCGGACACGGCCUAGUUGACUCGGAUCAUGUAAUCACUUAGAUGACUAGAGGGAUGUCUAUCUGAGUGGGAGUUCAUAAGAUGAACUUAAUUAUCUUGAACAUAGUCAAAAGACCUUUUUGCAAAUUAUGUCGUAAGCUCGCGCUUUAGUUCUACUGUUUUAGAUAUGUUCCUAGAGAAAAUAUAGUUGAAAGCUGACAGUAGCGAUUAUGCGGACAGUAGAAAGCUUAUGUCCUUAAUGCACCGCUCAAUGUGCUGAACCCCAAACGUCGUAUGUGGAUGUUGCGAACAUCGGACAUACACGUUUUGAUAACUACGUGAUAGUUCAGAUAAAUGGUUUAAGUAGAGGCACCGAAGACGUUUUUCGAAACAUCGCGGAACAUAUGAGAUGUUUCGAGGGCUGAAAUUGGGAUUUCAGGCUCGUGCCCACGUCAAGAGGUAUGAGACCUCCGACAAUUUUCUUAGCCUACAAACUAAGGGAGAAAAGCUCAAUCGUUGAGCUUGUGCUCAGAUUGUCUGAGUGCAACAAUCACUUGAAUCGAGUGGGAGUUGAUCUUCCAAAUGAGAUAGUGAUGUUUCUCCAAAGUCAUUGCCACCAAGCUGCUAGAGCUUCGUGAUGAACUAUAACAUAUCAGGGAUAGAUAUGAUGAUCCUUGAGGUAUUCACGAUGUUUGACACCGCGAAAGUAGAAAUCAAGAAGGAGCAUCAAUUGUUGAUGGUUGGUGAAACCACUAGUUUCAAGAAGGGCAAGGGCAAGAAGGGACACUUCAUGAAACGGCAAAUCAGUUGCUGCUCCAGUGAAGAAACCCAAGGUUGAACCCAAACCCGAGACUAAGUGCUUCUGUAAUAAGGGGAACAACCACUGGAGCAGCAUUACCCUAGAUACUUGGUAGAUGAGAAGGCUGGCAAAGUCGAUAGAAGUAUAUUGGAUAUACAUUAUGUUAAUGUGUACUUUACUAGUACUCCUAGUAGCACAAGGGUAUUAGAUACCGGUUUGGUUGCUAAGUGUUAGUAACUCGAAAUAAAAGCUACGGAAUAAACGGAGACUAGCUAAAGGUGAGCUGACGAUAUGUGUUGGAAGUGUUUCCAUGUUUGAUGUGAUCAAACAUCGCACGCUCCCUCUACCAUCAAGAUUAGUAUUAAACCUGAAUGGUUUAUUGAAUCUCGAUCGUAGUGAUACACAUUUUCAUGCCAAAAGAUAUAAGAUAGUAAUGAUAGUACCACUUACUUGUGGCACUGCCAUGUAAGUCAUAAUGGUAUAAAACACAUGAAGAAGCUCCAUGUUGAUGGAUCUUUGGACUCACUCGUUUUGAAAAGUUUGAGACAUGCGAACCAUGUCUAUUGGUGUAUAUGCAUGAAGAAACUCCAUGCAAAUGGACCGUUUGGACUCACUUGAUUUUGAAUCACUUGAGAUAUGCAAAUCAUACCACAUGGGCAAGAUGACUGAAAAGCCUCGUUUUCAGUAAGAUGGAACAAGAUAGCAACUUGUUGGAAGUAACACAUUAUGAUGUGUCCAAUCCAAUGAGUGCUGAGGCAUGCAGUGAAUAUCGUUAUGAUCUUACUUCACAGAUGAUUCGAGUAGAUGUUGAGAAUAUUUACUUGAUGAAACACAAGUCUGAAUUAUUGAAUGGUUCAAGUAAUUUCAGAGUGAAGUAGAAGAUCAUUGUGACAAGAGGAUAAAAUGUCUAUGAUAUGAUCAUAGAGAUGAAUAUCUGAGUUACGAGUUUUGGCACACAAUUAAGACAUUGUGGAAAUUGUUUCACAAUUAAUACCGCCUGGAACACCAUAGUGUGAUGGUGUGUCCGAACAUCAUAACUGCACCCUAUUGGAUAUGAUGCAUACCAUGAUGUCUCUUAUCGAAUUACCACUAUCGUUCAUGGGUUAGGCAUUAGAGACAACCACAUUCACUUUAAAUAGGGCACCACAUAAUUCCGUUGAGAUGACACCGUAUGAAUUAUGGUUUAGAGAAACCUAAGUUGUCGUUUCUUAAAAGUUUGGGGCUACGACGCUUAUGUGAAAAAGUUUCAGAUUGAUAAGCUCGAACCCAAAGCGGAUAAAAUGCAUCUUCAUAGGACACCCAAAACAGUUGGGUAUACCUCCUGUCUCAGAUCCGAAAGCAAUAAGGGAUUGUUUCUUGAAUCGGGUCCUUUCUCGAGGAAAGGUUUCUCUCGAAAGAGUUGAGUGGGAGGAUGGUGGAAACUUGAUGAGGUUAUUGAACCGUCUCUUCAACUAGUGUGUGGCAGAGCACAGGAAGUUGUUCCUGUGGCACCUACACCAAUUGAAGUGGAAGCUUAUGAUAGUGAUCAUGAAGCUUCGGAUCAAGUCACUACCGAACCUCGUAGGAUGACAAGGAUGCGUACUACUUCAGAGUGGUACGGUGAUCCUGUCUUGAAGGUCAUGUUGCUAGACAACAAUGAACCUACGAGCUAUGGAGAAGCAAUGGUGGGCCCAAAUUCCGACAAAUGGUUAGAAACCAUGAAAUCCGAGAUAGGAUUCAUGUAUCAGAACAAAGCAUGGACUUUGGUGGACUUGCCCGAUGAUCGGCAAGCCGUUGAGAUAAAUGGAUCUUUUAAGAAGAAGACGGACGUGGAUGGUAAUGUCACCAUCUAUGAAGCACGACUUGUGGCGAAGAGUUUUUCACAAGUUCAAGGAGUUGACUACGAUGAGAUUUUCUCAUCCGUAGCGAUGCUUAAGUCCGUCGGAUUCAUGUUAGCACUAGCCGCAUUUAUGAAAUCUGGCAGAUGGAUAUCAAAACAAGUUUCCUUACCAGUUUUCGUAAGGAAAGGUUGUAUGUAAUACAAUCAGAAAGUUUUUGUCGAUCCUAAGGAUGCUAAAAGGUAUGCUAGCUCCAGCGAUCCUUCAAUGGACUGGAGUAAGCAUCUCGGAGUUGGAAUGUACGCUUUGAUGAGAUGAUCAAAGAUUUUGGGUUUAUACAAAGUUUAUGAGAAACUUGUAUUUCCAAAGAAGUGAGUGGGAGCACUAUAGAAUUUCUGAUAAGUAUAUGUUGUUGACAUAUUGAUGAUCAGAAAUGAUGUAGAAUUUUCUGUAAAGCAUAUAGGGUUAUUUGAAAGAUGUUUUUCAAUAGAAAGCCUGGAUUAAGCUACUUGAACAUUGAGCAUCAAGAUCUAUAAGGAUAGAUCAAAAUGCUUAAUAAUACUUUCAAAUGAGCACAUACCUUGACAUGAUCUUGAAGGUGUUCAAGAUGGACCAGUCAAAGAAGGAGUUCUUGCCUGAGUUGUAAGGUACGAAGUUAAGACUUAAAGCUCGACCACGGUAGAAGAGAGAGAAAGGACAAAGGUCGUCCCCUAUGCUUCAGACGUAGGCUCUAUAGUAUGCUGUGCUGUGUACCGCACCUGAAGUGUGCCUUGCCAUGAGUCAGUCAAGGGGUACAAGAGUGAUCCAAGAAUGGAUCACAGGACAGCGGUCAAAGUUAUCCUUAGUAACUAGUGGACUAAGGAAUUUUCUCGAUUAUGGAGGUGGUAAAAGAGUUCGUCGUAAAGGUUACGACGAUGCAAGCUUGACACCUAUCCGGAUAGCUCUGAGUAGAGAGACCGGAUACAUAUAAUGGAGCAAUAAUUUAGAAUAGCUCCAAGUAGAACAGUUGUUUGGAAUAGCUCCAAAUAGAGCGUGGUAGCUGCAUCUAGGAGAUGACAUAGAGAUUUGUAAAGCACACACGGAUCUGAAAGGUUUAGUCCCGUUGACUAAAACCUCUCUCACAAGCAACAUGAUCAAACAUAAAACUCAUUGAGUGUUAAUCACAUAGUGAUGUGAACUAGACUACUGACUCUAGUAAACUCUUGGGUAUUAGUCACAUGGCGAUGUGACCUGUGAGUGUUAAUCACAUGGCGAUGUGAACUGGAUUAUUGACUCUAGUGCAAGUGGGAGACUGUUGGAAAUAUGCCCUAGAGGCAAUAAUAAAAGUGUUAUUAUUAUAUUUCUUUGUUCAUGAUAAUAGUCUUUUAUUCAUGCUAUAACUGUAUUAUCCGGAAAUCGUAAUACACGUGUGAAUACAUAGACCACAAUAUGUCCCUAGUGAGCCUCUAGUUGACUAGCUCGUUGUGAUCAACAGAUAGUCAUGGUUUCCUAGCUAUGGACAUUGGAUGUCGUUGAUAACGGGAUCACAUCAUUAGGAGAAUGAUGUGAUGGACAAGACCCAAUCCUAAGCCUAGCACAAAGGUCGUGUAGUUCGUUUGCUAGAGCUUUGCAAAUGUCAAGUAUCUCUUCCUUCGACCAUGAGAGCGUGUAACUCCUGGAUACCGUAGGAGUGCUUUGGGUGUAUCAAACGUCACAACGUAACUGGGUGACUAUAAAGGUGCACUACAGGUAUCUUCGAAAGUAUCUAUUGUUUUAUGCGGAUCGAGACUGGGAUUUGUCACUCCGUGUAAACGGAGAGGUAUCUCUGGACCCACUCGGUAGGACAUCAUCAUAUGCGCAAUGUGACCAAGGAGUUGAUCACGGGAUGAUGUGUUACGGAACGAGUAAAGUGACUUGCCGGUAACGAGAUUGAACAAGGUAUAAGGAUACCGACGAUCGAAUCUCGGGCAAGUACAAUACCGCUAGACAAAGGGAAUUGUAUACGGGAUUGAUUAAGUCCUUGACAUCGUGGUUCAUCCGAUGAGAUCAUCGUGGAACAUGUGGGAGCCAUCAUGGGUAUCCAGAUCCCGCUGUUGGUUAUUGACCGGAGAACGUCUCGGUCAUGUCUGCAUGUCUCCCGAACCCGUAGGGUCUACACACUUAAGGUUCGAUGACGCUAGGGUUAUAAAGGAAGUUUGUAUGUGGUUACCGAAUGUUGUUCGGAGUCCCGGAUGAGAUCCCGGACGUCAUGAGGAGUUCCGGAAUGGUCCGGAGGUAAAGAUUUAUAUAUGGGAAGUCCUAUUUUGGCCACUGGAAAAUGUUCGGGAUUUUUCCGUAUUGUACCGGGAAGGUUCUAGAAGGUUCCGGAGUGGGGCCCACCUGCAUGGGGGGACCCACAUGAACGUGGGUAGUGGGGGAAAGGCCCCACACCCCUAGUCAAGGCGCACCAAGAUCCCCCCUUAGAAGGAAUAAGAUCAUAUCCCAAAGGGAUAAGAUCAAGAUCCCUAAAAAGGGGGGAUAACAAUCGGUGGGGAAGGAAAUAAUGAGAUUUCUUUCCUCCCACCUUGGCCAACGCCCCAAUGGACUUGGAGGGCAAGAAACCAGCCCCUCCACCCCUAUAUAUAGUGGGGAGGCGCAUGGGAGCUACAGACGAAGUUCUGGCACAGCCCUACCUCUCUUCCUACUCCUCCUCUCCCAUGGUGCUUAGCGAAGCCCUGCAGGAUUGCCACGCUCCUCCACCACCACCACGCCGUUGUGCUGCUGUUGGAUGGAGUCUUCCUCAACCUCUCCCUCUCUCCUUGCUGGAUCAAGGCGUGGGAGACGUCACCGGGCUGUACGUGUGUUGAACGCGGAGGUGCCGUGCGUUCGGCACUUGAUCAUCGAUGAUUUGAAUCACGACGAGUACGACUCCUUCAACCCUGUUCUCUUGAACGCUUCCGCUUAGCGAUCUACAAGGGUAUGUAGAUGCACUCUCCUUCUACUCGUAGCUGGUUUCUCCAUAGAUAGAUCUUGGUGACGCGUAGGAAAAUUUUGAAUUUCUGCUACGUUCCCCAACAGUUUGAUCAUAAUAUGCUGAAUCAUGGAUAUUGAGUUAAACAUAUUUAUAAAAGCAAGAACAAGUUGAGUUCAUACCCGCUUUUCCUUGCCAUAAUCACUUCAUCAAAUUUUUUCAUUAUUGCCUUUCACUUGCACGACCGAAUGAUAUGAAAAUAAUAACAAUGCAAGAGUGCCGUUGACUAAGCAGGAAUCCGCAACAUUUUAUUCAAAUGAGAAGGCAAAAUAAUACAGGCUCUUUGUCGGCUCAACAAUACUGCAUAUGAGAGGCACUCAACAUUUUCAUCAUGGUCUUCUCAUACCGACUCAACAAAAGAAAAGAAUUUCAGAGAAACAUAUUGAAAUAUUAUUGGAGUUUUUGAUUUUUGUUGAAGAAAGAAAAUUAAAAGAAGAAAAACAAAAAGAGAAAAAGUAUUUAUACGGGAGAGCUCCGAACAGGCAAAAAAUUGAGAAAUAUUUUUGGGUUUUCUUUUAAUACUACAACUGAUUUAAACUAGAAAGAAAAAUUGAAAAUGAUCGAGAAAUAUUUUUGGAUUUUUUUCAAAGUUUUUCAAACACACAAGAAGAAAGCAAAAAAAUAAAUAUGACAUGGAUUAUAUAAUGAAAAAGUAUGAACGCCGACAACUGGAAUGAAGUGUGUGAUCAUGAAUGUAAUGUCGUUUUAAAAUACGUAGUCCCCCAAGCUUAGGCUUUUGCCUAGCUUGGUAAUCACCAUCCGUAGCCUGGGUAAUAGUCAGAAUGAUAGCUCGUGGAGGCUCUCGAUGCAGCCUCCUCAGCCUGGCGGGAAGCCUCUACUGCCGCGUUUGUACUCACGCCUCUCUCUCAUAGAUGUAAUAUCUUCCUUUAGUCUCGUAAUCAAAGAGAGUAGGUGCAUGGAAAAUAAUAGGUACAAUGGUUUUUUUAUCGAACAUCAAGUUGUAAUUGUGAUUUUGAGCUCCAUACUUAAUGAACUUAUGACACUGCAUUGCAUCAAAGUCUAGGUAUUGGGUAGGUAAAAUAGGAUCAUUGGGUAUAGGUGUCACACCUAGACUUCUUGCUACAUGCGGGGCAUAAAUUCCUCCAUAAAAAUGACCACUAUAAGCAUUGCAUUGCAACCUCCGUGCAACGAUUGCACCAGGAUUAUAAUGUUUAGUCCCCGUUAGAGCAAUGUGUAUGAGGCUCAAGUCUGGGGCACUGUAACGCCCUCGAUGCGGCUAUAUCUCCCACGUGUCUAAGCACGACUUAGAGGCAUAACCGCAUUGAAAGCAAUGUCGCAAGUGAGGUAAUCUUCACACAACCCAUGUAAUACAAUAAGGGAAAAAGAUACAUAGUUGGCUUACAAUCGCCACUUCACACAAUUAGAUGAAUAAAGCAUUACAUCAACCAGAUACAAUCAAGGUCGGACUACGGAAGCAAAAUAAAAGAAGAACCCCAAAUGCGACAAGGUCCCCGAUCGACCCCAACUGGGCUCCACUUCUGAUCAACUAGAACGAAAUAACACAAAGGACAAGAUCUUCAUCGAGCUCCUCCUGAGCUUGGUUGCGUCAACUGCACGGUCUCGUCGGCACCUGCAAGCUGGUUUUGGAAGUAUCUGUGAGUCACGGGGACUCAGCAAUCUCACACCCUCGCGAUCAAGACUAUUUAAGCUUAAGGGUAGGAAAGGGUAGUGAGGUGGAGCUGCAGCAAAGCACUAAGCAUAUAUGGUGGCUAACUUAUGCAAAUGAGAGCGAGAAGAGAAGCAAAGCACGGUCGAGAAGCUAAUAGUGAUCAAUAAGUGAUCCCGAAGGUACUUACGUUCAAGCAUAACACGAGACUGUGUUCUCUUCCCGGACUCCGCAAAAAAGAGACCAUCACGGUUACACACGCGGUUGAUUCAUUUUAAUUAAGUUAAGUGUCAAGUUCUCUACAACCGGAUAUUAACAAAUUCCCAUAUGCCCAUAACCAUGGGCACGGCUUUCGAAAGUUUAUACCCUGCAGGGGUGUCCCAACUUAGCUCAUCACAAGCUCUCACGGUCACCGAAGGAUAUUCCUUCUCCCAGGAAGACCCGAUCAGACUCGAAAUCCCGGUUACAAGACAUCUCGACAAUGGUAAAACAAGACCAGCAAAGCCGCCCGAAUGUGCCAACAAAUCCCGAUAGGAGCUGCACAUAUCUCGUUCUCAGGGCACACCGGAUGAACACUACGUACAACUAAAACCAACCCUCAAGUUUCCCUGAGGUGGCGCUGCAAGUGGAUCUGUUUUGGACCAACACUCAGAGGAGCACUGGCCCAGGGGUUUAAAAUAAAGAUGACCCUUGAGUCCACGGAACCCAAGGGGAAAAGGCUUAGGUGGCAAAUGGUAAAACCAAGGUUGGGCCUUGCUGGAGGAGUUUUAUUCAAGGCGAACUGUCAAGGGGUUCCCAUAACACCCAACCGUAUAAGGAACGCAAAAUCAAGGAACAUAAUACUGGUAUGACAGAAACUAAGGCGGCAAGAGUGGAACAAAACACCAGGCAUAAGGCCGAGCCUUCCACCCUUUACCAAGUAUAUAGAUGCAUUAAAGUAAAUAAGAGAUAAUAAUGAUAUCCCAACAGAAUCCAUGUUCCAACAUGGAACAAACUUCAUCUUCACCCUUCGCCACUUCACACAAUUACAUGAAUAAAGCAUUACAUCAACCAGAUACAAUCAAGGUCCGACUACGGAACCAAAAUAAAAGAAGAACCCCAAAUGCGACAAGGUCCCCGAUCGACCCCAACUAGGCUCCACUACUAAUCAACUAGAACGAAACAACACAAAGGACAAGAUCUUCAUCGAGCUCCUCCUGAGCUUGGUUGCGUCAACUACACGGUCUCUUCGGCACCUGCAAGCUGGUUUUGGAAGUAUCUGUGAGUCACGGGGACUCAGCAAUCUCACACCCUCGCGAUCAAGACUAUUUAAGCUUAAGGGUAGGAAAGGGUAGUGAGGUGGAGCUGCAGCAAAGCACUAAGCAUAUAUGGUGGCUAACUUAUGCAAAUGAGAGCGAGAAGAGAAGCAAAGCACGGUCGAGAAGCUAAUAGUGAUCAAUAAGUGAUCCCGAAGGUACUUACGUUCAAGCAUAACACGAGACUGUGUUCUCUUCCCGGACUCCACAAAAAAGAGACCAUCACGGUUACACACGCGGUUGAUUCAUUUUAAUUAAGUUAAGUGUCAAGUUCUCUACAACCGGAUAUUAACAAAUUCCCAUAUGCCCAUAACCAUGGGCACGGCUUUCGAAAGUUUAUACCCUGCAGGGGUGUCCCAACUUAGCUCAUCACAAGCUCUCACGGUCACCGAAGGAUAUUCCUUCUCCCAGGAAGACCCGAUCAGACUCGAAAUCCCGGUUACAAGACAUCUCGACAAUGGUAAAACAAGACCAGCAAAGCCGCCCGAAUGUGCCAACAAAUCCCGAUAGGAGCUGCACAUAUCUCGUUCUCAGGGCACACCGGAUGAACACUACGUACAACUAAAACCAACCCUCAAGUUUCCCUGAGGUGGCGCUGCAAGUGGAUCUGUUUUGGACCAACACUCAGAGGAGCACUGGCCCAGGGGUUUAAAAUAAAGAUGACCCUUGAGUCCACGGAACCCAAGGGGAAAAGGCUUAGGUGGCAAAUGGUAAAACCAAGGUUGGGCCUUGCUGGAGGAGUUUUAUUCAAGGCGAACUGUCAAGGGGUUCCCAUAACACCCAACCGUAUAAGGAACGCAAAAUCAAGGAACAUAAUACUGGUAUGACAGAAACUAAGGCGGCAAGAGUGGAACAAAACACCAGGCAUAAGGCCGAGCCUUUCACCCUUUACCAAGUAUAUAGAUGCAUUAAAGUAAAUAAGAGAUAAUAAUGAUAUCCCAACAGAAUCCAUGUUCCAACAUGGAACAAACUUCAUCUUCACCCUUCGCCACUUCACACAAUUACAUGAAUAAAGCAUUACAUCAACCAGAUACAAUCAAGGUCCGACUACGGAACCAAAAUAAAAGAAGAACCCCAAAUGCGACAAGGUCCCCGAUCGACCCCAACUAGGCUCCACUACUGAUCAACUAGAAUGAAACAACACAAAGGACAAGAUCUUCAUCGAGCUCCUCCUGAGCUUGGUUGCGUCAACUGCACGGUCUCGUCGGCACCUGCAAGCUGGUUUUGGAAGUAUCUGUGAGUCACGAGGAGUCAGCAAUCUCACACCCUCGCGAUCAAGACUAUUUAAGCUUAUGGGUAAGGUAAAGGUAUGAGGUGGAGCUACAGCAAGCGACUAGCAUAUAUGGUGGCUAACAUAUUCGCAAAAGAGAGCGAGAAGAGAAGGCAAACCAUGAACGAAGAACUAUGAUCAAGAAGUGAUCCUAGAACAACCUACGUCAAACAUAAAUCCAACACCGUGUUCACUUCCCGGACACCGCCGGAAAGAGACCAUCACGGUUACACACGCAGUUGACUCAUUUUAAUUAAGUUAAGGUUCAAGUUAUCUACAACCGGACAUUAACAAAUUCCCAUCUGCCCAUAACCGCAGGCACGGCUUUCGAAAGUUCAAAUCCCUGCAGGGGUGUCCCAACUUAGCCCAUGACAAGCUCUCACGGUCAACGAAGGAAUAGACCUUCUAGCGGGAAGACCCGAUCAGACUCGGAAUCCCGGUUACAAGACAUUUCGACAAUGGUAGAACAAGUCCAGCAAGAGCGCCCGAUGUGCCGACAUCCUGAUAGGAGCUGCACAUAUCUCGUUCUCAGGGAAACACCGGAUGAGCGCUCCGUACAACUAAAACCAGCCCUCAAGUUUCCCCGAGGUGGCGUUGCAAAGGACUCUAGUUCGGACCAACACUUAGACAAGCACGGGCCCCGGGGGGGGGGUUAAAAUAAAGAUGACCCUCGGGAUGCGCGACUCCCAAGGGAAAAGGCUAGGUGGCGAAUGGUAAAACCAAGGUUGGGCCUUCCUGGAGGAGUUUUAUUCAAGGUGAACUAUCAAGGGGUUCCCAUUAUUACCCAACCACGUAAGGAACGCAAAAUCUGAGAACAUAACACCGAUAUGACAGAAACUAGGGCGACAAGAGUGGAACAAAACAGCAGGCAUAAGGCAGAGCCUUCCGCCCUUUACCAAGUAUAUAAAUGCAUUAAUUAAAUAAGAUAUAUUGUGAUAUCCCAACAAGUAAACAUGUUCCAACAAGGAACAACAUCUCCAUGUUCCAACAAGGAACAAAACUUCAAUCUUCACCUGCAACUAACAACGCUAUAAGAGGGGCUGAGCAAAGCGGUAACAUAGCCAAACAAUGGUCUGCUAGGACAAGGUGGGUUAGAGGCUUGGUUCAACAAUAUGGGUGGCAUGAUAAGCGAGUGGUAGGUAUCGCAGCAUAGGCAUAGCAAAAGAGCGAGCAUCUAGCAAGCAAAGAUAGAAGUGAUUUUGAGGGUAUGAUCAUCUUGCCUGAAAUCCCGCAAGGAAGAAGAAUGAGUCCAUGAAGAAGAUAAACGGGCGUAGACGAACGGGUCCUCACAAACGCGACGUUACUGGAACCAACCCGAAGAAGCAAACACCGGAAAGAAGCACACAACAUAGUAAACAACCAACUCAAGAAUAUGGUAUGAUAUGCGGGAUGCGGUAUGCGAUGCAUAUGCAUGAUUUGACAAGGAAUGCAUGAACCUGGCCUCAACUUGGAAAUCCAAGUGUGCCACUGGAAAGAUGAGAUGAAAUCGCUUGAAAACGAUAUAAAGAUCACCGGAAUUGGAGUUACGGUUUGGAAAUGGCAAGCGAUUCAAAUAUAGCCACGGUCUGCGAUAUACAGCAAGUAGCCAUCUAAAUGCAACGAGACGAACAUGCUACAGCACUCAAACAUGACAACAAAAUACAUGGGAGGGAUCCAUUCAUGAUGCUUGACAAAAGAGGAACACUGAGCUACGGCCAAUUCACCCAUUAACAGGUUCAAACAAGCAUGGCAAAAAUGCAUUUGGUAAACAGAUUUCAGACUUAGUGAAAUUAACACUUGUCUGGAAUUUCAGAUCAGAUAGCACUCUUUGGAGCAACAAAACUACAUGCUACAGGACCUACACAUGGCAAAGUAAAGCAUGUAAUAGAGCUACUCAAGGAGCUUAACAAAAGUUCCUUAGUGAAAUUGAGCCAAAAGGGAUCAGAAAAUACAAUUGCAAGCAUGUGAACAUGGCAAAAACAUAAUCAGAUCUCAGACUUACUGAAAACUGGAGCAUGCUGAAACAGAUAUCAAGUAGGCAUGUUUACGAGCUCGAUGCACUCACUACAGAGCAAGUCAUGACAAGCUAAGCAUACACCCAUCAAUAAUACACAAAAUGCAAGCUAGACAUGGCAAGAACAAUAGCAUAGCAUGCACGUAUCAACUACAACAUCCUCGGCAAAAUCGCUAACAAGUAGACAAUCUGCCCAGAUUCACGAAAUGACAAAAGUAGAGCUCGAUUGACUCAAGCUAGGGUGCUCCAUAAUUGCAAACAAAGACAUGGAUGGAUAGAGCACUACAAGAUUAACAAAAUAUCCUUACUGAUCAUCCUCAAAAGAGGCACGGAUCACUAGGAAACAACAUGAACAUAUGACCAUAUGAGAUAAACAGCUCAAGGACUUAGUGGAAAAGCUAAGUCCCUGAAAUCAGCAUUAGCAAAUGCCUCACUUUACAAGCUCGUGCUAGUCACCACACACAUCACAAAAAUACAUGGGUUGCACCUCUGGAAAGAUGGCAAAACCCUUAACAAAACAUAUGUAGAGCUCAAGGGCAUAUCAUGCACACAAUAAUCAUGGCAAAAAUGACAAAUAACUAAAUGGAGCAGCAGAUCUGACAAUUAUCUCAAGUAGCACUCUUCUAACAGCAUUUCGGUCAUCAAGAUGAACUCAAAUGAAAAUGAUGCAGUGAGAUGAAAUGAUGUACUCUCUGAGAUGAACAUUUUGAUAUGCUAUAUGCCAAAAAUGGAGCUACGGAUGCAGAGUUAUUGCAUGUUGAACAGGGCUCCAGAGAGUAAAUAUUUUUGGGACUUAGGGAAAAACGAGGUCAACCUCUGUCAGAUCCAGAUCUGGUGCGGAGUUCGAGGUUCAACAAAAGUCAUCGCCAGAGAGGAGGGAGAUUGCCGGAGUGGAGGGGUCCGGCCAGAUCCUGGCGCGGGUCGCCGGAUCGGCGUCGGCGGCGUGCUGGAGAGGCGCGGGCGACGUGCGGAGAGAGCUCGGGCGNNNNNNNNNNNNNNNNNNNNNNNNNNNNNNNNNNNNNNNNNNNNNNNNNNNNNNNNNNNNNNNNNNNNNNNNNNNNNNNNNNNNNNNNNNNNNNNNNNNNNNNNNNNNNNNNNNNNNNNNNNNNNNNNNNNNNNNNNNNNNNNNNNNNNNNNNNNNNNNNNNNNNNNNNNNNNNNNNNNNNNNNNNNNNNNNNNNNNNNNNNNNNNNNNNNNNNNNNNNNNNNNNNNNNNNNNNNNNNNNNNNNNNNNNNNNNNNNNNNNNNNNNNNNNNNNNNNNNNNNNNNNNNNNNNNNNNNNNNNNNNNNNNNNNNNNNNNNNNNNCGGGGCGGGCCGGCCUCGGGCCCCGGCGGGCCUGGCGGUUGGCGCGGUGAAGUAGGGCGCGGCGCGGGCGACGUGGCACAGCGGGAUUGGAGGAGGGAGUCGGCGGAGCUGAUGUGUCACCUCGCCAUUGGCCGGGCGACGUGGCGGCUGGGUGGACGCGUCCGACCACUGGGCGGACAUGUCCGGUGGCGCGGGGAGGAGUGGAUCUAGGGUUCAUCCGCGAUUUUUGGGGAGGGGAUCACAUAUUUAUAGGUAGAGGGAGCUAGGAGAGUCCAAAUGAGGUGCGGUUUUCGGCCACGCGAUCGUGAUCGAACGACCGAGAUGAUGGAGAUGUCUUAGGCGGGUUUUGGGCCAAGAUGGAGGGGUGUUGGGCUGCAACACACACGAGGCCUUUUCGGUCCCUCGGUUAACCGUUGGAGUAUCAAACGAAGUCCAAAUGGCACGAAACUUGACAGGCGGUCUACCGGUAGUAAACCAAGGCCGCUUGGCAAGUCUCGGUCCAAUCCGGAAAUUUUUAAUCCCCACACAUGAAAGAAAGGUAGAAAUGACCACCGGAGGAGAUAGGAGCACCGGAAUGCAAAACGGACAACAGGGAAAAUGCUCGGAUGCAUGAGACGAACAUGUAUGCAAAUGAAAUGCACAUGAUGACAUGAUAUGCAAAUGCAUGACACGCAAGCAAUGACAAGGAAACAACAUCAAAUAACUGGAGGACACGUGGCACAUCAGUCUCGGGGCGUUACAACACUCCACCACCACGGGAGGAUCUCGUCCCGAGAUCUAGAAUGGCAUCGGAGGGACAACGGAAGAGAAAGAGAAGAGGUAAAACUAAGUUGCUCCUUUGACAAACGAGUGAAACCAAAUAACCUUGAGAGGUUGAACAAAUUGAAGAAAAGAAUACAACGAAGGUAAACAAAGUCGAAAACACUCCGUUAGCAAGGAGGGACAAAGAACAUUGCGAAAAACCCCGAUGUUGAAGGGCAAGAUAUAUAUUGAAAGCACUCCAGUUAAGAAGUUAUGCAAGACUUGAUACGGUGAAAAGAACUUGAGCAGAGGACACGACACUCCGGUUAAAUGGAUAGGCAUGAAAAGAACAUGAUAUUUGAGAAAACGAGAUGAUGGGUGAAUAUUGCAGCAAUACAAAGCCUCGGGAAUAAAUGAAAGAAUGCAAAGAAAAGAAUGGAGAAGAAAAACAACAUGUUCUACCUCAAACGAAUUUGAGAGAGCAUCCUUAAAAGAGAAGGAUUGAACGGAGUUGUUGGGAAAUCAACAACGAAAAGAACAGGCUUGUUGAGGCUUAUGGAAAACAUCUCGAGAUUAUGAGGUGAAAUUCUGCCACUAAUGGAAACAAUAGAUUGGGUUGAUAUGAACAAGACGAGAAACUUAUUUCACCGGGAGGAUAGAUGAAGAACUUGGGUCAUUUGUGAGCACCAUAAAUAGCAACAAACCUUAGGGAAGGCUUUAGGUGAAAUCUAACCCAAGAUAACUCUAAAGAAGAGAUUGAUGGAUUUAAAAUACCUCAUUCCUAACAACAUGUGAAUCAUGGAACAUGAACUCAAAUUAUCAAGAAUGACGUAAUACCACCUUCAAUGAUAUGGAAGAAAGAAUUGCACUUUAAAAUGCCAGAUAAAGAAUGCUUGAGCUCCACUGAAAAGAAUCUUGAUGAGCACUUGAAACCAAGAAUUAAAUCAUCGUGAACAAACUCCGGAAGAAAAGAUUAACAUAUGGAUGAAACAAGAAUAAGAAUUACAUUAUGCUUAACCUUCACCAAUUUAAUUGAUGACAAGCAACGGAUUUGGCAUACUACUUAUUCUAGUUGCAACGGAUUGAAGAGAGAUAUAGCAUGAACUUGGGAAGGUCUUCAACGAUCCACUGGUAGAAUUUGAAAAGCACGAAUGCAUAGAUAUGAUACACGAAGGAAGAAAAACUCUUGAACGAACCACCGUAAGAAUUGAAAAAGAAUGAUUAAAACAUGAAGAAACACCGGGAAGAAUUAGCAAAUGAAUGAAGAUGCUUGGGAGAAUUUAGAUAUAUGAGAACGAAGAGAUCACGAGCCGAUUAAAGAUCACUUGCACGAAGCACCGGUAAAAUUGGGAGAAUGAUAGCUGAAAGCUGAGAAUGAAUAAACCUGAAUUGAUGGACUCCGGAUGAACAAACUAAAAAGGCUCCUGAAUUGCUCCGGAUGUAUAAAAAGAAUUCUCACAAUCGAACAAUUAUGAGAGGAUGGCAACAAGCUAGAAUCACGAAUCUUGAAGAGAAUGGAGCAAGAUUGAAAGAAGAAUCUUCUUAGGUCUUCCAAACUGAGAAUGACAACGAGAAAUACCACCAUGAAUUGUUUAGACCCUCCGGAAGAAUCAAAACAAAGAGGUUGAGCCAAUGAUGAAAAGAAUUUGGAAGAUCUAGGAGAAAGGCAUUUGACUGAUGAUAACUCAUUCGUACGUCAAACUUGGAAAAGAAUUUGAGAGUAACGCCGGGAAAAUAAGAAGAGUUAGGUAAGAUCCUGGGAAAAGACCUGUGGGUUAGGGCCCACUCAAAAGAUACACCGUUGAAAAUAUUAAUUGAAAAGGAGAAUGCACCGGUUCAAUUAAAUGACUUGAAUGAGAUAACAUCCUCGAAAGAGCUUGAACGAAAGCAGAGUGAAAACACGAAUCUUCGGGAUAUCUUGAGCACUCCGGAACAAAUGAAUAGCAAGUGGGGAAUGAUUAUGAGGUGCACCGGCAUAAGAAAAGCAUUGGGAAAAAAGAAAAGACUAUGCUCAAUACCAAAGCUUGAAUUGAAUCCACCGGAGAAGAAAGAGAACGAAUAAUGAUGAACUUGAAACUCUGCUACUAUCUUCCUGAUAUUCACCGGAUAAGAAUAUUGACGGAAAAGAAUGGAGAGGCUUCACAUCAAUAACAUGAUAGUUGAAUAAGAAAUCCGAAUCCUUGAAGGAAAAAGGGUUGGGAGGGUGGGGAAAACAAAGACAACUUGGGACGGAUGAAACAACCAAUGUUGAGAUCUUAGAUUGAAUCUUGCGGAUGUGGAAUGAUCGGAUCCACUUGGAAAGAAACACACCGGUUGAAAAGGAUUGACAUGACAAUCUCGAUUAUCAUGAAGGAUUAGUAUUCCCAUAGGAAUAUGAGAACACCAUUUGGGGAAGGUAUGGAGUCAACAUUUGACUUCGAAGCAACUCGAAUACCACCACUCAAAACAAAACGAAGGAUUGGCUUGUAGAAUAAGCCGGAACAAACAUAUGAUAGAGAUUUUGUCCAAAGUUUUUGUGGUGGGGCCUACACGGGCUCGAUCGUAUAGCACCAUCAUGUACAAGGCAGUGCACAUGACAUACGAAGCGUCCCCGAGUCGGCAUAGCCAAGGACUCUUUAAGACACAACGAGACCACUGUAAAACCAACCGUGAAUAGGCGUACCACUAGACGUCGAAUCCCAAUUUCAUAUCAUACAUCUGUCGGAAAGAUAUCCUAAGAGCUACUUGAAUUCCCACCUAUGAAACUCCCGAACCUUUCCGGUUAUGCAAUCAGGUGUUGGGGAUACAGGGGAAGCAUAAUAUCUCACCCAAAACUAGCAAAUCCUACAUCCAGCUGUAUCCAUCCUUUAACACAUAACCAAGAAACCUUCAGAAAUCAUCUACCUCAACCUUCGAAAAGCAUUCGUUAUACAAGUUAUGGCAAUACUCCCAAACUCCCGCCCCAGUACUGGGUGGCGUCGAGGUUAUCUCACCCACGAACUGCAUAAAAGAGAUUUUCGAUGUCGGUGUACUAAACUCAGGUAUUCCAGAAUUGCAAUGAUAAAAUUAUGGUGACAACACCUCAGAGAUCAACUCCCCGGGACACUUCCAGGAAACCCCUGACAGGAGGCACCAAGACAAUGUUCUCGUCACAAAACCAUUGGAACGAUUCCAAGAUACCCGCGUGGUCCUAAAUUUUUUUUAGUGAAAUUUGAGAAGAGAAGAGUCAAAACUCUACGUCAGGAUGCCUUACCAGAGCGAUGAGGAGACUGGGGAGUAAAAAGAAUUCCUAAACUCUCCGAUAUAUAAUUCCUAAAUGACUCAAAACAUUUUUCUAGACACAACUCGACUGCUAAAAACAAUCAAGCAAUGGGUCUCCUAAGGUCGGGGAAGGCUCUGAUACCAAAUUGUAACGCCCUCGAUGCGGCUAUAUCUCCCACGUGUUGAAGCACAACUUAGAGGCAUAACCGCAUUGAAAGCAAUGUCGCAAGUGAGGUAAUCUUUACACAACCCAUGUAAUACAAUAGGGGAAAAAGAUACAUAGUUGGCUUACAAUCGCCACUUCACAAAAUUACAUGAAUAAAGCAUUACAUCAACCAGAUACAAUCAAGGUCCGACUACGGAACCAAAAUAAAAGAAGAACCGCAAAUGUGACAAGGUCCCCGAUCGACCCCAACUAGGCUCCACUACUGAUCAACUAGAAUGAAACAACACAAAGGACAAGAUUUUCAUCGAGCUCCUCCUGAGCUUGGUUGCGUCAACUGCACGGUCUCGUCGGCACCUGCAAGCUGGUUUUGGAAGUAUCUAUGAGUCAUGAGGACUCAGCAAUCUCACACCGUCGCGAUCAAGACUAUUUAAGCUUAUGGGUAAGGUAAAGGUAUGAGGUGGAGCUGCAGCAAGCGACUAGCAUAUAUGGUGUCUAACAUAUUCGCAAAAGAGAGCGAGAAGAGAAGGCAAAGCACAAACAAAGAACUAUGAUCAAGAAGUGAUCCUAGAACAACCUACGUCAAACAUAACUCCAACACCGUGUUCACUUCCGGACACCGCCGGAAAGAGACCAUCACGGUUACACACGCAGUUGACUCAUUUUAAUUAAGUUAAGGUUCAAGUUAUCUACAACCGGACAUUAACAAAUUCCCAUCUGCCCAUAACCGCGGGCACGACUUUCAAAAGUUCAAAUCCCUGCAGGGGUGUCCCAACUUAGCCCAUGACAAGCUCUCACGGUCAACGAAGGAAUAGACCUUCUAGCGGGAAGACCCGAUCAGACUCGGAAUCCCGUUUACAAGACAUUUCGACAAUGGUAAAACAAGUCCAGCAAGACCGCCCGAUGCGCCGACAUCCUGAUAGGAGCUGCACAUAUCUCGUUCUCAGGGCAACACUGGAUGAGCGCUCCGUACAACUAAAACCAGCCCUCAAGUUUCCCCGAGGUGGCGCUGCAAAGGACUCUAGUUCGGACCAACACUUAGACAAGCACUGGCCCGGGGGGGGGGGUUAAAAUAAAGAUGACCCUCGGGAUGCGCGACUCCCAAGGGAAAAAGGCUAGGUGGCGAAUGGUAAAACCAAGGUUGGGCCUUGCUGGAGGAGUUUUAUUCAAGGUGAACUGUCAAGGGGUUCCCAUUAUUACCCAACCGCGUAAGGAACGCAAAAUCUGAGAACAUAACACCGAUAUGACAGAAACUAGGGCAACAAGAGUGGAACAAAACACCAGGCAUAAGGCAGAGCCUUCCACCCUUUACCAAGUAUAUAGAUGCAUUAAUUAAAUAAGAUAUAUUGUGAUAUCCCAACAAGUAAACAUGUUCCUACAAGGAACAACAUCUCCAUGUUCCAACAAGGAACAAAACUUCAAUCUUCACCUGCAACUAACAACGCUAUAAGAGGGGCUGAGCAAAGAGGUAACAUAGCCAAACAACGGUUUGCUAGGACAAGGUGGGUUAGAGGCUUGGUUCAACAAUAUGUGUGGCAUGAUAAGCGAGUGGUAUGUAUCACAGCAUAGGCAUAGCAAAAGAGCGAGCAUCUAGCAAGCAAAGAUAGAAGUGAUUUCGAGGGUAUGAUCAUCUUGCCUGAAAUCUCGCAAGGAAGAAGAACGAGUCCAUGAAGAAGAUAAACGGGCGUAGACGAAUGGGUCCUCACAAACGCGACGUUACUGGAACCAACCCGAAGAAGCAAACACCGGAAAUAAGCACACAACAUAGUAAACAACCAACUCAUGAAUAUGGUAUGAUAUGCGGGAUGCGGUAUGCGAUGCAUAUGCAUGAUUUGGCAAGGAAUGCAUGAACCUGGACUCAACUUGGAAAUCCAAGUGUGCCAAUGGAAAGAUGAUAUGAAAUCGCUUGAAAACGAUAUAAAGAUCACCGGAAUCGGAGUUACGGUUUGGAAAUGGCAAGCGAUUCAAAUAUGGCCACGGUCUGCGAUAUACAGCAAGUAGCCAUCUAAAUGCAACGAGAUGAACAUGCUACAACACUCAAACAUGAAAACAAAAUACAUGGCAGGGAUCCAUUCAUGAUGCUUGAAAAAAGAGGAACACUGAGCUAUGGCCAAUUCACCCAUUAACAUGUUCAAACAAGCAUGGCAAAAAUGCAUUUGGUAAACAGAUUUCAGACUUAGUGAAAUUAACACUUGUCUGGAAUUUCAGAUCAGAUAGCACUCUUUGGAGCAACAAAACUACAUGCUACAGGACCUACACAUGGCAAAGUAAAGCAUGGCAUGGAGCUACUCAAAGAGCUUAACAAAAGUCCCUUAGUGACCUUGAGCCAAAAUGGAUCAGAAAAUACAAUUGCAAGCAUGUGAACAUGGCAAAAACAUAAUCAGUUCUCAGACUUAGUGAAAACUGGAGCAUGCUAAAACAGAUAUCAAGUAGGCAUGUUUACGAGCUCGAUGCACUCACUAUAGAGAAAGUCAUGACAAGCUAAGCAUACACCCAUCAAUAAUACACAAAAUGCAAGCUAGACAUGGCAAGAACAGUAGCAUAGCAUGCACGGAUCAACUACAACAUCCUCGGCAAAAUCGCUAACAAGUAGACAAUCUGCCCAGAUUCACGAAAUGACAAAAGUAGAGCUCGAUUGACUCAAGCUAGGGUGCUCCAUAAUUGCAAACAAAGACAUGGAUGGAUAGAGCACUACAAGAUUAACAAAAUACCCUUACUGAUCAUCCUCAAAAGAGGCACGGAUCACUAGGAAACAACAUGAACAUAUGACCAUAUGAGAUAAACAGCUCAAGGACUUAGUGGAAAAGCUAAGUCCCUGAAAUCAGCAUUAGCAAAUGCCUCACUUUGCAAGCUCGUGCUAGUCACCACACACAUCACAAAAAUACAUGGGUUGCACCUCUGGAAAGAUGGCAAAACCCUUAACAAAACAUAUGUAGAGCUCAAGGGCAUAUCAUGCACACAAUAAUCAUGGCAAAAAUGACAAAUAACUAAAUGGAGCAGCAGAUCUGACAAUUAUCUCAAGUAUCACUGUUUUAACAGCAUUUCGGGCAUCAAGAUGAACUCAAAUGAAAAUGAUGCAAUGAGAUGAAAUGAUGUACUCUCUGAGAUGAACAUUUUGAUAUGCUAUAUGCCAAAAACGGAGCUACGGAUGCAGAGUUAUGGCAUGUUGAACAGGGCUCCAGAGAGUAAAUAUUUUUGGGACUUAGGGAAAAACAAGGUCAACCUCUGUCAGAUCCAGAUCUGGCGCGGAGUUCGAGGUUCAACAACAGUCAUCACCGGAGAGGAGGGAGAUGGCCGGAGUGGAGGGGUCCGGCCGGAUCCUGGCGCGGGUCGCCGGAUCAGCUUCGGCGGCGUGCUGGAGAGGCGCGGGCGAUGCGCGGAGAGAGCUCGGGCGNNNNNNNNNNNNNNNNNNNNNNNNNNNNNNNNNNNNNNNNNNNNNNNNNNNNNNNNNNNNNNNNNNNNNNNNNNNNNNNNNNNNNNNNNNNNNNNNNNNNNNNNNNNNNNNNNNNNNNNNNNNNNNNNNNNNNNNNNNNNNNNNNNNNNNNNNNNNNNNNNNNNNNNNNNNNNNNNNNNNNNNNNNNNNNNNNNNNNNNNNNNNNNNNNNNNNNNNNNNNNNNNNNNNNNNNNNNNNNNNNNNNNNNNNNNNNNNNNNNNNNNNNNNNNNNNNNNNNNNNNNNNNNNNNNNNNNNNNNNNNNNNNNNNNNNNNNNNNNNNNNNNNNNNNNNNNNNNNNNNNNNNNUGCUCCAGCGGGGGUGCGGCCCGGGGCGGGCUGGCCUCAGGCCCCGGCGGGCCUGGCGGUUGGGGCGGUGAAGUGGGGCGCGGCGCGGGCGACGUGGCGCAGCGGGAUUGGAGGAGGGAGUCGGCGGAGCUGAUGUGUCGCCUCGCCAUUGGCCGGGCGACGUGGCGGCUGGGUGGACGCGUCCGGCCACCGGGCGGACAUGUCCGGUGGCGCGGGGAGGAGUGGAUUUAGGGUUCAUCCGUGAUUUUUGGGGAGGGGAUCACAUAUUUAUAGGUAGAGGGAGCUAGGAGAGUCCAAAUGAGGUGCGGUUUUCGGCCACGCGGUCGUGAUCGAACGACCGAGAUGAUGGAGAUGUCUUAGGCGGGUUUUGGGCCAAGAUGGAGGGGUGUUGGGAUGCAACACAUACGAGGCCUUUUCGGUCCCUCGGUUAACCGUUGGAGUAUCAAACGAAGUCCAAAUGGCACGAAACUUGACAGGCGGUCUACCGGUAGUAAACCAAGGCCGCUUGGCAAAGUCUUGGUCCAAUCCGAAAAUAUUUAAUCCCCACACACGAAAGAAAGGUAGAAAUGACCACCGGAGGAGAUAGGAGCGCCGGAAUGCAAAACAGACAACGGGGAAAAUGCUCGGAUGCAUGAGACGAACAUGUAUGCAAAUGAAAUGCACAUGAUGACAUGAUAUGCAAAUGCAUGGCACACAAGCAAUGACAAGGCAACAACAUCAAUUAACUGGAGGACACGUGGCACAUCGGUCUCGGGGCGUUACAGGCACAUAGUGUACUGCAAUCUUGUUUACCCACGAUCCAUUUGCCAUUAAAAGUGCAAAGUAACGGAUAGAUGGAAAUUGUAUACUUUUUAUUAUAGUUUGUGUAACUCCUCUAUCCUCACCACAACAGAGGCUAGUUAAGAACAUCUCAUACUCAGAUUUUGAUGGUUCGUCUAGCGAACCCCAAUAUGGAAUUUUGCAUGUACCACCGAAUUCUUGUAGAGGCAUGGUAAAGGCGCUAUCAUAAAGGCAAAAUGAAACUCUAGAAUCACGAGAAUGAUACCUAAAUAUCUUGGUGAAUGAUUGGGUGAGGUGGUGAUGCUAGAUACACUUAUCUGCGACGAAGGGAGCGAGCUUGGUGUUAUGACCAUACUGAUCAAAUUCUUCCUUAAUACCCGCACCUAUCAUGAACUCAUCACAUGGGCAGAGGCACGAUUUGGUAUGGGCAUCCCUUACUGAGCUUGCGCUUGGCUCAUUAUAGGCCUGUCGUAUCGAGCUCUCACUCGAUGAUGCCUCCGAGGACCACCGCCUCGAAGAACUCCUCCUAAAGAGGUACGCUUUAUCUAUGAAGAAUUUCUGAAAUUUUUGAGCCAUAAAAUAAUGUCAACAAAACUUCACAAAACUGAUAGUAACUACUCAUAUGGAUGUUUAGAGGCUAUAUGAAGCAUUCAAACUACUUGGAACUCAAAUAAUUCAACAUGCAAGCUCAUUUUCAGUAGCACCAAGAGUAGCUAAUUACUCAAAAUAUAGACCACUAAAGCAAAACUAAUUGGAGCAAUGGAGGAGUCACAUACCAAGUAGCAAUCCCCCAAAACAGUUUCAAAAAUGGAGCUCCGAGCAAGGAGAUUGAAAUUUGUGGGUUUGAGAGCAAGAACACGAGAGAGAGAGAGAGAGAGAGAGAGAGAGAGAGAGCUACAUUGAUUUUUUCUGGAGGUAGGUGACGAAGUGAGCUAAAGGAGUGAGUGAGGGGGUGCUUGUGGGGCCCACUACCCACCAGGGCGUGCCAGGUGGGUGUGGCGUGCCCUGGUGCCUAGUGGGCACCUGGGGCACCCCUAUGUUGUUUUCAGUGCCAAAAAAUCUCAAAUAUUCAGAAAAAACCGUGUUAAAUUUUUAGGUCAUUCUAAGCACUUUUAUUUAAUAUAAAGUGGGUACAGAAAGUUGUGCCUACUAAAUUCAUCGACCACAUGCCUCUCAAAAAUAAUCCAUUAAUAAGGUUGAUCAAGUCUUAUUAACAACCACUUCCGAUUAGCAUGAACCCGAAGAACUUUCAUAAAACACUAAGUUACCUCAACGGGGAUAUGCAUCUCCCCAACAAUAAAUGUUUCAUAUUUCUUUUUGAUAGCAGGUAGAGGGAGUUGAAAACUUCCAAUAGUAAUAGUCGGAGUCUCUUCAAUAACGUUAAUACCAUUCACUUAAAAUUGUUUCUACGAAAAGUGCACCGUAUGCUCAUUACCAUUGAUAUGAAAAGUGACCUUGCUUUUAUUGCAAUCAAUAACAUCCCCUGCAGUAUUAAAAAAUGGUCUACAAAGGAUAAUCAACAUGUUGUCGUCGUCGGGCAUAUCAAGUAUAACAUAGACUGUUAAGAUAGUAACAUCCGCAACCACAACAAGCACAUCCUCCCAAACACUGAUGGGUAUGGUAGUUGAUUUGUCAGCCAUUUGCAAAGAUAUUUCAGUGGGUGUGAGUUUAUUCAAAUCAAGACUUUUGUAUAAAGAGAAAAGCAUAACACUAACACUAGCUCCUAAAUCACAUAAGACAGUUUUGACAUAACUUCUUGUAAUGGAACAUGGUAUAGUUGGUAUUCCUGGAUCUCCUAGUUUCUUAGGUACUCCCACCUUAAAAUAGUAAUUAGGAAGCAUGGUGGAGAUUUCAUCUUCAGGUAUUUUUAUUUUAUUAGUGACAAUAUCUUUUGGGACAAUUAAUAUUAUGCCCGUAGUUGUGUCACACUGGACAUGUUUACUCAUACUUUCCAAAAAUACUCGUUCCUCCCCAGACCACUUUGCUUCUCUUGUAUUUUUGCCCUUCCGUCUCAAUUCCGCCAGGUCAAAGGUGCUUGACUAUUAGAGAGACAUUUUCUGGACCAUUUUGCCCCUCCUUACAACUCUAGUUAAAAAUCAAAGAAAAAACAAUGUUACACUUACAUGUGGGACCCAAUUUAAAUGCAAAAGAAAAAUCCUUCCCUCUCUCUUCCCUGUGGGACCCACACCCCCAUCCACCUUCCUAUCUUCUUCCUCCCGCAGCUCCGGCAUGGCUUGCUCGCUCACCCUGCUGCCGAUCACCCGCACCAGUACCUCCUCGACCUUGAGCCCUGGGACAAGAAGUUGUUGCCCACCUGCCCGCCGUCGGUCGCCAAUGCCUCCCCAACCUCCAUCCCGGCCAGAUCCGGUCCAGUCCGAGCCUCUUGCGGCUGGAUCUUCCGUCUCUGCCGCGCCCACGCCCCGGGCCGAUCCUGGCCUCCACUACAUCACGUUGCCCCCCUUGCCCAAAGAUCCUCGCCACCCAUCCCUGGACCUUGUCACGGUGGCUCUAGCCAUCCGCGUCGAAUCUCGGGCACUCCAGCCAAACCUCGCCGCCACCUACCUCCAGCGACGCAUCGAAUCGAGAUCUCCUGCAUGCCUUGCGAUGGCGCUGCCUCUGCCACACAUAUCACGGACGAACACCGUGGCCUCGAGGUCCAACCUGUGCUCAGGCGCCCGCUGGCGAGAGGUCGGUUGCCCCCGCCAUGCAGUCCAUCAGCGGGCCGGUUGACAGAGUUGGGCGGUGCCUGGGGUGGGAGAGGGAUGUGGUAGUGGGGGCGCCGAUGGCAGGUCAUGCGACACCGGCAGCGCGAGUGCGGCGAUACCAGGAUGGGGAAAGUGAGGUGUUUCAGGAGGGGAGGGGAGAUAGUGUAUGUUUUUCUAUUUUUUCUUUCUUUUGCAUUUAGUCGGGUCCCACAUGUAAGCAUCACAUUGUUUUUUUUCUUUGAUUCUGAACUGAAGUUGGAAGGAGGGGCAAAAUGGUCCAGAAAAACAUUGCUCUGAUGGUCAAAUGCCUUUGACUGGACAGAGCUGAGAUGGAAGGGAAAAAACACAAGAGAAGCAAGGUGAUUUGGACAGGAAUGAGUAUUUUCAAAAAGUAGGGGUAAACCUGUCGAGUGUGACCCAACUAGGGGCAUACUAUCAAUUAUCCCAUAUCCUUUAUAUAUUUAGCAUAAGGGGCCAUCUUUAAAAUAUCAGUCGAAUGAGUACGCAAAAAAACCGGCCUAAGCAUUUCAGGAAAGCAUUCAAAUUCUUCCUCAUCCUUUUUCUUAGAAGGUUUAAGUGGAAAGGGCAUGGGUUUCUGAAUCCAUGGUUCCCUUUCUUUACCAUGUUUUCCAGAAACAAGAUCUCUCUUAUCAUAAUGUUUAUUUUUAGAAGGUGGGUUAUCAAGAUCUACAUCAUGUUCUAUUUCAACAUCAUUAUCUGGUUCUUUAUCAUUGUCUGGUUGAACAUCUAUAUGAACAUUGUCAUUCUCAUUAUCACUAGGUGAAUGUCCAUUACCAGAUUGUGUUUCAGCAUCAGAAAUAGAAACAUCAUUAUCAUCCUCUGAAGGUUUUUCUACCUCAGGUUCACUAGAAGUAUGCAAAGUCCUAUCAUUUUUCUUUUACUCUUUAGACGGACUAGGUGCAUCAACAUUAAUUCUUUGAGAGUCUUUUUCAAUUGUUUUAGGGUGUCCCUCGGGAUAAAGUGGGUCCUAAGUCAUUUUACCUCCUCUAGUCAUUACUCUAACAACAUGAUCAUUCAUAUUAUUAUUCAUUUCAUUGAGCAACUCACUUUGAGAUUUAGCAACUUGUUCUAACCGAGUCCGGACCACAGAAGCAUGUUUUCUUACUCCUUUAAUAUAAUUAGUGAUUCUAAAUACCAAGUCACUCAAGCGAGCAAUUGUAUCAGCAUUUUGCGUUAAUUGUUUUAUAACAUAGUCAUUGAAAUGAUCUUGCUCGAUAAUGUAAUUGUGGGACUCAUACAAGCAUUGACUAGGAUGUUUAUUGUAAGGGAUAUCACCUUCAUCAAACUUUAUAAAAGAUUUUACCUCUACCACCUGUGGUGGUGUGUCGAGACUGUGUAUUUCUUCAAUAGGUGGUAAUUUUUCAACAUCCUCAGCUUUAAUACCUUUUUCUUUCAUACAUUUCUUUGCUUCUUGCAUAUCUUUAGGACUGAGAAAUAAAACACCCCUCUUCUUUGGAGUGGGUUUAGGCGGUGGUUCAAGAAGUGUCCAAUCAUCAUAAUUCAUCAACAUAUUAUUCAAUAGUUCCUUGGUUUGUUCAAUAGUUCGUUCCCUAAAAACACAACCAACACAACUAUCUAGGUGGUCCCUAGAAGCAUCGGUUAGUCCGUUAUAGAAGAUAUCAAGUAUUUAAUUUUUCUUUAGAGGAUGAUCAUGCAAAGCAUUAAGUAAUUGGAGAAGCCUCCCCCAAGCUUGUGGGAUACUCUCUUCUUCAAUUUUUACAAAGUUAAAUAUUUCCUGUAAUGCAGCUUGUUUCUUAUGAGCAGGAAAAUAUUUUUCCAGAGAAGUAAUAAAUCAUAUCCUGGGGACUACGCACACAACCAAGAGCAAGAGUAUUAUACCAUAAUUAGCACCACCCUUUAACAAGAAAGGAAAUAACUUGAGAAUAUAGUAGUAGCGAAUUUUUUUCAUCAUGAGCAAAUAGGGUGGCUAUAUCAUUUAAUUUAGAAAGAUGUGUCACAACAGUUUCAGUUUCAUAGCCAUGGAAAGGAUCAGAUUCAACCAAAGUAAUUAGCUCUGGAUCGACAGAGAAUUCAUAAUCCUUAUCAGUAAUAAAUAUAGGUGAAGUAGCAAACUUAGGAUCAUAUUUCAUUCUAGCAUUCAAAGAUUUUUCUUUCAACUUGCAUAGUAAUUUCUUAAAUCGUCUCUAUCCUUACAAGAAAGUCCCUAGCUACCUCUCCAUCCAUAACAUAACCUUCAGGAAAUUCAUAGCUAGGAGAGCUAGUGUGACGCCCGGAUGAUUAACCUACAGUAAUCCUAUGCUAAUGAGGCUACGUCACCCAUGUUACUGUUGCUAAUCUCACUUGAUUCAAAAAUGAUUCAGAUUCAAAAUUUAAAAAUAAAGUCAAACAAAUAAAGUUUUCAAAUGUCGAAACAAAAAUGUUUGUUAGGUUGCAAAUAUUCACUAGCUAAUUAUCAUGUGGCAACCAACAUCAAUUGGCUCUCCCUUUAAUCCCUAGGAAAAUAUAAAGUGGCCCAACCGCAUAUUAAUUAGCUUAUUGAAAUUCCAAAAAUGCUUGAACAAUUCCGUUGGCUCUCAAACUUUCUAUGCAACACCACAAUGUUGUUCUCGAAUUGUGUGCCAAAUUUCAAGUUUGACUAAAUUAAUAUUCUAUAUACCUACUAAUAAAGCAAGGUGAUAUUCUUGGUUUCGUCCCGCAUCUGAUCCUAUGUUACGUGUAUUAUAAAAAUACACAAUCGAGGUGGUACUAAUUACCCGCAGAGAAAACGGUUGACGUCUAAAGAAAUUGUCCGCGUGCAGACAGCCCACUCGGGCCUUAUCUGCCAAUGAAGCAGGCCCAAUAGAAAAUAGAAAAGUAGGCAAAGGCCUUACCGCCAAUGAAGCAGGCCCAGUAGAAAAUUAGGCAAAAGAUAUUGCUAAGGAGUCGAACCUGCAAUCUCACGAUCUUUCCUUACCGCUGCAACCACUGAGCUAUACAAAGUUUGUGCCCUUAAUGGAAGGUUCAACCUACUUAUAUGCAUGCCAGUGCCAUGUAGCCUUUCUUUACAGCAUUGCCACUGACGGACAUGUUCAACUGGGCAGGAUGGUGAGUCGAUUCAGCCUCUUGGUAAAACGAUUGGACGGAGGGAUUUGUAAGCUGCUAAACUUUAAAUGAUGCUAGAGCAUGCGACCUGUUGGACAGGUCAGCCUCUCCGUGGAUUGAACAGAUUGAUUCUUAUAAACAUAAACAUGCAGAUUACAAACAACAAUUGAAUGCACACGAACGCGGAAGUUCGGCCGGCGCUGGCCAUCGGCCGACCACAUAAUAUAUAAUCUAUAUCUAUAAUACAUGUUCCAAUUAUGAAUCGAACUCCCAACCUCUGAUUUGGUUCACGUAGUUGGUAGCCAACCGAUAUAUAUUCAGCCUAUGCUAAAGACAUGAUUUGAUAUUUAUUAGUCCAACCUCGCUCUUUUAAAUCAAAUCCCAUCAUUUUAGAUACGCACGUGAGUUGUAUUAAAAUCAACCAGCCAAGAGAGAUCCAUUAAAUCCAAGUCAAAAAGAAAGAAAGAGACCACAUAAAGGCAAGGAGUGGGGGGACGAACAUGCUGAUCAGUAUGCUCGUGAUCGAGUGAUGGCCUGCAGGAGAGGCCGGAGUUCAUGGGGUCGUCGCUGCAGUACUUGCAUAAAUUCGUGAACAAAUAUCUGCAUGCAACGUACGUGAAGAUAAACAUGCAUGCUAGGCAUCAGGGCCACUAUUAGCCGGUGGCAUUGACCACUUUUGGCUGCGCUAUUCUAAUUUAACAUGAACACAUGACAUCAAUGGUCUUAGAUACAACUUCUAAUCUCCCUCAAGAGAAAAGGUAGAUACAAGUUCUAAUAUAAUCAUCUGGGACCUACUGCUCCAAUCAGUUUUCUCCUCCACCGGAUUUUCUUUUAAGUUUACCCAUGAAUUCUUAAUUAGAAAACGAUAGAUCAUGCUGAGAUGCCCUUUUAGUUUGCAUAAAAUACCUCUAUUUAAUAUAUUUUUCAUUUGAGAUUUUCAUGAGUUAUAGGUAACAAUGCUUCAUCGUUUGGAUAGAGAUUUAGCUACAUAUGAUCAUGUCAUGUGGCAUCAUGAGCAUUCGUUUAUCCAAAAAUCCAAAGGUACCAAUGUGCAUUCUCUAUAAAGAAUUGUCAGAUCUCUCUUCUCCGUGUGCGUAUAUAUAAAAGAAGCGGCUAUUUAUUUUUUGGAUAUUGUGUUAUUGCACGGAAAAAUGAGCUAUUAUGCAUAAUUUGUUUAUCUAGAUAAUAUGGUAUUGUGGAUUGUGGAUUGUGCUUCUUUUACUUAAAUGUUGUAGUUAAAACAAGUAAAUGUCUAACCAUUUUCCCAUAACAAAGCAACCCUAGCGGCGGAAUUGAAAACUUGUGGCCGUGUGAGCAUCCAAGGCGGUGGGCAUGGAAGCUUUCGGUAGAAGAUUUUAAGCACUAUCAAGCAGCUAGCCCUUGAACCAACAAACUAAAUGACAUAGUUCCUCUCCCUGGCCAACCUUGAUUGAUAAAAAUCAUUGUGUUUCCCCGUUCCAACGCACGGGCAUUUGUGCUAGUUGUCACUCAAAUAAAUACGAACAAUGGCUAACUGAAAUACAUAAAAGGAAAAAUAGAAAAUGGCCUAACUAACUGUUGUGCCACUGGGCCUUUGAUGACCACAGUACUUUUGGCCCAGCCCACCCCCUUGUCAUCCCCAACCCCCUGUAGCUACAGGGAGACAUGGGAUGGUGGUGCCCAUCCGCCGGCCAUGCCGUGCGUGGCGGCCAUCCCCCUGUUGGGGAACACAGUAAUUUCAAAAAAAAAAAAAAUCCUAUGCACACGCAAGAUCUAUCAUGGUGAUGCAUAGCAACGAGAGGGGAAGAGUGUUGUCCACGUACCCUCGUAGACCGUAAGCGGAAGCAUUAUGACAACGCGGUUGAUGUAGUCAUACGUCUUCAUGAUCCGACCGAUCCUAGUGCCAAAAGUACGGCACCUCAAUGAUCUGCACACGUUCAGCUCGGUGACGUCCCACGAACUCUCGAUCCAGCUGAGUGUCGAGGGAGAGCUUCGUUAGCAUGAUGGCGUGAUGACGGUGAUGAUGAUGCUACCGGAAUAGGGCUUCGCCUAAGCACCACUAUGAUAUGACCGAGGUGGAUUAUGGUGGAGGGGGCACCGCACACGGCUAAGGGAUCAACGAUCAACUUGUGUGUCUAUGGGGUGCCCGCUGGCCACGUAUAUAAAGGAUGGAGGGAGGAGGAGGCCGGCCCUCAUAGGGCGCGCCCAAAGUGUGGAGUCCUACUAGGACUCCCUAGUCCUAGUAGGAUUCCACCUCCCACAUGGAAUAGGAAAAAGGGAAGGGAGAAGGAGAAGGAAGGAAGGGGCGCCCCCUUUCCCUAGUCCAAUUCGGACCAGUCCAUGGGUAAGGGGAGCAGCCACCCUUGAGGCCUUUCUCUCCUUUCCCGUAUGGCCCAUUAAGGCCCAAUACGAAUUCCCGUAACUCUUCGGUACUCUGAAAAAUACUCGAAUCACUCGAAACCUUUCCGAUAUCCGAAUAUAGCCUUCCAAUAUAUCGAUCUUUACGUCUCGACCAUUUCUAGACUCCUCGUCAUGUCCCCGAUCUCAUCCGGGACUCCAAACAAACUUCGGUCAUCAAAUCACAUAACUCAUAAUACAAAUCGUCAUAGAACAUUAAGCGUGUGGACCCUACGGGUUCAAGAACUAUGUAGACAUGACCGAGACUCAUCUCUGGUCAAUAACCAAUAGCGGCACCUGGAUGCUCAUAUUGGUUCCUACAUAUUCUACGAAGAUCUUUAUCGGUCAAACCGCAUAACAACAUACGUUGUUCCCUUUGUCAUCGGUAUGUUACUUGCCCGAGAUUCGAUCAUCGGUAUCAUCAUACCUAGUUCAAUCUCGUUACCGAUAAGUCUCUUUACUCAUUCCGUAAUGCAUCAUACCGCAACUAACUCAUUAGUCACAUUGCUUGCAAGGCUCAUAGUGAUGUACAUUACCGAGAGGGCCCAGAGAUACCUCUCCGACAGAUGAAGUGACAAAUCCUAAUCUCGAUCUAUUCCAACUCAACAAACACCAUCGGAGACACCUGUGGAGCAUAUUUAUAAUCACCCAGUUACGUUGUGACGUUUGAUAGCACACCAGGUGUUCCCCCGGUAUUCGGUAGUUGCAUAAUCUCAUAGUCAGAGGAACAUGUAUAAGUCAUGAAGAAAGCAGUAGCAAUAAAACUGAACGAUCAUUAUGCUAAGCUAAUGGAUGGGUCUUGUACAUCACAUCAUUCUCUAAUGUGACCCCGUUCAUCAAAUGACAACACAUGUCCAUGGCUAGGAAACUUAGCCUUCUUUGAUUAACGAGCUAGUCAAGUAGAGGCAUAGUAGGGACACUCUGUUUCUCUAUGUAUUCACACAUGUACUAAGUUUUCGGUUAAUAAAAUUCUAGCAUGAAUAAUAAAGAUUUAUCAUGAUAUAAGGAAAUAUAAAUAACAACUUUAUUGUUGCCUCUAGGGCAUAUUUCCUUCACUCCGGGCUCCCCUAUGACUACAAGAGCACCUCCAGCCCCUCCUCUCUCCCCGAGGAACCCUAGCCACUCCUCUUCCCCCCCUUGCCCCUUCCUGGAUCUGGAUGCCGCAGCCUUCGACACCGUUGCACGUAGCCGCUCGCCAUCACCCAUCGCUCGCCAUCAUCGCCCCGUGCCCUCCUCUGUGCAACAGAAGUGAGAACUCCGUCUCCCUCUUUCCCCUCGGUCGCCGACACCAUCCACCGCAUCCUUGCCGUACUCCUCGCCUCUCUUGACACACCAGCGUGCGCCCGUGUCCGCGCGUGUGGCUCUGCCUGCGCCCACCCUGCCUGUGUCCGCUGCCCGCGCUCGCACACCCCCCAUGGCCACACACCACGCCCUUCCAAGCGCCGGCUGCGCCCACCGAGGCCCCGUCCCACCCCUUCUCGCUAUCGCCAUCACGACCACAUGCCCCGCCACGCCCGAGAUGCGUUGCUGCCCACCGCUCGGGCCUGCUGCUCGCCCCGUUGCUUCCCCCCAUAUAGCCGUCGCAGCCCACGCCCGCCACCGGCUGUUGGGGAACGCAGUAUUUCGAAAAGUUUCCUACGAUCACGCAAGAUCUAUAUAGGAGAUGCAUAGCAAUGAGACGGGAGAGUGUGUCCAUGUACCCUCGUAGACCGAAAGAGGAUGCAUUUAGUAACGCGGUUGAUGUAGUCGAACGUCUUCAUGAUCCAACCGAUCCAAGUACCGAACUUAUGGCACCUUCGCGUUCUGCACAUGUUCAGCAUGAUGACAUCUCUCGAGCUCUUGAUCCAGUUGAGGACGAGGGAGAGUUCCGUCAGCACGACGGCGUGGCGACGGUGAUGAUGAAGCUACUGGCGCAGGGCUUCGCCUAAGCACUAUGACGAUAUGACUGACGUGGUAAACUGUGGAGGGGGGCACCGCACACGGCUAAGAGAUGUCUGUUGUACCUUUGGGGUGCCUCCCGCCUUCAUAUAUAAAGGGGGGAGGAGGAGGUUGAAGGAAAUAUACCCUAGAGGCAAUAAUAAAGUUAUUAUUUAUUUCCUUAUAUCAUGAUAAAUGUUUAUUAUUCAUGCUAGAAUUGUAUUAAUCGGAAACAUAAUACAUGUGUGAAUACAUAGACAAACAGAGUGUCACUAGUAUGCCUCUACUUGACUAGCUCGUUAAUCAAAGAUGGUUAUGUUUCCUAGCCAUAGACAUGAGUUCUCAUUUUAUUAAUGGGAUCACAUCAUUAGGAGAAUGAUGUGAUUGACUUGAUCCAUUCCGUUAGCUUAGCACUUGAUCGUUUAGUAUGUUGCUAUUGCUUUCUUCAUGACUUAUACAUGUUCCUAUGACUAUGAGAUUAUGCAACUCCUGUUUACUGGAGGAACACUUUGUGUGCUACCAAAUGUCACGACGUAACUGGGUGAUUAUAAAGGUGCUCUACAGGUGUCUCCGAAGGUACUUGUUGAGUUGGCGUAUUUCGAGAUUAGGAUUUGUCACUUCGAUUGUCGGAGAGGUAUAUCUGGGCCCUCUCGGUAAUGCACAUCACUAUAAGCCUUGCAAGCAUUGUAACUAAUGAGUUAGUUGCAGGAUGAUUCAUUACAUAACGAGUAAAGAGACUUGCCGGUAACGAGAUUGAACUAGGUAUUGAGAUACCAACGGCCGAAUCUCAGGCAAGUAACAUACCGAUGACAAAGGGAACAACGUAUGCUGUUAUGCGGUUUUACUGAUAAAGAUCUUCGUAGAAUAUGUGGGAGCCAAUAUGAACAUCCAGGUUCCGCUAUUGGUUAUUAACCGGAGACGUGUCUCGGUCAUGUCUACAUAGUUCUCGAACCCGUAGGGUCCGCACGCUUAAAGUUCGGUGACGAUCGGUAUUAUGAGUUUUUGUGUUUUGAUGUACUGAAGGUAGUUAGGAGUCCCGGAUAUGAUCACGGACAUGAUGAGGAGUCUCGAAAUGGUCGAGACGUAAAGAUCGAUAUAUUGGAUGACUAUAUUCGGACACCGGAAGUGUUCCGGGUGAUUUCGGAGAAAACCGGAGUGCCGGAGGGUUACCGGAACCCCCCGGGAGAAGUAAUGGGCCUUAUGGGCCUUAGUGGAGAGAGAGAGGGCUGCCCAGGGCAGGCCACGCUCCCUCCCCCUCUGGUCCGAAUUGGACUAGGAGAGGGGGGGGGGGGGCGGGGGCGGCGCCCCCCUUUCCUUCUCCCUCCCCCUUCCUUUCCCCCUCUAGUAGGAGUAGGAAAGAGGGGAGUCCUACUCCUACAAGGAGGAGGACUCCUCCUCCUGGUGCGCCAUAGAGGGCCGACCAGCCUCCCCCCUUGCUCCUUUGUAUACGGGGGCAGGGGGCACCUCUAGAUACACAAGUUGAUCAGUUGAUCUAUUCCAGCAGUGUGCGGUGCCCCCCUCCACCAUAUUGCACCUCAGUUAUAUCGUAGCGGUGCUUAGGCGAAGCCCCGCGUUGGUAGCAUCAUCAUCACCGUCACCACGUUGUCAUGCUGACGAAACUCACAUGUGAAGCUUUGCUGGAUCGGAGCUCGCGGGACGUCAUCAAGUUGAACAUGUGCAGAACUCGGAGGUGCCGUGCGUUCGGUACUUGGAUUGGUCGGAUCGUGAAGACGUACGACUACAUCAACCGCGUUGUGCUAACGCUUCCCCAUUCGGUCUACGAGGGUACGUGGACACACUCUCCCCUCUCGUUGCUAUGCAUCACCAUGAUCCUGUGUGUGCGUAGGAUUUUUUUGAAAUUACUACAUUCCCCAACAGUGGCAUCUAAGCCAGGUUUUAUGUGUAGAUGUUAAAUGCACGAGUAGAACACAAGUGAGUUGUGGGCGAUACAAGUCAUACUGCUUACCAGCAUGUCAUACUUUGGUUCGGCGGUAUUGUUGGAUGAAGCGGCCCGGACCGAUAUUACGCAUACGCUUACGCGAGACUGUUCUACCGACGUGCUCUGCACAUAGGUGGCUGGCGGGUGUCAGUUUCUCCAACUUUAGUUGAACCGAGUGUGGCUACGCCCGGUCCUUGAGAAGGUUAAAACAACACUAACUUGACGAACUAUCGUUGUGGUUUUGAUGCGUAGGUAAGAAUGGUUCUUGCUCAGCCCGUAGCAGCCAUGUAAAACUUGCAACAACAAAGUAGAGGACGUCUAACUUGUUUUUGCAGGGCAUGUUGUGAUGUGAUAUGGUCAAGACAUGAUGCUAUAUUUAUUGUAUGAGAUGAUCAUGUUUUGUAACGAAGUUAACGGCAACUGGCUGGAGCCAUAUGGUUAUCACUUUAUUGUAUGCAAUGCAAUUGCCCUGUAAUUGCUUUAUUUUAUCACUAAGCGGUAGCGAUAGUCGUAGAAGCAAUAGUUGGCGAGACGACAACGAUGCUACGAUGGAGAACAAGGUGUCGUGCCGGUGACGAUGGUGAUCAUGACGGUGCUUCGGAGAUGGAGAUCACAAGCAGAAGAUGAUGAUGGCCAUAUCAUAUCACUUAUAUUGGUUGCAUGUGAUGUUUAUCUUUUAUGCAUCUUAUUUUGCUUUGAUUGAUAGUAGCAUUAUAAGAUGAUCUCUCACUAAAUUUCAAGAUAAAAGUGUUCUCCCUGAGUAUGCACCGUUGCCAAAGUUCGUCGUGCCGAGACACCACGUGAUGAUCGGGUGUGAUAAGCUCUACAUUCAUCCACAACGGGUGCAAGCCAGUUUUUGCACACGUAGAAUACUCGGGUUAAACUUGACGAGCCCAGCAUAUGCAGAUAUGGCCUCGGAACACUGAGACCGAAAGGUCGAGCGUGAAUCAUAUAGUAGAUAUGAUCAACAUAGUGAUGUUCACCAUUGAAAACUACUCCAUCUCACGUGAUGAUCGGACAUGGUUUAGUUGAUUGGGAUCACGUGAUCACUUAAGAUGAUCAGAGGGAUGUCUAUCUAAGUGGGAGUUCUUAAGUAAUAUGAUUAAUUGAACUUAAAUUUAUCAUGAACUUAGUACUUGAUAGUAUUUUGCUUGUCUAUGUUGAUUGUAGAUAGAUGGCCCGUGCUGUUGUUCCGUUGAAUUUUAAUGCGUUCCUUGAGAAAGCAAAGUUGAAAGAUGAUGGUAGCAAUUACACGGACUCGGUCCGUAACUUGAGGAUUAUCCUCAUUGCUGCACAGAAGAAUUACGUCCUAGAAGCACCGCUGGGUGCCAGGCCUGUUGCAGAUGCUACUGAUGACAUUAAGAAUGUCUGGUAUAGUAAAGCUGAUGACUACUCGAUAGUUCAGUGUGCCAUGCUUUACGGCUUAGAACCGGGACUUCAACGACGUUUUGAACGUAAUGGAGCAUAUGAGAUGUUCCAGGAGUUGAAGUUAAUAUUUCAAGCAAAUGCCCGAAUGGAGAGAUAUGAAGUCUCCAAUAAGUUCUACAGCUGCAAGAUGGAGGAGAAUAGUUCUGUCAGCGAACAUAUACUCAAAAUGUCUGGGUAUCACAAUCACUUGACUUAAUUGGGAGUUAAUCUUCCUAUUGAUAGUGUCAUUGACAGAGUUCUUCAAUCACUGCCACCAAGCUACAAAAGCUUGGCGAUGAACUAUAAUAUGCAAGGGAUGAAUAAGACAAUCCCCGAGCUCUUCACAAUGCUAAAGGCAGCGGAGGUAGAAAUCAAGAAGGAGCAUCAAGUGUUGAUGGUCAACAAGACCACCAGUUUCAAGAAAAAGGGUAAAGGGAAGAAGAAUGGGAACUUCAAGAAGAACAUCAAACAAGUUGCUGCUCAGGAGAAGAAACCCAAGUCCGGACCUAAGCCUGAGACUGAGUGGUUCUACUGCAAAUAGACUAGUCACUGGAAGCGAAACUGCCCCAAGUAUUUGGCGGAUAAGAAGGAUGGCAAGGUGAACAAAGGUAUAUGUGAUAUACAUGUUAUUAAUGUGUACCUUACCAGAGCUCGCAGUAGCACCUGGGUAUUUGAUAAUGGUUCUGUUGCUAAUAUUUGCAACUCGAAACAGGGACUACGGAUUAAGCGAAGACUUGCUAAGGACGAGGUGACGAUGCACGUGGGAAAUGGUUCCAAAGUCGAUGUGAUCGUCGUCGACACGCUACCUCUAUAUCUACCUUCAGGAUUAGUUUUAGACCUAAAUAAUUGUUAUUUGAUUCCAGCGUUAAGCAUGAACAUUAUAUCUGGAUCUUGUUUGAUGCGAGACUGUUAUUCAUUUAAAUCCGAGAAUAAUGGUAGUUCUAUUUAUAUGAGUAAUAUCUUUUAUGGUCAUGCACCCUUGAAGAGUGGUCUAUUUUUGUUGAAUCUCUAUAAUAGUGAUACACAUAUUCAUAAUGUUGAAGCCAAAAGAUGCAGAGUUGAUAAUGAUAGUGCAACUUAUUUGUGGCACUGUCGUUUGGGUCAUAUUGGUGUAAAGCGCAUGAAGAAACUCCAUACUAAUGGACUUAUGGAAUCACUUGGUACUUGCGAACCAUGCCUUAUGGGCAAGAUGACUAAAACGCCGUUCUCCGGAACAAUGGAGUGAGCAACAGAUUUGUUGGAAAUCAUACAUACUGAUGUAUGUGGUCCGAUGAAUAUUGAGGCUCACGACGGGUAUCGUUAUUUUCUCACCUUCACAGAUGAUUUGAGCAUAUAUGGGUAUAUCUACUUAAUGAAACAUAAGUCUGAAACAUUUGAAAAGUUCAAAGAAAUUCAGAGUGAAGUGGAAAAUCAUCGUAACAAGAAAAUAAAUUUUCUACGAUCAGAUCGUGGAGGAGAAUAUUUGAGUUACGAGUUUGAUCUACAUUUGAAACAAUGCAGAAUAGUUUCACAAAUCACACCACCCGGAACACCACAACGUAAUGGUGUGUCCCAACAUCGUAAUCGUACUUUACUAGAUAUGGUGCGAUCUAUGAUGUCUCUUACUGAUUUACCGCUAUCGUUUUUGGGUUAUGCUUUAGAUACGGCUGCAUUCACGUUAAAUAGGGCACCAUCAAAAUCCGUUGAGACGACGCCUUAUGAACUAUGGUUUGGCAAGAAACCAAAGUUGUCAUUUCUUAAAGUUUGGGGCUGCGAUGCUUAUGUGAAAAAGCUUCAACCUGAUAAGCUCGAACCCAAAUCGGAGAAAUGUGUCUUCAUAGGAUACCCAAAGGAAACUGUUGGGUACAAAUUCUAUCAUAGAUCUGAAGGCAAGACAUUUGUUGCUAAGAAUGGAUCCUUUCUAGAGAAGGAGUUUCUCUCGAAAGAAGUGAGUGGGAGGAAAGUAGAACUUGAUGAGGUAACUGUACCUGCUCCCUUAUUGGAAAGUAGUUCAUCACAGAAACCGGUUCCUGUGACACCUACACCAAUUUGUGAGGAAGCUAAUGAUGAUGAUCAUGAACCUUCAGAUCAAGUUACUACCGAACCUCGUAGGUCAACCAGAGUACGAUCCGCACCAGAGUGGUACGGUAAUCCUGUUCUGGAGGUCAUGUUACUUGACCAUGACGAACCUACGAACUAUGAGGAAGUGAUGAUGAGCCCAGAUUUCGCAAAAUGGCUAGAGGCCAUGAAAUCUGAGAUGGGAUCCAUGUAUGAGAACAAAGUUUGGACUUUGGUUGACUUGCCCGAUGAUCGACAAGCAAUAGAGAAUAAAUGGAUCUUCAAGAAGACAGACGCUGACGGUAAUUUACUGUCUACAAAGCUUGACUUGUUGCGAAAGGUUUUUGACAAGUUCAAGGAGUUGACUAUGAUGAGACCUUUUCACCUGUAGCGAUGCUUAAGUCUGUCCGAAGCAUGUUAGCUAUUGCCGCAUUUUAUGAUUAUGAAAUUUGGCAAAUGGAUGCAAAGACUGCAUUCCUGGAUGGAUUUCUAGAAGAAGAGUUGUAUAUAAUGUAACCUGAAGGUUUUAUCGAUCCAAAAGGUGCUAACAAAGUGUGCAAGCUUCAGCGAUCCAUUUAUGGACUAGUGCAAGCCUCUCGGAGUUGGAAUAAACAUUUUGAUAGUGUGAUCAAAGCAUAUGGUUUUAUACAAACUUUUGGAGAAGCCUGUAUUUACAAGAAAGUGAGUGGGAGCUCUGUAGCAUUUCUAAUAUUAUAUGUGGAUGACAUAUUGUUGAUUGGAAAUGAUACAGAAUUUUUGGAUAGCAUAAAAGGAUACUUGAAUAAGAGUUUUUCAAUGAAAGACCUCAGUGAAGCUGCUUACAUAUUGGGCAUCAAGAUCUAUAGAGAUAGAUCAAGACGCUUAAUUGGACUUUCACAAAGCACAUACCUUGACAAAGUUUUGAAGAAGUUCAAAAUGGAUCAGGCAAAGAAAGGGUUCUUUCCUGUGUUACAGGGUGUGAAGUUGAGUAAGACUCAAUGCCCAACCACUUCAGAAGAUAGAGAGAAAAUGAAAGAUGUUCCCUAUGCUUCAGCCAUAGGCUCUAUCAUGUAUGCAAUGCUGUGUACCAGACCUGAUGUGUGCCUUGCUAUUAGUUUAGCAGGGAGGUACCAAAGUAAUCCAGGAGUGGAUCACUGGACAGCGAUCAAGAACGUCCUGAAAUACCUGAAAAGGACUAAGGAUAUGUUUCUCGUUUAUGGAGGUGACAAAGAAUUCAUCGUAAAUGGUUACGUUGAUGCAAGCUUUGACACUGAUCCGGACGAUUCUAAAUUGCAAACCGAAUACGUGUUUAUAUUGAACAGUGGAGCUGUCAGUUGGAGCAGUUCUAAACAGAGCGUCGUGGCGGGAUCUACAUGUGAAGUGGAGUACAUUGCUGCUUCAGAAGCAGCGAAUGAAGGAGUCUAGAUGAAGGACUUCAUAUCCGAUCUAGGUGUCAUACCUAGUGCAUCGGGUCCAAUGAAAAUCUUUUGUGACAAUACUGGUGCAAUUGCCUUGGCAAAGGAAUCCAGAUUUCACAAGAGAACCAAGCACAUCAAGAGACGCUUCAACUCCAUCCGGGAUCAAGUCCAGGUGGGAGACAUAGAGAUUUGCAAGAUACAUACAGAUCUGAAUGUUGCAGACCCGUUGAUUAAGCCUCUUCCACGAGCAAAACAUGAUCAGCACCAAGGAUCCAUGGGUGUUAGAAUAAUUACUAUGUAAUCUAGAUUAUUAACUCUAGUGCAAGUGGGAGACUGAAGGAAAUAUGCCCUAGAGGCAAUAAUAAAGUUAUUAUUUAUUUCCUUAUAAAUGUUUAUUGUUCAUGCUAGAAUUGUAUUAACCGAAAACAUAAUACAUGUGUGAAUACAUAGACAAAUAGAGUGUCACUAGUAUGCCUCUACUUGACUAGCUCGUUAAUCAAAGAUGGUUAUGUUUCCUAGCCAUAGACAUGAGUUGUCAUUUUAUUAACGGGAUCACAUCAUUAGGAGAAUGAUGUGAUUGACUUGACCCAUUCCGUUAGCUCAGCACUUGAUCGUUUAGUAUGUUGCUAUUGCUUUCUUCAUGACUUAUACAUGUUCCCAUGACUAUGAGAUUAUGAAACUCCCGUUUACCGGAGGAACACUUUGUGUGCUACCAAAUGUCACAAUGUAACUGGGUGACUAUAAAGGUGCUCUACAGGUGUCUCCGAAGGUACUUGUUGAGUUGGCAUAUUUCGAGAUUAGGAUUUGUCACUCCGAUUGUCGGAGAGGUAUCACUGGGCCCUCUCGGUAAUGCACAUCACUAUAAGCCUUGCAAGCAUUAUAACUAAUGAGUUAGUUGCGGGAUGAUGCAUUACAAAACGAGUAAAGAGACUUUCCGGUAACGAGAUUGACCUAGGUAUUGAGAUACCGACGAUCGAAUCUCGGGCAAGUAACAUACCGAUGACAAUGGGAACAACGUAUGCUGUUAUGCGGUUUGACUGAUAAAGAUCUUUGUAGAAUAUGUGGGAGCCAAUAUGAACAUCCAGGUUCCGCUAUUGGUUAUUGACCGGAGACGUGUCUCGGUCAUGUCUACAUAGUUCUCGAACCCGUAGGGUCCGCACGCUUAAAGUUCGGUGACGAUCGGUAUUAUGAGUUUUUGUGUUUUGAUGUACCGAAGGUAGUUCAGAGUCCCGGAUAUGAUCACGGACAUGAUGAGGAGUCUCGAAAUGGUCGAGAUGUAAAGAUCGAUAUAUUGGACGACUAUAUUCGGACACCGGAAGUGUUCCGGGUGAUUUCAGAGAAAACCGGAGUGCCGGAGGGUUACCGGAACCCCCCGGGAGAAGUAAUGGGCCUUAUGGGCCUUAGUGGAAUGAGAGGGCUGGCCUAGGGCAGGCCGUGCACCCCUCCCCCUCUGGUCCGAAUUGGACUAGGAGAGGGGGGGGGGAUCCCCCCUUUCCUUCUCCCUCUCCCCCUUCCUUUCCCCCUCCUAGUAGGAGUAGGAAAGAGGGGAGUCCUACUCCUACUAGGAGGAGGACUCCUCCUGGCGCGCCAUAGAGGGCCGGCAAGCCUCCCCCUUGCUCCUUUUUAUACAAGGGCAGGGGGCACCUCUAGACACAAGUUGAUCAGUUGAUCUAUUCCAGCCGUGUGUGGUGCCCCCCUCCAUCAUAUUCCACCUCGGUUACAUCGUAGCGGUGCUUAGGCGAAGCCCCGCGCUGGUAGCAUCAUCAUCACCAUCACCACACCGUCGUGCUGAUGAAACUGACCUGUGAAGCUUUGCUGGAUCGGAGCUCGCGGGACGACAUCGAGUUGAACGUGUGUAGAACUCGGAGGUGCCGUGCGUUCGAUACUUGGAUCGGUCGGACCGUGAAGACGUACGACUACAUCAACUGCGUUGUGCUAACACUUCUGCAUUCGGUCUACGAGGGUACGUGGACACACUCUCCCCUCUCGUUGCUAUGCAUCACCAUGAUCCUGUGUGUGUGUAGGUAUUUUUUUGAAAUUACUAUGUUCCCCAACAAAGGUGGCUAUCCUAAGGGGGCACACCAUAAGGGGGGAGUCCUACUUGGACUCCUAGUCCAAAUAGGAUUCGGCCCCCCUCCUUCCUUCCACCAGAGAGGGCAAAGGGGAAGGGAGAGAGAGGGAGAAGGAAAGAGGGGGGCGCCCCCCUCCCCUAGUCCAAUUCGGUUUGGGCAAGGGGAGGGGCGCCCCUCUAAAGUGGCCUUUCUCCUCUCCUCCAAUAAGGCCCAAUAGGCACAAUACUUCUCCCAGGGGGUUCCGGUAACCUCCCGGUACUCCGGAAAAAUGCCCAAACCACUCAGAACCAUUCCGAUGUCCAAAUGCAACCUUCCAAUAUAUGAAUCUUUACCCGUCGACCAUUUAGAGACUCCUCGUCAUGUCUGUGAUCUCAUCCGGGACUCCGAACAAACUUCGGUCAUCAAAUCACAUAACUCAUAAUACAAAUCAUCAUCAAACGUUAAGCAUGCGGACCCUACGGGUUCGAGAACUAUGUAUACAUGACUGAGACACAUCUCCGAUCAAUAACCAAUAGCGGAACCUGGAUGCUCAUAUUGGCUCCUACAUAUUCUACGAAGAUCUUUAUCGGCCAAACCGCAUAACAACAUACGUUAUUCCCUUUGUCAUCGGUAUGUUACUUGCCCGAGAUUCGAUCAUGGGUAUCAUCAUACCUAGUUCAAUCUCGUUACCGGCAAGUCUCUUUACUCGUUCUGUAAUGCAUCAUCCCGUAACUAACUCAUUAGUCACAUUGCUUGCAAGGCUCAUAGUGAUGUGCAUUACCGAGAGGGCCCGAAGAUACCUCUCCGAUACAUGGAGUGACAAAUCCUAAUCUCGAUCUAUGCCAACUCAACAAACACCAUCGGAGACACCUUUAGAGCAUAUUUAUAAUCACCCACUUAUGUUGUGACGUUUGAUAGCACACAAGGUGUCGUGGAAAUAUCACGUCAGAUGUCCUAGAGAGAGGACUUAGUCGUGGAGCCAUCGCUUGAGGUUAGCUUAAAGGGGUUAAUCAGGACAAAGGACACAAGGAGUUUAUACUGGUUCGGCCCCUCACGGUGAAGGUAAAAGCCUAAUCCAGUUGUAUGUGGAAUUGCUAGGGUUUGGAUGAGCGAGGAGCAAAUACGCUUGACUAGCUCUCGAAUCUGUUGUUUCUUGUCCUUAGCCGCCGCUGGGUCGUCCCCUUAUAUACACGGAUCGACGCCCCGUGGCUUACAGAGUCCCGGCCAGCUCCUACAACGUGUCCAGCUCGGUGACAUAUCUUACAUGCCUUACUUUACAAGUUUUACAUACAUGACGGUUUAUGCUUACGUUCCUUAAGCCUCCUUCGGGUCUGGGCCCGCUACUAAGCCUAUCUAUGAACCUUCGUGUGACCUUGGGAUUUAUAAUCGAUAACUCUUCAAGGGGAUGACCCGGGCCCUCCUGGGCGGGUCAUACCUAAUAGUUAUAUCCCCAACAUUAGGCCCCAGUUUGAUUUGAACUUGUUCAUGUCAAUCUUCAAGACUUAGAAAAAAUCCUUCUUCCUUUUGUCUAUGAAAACCUCAUAACCCGCCAUGACGUUACUUCCCAAUGUUUCCAGAAAUUGCAAUGACAUCAUCUUCAACGGAUCUUUGCCUUAAUGUCUUUCCAAAAAUCGAGGCGUUCAUCCAGCUGGAUAACUUUCAUUUGCCCUCCUCAUUUUUCGCGCCUGCCUGUUCGCUUGUCUCCUUAUAAAUAGGCACAGCCGGUCUUCCUCAUUCUCCCCUUUACAACAUCUUCUUCCUCUCGCAACCUCCUCUACCACUCGAACUCCGCCGCCGUUGCAGAGCACCUUAUAUUCCUCAAGCUCGGUCGCUGGGCGGCGACCCUUCGUGGUAGAUCUAUAUAUACCUGUAAGUUUUGGCUUUUCCAUACCUUAGAUCCAUACUAGGGUUCGCGAGCUCCUCUGUGUUCUUCAUAUUAUGUCGUAGUUCGUCACAGUUCAUCUUCCAUGCUGUGUUCUGAGCUUCUUGAUCUGAAAAUGGCAUAAAACCAAUGCGGUAGUUGUUUUACUUCCACUUUCAAUACCUGUAGAUCCCCUUUCCUUGGAAGAAAAACUCUUGCGCUAGCUUAUGAAUUCAUCUGUACUGAUUUUUAGGUCUAGAUUUAUUUUUCUUUUCUGAACGGCCGUUGAUCCAAAAUAAUAUCCGCCGUCUGUGAAACUUGUUUGCUUUAGUACUUAACCAAUUUUUAUCGCUGGCAAUUUUUGAAUCUCCUUAAUCAUGGCGGCUUAACAUGCCGACUUUUUUGUUUUCUUCAUAUACCAUUAGCCCUUAUUUAAGCCGCCAUUACGCAUCUGUAUUGCAAUCAUUAACCUGUAAUUCCACGAAUUAACUUGAACCGAUAAAUUACUUCCUUUUUAGCUUGUCCUUUCGCCAUGCCGCCAAAGACAAUGAUGGUUUGCAACUGGGUCCCUUCCACAGUCACUGAUGACACUCUAAAGGAUUUUGUCACCAUUGGGUAUUUACCAAAGAAGAGCAUUAUGUCCUAUCGCGCCCUUGACCCGGCCGAAGAAAGACCUUAGCCCAAUGAUGGUGAAGUCAUCGUUUUACUGACCAUAUGAACCGGGGCUUUUCAUUGCCCGACUCAAAAUUCUUCAGAGAUAUUCUACACUUUUUCAAGCUUAAUCCACAAGAUCUGGGACCCAAUUCCAUAUCAAACAUCUGUAGUUUCCAAGUUUUCUGCGAGGUUUAUCUUCAAGAAGCACCCACUGUUGAAAUCUUCCGAGAGUACUUUUACUUGAACCGCCAGAAUGAGUAUACCAACGGCCCCAUUUUAGAACUUGGUGGGAUUUCAAUUCAACACAGACGGGAUGCUGUUUUUCCUCUAGUAGUAUUGCCAAACCAUCCCAAGGACUGGAAUCAAACCUGGUUCUAUUGCCAAGAUACGUAACCAGCUGAUGAAAAACCAAUGUCGGGUUAUCGUGUUGAGCGUCUUGACGCUAAAUACUCGCUCCUGACAAACUCUCUACCGCUGAGCGCAAGAAACUUCAAACAACCAUGGGUUCAAGCUUUACUAGGGAACGGCUUGACAUGAGUUGACUUGAUCCGCUGUUGGAUCGCAUGACAGAUCAUCCCUCUAAGCCGCCGAUCUGAUUUGAUGUGCAACUACACCGGAGGAACGGACGAUCCAUUACAUCAUAGUUCCCUUCAUCUGACUGAAGAAGCUAUUGUUGAGAUGUCAACCACUCUUGUCAACAGCAAAUAUGAAGACUACAGCAAAGUAGGAUUGAAUCCUUUCUGCAAACUUAACCCGGCACCAGAGGUAAAUCCCCUUGACUCCUUUUUUCUUUAGUAGUUAAGUAAUUGCAUGAUUUUCAACCUGUUAUUUGCCUAUAGGCCAAAUCUGACUUUUGGAAAGCCAAAUAUGAUCAUGAGGCUGCCAAAAAAGCUAGAGCCGCUGCAAUAGCCACCAAGAAGACAACUAGAAAAUCCAAAAAGAAACCAACUGCUUCUGAUCUCCUCAAGCUGGAUGAUGCAUCUGAGUCAAAGGUAGCCCUUGACUCUCUUGGCCUGCUUUUUAACAACCUUAUUGACACUGACUAUUACCAGGAUGACACGGGGGCCAGCCAGGCAGUAGAAGAAGAGGUAAUUAUUUCCUCCGAUUUAGAACCUUUGCCAAGGCAGAAACCUCGAUGGGUAACCAGGAAAGUAAGGUUUUCACACCCCUUGGCUUAUUUAGAUCCUCAUUUUCUUUUGGAAAAACAGCAACAUGAGAGCCGCCGUCAGACCCGGACCAGUGACGACAAUGAGCUGCCCUCUGGAUUACCGAAAACUCCUCGGAAACGCCGGAAUGAGGUUCCUUUCAUUUUUGACUUUUGCCUUUAUCAAUGAAUCUAUUUCCUUGCUCUUUUAACUGUGAUUUCACUUUUGUAGGAGGUCUCCCGUUCUUCUGGUGACUCUUCACAAACUCAACUUCCGGCUUUCAAGACUGCCCCUGGGUAAAGAUAGUUAUCCUUCUUCUACAUCUUUAUGUCCGUAUCAUUAUACUGACUCGUCAAAUUCUUCUUAGUGGUCAAGAAAAUUCCAAGAAAGCCAGGGUGGCUAAGCCGACUGAAGACCCGAAAGACGCUGAACCGGCACUGCCGACUCCUGCCCCGGGGCAACCUGAAGCACCAGAAGACCCCGCUGUCAAUGUUCGAUCAGAUCCUCCUGAGCCGUGUGUUGAUCAAACCGUUCUCAAUCCAUCUAAUGUUGAACCGUUAAGCUCAGCUAACCUGCCGGAGACUUAUGACAAUGAUGUUUUAAUCACUGGUACUAGAUUCGUUGAGCCGGGCAAUCCAACUAUGCUAGCAAGACACUCCGCCAAGUAAGAGGCUUUGGAGAAGCAAAAAGUGCGGUUUCACAUCUCUCACUAUGCUCACAUGAGUAUUAGUGACGUGCUAUCUGGCUACCUUAGUCACGUGCAUUCCAGCCGCGACUCUGAAAUUGAUAUGGUCAAACAGGUGCAACUAAAAUAUGAGGUAUGCUCUCCGGCUUUCAUUAGUUUAUAUGCUCUGCCAGCCCCCAAGUCUCCUGAUUAUGAUAAACUUGAAUGAUUUGUAGACUUGUGAUAUAGGUUGAUGUUCUGACCUAGAUUUUCCCCAAGUCUGGUUUAAAAUGUUUAACCGGAUUUAUCUGAUUAGCAUAAUUUCGCACCUACAGUCCCCAAGGGCCGGCUUAAUUCAUCAUGAAUGAGACGGUACUUAACUUCAUAACUUUCAUGAACCAGUCAAAACUAAUAUUGUUAUCCGGCCCAAGAGGGAAAACUUUCUGAAUACCAUGUAUUAGCCCCCAUGUGCCAAGUGUUGUUACCUGUAAAACACUUGGGACUUUUUUAGAAGAGUCAUUUCUACAUUUAAGAAUUGCUUUGGCAUACAUUAGCCCCCAAGUGCAAAGUGGUGUUGCUUUGCAAAGUGCUUGGGACUUUAAUCAUUAUGACCUCUAUUGGAAUAAACUUUGACACAUCUGUGCGUGUCUGUAGACCACCAUAACUGACUUGGAUUCUCAACUGACCGACGUGAAAACCCGGCUGGCGGCUCAAGAAACUGAGGCAAAGAAGACUGAAUCCAAACUCCAGUUGAGCAUAUCUGAAGCAGAGAAACUAAAGACCAGUUUUAACGCAGAGAAAAAAAAUCUUAGGCCGACAAAAAGACUUCACUGACACAGCAUGCUGAAACGGCCGAGGCGGCUCUCAAGGAAGUUACCGCUGAACUCAUCGGUUUAAAGAACCGUGUGUCUCAGAUGGUCUCUGCAAUCUUUGGUGAGUCACCGUAUUAUUUACUUAAAUUCUAUUUUUGUCACCAUACUGUGAGCCGCCUACUUAACCUUUUGGAAAUACCUCAUAGGUCCACGGAGCAGCAAUCUAAGUAAAAACAGCUUAAUAAAGCUCAAGGCGGUUUAUACACUUGUGGAGCAACUGUAUACUGGAGCUCAAUGGGCUCUUGCCAUUAUUUCCCCAGCUAACCAAGGACCAAACCUAUUGAGUGAUGUCUUGAAGAAGCUAUCCAUCUUACUCGCCAGGUUUCAAGAAGUCAAGCGUUCCUGUGCGAGAGCCGGAGCCCUAACUGCUCUAAGCCGCUCCAAAGCCUGGGUACCCCAGCUUUAAGGAAGACGGGACUCCUUUUGAUCAAGAAGAUUUUGCUGCUUGCGUGAAGGAAAUUCGUCCUCAUGCUACCAUCCUGGGCGAAGAAACCAAUGUUGAUAAGUACCAGCCGGGUUUUGAUUCUGGAAAUAAGAAGAUGGCGACUCCCAAUUAUAAAGUGAUGGAUUUAAUUCCGCCAAUUCGGGAGCACACCUUCACCCCUGAGAUUAACCCGGUUGGUUUAUUUCAUGAGGAAGCUGAAUUUGUCGCCUUUCAAGGCUUUGAUUGGUCAAAACCCAAUUUUCAAGCUGGGGAUGAACCGGCAAGGGAUGAUGUAGAAAUGUCGAAUCAGCCAAGCCAAGAUGCAUGAUCCGACUCUGGUUUAUCAUAAACAAUUUAUCCUUCUCUGGGCUUGAUAUGCCUUGUAAUAGGCUAAUACUUAAACUCCUUGUUCUGUUAUGCCAUCGUGCAUAUUUGUGCUUCUCACCUAUCCAAUGACAUGAAUGUAUGCGAUUUAGCCCUUGUGGGUACUUUCGAAUUUUCUCCUGCAUAUAACAUAAAAAAUGUGUCCUGGCGGUUUACCGCUGGACGGGUCAUAAUGCCCAAAGACAAACCUUAUCAUGAAUUUUAACCCAAGCUGGUUAGAAUAUAUAUACCUAAAAAAUAUUUCAUACCUGUUGAUGUCUACUACACAACCUUCUUCUUGUAGACAUUGUUGGGCCUCCAAGUGCAGAGGUUUGUAGGACAGUAGAAAAUUUCCCUCAAGUGGAUGAACUAAGGUUUAUCAAUCCGUAGGAGGCAUAGGAUGAAGAUGGUCUCUCUCAAGCAACCCUGCAACCAAAUAACAAAGAGUCUCUUGUGUCCCCAACACACCCAAUACAAUGGUAAAUUGUAUAGGUGCACUAGUUCGGCGAAGAGAUGGUGAUACAAGUGGUAUAUGGAUGGUAGAUAAAGGUUUUUGUAAUCUGAAAAUAUAAAAACAACAAGGUAACUAAUGAUAAAAGUGAGCACAAACGGUAUUGCAAUGUGUUGAAACAAGGCCUAGGGUUCAUACUUUCACUAGUGCAAGUUCUCUCAACAAUAAUAACAUAAUUGGAUCAUAUAACUAUCUCUCAACAUGCAACAAAGAGUCACUCCAAAGUCACUAAUAGCGGAGAACAAACGAAGAGAUUAUGGUAGGGUACGAAACCACCUCAAAGUUAUCCUUUCUAAUCGAUCUAUUCAAGAGUCCGUAGUAACAUAACACGAAGCUAUUCUUUUCAUUCAAUCUAUCAUAGAGUUCGUACUAGAAUAACACCUUAAGACACAAAUCAACCAAAACCCUAAUAUCACCUAGAUACUCCAAUGCCACCUCAAGUAUCCGUGGGUAUGAUUAUACGAUAUGCAUCACACAAUCUCAGAUUCAUCUAUUCAACCAGCACAAAGAACUUCAAAGAGUGCCCCAAAGUUUCUACCGGAGAGUCAAGACAAAAACGUGUGCCAACCCCUAUGCAUAGGUUCAUGGGCGGAACCCGCAAGUUGAUAACCAAAACAUAUAUCAAGUGGAUCAAUAGAAUACUCCAUUGUCACCACGGGUAUCCCACGCAAGACAUACAUUAAGUGUUCUCAAAUCCUUAAAGACUCAAUCCGAUAAGAUAACUUCAAAGGGAAAACUCAAUCCAUUACAAGAGAGUAGAGGGGGAGAAACAUCAUAAGAUCCAACUAUAAUAGCAAAGCUUGCGAUACAUCAAGAUCGUACCACCUCAAGAACACGAGAGAGGGAGAGAUCAAACGCAUAGCUACUGGUACAUACCCUCAGCCCCGAGGGAGAACUACUCCCUCCUCGUCAUGGAGAGCACUGAGAUGAUGAAAAUGGCCACCGGAGAGGGAUUCCCCCUCCGGCAUGGUGCUGGAACGGGUCUAGAUUGGUUUUUGGUGGCUACGGAGGCUUCUGGCGUCGGAACUCCCGAUCUAUUGUGCUUCCCGAUGGUUUUAGGGUAUAUUGGUAUAUAUAGGAGGAAGAGAUACGUUAGGGGAGCCACGAGGGCCCAUGAGGGUGGAGGGCGCGCCCCCUGCCUCGUGCCUUUCUCGCUGCUUCCCUUACGUACACCCCAAGUCUUUUGGAAUGCUUCCAUUCCAAAAAUAACUCUCCCGAAGGUUUCAUUCCGUUUGGACUCCGUUUGAUAUUCCUUUUCUGUGAAACACUGAAAAAAGGGGAAAACAGAAACUGGCACUGGGCUCUGGGUUAAUAAGUUAGUCCCAAAAAUAAUAUAAAAGUGUUUAGUAAAGCCCAUAAACAUCCGAAACAGAUAAUAUAAUAGCAUGAAUACUUCACAAAUUAUAGAUACGUUGGAGACGUAUCACCUGUGAUAUUUGAUCACAUGGUUGAUUUCAUCAAACCAGUGUAGUAACGGCCAUAACCCAAGACUUUGGAUACUGGUAGUUAUCAUACUUUGCCGGUUUACGAACGAAUACCGGGCUGGGUUAAUAAGCACCAGAUAUUGACUUUGAGUCUUUACUGGCGACUUGUAGUCGAAAAAAUCAGGCCGGGUCAAUAAACACCGGAUUUUUAACUCAUACUGGCGACUUAUGGUCAAAACCAGACCGGGUCAAUAAACUCCGGAUAUUGUCAUAUAUGACUCAGAAGGUAUUAUAAUCCUUAAUGGCUCUCAACCAGGUAUUACCAAGAGAAAAAAAAUUCAAAAAGAUAUUCAAAUCAAAAACAACGGAAAAAAUCCAAGGCGCCAAGCCAAAAUAUCUUCUUCAAUGAAACUAGCGUUAGCCACUGGAAGGUACGCGCUUUCCGUGAGCCGGCACUCACAAUACCCAAUCGACAUUUUAACCCGGACAAGUUCAGUUCUUAUUGAAAGAUAGACUUGUCAGGAGUACGCGGGGUCAGAGUCGCUAUCGGGCAUCACAGGCCGAUUUAUCCAAGUUCCAAGGAAGGCGGCUUUACAGCCUGAGCUUCUCCUUGCUAUCUGUAAAACCAUGCUCUCUCAUAACAUCCAUCGUUUUAACCUUAACAAAUUCAAAUAUGACUGUUAAGAGUUCGAUGGGUCAAUCAGGAUUACCUGAUGGAGAAGCAACUGUCAUACAUGUAGGAUAACCCGGGUUUUUAGGUGAAUACACCUGGCUUGCAAGCCUGGCUUUUAUAGCCUACCACAAGGUUAUGAACUCAUUGUUCUUUAGAACAAAAAACUCCCCUAGUGAUAUUGUGAGCUGUGCUCAAGGGGUACCCAUGUUUGAGCCGUGCUUUUGCCACAGACCCUCUUUGGUCCCAAAUUCUUCUUCACAUAUAUAUGCGGCUUAUAAGCCGGAUCAGAGGGUUAUUAUAAUUGUGCUAUAUAAAGCAAAAGACACCAAGUCAUGGAAGAAUUAUUAAUCAGAGAUGAAAAAACGAUAGAGGCCCUGCUUGAGCAGGGAUGCCAACUUUAUUAUAUUGAUCAUAGUAUAUACAUUGUCAAAAUAUGUAGAUUGGAAGAGCCGGUGGCUCAGGUAUAGUAAGCCCUAAGUUGAGCGAUAUUCCAGGGCCGGCGGGUCUCCUCCUCCGACGUGCGUGAGUCCUUGUGGUCUCGAACAUUGAUAAGAUAGUAUGACCCGUUGUUCAGAUUCUUGCUGACCACAGAGGGUCCUUGCCAAGGCAGGGAUAACUUAUGCAUAUCUGUCUGGUCUUGGAUAAGCCCGAGUACUAGGUCACCUUCUUUAAAAGCUCUAAUUUUAACCCGGUGGUUGUGAUAAACGCGUAAGUCUAGCUGAUAAAUCGCCGAACGAGCUGCUGCUAUAUCAUGCUCCUCAUCCAACAGAUCCAGCGCAUCUUGACGUGCUUUUUCAUUGUCAGCUUCCACAUAAGCCGCCACACGAGGCGAGUCAUGACGGAUGUCACUAGGAAGAACUGGCUCUGCUCCAUAAACCAUGAAAAAAGGUGUGUAGCCCGUAGAUCUAUUUGGGGUGGUGUUGAUGGUCCAUAACACAGAGGGUAACUCCUCUACCCAACAACCCGGCGUCCUCUGCAAGGGAACCAUAAGCCGGGGCUUGAUACCCUUCAAGAUCUCCUAAUUUGCUCUCUUAGCUUGACCAUUGGAUUGAGGGUGAGCCACUGAUGAGACAUCGAGCCGGAUAUGCUCUCGCUGACAAAAUUCCUCCAUAGCACCUUUAGAAAGAUUAGUGCCAUUAUCUGUUAUAAUGCUGUGUGGAAAGCCAAACGAAAGAUCACCUUCAUGAAUUGAACCGUUGUUGCUACGUCACAUUUACUAGCCGGCUCUGCCUCUACCCAUUUAGUGAACUUGUCAACUGCCACUAAUAGGUGAGUCUUAUUAUCCUUGGAUCUUUUGAAAGGUCCAACCAUAUCAAGCCCCAAGACUGCAAACGGCCAAGUAAUUGGAAUCAUCCUCAAUUCUUGAGCCGACACAUGAGCUCGUCUUGCAAAUUUUUGACAUCCAUCACACCUACUAACAAGGUCCUCCACAUCGGCAUGAGCUGUUAACCAAUAGAGCCCAUGAAGGAAAGCUUUAGCCACAAGGGAUUUUGAACCGGCAUGAUGACCACAAUCUCCUUCAUGGAUCUCUCGUAAGAUCUCACAGCCCUCUUCUAGAGAAACACAACGUUGAAACGCCCCUGUAACACUGCGGUGAUGUAACUUUCCAUUAACAAUUGUCAUUGAUUUAGACUGCCGAGCUAUCUGCCUGGCUAAAGUUUCAUCCUCAGGUAACUUGCCUCGGGUCAUGUAAGCCAAAUACGGAACUGUCCAAUCUGGGAUCAUGUGCAGAACCGCCACCAACUGAGCUUCCGGGUCAGGAAUAGCUAAUUCCUCCUCCAUAGGUAACUUGACCGAUGGGUUAUGCAAGACAUUAAGAAAUACAUUAGGCGGCACCAGUUUACGUUGAGAACCUAACCGGCUUAAAGCAUCUGCCGCUUCAUUUUUCCUUCGAUCAAUGUGAUCCACUUGAUAACCCUUAAAGUGACCAGCGAUGAUAUCCACCUCUCGCCGAUAAGACACCAUGAGUGGAUCUUUAGAAUCCCAAGUACCAGAAACUUGCUGAGCCACCAAGUCCGAAUUACCGAAACAUUUAACCUGGCUUAAAUUCAUCUCCUUAGCCAUCCGAAGGCCAUGGAGCAAAGCUUCAUACUCAGCUGCAUUGUUAGUACGAGGAAACAUCAAACGGAGAACAUAACAAAAUUUAUCACCUCGAGGGGAAGCAAGAAUAACUCCAGCCCCCGAGCCCUCCAAUUGCCUGGACCCAUCAAAGUGAAUUGUCCAAUAUGUGUUAUCCGACUUUUCCUCGGGCAUCUGCAGCUCUGUCCAAUCAUUGAUGAAAUCCACCAACGCCUGAGAUUUUAUAGCUGUGCGAGGCACAUACUUCAACCCAUGAGGUCCAAGCUCAAUAGCCCACUUGGCAACCCGGCCAGUUUCUUCUCUGUUUUGGAUGAUGUCUCCCAAAGGAGCAGAACUGACCACAGUGAUGGGAUGAGCCAGAAAAUAAUGCUUAAGCUUCCGGCUUGCCAAGAACACCCCAUAUACGAGCUUCUGCCAAUGUGGAUAUCUCUGUUUGGACUCAAUAAGAACCACACUGAUAUAAUAAACCGGCCUUUGAACCGGAUGCUCCUUGCCUGCCUCCUUUCGCUCCACUACAAUAGCCACGCUGACGGCCCGGGCAUUGGCAGCCACAUAUAACAACAAUGGCUCCUUAUCAAUAGGGGCAGCAAGCACGGGCGGCUCAGCCAGCUAUUUUUUUAGAUCCUCAAAAGCUUGGUUAGCAACGUCACUCCAAACAAAAUGAUCUGCCUUCUUCAUCAUCUGAUAAAGAGGCAGGGCCUUCUAACCGAGCCGGCUUACGAAUCGGCUCAGAGCCGCAAUACGCCCCGCCAGUCGCUGAACAUCGUUGAUACACGCCGGUUUAGCCAGAGAGGUAAUGGCCUUGAUCUUCUCCGGGUUUGCUUCAAUGCCUCUGUCUGAAACCAGAAAACCCAAGAGCUGACCUGCUGGCACACCAAAAACACACUUGACCGGGUUAAGCAUCAUCUUGUAGACCUGGAGGUUGUCAAAUGUCUCCUUUAAAUCAUGAAUCAGGGUCUCUUUCUUUCUUUACUUUACUACAAUGUCAUCUACAUAAGCGUGAACAUUGCGCCCAAUCUGGUUAUGUAAACAAUUCUGCACAUAUCUCUGACAAGUCGCCUCGGCACUCUUAAGCCCAAAAGGCAUUGAUACGUAGCAGAAGGCUCCAAAAGGAGUUAUAAAUGUUGUCUUCUCCUGGUCCUUAACUGCCAUCUUGAUCUGAUGAUAACUAGAAUAAGCAUCCAAAAAGCUCAAAUGCUCACAACCCACCGUAGCAUCAAUGAUCUGAUCAAUAUGAGGGAGAGCAAAAGGAUCAGCUGGACAAGCUUUGCUUAAAUCCGUGUAAUCCACACACAUACGCCAAGUGCCAUUUUUCUUAAGCACCAGCACCGGGUUAGCCAACCACUCAGGAUGAAAAACCUCAACAAUAAACCCAGCCGCCAGAAGCCGGGCUACCUCUUCUCCAAUAGUUUUCCGCCUCUCCUCAUUAAACCAGCGAAGAAACUUCCUAACCGGUUUAAAUUUCGGAUCAAUAUUAAGAGUGUGCUCAUCCAGUUCCCUCGGUACACCUGGCAUGUCAGAAGGCUUCCAUGCAAAAAUGUCCCAGUUCUCACAGAUGAACUCGAUGAGCACACUUUCCUAUUUUGGAUCUAGAUUGGCACUAAUUGUGAACUGCCUGGAUGAGUCGCCAGGAACAAAAUCAACCAUCUUGGUAUCAUCUGCCGAUUUAAACUUCAAAACCGUGCCAUGCUCUAUUAUGGGAUUCUUCAGGGAUGUCAUAUCUGCUGGGUCAACAUUGUCCUUAUAGAACUUUAACUCUUCUAUCGCACAAACUGACUUGGCGUAAGCUGCAUCACCCUAUUCACACUCCAAAGCUAUCUUCCGACUUCCAUGUACUGUGAUGGUCCCCUUGUGACCCGGCAUCUUGAGCUAUAGAUAAACAUAGCGGGGCCUAGCCAUGAACUUAGCAUAAGCCGGUCGUCCAAACAAAGCAUGAUAUGGGCUUUUGAUUUUCACCACUUCAAAGGUCAAUGUCUCCGACCUGGAAUCAUGGUCAUCUCCAAAAGCAACCUCCAGAGCUAUCUUACCCACUGGAUAUGCCGACAUACCAGGCACCACACCAUGAAAAAUGGUGUUUGAUGGCUUAAGAUUUUUGUCUGUCAACCCAAUGCGAUGAAAGGUCUCAUAAUAGAGAUAUUAAUGCUGCUUCCUCCGUCCAUGAGUACCUUGGUGAACUUGUACCCCCAACCCGAGGUGCCACCACCAAUGCUAAGUGACCCGAAUUAUCAACUCGGGGUGGAUGAUCCUCCUGGCUCCACACAAUGGGUUGCUCGGACCAACGCAAAUAACGAGGAAUCGCCGGCUCAACAGCAUUGACUACCCUUUUAUGAAGCUUCUGGUCAUGUUUACAUAAGCUAGUGGUAAAUACAUGAUAUUGCCCACUAUUCAACUGUUUUGGGUUGCUCUGAUAGCCAGACUGCUGCUGCUGACCCCCCUGAUUACUUUGCUGGUUGUAACCACCCUGGCUGCCAUGAUUAUUCUGAUUUCCCUGAAACCCAGAAUUAGAACCACCACCGCCGUGACCCGGGCCGUAAGAGCCGCCGGGACCGCCACCAGGCCCGUGACUGUUAUGAAAGAAGUUUGAAUUCUUGAACUCCCUCAUGAUGUUACAAUCCUUCCACAAGUGCCCAGACGGUCUUUCCUUCGUUCCAUGUCGUGGGCAGGGCUCAUUCAACAUUCGCUCAAGAUUAACACUAGACCCGCCAGCUCUUGGCAGCAGUCUGCCCUUACGACGCUGUCCAUUAUCUUGUGUAUUGGUGUUAGCUACAAAGUCGAAACUAUUAUCAGCCUUGCGCUUACCGUUGCUUCCCGGGUUAUACUGCUGACCUUUGACAUUGCCGGUCGUCUUUCCCUUCCCUACUUUUUCAUCAUUAGACACGGGAUCUUUAGUACUAUCGGAGUCAGCGUAUUUAACCAAGGCCGCCAUGAGCGUCCCCAUGUCAUUGAAGUGACGCUUGAGCCGUCCUAAUUUAUGUUUCAGAGGCAGAAAACGGCAAUUGUUCUCCAACAUCAAUACCGCUGAAUCGGCGUUAAUACGAUAUGAUGAAUGUAAGAUUGUCGAGACCCGGCGCACCCAAUGGGUUGUUGACUCGCCUUCCUCUUGGACACAGGAGGCCAGAUCCACAAUGGACAUGGGCUGUUUACAUGUAUCCUUAAAGUUCUGGAUGAACCGGGCCUUUAAUUCGGCCCAUGACCUGAUGGGAUUAGCUGGGAGCCCCCUUUAACCAAGUACGGGUCGUUCCUUCCAACAUCAAAGGAAAGUAUUUAGCACAUGCUGCUUCACUGACAUCUAACAACUCCAUAGCCAUCUCAUAACUCUCAAUCUACGCUUCAGGACUUAAAUCAGUGGUGUAAUUGGGCACCUUACGAGGCCCUUUGAAAUCCUUGGGCAGACGCUCAUUCCACAGAUCCGGUGCUAAACACGGUGCCCCCAAGUUUCUAAAGGUCAGACCCGGCUCCACCGAGGUGGUUGGACGAAUCGGAGUUGGUUGGUGAGCUGCAUACUGAGCUGCCAGCUCAGCCUCUCGACGGGCUCUUCCUUGAUCCACCACAUUCUGAGCAUUAGCAACACCGCCCGCCGGGUCAUUACCACGCGGCGGGUUAUGAUUCCGUACACUACUUGACACCGUCGGCUCAUCUAAAUGCCUGCUGUAGCUUCUGCUCGGGCGAGGUGUGGAAUGAAUCCUAUCAUGGCUGUAAGAGUAUGCUUGAUGCUGCACCAAUGUCGUCUGAAGAAACUCUCUAGCCCUCCGUGUCUCAACCGCCGCUGGUGAGUCACCUUCCACAGGGAUAGCUGCCAGUCGGGAUGCUGUGGCAACCAUGUUAUCCAAAGGGUUGGAGUAAUGACCUGGUGGCGUCGACAUGUGUUGUGGCGAGUUAUUGUUCUAUCGAGGCGGAUCCAUUAUACGUGGCUGAGAUGGCGUCCCUGUCCUAGGCGCUCCGGCUGGUUUACGGUUGCCGGGUUACUGGUCCCUGCCCCUAGCGUAUCAAAAAGAUUCCUUGCUUCAAUAGUCACCGGCAGGCGGCUCUGAUGCCUUCUCCUCGGCACUUCAUUUGAGGCGUUCUGAUCUAACAUGAGCCAGUAGAUUCCGCUUGGACUCGCUAUGCCUGUGCAUCCAAAGCAUCCCGCUCCUCAGCCAUCCUGGUAUUUUCAGCGUUCAACGCCUCCCUGGCCUAUGCUAUAUCACCACACACCUUUGUAAUCGUCGCAUUAUGCUGAUCUUGAUCCGCCGGGUUAACAGCUGUUGUAAUCAGCGUAGUCAGUUUGUCCAAUAAGUCAGUUAAAACUUGAGCCAGCGGGUGCUCAGGGCCUCCUGCCCAGGCAGCCGCCGCCGCUCCUGACCCAAAAACCAGCUCUGCCGACGUUGAUGAGUGGUGUACAAGCUGUGUACCAGCCAUGAAGAUUGCAACCCGGUUUGGCGGCUCACAGGGGUCCGGAAUACUGUUGCCAUCGGAACAGCCCCCAAGCCAGCCGUCUUGCAACUGGUACAAUGAUUCUGUCUCGUCACCAGUGGAUGACCCGCCACCGGAAUAGACGACGGUCUCGUCACCAGAUGGUGAUCUGUCCUCAGAUCCCUCUCCAUGGAUGAAUCCCACAAAGGCACGUUUCAUGGCCGGCCGAAUCCGGGUGGGUCCCGCGCGUUGUGCCGUCGACGAUGUUGGUGCAUAUGUCCGGCUCAGGGCCCGGUUCGCCAAUCUUGCCGAUGAAAACGUGAAUUCUGCCAAAGGGGGCCCGAUACCCGUACUCUAUUGAGCCGACCUCGGGGCCCUAGCCUGCAUCAUCGAUGUAGAGCCUGCCGUGGCGACUCUUGGUCAUCUGGCCCAUGGCGUAUCCCUUGAUCCCUUCGAAGUUGCCCUUCAAGAACUCGAAACCAUCUUGAGAUUGCCCCACGGUAGGCGCCAACUAUCAUGGAAAUAUCACAUCAUAUGUACUAGAGAGAGGACUUAUUCGUGGAGCCAUCACUUGAUGUUAGCUUAAAGGGGUUAAUCAGGACAAAGGACAAGAGGAGUUUAUACUGGUUCGGCCCCUUACGGUGAAGGUAAAAGCCUAAUCUAGUUGUAUGUGGAAUUGAUAGGAUUUCGAUGAGCGGGGAGCGAAUUCGCUUGACCGACUCCGCCGGGUCGUCCCCUUAUAUACACGGAUCGAUGCCCCGCGACUUACUAAGUCCCGGCCGGCUCAUACAACGUGUCUGGCUCGGUGACGUAUCUUACAUGCCUUACUUUACAAGUUUUACAUACAUGACGGUUUAUGCUUAUGGGCCUUAAGCCGCCUUUGGGUCUGGGCCCACUACUAAGCCUAUCUAUGAACUGUCGUGCGACCUUGGACUUUACAAUCGAUAAAUCUUUAGGGGGAUGACCCGGCCCCUCCUGGGAGGGUCAUACCUAAUAGUUAUAUCCCCAACACAAGGUGUUCCUUCGGUAUUCGGGAGUUGCAUAAUCUCAUCGUCAGAGGAACAUGUAUAAGUCAUGAAGAAAGCAAUAGCAAUAAAACUAAACGAUCAUUAUGCUAAGCUAACAGAUGGGUCUUGCCCAUCACAUCAUUAUCUAAUGAUGUGAUCCCAUUCAUCAAAUGACAACACAUGUCUAUGGUCAGGAAACUUAACCAUCUUUGAUUAACGAGCUAGUCAAGUCGAGGCAUACCAGGGACACUCUGUUUGUCUAUGUAUUCACACAUGUACUAAGUUUCUGGUUAAUACAAUUCUAGCAUGAAUAAUAAACAUUUAUCAUGAUAUAAGAAAUAUAAAUAACAACUUUAUUAUUGCCUCUAGGGUAUAUUUCCUUAGGUCUCCCACUUGCACUAGAGUCAAUAAUCUAGAUUACAUAGUAAUGAUUCUAACACCCAUGGAGUCUUGGUGCUGAUCAUGUUUUGCUCGUGAGAGAGGCUUAGUCAACGGGUCUGCAACAUUCAGAUUCGUAUGUAUCUUGCAAAUCUCUAUGUCUCCCUCCUUGACUUGAUCGCAGAUGGAAUUGAAGCAUCUCUUGAUGUCUUUAGUUCUGUUGUGAAAUCUGGAUUCCUUCGCCAAGGCAAUUGCUCCAGUAUUGUCAUAAAACAUUUUUAUUGGACCCUAUGCACUAGGUAUUACACCUAGAUUGGAUAUGAACUCCUUCAUCCAGACUCCUUCAUUUGCUACUUCCGAAGCAGCUAUGUACUCCACUUCACACAUAGAUCCUGCCAUGACGCUCUUCUUCGAAUUGUGCCAACUGAAAGCUCCACCAUUCAAUAUAAACACGUAUCCAGUUUGUGACUUAGAGUCACCCAGAUUAGUGUCAAAGCUUGCAUUGACGUAACCAUUUUACGACGAGCUCUUUGUCACCUCCAUAAACAAGAAACAUAUCCUUAGUCCUUUUCAGGUAUUUCAGGAUGUUCUUGACCGCUGUCCAGUGAUCCACUCCUGGAUUACUUUGGUACCUCCCUGCUAAACUUAUAGCAAGGCACACAUCAGGUCUAGUACACAACAUUGCAUGCAUGAUAGAACCUAUAGCUAAGGCAUAGGGAAUGACUUUCAUUUUCUCUCUAUCUUCUGCAGUGGUCGGGUAUUGAGUCUGACUCAACUUCACAGCUUGUAACACAGGAAAGAACCCUUUCUUUGACUGGUCCAUUUUGAACUUCUUCAAAACUUUAUCAAGGUAUGUGCUUUGUGAAAGUCCAAUUAAGCGUCUUGAUCUAUCUCUAUAGAUCUUGAUGCCUAAUAUAUAAGCAGCUUCACCGACGUCUUUCAUUGAAAAAUUGUUAUUCAAGUAUCCUUUUAUGCUAUCUAGAAAUUCUGUAUUAUUUCCAAUCAAAAAUAUGUCAUCCACAUAUAGUAUUAGAAAUGCUAUAGAGCUCCCACUCACUUUCUUGUAAAUACAGGCUUCUCCAAAAGUUUGUAUAAAACCGUAUGCUUUGAUCACACUAUCAAAGCGUAUAUUCUAACUCCGAGAGGCUUGCACGAGUCCACAAAUGGAUCGAUGAAGCUUGCCCACUUUGUUAGCACCUUUAGGAUCGACAAAACCUUCUGCUUGCAUCAUAUACAACUAUUCUUUAAGAUAUCCAUUAAGGAAUGCAGUUUUGACAUCCAUUUGCCAAAUUUCAUAAUCAUAAAAUGCGGCAAUUGCUAACAUGAUUCGGACAGACUUAAGCAUCGCUACAGGUGAAAAGGUCUCAUCGUAGUCAACUCCUUGAACUUGUCAAAAACUUUUCGCAACAAAUCAAGCUUUGUAGACAGUAACAUUGCCGUCAGCGUCUGUCUUCUUGAAGAUCCAUUUAUUCUCUAUUGCUUGCCGAUCAUCGGGCAAGUCAACCAAAGUCCAAACUUUGUUCUCAUACAUGGAUCCCAUCUCAGAUUUCAUGGUCUCUAGCCAUUUUGCGAAAUCUGGGCUCAUCAUCACUUCCUCAUAGUUCGUAGGUUCGUCAUGGUCAAGUAACAUGACCUCCAGAACAGGAUUACCGUACCAAUCUGGUGCGGAUCGUACUCUGGUUGACCUACGAGGUUCGGUAGUAACUUGAUCUGAAGUUUCAUGAUCAUCAUCAUUAACUUCCUCCCUAAUUGGUGUAGGAAUCACUGGAACAGAUUUCUGUGAUGAACUACUUUCCAAUUCAGGAGAAGGUACAAUUACCUCAUCAAGUUCUACUUUCCUCCCACUCACUUCUUUCGAGAGAAACUCCUUCUCUAGAAAGGAUCCAUUUUUAGCAACGAAUAUCUUCCCUUCGGAUCUGUGAUAGAAGGUGUACCCAACCGUCUCCUUUGGAUAUCCUAUGAAGACACAUUUCUCCGAUUUGGGUUCGAGCUUAUCAGGUUCACGCUUUUUCACAUAAUCAUCGCAACCCCAAACUUUAAGAAAUGACAGCUUAGGUUUCUUGCGAAACCACAGUUCAUAUGGUAUUGUCUCAACAGAUUUAGAUGGUGCCCUAUUUAACGUGAAUGCAACCGUCUCUAAAGCAUAACCCCAAAACGAUAGUGGUAAAUUAGUAAGAGACAUCAUAGAUCACACCAUAUCUAAUAAAGUACGGUUACGACAUUCGGACACACCAUUACGCUGUGGUGUUCCAGGUGGCGCGAGUUGCGAAACUAUUCCACACUAAUUCAAAUGAAGACCAAACUCAUAACUCAAAUAUUCACCUCCACAAUUAGUUCGUAGAAACUUUAUUUUCUUGUUACGAUGAUAUUCCACUUCACUUUGAAAUUCUUUGAACUUUCCAAAUGUUUCAAUAUUAUGUUUCAUCAAGUAGAUAUACCCAUAUCUGCUCAAAUCAUCUGUGAAGGUCAUAAAAUAACAAUACCCGUUGCGAGCCUAAACACUCAUCAGACCGCAUACAUCAGUAUGUAUUAUUUCCAAUAAGUCAGUUGCUCGCUCCAUUAUUCCCGAGAACAGAGCCAUAAUCAUCUUGCCCAUGAAGCAUGGUUUGCAAGCAUCAAGUGAUUCAUAAUCAAGUGAUUCCAAAACCCUAUCAACAUGCAGUUUCUUCAUGCACUUUACACCAAUAUGAUCUAAACGGCAGUGCCACAAAUAAGUUGCACUAUUAUUAUUAACUUUGCAUCUUUUGGCUUCAACAUUAUGAAUAUGUGUAUCACUACAAUCAAGAUUCAACAAAAAUAGACCACUCCUCAAGGGUGCAUGACCAUAAACGAUAUUACUCAUAUAAAUAGAACAACCAUUAUUCUCUAAUUUAAAUGAAUAACCGUCUCGCAUCAAACAAGAUCCAGAUAUAAUGUUCAUGCUCAAUGCUGGCACCAAAUAACAAUUAUUUAGGUCUAAGACUAAUCCCGAUGGUAGAUGUAGAGGUAGCAUGCCAACGGCAAUCACAUCGACUUUGGAACCAUUUCCCAACGCAUCGUCACGUCGUUCUUAGCCAAUCUUCAUUUAAUCUGUAGCCCCUAUUCCCUUUGCCCUUUUUCUUGAAACUAGUGGUCUUGUUCACCAUCAACACUUGAUGCUCCUUCUUGAUUUAUACCUCCGCGGCCUUUAGCAUUGCGAAGAGCUCGGGAAUUGUCUUUUCAUCCCUUGCAUAUUAUAGUUCAUCAUGAAGCCUUUAUAGCUUGGUGGCAAUGAUUUAUAAACUCUUUCAAUGACACUAUCAUUAGGAAGAUUAAUUCCCAGCUGGGUCAAGUGUUUGUGGUACCCAGACAUUCUAAGUAUGUGUUCACCGACAGAACUAUUCUCCUCCAUUUUGCAGUUGUAGAACUUGUUUGAGACUUCAUAUCUCUCAACUCAGGCAUUUGCUUGAAAUAUUAACUUCAACUCCUAGAACAUCACAUAUGCCCCAUGACAUUCAAAACGUCUUUGAAGUCCUGAUUCUAAGAUGUAAAGCAUGGCACACUGAACUAUCGAGUAGUCAUCAGCUUUGCUCUGGUAGACGUUCAUAACAUUCAGAGUUGAUCCUACAGCGGGUCUUGCACCUAGCGGUGCUUCCAGGGCGUAAUUCUUUUGUGCAGCAAUGAGGAUAAUCCUCAUACGGACCUAGUCCAUGUAGUUUCUACCAUCAUCUUUCAACUUAGCUUUCUCUAGAACGCAUUAAAAUUAAAGGGAAUGGUAGCACGGGCCAUUGAUCUACAACAACAUAGAUAUGCAAAUACUAUCAGGUACUAAGUUCAUGAUAAAUUAAAGUUCAAUUAAUCAUAUUACUUAUCCCACUUAGAUAGACAUCCCUCUAGUCAUCUAAAUGAUCACGUGAUCCAUAUCAACUAAACCAUGUCCGAUCAUCACGUGAGAUGGAGUAGUUUUCAAUGGUGAACAUCACUAUGUUGAUCAUAUCUACUAUAUGAUUCACGUUCGACCUUUCGGUCUUAGUGUUCCGAGGCCAUAUCUGCAUAUGCUAGGCUCGUCAAGUUUAAACCGAGUAUUCUGCACAUGCAAAACUGGCUUACACCUAUUGUAUGUGAAUGUAGAGCUUAUCACACCCGAUCAUCAUGUGGUGUCUCGGCACGACGAACUAUAGCAAUGGUGCAUACUCAGAGAAAACACUUGUACCUUGAAAUUUAGUGAGGGAUCAUCUUAUAAUGCUACCACCUUACUAAGCAAAAUAGGAUGCAUAAAAGAUAAACAUCACAUGCAAUCAAAAUAUGUGACAUGAUAUGGCCAUCAUCAUCUUGUGCCUUUGAUCUCCAUCUCCAAGCACCGUCAUGAUCUCCAUCGUCACUGCCUUGACACCUUGAUCUCUAUCGUAGCAUCAUUGUCAUCUCGCCAACUAUUGCUACUACGACUAUCGCUACCGCUUAGUGAUAAAGUAAGCAAUUACAUGGAGAUUGCAUUUCAUAGAAUAAAGCGACAACCAUAAGGCUCCUGCUAGUUGCCUAUAACUUUUACAAAACAUGAUCAUCUCAUACAACAAUUUAUAUAUCAUCACGUCUUGACCAUAUCACAUCACAACAUGCCCUGCAAAAACAAGUUAGACAUUCUCUACUUUAUUGUUGCAAGUUUUACGAGGAUGCUACGGGCUUCUAGCAAGAACCAUUCUUAUCUACGCAUCAAAACUACAACGAUUUUUCGUCAAGUGUGUUGUUUUAACCUUCAACAAGGACCAGGCAUAGUGAAACUCGAUUCAACUAAAGUUGGAGAAAUAGACACCCGCCAGCCACCUGUGUGCGAAGCAUGUCGGUAGAACCAGUCUCAUGAACGUGUUCAUGUAAUGUCGGUCCGGGCCGCUUCAUCCAAUAAUACCUCCAAAUCAAAGUAAGACGUUGGUGGUAAGCAGUAUGACUAUUAUCGCCCACAACUCUUUGUGUUCUACUCAUGCAUAUAACUUCUACGCAUAGACCUGGCUCUGAUGCCACUGUUGGGAACGCAGUAUUUCGAAAAAUUUCCUACGAUCACGCAAGAUCUAUCUAGGAGAUGCAUAGCAACGAGAUGAGAGAGUGUGUCCACGUACUCUUGUAGACCGAAAGCGGAAGCGUUUAGUAACGCGGUUGAUGUAGUUGAAAGUGCAACUAUCCCUAGGUGGUUUUGGUAAUUCCUAAUGACAUAUAGUUCAUUGAGCUAAUGCUAUUUCAAGACUAAUAUUUCAGGAAAGCUCAAUGAUUGGCAUGGCAUGGAUGAGAAAAGUGGACCCCUCAAAACACUAAGGACAAAAGGAUUGGCUCAAGCUCAAAAGUUCAAGACUCUACAUUUUCUAUUUUAGUGAUCCAAGAUCACAUUGAGUCUAUAGGAAAAGCCAAUACUAUCAAGGAGGGAUGAUGUGUUUCUUAAUGAGGUUCUUGCUCAAAAUGCUUAGUGAUAUGCUCCAAAACCCUCAACUACUUUCUCACAUCCACAUAUGACCUAAACCAAAAGUCAAACUCGGCCCCACCGAUUCUUCCUAUCCGGAGCCAUCGAGUUUCAAAUGUCAUAGCCACUGCCACAAACCCUAGGCAAAUCAGUCUCACCGAUAGGGAUCUCGGUCUCACCGAGAUGGGGUUGUAAUCUCUCUGUCUCCCUUCAUAACGUUUUGGUACCACCGACAUUGCAAUGUAAACUCUCUGUUUCCCUUCAUAACGUUCUCACCGAAAUGAGUGAUCGGUCCCACCGAGUUUACCUGACCAACUCUCUGGUUAGCUUAUUACCAAAAUUGGUUUCACCAAGUUUGUGUAGUCAGUCUCAGCGAGAUUAUGUUAUGCCCUAACCCUAAUCAUAUCAGUCCUACCGAGUUGCAUGUAGGUCCCACCAAAAACCCUAACGAUCACUAGCUUUGCUGAAUCGGUCCGACCGAGUUUAACUAUCCGGUCCCACCGAGUUUGGGAAGUUAUGUGUAACGGUUAGAUUUUGUGUAGAUGCUAUAUAUACCCGUCCACCACCUCUUCAUUCAUGGAGAGAGCCAUCAGAACAAACCUACACUUCCAACUUGUUUUUUCUGAGAGAACCACCUACACUUGUGUUGAGACCAAGAUAUUCCAUUCCUACCAUAUGAAUCUUGAUCUCUAGCCUUCCCCAAGUUGCUUUCCACUCAAAUCUUCUUUCCACCAAAUCCAAAUCCUGUGAGAGAGAGUUGACUGUUGGGGAGACUAUCAUUUGAAGCACAAGAGCAAGGAGUUCAUCAUCAACACACCAUUUGUUACUUCUUGGAGAGUGGUGUCUCCUAGAUUGGCUAGGUGUCACUUGGGAGCCUCCGACAAGAUUGUGGAGUUGAACCAAGGGGUUUGUAAGGGCAAGGAGAUCGCCUACUUCGUGAAGAUCUACCGCUAGUGAGGCAAGUCCUUCGUGAGCGAUGGCCAUGGUGGGAUAGACAAGGUUGCUUCUUCGUGGACCCUUCGUGGGUGGAGCCCUCCGUGGACUCACGCAACCGUUAUCCUUCGUGGGUUGAAGUCUCCAUCAACAUGGAUGUACGAUGGCACCACCUAUAGGAACCACGACAAAAACAUCCGUGUCUCCAAUUGUGUUUGAAUCCUCCAAACCCUUCCCUUUACAUUCUUGCAAGUUGCAUGCUUUACUUUCCGCUGCUCAUAUACUCUUUGCAUGCUUGCUGAAUUGUGUUAAGAUUGCUUGACUUGUCCAAAGUUGCUAAAAUCUGCCAAGAACUAAAAUUGGGAAAAGGCUAGAUUUUUAUUUGGUCAAGUAGUCUAAUCACCCCCCUCUAGACAUACUUUCGAUCCUACAAGUGGUAUCAGAGCUUUGGUCUCCAUUUGCUUUGAUUUCCAUAGUUUUUGGUGGUCAUAGCCUUGGUUUCACAACCUAGGAGAGUAUGGCGUCUAGCAAGGGAAAUUACCACCAUAGAGGUCCUUACUUUGAUGGCACUAAUUUUGCUAGUUGGAAGCAUAAGAUGAAAAUGCAUAUUCUUGGACAUAACCCCGCCGUUUGGGCUAUUGUGUGUAUUGGCUUGCAAGGUGAAUUUUUUGAUGGGAGAGAACCAAACCGUGAAGCUACCGCGAAAGAAUUGAAGAUGCUACAAUACAAUGCUCAAGCUUGUGAUAUCCUCUUCAACGGAUUGUGCCCCAAAGAAUUCAACAAAAUCAGCCGUCUUGAGAAUGCAAAGGAAAUUUGGGAUACUUUAAUUGAUAUGCACGAAGGUACCGACUCCGUCAAGGAAUCCAAGUUGGAUGUGCUUCAAAGUCAACUUGACAAGUUCAAAAUGAAGGAUGGUGAAGGUGUCACUGAAAUGUACUCUAGGCUUGCUCUUAUCACAAAUGAGAUUGCCGGCUUAGGAAUUGAAGAGAUGACCGACAAAUUCAUCAUUAAGAAGAUCCUAAGAGCCUUGGAUGGAAAAUAUGAUACCGUAUGCACAUUGAUCCAAAUGAUGCCAAAUUACAAAGAUCUCAAGACAACAGAAGUCAUUGGAAGAAUUGUUGCUCAUGAGAUGUCACUCAAGGAUAAGGAGGAGCUUCAUAACAAGUCAAGUGGUGCUUACAAAGCCUCAUGUGAAGCUGCCACAUCAUCAAGUGAGAAACAAACCAUCAAUGAAGAAUUGAGCCUAAUGGUGAAAAACUUCAACAAGUUCUACAAGAUUAGAAGCAAAGAGAGAAGUUCCAAGUCAAGGUCCUACAAUGACAAAAGAUCUUCUAGUCGAGAGCGAAACUUCUACAAUUGUGGAAGACCCGGACACUACUCCAAUGAGUGUACGGCCCCCUACAAGAGAAGAGAAGAUUCUCCCAAAAGAAGAAGUAGAAGAGAAGAAUCACCAUCGAGGGAGAGAAGGAGUAGGGAUGAUCGUUAUGAACGAAGACCCUCUCGGAGAAGCAAGGAUUCGGAAAGGAAGGACAAGUCAUCAAGGAGCUACACAAAAUGAAGACAUCAAGCUCAUGUUGGUGAAUGGGUAUCCGGAUCCGACUCCGAAAAUCACUCCGAGAGAAGCUAUCACUCCGACUCCGAAUAUACUCAAGAUGAAGGUGUUGCCGGUCUAGCACUUGUGUCAACCAACUCCUACGACAUAUUUGAUUCACCAAAUGAAGGAAUUGGAAGAUGCUUCAUGGCCAAAGGUCCAAAGGUAUCACACCCCGAGUAUGUUGAUUUCAAUAGUGAUGAAGAUGACUUGUUAGGUGAUGAUGAUUUACUUGUUGACAACUCUAGUGAUGAAUACUAUGAUGAAACAUCAACUAAUCAUGCUAAUCAAGAUAAAACGAAUGACAAUGAUAAGGAGAAGAUUGAGUCUCUAACUAAAGAACUAAACACUCUUAAGUUAGCUCAUGAAACUAUCUUAGGAGAUCAUCGAGAACUUUUAAGGACUCAUGAGAAAUUACGUUUUGAGAAGCUCAAUCUUGAGCAAGAGCAUGAGUUCUUAAAGGCAAUCAAUGAUGAUAUUCGCAAGAAAAGUUCUUCUUACAUUGCCAAGCAUUUACUCUUAUCCACUUACAUGCCUUAAGUCAAGUCUAGUAACAAGAACAAGAAGGAUUCUUCCUCUAGUAGUAACAAUAAUCAUGCUAAAUCCAAUAUUGUUGCUUCUAGUAUUUCUCUUGAUUCCACUAAUGAUUCUCUUAGCCAAGUUACACUUGAGCAAGAAAAUAGCUUAUUGAAGGGAAUCAUAGAGAAAGGUGUUUACAAGAGCCUUGCCGGGAGUAAGCAAUUCGAGGAAAUUGUACGCAAGCAAGGAAGGCAACAAAAAAAAUCAAGGUAUUGGUUUUGAACGAAAGUUCAAUGCCAAUGGAGUUGAGUGGGAAGAAGAUCAAUACCCCAAGACGAAGUUUGUUCCUCAACAAGAGAAGUAUGAUCCUACUUAUUUCAAAGGGACACAAGCUCAAGAUGAUCUUCCACCACAAUACCACAAUGAAAAAGGCAAGGACAAGCUUCAAGAGGAAAUUGAUGCACUUGAAGAAGCUCCUAAGGCCUUGGUCAAGUGGGUUCCCAAGACUACAUCAAGUUCCACUUCAUCAAGUACAACUACAACUCCGAGGAUUCCCAUCAAGAUGGUGUGGAUCCCGAAGAAGAAGAACUAGAGAGUUCUUGAGGGUGACUCCGCCAACAUACUUCACUCUUAUCAUUUUGGCAAAAAUAAGCGCAAUCAACUUCCACAUCUUGCUCUAGUUCAAGGAGUCACAAACCCUCUUGUUGGUAAGACAAGGGACAAGGUAACCUAAUGCUCUCAUAGAAAUCAUAUUGUGUGUGCAUCACUCUAUGUCUAUGGAUAUCCUUGUUUGUUCCUUGUGGGACUAACCCGUGUAGGUAUUGAAAGUGCAACUCACUCCAAAGGAUAGCUCCGAAUGAUCUACAUCAACUUAGAGCAUCCACAUCUUCAACACCUACAUGAAGUCAUCAUCGACAAAACCCAAGGUUAGUUCAUCCCUCUUAGGGGGGAUCUCACAUCUAGGGGGAGCCUUACUCUAAGAAUUGAGCUAAAGAAACUCUAAUGGUGUGAACACAACAUCGCUUUAUGUAAAAGUGGUAACUCCACUUGUGCUUAAACGAUGAGGAUGACCUAUGAUCAAAUGUUCUCAUUUGACUCCUAAGUCAAUAUACUCAUAUAUAGAUGACCUAGUCAUCGCCAAUUGCUUGAUAGAUGCUAGAAUUGUUUGUGCAUGCUUUGCCACAUAUUUCAUUUGUCAUUUUAUUGUGUGAGCAUGUUGGUUGCAUAAUUUACUCAUUCGAGGACAUCCACUUGUUGUUUUGAUUGGUUGGUUUCUUUUUCUCUUGCCAAGUGGAUGGACAAGAAUGCCUAAGAACCUUCUCUAGCUAUCUAUGCUCUUCUCGUCUCAAACUCUAUUCAUGCCGCAUCACAAAGUUUGAUCAAGUCAGAUUCGAACCACUCUGUGUGAGGAGCACUCGGAGUCCCUGAUUCGUCAUAGGCUUAAACUUCCAAAACUUCUUUUUGCGUUUUGGUCUAACCGAUUCAUCCAUUUCGGUCAUACCGAGAUCACUAAGUCGAUCUAGGUCUUUAAUCUCGGUGUAACCGAUUUGAAGUUUUCGGUCACACCGAGUUGCAGUAACUGCUUGCAGUUAUGCAUCUCGGUGACACCGAGUUGUUCCACUCGGUCACACCGACAGGGUCAGGCUAUAUAUACCCACAGGCGAAAAUUUGGAAAACUUUCCGAACCUCUUCGCCCGCGCUCAGCUUGCUCUGCCUCCCUGGGUCUCCGAAUCAUCCUCCUCGUCGCCAGCCGCCUCCAGUCGCUGGUCUCCGCCGCUGUCAAUGAGAUCGGCUCCGCCGUUGCCGCCGUAGCAAGUCCAUUGCCGAACUAGGGUAUGGACUUGAUCUUUGUGCUGUUCUCACUCCGAUUCCCCAGCACAUUGUUUUGCCAUGUAUCUUGCCACGAUUGAGAUUACUCUAUCCAAUGAAAACACUCCGUAGUUUAGUUGUGGAUUGAAAAUUUAGGGUUAGGUUUCUGCCGAAACCAUCUCGGGCCGACCGAGUUGUUGAAAUUGGUUUCACCGAUUUGGCUUAGGCCAUUGCACAUGUGAUUCUUGGUCUAACCGAGAAUUGCAAAUCGGUGUGACUGAGUUCGAGUCUUUGUGAAACCCUAGCAGUCUCGGGGCCACCGAACUAUGACUCGGUCUGACCGAGUUCACUAGUUUAGGUUCCAACAGCUGCUUCGGUAUCACCGUGAUUUCAAAUCGGUAGAUCCGAAAUGCUUUCUGUGGAAAACAAAAACUAAGUUUUUGAUUCAUUCUUUUCUAAAACCUCUGCACUUUGUGAUGCUCAUCGACUCUACCUCAUCUAUAAUCUAUUCACAAGGUCUGCUGUCAGUGUUUGCAUCAUGUGAGAUCAGAGUGACAGUCAGAACAAGUCUAAGGAGCAAGCGAACUUGAGUGAGGGCACUAGUCCCUCCAGUAGCUCAGAUGAUGGAAGCAGGAGCACACCCAGCAACUUGCCUAAGGUAGCCACCAGGACCAGAAAGAAGAAAACCUCAGAUUCUGAGGAUGAGGACUAUGUGUCUGCUGAGGAAGAGGCCACCUCAAAAAGGGAAGUCCUGAAAAAGGAAUAUGGCACAGCUGCAGCCACUAAGCCAAGAGAGCUCCCAUGUCAAAAGCCAGAACAUCCACUCAAGAGACUUUGGGAUCUGCACCCAAAGAGCAGGUUGUGGCAGAAAAGAAAAGGAAAGAGAGGGUCAAGAAGACCACUGCCAGAGUGCUUGGGAGAUCUUCAAUAAUGAAAGACUCUAAAGAAGAGGAAGAGGAAGAGGAUGCAGCACCAGCACCCAAAGCUCAGAAGCUUAUGGGAGAUGCUAUAAGGGCAGGGGCUGCUCCAUCUAAGCCCAAAGGAACUCCUAAGCCAGCAGUUCCAAAGCCAAAACCAAGGAGGAGCACCAGGAACAUCCCAACAGCAGAGAAGAACAAGGCCCCAGUGCCUGAAGCUGCAAUGGAAGAAGAAGAUGAUGAGUCACAUGUCUUUAGGAAGUUGAAGCCAAAAAUUCCAGAUCACAAUGAUGCUCAUCCAAUAGCUGAGAACAUGAAGAUAAGGAAGGAUUCAGGAUUGAGGCUAUGGAGAGAAUCAGAUCCAUAUGCCACCAAAAGAAGAACUGCUGUGGACUACAGGUUCCAUACUAAGGAACACCGGGACUUCUAUGAGACAGUGUUGCUUGACAAGAAGCCAAUAGUGUGUGACAUGAGAUGGGUCGAUUGGACAUUCAUUGAGGAAAAUGAGGAUCACUUUCCUGGUAUAUAUGACAGCUUCAAGGCAUGUGGAGUCGAUGAGUUUGUGGCUCAGAAGCUCACAAAGUGGAAUGAUGAGCUCAUCAUGCAGUUCUACUCCACAACUCAUUUCUACCUAGAUGGAAGGAUUGUCUGGAUAUGUGAAGGCACUAGGUACCAGUCAACGGUUGCUGAAUGGGCAAAAUUGAUUAAUGCUCCUGAGGAGAGUGAAGAUAACUUGGAUGUCUAUGCCAAGAAGAAGAAGGAUCACAACACCAUGGCACAUAUGUACAAAGAGAUCCCAGAUGCUGCUCUUGAGACACACAAGUUUGGAUCAGUACAUUACCUUCUGUCAGGCUUGCCAACAAUCAACUGGAUCCUCAGGCACACUUUCUUGCCAAAGUCAGGUGAUCACAAGACGAUCAGAGGUCACUCCAUCAACUUGUUGCACAUUUUUGAUGUUCCACAGAAGUUCAAGGUCAUGAGCCUAAUUGUGGAAACCAUAAAGAGGACAUCUGCAGAUCAGAAGAGGAGUUGUGGGUAUGCCCCACAGAUCCAGGAGCUGAUCAAGUCCAAGAUGGGCACUGGCACAUAUUUGCUGGACAAGGAGCACCUGCCCAUCUACCCAGACUUUGAGGACAACACUGUGGUGAUGGAUGAAAAUGAACCAUCUUCUGUGCAUGCACAAGCCAAGAAGGAGAAGGCAAGGGCUGAAAAGGCUGCAAAGAUACCAACCACUAAGAGGCAUCCCAGUAUCUUCUGAAGAGCAAGCAAGAUCAGCUUGGCUACUUGAUUGCCUCCACUCUGAGGAUUGAGAAGGGAUUGGCUACCCUGACCCAAAACCAGGAGAGCUUGGAGAGGAUCGUGGAGCAUAAGUUCUAUGACUUUGAUGUGAAGGUCACUGAGAUCCAGUCAGUCGUUGAGCAACUUCAAGAUGAAGUGCAGGAGAAGAAGGGCAAGUCUACCACUGAUGCUUUUGCUAGAAUGCCCAAAGGACAAAGAUCUGCUGCAAUGCCUGUUCCAGACACCAGAGCAACUUCAUCUGCACCAGCUACAGCUUCAGUGCCACCAGCUCCAGCACCUACUCCAGUCAAAGCGACAAUGUUUUUUACUCUUAUUAUCAUUUGUUGAAGCUUUGAUCUAUAUGUUGUCAUCAAUUACCAAAAAGAGGGAGAUUGAAAGUGCAACUAUCCCUAGGUGGUUUUGGUAAUUCCUAACAACAUAUAGUUCAUUGAGCUAAUGCUAUUUCAAGACUAAUAUUUCAGGAAAGCUCAAUGAUUAGCAUGGCAUGGAUGAGAAAAGUGGACCCCUCAAAACACUAAGGACAAAAGGAUUGGCUCAAGCUCAAAAGUUCAAGACUCUACAUUUUCUAUUUUAGUGAUCCAAGGUCACAUUGAGUCUAUAGGAAAAGCCAAUACUAUCAAGGAGAGAUGAGGUGUUGCUUAAUGAGGUUCUUGCUCAAAAUGCUUAGUGAUAUGCUCCAAAACCCUCAACUACUUUCUCACAUCCACAUAUGACCUAAACCAAAAGUCAAACUCGGCCCCACCAAUUCUUCCUAUCCGGCGCCACCGAGUUUCAAAUGUCAUAGCCACUGCCACAAACCCUAGGCAAAUCGGUCUCACCAAUAGGAAUCUCGGUCUCACCGAGAUGGGGUUGUAAUCUCUCUGUUUCCCUUCGCAACGUUUCGGUCCCACCGAGAUGAGCGAUCGGUCCCACCGAGAUUGCAAUGUAAACUCUCUGUUUCCCUUCGUAACAUUUCGGUCUCACCGAAAUGAGCAAUCGGUCCCACCGAGUUUACCUGACCAACUCUCUGGUUAGCUUAUUACCAAAAUCGGUCUCACCGAGUUUGUGUAAUCGGUCUCACCGAGAUUAUGUUAUGCCCUAACCCUAAUCAUAUCGUUCCUACCGAGUUGCAUGUCGUUCCCACCGAAAACCCUAACGGUCACUAGCUUUGCUGAAUCGGUCCGACCGAGUUUAACUAUUCGGUCCCACCGAGUUUGGGAAGUUAUGUGUAACGGUUAGAUUUUGUGUGGAAGCUAUAUAUACCCCUCCACCACCUCUUCAUUCGUGGAGAGAGCCAUCAGAACGAACCUACACUUCCAACUUGUUUUUUCUGAGAGAGAACCACCUACACUUGUGUUGAGACCAAGAUAUUCCAUUCCUACCAUAUGAAUCUUGAUCUCUAGGCUUCCCCAAGUUGCCUUCCACUCAAAUCUUCUUUCCACCAAAUCCAAAUCCUGUGAGAGAGAGUUGAGUGUUGGGGAGACUAUCAUUUGAAGCACAAGAGCAAGCAGUUCAUCAUAAACACACCAUUUGUUACUUCUUGGAGAGUGGUGUCUCCUAGAUUGGCUAGGUGUCACUUGGGAGACUCCGACAAGAUUGUGGAGUUAAACCAAGGAGUUUGUAAGGGCAAGGCGAUCGCCUACUUCGUGAAGAUCUACCGCUAGUGAGGCAAGUCCUUUGUGGGCGAUGGCCAUGGUGGGAUAGACAAGGUUGCUUCUUCGUGGACCCUUCGUGGGUGGAGCCCUCCAUGGACUCACGCAACCGUUACCCUUCGUGGGUUGAAGUCUCCAUCAACGUGGAUGUACGAUAGCACCACCUAUCGGAACCACGACAAAAACAUCCGUGUCUCCAAUUGCAUCUGAAUCCUCCAAACCCUUCCCUUUACAUUCUUGCAAGUUGCAUGCUUUACUUUCCACUGCUCAUAUACUCUUUGCAUGCUUGCUUGAAUUGUGUUAAGAUUGCUUGACUUGUCCAAAGUUGCUAAAAACUGCCAAGAACUAAAAUUGGGAAAAGGCUAGAUUUUUAUUUGGUCAAGUAGUCUAAUCACCCCCCCUCUAGACAUACUUUCGAUCCUACAGUAGUCAAAUGUCUUCACGAUCCAACCGAUCCAAGUACCGAACGUACAACACCUUCGUGUUUUGCACAUGUUCAUCAUGGUGAUGUCUCUCGAGCUCUUGAUCCAGUUGAGGACGAGGGAGAGUUCCAUCAGCACGACGGCGUGGCGAUGGUGAUGAUGAAGCUACCGACACAGGGCUUUGCCUAAGCACUACGACGAUAUGAUCGAGGUGGUAAACUGUGGAGGGGGGCACCACACACGGCUAAGAUAUGUCUGUUGUACCUUUGGGGUGCCCCCGCCUCCGUAUAUAAAGGGGGAGGAGGAGGUGGCCAGCCUAAGGGGGCGUGUCAUAAGGGGGGAGUCCUACUUGGACUCCUAGUCCAAGUAGGAUUCGGGCCCCCCUCUUUCCUUCCACCGGAGAGGGAAAAGGGGAAGGGAGAGAGAGGGAGAAGGAAAGAGGGGGGCCGGCCUCCUCCCCUAGUCCAAUUCAUUUUGGGCAGGGGGCCCUCUCACAUGGCCUUUCUCCUCUCCUCCAAUAAGGCCCAAUAGGCCCAAUACUUCUCUCGGGGGGGGGGGGUUCCAGUAACCUCCCGGUACUUCGGAAAAAUGCCCGAACCACUCGGAACCAUUCCGAUGUCCGAAUGCAACCUUCCAAUAUAUGAAUCUUUACCUCUCGACCAUUACGAGACUCCUCGUCAUGUCCGUGAUAUCAUUCGAGACUCCGAACAAACUUCGGUCAUCAAAUCACAUAACUCAUAAUACAAAUCAUCAUCGAACGUUAAGCAUGCGAACCCUAUGGGUUCGAGAACAAUGUAGACAUGACCGAGACACAACUCUGGUCAAUAACCAAUAGCGGAACCUGGAUGAUCAUAUUGGCUCCUACAUAUUCUACGAAGAUCUUUAUCGGUCAAACCGCAUAACAACAUAUGUUAUUCCCUUUGUCAUCGGUAUGUUACUUGCCCGAGAUUCGAUCGUCAGUAUCAUCAUACCUAGUUCAAUCUCGUUACCGGCAAGUCUGUUUACUCAUUCCGUAAUGCAUCAUCCCACAACUAACUUAUUAGUCACAUUGCUUGCAAGGCUCAUAGUGAUGUGCAUUACCAAGAGGGCCCAGAGAUACCUCUCCGAUACACAGAGUGACAAAUCCUAAUCUCGAUCUAUGCCAACUCAACAAACACCAUCGGAGACACCUGUAGAGCAUCUUUAUAAUCACCCAGGUACGUUGUGGCGUUUGAUAGCACACAAGGUGUUCCGCCGGUAUUCGGGAGUUGCAUAAUCUCAUCGUCAGAGGAACAUGUAUAAGUCAUGAAGAAAGCAAUAGCAAUAAAACUAAACGAUCAUUAUGCUAAGCUAACAGAUGGGUCUUGUCCAUCACAUCAUUAUCUAAUGAUGUGAUCCCGUUCAUCAAAUGACAAUACAUGUCUAUGGUCAGGAAACUUAACCAUCUUUGAUUAACAAGCUAGUCAAGUAGAGGCAUACUAGGGACACUCUGUUUGUCUAUGUAUUCACACAUGUACUAAGUUUCUGGUUAAUACAAUUCUAGCAUGAAUAAUAAAUAUUUAUCAUGAUAUAAGGAAAUAUAAAUAACAACUUUAUUAUUGCCUCUAGGGCAUAUUUCAAUCACCGGCCGCCCGAGUUGCGCUCACCGGUGCCCCAGCUACCGCCUGCUGCUUCUGCUCUGCUUCGCUGCCCCAUGUCGUGCGCUCCUCCCCUAACCCCGCUGCACCCGCGCUGCUCCUACCGCUACUUGUUGUCGUCGCCGCUGCCCACUACAGCAUGCCACCGCAGCCGAGCUGCCCCGCUCCGUCCCUGUUCCACGCGCCCCCUAGCCGUUUUGGCCGCACCCAUCGCCGUGCCUUGCUCGCUGUACGUGCGUGCCCGCGUGCCCCAGCCUCCUCGCCUGCUUCCCCCGCAAUCAUUGCUUCCGGCCGCCGCUGCUGCAGCUCGCGCCCCGCUCGCCCGUGCGUACACACCAUGGACGCGCUCGUCUCCCGCAUGCCGAGCAGCAUCGACGCCUCCCGCUGCCCCUAUGCUGCUGCUCCACCACCGCCCCGCGCCGUCUCUCCGUCGGUGCCGUAGCUCGCCGGUCCCGCCGCCCGCUACCUGUUGAGCCAGCCCUGCCUGCUUCCCGCUGUGGCCGCUGGCCAACUCCCCCGGUGGCCUCAGGCACGGGCGCCCACGCUCACGCCCAUCGCCCGUCACCCGCCCCACUAAGGCCCCCAUCGGGCCACUCACCACUGAGCCAGCCCCCCUUUUUAAAAAAAUGUUAAUUAAUAAUAGUAAUAAAAUAUAAAUAUAAAUAUUAUUAUUAAUUAAUUAGGUAAUUAAUUAACCUUGCUUAAUUAGUCUAAUGAACUAGAUGUCUAAUUAAACCUGCUUAAUUAGUUGAGUCAAUGACAUACGGGCCGAGCUGUCAGUUUGACCAGCCAAUGCUCUGUUGACUGCUGACAUCAUGAUGAUGUCAGGCUCACGUCAUGAUUCCUUUUUUGAAUUAAGGAUAACUUCAGAAUAUUGCUAAAACUUUCGAAAUACAUAGAAAAUAAAGCGUAACUCCGAUGAAAAACCUUUGUACAUGAAAGUUGCUCAGAAAAGCGAGACGAAUCCGAAUACGCCAUCCGUUCGUAUGUCACAUGCCCCUAGCAUAGCUAACAUGCAACCGUCUCCCUCCGUUUCAUCUGUUUGAAAAUGCCAAACUUCGGGAAAACUUUCCCGGAUGUUAUCCCCCUUCGCUGGUAUUGUGUAACACUGUGUUAGAACACCCCUAGCACCGCUUUUUGUCAUGUCAUGCAUCUGUGUGCUUUGUAUUUACUGGUCCCCCCUCUUCUUCUCCAGUAGACCCUGAGAGCGCGCCGAUGCCGCCCCUGUGAUCGACUGCGUCGGCGACGACUCUUCUUCCAUUUCACCAGAGCUUCCAGGCAAGCCAACCCCCCUUGAUCAUUUCGAUAUCACCCAUUUCAUUCUCUCUCAUGCUUGCAUUAGAUUUUUCUACUGUAAUUGUUUGCUCCUAUUCUGAUGCAUAGCCUGCUUUUGUAACCCGCUAUUGUUACCUACCUGCUUAUCCUAAACUACUUAGUGUAGGUUGGUUAGUGAUCCAUCAGUGACCCCCACCUUGUCCUUGUUGCCACUGCUUCAUCAUCGACGACUCGAUCAAUGUGAUCGACGAUCAUAGCCCGACACAUCACAUCACCACCUUAGUUGCUCAGCUCCGCAGAGCUACUAUCGAGUGUCGAGGGUGAUACCUCAUAACACACUCCUUGUGAUAACUCUAUAGUGUAGCUAUUCGGUCAUGGUCAAUGAGGGUGAUUCCUCCUCCACCACUCCCAAUACGACUCUGUCAUGCAACCCCUCAAGUGUGGACCUCGAGCGUGAUUCCUCCUAAGUUCACCUUGACGAUUACAUCAAGUGGAAUUCCUCGAGGGUGAUUCCUCGAGUUUUCACCAUUGAUGUUUGGACACACGGUUACCCUGACUUUACUUCAGACCUUUGUUAAAGUUGGGUCGGCCCUGAGGGGUACCGACGAGUUGAUGUGAAAGCCGGGCGGGCCCGAAGAGCACCUGUGAGAUAAUUACAUGGCACGGUCAUGAUUUCUGGGCCCUUGCAAUAAGUCCACGAGAUGGGGCGAUGGGGUCACAUCGACCGUGAGUCUCUGCUCCUCUCCGCGAGCUUGUUAUACACCAAGGUUUGGGCAUUUGUUCUGAGUUGCCCUCUGGCCUUUACACACUAACCACCACGCGAGAAUAUUUAUGGGCCUUGGCGUCGUGGUAUCAGCCGAAGCUUUGUCCAACGUCCAUUUCAGCAUUGCGGCAUGGUCGGUUCGCGUUGACCAUCCGCGGUGGCGUUGGUGUUCAUCCUACACGCAAUGACCCGGAGUGCAACGAGUGAUGGGCCCAAGACCCGGGAGCGCUUAGGAUGUAGACCGGCGAGGACCUCUCUACUGAGCCUAGGUAGGGCUGUGACGUGUUGUUCUUCCAAGGCUGGGCAUUGACUCAUAAAAGUGUAUCCGGCCAGAGUAAUCAAGCAUGUUGGGUAACGUGGUGCACCCCUGCAGGGAAGAUUAUCUAUUCGAAUAGCUGUGUACAUGGUAACGGACGUUCAGACUUGUAUCCUGAUCUAUUACGACUAGAAAUGGAUACUUGAGAUGUGUGAUGGAUAUGUGGCUCCGGGAUUGCUUUCUCGCAGGGAGUCUAGGUAGGAUCUCUGGGUAUUAAUGUUACAACAUGUUUGUUAAAUAAAAACUGCUAUUCUAUACUCUUCUGAAUGCUGCAAAACACUUGAAGAUGGUUGAAGAUGCUAGUCUUCGAUAGGCUAGGCUUUUCCCCUUCUAUUCUGGCAUUCUACAAUAUAGUCCACAGAUACAACCGUUCCAUUUGAUACCAAUGCAUACUUAGUAUAGAUCCGAUGCUUGUGAGUACUUUGGAUGAGUAAUCAUAGUUGCUUUGCCACCCCUUUUGCCCCUUCUUUCUUCUUUUUGGUUGUUGCAACCAGAUGGUGGAUCCCAAGAGCCAGAUGCCACCCUCGUUGACUACUACUACUACCCGGAGGGUGCCUACUACUACGUGGAGCCCGCCAAUGACCAGGAGUAGUUAGGAGGUCCCAGGCAGGAGGCCUUGCCUCUUCGACCGUUGAUGUUUGUGCUAGCCUCACUGGUACACACUAGUGCUAUACAAACGGUUUUUAACCCCUUUCCACGAUGGCAUUUGGAACCGUUGCCUAGUGAGUGAUGGCGAUAGGGGGGGUCCUUCCCACACAACCCAGAAACCGUCGAGGAUAUGCCCUCCUGGCACACACACUCAACAAAAUGAGGUCGUGUGCGACCGAUGAGCGCUCAAAUACGGUAAUACGUGCAGUAGAGCUAAAAAAUACAAUUAUAGAGGAAAAAUUGUUUCCGGUUGUAAGUACAUCCCACACAGUCAGUCCCCGCUAAACUUUUCCGUUCGUAUGUACAUCCCACACAGUCGCUCCAAGGAAAACGUUUCCGUUCACAGGUACAUCACACACAAUUUUCCCCGUUAGAUCGUUUGUGAUAGCGUUGCCAUUGCACAUGAUAUUAACAAUUUUAUCAUUUGCGUUAUUGAAUGCAUCACACACGGUGCGUAGAAGAAACUAUGUGGCAAAGGCUGUCCAUCACACACGGUUUUUAUGUGGUAAACAUUUGCGCAAGGUGGCCUAACACAAACAAUUUUCAAGAGAAGGUCGUGUGUGAUUGUUCAUUUAUCCAACACGGUUUAUUCCUAGAAACUGUGUGCAUUGCGUGAGGUUAUAACCCACGGUAUUUUCUGAAUAACCGUUUGCAAUAGCAAAACCAAAUUAGCAGGCUAAUUCGCCAUUAGCAGGCUAAUUUCCCUAUUAUUUACAAUCCAUUUAUUAAUCUAAUUGACAUUCAUAUUAAGCACAUAAUAUAUUUCAUUUCCACAUUAAGGAAGCAUGAUUUCAUAAUUGAAAUACAUCAGAGUACAACAUGAUAUAGCUUCAGCACUCAGCUACCCCAUUACACAACUGCACCAGCAUCAAGUUUCACAUGCAACAUGUAGAACCUUUCAAAAUUAGCAUCAUAGAUGGUAUAUAGACAGAUGCAUCUAAUCUGGAAAACUGCUGAAGUGGAAGACGAAUAUUGAGCCUUCAUUCAUGUUGAAGGUCUUUGCAACUUUAGGCCAGUGCCUGUGGAUGAUUGACUGUCUGUCCUUCGUCCUCUUCAGGAACACUUCAAUAUUGAACCGUGGGUGUUGUAUGAAAACCUUCCUUGCCUCCUAACCAUAGAGGUGGUUUGAGAGGUAAUCAUCAGUGAACUACUUUGGAAAGGCCUGAAAACAAGGAUGUGCAUAAAUAUCUUCUCUAUAUUGGAAAUGGGGCAAAGGAAUAAAAAAGGCAAUGUAUAAUAGUUAGUACCAUCUUGUAGUGAACUGAUGUCUUCUUCACUGUGCAGACAAAGAUCUUGUUGUUUUUUGUCACUAAUUUCUUUAUCCUAACAAUCUUUCUGAGUUUCUUGACUUGAUUGAUAUUCAUGGACAAACUCAUUUCCCCAUAUGCAAAAAGGGUCGAACAGUGGGUCAAAACCUCUGACAGUAGGACCUACAUGUGCAAGACCAAAUUGUUAAAAACCUAAAUAUUAGAAUGGUUCCUGCAAUUGCACAAUAAUGUGCUAUUAGACAACGGACCAUGCACAUCUAACCUCAAUUGUAAACCUAAGUGCUUCCCAUUAUUUCCCUGCAACACAUAUAAGGUAGUUAGUCAUCAGGUUAAGUAAGGGUUCGCAUGCUAUCAGUAAAAUAUGUUGAUGAAAAAUAAGCACAUUGCAGAUUCAUCAAAUUAAUUCAAGCCACAUGGAAAACCCAUUUAUCCAAACCAAGCAUGAUUAAGAACUAGGAAAUAUAGCGCUUGUAUAUGUUUCUCGUGUAUUAAGUGCAGCCAAAUUCGAUUUAUUCCUCACAUGCACAACAAUAUAAAAUUCUACCCAUGAUAAUUGGACAUCGCAUUGCAGAAUUGAACCAAGCAGUUAACUAAACACCACAACAAAUGAACCAAACAUUAACUGAGCACCACAUUGCACAAUAUAACAUACUCCUAAUAGAAGAUCAGACAGUUAACAAAACCAAGAAUGCUUAACAACAUGGAAAUAUAGCAAUUGUAUUCGUUUCUCAUGUAUUUACUACAGCCAAAUUCAAUUUAUUCCUCACAUGGUAUACAGUAACAGAAUGCACCCAUAACUGUUGAACAUCGCAUUGCAGAAUUGAACCAAAUAGUUAACUAAACAUCACAACACAAAUGAACCAAAUAUUAAUUGAGCACCACAUUGCACAAUGUAUAACCAAACCAAGCAUGCUUGACAAUUUGGAAAUAUAGCAAUUGUAUUCGUUUCUCAUGUAUUUUGUGAAGAUAAAUUCAAUUUAUUUCUCACAUGGAAGACAAUACAAAAUUGCAGCCUGAAGAAUUGAACAUCACAUUUGCAUAAUUGAACCAAACAGUUAACUAAAGACGACAACUAAUUAACAAAAUAGUUAAUAAGUGAGCACCACACUGCACGACAUAUAGAACAUAUACACUAGAGGAACAUAUUGCAUGGUAAAAUUAGAUAGCACAAUUCACUAGAAUUUGUGAAGUAAAGGCAGGAGCAGCACACGCAAUGGGUAAACCGAGCAUGCAUAAUUGGUGUAGCUAGCAAAUGGCAAGGUGUUCCUCCAAGAUCUGGGGGUCGGCACGACUAGCACCCAUCGCGACCUCAUCUACGCGUGUGGCCGCGAUUUCCUUCUCUGCUACCAAAUGCUCCUUGAGAUCUUGGCUAUAGUGCGUGCACCAUGGCUUAGGGAAGCACUUAUUUGGUGGAGGGCUCAGUGAUUUGGGUGGAAGGUGUCGCACCGGCGGCCGGGGCAGGUGGGAUGUGGAAGGAGGAGGAGGAUGGGGAUCGGGUGUGGAUUACCUGCCUGGAUAGACGAGGCCGAGCAGCGUGAAGGUGGGUAGCUGGCGACGAGGCGGCGCUGCAAGCAAGGAGUGAAGGUUUCAACUUGGAAAUGAAGGCGGAAAUAGGGGAAAUGUAGAUUUUGGUAAGGGGGAGGGGGUCGGGAGGUAGAUAUUUCCGCGGAAGCCGAAAAUUUGGAAUCGCUUCAGCGAAAAAACUGGCGCGCAAAGUGUCAUCAGACACGGUCCCUUAUUUAGAACUGUGUACGAUAUGUGAACAUCACAAAUGAUUCAGAUAGCUUAACCCAUGUGUGAUAAGUUUGAACGUCAAAAUUUUUCGUUCGAAUUUCCGUGGUUACAGUGGUCAUCCAUGUCAUUGCGUAAUUUGGGUACACAAAGGAGACUAUAUCACACCCACACUUCUUAAUUGAGCAAGUUCAGCAAUUAAACAAAGCUAGCUAACCUAAACAUUACUCUAACAAAUCAAAGAACGACACUCUUAAUUAAACAAAACAAAGAGUACUACUAUGGCCGGUGCUCGUCGAUCUCCGCCGCCGCCUCCAUGUCCAGCUCACGCCCGCUGGUCUCCCGGGGAAGGGGCUCCAUGGCAUCCAUCGCACCAUAUUCGGCAAGCAUCUCACCAUCCGCGUCUGCCAUCUCUUUGGAAAAGGCUGCCACGAGCUGGGCGUGGGCGGCCGCGAUCUGGGCUUGCACGGGUUCCAUCGUCGCAAGGUAUGCGGUGGAGGAAAUGACGGCUGCUCGAACGCUCUCGGUGAUUGCCAACUCUUCGGCCGUGGGUUGCCGACUGUUGUAGGAGAAGCUUCAUUCGAUUUGUGCAGUGACCGCCAUGAGCUAGGCGUGGGUGGCCUCCAUCAGGGCUAAGGACACCGCUGCGGAAUAGGCAACUACUGUGCCGCUCUCACCAGUUGCUAUCUUCGAGGCAGAUGUUGCCGCCAGCACCUGAGAAGCAACAACGGCAGUUUGGGCUGCCUUGGCUGCCCGGUCAUAGAUUGCCGCCGCGCUCAUGCACCUUGUUAGCAUGCGCAUGGCGGCUGCGGCCGCGCUCUUAUCGGAGUGGGUUAUCGAAGUUGCCCUCACGACGCGGGUCAAUGCGCCCAUCUUUCAUCAACGACGAUUGAACAGUGACAUGAUAUUUGGGGAGCAAGCUAGUGUGCUUGAGACGCCUGCUAUGGAUUGUAGCCGAUGCACCUUCUCGCGUAAGCCAUAGAUGUAGUAUACAUCGACAGUGCUCCAGGAUAUUUUGUGCUGCAUCUCAUACGGUUGGUGAUAAUAAACUGUGUGGGAUCUACUUGAUUUUUCAUCUUGAUUUGAAUUACAUAAUGGGGUCAUAGUGGCAAUGGACCGUGUUUUAAUUGCUACACCUUUUAUCUGCAGUGAACAUGAAACUAUAUGUGUGUCGUAAAAGAAAUGGAAUUAUUCAGGGUUCGCUUGAAAAUUUUACACAUUAAAUUGGUUUUUUAGCCAUUUCAGGUGCACAAUUCAAAAUUAAACUACAUGCACAUGCUCCUGUGCACCAACGUGGGUUGUAAAAUCAUAUAUGUGUCCAUGGGUUUAUGGUUAUGUCCCAUGCAAGAAAAGGGGAUGAAAUUCGAACACCGCGACACCGUGGCUCUCCGGCAAACGUCGACGUACUUGCUUUUGUAAUACUAGUAAAUCCAAAAUUCAUCUGAAAUUCAUGAAACUUGGCAUGCUAUCAUGGAGCGGCAUCAACAUGCUGUGGUAAAUGUUUUGUCCCAUUCGGGGCAGGUUUGGGUAUAAGCUUCUCCUAAACCAGAGCUUCACACAAGUGUGAUGGUUUUGGUAGGUAACGUUUCACCUUUCUGGACAAAACGAUAUCUGUUGCCGCUUCUUGAUUUCAAUUUUUUUCCUAAUGUCAACAUAGAACAACAGGAGUGUUGUGUCAAUUUUUGGGAUUUUUCGGGGUUCGCUUGGACAUUUUCAUACAUUAACUGAGUUUUCUAUGCAUUCAUGUGCAUAAUUCAAAUUUGAACUACAUGCACAUGAUCUAAUGCAUAUAAAUUAGUUGAGAAUUAAAAUAUGUGUCCUUGGUUGCAUGCUUAGGUCCCAUGCAAGAAAUGGGAAUGAAAGUCAAACACCCUGCCACCGUCCAUCGGCCGCAAACAUUGAGAUACCUGGUUUUUAAAUUCUAGUAAAUCCAAAGCUCGUCUGAAAUUCAUGAAACUUGGCAUGCUGUCAUGGAGCGGCAUCAACAUGCCGUGGUAUAUUUUUUUAUCCCUUUUGGGGCAGGUUUGGGGAUAUGCCUCUCAACAACCAGAGCUUCUCACAACAAGCCUGAUGGUUUCGGUAGGGAACGUUUCACCUUUCUAGAUGAAAGGAUAUACAUUGCCUCUCAUCGAUUUCAAUUUUUUUCCUAGUGUCAAGAUAGAACAAUAGGAGUGUUGUGUCAAUUUUUGGGAUUUUUCGGGGUUCGUUUGGACAUUUUUAUGCAUUAAUUGAGUUUUCAAUACAUUUAUGUGCAUAAUUCAAAUUUGAACUACAUGCACAUGAUCUAAUGCAUAUAAAUUGUUUAAAAAAUUCACAUAUGUGUCCUUGGUUGUAUGCUUAGGUCCCAUGCAAGAAAUGGGAAUGAAUGUCAAAGACCCUGCCACCGUCACUCGGCUGCAAACAUUGAGAUACCUGAAUUUUAAAUUCUAGUAAAUCCAAAACUCAUCCGAAAUUCAUGAAACUUGGCAUGCUAUCAUGGUGCGGCAUCAACAUGCCGUGGUAUAUUUUUUAUCCCUUUUGGGGCAGGUUUGGGUAUAUGCUUCUCACGAACUAGAGCCUCUCACAACAAGCAUGAUGGUUUCGGUAGGGAACGUCCCACCUUUGGGGACGAAACGAUAUCCAUUGCCUCUUAUUGCUUUCAAAUUUUUUCUCGUGUCAACAUAAACAACAGGAGUGUUGUGUCAAUUUUUGUGAUUUUUCGGGGUCCGUUUGGACAUUUUUAUGCAUUAACUGAGUUUUUAAUGCAUUCAUGUGCAUAAUUCAAAUUUGAACUACAUGCACAUGCUCUAAUGCAUAUAAAUUGGUUGAAAAUUCAAAUAUGUGUUCUUGGUUGCAUUCUUAGGUCCCAUGUAAGAAAUGGGAAUGAAUGUCAAACACCCUGCCACCGUCACUCGGCCGCAAACAUUGAGAUACCUGGUUUUUAAAUUCUAGUAAAUCCAAAGCUCAUUUGAAAUUCAUGAAACUUGGCAUGCUAUCAUGGAGCGGCAUCAACAUGCCGUGGUAAUUUUUUGUCCCAUUUAGGGCAGGUUUGGGGAUAUGCAUCUCACAAACUAGAGCUUCUCACAACAAGCCUCAUGGUUUCGGUAGGGAACGUUUCACCUUUCUGGACGAAACGAUAUCCAUUGCCUCUUUUCGAUUUCAAUUUUUUUCCUAGUGUCAACAUAGAACAACAUGAGUGUUGUGUCAAUUUUUGGGAUUUUUUGGGGUUUGUUUGGAUAUCUGUAUGCAUUAGCUGAGUUUUCAAUGCAUUUAUGUACACAAUUCAAAUUUGAACUACAUGCACAUGCUCUAAUGCAUAUAAAUUGGUCGGAAAUUCAAAUAUGUGUCCUUGGUUGCAUGCUUAGGUCCCAUGCAAGAAAAGGAAUGGAUGUCAAAAACCCUGCCACCGUCACUUGGCCGCAAACAUUGAGAUACCUUGUUUUGAUAUUCUAGUAAAUCCAAAACUCAUAUGAAAUACAUGAAACUUGGCAUGCUAUCAUGGUGCGGCAUCAACAUGCCGUGGUAUAUUUUUGUCCCUUUUGGGGCAGGUUUGGGUAUAUGCUUCUCACGAACCAGAGCUUCUCACAACAAGCAUGAUGGUUUCGGUAGGGAACGUCCCACCUUUGGGGACGAAACGAUAUCCAUUGCCUCUUAUUGCUUUCAAAUUUUUUCUCGUGUCAACAUAAACAACAGGAGUGUUGUGUCAAUUUUUGUGAUUUUUCGGGGUCCGUUUGGACAUUUUUAUGCAUUAACUGAGUUUUUAAUGCAUUCAUGUGCAUAAUUCAAAUUUGAACUACAUGCACAUGCUCUAAUGCAUAUAAAUUGGUUGAAAAUUCAAAUAUGUGUUCUUGGUUGCAUUCUUAGGUCCCAUGUAAGAAAUGGGAAUGAAUGUCAAACACCCUGCCACCGUCACUCGGCCGCAAACAUUGAGAUACCUGGUUUUUAAAUUCUAGUAAAUCCAAAGCUCAUUUGAAAUUCAUGAAACUUGGCAUGCUAUCAUGGAGCGGCAUCAACAUGCCGUGGUAAUUUUUUGUCCCAUUUAGGGCAGGUUUGGGGAUAUGCAUCUCACAAACUAGAGCUUCUCACAACAAGCCUCAUGGUUUCGGUAGGGAACGUUUCACCUUUCUGGACGAAACGAUAUCCAUUGCCUCUUUUCGAUUUCAAUUUUUUUCCUAGUGUCAACAUAGAACAACAUGAGUGUUGUGUCAAUUUUUGGGAUUUUUUGGGGUUUGUUUGGAUAUCUGUAUGCAUUAGCUGAGUUUUCAAUGCAUUUAUGUACACAAUUCAAAUUUGAACUACAUGCACAUGCUCUAAUGCAUAUAAAUUGGUCGGAAAUUCAAAUAUGUGUCCUUGGUUGCAUGCUUAGGUCCCAUGCAAGAAAAGGAAUGGAUGUCAAAAACCCUGCCACCGUCACUUGGCCGCAAACAUUGAGAUACCUUGUUUUGAUAUUCUAGUAAAUCCAAAACUCAUAUGAAAUACAUGAAACUUGGCAUGCUAUCAUGGUGCGGCAUCAACAUGACGUGGUAUAUUUUUGUCCCUUUUGGGGCAGGUUUGGGUAUAUGCUUCUCACGAACCAGAGCUUCUCACAACAAGCAUGAUGGUUUCGGUAGGGAACGUCCCACCUUUGGGGACGAAACGAUAUCCAUUGCCUCUUAUUGCUUUCAAAUUUUUUCUCGUGUCAACAUAGAACAACAGGAGUGUUGUAUCAAUUUUUGUGAUUUUUCGGGGUUCGUUUGGACAUUUUUAUGCAUGAACUGAGUUUUCAAUGCAUUCAUGUGCAUAAUUCAAAUUUCAACUACAUGCACAUGCUCUAAUGCAUAUAAAUUGGUUGAAAAAUUCAAAUAUGUGUUCUUGGUUGCAUGCUUAGGUCCCAUGAAAGAAAUGGGAAUGAAUGUCAAACACCCUGCCACCGUUACUCGGCCGCAAACAUUGAGAUACCUGGUUUUUAAAUUCUAGUAAAUCCAAAACUCGUCUGAAAUUCAUGAAACUUGGCAUGCUAUCAUGGAGCGGCAUCAACAUGCCGUGGUAAAUUUUUUGACCUAUUUGGGGCAGGUCUGGGUAUAUGCUUCUCACAAACCAGAGCUUCUCACAACAAGCAUGAUGGUUUCGGUAGGGAAUGUCCCACCUUUGGGGAUGAAACUAUAUCCAUUGCCUCUUAUUGCUUUCAAAAUUUUUCUCGUGUCAACAUAGAACAACAGGAGUGUUGUGUCAAUUGUUGUGAUUUUUUGGGGUUCGUUUGGACAUUUUUAUGCAUUAACUGAGUUUUCAAUGCAUUUAUAUGCAUAGUUCAAAUUUGAACUACAUGAACAUGCUCGAGUGCAUAUAAAUUGGUUGGAAAAUCAAAUCUGUGUCAUUGGGUGCAUGCUUAGGUCUCAUGCAAGAAAUGGGAAUGCAUUUCAGACAAUAGGGCACCGUUGAUUGCCGGCAAAACGUUCAAUUUUCUUUAAAUUCUAGUAAAUCCAAAACUCGUCUGAAAUUCAUGAAACUUGGCAUGCUAUCAUGGAAUGGCACCCGACAGGCUGUGGUAUUUUUGUGUCCAUUUUGAGAGAAGGUGCACUCGAAUAACAGCCAAGAAAGGCAUUUUGAAAAAACAGCUGCCACUUUAAUAUCUCAAAUGUUUGUAUAAUUCACACCGUGUGCGUUCUGUUAACCAUUCACGUGACACCAUGUGUCUUGGUUUUAAUGGCUAUAGGAGGUGCGGUGCGGACAGCUGCUUGACCUCGACUGAACGGGAGGCGUGCAAGCGCAGUCUGGUGCACAGGCUGACCGAGAGGCGUGCAAGUUGUCCUCCAAUGCGCAGGCUCACUGGGAAGCGUGCGCGUUGUACGCUUUGCAUGCUCACUUGGAAGCGAGCCCUUUGACUUGCAUGUCCGCCCGCCUUCCUCUCCAUUAAUGGCGCCUGAGCCACUACUUAAUACGGGCAGCCUUACUUUUUGCCACCCAUUUCCCUCCCCCGUAGACCUCCACCAACGCCAUGGCACAGAAGGAUCAUCUGCCACCAGUCUUUAAGUUUGGUGAAGCCGACUCCGAGUCGGAGGAGAUAGAAAAUAAGGAGGAAUGGGGCCUCAUGGACAUGGCCCAGAACGAGCUGGCCGCGACGGUUGCUGCCCCCGCUCCCGUCCCAGCUCCCAUCCCCGCGCCCUCACUAGCGACCAUCCCUGUAGCAUUGACGAGCUGGUCGCCGAGCACUAUCACAGAGCUGGAAGCCUCGGGCGUCAGCGAGGUGUCCGUAGACCCGCGCGAGCUCGUGUACAUGCCAGCGGCAGCACCCGUGCCCGUGCCCAUGCGCGCCCCUCCACCCAGCGUGGCGCCGGUCCCCGUGUGUUUGGCUGCACCCGCCGCGCCCAUGCCCGUGCACGCGCCCCCCUCAGCGGCAUGGGAUGCCGCCGUCAACUGCUACCUCUCAGCGCCGCCAGCUGCCGUCCUCCCGCGCUCCGCCCAUUGAUCGCAAAAUGACAUGAUGUUUGUUUUACAAGUGAAGAACAUUAUGUGAUCCAUUGAAGACUUCAACAACGGCAUCCCGGAGGACGACAAUGACAACGACGGUGCGACACGUGAUAACCCACAAGUAUAGGGGAUCGCAACAGUUUUCGAUGGUAGAGUAUUCAACCCAAAUUUAUUGAUUCGACACAAGGGGAGCCAAACAAUAUUCUCAAGUAUUAGCAGCUGAGUUGUCAAUUCAACCACACCUAAAAACUUAAUAUCUGCAGCAAAGUAUUUAGUAGCAAAGUAAUAUGAUAAUAAUGGUAACGGUAGCAAAAGGUUUCAUUCUAGCAUUAAGGGAUUGCUGCUUCCAUUUAGCUAAUAAUUUCUUAAGAUCACUUCUAUCAUUACAAGCAAGAAUAGCUCUAGCAGAUUCUUCAUCUAGAACAUAACCCUCAGGAACAACAUGCUAUUCGUAAGUACUAGGGGGAGAAUCUUCAUCAUCACUAUCUUCAAUAUAAUCAGUUUCAAUAAUUUCAUUCUCUCUAACCCUAGCAAGUUGUUCAUCAAGAAAUUCAUCAAGUGCCACAGUAGUAUCAAGCAUAGAAGUAGUUUCAUCAUAAGUAUCAUGCAUAGCAGAAGUGGCAUCAUCAAUAACAUGCGACAUAGAAAAACGAAUAGCAGAAGCAGGUUUAGGGGUCGCAAGCUUACUAAAAACAGAAGGUGAAUCAAGUGUAGAGGUAGAUGGCAGUUCCUUACCUCCCCUCGUAGUUGAGGGAUAGAUCUUGGUUUUUGGAUCUCUCAAGUUGAGGGAUAAAUCCCAAGUGACUCAAAGAAUAGAGCUAUGCUCCCCGGCAACGGCGCCAGAAAUUAGUCUUGAUAACCCACAAGUAUAGGGGAUCGCAACAGUUUUCGAGGGUAGAGUACUCAACACAAAUUUAUUGAUUCGACACAAGGGGAGCCAAAGAAUAUUCUCAAGUAUUAGCAGCUCAGUUGUCAAUUCAACCACACCUGGAAACUUAAUAUCUGCAGCAAAGUAUUGAGUAGCAAAGUAAUAUGAUAAUAGCGGUAACGGUAGCAAAAGGUAAUAGUAGCAAAAGUAGUGUUUUUGGUAUUUUGUAGUGAUGAUAGCAAUAGCAACGGAAAAGUAAAUAAGUGAAGAACAAUAUAUGGAAAGCUCGUAGGCAAUGGAUCAGUGAUGGAGAAUUAUGCCGGAUGUGGUUCAUCAUGUAACAGUCAUAACCUAGCGUGACACAGAACUAGCUCCAAUUCAUCAAUGUAAUGUAGGCAUGUAUUCCGAAUAUAGUCAUACAUGCUUAUGGAAAAGAACUUGCAUGACAUCUUUUGUCCUACCCUCCCGUGGCAGCGGGGUCCUAACGGAAGGGAUAUUAAGGCCUCCUUUUAAUAGAGUACCGGACCAAAGCAUUAACACAUAGUGAAUACAUGAACUCCUCAAACUAUUGUCAUCAUCGAUAAGUAUCCCGAUUAUUGUCACUUCGGGGUUAAUGGAUCAUAACACAUAAUAGGUGAAUAUAGACUUGCAAGAUAGGAUCAAGAACUCUCAUAUAUUGAUGAAAACAUAAUAGGUUCAGAUCUGAAAUCAUGGCACUCGGGCCCUAGUGACAAGCAUUAAGCAAAGCAAAGUCAUAGCAACAUCAAUCUCAGAACAUAGUGGAUACUAGGGAUCAAACCCUAAUAAAACUAGCUCGAUUACAUGAUAAAUCUCAUCCAACCCAUCACCGUCCAGCAAGCCUACGAUGGAAUUACUCACGCACGACAGUGAGCAUCAUGAAAUUGGUGAUGGAGGAUGGUUGAUGAUGAUGAUGGCGACGGAUUCCCCUCUUUGGAGCCCUGAACGGACUCCAGAUCAGCCCUCCCGAGAGGUUUUAGGGCUUGGCGGUGGCGCCGUAUUGAAAAACGCGAUGAAUCCUUCUUCUUUAUUUUUUUCUCCCCGAAAGCAAAUAUAUAGAGUUGGAGUCGAGGUCGGAGGAGCUCCAGGGGGCCCACAAGGUAGGGGGCGUGCCCUAGGGGGGGCAGGCGUGCCCCCACCCUCGUGGCUAGGGUGUGGGCCCCCUGGUCUUCAUCUUUUGCAGGGAUUAUUUAUUAUUUCCAAAAAGAUGUUCCGUGAAGUUUCAGGUCUUUCCGAGAACUUUUGUUUUUGCACAUAAAUAACACCAUGGUAAUUCUAUUGAAAACAACGUCAGUCCGGGUUAGUUCCAUUCAAAUCAUGCAAGUUAGAGUCCAAAACAAGGGCAAAAGUGUUUGGAAAAGUAGAUACGACAGAGACGUAUCAACUCCCCCAAGCUUAAACCUUUGCUUGUCCUCAAGCAAUUCAGUUGAUAAACUGAAAGUGAUAAAGAAAAACUUUUACAAACUCUGUUUGCUCUUGUUGUUGUAAAUAUGUAAAGCCAGCAUUCAAGUUUUCAGCAAAGAUUAUGAACUAACCAUAUUCACAAUAACGCAUAGGUCUCAUGUUUACUCAUAUCAAUGGCAUAAUCAACUAGCGAGCAAUAAUAAUAAAUCUCGGAUGACAUCACUUUCUCAAAACAAUCAUAAUAUGAUAUAACAAGAUGGUAUCUCGCUAGCCCUUUCUGAGACCGCAAAACAUAAAUGCAGAGCACCUUUAAAGAUCAAGGACUGACUAGACAUUGUAAUUCAUGGUAAAAGAGAUCCAGUGAAGUCAUACUCAAUGUAAACUAAUAGUAAUGAAUGCAAAUGACAGCGCUGCUCUCCAACUGGUGCUUUUUAAUAAGAGGAUGAUGUCUCAACAUGAAAGUAAAUAGAUAGGCCCUUCGCAGAGGGAAGCAGGGAUUUGUAGAGGUGCCAGAGCUCGGUUUUGAAAUAGAGGUGAAUAAUAUUUUGAGCGAUAUACUUUCAUUGUCAACAUAACAACCAAGAGAUGACGAUAUCUUCCAUGCUACACACAUUAUAGGCGGUUCCCAAACAGAAUGGUAAAGUUUAUACUGCCCCUCCACCAACAAGCAUCAAUCCAUGGCUUGCUCGAAACAAUGAGUGACUCCAACUAACAAGAGUCCCAUGGGGAGUUUUGUUUGCAAUUAUUUUGAUUUGAUUUGCAUAAAGCAUGGGACUGGGCAUCCCGGUGACCAGCCCUUUUCUCGUGAGUGAGGAGCGGAGUCCACUCCUCUUGAGAAUUACCCACCUAACAUGGAAGAUACGGAUAGCCCUAGUUGAUACAUGAGCUAUUCGAGCAUACAAAACAGGAUAUUUAUUUGAAGGUUUAGAGUUUGGCACAUACAAAUUUACUUGGAAUGGAAGGUAGAUACCGUAUAUAGGUAGGUAUGGUGGACUCAAUGGAACAACUUUGGGGUUUAUGGAGUUGGAUGCACAAGAAGUAUUCCCGCUUAGUACAGGUGAAGGCUAGCAAAAGACUGGGAAGUGACCAGCUAGAGAGCGACAACAGUUAUGAACAUGCAUUAAAAUUAAUCAACACCAAAUGCAAGCAUGAGUAGGAUAUAAUCCACCAUGAACAUAAAUAUCAUGAAGGCUAUGUUGAUUUUGUUUCAACUACAUGCGUGAACAUGCGCCAAGUCAAGUCACUUAAAUCAUUCAGAGGAGGAUACCACCCUAUCAUACCACAUCACAACCAUUUUAAUAGCAUGUUGGCACGCAAGGUAAACCAUUAUAAGCUCCUAGCUAAUCAAGCAUGGCACAAGAAACUAUGAUCUCUAGUUGUCAUUGCAAACAUGUUUAUUCAUAAUAGGCUGAAUCAGGAACGAUGAACUAAUCAUAUUUACAAAAACAAGAGAGGUCGAGUUCAUACCAGCUUUUCUCAUCUCUGUCAGUCCAUCAUAUAUCGUCAUAAUUGCCUUUCACUUGCACGACCGAAUGAUGUGAAUAAUAAUAAUAGUGCGCGUGCAUUGAACUAAGCUGGAAUCUGCAAGCAUUCAAUAAACAGGAGAAGACAAGGCAAUAUGGGCUCUUUUGUCAGAUCAACAAUUAGGCAUAUAAGAGCCACUUCAACAUUUAAUCAUGGUCUUCUCCUAUCGACCCCAAAGAAAAGAAAUAAAACUAUUUACACCGGAAAGCUCCCAACAAGCAAAAGAAGAACAUGAUAUCUUUUUGGGUUUUCUUUUUAAUUACUACUACAAGCAUCAAAAGUAAACUAAUUAAAAGCUACAACUAUUUUUUUGGGUUUUCUCAAGGUUUAUUAGACACACAAGAACAAAGCAUAAAAAGGGAAUAAACUAGCAUGGAUGAUACAAUGAAAAAGUAUGAGCACCAACAUCUAGCAAUGAGUGUGUGAACAUAAAUGUAAUGUCGGUGGGAAAUACGUACUCCCCCAAGCUUAGGCUUUUGGCCUAAGUUGGUCUAUGGCCGCGGAUGGCCUGGCGGAUAUCCAUAAUAAUAGUUGGGGUCGUACUGCGAAGAAGAAGACUCUGAUUGCCACUGGUUGUCAAUCAUCUCCGGAUCCCACUGGUAAUUAGACUGUCGUGGAGGAUCAACUUGUGGUUCCGACUCUGGCUUUGCGGCCGAUGCAGGGUUCCGGUAGGCGUGAAUAUCCUCUGGCGAGAUGAGGUACUGGCCUGCAGAUAAAUCAAACAAGGAAGGAGCAGGCAAGGUAAUAGUCUCUGGAUGAUGUUUAUCAAAGAACAAUUUGUAUUUAAGCUCCCCUUCCCUAUUCUUUAUAAUGAAAUCAUGUGCUACCAUACUCUUAUAAUCUAAAUAAACAGUAGGCAUCAGUUUUUCUUCUUUUUCAUAGUGCCUAAUAGGUAUGUUAUAAUAUGCAGCAAGGCGUGAAGCAUAGAUACCACCAAAGAUGGGUCCUUUUGUAUGGUUCAGACUUAACCGUUUAGCAAUAAUACCGCCCAUACUCACAGAGUUGUCACAUAAUAAACCAUGGAGCAAAAUAAUAAUAUCAGGAACACUAAGGUUUCCACAGUUUCCGCGACCAAUUAAGCAACGACUAGCAAAUAUUUCAAAGUAGCGUAAAAUAGGAAAAUGUAUGCUAGUGAUUCGUGCAUCGGAAACCUUCCUCGUUUCCCCUACAGUGAUGGUAUUAAUAAACCCAUCCACAUCGUCACGAUAUGGUUCCUCUAUUUUGCCCUCGAAAGGGAUCAAACAAACCUAUUGGGGAUAUAGCUACCAGGUAUGACCCGCCCAGGAGGGGCCAGGUCAGCCCCAAUGGCGGGUCACAAAGAAAGCCCGGUAAACAUUCAAGGCGAUAGUUUAUUAAGGCUUAUAGAAGGCCUAAGCCUAGAGGCAGCUUAAGGCCCAAUAUUGUAAACCGCCGUAUGUAAGGAAAGACUUGUAAGGAAAGGCAUAUAAAAGAAGUCACUCGAGCCGGACACGCUUUAUGAGCCGGCCGGGACUCCGUAGGCCGUCAGGCGUCAACCCGUGUAUAUAAGUGGACGACCCGGUGGCAUCCUAGGGCAAGAAACAAGAGAUCGAUAACCAAGCCGGCGGAUUAGCCUCUUGGUGAUUGAAACCCCAACAAUUCCAACAUAACUAGACGUAGGCUUUUACCUUCAUCGUAAGGGGCCGAACUAGUAUAAACCUCUCAUGUCCCUUGUCUCGAUUAACCCCUUUAAGCUUCCUGGUUGCGAUGGCCCUAUGACUAAGUCCUUUUGCUAGGACAUCUGCCAUGACAAUUCCACGACAGUUGGCGCCCACCAUGGGGCCAGCGCACGGUGGAUUAGAGUUCUUGAAGGGUAACUUCGAAGGGCUCACGGGAUACGUUGAGGGCCGGAUGACCAAGAGUCAUCGCGGAAAGCUCUACAUCAACGACGAAGGCUGGGGCCCCGAGGCCGGCACAAUUGAGUAUGGCUACUGGGUCCCCUUUGGCGGAAUUCAUGUCUUCAUCGGCCGGAUCAGCGAAUUGGGCCCUGAGCCGGACGUCUGCACCAACAUUAUCGAGACGGCUCAGUGCGCGAGACCCGCACGGACCCGACCCGCCGUAACGCGUGCCUUUGUGGGUUGCAUCCAUGGAGGUGAAUACUCGGACGAGUCAGUGGAUGGCGGUGAGACGGCCAUCUGUUCUGAUGCUACGUCAUCAACAGGUGAGACGGAUUCUUUGUAUCAGCUGCAGGAUGGCAUGCUGGGGGGCAGUUCCGAUGGCAGUAGUAUUCCGGACCCGUCUGAGCCACUGAAUCGAGCCGGAGUCUUCAUGGCAGGCACUCGGCCUGGGCAGAACUCCACGGCUACAACAGCAACAACCACUGGGUCAGCAGUGGCCGGGUUAGGAGACCCCACGCGCCCCCGUCUCAGAUACUAAUGGAUCUCACGGAUAAGCUGGCAGCUCUGUUGACUGUCGUGGUGGAGCCAGCAGAUAAGGUUCAACAUGACGCGGAGGUGGUACGGGUACGCGAAGAGAUGGCACCGGCCAAGGAAAAUUUAGCAGCAGAAGAGGUCAGGAUGGCCAUGGAGCGGGCGGCUUUGGACGCUCGGGCUCAGCAGCUUCAAGCGGAGACUUUCCGGAUCUCGGUAGAUCUGAACGCGUCAAACGAGGUCAUGAGGAGAAGGCAUCAGAAAACUCAGUCACGUCUACCUCUAACGCUCGAUCCUAGGAACCUUUUCCAUACACCCGGGGCCGGUUCAAGUAACCCGCCGGAGGCAAACCGGAUCACCACACCCAGAGCACUAGUUCAGGCGCGGGCCAUGGACCCACCUCGCAUGUAUACCGCUCCGCCUCAUUAUGCGCCAACACCACCGGGCCAUUUCUCCAAUCCUUUGGAAAACCUCAUCACUGCGUCGACUCGUUUGGCGGCUCUCCCGAUGGAAGGUGACUCUCCGGCAGCAAUGGAAACACGAAGGGUGAGAGAACUUCUUUAGACGGCUCUGGCGCAGCAGGAUGCGUACUCUUACAAUCGAGACAGAAUCCAUUCAACCCCUCGCCCGAGCCGGAGCCCGAGCUAUAGCAGGCAUAUGGACUCAGCUGAUAUGUCCAGUAAUGCUCAACGCGGCAAUCAACCGCGCAUGCAUGAGCCGGUACAGGCUAGAGCCCUUAAUUUAGCGGAUUAGGAGAGGCUCCGACAAGAGGCUGAGCGGGCGGUUCAACUGGCAGCUGAGCAGGCGACUCAUCAAACUUUUCUGGCUUAUGCAGCAACCUCUGUUGAGGUAGGAGUAGCCACAAGAACAGGAGGUGUCCCUUGCAUGGUGUCGGUCAUACGUAAUCAACGCUUGCCAAAAGACUUCAAGGGGCCUCGUAAGGUGCCUAACUACACGGUCGAUUUGUAGCCUGGGGCCUGGAUUGAGAGUUAUGAGAUGGCGAUGGAGCUAUUGGAGGUCAGCGAUGCAGCAAUGGCUAAGUAUUCCACUAUGAUGUUGGAUGGAACGGCUCGCACUUGGUUGAAAGGAUUACCCCCCAAUUCCAUCGGCUCAUGGGCGAAAUUAAAGUCCCGGUUCAUUCAAAACUUCAAGGAGACAUGCAAACAACCUAUGUCAAUCGUGGACCUGACUAAUUGUAAGCAAGAGGAAGGUGAAUCCAUAACCCAUUGGGUGCGCCGGGUCAAUGAGAUAAUACAUUCAUCUGAUAAGAUGGAUGCCGACUCGGCAGUCUUAAUGUUGGAGAAAAAUUGCCGUUUUGAACCUCUAAAGCAGAAGCUGGGGCGGCUCAAGCGAGACUGCAAUGACAUGGGCCAGUUGAUGGCGGCUCUAGUCAAGUAUGGUGAUUCUGAUAGUACCAAGGACCCCGUGUCUGAUGAAGAAAAAAUAGGGAAGGGAAAGAAGAACGACAAUGGCAAGGGUCACCAGCAUAACCCGACAAAUCAAGGAGGUAAUAAACGUAAGACUGAUGAAUUUGUGGCUAACACCAAUGCACAGGGCAACAAUCAAGGGUAGGCAACCCCCUCAGUCGGGUGGGUCAGGUCCCACCCUCGAGCAACUAUUGAAUGAACCUUGUCCAAGACACGACACCCGAGAGAAGCCGGCCACCCAUCUGUGGAAGGACUGUACAAUCAUGAAGGCAUUUAAAAAUUCAGAUGCAUUUGAUGGAAGUCACGGGCCUGGCGGCGGUUCAGGUGGAGGCGGCUUUCGUGGCCCGGGCACCAGUUCAGGUGGAGGCGGCUUCACAGUCAGGGCCAUACGGGUAACCAGGGAGGUUAUAAUCCACAACCCAGCCAAGGUAAUCAAAAGCAACAGUCCGGAUAUCAUAGCAACCCAAAACAGUUGAAUAGUGGGCAAUACCAUGUAUUUACCACUAGUUUAUGCAAGAGGGACCAGAAGCUUCAUAAGAGGGCUGUCAAUGCCGUUAAGCCGGCGAUUCCAUGUUAUUUAAGGUGGUCAGAACAGCCUAUUGUGUGGAGCAGAGAAGAUUGUCCUCCCCGGGUUGAUAAUCCGGGUCACUUGGCCUUGGUGGAUAUAAAUUCACUAAAGUGCUCAUGCAUGGAGGCAGUAGCAUCAACAUCCUCUACUAUGAGACGUUCCGUCGGAUGGGAUUGACUGAUAAGAGUCUUAAGCAAUCCAACACUGUUUUUCAUGGUGUUGUACCUGGCAAAUCGGCAUACCCAGUUGGUAAGAUUGAACUGGAAGUAGCCUUUGGGGAUGAAUAUGAUUCCAGAGCGGAGAAGUUAACUUUUUAGGUGGUUAAGAUCAAAAGCCCAUAUCAUGCUCUAUUUGGACGGACGGCUUACGCCAAGUUCAUGGCUCGGCCGUGCUAUGUAUAUCUGCAUCUCAAGAUGUCGGGUUAUAAGGGCACCAUUACAGUACAUGGAAGCCGGAAAAUAGCCCUGGAGUGUGAAGAAGGAGAUGUUGCAUAUGCUGAGUCUGUUUGUGCAAUAGAGGAGCCAAAGUUUUAUAAAGAUAAUGUUGACCCGACAGACAUGACGUCUUUAAAGAAGCCAACAAUGGAGCAUGAACCGAUGUUGAAAUUCAAGUCAGCUGAUGACACCAAGACGGUUGAUUUUGUGCCCGGCGACUCAUCCAAGCAGUUCAUCAUCAGUCCAAUUUGGAUCCAAAAUAGGAAAACGAGCUCAUCGAGUUCAUCCGUGAGAACCGGGACAUCUUUGCAUGGAAACCUUCUGACAUGCCGGGUGUCCCGAGAGAACUCACUAAGCACACUCUUAAUAUUGGUCUGUCAAAGGAACCAAGCAUUUCCAUGUCAAAGGGAAGCUCGCACCAAGAUUUAUCGGCCCUCUCCAAGAUCACUUCAAGACGAAGAAUAGACAGCUACCAGCAAGAGUUACCACCUGAGUCACCCACUAUGCACAACAUUUUCCAUGAGUCACAGCUUUGGAAGUGCUUCCAACUUCCUAACCAACCCGAUCCCUACAAGGACAUUGAUCACCGAGCCAUUGACCUCCAGCAUAAUAUGACUUACGCGAGAGACCCCAAUGGCAAUAUGGAUCAAGCAGGAUGUCAUACACGAAGCCACACCAUCAAGUACUUCAAGGUUCAAUGGAGCACCACUCGGAAGCACAAGCGGUAUGAGGACGUGAAGACUACCCAUGGAUCCAGUUUUCGUAUUCCUUUUCAUGACUAGUUUGGGAAUAUCGGGGACGAGAUUCUUGUAAGGGGGGUAGGUCUGUCACACCCUGAUUUUCAUGCCACAACACUUAAGCUAAUAAAUCAUGAUAAAGUGUGGUUUGACAAAAACUUUUGCAUUAUUUGGCUUUUAUUUGGAUUUGGUUUUCUCUCUGUGUUUUUCAAGUGCUCUUUAAAGCCAACACAACUCCCCCUCCCAUACUUCAUCUCCUUGCCCCAAACUUCUGCCUAAUGAUCAUGCCAUGUGUAUAGUGCAAUACAGUAUUUUCUUACAAAAAUAAUUUGGCCAAAUAAUAUUUUUCAAAAAAUAGUUUUCCAAAACCCCCUGAAUUGAGGUUUGCACUACAAGUACUUGAUUUGGGGUUUGAAAAAUAUUUCAAAGAGUAUAUUUGAAACCUAGUAGAUAUAGGACUCCCAUAAACCACAAAAAAUAUAAUUUUAAAAGUUAUUUUCCUUUUUUAUUUAAAAGCUUUUUCUUAAGGCCAGAAAUGGUCUUUAAUAGGGAAAGAUUAUUUUAUUGUUUCAAAAUAUUUGACAAAAAUCAGGGAUACUCAGUGGACAUAUAUUUUCCAUAUAUAAGAGUUUCAACACAUGGUCAUGUUCAAAAUAUUGGGCAAAAUUAUCCAAAACCAUUUCUGUCCAUUUCAAAUAUUUGAAAUAUUUCUACAAGAAAUAUUUUCAAAUAAAUCCAGGAAAAUUCUAGAAAGUCACAUAUGCAUAAUGUGAUGAUCUUGAAAAUUUUCAUAUCAAUCAAAAUAAUUUUGGUUCACAAAAGUGCCCCAAAACCCUUUCUGUCCAGAUCCAAGUUUGAACAACUCUAGAUUGCCAACUUUCUCCAUUUGAUCCCAAACUUUGUGGACAUUAUCAAAUACCCAAAUGAUGAAACUACACCAAGUGGUGCAUCAAGGAGAAUAUUUUUGGAUGACUAGAUCUUGAAAAACCCAUUUCUGUUGAUUUUUAGGGUUUACAAAAGUUGCAUUGGAAACUUUACCCAAAUGAAGUCAAAUUUGGUGGAACACCCUAUUUCUAUGUGACAUUCCAUCCUGUUAAGUAUCAUGGGAAGUGGGAUUCAUUUUCUUGCCCAAACCAGCAAUAAAGACAUUCUGACGCUUUAGCAAAAUGCCAUCUUAGACCUUUUCCAAUAAUCUCCAUGGGCUCAACUUUGUACUACAGCUACUCCUGACCCUCUUCUACCUCCAGUAACUUUCCCCUGGCCAUUGCUCAAUGAUUGAGGGGUGAAACACCCCCAUUUACAUCCCUGGACAGCAGCUUCUCUCUCUCCCUCAACCUUCCUCCUCAUUCUAGUGGCUCCCCAGGGCAUCCAAGGCCAUAGCCCACUUCUUUACUUCCCCCUAGAGCUACCAGACACCUUUGGCCGCGCCCACAUUGCAUAAAAAAUGGCCACGCCAGCCAUUUCGGCACUCUGGAGCGCACUAUAGUGUGCUCCCGCACUGUAGCCGCCCUUGCCAACCACUCCCGGCCACCUCGGGCCUCCCUAGAGCGCCCGACGAUGUGCCUCGGUGUCUGCGUCAUGCUAAACCCCUGUCCCCCUCCUCCUUCUCCCUCCUGCUGCCCUUCCUCACACGUGCACCGGCCGCCCGAGAGCUCCAAUGAGCGGCCUCACACGCGCGUCAUCUCUGGACUUACCCCGCUCUCUCCCUUAGCUCCCCUCGGCUUAGUCCACGCCCAGCAACACCCCAGACACGGCGCCAGCUCCUCUCGAGCCCUGUGGCGACGAGCAGGAGCUCGCCGACGCACGGGUCCACGGCACUCCGCCGUUCGCCUAUUUAAGGGCCUCCCCGAGCCUCUCCCUCACCACCACCCACUCCUACCUACUCCAUAUCGGCCCCCUGUGCCCUCCACUCUCCUCUAGGAACAUCCGAGCUCGAGAUCGAGCUCAAGCUCCACCGCCUCGGGCCGCCGUCGAUCUCAGGGUAAAGGCCCUCUCUGCCGCUCCUCUUCCUUGAUCUAGAACCUCCGCGGCUCACUAAUCAUUUCCACUUUCCUCCCCGCUUCUUUUGCAGCCGGAAAUGGCCGGAACCGCCGCCUCCCGAACCUCUUCUGCUGGUUUCCUCGUCGCCGGCGAACCCCUACACUCCAGAGACCACCUCCACCUCCACCCGAACGGCGUCUCCGCCCUGAGCACGCCGGUGCCCUCGGAUCGCCUUGCCAUCGACCACAGUGACGCCGGUGAGCUCGCCUCCCUCUCUGGCCCGAGGUUGAAGACGACGGCCGUGGGGCCCGUUGAUCAGCCUCACACUCUGAUGGGUGGGCCCCACCCGUCAGGUUUAAAAACGCACGCGUGCGCACCGGUUCGCUGCGCCGGCUAGAGGCGUAUUUCCCAAAUACGCCUUCGACGUGGCAGCCUUGCGCGGGCUGGAUUCCCCCUGGGCCUGCUGCACUGUGGCCGAAUAGGCCCAGCUGCACAGUGGCCUUUUUCAUUUUCUUUUUCUAUAACUUUUCCAAAAAUUCCUCAUGAUUAAAUAAUAAUCCAAAUGAAAUAAUUCCAACUCCUAAAUUCUUGUAAUAAUCCCACCUAUUUAUUGGUGCAGUUUUCACUCUUAUCAAACCAACUUUUCUUCACUUUUCAAAUUUAAAUUUGAAUUUGAGCAUUUAUGCCUGUCAUUUAAAAUUCCUAGCACUAUUUCCAUGACUCCAAAUCCAAAACUAGGAAUUUCCCCUUCUUAGUUUUUACCCUAGUAUUUAACAAAAAUGAGUUGACAUUUUUCUAAGCACUUUGGUUUUUCUGUUUUAUUAUUGCCUUAUUUUUUUCGCUAUUAUUUUGCGAUGAUAGAUUGCGUUGCUGACAAAGGAGUUGGACCAGAAGACUUCGAAGACCCAGAAUACCUUGCUGAGCUAGGCAAGUAGCCCUUUGACCAUGUCUAAGAAACCCUUUUUGUGCAUAUCAUAUGGCACUUUCAUUGCUUGCAUCGAAGUCAUGAUAAUGUGGUGACCACUUGAGGUGGUUUGCCACCGUUACUUCCUCGUUGAUACUUGCAUGGUGCACGACCCUACCUCCUUAUGAGGGUUAUGCCGGUGGGAGUAGGUAGGAUGCUGGAGUAGUUGCUACGCAAAAAGGGACGAGAAUAUGCAUGGAGAUGAAGGAAAAGUAUUUUCAAAAGACUUUUUCGGAAAACCCUGUCGGGUGCCACUUAUGCCCGAGGGAGAUAAUGAGUUGGGUAAACGCAUGAUGACGAAGUGGUGUACCGAGGCAAGUGUGUGUGUUGUUUUCGAAAACGGAUUAGAUUUAAGAUUUGUCGACUGUCCCAACCUUACAUGCGCAACCACUCUACCCUUAUAUGGGAAAGGGCAUUAUUCAUUACCUAGGCCGAUACUAGCUUGGAGCCCGCAUUACUAGUGACGAGAGAGUUGUUGUUGCGCUCUCUCGGGACGGGGUCGUGCCAGGUAGGGCGGCCAUGACUGUUUUCAGAGGGCGCCCGACACACCGUUGGUACCCCGUGCUUGUGGUAUGUGAUGAAUAUGGGAGCAAGGCUCCACAAUUUUAAGAUGUGAAAUGUUGGGCAUGGGGGUUACUACCAAUCGAGUGGACUCUAUGGUAGUGUCGUCUAGGGAAAGAUAGUGAUCGGGUUCUUACCCCGGGUACUUGAGGUACCGCGGGUCGUGGAUGACACGGAAGUUCCCCGAAUCUUGUGGGUAAAGUGUGCAACCUCUGCAGAGUGUAAAACUAUUCGAAUAGCCGUGUCCACGGUCAAGGACAGUUGGGCGGUGCUGCUUAAACUACGUCCACUUGUUUACAAACCAGUGUGUGUGGGAAGAACUACUUGGGUCAAGUCAAAGGACUUGACAUGGAUGAGUUGGGUUGGAGCCCACUCCCUUUAUGUUGAUAUGUGUAACCAGCCCCUAUGGUUACUUGAAUUCAAACGAUGCAUGAUUUAGCAGUUAUUGAGCAUGUCAUAACACAACAAAAUUAGCUUUCUGCAAAAAUUUACCUAUGUCAUGCAUUGUUGUAUCUUGAGCCAAAAUAUGGGUUGCUUGCGAGUACAUUCAAAGUACUCAUUGGCUUGCCACUGGUUAUUUAACUGGUCAGGCAUGGAAGAACAGGAGUUCGAUGAAGAGUUCUUUGGAGACGAACAUGCGAACUAGGACGUUUCUCAGUCAGAAUGCAUGUAGGGUUAAGGUAGAUGGCAUGGGUUCUACUUAUCGAUGAACAUUUCUGCUGCUUAAGUUUAUUUGGUAUUCAACCCUUGUGGCUUUAUCUAUGUAAGACUUGACCAUAAUGGUCAUAAUUUGUGUAAGACGGUAUGUAUGGAUGUAAGACUCUUGUUAUUCAGCUUCUGUGUGUUCAGUGAGCAUUGAUCUCUGGGAUCACUGUACACAUGCAUUCGGUGAUCACGACUUAUGAGUCGGGGUCCCCACAGAGCUGGUAUCAGAGCCAUCCUGACUGUAGGAAGCCUUAGUUAGCAUGGGCGUUAGAUAGGACAAAACCCAUUUGCAAGACCCUCUAUACUCCUCUUCUUUGCUGAGAUUUCCCAAACCUAAGGGAUAUUUCUCCUUAUUGACCUCCCCUAUUCAACUUUUGUAGAUGGCCGUCACCCCCUUGAGCCUCCUUAUGACAGGAUUCCCAUCACUCCUAAAAGACUGCCUCCAACAAUGCCACUAUCCCUUGCUGCCCAUGUACACCCUGCAUGAACUGAAAAAUGAUGUGCUCGAGAAGGAGUUCUACGCCAAGGUUUUUGUGCCUGCCAAGACCUCACCCCAGGGGUGGUUCUUCAUUGGACCACCCAUGCCAACAAGAGACCUGGCCAUUCAGCAAGUGGCAUAUGAAGCGUUCCUCCGUCUUCGAGACCUCCUUCCAGAAAUGAAAGAAGAACAUGCCACCCGCUACCUACCGGGCAAGAACGGAUUUGGAGCCCCAAAUCAAGUGAUGAUUUCCCCAGAAGAUGAGGAUCCAACUCUCAAGUACCAAAUCUGCUUCAUCAACACAAGAGACCACCUUCUACAUCACCUUACCGAAGCAUUCCUUAAGGCUCGCCAAGACCUCCCUUCACUUCUGCACCUCCACUGCCUCGAGAAGUAGAAGGUGGCCGAGCGAGGACAGAAAAUCACUACCUUACAAGCCCACAUUGCCAAUCAGGAGCAACAAAUCGAGGAACUUCAGAAAACCCGCAACCAAACCCCACGCAUGAGGCAUAGGAAUGAAUUUCCAUAUCCACCUCAUAGAAGAUCGUCGUCAGGCCACCAACGACAUAACCCAAGACUGAAUGACAACCUUUUUGCUUCCGUCACUUGUCACAGGUGUGGUGAACUUGGGCACAUUAAAAGGAUGUGUCCCAACAGCUGGCCGACUGUCGCAUACCCAUUGGCACCACAAGGGGAACCCAGAAACUCAAGGCUGAAUGCCCUUCUCUCCGAGCAAGCACGACUACCAAGUCCGAGAACCCCUAGGGUAGGAUGAGUUGUGUACCCCCAUAUGCGUAGUCGAGUCCGUGUGAUGGUUCGAAUGGAACCACGUUCUGUGCUGCAUGUUUUUACUUGUUUGUGUUUUGAUAUAAGUCGCACAUUUGCCCUAGGCAGCUUGUACGCGACUGUAUCACCUAUCAUGUCUUAAUGGAACUGUGUGUGGCCUUUACGGCACUUGUUUGUUUACACUUGCACCAUAAAACCCCCUUUAGGCAUCCCCCCUUCUAUGCUACUUCUCCCUCUCAUCUCUGAAGACUAGCAAGACAAAAUGCACUAAGGAUUCCACCUUGGCAAGCAACUGACACUGAGGACUUUUGCUAUAGCCUCCUCGGCCAGGUGCAAUCCCGUAGUAUUACCCCUCAUGACUGGAAACCCCAUCCCUAGACCCUUCGAGACUUCAUGAGAUACCCCAGCUCGAGUCCUUAACCAUGUGCUUAACCCACAUAAUUGCAAGAGGACCAUUUAAGCCUCUGUAAACCUUGCACAACACCGGGUUCAUUAUGGAACUAGCGGACAUAGUGAAAAGCACAUUAUCAUCCUAAUAUAGCACCAGAACUGAUGAUGCCAUAGGGAAGACCAGUUUGAGGAUAUAGGAAUAGAGGACAAAUGUCUUGAUGAGUUUAUAUCAACGACUUUGAGGAAUUAUAUGAGACUAUUUGGUGGAUUAUGAGGCUUUCAUGUUGGCAGAUGAACUUGGUGGGAUCAUGCUUAUGGAGUAGCAUAACAUUCCUUACCCUUGAGUAAACUGGAUUUAGUAGGACAAUUAUGAUCGCAAGCUGGAAUUCUUGGGAGUAUAUGGAUUUAACUUAGCCAUGGGAUAUUGAUAGGAGACAGUUAUUAUCACGUAAAUGACUUGGGGGAAACAUGUAGGAAUUCUCGUUGUACAUGAGAUUUGGAUUUAAAUAGGUGAUCCUAGUUGAGUAUAGGUGGCGAGUAAGUCUACAUGGUUCGGAGUAAAUUGGAUUUAGAAUGAUGAUCUCGAUCAUGAUACCAUGUUUCUUGGAGGACAAUAAACUAGGAGAUUGGAUUAACUGUCGAAGAUGAUAUAAGCUUGAUCUUGGAGUUUACUUGAUCGUGAUAAUGGUAAUUGGUGGGUUGACUCUAGUAAGGAUAUCCUUUCAAGUAUUUGGGGAUUAUAUGGACUUUAGGAGAUCAUGUGGAACACCAUAGACACUAGGAUUUGUAGAAUUAAAGGAUUAUGUAGUGAUUAAUGGAAGUUAACGGGUUGUUGGAGUUGAUUCAUAGGAAGGGAACAAGAUUUUGGAGUGGCAUACGACGUGUUUCCUUAGGAUAGAGAUACACCAACAUGGACCUUGGAAGAAUAGGAUGAGCACUUGGAUUGUUGUGUUUUAUUCCCGCUUGGAAGCUUGUAUGCUCUGCCCAUGGAUUUUUAGGGGUAGCCAUACAUAUGAGUUUGGGGAUCGUAGACAUAUAUGAUUUUGUUAGACCUCCUCUCGGGAGUCACGAGAAUAUGGAUCACAUGAGUGAUGAUUGGAUUUGACCUAUACGAAAUAAUGCUUUCGGUGGUAUAAGGUUAUUUGUUUGAAGGACUAGAUAGACUAUUGCCAUCUCAGGAAUUGUGCUCAAGGAUAAGAUAAAUGUUCACUCACACCCUAUAAUCCUUGAAACCCUUAAGCCCUACCAAGCUACAACAUGGUCGUAUCAUGACCAUGGGUCUUGACUCUAGAUCGAGAACACCUUGGGCCAUACUCAACCGUUACCACCACCAAUGCCCCAGCCUACCUUAUGUACCCCAUGAACAGAAACUUCAUGGAGUACUUGGUCAUGUUGGUUGUCACUUUUACUUGGUGACCUACUCGUCUAACUGAAGAUGGAAGAAGAAUCAUUUAGCUGGUUAGGAAACAUGUGAAGACCGCCAUGCCAAGGAGGAAGAACUAUCGUCAAGGAGUGAACUUUCUCGUCGAUGACCAGGUGUAUCUGCAAGCCACUUCUCUCAAAGGAACCAAGCAUUUCCAUGUCAAAGGGAAGCUCGCACCAAGAUUUAUCGGCUUUCUCCAAGAUCACUGCAAGACGAAGAAUAGACAGCUACCAGCAAGAGUUACCACCUGAGUCACCCACUAUGCACAACAUUUUCCACGAGUCACAGCUUCGGAAGUGCCUCCAACUUCCUAACCAACCCGAUCCCUACAAGGACAUCGAUCACCGAGCCAUCGACCUCAAGCCCAAUAUGAAUUACGCGAGAGACCCCAAUGGCAAUAUGGAUCAAGCAGGAUGUCAUACACGAAGCCAUGCCAUCGAGUACUUCAAGGUUCAAUGGAGCACCACUCGGAAGCACAAGCGGUAUGAGGAUGUGAAGACUACCCCCGGAUCUAGUUUUCGUAUUCCUUUCCAUGACUAGUUUGGGAAUCUUGGGGACGAGAUUCUUGUAAGGGGGGUAGGUCUGUCACACCCUGAUUUUCAUGCCAUAACACUUAAGCUAAUAAAUCAUGAUAAAGUGUGGUUUGAUAAGAACUUUUGCAUUAUUUGGCUUUUAUUUGGAGUUGGUUUUCUCUCUGUGUUUUCCAAGUGCUCUUUAAAGUCAACACAACUCCCCCUCCCAUACUUCAUCUCCUUUCCCCAAACUUCUGCACAAUGAUCAUGCCAUGUGUAUAGUGCAAUAUAGUAUUUUCUUACAAAAAUAAUUUGGCCAAAUAGUAUUUUCAAAAAUUAGUUUUCCAAAACCCCCUGAAUUGAGGUUUGCACUACAAGUACUUGAUUUGGGGUAUGAAAAAUAUUUCAAAGAGUAUAUUUGAAACCUAGUAGAUAUAGGACUCCCAUAAACCACAAAAAUAUAAUUUUAAAAGUUAUUUUCCUUUUUUAUUUAAAAGCUUUUUCUUAAGGCCAGAAAUGGUCUUUAAUAGGGAAAGAUUAUUUUAUUGUUUCAAAAAUAUUUGACAAAAAUCAGGGAAACUCAGUGGACAUAUAUUUUCCAUAUAUAAGAGUUUCAACACAUGGUCAUGUUCAAAAUAUUGGGAAAAAUUCUCCAAAACCAUUUAUGUCCAUUUCAAGUAUUUGAAAUAUUUCUACAAGAAAUAUUUUCAAAUAAAUCCAGGAAAAUUCAAGAAAGUCACAUAUGCAUAAUGUGAUGAUCUUGAAAAUUUUCAUAUCAAUCAAAAUAAUUUUGGUUCACAAAAGUGCCCCAAAACCCUCUCUGUCCAGAUCCAAGUUUGAACAACUCUAGAUUGCCAACUUUAUCCAUUUGAUCCCAAACUUUGUGGACAUUAUCAAAUACCCAAAUGAUGAAACUACACCAAGUGGUGCAUCAAGGAUAAUAUCUUUGGAUGACUAGAUCUUGAAAAACCCAUUUCUGUUGAUUUCUAGGGUUUACAAAAGUUGCAUUGGAAACUUUACCCAAAUGAACUCAAAUUUGGUGUAACACCCUAUUUCUAUGUGCCAUUCCUGUUGGGGAACGUUGCAGAAAACAAAAAAUUUCCUAUGGUUUCACCAAGAUCCAUCUAUGAGUUCAUCUAGCAACGAGUGAUUGGAUGCAUCUACAUACCUUGUAGAUCGCGAGCGGAAGCGUUCAAAGAACGGGGAUGAGGGAGUCAUACUCGACGUGAUCCAAAUCACCGGAGAUCCUAGCGCCGAACGGACGGCACCUCCGCGUUCAACACACGUACGGUCAGCGUGACGUCUCCUUCUUCUUGAUCCAGCAAGGGGCAAGGAGAGUUUGAGGAAGAUGGCUCCAGCAGCAGCACGACGGCGUGGUGGUGAUGGAGCUGCAGUACUCCGGCAGGGCUUCGCCAAGCUCUAUGGAGGAGGAGGAUGUGUUGGAGAGGGAGAGGGAGGCACCAAAGGCAAAGGUAAGAGGUCCUCCAUCCCCCUACUAUAUAUAGGGGGCCCUAGGGGGGGGGGGCGCCGGCCCUAGGAGAUGCAAUCUCCUAGGGGGGCGGCGGCCAAGGGGUGGGGGGCUUGCCCCCCAAGCAACGGGGCGCCCUCCCUUUAGGGUUUCCCCCACCCUAGGCGCAUGGGCCCUAGGGGAAGUGGCGCCCCAGCCCACUUUGGGCUGGAUACCUUCCCACUUCAGCCCAUGGGGUCCUCCGGGAUAGGUGGCCCCACCCGGUGGACCCCCGGGACCCUUCUGGUGGUCCCGGUACAAUACCGGUGACCCCGAAACUUGUCCCGACGGCCGAAAUAGCACUUCCUAUAUAUAAUUCUUUACCUCCGGACCAUUCUGGAACUCCUCGUGACAUCCAGGAUCUCAUCCGGGACACCGAAUAACAUUCGGGUUACUGCAUAUACAUAUCCCUACAACCCUAGCAUCACCGAACCUUAAGUGUGUGGACCCUACGGGUUCGGGAGACAUGUAGACAUGACCGAGAUUGCUCUCCGGUCAAUAACCAACAGCGGGAUCUGGAUACCCAUAUUGGCUCCCACAUGCACCUCGAUGAUCUCAUCGGAUGAACCACGAUGUCGAGGAUUCAAGCAACCCCGUAUACAAUUCCCUUCGUCAAUCAGUAUGUUACUUGCCCGAGAUUCGAUCGUCGGUAUCCCAAUACCUCGUUCAAUCUCGUUGCCGGCAAGUCACUUUACUCGUACCGUAAUGCAUGAUCCCGUGACCAGACACUUGGUCACUUUGAGCUCAUAAUGAUGAUGCAUUACCGAGUGGGCCCAGUGAUACCUCUCCGUCAUACAGAGUGACAAAUCCCAGUCUUGAUCCGUGUCAACCCAACAGACACUUUCGGAGAUACCCGUAGUAUACCUUUAUAGUCACCCAGUUACGUUGUGACGUUUGGUACACCCAAAGCACUCCUACGGUAUCCGGGAGUUACACGAUCUCAUGGUCUAAGGAAAGGAUACUUGACAUUGGAAAAACUCUACCAAACGAACUAUACGAUCUUAUGCUAUGUUUAGGAUUGGGUCUUGUCCAUCACAUCAUUCUCCUAAUGAUGUGAUCUCGUUAUCAAUGACAUCCAAUGUCCAUAGUCAGGAAACAAUGACUAUCUGUUGAUCAACGAGCUAGUCAACUAGAGGCUUACUAGGGACAUGUUGGUGUCUAUUAUUCACACAUGUAUUACGAUUUCUGGAUAACACGAUUAUAGCAUGAAUAAAGACAGUUAUCAUGAACAAGGAAAUAUAAUAAUAAUGCUUUUAUUAUUGCCUCUAGGGCAUAUUUCCAACAAUUCCAUCUUGUUAAGUAUCAUGGCAAGUGGGAUUCAUUUUCUCGCCCAAACCAGUAACAAACACCUUCUGACACUUUACCAAAAUGCCAUCUUAGACCUCUUCAACUAAUCUCCAUGGGCUCAACUUUGUACUACAGCUACUCCUGACCCUCUUCUACCUCCAGUAACUUUCCCCUGGCCAUUGCUCAAUGAUUGAGGGGUGAAACACCCCCAUUUACCUCCCUCGACAGAAACUUCUCUCUCUCUCCCUCAACCUUCCUCCUCACUCCAGUGGCUCCCCAGGGCAUCCAAGGCCAUAGCCCACUUCUUUACUUCCCCCUAGAGCUACCCGACACCUUUGGCCGCGCCCACAUUGCAUAAAAAAUGGCUAUGCCGGCCAUUUGGGUGCUCUGGAGCAUGCUACAGUGUGCUCCCGCACUGUAGCCGACCCCUGCCAACCACUCCCGGCCACCUCGGGCCUCCCCAGCGCGCCCGACGAUGUGCCUCAGCGUCUACGUCAUGCUAAACCCAUGUCCCCUCCUCCUUCUCCUUCCUGCUGCCCCUCCUCGCACGCGCACCGGCCACCCGAGAGCUCCAAUGAGCGGCCUCACACGCGCGGCAUCUCUGGCCUUACCCCGCUCUCUCCCUUAGAUCCCCUCGGCCUAGUCCAUGCCCAGCAACACCCCAUACACGGCGCCAGCUCCUCCCGAGCCCUGUGGCAACGAGUAGGAGCUCGCCGGCGCACGGGUCCACGGCACCCCACCAUUCGCGUAUUUAAGGGCCUUCCCGAGCCUCUCCCUCACCACCACCCGCUCCUACCUACUCCAAAUCGGCCCCCUGUGCCCUCCACUCUCCUCCAGGAGAACCCGAGCUCGAGAUCAAGCUCGAGCUCUGCCGCCUCGGGUCGCUGUCGAUCUCAGGGUACAGGCCCUCUUCGCCGCUCCUCUUCCUUGAUCUGGAACCUCCGUGGCUCACUGAUCAUUUCCCCUUUCCUCCAUGCUUCUUUUGCAGCCGGAAACGGCCAGAACCGCCGCCUACCGAAGCUAUUCUACCGGUUUCCUCAUCGCCGGCGAACCCCUACACUCCGGUGACCACCUCCACCUCCACCCGAAUGGCGACCCUGCCCUGAGCACGACGGUGCCCUCGGAUCGCCUCGCCGUCGACCACAGCGACGCCGGUGAGCUCGCCUCCCUUUCUGGCCCAAGGUUAAAGGCGGCGGCCAUGGGGCCCGUCGAUCGGCCUCACACUCUGACGGGUGGGCCCCACCCGUCAGGUUUAAAAACGCAUGCGCGCGCACCGGUUCGCUGCACUGGCUGGAGGCGUAUUUCCCAAAUACGCCUUCGACGUGGCAGCCUUGCGCGGGCUGGAUUCCCCCUGGGCCUGCUGCACUGUGGCUGAAUAGGCCCAGUUGCACAGUGGCCUUUUUCCUUUUCUUUUUUUGUAACUUUUCCAAAAAUUCCACAGGAUUAAAUAAUAAUCCAAAUACAAUAAUUCCAACUCCUAAAUUCUUGUAAUAAUCCCACUUAUUUAUUGGUGCAGUUUUCACUCUUAUCAAACCAACUUUUCUUCACUGUUCAAAUUUAAAUUUGAAUUUGAGCAUUUAUGUGUGUCAUUUAAAAUUCCUAGCACUGUUUCCAUGACUCCAAAUCCAAAACUAGGAAUUUUCCCCUUCUUAGUUUUCACCCUAGUAUUUAACAAAAAUGAGUUGACAUUUUUCUGAGCACUUUCGUUUUUCUAUUUUAUUAUUGCCUUAUUUAUUUCUCGCUAUUAUUUUGCGACGAUAGAUUGCGUUGCUGACAAAGGAGUUGGACCAGAAGACUUUGAAGACCCAGAAGACCUUGUUGAGCUAGGCAAGCAGCCCUUUGACCAUGUCUAAGAAACCCUUUUUGUGCAUAUCAUAUGGCACAUUCAUUACUUGCAUCAAAGUCAUGAUAAUGUGGUGACCACUUGAGGUGGUUUGCCACCGUUACUUCCUCAUUGAUACUUGCAUGGUGCACGACCCUACCUCCUUAUGAGGGUUAUGCCGAUGGGAGUAGGUAGGAUGCUGGAGUAGUUGCUACGCAAAAAGGGACGGGAAUAUGCAUGGAGAUGAAGGCAAAGUAUUUUCAAAAGACUUUUUUGAAAAACCCUGUCGGGUGCCACUUAUGUCCGAGGGAGAUAAUGAGUUGGGUAACCACUUGAUGAAGAAGUGGUGUACCGAGGCAAGUGUGUGUGUUGUUUUCGAAAACAGAUUAGAUUUAAGAGUUGUCGACUGUCCCAACCUUACAUGCGCAACCACACUACCCUUAUAUGGGAAAGGGCAUUAUUGAUUACCUAGGCCGAUACUAGCUUGGAGCCCGCAUUACUAGUGACGAGAGAGUUGUUGUCGCGCUCUCUUGGGACGGGUUCACGCCAGGUAGGGCGGCCAUGACUGUUUUCACAGGGCACCGAACACACCAUUGGUACCCCGUGCUUGUGGUAUGUGAUGAAUAUGGGAGCAAGGCUCCACAAUUUUACGAUGUGAAAUGUUGGGCACGGGGGUUACUACCAAUCGAGUGGACUCUAUGUUAGUGUCGUCUAGGGAAAGAUAGUGAUCGGGUGCUUACCCCGGGUACUUGAGGUACCGCGGGUCGUGGAUGACACGGAAGUUCCCCGGAUCUUGUGGGUAAAGUUUGCAACCUCUGCAGAGUGUAAAACUAUUCGAAUAGCUGUGUCCAUGGUCAAGGACAGUUGGGCGGUGCUUCUUAAACUACGUCCACUUGUUUACAAACCAAUGUGUGUGGGAAGAACUACUUGGGUCAAGUCAAAGGACUUGACAUGGAUGAGUUGGGUUCGAGCCCACUCCCUUUAUGUUGAUAUCUGUAACCAGCCCCUAUGGUUACUUGAAUUUAUACGAUGCAUGAUUUACCAAUUAUUGAGCAUGUCGUAACACAACAAAAUUAGCUUUCUGAAAAAAUUUACCUAUGUCAUGCAUUGUUGUAUCUUGAGCCAAAACAUGGGUUGCUUGCGAGUACAUUCGAAGUACUCAUUGGCUUGUCACUGGUUAUUUAAUUGGCCAGGCAUGGAAGAACAGGAGUUUGAUGAGGAGUUCUUUGGAGACUAACAUGCGAACUAGGACGUUUCCCAGUGAGAAUGCCUGUGGGGUUAAGGCAGAUGGCAUGGGUUCUACUUAUCGACGAAGAUUUCCGCUGCUUAUGUUUAUUUGGUAUUCAGUCCUUGUGGCUUUAUCUAUGUAAGACUUGACCAUAAUGGUCAUAAUUUGUGUAAGACAGUAUGUAUGGAUGUAAGACUCUUGUUAUUCAGCUUUUGUGUGUUCAGUGAGCAUUGAUCUCUGGGAUCACUGUACACGUGCAUUCGGUGAUCACGACUUAUGAGUCGGUGUCCCCACAGGUAUUGAAGCUAACCCGGAGAAAAUUAAGGCAAUCACCUCCCUGAUCAAACUGGUGUGCAUCAAUGAUGUUCAAUGGCUGGCGGGUUGCGUCACUGCUUUGAGUCGGUUCAUGAGCUGGUUAGGGGAGAAGGUGAUUCCUUUGUAUCAGAUGAUGUAAAAGACGAAUGAUUUCGUUUGGAGCGAGGCUGUAGACUCUGCUUUUGAGGAUUUGAAGAAACAACUUGCUAAGCCGCCGGUUCUUGUUGCUCCAGUUGAGAAAGAGCCGCUAUUGUUAUACGUAGCCGCUAACUCACGAGCUGUUAGUGUGGCAAUUGUGGUGGAGCACAAGGAGGCUAGCAAGGAACAUCCGAUUCAAUGGCCGGUUUACUACGUCAGUGAGGUGCUGAUUGAAUCUAAACAAAGAUAUCCACAUUGGCAGAAGCUCGUGUAUGGGGUGUUCACGUCAAGAGAGAAGCUCAAACAUUACUUUUAGGGUCACCCAGUCACUGUGGUUAGCUCUGCUCCUUUGGGAGACAUCAUCCAAAAUAGAGAAGCUACUAGACGAGUCGCCAAGUGGGCCAUUGAACUUGGGUCUCAUGGGUUGAAGUAUGUGCCACGUACUGCGAUCAAAUCUCAAGCACUGGUUGACUUUAUUAAUGACUGGACAGAGAUGCAGAUGCCAGAAGAGAAACUAGACAACACGUAUUGGACGAUUGACUUUGAUGGGUCCAGAAAAUUGGAAGGCUCGGGGGCUGGAGUUGUUUUAACUUCCCCUUGAGGUGACAAGUUUUGUUAUGUGUUGCGACUGAUGUUUCCUUGUAUAACAACGCAGCAGAGUAUGAGGCCUUGCUCCAUGGUCUUCGAGUGGCCAAAGAGAUGAGCCUGAGCCGGGUACGGUGUCUUGGCGAUUCAGAUUUGGUGGCUCAACACGUGUCAGGCAAGUGGGAUUCCAAGGACCCUCUCAUGGCGGCUUAUCGCUGUGAAGUCGAUGCUGUUUCCGGACAUUUUAAAGGUUAUUAGGUGGAACACAUUGACCGUAGGAAGAACGAAGCGGCAGAUGCUCUAAGCCGGUUGGGGUCUCAGCGUAAGACGGUGCCAGCUAACACCUUUUUGGAUGUUUUGCAUAACCCGUCUGUUAAGUUGCCUACAGAGGAAGAUUUAGCCGUUCCUGACCCGGAGGCACAGUUGGUGGUGGCUCUUCACAUCCGUGACGCCCGAAUAAUGAAGCUACAGUAAUUCUCUGCUAAUGAUGCCAUGUCACUUUGAUUACUAUCGCUAAUCUCGUGUUAGUUCGAAACCGAUUCAAAUUCAAAUUCAAUUAAAGGCAAAUAAUAAAAGUUUUCAAACAAUGAAAGCAAAAUGUUCAAGGUGGGUCAGAUAAAUCAGGUGUAAAUACGAUGGAGAAACCAAACCUUGAUAAAAUGUUUAAGGGCUCUAAACUAAUUAAAACAGUAGUGAAAACAAUUAAACAAAUACCUAUUGGAUUUUAUAAAAUAUUAAAAAUAUUUUAUUAUAGGUUAAGAAUUGAUGUGACAGCAAUUUGUUUAUAAAUACUACUUUAGGUACUAGUGGUGAUUUUUGUAAAAACUAAAUAUUAAAAGAAACUAGGAAUAAAACAGAAAAUAAAAUAAAUAAAAAGAAAAGAUCUAAACAAAAACAAAACAACAAAAAAGGAAGAAAGACCCCCCCCCACGCUAGGACUCAGCCCAGCUGGCCAUCCAACCGGGUCAGCCCACCUCUCCUCUCCUUAUCCCCCACGACCGGAACCAACCAACACCCCCACCCCCACCGACACCACAACCCCCUCCUUGAAAUAUCUCCUGGAUCGGAUCGGGAGAGGAGCUCCAGAUCCCGAUCCGCUGGCACCCCGCUCGUCGGUCGGCUGCAGCCUGGCCGGCCACCGUCUCCACCACUUCGCCUCCCCUCGCCGGUCUGUCACUCGUGCCGGCCUCAGCCACCCCGGCCCGAGCCACCACCUGUGGUGGCGUCCCCGAUCUCCGGCACCCGACGCGCCCGUCGCCACCAGGCCGUCGCCGGACCGCCGCCCCUCUCUGCCGAACUGCCUCCUCUUCGCCUCCACCCCAACGGACUCCCUCGAGCCUCGCCGACCCCUGUUCCCCUGCUCGAAUGUGAGCACGCCGCCGCUCGAACCCUCCCUUUGCUCUCUCUCCGCACGCCGCGCUCCGCCUGCUCCCCGUCGCGGUCACCCCACACCCACCACCGCCGUUCGCGCACAUCCCCUCCUCCUCGCACGCGCUCGCUGCCAUGUCCGCGCCCUCGCUGCAUGUUGCGCUCAGUGUGGCCACGCACCACGCACCACCCCCCCACGGCCGCACCCCGGCCACCAUGGCCGGUGGGCUGACACGCCACCCGAGCCACGCGCUCACCCGCGCCCCCCUCCUCUGCCGGCCUGCCCCCGCCGUGACCUCUGCUGGCCGGCAGCGCCAUAGCGACGGCCCUGCCGUCUCGCAUGCGCGUCCAGCCAGUGGCUGGCUGGCUGGGGCCACCGACAUGUGGGCCAUGGCCCAAAAGUUAUAUCAGAAAAAAUGGAAUAAAUGAAGGGUUAUUAAUAAUAAUUAAAAUAAAAUUUUAGUUAAUUAAUUAAUUAGAUGAUGGUUAGACUAAUCUAAUUUCUGUCAUUAGAAAUGUGAGAAUGACAAGGGGGGCCCACCCCCUGUUGACUAGUCAAAGUUGACUGGUCAAUAGGGACCCCCUGGACCCACAUGUCAACUGGUGCACAUUCUGUGUACACUAUGCUGGGUACCCCUAGCAAUUUAAUAUUUAAUUUAGAAUUAAAAUAAAUUCAUAAAAUUCUUUAAAACUUUGAAAAUUUAUAUAAAAUAAACCGUAGCUCAGAUGGAAAAACUUUGUACAUGAAAGUUGCUCAAAACGACGAGACGAAUCCGGAUAUGCAGCUCAUUCGUCCAUCACACAUCACUAGCAUAGUGAAGCGCAACUUCCCCCCUCUGGUUCAUCUACCCGAAAACGCAAAACAUCGGGAUACUUUCCCGGAUGUUUCCCCCCUUCGUCGGUAUCACCUCCUACCGCGUUAGGGCAUACCUAGCACCGCGUAUUGCCUCAUUAUGUUUUGUGAUGCUUUGUUUGCUUUAUAUUUAUUGUUUCUUCCCCGUCUUCUCUCGCUAGACACCGAGACCAACGACGCUGCUACCCAGUACGACUAUGGUGUUGAUGACCCCUCUCUCUUGCCGGAGCAACCAGGCAAGCCCCCCCCCCUUGAUCACCAGAUAUCGCCUACUCUCCUCUAUACUGCUUGCAUUAGAGUAGUGUAGCAUGUUACUGCUUUUCGUUAAUCCUAUCCUGAUGCAUAGCCUGUCAUUGUUGCUACAACUAUUGAUACCUUCCUUGCAAUCCUAAUUGCUUAGUAUAGGAUGCUAGUUUAUCAUCAGUGGCCAUACAUUCUUGUCCUUCUGCCAUGCUAUACUAUCGGGCCGUGAUCACUCAGGAGUUGAUCACGGGUAUAUACCUAUACUUUAUACAUGCUACAUGUCAUGACUAAAGUCGGGAUGGCUCGAGGAGUACCCGCGAGUGAUUCACGGAUUGGGGGCUGAAAUGACCUUUGUCCCGACGACCCUCUGGGUGGAUCAUUUUGGCGGAGCGACAGGGCAGGUUGAGACCACCUAGGAGAGAGGUGGGCCUAGCCCUGGUCGGCGUUCGCGGUCUCUUCAAGAUAACACGUUUAACGAGAUCUUGGUAUUUGAUCUGAGUCUGGCUACUGGCCUAUAUGCACUAACCAUCUAUGCGGGGACAGUUAUGGGCACUCGAUGUCGUGGUAUCAGCCGAAGCCUUCAUGACGUCAGCGACUGAGCGGCGCGCGCUGGGUUGGACCGCGUAACACAACUUCCUUUGUAAUGGAGGUUGCUAGGUCUGCUCACCGGCCGCGUUCGCAACAUGCAGGUGUGCAAAGGGUGAUGGGCCCAGACCCCUGCGCCAUAGGAUUUAGACCGGCGUGCUGACCUCUCUGUUGGGCCUAGGUAGGGCUGCGACAUGUUGAUCUUCCGAGGCCGGGCAUGACCCAGGAAAGUGUGUCCGGCCAAAUGGGAUCGAGCAUGUUGGGUUAUGUGGUGCACCCCUGCAGGGAAGUUAAUCUAUUCGAGUAGCCGUGAUCUUCAGUAACAUGACGACUUGGAGUUGUACCUUGACCUUAUCACAACUAGAACCAGAUACUUAAUAAAACACACCCUUCCAAGUGCCAGAUACAACCGGUGAUCGCUCUCUCACAUGGCGACGAGGGGAGGAUCAUCGGUUAGGAUUAUGCUAUGCGUUGAUACUUGGAGGACUUCAGUCUACUCUCUUCUACAUGCUGCAAGACGGAGGCUGCCAGAAGCGUAGUCUUUGAAAGGACUAGCUACCCCCUUAUUCCGGCUUUCUGCAGUUCAGUCCACAUAUAAUAGCCUUAUUCUAGUUGACACAUAUGCAUACAUAUGUAAUGUAGCUCCUUGCUUGCGAGUACUUUGGAUGAGUACUCAUGGUUGCUUUCUCCCUCUUUUCCCUCCUUUUCUAUACUCGAUUGCUGCGACCAGACGAUGGAGCCCAGGAGCUAGACGCCACCGUCGACGACGACUACUACUACUCGGGAGGUGCCUACUACUACGUGCAGCCCGCUGACGACGACCAGGAGUAGUUUAAGAGGAUCCCAUGCAGGAGGCCUGCGCCUCUUUCGAUCUGUAUCCCAGUUUGUGCUAGCCUUCUUAAGGCAAACUUGUUAAACUUAUGUCUGUACUCAGAUAUUGUUGCUUCCGCUGACUCGUCUAUGAUCGAGCUCUUGUAUUCGAGCCCUCGAGGCCCCUAGCUUGUAAUAUGAUGCUUGUAUGACUUAUUUUAUUUGUAGAGUUGUGUUGUGAUAUCUUCCCGUGAGUCCCUGAUCUUGAUCGUACAUGUUUGCGUGUAUGAUUAGUGUACGAUUGAAUCGGGGGCGUCACAAGUUGGUAUCAGAGCCGACUGCCUGUAGGAAUCCCCCUUCCACACUCCUUGGCCGAAGUCGAGUCUAGACAUUGCAAAAAAAAUUACUAACAUGGAUGUGUGUCUUACGGGCCCACGUCGCCAUUGGGUGGUAUUAGGAUAUUUUAUUCCCCAACCUAUACUCUAGGACUCUGAGCUCUCUUCUAUUCGGGUUAAAUGAUUUUGCUAAAAACAAAACUAACUUCAGGUUCUCGAUGGUACUUUCUCCCAGAGAGCCCUCACCUCAGAUGAUCGCCUGCUUCACUAGAAGAUUCCGAAGUUACUCUACAAUGUUCUCUUGAGUCUUUGUGCCAUCGCAUUUACGAUUUCCUUCCAUCGUCAACCCCUAUGAAAACUGCAUACACUUGCCAUUCAUACAAUCAUUCCCCGUUGAUCUUAUUCUUACAAGAUGUCCCGAAAUACUCUCUGUUGUCCCGAGAAUCCCUUGAGCUUACUGCCUUGCAGUUCUUUACCACAUGAGUACCCCUACGGAUAAAUCCUCGCUCUUGUCGAGUAUCCUCUCACCCCCAGUUGUUCAUGUGUUCUACAAAGUCCUCGAAAUACCAUUCGACUUUCUGAAGAUCCUCAACAGCCCAUUGCUCUUGGUUUCUCUGCCUUCCUGCAGUAUGGUUAAGUCCAUACUUCUAGUAAUCUCCAUUGACAUCCUCUGUCACUAUCAUUUCGAGUCACUUGAUUCGAUAUGUUGCGAAUGCUUGCAAUCCUCAAUCAGAUCCUAGGAUUCAUCAUUCCGGCUCAUACGUUAUUUUGAACAUGAGCUGGUCCUCGACCAAUCAAGUUGUCGUUGAAUGUACCCCUUAGUCUAUUCAACUUAUCCAUUCUUAAUCAGAGCGUUUGCUUCUGAUCCCUUGAUUUGGAAAUCAUAAUUCCUUUGCAAUUGAGCUUGGAAUUAGUCAGUUGUUCUAUAAUCGGAUCUCCUUGCAUUCUUUCUUCCUCUGGUUGUGUGCCGAUGCUCACAUCAGAUCCCUUGUGGACCACCAGACCCUUUGUCGGAUUUUAUCCGACAAUGUCCUUCAUAUUCAAUAAGCUUGUGAGCCUUUCCUCGGAUACAUAAUGCCUUUAGUAAAUUGUAUCCUCUGCUUUCUCAAGCAUGCUCUACUAUCGAGUUUGUGUUAUUUACUAUUGAAGCUUGUGGUAUAUGUUUCCAUGAUACCCUGAAGGGUUGAACCUAUGCCUUCCUUAAUAUGUGUGAACUCGAAAGUUUUCACGAGUCAUACUCUUCCGGUGUUCUACCAGAUAAAAUUCCAACACUACAGUUAUAUCAAAGUGAGAGGUGAAUGAAAUGAUCUGCAUUAAAGAAGUGGGAGUCGACCUUGAACUUUGUGUUCAUGCCCAUGAAAAUGAUGUAGACCGUCUAGGAAGCUUCUUGCAAAUGAUUAUCCAGCUCUGAUUUGUUCAGUAUUCUUGAAAUUGAUUCCUUAUAGUUAUGGUUCCGACCAUGAUGUCCUGAUCUGAUAUAUCUUAUGGGAAUUCAUUCCAGUGCCUCGUCUAUUUUUGCAAGGUUGAAGUACCUACUGUCAUAGGUCAAUGAACCGGUUCUACAUCUAUCAUGUUUAACCUUUGAGUAUUACCUCCUGGUAUCUCGGAGAUGUCUUGCCAUUGCACCACAGCUUGCUAACUUUGUUGAAGUAAUGUCUUUCCUUGUCGUAAUCACUCUACGGGUUCUGGGUUGUUAUCAACUAAGGACACCGACUAGUGAAAUUAUUCCGCACUACAAAUCAAAUACCCCUAGUAUUUUUACUAAGAAAUUGUGAACUCAAUCUGGUCAUUCCUAGACUAUCGGCUGCAUCCUAGUCUUGCUACCUUUGACUGUGCUACCUUGUCCUUCUCUGGUGCACGUAUUCUUCAGUGUGUGAGCAUGACUUGCGUCAAGCUUUCAACAUCUUGUUGCUUCCCUUGAAAGGCAACUUUGGUCCUGAGCUUGCCUCUUAUAUAUUGAUCCUAUAACUUGCCACUUCAUCAUUUCCUUGCUUGUUGCCAUUGUUAUUUGAUUGCAUCCUCUUGAAACCUCCCGACAAAUGUGUCGGACCACCUUCAACACUUGGACUUCUUUCGAGAUGUCAACUGUGUUCAUGAUGAGAAAUACCCUCCUUGCCCUCGAUGAUUUUUGUUAUCAUCGACAACACCCUUGACUUCCUUUCAUCAUGAACUUGUCCACAUAAUGAAUGCAACUUGCUCUCUAGCUAGUGUUGUGUUCUGCCUUGAAGUAUCACUGUCUAUUAUGUCGAGAAUGUUGUUGGGAUUGCUCCACCUCUUACAAAUUCUCGGCAUGAUGAUACUUCUCACCAUCACCAUUCUUCCUUGGUCCCCAUGUUUUUUUUUAACCAGGAUACCAAUAUGCUAACAAUACUGUUUGAGUUCUGUACUUCUAGCAACCCUAUUGCUUUGAAGUUAAUGAUUGACAGUUCAUUCUUAGACUAUUGGUUAUUGAGUCGUCACUCUAACAUUGAUUUUGCUGCCUAAGGUCAUACUUCGGGCACACCUUUCAACUAAUGAUUGAUGGUGUAUGUUUACCUAGAGCAUACAACAUUAUAUCAUUUGAGUUGACAAGUGUCAUCUUCUUGUUCACAUUAUUGUGGAAAGCCAUCCGUUUGGAAUUCUCGAUGAAUUGUCGGUGAGCCCAUCAGCCACCUUCUCAUCCCCUCGUGGGUUUAAUGAUGAACUAUUGUUUCAGGAACCCGCUUCCAUAGUACAUUUCCCGAGAAUCUUACAAUGUCGUCUCGUCAAUUGUGUUGCACCUUUUCUUCUCAGGCAUCCUGAGUCUGAGGCAUCUUGGCACCAAUCAGAUCUGAAUCUCGGUCAGAUAUGAUGGUUGGAACAUAUUUCCAAGAGUUAUUACAUUGGUCCUUAUAUAUCGGUAAGGUGAGGUCAUGCCUAUCACACCUGGCCGGAGGACUUGUUGUUAUAGAUUCCUUUUCAGCAAGGUUAUCCCUUCUUCCAUGAGGGAAUUGUUAUACCUAUUCUUCAAGAUUAUUCCUGAUGGAUCCUUUGUGUCUCCAGAGUCUGAUCUUCACCUGUUGACCAUGUUAAUGCUAUCGCGAAUCAUGUCUAUGGUAUUCCGAUUUUCAACAAGAACAUUGAAGGUAAUGCUAAAUGUUUCCUGCUCAAUUAUCCAAACACCAUUGUAUGGGUAAUAUCAUGAGCUUCCUCCCCUUACUUAAGUGGUGUUUCUACCUUCUAUCCAGUCUUGGAUAUCAUACUCUGCUUGUUCUUGGGAAGGAUAUACCCCUGAAAUAUGUGUUUAAACACAUUUUCCUUUCCAUUGUUCUGUUUAACCUUCUUGAGGUUUAUAUGAUCUAAGCAGUAAUACGUCACUGCUUUUAUAAGCACCUCAGUGUACAACUCUGUCAGUAAGACCCUGUUACUAUUGUUGCUGACAUUCUAGUAACCACCGAUGGACGAGAACUCUGCCUAUUGGUCCGCCUCGUUCAACGAGCAGGAAAAUGGUUCUCUUCAUCCCUCGCCCUUGGUACUGAUGUUGUUGACGACAUAACUGAUAGGCUAUCCUCUGACAUACCUUGCUUACAUGAUCGUGCACGACGUCAUCGCUCUUCCUACUUUUAACCCACAUGGUGGGCCCAUAACCCAUAGGUCCCAGGAUCGAAACCUGACUCCCCUGUACACCCUGUUGUCAAAGUUAUUCCUCGCGCUUGACUUCUUAUGUAAUUCACGAGCCACCUUCCUAGGCUCUAUUCUGGUAUCAGACGCAAUACUUACUCUCAUUACUCUGAACCCCUUUCUCACUCUGGUUCAGACUUCGAGCAACUAUCUAUCCGCUUGGAACCUCUUAUUCUACCUUUGUACCUUACUCUCGAUGUCUUUCAUACGUUCAGCUUGAGACAUAAUCUUAUACUCAUUCAUGGGUUAACCCCAGAUUGUUUCCCUCAAAAGCAUUCUGACGUAGCUGAGCUACCCCUUAUCCUUUCGUAAGUGUGAUGGAGUUCCCGAAGAAAUGAUGACAAGUUUAUCAUGAUGCAUUGGAAUAAAGAAUUGAAGACAUCAACAAAAGGGAUUAACUUCUUCGAGAAGAUCAGUUAGAAUAUCGUAACCAGAACUUUCCCCCUUACUCCCCUUCUUAAAUCUCGGGACGAGAUUUCUUGUAGUGGAGGAGAAUUGUGACGCACGGAUAAUUAAGCUACAGUAAUUCUCUGCUAAUGAUGCCACGUCAGUUCGAUUACUAUCGCUAAUCUCGUGUUAGUUCGAAACCGAUUCAAAUUCAAAUUCAAUUAAAGGCAAAUAAUAAAAGUUUUCAAACAAUGAAAGCAAAAUGUUCAAGGUGGGUCAGAUAAAUCAGGUGUAAAUACGAUGGAAAAACCAAACCUUGAUAAAAUGUUUAAGGGCUCUAAACUAAUUAAAACAGUAGUGAAAACAAUUAAACAAAUACCUAUUAGAUUUUAUAAAAUAUUAAAAAUAUUUUAUUAUAGGUUAAGAAUUGAUGUGACAGUAGUUUGUUUAUAAAUACUACUUUAGGUACUAGUGGUGAUUUUUGUAAAAACUAAAGAUUAAAAGAAACUAGGAAUAAAACAGAAAAGAAAAUAAAUAAAAAGAAAAGAUCUAAACAAAAACAAAACAACAAAAAAAAGGAAGAAAGACCCCCCACGCUGGGCCUCAGACCAGCUGGCCAUCCAACCGGGUCGGCCCACCUCUCCUCUCCUUAUCCCCCACGACCGGAACCCACCAACACCCCCACCCCCACCGACACCACAACCCUUCCCCGAAAUAUUUCGUGGAUCGGAUCGGGAGAGGAGCUCCCGAUCCCGAUCCGCUGGCACCCCGCUCGCCGGUCGGCUGCAGCCUGGCCGGCCACCGUCGCCACCACCUCGCCUCCCCUCGCCGGUCUAUCACUCGUGCCAGCCUCGGCCACCCCGGCCCGAGCCACCACCCGUGGUGGCGCCCCCAAUCUCCGGCACUCGACGCGCCCAUCGCCACCAGGCCGUCGCCGGACCACCGCCCCUCUCUGCCGAACUGCCUCCUCUUCGCCUCCACCCCAACGGACUCCCUCGAGCCUCGCCGACCCCUGUUCCCCUGCUCGAAUGUGAGCACGCCGCCGCUCGAACCCUCCCUUUGCUCUCUCUCCGCACGUCGCGCUCCGCCUUCCCCCCGUCGCGGUCACCCCGCACCCACCGCCGCCGUUCGCGCACAUCCCCUCCUCCUCGCACNNNNNNNNNNNNNNNNNNNNNNNNNNNNNNNNNNNNNNNNNNNNNNNNNNNNNNNNNNNNNNNNNNNNNNNNNNNNNNNNNNNNNNNNNNNNNNNNNNNNNNNNNNNNNNNNNNNNNNNNNNNNNNNNNNNNNNNNNNNNNNNNNNNNNNNNNNNNNNNNNNNNNNNNNNNNNNNNNNNNNNNNNNNNNNNNNNNNNNNNNNNNNNNNNNNNNNNNNNNNNNNNNNNNNNNNNNNNNNNNNNNNNNNNNNNNNNNNNNNNNNNNNNNNNNNNNNNNNNNNNNNNNNNNNNNNNNNNNNNNNNNNNNNNNNNNNNNNNNNNNNNNNNNNNNNNNNNNNNNNNNNNNNNNNNNNNNNNNNNNNNNNNNNNNNNACGGCCGCACCCCGGCCACCGUGGCCAGUGGGCUGACACGCCACCUAAGCCACGCGCUCACCCGCGCCCCCCUCCUCUGCCGGCCCGCCCCCGCCGUGACCUCUGCUGGCCGGCGGCGCCAUAGUGACGGCCCUACCGUCUCGCAUGCGCGUCCAGCCAGUGGCUGGCUGGCUGGGGCCAACGACAUGUGGGCCAUGGCCCAAAAGUUAUAACAGAGAAAAUGGAAUAAAAGAAGGGUUUUUAUUAAUAAUAAUUAAAAUAUUUUUUUAGUUAAUUAAUUAAUUAGAUGAUGAUUAGACUAAUCUAAUUUCUGUCAUUAGAAAUGUGAGAAUGACAAGGGGGGCCCACCCCCUAUUGACUAGUCAAAGUUGACUGGUCAAUAGGGACCCCCUGGACCCACAUGUCAACUGGUGCACAUUCUGUGUACACUAUGCUGGGUACCCCUAGCAAUUUAAUAUUUAAUUUGGAAUUAAAAUAAAUUCAUAAAAUUCUUUAAAACUUUGAAAAUUUAUAUAAAAUAAACCGUAGCUCAGAUGGAAAAACUUUGUACAUGAAAGUUGCUCAGAACGACGAGACAGAUCCGGAUAUGCAGCCCGUUCAUCCGUCACACAUCCCUAGCAUAGUGAACGCGCAACUUCCCCCCUCCGGUUCAUCUGCCCGAAAAUACGAAACAUCGGGAUACUUUCUCGGAUGUUUACCCCCUUCGUCGGUAUCACCUCCUACCGUGUUAGGCAUACCUAGCAUCGCGUAUUGCCUCAUUAUGUUUUGUGAUGCUUUGUUUGCAUUAUAUUUAUUGUUUCUUCCCCCUCUUCUCUCGCUAGACACCAAGACCAACGCCGCUGCUACCCAAUAUGACUACGGUGUUGACGACCCCUCUCUCUUGCUGGAGCAACCAGGCAAGCCCCCCCCCCUUGAUCACCAGAUAUCGCCUACUCUCCUCUAUACUGCUUGCAUUAGAGUAGUGUAGCAUGUUACUGCUUUCCGUUAAUCCUAUCUUGAUGCAUAGCCUGUCAUUGUUGCUACAACUGUUGAUACCUUACCUGCAAUCCUUAAUUCUUAGUAUAGGAUGCUAGUUUAUCAUCAGUGGCCAUACAUUCUUGUACUUCUGCCAUGCUAUACUAUCGGGCCGUGAUCACUCGGGAGUUGAUCACGGGUAUAUACCUAUACUUUAUAUAUGAUAAAUGUGAUGACUAAAGUCGGGUUGGCUCGAGGAGUACCCGCGAGUGAUUCACGGAUUGGGGGCUGAAAGGACCUUUGUCCCGACGGCCCUCUGGGUGGAUCGUUGUGGCGGAGCGACAGGGCAGGUUGAGACCACCUAGGAGAGAGGUGGACCUGGCCCUGGUCGGCGUUCGCGGUGUCUUCAAGAUAACACGUUUAACGAGAUCUUGGUAUUUGAUCUGAGUCUAGCUACUGGCCUAUACGCACUAACCAUCUACGCGGGGACAGUUAUGGGCACUCGACAUCUUGGUAUCAGCCGAAGCCUUCGUGACGUCAGCGACUAAGCAGCGCGCGCCAGGUUGGACCGCGUAACACAACUUCCUUUGUAAUGGAGGUUGCUAGGUCUGCUCAUCGGCCGUGUUCGCAACGUGCAGGUGUGCAAAGGGCGAUGGGCCCAGACCCCUGCGCCAUAGGAUUUAGACCGGCGUGCUGACCUCUCUGUUGGGCCUAGGUAGGGCUGGGACGUGUUGAUCUUCCGAGGCCGGGCAUGACCCAGGAAAGUGUGUCCGGCCAAAUGGGAUCGAGUGUGUUGGGUUAUGUGGUGCACCCCUGCAGGGAAGUUAAUCUAUUCGAAUAGCUGUGAUCUUCGGUAAUAGGAUGACUUGGAGUUGUACCUUGACCUUAUGACAACUAGAACCGGAUACUUAAUAAAACACACCCUUCCAAGUGCCAGAUACAACCAGUGAGCGCUCUCUCACAGGGCGAUGAGGGGAGGAUCAUCGGUUAGGAUUAUGCUAUGCGUUGAUACUUGGAGGACUUCAGUCUACUCUCUUCUACAUGCUACAAGACGGAGGCUGCCAGAAGCAUAGUCUUCGAAAGGACUAGCUACCCCCCUUAUUCCGGCUUUCUGUAGUUCAGUCCACAUAUAAUAGCCUUAUUCCAGUUGAUACCAAUGCAUACAUAUGUAGUGUAGCUCCUUGCUUGCGAGUACUUUGGAUGAGUACUCAUGGUUGCUUUCUCCCUCUUUUCCCUCCUUUUCUAUACUCGAUUGCUGCGACCAGACGAUGGAGCCCAGGAGCCAGACGCCACCGUCGACGAUGACUACUACUACUCGGGAGGUGCCUACUACUUCGUGCAGCCCGCUGACGACGACCAGGAGUAGUUUAGGAGGAUCCCAGGCAGGAGGCCUGCGCCUCUUUCGAUCCAUAUCCCAGUUUGUGCUAGGCUUCUUAAGGCAAACUUGUUUAACUUAUGUCUGUACUCAGAUAUUGUUGCUUCCGCUGACUCAUCUAUGAUCAAGCUCUUGUAUUCAAGCCCUCGAGGCCCCUGGCUUGUAAUAUGAUGCUUGUAUGACUUAUUUUAUUUGUAGAGUUGUGUUGUGAUAUCUUCCCGUGAGUCCCUGAUCUUGACCGUACAUGUUUGCGUGUAUGAUUAGUGUAUGAUUGAAUCGGGGGCGUCACAACGUCAUCCCAGAUUGGACAAUACCAUUCUUGGCUUACAUGACCCGGGGCGAGUUUCUAGAGGAUGAGACCCCGGCCCGACAGAUAACCCGGCGGUCCAAAUCAAUGACGAUUUCUGACGGAGAGUUAUACCAUCGCAGCGUCUUUGGAGCGUUUCAGCGGUGUGUUUCUCCUGAAGAAGGCCAAGAAAUACUUCGUGAGAUCCAUGAAGGGGAUUGUGGUCAUCACAUCGGGUCAAAGUCUCGUGGCCAAAGCUUUUCGUCAUGGUUUUUACUGGUUAACAGCUCACGUUGAUGCAGAGCAUCUGGUCAGUAGGUGUGAUGGAUGUCAAAAAUUUGCACGACGAGCACAUGUGCCGGCUCAAGAGUUGCUGAUACGUCUCCAACGUAUCUAUAAAUUUUGAUUGCUCCAUGCUAUAUUAUCUACUGUUUUGGACAUUAUUGGGCUUUAUUUUCCACUUUUAUAUUAUUUUUGGGACUGACCUAUUAACCGGAGGCCCAGCCCAGAAUUGCUGUUUUUUGCCUAUUUUAGGGUUUCGAAGAAAACGAAUAUCAAACGGAGUCCAAACGGAAUGAAACCUUCGGGAACAUGAUUUUCUCAUCGAAUACAACUCAGGAGACUUAGACCCUACGUCAAGCCACGUAACAGGAGGCCACGAGGUAGGGGCACGCCUACCCCCCAGGCGUGCCCUCCACCCUCGUGGGCCCCCUGUUGCUCCACCGACGUACUUCUUCCUCCUAUAUAUACCCACGUACCCUCAAACGAUCAGAUACGGAGCCAAAAACCUAAUUCCACCGCCGUAACUUUCUGUAUCCACGAGAUCCCAUCUUGGGGCCUGUUUCGGAGCUUCGCCGGAGGGGGCAUCGAUCACGGAGGGCUUCUACAUCAACACCAUAGCCCCUACGAUGAAGUGUGAGUAGUUUACUUCAGACCUACGGGUCCAUAGUUAGUAGCUAGAUGGCUUCUUCUCUCUUUUUGGAUCUCAAUACAAUGUUCUCCCCCUCUCUUGUGGAGAUCUAUUCGAUGUAAUCUUCUUUUUGUGGUGUGUUUUGUUGAGACCGAUGAAUUGUGGGUUUAUGAUCAAGUCUAUCUGUGGAUAAUAUUUGAAUCUUCUCUGAAUUCUUUUAUGUAUGAUUGGUUAUCUUUGCAAGUCUCUUCGAAUUAUCAGUUUGGUUUGGCCUACUAGAUUGAUCUUUCUUGCAAUGGGAGAAGUGCUUACCUUUGGGUUCAAUCUUGCGGUGGCCUUUCUCGAUGACGGUAAGGGCAGCAAGGCACGUAUUGUAUUGUUGCCAUCGAGGAUAACAAGAUGGGGUUUUCUUCAUAUUGCAUGAGUCUAUCCCUCUACAUCAUGUCAUCUUGCUUAAGGCGUUACUCUGUUUUUAACUUAAUACUCUAGAUGCAUGCUGGAUAGUGGUCGAUGAGUGGAGUAAUAGUAGUAGAUGUAGGCAGGAGUCGGUUUACUUGUCUCGGACGUGAUGCCUAUAUACAUGAUCAUACCUAGAUAUUCUCAUAACUGUGCUCAAUUCUGUCAAUUGCUCAAUAGUAAUUUGUUCACCCACCGUAGAAUACUUAUGCUCUCGAGAGAAGCCACUAGUGAAACCUAUGGCCCCCGGGUCUAUCUUUAUCAUAUCAAUCUCCUACUACUUAGUCAUUUACUUUGCCAUUUACUUUGCAUCUUUAUCAAAAAAAUACCAAAAAUAUUAUCUUAUCAUAUCUAUCAGAUCUCACUCUCGUAAGUGGCCCUAUAGGGAUUGACAACCCUGGUUGCGAGGAUUUAUUUGUUUUGUGCAGGUACGAGGGACUCGCGGAUAGCCUCCUACUGGAUUGACACCUUGGUUCUCAAAAACUAAGGGAAAUACUUAUGCUACUUUGCUGCAUCAUCCCUUCCUCUUCGGGGAAAACCAACGCAGUGCUAAAAGAGGUAGAAAGAAGGAUUUCUAGCACCGUUGCCGGGGAGGUCUAUGCAAAAGUCAACAUACCAAGUACCCAUCACAUACCCUUAUCUCCCGCAUUACAUUAUUUGCCAUUUGCCUCUCAUUUUCCUCUCCCCCACUUCACCCUUGCUGUUUUAUUUGCCCCCUCUCUCUCUAUGCUCCCUCUAUUUGCCUCUCUUUGCCCGCUUGCUUUUUGUUUGCUUGUGUGUUAGUUUGUUUGCUUGUCGUUAUGGCUAGUCCCUUAUCUUCUCCGUUGUCUCCCGAGAAUGAAAUUCUAAAUUUUAAGCAAAGGGAGGGUGAAAAUCUAAAAGAUGCUUGGUAUAGAAUUUGCAAUGCUCAAAAUAAAUCUACUAGGAAGAAAUCUACUACCAUUCUCCUUCGCAAUUUUUAUGUAGGCAUUACUCCUUGGCACUGUUAUGUUCUUGAUACUAUUACCAGAGGGAACUUUUUGGGUAGUCAUACUUUUGAUUCUUAUAAUGCUAUGUUAGAUUUAUCUGGCUCACCCCCUCUCUUGGUUAAUGGAACUAUAUUAACUUUGGAGCAGGUAAUGCAAAAGCUUGAGAUUAUUGAAAAUAAGGUUGCUACCGUAGAGUUAAUUGAAAAAUUGGAUAAAAAGAUCCACAGCCGAAUCUCUCAAUAUGAAUCUAAAGUAGGAGUUACUUUGAAAGAUAUUAAAGAAAAGGAACCCAUAGUUAAUGAGAAAAUAAAUCACGAUUCCGUUAGGAUCGAUAAACUUGAGAAUAUUAUUACCAACUUGGGAACCGCUUUUUCUUACAUAAAGAAUACUCCAAGUUCUUCCACUAAAGUUGCCAAGCUUAUAUAUGUCCCUAAAAAUAAGGGUGAAUCAUCUAGUAAGAAAAAUGCGGAUCUCAAAUCUAUACGUGUUCAUCCCAAUCUUUUUGCUAUCAUUAAGGAACCAUUUGUUACAAAUGAAUUUUUACAUCUUGUGCCUAAAAGCUUGAUAAUUAAUAAAAAUAAAGAAAUUCCUAAAGAUGGUAGAUGCCUCAUUGAAGAAUUGCCUACCAAAGAUGGCAAUACCUAGAUCUAUUCUUGCUUGUUAUGCCUAGCUAGGGGCGUUAAACGAUAGCGCUUGUUGGGAGGCAACCCAAUUUUAUUUUUAUUCCUUGCUUUUUGCUCCUGUUUAGUAAUAAAUAAAUUAUCUAGACUCUGUUUUGGUUGUGUCUUUUGUGUUUAAUUAGUGUUUGUGCCAAGUAGAACCGUCGGGAAGACUUGGGGAAAGUCUUGUUGAACUUGCUGUAAAAAACAGAAACUUUAGCGCUCAUGAGAACUGCUGUAAUUUUUAUUUGGAAAGUGCUAUUUAGUUAUUUCUUUUUUCAGACGAUUAAUAGAUAAAUUACUCACGUCCAGCAAUAUAUUUUAGAAUUUUUGGGGUUCCAGAUCUUGCUCUAGCUACAGAUUACUACAGACUGUUCUGUUUUUGACAGAUUCUGUUUUUUGUGUGUUGUUUGCUUAUUUUGAUGAAUCUAUGGCUAGUAAAAUAGUUUAUAAACCAUAGAGAAGUUGGAAUACAGUAGGCAUAACACCCAUAUAAAUAAAGAAUGAGUUCAUUACAGUACAUUGAAGUGGUCUUUUGUUUUCUUUCGCUAACGGAGCUCACGAGAUUUUCUACUUUAAGUUUUGUGUUGUGAAGUUUUCAAGUUUUGGGUAAAGAUUUGAUGGAUUAUGGAACAAGGAGUGGCAAGAGCCUAAGCUUGGGGAUGCCCAUGUGAUAACCCACAAGUAUAGGGGAUCGCAACAGUUUUCGAUAAGUAAGAGUGUCGAACCCAAUGAGGAGCUAAAGGUAGAACAAAUAUUCCCUCAAGUUCUAUCGACCACCGAUACAACUCUACGCACGCUUGACGUUCGCUUUACCUAGAACAAGUAUGAAACAAGAAGUACUUUGUAGGUGUUGUUGGAUAGGUUUGCAAGAUAAUAAAGAGUACGUAAAUAAAAAGUAGGGGCUGUUUAGAUAAAGAAACAAUAAAGUAAAUAUAGCGAGUGUGGAAAAGUGGUGGUAGGAGUUGCGAAAUUGCCCCUAAGCAAUUGACUACUUUACUAGACCGAUAGCAAGUCUUAUGUGGGAGAGGCCACUUCUAGCAUGUCAUCCCUGACUUGUAAUUAUAUGCACUUAUGAUUGGAACUAUUAGCAAGCAUCCGCAACUACUAAUGUUCAUUAAGGUAAAACCCAACCAUAGCAUUAAGAUAUAUUGGUCCCCCUUCAAUCCCGUAUGCAUCAAUUUCUAUGCUAGGUUGAAGCUUCUGUCACUCUUGCCCUCCAAUAGAUAGUCCUAUCAACAUACAACUAACCCUAGGGUGUGAUCCACGCGCGCAAUCAUAUGAUGGGCACCAAAGGACAACAACAUAACCACAAGCAAAUUAAAUCAAUCAUAGCAAUUCAUCAACUACCGAUAGGUCAACGAAAAUCUACUCAAGCAUCAUACGAUGGCAACACAUCAUUGGAUAAUAAUAUGAAGCAUAAAGCACCAUGUUCAAGUAGAUGAUACAGCGGUUUGCGGGAGAGUGGACCACUAUAGAUAGAGGGGGGAAGGUGAUGGAGAUGUUGGUGAAGAUGGCGGAGGUGUUGUGUAGAUUGCAGUGAUGAUGAUGGCCCCCAGCGGCGUUCUGGCGCCACCGGAAGCGAGGGGGAGAGAGCCCCCCUCCUUCUUCUUCCUUGACCUUCUCCCUAGAUGGGAGAAGGGUUUCCCCUCUGGUCCAUGGCCUCCAUGGCACGGGAGGGGCGAGAGCCCCUCCGAGAUUGGAUCUGUCUCUCUCUGUUUGUGCGUUCUGUUCUGCUGCCCUUUCACCGUUUCUUUUAUAUCCGGAGAUCCAUAACUCCGAUUGGAACGAAACAUUCGCCAUGAUUUUUUCCGAAAAUUAGCUUUCUUGCGGCCGAAGAAGGACGUCAACCGCCUUACAGGUGGGUCACGAGGGUCAGGGGCGCACCCUAGGGGGGGCUACCUCAUGCCCACCUCGGACACUGGUUCGCGUUGAUUUUUCCUCCAGAUUUUCCAAAUAUUCCGAAAAGUAUCUCCGUCUGUUUUUAUCCCGUUUGGACUCCGUUUGAUAUGGAUAUUCUGCGAAACCAAAAACAUGCAACAGACAGGAACUAGCACUAGGCACUGGAUCAAUAUGUUAGUCCCAAAAAUAGUAUAAAAAGUUGCCAAAAGUAUAUGAAAGUUGAAUAAUAUUGACAUGGAACAAUCAAAAAUUAUAGAUACGACAGAUACGUAUCAGCAUCCCCAAGAUUAAUUCCUACUCGUCCUCGAGUAGGUAAAUGAUAAAAAUAGAUAUUUUUUUAUGUGGAAUGCUACCUAGCAUAAUCUUGAUCAUAUGUCUAAUCAUGGCAUGAAUAUUAAGACACGAGUGAUUCAAAGCAAUAGUCUAUCAUUUGACAUAAAACAAUAAUACUUCAAGCCUACUAAUAAAGCAAUCAUGUCUUUUCAAAAUAACAUGGCCAAAGAAAGUUAUCCCUACAAAAUCAUAUAGUCUGGCUAUGCUCCAUCUUCACCACACAAAAUAUUCACAUCAUGCACAACCCCAAUGACAAGCCAAGCAAUUGUUUCAUACUUUUGACGUUCUCAAACCUUUUCAACUUUCACGCAAUACAUGAGCGUGAGCCAUGGACAUAGCACUAUAGGUGGAAUAGAAUAUGAUGGCGGAGAAGACAAAAAGGAGAAGAUAGUCUCACAUCAACUAGGCGUAUCAACGGGCUAUGGAGAUGCCCAUCAAUAGAUAUCAAUGUGAGUGAGUAGGGAUUGCCAUGCAACGGAUGCACUGGAGCUAUAAGUGUAUGAAAGCUCCAACUGAAACUAAGUGGGUGUGCAUCCAACUUGCUUGCUCAUGAAGACCUUGGGCAUUUGAGGAAGCCCACCAUCGGAAUAUACAAGCCAAGUUCUAUAAUGAAAAUUCCCACUAGUAUAUGAAAGUGAUAACUCAAGAGACUCUCUAUAUGAAGAACAUGGUGCUACUUUGAAGCACAAGUGUGGAAAAAGGAUAGUAGCACUGCCCCUUCUCUCUUUUUCUCUCAUUUUUUUAUUUUUUUUAUUUUUUGGUGGGAUUCUUUGGCCUCUUUUUUUAUUUGGGCUUCUUUGGCCUCUUUUCUUUUUUUGUAAAGUCCGGAGUCUCAUCCCGACUUCUGGGGGAAUCAUAGUCUCCAUCAUCCUUUCCUCACUGGGGCAAUGCUCUAAUAAUGAUGAUCAUCACACUUUUAUUUACUUACAACUCAAUAUUACAACUCGAUACUAGAACAAAGAUAUGACUCUAUAUGAAUGCCUCCGGCGGUGUACCGGGAUGUGCAAUGAUCUAGCGUAGCAAUGACAUCUAAAAACAGACAAGCCAUGGAAACAUCAUGCUAGCUAUCUUACGAUCAUGCAAAGCAAUAUGACAAUGAAUGCUCAAGUUAUGUAUAUGAUGACAAUGGAAGUUGCAUGGCAAUAUAUCUCAGAAUGGCUAUGGAAAUGCCAUGAUAGGUAGGUAUGGUGGCUGUUUUGAGGAAGGUAUAUGGUGGGUUUAUGGUACCGGCGAACGUUGCGCGAUACUAGAGAGGCUAGCAAUGGUGUAAGGGUGAGAGUGCGUAUAAUCCAUGGACUCAACAUUAGUCAUAAAUAACUCAUAUACUUAUUGCAAAAAUCUAUUAGUCAUCGAAACAAAGUACUACACGCAUGCUCCUAGGGGGAUAGAUUGGUAGGAAAAGACCAUCGCUCGUCCCCGACCGCCACUCAUAAGGAAGACAAUCAAUAAAUAAACCAUGCUCCGACUUCAUCACAUAACGGUUCACCAUACGUGCAUGCUACGGGAAUCACAAACUUCAACACAAGUAUUUCUACAAUCCACAACUACUCACUAGCAUGACUCUAAUAUCACCAUCUUUAUAUCGCAAAACUAUUGCAAGGAAUCAAACAUAUCAUAUUCAGUGAUCUACAAGUUUUAUGUAGGAUUUUAUGACUAACCAUGUGAAUGACCAAUUCCUGUCAUCUCUCUAAAUAGAUAUAAGUGAAGCAAGAGAGUUUAAUUCUUCCUACAAAAGAUAUGUCCACACUCUAACAAAUCUAAGUGAAGCAAAAGAGCAUUCUACAAAUGGCGGUUUUCUAUGUAAAGAGAAACAGGCAAUCCAAACUUCAAAUGAUAUAAGCGAAGCACAUGAAGCAUUCUAUAAAGCCAUACUCAAAAGAUAUAAAUGAAGUGCAUAGAGCAUUCUAUAAAUCAACCAAGGACUAUCUCAUACCAGCAUGGUGCAUAAAAUAAAAAUGAAAACUAAAUGCAAAAGACGCUCCAAGAUUGCACAUAUCGCAUGAACGAAACAAAUCUGAAAACAUACCGAUACUUGUUGAAGAAAGAGGGGAUGCCUUCCGGGGCAUCCCCAAGGUUAUACGCUUGAGUCUCCUUGAAUAUUUACUUGGGGUGCCUCGGGCAUCCCCAAGAUUGAGCUCUUGCCUCUCUUCCUUCUUCUCACAUAAAGACCUUCUCGAUCAUCGAACACUUCAUCCACACAAAACUUCAACAGAAAACUCGGUAAGAUCCGUUAGUAUAAUAAAGCAAAUCACUACUCUAAGUACUGUUGCAAACCAAUUCAUAUUUUGUUUUUGCAUUGUGUCUACUGUAAUAUAACUUUUUCAUGGCUUAAUCCACAGAUAUAAAUUGAUAGUUUCAUCAAAACAAGCAAACUAUGCAUGAAAAACAGCAUCUGUCUAAAACAGAACAGUCUGUAAUAAUCUGAACAUUCACCAUACUUCUGAUGCUUGAAAAAUUAUACAAAAAUUAGGAAAAAUAAAAAAUUUGUAUAGGAAGACAGUGCAAAAAUAGUCAGAACUAUUUGACGUUCCAGCUAAAAAUGUAAAAUCGCGCACUACAGACAAAGUUUCUGUCCUGCACCGUACAAACCAUCAAGCAAAUGUAAACAUCCUAAAGGCAAACCUUGGCACAUUAUUUUUAUAAUACAAUUGAAUUGUUCAAGGGGAUAAUUAUUUUUGUUGAAAAUUUUCUGUAAUCAAGAUUCAAAAAGUUUCCGUGAGCAUGAACAAAGUCCAAGGCUAGCUCCCACUUCAACAAUGCUUGUCUCUCUCACUUUCACUUUCCUUUUUGAAAAAGAUUUGGGUUCCCCUCUAUGUUUUUUUUAAACUAUAUGAAAGCACUCAACAGAAAUAAAUGACUCUCUAAAACUUCCGGGUUGUCUCCCUGGCAGCGCUUUCUUUAAAGCCAUUAAGCUAGGCAUAUAGUGCUCAAGUAAUGGAUCCACCCGGCUCCCAAGGUAUAUCAAAGCCAAUUUUAAUUAACAAUGAUUUGUAAUUUAGUGGUGAGCACAAGGUAACAUAUAUCAUGUAAUGACGAAGUCUAACUCUCUUCCUAUGCAUCGGCAUGUCAUAAAAGAACAAUUCAUGCACACAUAGUAAAGGCCAAUGCAUAGUGUAAACAGUUUCUUGCAAUUUUGUCAUAUUGGAAACAUAGAGAGGUGGAGAUAUAGUUCCUCUCUCAUAAUAAUUGCAAGUAGGAGCAGAAAGCACAUGCAUAUUAUAUUCAUCAAAAUCAUCAUGUGAAACGGUAAAAGGCAACCCAUCAAUAUAAAUCCUUAAUAAGUGCAAACUUCUCCGAUAUAGUGUAGCCAGGAGAAUUCAAAAAGAUAAUAGGACUAUCAUGCAUGGGUGCAAUAGAAAUAAUUUCAUAUUUAACAUAAGGAACUAUAGCAAGUUCAUCUCCAUAAGCAUAAUUCAUAUUGGCAUCUUGGCCACAAGCAUAGCAAGCAUCAUCAAAAAGGGAUAUUUCAAAAGAAUCAACGGGAUCAUAACAAUCAUCAUAGCAAUCAUCCUCCGGUAAGCACGAAGGGAAAUUAAAUAAUGUAUGAGUUGAAGAGUUACUCUCAUUAUAAGGUGGGCAUGGGUAGCUAAUCCGCUCUUCCUCCUUUUGUUCUUCGCUCUCCUCAUCAUCUUUUUCAUCUGAUGAGCUCACAAUUUCAUCAAUUUCUUCUUCCAUAGAUUCUUGCAAAAUAUUAGUCUCUUCUUGGACAGCGGAGACUUUCUUAAUAAGCACAUUAAUUUCGUAAUUGUAUUCAUAAUUCUCAUAACAAUAUUUCAGGACAGCUAAAUUUUCAGGUCUAUAAACAACAUCAUCAAAAUCUUCAAACUCUUUAAACAUAGAUUCAAUUUCAUAAGCACCCUUAAAAGCAACAAAUUCUUCUAUUUGUUUCACAUCAUAGUAAUCAUAUAUACCAUUAGCAUAAGAAGCUAAGGUUUCAUUAUCAUUAAAUUUGCAUAAAAAGGGAAGGUGUGGAGCCUUCAUCCUAGAGCAAAAAGUAUAAUCAUAACUCAAGCAUACUUGCCGAGCAUACCACUUCAAUAUAUGAAUUUGAUCCCAUAAUAGUUUCCCUUUUUGUGUCAAGCGGUAAUCCCUAAAGUAUUCAUGUUGAUCCAACGUUACUCCCAUUACAUAAUUGAAUGGGGUUUUCUCAGGAUUAUUAAAGUAGUACAUAAUAUCUUCCACAUAACCAGCAUUGAGGUUUUAGGAGGUUACCCAUCUCCAUGAGUAGCAAGUACACCUAAUUUUUUUGGUAUUUCGUGUUCCAUAUCCAUAACUAAAGAUAAAGAACAACUAAGAACAACAAAUAAAAAAUACCUAGUGAUAAAGCAAACAAGCACACACGAGAAUAUUCACCCCACGCUAUUGCUCCCCGGCAAUGGCGCCAUAAAAAGGUCUUGAUAACCCACAAGUAUAGGGGAUCGCAAUAGUUUUUGAUAAGUAAGUGUUUUGAACCCAACGAGGAGCUAAAGGUAGAACAAAUAUUCCCUCAAGUUCUACCGACCAACGAUAUAACUCUAUGCACGCUUGACAUUAGCUUUACCUAGAACAAGUAUGAAACUAGAAGUACUUUGUAGGUGUUGUUGGAUAGGUUUGCAAGAUAAUGAAGAGUACGUAAAUAAAAAGUAGGUGCUGUUUAGAUAAAGAAACAAUAAAGUAAAUAUAGCAAGUGUGGAAAAGUGGUGGUAGGAGUUGCAAAAUUGCCCCUAAGCAAUUGACUACUUUACUAGACCGAUAGCAAGUAUUAUGUGGGAGAGGCCACUGCUAGCAUGUCAUCCCUGACUUGGAAUUCUAUGCACUUAUGAUUGGAACUAUUAAGAAGCAUCCGCAACUGCUAAUGUUCAUUAAGGUAAAACCCAACCAUAGCAUUAAGAUAUAUUGGUCCCCCUUCAAUCCCGUAUGCAUCAAUUUCUAUGCUAGGUUGAAGCUUCUGUCACUCUUGCCCUCCAAUACAUAGUCCUAUCAACAUACAACUAACCCUAGGGUGUGAUCCACGUGCGCAAUCAUAUGAUGGGCACCAAAGGACAGCAACAUAACCAAAAGCAAAUUAAAUCAAUCAUAGCAGUUCAUCAACCACCAAUAGGACAACGAAAAUCUACUCAGACAUCAUAGGAUGGCAACACAUCAUUGGAUAAUAAUAUGAGGCAUAAAGCACCAUGUUCAAGUAGAUUAUACAGCGGGUUGCGGGAGAGUGGACCGCUGUAGAUAGAGGGGGGAAGGUGAUGGAGAUGUUGGUGAAGAUGGCGGAGGUGUUGGUGUAGAUCGCGGUGAUGAUGAUGGCCCCCGGCGGUGUUCCGGCGCCACCGGAAGCGAGGGGGAGAGAGCCCCCUCCUUCUUCUUCUUCCUUGACCUUCUUCCUAGAUGGGAGAAGGGUUUCCCCUCUGGUCCAUGGCCUCCAUGGCACGGGAGGGGCGAGAGCCCCUCCAAGAUUGGAUCUGUCUCUCUGUCUCUCUCUGUUUCUGCGUUUUGUUCUGCUGCCCUUUCCCGUUUCUUUUAUAUCCGGAGAUCCGUAACUCCGGUUGGAACGAAACCUUCGCCAUGAUUUUUUUCCAAAAAUUAGCUUUCUUGCGGUCGAAGAAGGGAGUCAACCGCCUUACAGGUGGGUCACGAGGGUCAGGGGCGCGCCUUAGGGGGGGCCCUACCUCGUGCCCACCUCGGACACUGGUUCGCGUUGAUUUUUCCUCCAGAUUUUCCAAAUAUUCCAAAAAGUGGCUCUGUCCGUUUUUAUCCCAUUUGGACUCCGUUUGAUAUGGAUAUUCUGCGAAACCAGAAACAUGCAACAGACAUGAACUGGGACUGGGCACUGGAUCAAUAUGUUAGUCCCAAAAAUAGUAUAAAAAGUUGCCAAAAGUACAUGAAAGUUGAAUAAUAUUGGCAUGGAACAAUCAAAAAAUAUAGAUACGACGGAGACGUAUCACGAUGGCACCCCAAGAUAAUCUAAGGACAUCUAAAAGCCAAAGCUUGGGGAUACCGCGGAAGGCAUCCCCUCUUUCGUCUACUUCUAUCGGUAACUUUACUUGGAGCUAUAUUUUUAUUUAGCACAUGAUAUGUGUUUUUCUUGGAGCGUAUUGUAUGAUUUGAGUCUUUGCUUGUUAGUUUACCACAAUCAUCCUUGUUGUACACACCUUUUGAGAGAGCCAUACAUGAUUUGGAAUUUGUUAGAAUACUCUAUGUGCUUCACUUAUAUCUUUUGAGUUAUAUAAUUUUGCUCUAGUGCUUCACUUAUAUCUUUUAGAGCACGGUGGUGGAUUUGUUUUAUAGAAACUAUUGAUCUCUCAUGCUUCACUUAGAUUAUUUUGAGAGUCUUAAUAGCAUGGUAAUUUGCUUAAAAUCCUAAUAUGCUGGGUAUGCAAGAUUAAUAAUAAAACUUUCUUAUGAGUGUGUUGAAUACUAAGAGAAGUUUGAUGCUUGAUGAUUGAUUUGAGACAUGGAGGUAAUAAUAUCAAAGUCAUGCUAGUUGAGUAGUUGUGAAAUUGAGAAAUACUUGUGUUGAGGUUUGCAAGUCCCGUAGCAUGCAUGUAUGGUAAACGUUAUGCAACAAAUUUGAAACAUGAGGUGUUAUUUGAUUGUCUUCCUUAUGAGUGGCGGUCGGGGAUGAGCGAUGGUCUUUUCCUACCAAUCUAUCCCCCCUAGGAGCAUGCGCGUAGUACCGAGGUUUUUGAUGACUUGUAGAUUUUUGCAAUAAGUAUGUGAGUUCUUUACGACUAAUGUUGAGUCCAUGGAUUAUACGCACUCUCACCCUUCCAUCCUUGCUAGCCUCUUCGGUACCGUGCAUUGCCCUUUCUCACAUUGAGAGUUGGCGCAAACUUCGCCGGUGCAUCCAAACCCCGUGAUAUGAUAUGCUCUUUCACACAUAAACCUCCUUAUAUCUUCCUCAAAACAGCCACCAUACCUACCUAUUAUGGCAUUUCCAUAUCCAUUCUGAGAUAUAUUGCCAUGCAACUUUCCAUCAUUCCGUUCAUCAUGACACAUUCAUCAUUGUCAUAUUGCUUAGCAUGGUCAUGUAGUUGACAUAGUAUUUGUGGCAAGGCCACCAUUCAUAAUUCUUUCAUACAUGUCACUCUUGGUCCAUUGCAUAUCCCGGUACACUGCCGGAGGCAUUCAUAUAGAGUCAUCUUUGUUCUAGUAUCGAGUUGUAAUCAUUGAGUUGUAAAUAAAUAGAAGUGUGUGAUCAUCAUUUUCUAGAGCAUUGUCCCAUGUGAGGAAUAAAUAAAUAAGAAAAAGGGGAGAAAGGCCAUAAAAAAAGAGAAGGCCCAAAAAAAGAAGAGAAAGGCCAUAAAAAGGCCAAAAAAAGAAAAUGAGAGAAAAAGAUAGAAGGGACAAUGUUACUACCCUUUGCCACACUUGUGCUUCAAAGUAGCACCAUGAUCUUCAUAGUAGAGAGUCUCUCAUGUUAUCACUUUCAUAUACUAGUGGGAAUUUUUCAUUAUAGAACUUGGCUUGUAUAUUCCAACAAUGGGCCUCCUCAAGUGCCCUAGGUCUUCGUGAGCAAGCAAGUUGGAUGCACACCCACUAGUUUCUUUUGUUGAUCUUUCAUACAUUUAUAGCUCUAGUGCAUCCAUUGCAUGGCAAUCCCUACUCCUUGCAUUAACAUCAAUCGGUGGGCAUCUCCAUAGCCCAUUGAUUAGCCUCAUUGAUGUGAGACUUUCUCUCUUUUUUGUCUUCUCCACAUAACCCCCCUAAUUAUAUUCUAUUCCACCUAUAGUGCUAUGUCCAUGGCUCGCGCUCAUAUAUUGCGUGAAAGUUUAUAGGUUUGAGAUUAAUAAAGUAUGAAACAAUUGCUUGGCUUGUCAUCGGGGUUGUGCAUGAUGAUAGCAUUCUUGUGUGAUGAAAAUGAAACAUCACUAAACCAUAUGAUUUUGUAGGGAUGAACUUUCUUUGGCCAUGUUAUUUUGAGAAGACAUAAUUGCUUAGUUAGUAUGCUUGAAGUAUUAUCAUUUUUAUGUCAAUAUGAAAUUUUUUCUUGAAUCUUUCGGAUAUGAAUAUUCAUACCACAAUUAAGCAGAACUACAUUAAAAUUAUGCCAAGUAGCACUCCGCAUCAAAGAUUCUGUUUUUAUCUUUUACCUACUUGAGGACGAGCAGGAAUUAAGCUUGGGGAUGCUUAAUACGUCUCCAACGUAUCUAUAAUUUUUUAUUGCUCCAUGCUAUAUUAUCUACUGUUUUGGACAUUAUUGGGCUUUAUUUUCCACUUUUAUAUUAUUUUUGGGACUAACCUAUUAACCGGAGGCCCAGCCCAGAAUUGCUGUUUUUGCCUGUUUUAGGGUUUCGAAGAAAAGGAAUAUCGAACGGAGCCCAAACGGAAUGAAACCUUCGGGAACGUGAUUUUCUCAUCGAAUACAACUCAGGAGACUUGGACCCUACGUCAAGCCACGUAACAGGAGGCCACGAGGUAGGGGGGCGUGCCUACCUCCCACCCAGGCGCGCCCUCCACCCUCGUGGGCCCCCUGUUGCUCCACCGACGUACUUCUUCCUCCUAUAUAUACCCACGUACCCUCCAACGAUCAGAUACGGAGCCAAAACCCAAAUUCCAUCGCCCUAGCUUUCUGUAUCCAUGAGAUCCCAUGUUGGGGCCUAUUCCAGAGCUCCACCGGAGGGGGCAUCGAUCAUGGAGGGCUUCUACAUCAACACCAUAGCCCCUUCGAUGAAGUGUGAGUAGUUUACUUCAGACCUACGGGUCCAUAGUUAGUAGCUAGAUGGCUUCUUCUCUCUUUUUGGAUCUCAAUACAAUGUUCUCCCCCUCUCUUGUGGAGAUCUAUUCGAUGUAAUCUCCUUUUUGCGGUGUGUUUGUUGAGACCGAUGAAUUGUGGGUUUAUGAUCAAGUCUAUCUAUGAAUAAUAUUUGAAUCUUCUCUGAAUUCUUUUAUGUAUGAUUGAUUAUCUUUGCAAGUUUCUUCGAAUUAUCAGUUUGGUUUGGCCUACUAGAUUGAUCUUUCUUGCAAUGGGAGAAGUGCUUAGCUUUGGGUUCAAUCUUGUGGUGUCCUUUCCCGGUGAUAGUAAGGGCAGCAAGGCACGUAUUGUAUUGUUGCCAUCGAGGAUAACAAGAUGGGGUUUUCUUCAUAUUGCAUGAGUCCAUCCCUCUACAUCAUGUCAUGUUGCUUAAGGCGUUACUCUGUUUUUAACUUAAUACUCUAGAUGCAUGCUGGAUAGCGGUCGAUGAGUGGAGUAAUAGUAGUAGAUGCAGGCAGGAGUUGGUCUACUUGUCUCGGACAAGAAGCCACUAGUGAAGCCUAUGGCCCCCGGGUCUAUCUUUAUCAUAUCAAUCUCCUACUACUUAGUCAUUUACUUUGCCUUUAUUUUACUUUGCAUCUUUAUCAUAAAAAUACCAAAAAUAUUAUCUUAUCAUAUCUAUCAGAUCUCACUCUCGUAAGUGGCCCUAUAGGGAUUGACAACCCCUAUUUGCGUUGGUUGCGAGGAUUUAUUUGUUUUGUGCAGGUACGAGGGACUCGCGCGUAGCCUCCUACUGGAUUGAUACCUUGGUUCUCAAAAACUGAGGGAAAUACUUACGCUACUUUGCUGCAUCAUCCCUUCCUCUUCGGGGAAAACCAACACAGUGCUAAAAGAGGUAGCAGUUGCGGAUGAUUCCAAUUACCUGGCCAUUUGCGGUCUGGGGGCUUGACAUGGUUAGACCUUUCAAAAGUUCUAAGGAUAGAAAGACACAUCUUUUAGUAGCAAUUGACAAAUUCACAAAGUGGGUGAGGCGGAGCCAGUGAGUAAGUGUGAUGCAGCCACGGCGGUUCAGUUCAUGAAAAAGGUGAUCUUUCUCUUAGGUUUUCCACACAACAUUAUCACUGACAAUGGCACUAAUUUAUCCCAAGGGGCUAUGGAGGAGUUUUGUCAACGUGAGCAUAUCCGGCUUGGUGUUUCUUCUGUAGCUCACCCUCAAUCUAAUGGGCAGGCUGAGAGAGCAAAUCAGGAAAUCUUAAAAGGUCUCAAGCCCCGGCUCAUGGUGCCCUUACAACGGACGCCGGGUUGCUGGGUAGAGGAGUUACCCUCGGUAUUGUGGAGUAUUAACACCACCCCUAACAGAUCUACGGGUUAUACACCCUUCUUCAUGGUUUAUGGAGCGGAAGCAGUGCUACCUAGUGACAUCCGUCAUGACUUGCCUCGUGUGGCGGCUUAUGUUGAAACUAAUAACGAACAAGGCAGCUAGGAUGCGCUUGACUUGUUAUAUGAGGAAAGAGACUUAGCAGCGGCUCGAUCAGCAAUUUAUCAACAUGACCUGCGCCGCUAUCACAGCCGUCGGGUUAAGUCCAGGACUUUUCAAGAAGGUGACCUGGUGCUCCGGCUCAUCCAAGAUCUGUCAGAUGCGCACAAGCUAUCCCCGCCUUGGGAAGGACCCUUUGUGGCCAGCAGGAACUUAACCAACGGGUCAUAUUACCUCAUUGACGUUCGAGAGCACAAAGACUCACGUAAGUCGGAGGAGGAGACUCGCUGGCCGUGGAACAUUGCUCAACUUCGGCCAUACUACACCUGAGCCACCGGCUCUCAUCAUGUACAUACUUUGACGUUGUAUAUACUAUGAUAAGUAAUAAAGCAGGACCUCUGUCCUUUUCCUUUUCAAAGAUUAUAUAUCUUUACUCUUUUUCACUAUUUAAAAUGACUAUUAAGGAGCUGAUCAUAUUGAAUCAAGUCUAACCUUUUUGGUCCGGCUUAUGAUCGUAUUCGAAUCUAGCUGUAAACCUCAUGAUCACUUGGGGCUUCCUGUUCAAACAUAGGUCGUAUUCGAACCAAACAGAACAUAGCUGUCAUAACCCUCUUGAUCGGCUUAAAGCCAAACUCACCAGGGGGCUUCUUGAUCAUAUCUGGAUCAUAACUUAACCCCUUUUGGGUCCGACUUGGAUCGUAUUAGAAUCAGGGUCGUUAAAAACCUCUCAAGAUCAUUUGGGGGCUUCCUGUUCAAACAUAGGUCAUAUUCGAACCAAAGAGAACAUAGCUGUCGGUACCCUCUUGAUCGGCGCAACGCCAAAGCCACUGGGGGCUAUAUGAUCGUAUUCGAAUCUUAGCUUAACCCCUUUGGUCCGGUUUACUGAUCGUAUUCGAAUCAGAAACCCCCAACCUUUAGUUACAAGGUUAAUUAUAUUGUUUGCCACCUGUUAUUUGUCUUUUAUUGUCUCAAUUUUAAACAAUCAGCAUGGUCUUUUUGCCGGCUUGACUAUUUGACAAUAAGCCGCCAAGGCAUGAUAAUCACCAGGCAUUCAGAAGCCUUGACUUCUCAAAAGGACUGGAUCUUCAACCUCAUCACCCGGGUCAUAUAAACCGGUGGUCCAGAGGUCAAAGAUACAGGUAUGACUGUUGUUUAUGAACAGUUUCUUUAUGUGUUAAGCCAAGGUUAUUUCAACCUUGUUUAUUUUCACGUCUAGUUCUGUUCUUCUACUAUGAUAAAACCAUUGGUCAUGUACCGGGUAUUCUGACCCGUUCGGUGCUAAACCGCCAAGCAAGUUUUUUCUUUGCUACAAGAACAGAGCUGAAACAUUACAAAGAUAACCAUGAAUGUGACGCAUAUAUUGAAAUCAAGAAGCAAAGAGUCACAAACAGCAUGUUAUGCACGAUGGCAUAGGUAAAAUAUGCAGUUGUUUCAAGCUAAUUCUAUUACAAGGCUUUCAAGAGCCCAUAAAGAUGGUUCUCACUCUUCCCUUGCCGGUUCACCUCCUUCUGUUAAUUGAAAGCUGGGAUUGGACCAGUCAAAGUCGUUCACGGCGAUGAACUCUGAUUCAUCAUCAAUCAGGCUAGCCGGAUCAACUUCUAGAGCAAACGUAUGUUGACGAACCGGCGUGAGAAGGUCUGUCACCUUGUAAGAGGGAGUCGCGAUCUUCUUAUUCUCCAAAUCAAAACCCGGCUGAUAUUUGUCAAUAUUGGUUUCAUCUCCAAGAAUAGUAGCCUGAGGUCGAACUUCCCUCACGCAAGCAACAAAGUCAUCUUGCUCAAACAGAGACCCGUCUUCCUUCACGGUAGGGUACCCCCUGGCUACGUCCGCUGGGUCUAGAUCUGGCACCCAAGCCUUGGAACGGCUCAGAGCAGUCAAGGCUCCGGCUCUAGCACAUGAUCGUUUGAACUCUUGGAACCUGGCGGGUAAGAUUGACAAUUUCUUCAAAACGUCGCUCAGCCGAUUGGGUCCUUGGUUGGCAGGGGAGAUGGUGGCAAGUGAUCGUUGAGCGCCGGUAUACAAUUGCUCUACUAAUGUAUAAACCGCCUUCAGCUUGAUCACGCUGUCUUGGCUUAGAUUUUUGCUUCGAGGACCUGCGAAGUGUUUUUAUACAGAGGCUCAUCAGGCGGUUCAUAUUCCAGGUCAAAAAGAAGGUAUAAGUGAUUAAACACAGAUAACUUACCAAAGAUGGCGGAGACCAUUUGAGACACCCGGCUCUUUAAACCAGUAAGCUCGGUGGUAACCUCCUCAAGAGCCGAUUCAGCUUUUUCAGCAUGUUGGAUAGCAGUGUCUUUUCUUCAGCCCAGGAUUUCUUCUUGGCCGUCAAACUGGUCUUCAAUUUCUCUGUCUCAAAAAGACUUAGUUGGAGUUUAGUGUCUCUGUCUCUUGUUCCGUCAGCCGGGUCUUUGCUUCAGUUAAUUGAGAGCCCAAUUCAGAUAGGGCGUUCUGCAAAACGUAUACAGGUGUGUCAAAACUUAAACUUCAGAUUCAAGUCUCAAGUACUAUGCACUGCAAGACCACUUGACACUUGGGGGCUAAUGUCUGCCAAAACAAUUUUUUACGACUCUUAUAUAUUUCAAGUCCCAAGUGCCUUACAAAGUAACAUCACUUGGCACUUGGGGGCUAAUGUAUGAUAUUCAGAAAGUUAUUCAAUAUUAAGCCGAAUUACAAUGCUUAUUGGGACAAUUCUGAAGUUAAGCACCGGUUCAUUUUGAUCCAUUGAGCCGGCCCUUGGGGACUAUAGGUGAAGUUUAUACUAUUUUAUUGGACUUUAGGAAAAUCUAAAGGUAAAGCUUUAGCCUAUAUCAUAAGUCUACAGAUCAUUCAGGUUUUAUCAUAUUCUAAAGACUUGGGGGAUGGCAGAAUAUAAGUAAGCCGGAAGAACAUACCUCAUACUUCAGCUGCAAUUGCUUCACCAUCUCGAUUUCCGAGUCACGGAUAGAGUGCACAUGGAUGAGAUAGCCAGACAAUAUUUCAUUGGCGUUCAGAUGGUUGUAGUGAGAAACAUCAAAACGCACUUUCUGUCUCUCUAGGGCCUCUUGUUUAGCGGUGUGACGAGCUAACACGGUGGGAGUCCCCGGCUCAACAAAACGGCUCCCAGUGAUCAGAACGUCAUGGGAAGACGAUGAUGGCGGGUUAGCCGAGCUGGACGGUCCGGUAGUAGAGGGUUUAACGAUGGUAUCGUCAGCUGACGGCUUAGGAGGAUCUAAUUAAGCAUUGGCAGCCGGGUCUUCUGGUGCUUCAGUUUGAGGGGGAGAAGGUGGCAUGGCCGGUUCAGGCGCAAGGACUGACGGGUCUUUCGCCGGCUUAGUCACCUUGGCUUCUUGGACUUAGCUUGGCCACUAAGAAAGAUGUUAUGAGACUGUCAAUAUAAAGUUGCAGUUUGAGAAACACGGAGGAAAGAUGAUUGUUUCCUUACCCAGGGGCAGUUUUGAAGGCCGGAAAUUGUGUCUGAGAGGAGUCGUCAGAAGAGCGAGAAACCUCCUUCAAAGGGCAAAUAAUGUCAGUAGCACAAGAGAAUAUAUUCAUUAAUGAAUGCUGAAGAGGAAUAUAAAAGAGACCUUAUUUUGGCGUUUUUAGGUGUUUGUUGUACAAUAGGAGGCGGCUCAUCAUCGUUCCGGGCUUGACGACGGCUCUCGUGUUGUUGCUUUUUCAAAAGAAAAUGAGGAUCCAAAUAAGCCAAAGGGUACGAAAACCUUACUUUCCGGGUUACCCGUCGAAGUUUCUGUCUCGGCAAAUGGUGUGAGUCGGAGGAAAUAAUUACCUCUUCUUCUCCGGCCUGGCUGGCCCCCGUGUCGUCGUGGCAAUAAUUAGUGUCAAUAAGGUUACUCAAAAACUGGCCAAGGGAGUCAAGGGCUACCUCCGACUCAGAAGUAUCAUCGUCAAGCUUUAACAGAUCCUCAUCGGUGGUCUUCUUCUUCUUCUUCGACCUCCGGGUCGUUUUCUUGGCAGCCAUGGCGGCGGCUCUAACCUUCUUGGCGGCUUCAUGGUCAUACUUGGCUUUCCAGAAAUAAGAUUUGGCCUGUAAACAAAUAAACAAGAUGAAAGGUCAUGCAGGUAUUUAAAACGGCUGAGAAAAAUACAAAGAGAGAGGUUAGAGGUUCUUUACCUCUGGUGCUGGGUUAAGUUUGCAGAACGGGUUUAACCCGACUUUACUGCAGUCUUCAUACUUGCCGUUCACCAGAAGAGUUGACAUUGAAACAAUAUCUUCUUCAGUAACUUGAACGGAGCUGUGAUGAAGAAAGUCAUUUGGGCCACCAGCAUAUUCAUACAUCAAUUUGGAUCGGCAGCUUAGAGGGAUGACCCUCCAUGAGACCCAGGAAUGGGUCAAGUCAACUCUGGUUAAGCCGUUCCCCAAUAAGGCAUUAAUCCUUUUGAUUGAUGGCAUAAGGUUCUUGCAUUCAGCGGCAGUGAGUUUGUCAGGAAGCGCAAACUUGGAGUCAAGACGAUCUGCGCGAUAACCCGGCAGUGGCGUCUCAUUUGCUGGUGAAGUGUCUUGACAAUAGAACCAAGUCUGAUUCCAGUCUUUGGGAUGACUCGGCAAGACUAUUAGAGGGAAGACGGCACCCUGUCGAUGCUGAAUUGAGAGGCCUCCAAGUUCAAAGCUAGGGUCAUUGGUACACUCGUUCUGGUGGUUCAGAUAAAAAUACUCUCUAAAGAGGUCCAUAGUCGGUUCUUCUUGAAGGUACACCUCACAGAGAACUUGGAAACUGCAGAUAUUGGAUAUGGAGUUGGGCCCGAGAUCUUGAGGGUGUAGUUUGAAAAAAAUGGAGGACAUCUCUGAAGAACUUUGAGCCGGGUGGUGAAAAGCCACGAUUCAUGUGGUCAGAAAAGACAAUGACUUCACCAUCUUUUGGAUUGGGUCGUUCCUCGUCCGGGUCAGGUGCACGGUAAGACAUAACAUUCUUCCAUGGAAAAAAAUCCUAUGGAGAAGAAGUCCUUCAAAUUUUCCUCAGUCACUGUUGAGGGAACCCGGUUGCAGAUAGUCGGUGCUUUGGACGGCAUGAUGUUCCAAAGACGAACUGAAAAGAAAGAAACAUGCCGGUUCAAUUCAAUGAUAAUGGUGAAAUUAAGUGAUGAUGGUACAGGGGAGUAAUGGUGGCUUAAGUAAGGGCUAAUGUCAUAUAAGGAAAAGUAAGCCGGCGCAAUAAGCCGCCAUGACUACAGAUUUUGAGAAAGCAGAUUCGGCUAAGUGUUGAGACAAACAAGUUUCCUAAUUGUUUGAUAUUAUUCCAGAUCAAAUGGCUAUUUAAAAUGGAAAAAAUUCUAGACCUAAAAGUUUAGCGCAGGUGAGUUUGUGAGUCCUAAUGAGGCCUUUAUACUGGGAAAAGGGAUCUACUAGUAUCAAGAGUAGGCACAAAACAGCUACCGCACAAGCAUAUAUCUCUUUUUGGAUCAAGAAGAGGUUGCAGGGGAAGAACUACGAAGAAACUGCGAUGAACUACGAAGAACAUGCAGAAACCUAGAAAGCCCUAAUGCAGAUCUGAGGAGCAAGAAGGGAAACGCUUACAGCCACAGAUCUUCCAUGGAGAGUUGCUGCCGUUCUCUCGACUGAUUCUGGUCGAUGCAGCGGCCAAAGUCGAUGGAGGUGAGGUGCUCUCUGACGGUGGCGGAGCUCGAGCCGGAGCGGGGGUUGCGAGAAGAAGAAGACGAAGAAGAGAGAAGAAUGAGAAAGACCGGGGCGUGCCUAUUUAUAAGGGGAUAAGCGAACAGGCGGGUGCAAAAUUCGAGGAAGACCCGAAUAAUGAUUAUCCAACUAAACGGACGCCUCGAUUCUCGGAAGGCAUUAAAGAAUAAAGAUCCGUUGAGAGAUGACGUCAUAAAAGUUUUUCGUGUUUUCAAGAAAUGACGUCAUGGCGGGUUACAAAUUUUUUUGCGAAGAAAGGAAGAUGGAUUUUGUCUAAGUAUUGAAGAUUGACAAAGAACAAAGUUCAAAGUCAACCUGGGGCCUAACGUUGGGGAUAUAGCUACCAGGUAUGACCCGCCGAGGAGGGGCCGGGUCAGCCCCAAUGGCGGGUCACAAAGAAAGCCCAGUAAACAUUCAAGGCGAUAGUUUGUUAAGGCUUAUAGAAGGCCUAAGCCCAGAGGCAGCUUAAGGCCCAAUAUUGUAAACCGCCGUAUGCAAGGAAAGACUUGUAAGGAAAGGCAUAUAAAAGAAGUCACCGAGCCGGACAUGCUUUAUGAGCCGACCGGGACUUUGUAGGACGCCAGGCGUCAACCCGUGUAUAUAAGGGGACGACCCGGUGGCGGCUUAGGGCAAGAAACAAGAAAUCGAUAACCAAGCCGGCGGAUUAGCCUCUUGGUGAUCGAAACCCCAGCAAUUCCAACAUAACUAGACGUAGGCUUUUACUUUCAUCGUAAGGGGCCGAACUAGUAUAAACCUCUUGUGUCCCUUGUCCCGAUUAACCCCAUUAAGCUUCCUGGUUGCGAUGGCCCUACGAGUAAGUCCUUUUGCUAGGACAUCUGCCGUGACAAUUCCAUGACAAAACCCGACAAAAAACAUAAAGUGACAUCUUCUUAACCACAUCAUAUAAAUGAAACUCUACUAAAGGAGGUGAUUCCCUAGGAUAAUAGUAGAAGUUUUGCACAAAAGUAUUGGUGAGUAAGAGAUACUGUUCGCGUUGGUCGCGGAGGAAGUCGAUAAGGCCUGCAUUCUUAGCCAAUUCAUAAAAAUCCUCAUAAAUGCCGGUUGCUCUGAAGAAUUCAUCGGAGGGCCAUUCACACGGCCUAACCUCCGCGGUGCGAGGCAAAUUAUAUUUGGGCUUCAUUGCUUCUUCAUUUUGCUUUUCCUUCGAGCUUCGGCUCGAUGAGCCCCUCAAAAAUCUCUUCACUAUUCUCUGAAAAAUUCUGAAAUUUUUAGUAACUUCAAAAUAAAAGUGAACCAAACUCAACAAAAUUGAUAGCAACUACUCAUACAAGUGCUUAGAGCUUAUAUCAUGCAUCAAAACUACUUGGAACCAUAUAAAUUUGACAUGCAAGCUCAAGAACAUUGUCACCUAGGCAGCACAAAUUUGCAAUGAAUAAAGCACUAGAACAAAAACUAAUUGGACCAAUGGAGGAGUCACAUACCAAGGAACAAUAUCCCCAAGCAGUUUUGUGAGAGGUGCUUUGAGCAAGGAGAUCGAAAAUGGCAGCAAAAUGAGCUUGGACUCGGGUUUGAGCUGGAUAUUGGUGUUUGUGGGAGGAAGAAGGAGUGUGUGGGUGCAAGGAUAAUUGGAGGAGGGCCACCAUGGGCCCACGAGGCAGGGGGCGCGCCCAGGGGGUAGGACGCGCCCCUGACCCUCGUGGCCAGGUGCCAGCUCCUCUUGCUGUGUUCUCAGUGCCAAAUAUUCUCAAAUAUUCCAGAAAAACUCAUAUUUAAAUUUCAGGGCAUUUGGAGAACUUUUAUUUUCGGGGUAUUUUUAUAUUGCAUGGAUAAUUCAGAAAACAGACAGAAAAUACUUUUUUUAUUUUAUUUAAUAUAAAUAACAGAAAGUAAAAAUGGGGUACAGAAGGUUGUGCCUUCUAGUUUCAUCCAUCUCAUGCUCAUCAAAAGGAAUCCACUAAAAAGGUUGAUCAAGUCUUGUUAACGAACUCAUUCCGAAUAACAUGGAACCGGAGAAAUUUCAAAUAACACUAUGUUACCUCAACGGGGAUGUGCACAUCCCCAACAAUAAGAAUAUCAUAUUUCUUCUUAACAGUAGGAAGAGGAAAUUCAAAACCUCCAAAAAUAAUCGAUGGAAUUUUUCCAAUAGAAUUGAUACUAUGGACUUGAGGUUGUUUCCUCGGAAAGUGUACCGUAUGCUCAUUACCAUUAACAUGAAAAUUGACAUUGCCUUUGGUGCAAUCAAUAAAAGCCCCUGCAGUAUUCAAAAAGGGUCUUCCAAGAAUAAUAGACAUACUAUCUUCCUCGGGAAUAUCAAGAAUAACAAAGUCUGUUAAAAUAGUAACGUUUGCAACCACAACAGGCACAUCCUCACAAAUAGCGACAAGUAUAGCAGUUGAUUUGUCAGCCAUUUGCAAAGAUAUUUUAGUAGGUGUCAACUUAUUCAAAUCAAGUCUACGAUAUAAAGAGAGAGGCAUAACACUAACACCGGCUCCAAGAUCACAUAAAGCAGUUUUAACAUAGUUUCUUUUAAUGGAGCAUGGUAUAGUGGGUACUCCUGGAUCUCCAAGUUUCUUUGGUAUUCCACCCUUAAAAGUAUAAUUAGCAAGCAUGGUGGAAAUUUCAGCUUCCGGUAUCUUUCUUUUAUUAGUGAAAAUCUAUUUCAUGUACUUAGCAUACGGAUUCAUUUUGAGCAUAUCAGUUAACCGCAUACGCAAAAACAUAGGUCUAAUCAUUUUAGCAAAGCACUCAAAAUCCUCAUCAUCCUUUUUCUUGGAUGGUUUGGGAGGAAAAGGCAUGGAUUUCUGAACCCAAGCCUCUCUUUCCUUUCCGUGUUUCCUAGCAACAAAGUCUUUCUUAUCAUAACGUUGAUUCUUUGAUUGUGGGUUAUCAAGAUCAAUAGCAGGUUCAAUUUCUACAUCAUUAUCAUUACUAGGUUGGGCAUCAUCAUGAACAUUUUUAUUAACAUUAUCACUAGUUUCAGGUUCAUUACCAGAUUGUGUUUUAGCAUCAGAAAUAGAAAUAUCAUUUGGAUUCUCAGGUGUUUCAGUAAUAGGUUCACUAGAAGCAUGCAAAGUCCUAUCAUUUUUAUUUUUCUUCCUUUUAGAAGGACUAGGUGCAUCUAUAUUAUUUCUCUGAGAAUCUUGCUCAAUUCUCUUAGGGUGGCCUUCAGGAUACAAAGGUUCCUAAGUCAUUGUACCAGUUCUAGUAGCCACUCUAACAAUAUAAUCAUUAUUCUUACUAUUCAAUUCAUUGAGCAAAUCAUUUUGAGCUUUAAGUACUUGUUCUACUUGAGUGGUAACCAUAGAAGCAUGUUUACUAAUAAGUUAAGUUCAACUUUAACAUUAGCCAUAUAAUCACCCAAGUGUUCAAGCAUAUUUGAAUUGUAUUUCAAUUUUCUACCAAAAUAAGCAUUGAAGUCUUCUUGCUUGACCAUAAAUUUAUCAAACUCAUCUAAGCAUGGGCUAGCAAACUUAGUAAAUGGGAUUUCAGCUUUGUCAUAUCUAUAGAGAGAAUUUACCUUUACUACCUGUGUCGGGUUAUCAAGACCAUGAGUUUCUUCAAUAGGUAAUGGAUUAAGAUCAUACGUUUCUUCAACAGGCGGUAAAUUAAGACCGUGUAUUUUUUCAAUAGGAGGUAAAUUCUUAACAUCUUCAGCUUUAAUACCUUUUUCCUUUAUAGAUUUCUUUGCCUCUUGCAUAUCUUCAGGACUGAGAAAUAGAACACCUCUUUUCUUCGGAGUUGGUUUAGGAAUAGGCUUAGGAAGUGUCCAAUUAUUUUCAUUUGUCAACAUAUUAUUCAAGAGAAUUUCAGCUUCAUCCGGUGUUCAUUCCUUGAAAACAGAACCAGCAUAACUAUCCAGGUAAUCUCUAGAAGCAUCGGUUAGUCCAUUAUAAAAGAUAUCAAAUAUUUCAUUUUUCUUAAGAGGAUGAUCAGGCAAAGCAUUAAGUAAUUGGAGAAGCCUCCCCCAAGCUUGUGGGAGACUCUCUUCUUCAAUUUGCACAAAAUUAUAUAUAUCCCUUAAAGUAGCUUGUUUCUUAUGAGCAGGGAAAUAUUUAGCAGAGAAGUAAUAAAUCAUAUCCUGGGGACUACGCACACAACCAGGAUCAAGAGAAUUGAACCAUAUCUUAGCAUCACCCUUUAGUGAAAACGGAAAUAUUUUAAGGAUAUAAAAGUAGCGAGUUCUCUCAUCUUUAGUGAUCAGGGUGGCAAUAUCAUUUAAUUUAGUAAGGUGUGCCACAACAGUUUCAGAUUCAUAGCCAUGAAAAGGAUCAACCAACGUAAUUAAAUCAGGAUCAAUCGAGAAUUCAUAAUCCUUAUCGGUAACACAGAUAGGUGAAGUAGCAAAAGCAGGGUCAGGUUUCAUUCUAGCAUUAAGGGAUUGCUGCUUCCAUUUAGCUAAUAAUUUCUUAAGAUCACUUCUAUCAUUACAAGCAAGAAUAUCUCUAGUAGAUUCUUCAUCCAGAACAUAACUCUCAGGAACAACAAGCAAUUCGUAAGUAUUAGGGGGAGAGUCUUCAUCAUCACUAUCUUCAAUAUAAUCAGUUUCAAUAAUUUCAUUCUCUCUAACCCUAGCAAGUUGUUCAUCAAGAAAUUCACCAAGUGGCACAGUAGUAUCAAGCAUAGAAGUAGUUUCACCAUAAGUAUCAUGCAUAGUAGAAGUGGCGUCAUCAAUAACAUGCGACAUAUCAGAAUGAUUAGCAGAAGCAGGUUUAGGUGUCGCAAGCUUACUCAAAACAGAAGGUGAAUCAAGUGCAGAGCUAGAUGGCAGUUCCUUACCUCCCCUCAUAGUUGAGGGAUAGAUCUUGGUUUUUGGAUCUCUCAAGUUGAGGGAUAAAUCCCAAGUGACUCAAAGAAUAGAGCUAUGCUCCCCGGUAAUGGCGCCAGAAAUUAGUCUUGAUAACCCACAAGUAUAGGGGAUCGCAACCGUUUUCGAGGGUAGAGUAUUCAACCCAAAUUUAUUGAUUCGACACAAGGGGAGCCAAAGAAUAUUCUCAAGUAUUAGCAGCCGAGUUGUCAAUUCAACCACACCUGGAAACUUAAUAUCUGCAGCAAAGUAUUUAGUAGCAAAGUAAUAUGAUAAUACUGGUAACGGUAGCAAAAGGUAAUAGUAGCAAAAGUAGUGUUUUGGGUAUUUUGUAGUGAUGAUAGGAGUAGCAACGGAAAAGUAAAUAAGCGAAGAACAAUAUAUGGAAAGCUCGUAGGCAAUGGAUCAGUGAUGGAUAAUUAUGCCGGAUGUGGUUCAUCAUGUAACAGUCAUAACCUAGGGUGACACAGAACUAGCUCCAAUUCAUCAAUAUAAUGUAGGCAUGUAUUCCGAAUAUAGUCAUACGUGCUUAUGGAAAAGAACUUGCAUGACAUCUUUGUCCUACCCUCCCGUGGUAGCGGGGUCCUAACGGAAACUAAGGGAUAUUAAGGCCUCCUUUUAAUAGAGUACCGGACCAAAGCAUUAACACAUAGUGAAUACAUGAACUCCUCAAACUACGGUCAUCACCGGUAUGUAUCCCGAUUAUCGUCACUUCAGGGUUAACGGAUCAUAACACAUAAUAGGUGAGUAUAGACUUGCAAGAUAGGAUCAAGAACUCUCAUAUAUUGAUGAAAACAUAAUAGGUUCAGAUCUGAAAUCAUGGCACUCGGGCCCUAGUGACAAGCAUUAAGCAUAGGAAAGUCAUAGCAACAUCAAUCUCAGAACAUAGUGGAUACCAGGGAUCAAACCCUAACAAAACUAACUCGAUUACAUGAUAAAUCUCUCCCCUCUCUGGAGCCCCGUACGGACUCCAGAUCAGCCCUCCCGAGAGGUUUUAGGACUUAGCGGCGGCUCCGUAUCGUAAAAUGCGAUGAAUCCUUCUUCUUUAUUUUUUCUCCCCGAAAGCAAAUAUAUAGAGUUGGGGUCGAGGUCGGAGGAGCUCCAAGGGGCCCACGAGGUAGGGGGCGCGCCCUAGUGUGUGGGCCCCCUGGUCUUCAUCUUUUGCAGGGAUUUUUUUAUUAUUUCCGAAAAGAUGUUCCGUGAGGUUUCAGGUCAUCCCGAGAACUUUUGUUUCUGCACAUAAAUAACACCAUGUUAAUUCUGCUGAAAACAACGCCAGUCCGGGUUAGUUCCAUUCAAAUCGUGCAAGUUAGAGUCCAAAACAAGGGCAAAAGUUUUUGGAAAAGUAGAUACGACGGAGACGUAUCAGCACGCCGCCUCCGCCGUCGUUGGAAAUAGGUGUCCGGCACGCAGAUUGUCUUCGGCAUUGCAAGGCGGGUUCCCCCUCCGAUUACUUCAAAGUCCCUGACUUAAAGAGCGGUAUUCGGCUUUUCCAUUUAAUGUCGCGCCCAUCGGCUUCCACGCCUUCCUGACUUCAGCUUCCACGCGGCGAGCGAAUACGAGAGGUCGGGCUAUUUUUGCACAUACCACCCUGACCAUACAAGAGAGGUGACUAUUUGAAGAGAAUAGAUCUCAGAUCCAUUCCAGACCCUGCAAAAAAAAUCCUCAGAGUUCGCUAGGAGGAACCACUCCAACAUGGCUAGCGCUCCCAGCUCUUCCUCUCGUCCCCACGGCUCUGAAAAAGGUGAUUGGGAGAGAUGUUCCAUAUCUCACGGUCAGCUGACGAAGCUGCAAAAUUAGGGCUUUCUUCCUCCCGCAGAUCUAGUCCACAUCUGAGCAGGAUGGACAUCCUUCAAGGGUGAGGUUCAGGCGGAGAAUUUCCCCAAUCCGUCCAGGGGGAACGAGUAUGCUUCGUUCCCUUCUUGCUAAGAGGCUUCAGAUUUCCAAUCCAUCCCUUCCUCCGAGGACUUCUGGAGUAUUAUGGCCUCCAACUACACUGUUUCACUCCCGCCUCCAUCCUGCACAUCGCGGAUUACGUUGCUCUAUGUGAGUUAUUCCUGGUCUGUGAGGCCCAUUUUGAAUUAUGGAGAAAACUGUUCUGCCUCGUCCCUCGUAAUCAAGGGGGAUCAAUAUUCGAAGUGGGAGGAGCCGAGGUAUGGUGCAUCACCGGGACCGGAUACCGGUCCGGCACGCCAAAAAGGCUUCCAAAGAGUGGCCUUCCGAAUGGUUCUAUAUUGACAAUGUUGCUCUUCCUGACCCAGUCCGAAUGGGUCUCCCUGAAUUUUCAAGUGCUCUGUUGAAGAAACGGCACAGCUGGCGCCCUCGGAACCUCGAGGAGGAGGACAACGCGGAAGUUAGUCAGUUGAUGGGCAAGAUUAAGAUGCUCGCCCAGUCCGGAUUAUCAAUAAUCAAGGUAAUGGCGAUCUCCAUAGUGCGGGGGUCCAACCACUCCAAUACAGAGGGCUUCCCAUGUGGCACUAUAACGGGGAAGAUGACGCCUCACGUUGUGGUCGGACGGGUCCGAAAACUCCCGCCGCUUUGGCCAAAAUAUUGGUCGAAUAGUACAAAGGGGAGAAGGAGGAGCUCACUCGUCUCCAAUGUCGAGGCAGAUUUUCCAUGUAUAAUCCUCCUAGCUGGGUGAGCUCCAAUCCCACCAUUUUACUCCUCUCCCUGAAUCAUUUUUAAUGGAUAGUAACCUAUCCACUCGCAACAGGAAUGGCGGAAGGCUACCAAGGGGAUCCAUAGCCCCGCCCCCCAGCCGGAGGGUCACAACCGGGACCUUGACCCCGGAUUUGAAGAAGAUCCGGACAUAUUUGUAGAGCUCGAGAAUGGAGUAUUCUAUUAGACGAGCUACGAUGGUACGGAAGUACCUAUCAUCGCCAAUUAUCCCAGCCUCCUCCCUGCUUCACAUGUAAGUAACUUAAAAGACACCUUCUUCGAAAGAGUUUCUUUAUUAUGCCUCACCCACGUCACUAUUUCGUGUUCCAAAGGGGAGGCGCUCGAUGUCACAACAUGCACCAGAAGCAUCUCCGAGGAGAGCGGCUCCCAUGCCGAGCACGUCUUCGAAGGGAAAGGCAAACGACAAUAUAAUAGAACCUUCAUCAAAGAGGUAAGGCUUUCUUUUUGAAAAUACAUCUCCUGAUCGCCACAUCAAAUCGUGAUGCCAUUCGCCGCAUUCUAUCAAGAAAAGUGCCCGCCGGACAAUGUCCGGGGAUCCUGUCAGUCGUUCUUCCACCAGUCAGGUUCCAGACCCUACCCUGAGGAUGGGGGCUGACACAGGAGUGGCACCGAACUGUCCUUCCGCAGAGGAUUCGGACGAUGUGUACAUCACGAAUUCUGAAGUGGAGAGCGCCAUGAAUCAUCGUCAUGGGAGGGACGCUCUCCGCGACCCUGGCUUUUCAAAGGAGGCAUUCAAUGCCUUCAGCUCGGCCGAUGCAUAUAUACGAGAUGCUCGGGAUGGGCUUGCCAGGGCCACAGACCAGCAUCUAAAAGAUAUGCGAGUAAGUGUAGAUUUAAUAAUCAUACACCAGUAGCCCCCGAGACUUAAAGCAGGUGAUACAGUUGAUUUAAGGAUCAUUGUAUAAUCAGGCACUUAUGGAGAAGAAUAGCCUGAUGUCUCAAGAGCUGGAAAAAUGUCAGACUCAACUAACUGUGGCUACCACCAAAUUGGAAAAAUCCAAGGAGGCACCACCUGGUAAUGUUUCUCCCCAGCGGAAAGAAGUAUAAUCCUACACCAGUUAUAUUAACACUGUUGUGUUUCUGCUGACAGAAUCAGUAGAGCAACUGAGAGAGAAACUGAAGGAAGCCCAGGCUUGUGAACAAGAGGCCAAAAGGCAACAUGCGGCAACCGAGCGUGUGCUGACACGGGUCAGGGAUGAAAGGAACUAGCUGCAGGAUUCCCAUACCCAACUGGGCGAAGGACUAAAAGAUGUUCGAGCUCAGCUAGCUGAUGCCGUCAAGGAGAAUAGGAGGCUACAAGGCGGCAUAUUCAGUAUGCUUUUCAAACUUGCCUCCCUAUGAUUCGGCGAAGGCCGGAACUGACAGAUUUAUGUCUGCAGGUACGCUGAGCGGCCGGUCCAAGGAAGAAAUGUCCGGAUCUCAAGGCGACCUGCUACAAGAGCUGUCCCAGAUGCACGAGUGAGUUUGGCAAGCAAUGCGUAGUGUUCCCAAGGCUUUAUGGACAUCUGCCUCUCCUCCAGGAGGUAUGGCGGAGCGCAUGGAGUUGUUCAAAGGGGCACGACAUCGUAUUCGAUUAUGGAAGAUAUCAGCCUGCUGGGAAGGUGCGCGAGAGGCCUAGGCCAUGGUAAAAACACGGUAUACCAAUCUUGAUCCGAAUCAUAUGGCCCGCGUCGGAACGCUAGGGUCAGAUGGGAAAGAAAUUCCCAUUAAUUUGGUAUAUGACCAAGUAGAAUUAGCCGCCAAAUGUUCCCAAAAGGAUUGUAAGCUAGACAGCAUGUCGGACGGUAUAGAGGAGGAAGUUUUUGAGUCCAAGUGACUAUGUACUUUCCUUGAUAUAUUUGUUCCUAGCUGGAUUGUAAAACGAUUGUCAUGGCCGACCUUUUCACUUCGACCUCUGGAUCCAAAGGUGCGGAGUGUUUCCAAAUACUCGAGCAAUAAAAUAGACGGGGUAUGCAUGGAAACCAGGUGUAGGGGUCAUAGUUGCUUGAACAGACAAGUUGUAUCCGGCUAGCUAUGUUAUAUUACAUUGUGAUUGUAAGAAUCAUCUUCCAGAGAGAAUAGUUCCGUUAAGGGUUCCUUUCCCUGGGUGUGCAUGCGUUAAUGUGCAUGUCCGAACUGUGAUUGAAAAAAUCGCAGUACAGGUAACAUCUAGGGGUUCAUAGUGGAAGAAAUUUAAAGCAUCUUUAGUCCGCCGACCGAAUAUUCCCUUAAGAACACUAGCUUUCGGCUUCACCCAGUCUGAGGUACAUAUCCGGAUAACCCGGCAGUAACAAUCGCAGAGGUGCUCCCUUUAUGCCCUAGCCGAACUAAUGGGAACGUAGGGCAUAAGCACAGGAGCCAGGCAACCCAGCUUGGCCAAAACUUAAGUCAUAUCGAUGCAUAUAAUGGCGAAGAAAAGGUACAUAUGAGGAAAAAACACAUAUGUGAUGAGAUUGAUGCUCAAAAAAUAACAAUAAUAAGCUUCUGUGCAAGAAGCCCCCAGGUAUAAUGGGCGUACACAUUUGAGAAUAUGUAUGUCAUAGGUGUAUGGUUUAGCCGCACGAAAGCUUUAAGGCUAAUAAGAGAGGGCGAAAAGAGAGGAUAAAAAAUAAUGUAAACAAUUGGGACGAGGAAACAAACGAAGGGUUCAACGCUAGGCAUAGAAUCUUCAGAGUCUGGCCGCAUUCCAGGGGUUUGGUUCUAGGCGGUCGUCUGAUGCAUCACACAGGUGGUACGCUCUUCCAGUGAGAACUUCGUCAAUGAUGAAGGGACGCUCCCAUUUGGGCUUGAGUUUGUCCUUUUUCUUCUCCGGCAAGCAUAGAACGAGUUCGCCAACAUUGUAAGUCUUGGCCCGUACUUCUCUGAUUUGAUAUCUGCGGGCCUGCUAUUAAUAAAAUGCGGAACAGGCUUUUAAAACAUCGCGCUUGUCCUCCAGGGCAUCUAAGCUGUCCUGCUGUUCAAGCUCAGCCUCUCUCUCUUCAUACAUGCGCACUCGAGGUGAGUCAUGAAUAAUGUCGCAGGGUAACACAACCUCUACGCCGUACACCAUGAAGAAAGGUGUAUAUCCGGUAGUGCGAUUGGGCGCGGUCCGCAGCCCCCCAGAGUACGGAGUCGAGCUCCUCAACCUAGUGCUUGUCUGAUUCUUUCAAAGUCCACACUAGUUUGGGUUUGAUGCCGCUCAUAAUAAGACCAUUGGUUCAUUCGACUUCACCGUUUGUUUGAGGAUGACAGACGAAGGCAUAAUCGAGCUUAAUGCCUAGAUUAGCACACCAGGCCAAGUGAUGGGGAUUGUUUGUAGAGCAGUUGGUGGCAUAUGGCUUUGGUUGGCGAAAAGCUGGCAUCCGACGCAACAUUGGACAAGGUCCUGUGCAUCAGCUCGGGCCGUCGUCCAAUAGAAACCUGUACGGAAGUCCUUGCUUACAAGGGACCGAGCUACGGCGUGGUGACUACCAAGAUCGGCAUGAAUUUCAGCCAAGAGUUGCCGCCCCUCUUCCUCGGAGAUACAUCUUUGAAGUACUCCGGUAGCGCUUUUCUUGUAGAGUUCUCCUUCGUGGACCUUAUAGGCUUUCGAACGCCGAACAAUGCAGCAAGCCUCAUUCUGAUCCUCAGGGAGCUCUCGCCUAUUGAGGUAGGCCAAGAAGGGUUCGGUCCAUGAGGCAAUGAAUGCCAUAAUAAGAUGUGCCGACGGUGUUAUUUUGGUGGCUGAGCCUCCGAUGAUAUUGGUAUGUUCGGAAUCUGGGGUUAUGGUCGGAUCCAGACUAACAUUGCCGCUCUCCCCUUGCCACACCAGGGAUGGCUUGAAAAGCCUUUCCAAAAAGAUGUUAGGUGGGACGGGGUCGCGCUUGGCGCCGAUGCGAGCAAGGACAUCCGCCGCUUGAUUACUUUCUCGAGCCACAUGGUGAAACUCGAGCCCCUUGAACCGAGCCGACAUUUUGAGAAUGAUGUUACGGUAAGCCACCAUCUUCGGAUCCUUGGAAUCGAAAUCUCCACUUAUUUGAGAUAUCGUGAGUUUCAAGUCCCCGCGCACUUCCAGGUGAUGUAUGCCCAUGGAGACAGCCAUCCGAAGACCAUGCAAUAAGGCCUCGUAUUCGGCUGCAUUGUUGGAGUCUGUGUAUAAUAUUUGGAGUACGUACUGAACUGUAUAUCCAGUGGGGGAUGUUAAGACAACGCCCGCCCCUAAGCCCGCCAGCAUUUUGGAACCAUCAAAGUGCAUGACCCAGUUAGAAUAUGUGUUGUACUCUUUAAGGAGUUCAGCUUUUGUCCAUUCGGCGACGAAGUCUGCCAGUACUUGGGAUUUGAUGGCCCGGUGUGGCUUAUAUGUUAUAUCGAAUGGAAGGAGCUCAAUGGCCCACUUGGCAGUCCGGCCCGUGGCGUCGCAAUUUUUUAUUAUAUCGUUCUGUGGAACUUCGGAAGCCACCGUGACCGAGCACUCUUAGAAAUAGUGUCGUAGCUUCCGCGAUGCCAUGAAGACCGCGUAUGCUAUCUUUUGAUAAUGAGAGUACCGGGACUUGCAUGGAGUUAGGACAGUGGAUACGUAGUAUACCGGCUUCUGGAGCAGGAAUUUGUGUCCGUCCUCCUCUUGUUCGACGUGUAAUUCAUCGCCAUUGUGGAGGACUUAACUAACAUGCUCGAUUAUGGCUCCGAAGACAUCGACGGUAUGGACGAGAUGCCGGAGAAGAGCAGGCCCAAAACCCACUGUUUACCGGACACUGGACGGCCACCUCUUCGUAUGACAUGUACAUGGUGGAUACACCCAAGGAGGGUGACAACGAUAAUGAGAAAAAUCCAAUAGAGGAUAAGCCUCCUGAGAUACAAUAAAAACGCCGACGGCGCCGCUCUAAAUCAUGCCGCAGCAAAGACAGCAAUACCGGCACGAGAGACAACAAUACUCCGGACGAUACCGAAGACCAAAAAAACCCCGUCGAGCAAAACUCUGAACAAGACGAUCAGGGAGAUGGGCAAGUUAGCCCCGAUGAACAGGCUGAAAAUGAAGACUAGGAGGACAACAAUUAUCUUCCUCUCUCUAAGGAUGGGGUGAGCCUCGGCAACAAGGAUUUUAUCAUGCAUGAGGAACCUCUCGAGCAGGAGCGCUUUAAGCGCCGGCUAAUUGCCAGUGCAAGGAGCCUAAAAAAGAAGCAGCGGCAGCUUCAAGCUGAUCAAGAUCCGCUCAACGAUAGGUGGACUAAUGUCCUGGCAGCCAAGGAAUACGGCCUUGAGCGCCCAAUCAAAAGUUACCCAAAGCACAAACUGCUACCCCAAUUUGAUGGCGAGGCCCUCGAGCACGCGCCAUCAGCGCAUAAUGCGGCAAACCGACCACCUCGUGGCCGGGACAAAACAGCAACUAAUGCCGAACACCAGCCCAUACUACCUCGCCGUAAAAGUAGAGACAUAAAAGCUCGGGGUAUACAUAUGACAUGCGACAAGACAUGGACAAUAGAGCAGGCUAGACCAGAUCGAUCUACGGAUCGCGGGGGCGUGCACUGACGUGCGAUGAUGGCUAUCUAGCCGGACAUGACGAGCAUAAUCACGCCCGGGCCGAAAACCGCAGACGGACUCCAUCCGAGCUGCGUCGCGACUUGGCCUGAUAUAGAGGCGUCGCACACCCCCUCUGCUUUACUAAUGACUUAAUGGAGCAUGAAUUCCCAAAAGGGUUCAAACCUAUGAAUAUCGAAUCAUAUGAUGGAACAACAGAUCCCACGGUAAGGAUUGAGGAUUUUCUUCUCGAUAUUCAUAGGGCCCGCGGUGAUGAUCUUCAUGCCAUCAAAUACCUCCCACUAAAAUUAAAGGGACCACCCCGGCACUGGCUAAACAACCUCCCAGAAAACUCUAUUGGCAACUGGGAAGAUCUGGAAGACACCUUUCACGACAACUUCCAAGGUACAGAUGUCCGGCCUCUAGAUGCCGAUGACCUCAGUCACAUCAUCCAACAGCCCGGAGAGUCCGCCAGGAAGCUCUGGACUAGGUUCUUAAUUAAAAAGAACCAAAUCGUCGACUGUCCGGAUGCCAAAGCCCUAGCGGCUUUUAAGCAUAGCAUCCGAGACGAAUGGCUAACCCAUCACCUCGGCCAAGAAAAACCAAAGUCGAUGGCAUCUCUUACCGCAUUGAUGACCCGCUUCUGCGCGGGAGAAGACAGCUGGCUGGCUCGCCAAAACAAUAGCACCACCGAUCCUAGCACCUCUGAGGUCAGGGAUGGCAAUGGCAAGCCUCGACGCAAUAAAAACAAGCGUCAAAACAAUAAUGUAGGAACCCUAGACAUGGCAGUCAACGCUGGUUCAGUGGUUCCAAAUCCGGCCAAUGGAAGAAGCCAUUCAAGGCAAACAAAGAUGGCCCAUCUAGUUUAGACAGGAUACUGGAUCGGCCCUGUCAAAUUCAUGUCAGCCCUGACAAACCCGCCAACCAUACCAAUAGAAAUUGUUGGGUUUUUAAACAAGCAGGCAAGCUCAAUGCCAAACACAAAGGGAAGGGUCCGCCUAGCAACAUCGAAGACGAGGAAACUCGCCAGCCAAACACCGGGGGACAAAAGCAAAUUCCCCCCGAAGUAAAAAUAGUAAACAUGAUAUCUGUGACGCAUAUCCCUAUGAGGGAGCGCAAACGCGUACCACAAGAUGACUACGUCAUAAAGCCGGUCAUACCAAAAUUUAACCCAUGGGCAGCCUAUCCGAUCACUUUUGAUCGCAAUGACCACCCAACAGAUAUCCGUCACAAAGGUUCGACAUCUUUGGUCCUCGACCCAAUAGUCGAUGGAUUCCAUCUCACACGAGUCCUUCUAGACGGUGGCAGUAGCCUUAAUUUGCUCUAUCAAGACACUGUCUGCAAAAUGGGCAUUGAUCCCUCAAGGAUCAAACCCACCACAACCGCCUUCAAAGGUGUAAUACCUGGCGAAGAAGCUCACUGUACAGGCUCAAUCACACUGGAAGUCAUAUUCGGUCCGCCGGACAACUUCCUAAGCGAAGCCUUGAUCUUCCAUAUUGUUCCAUUCUGUAGUGGAUACCAUGCAUUGCUUGGGCGGAUCGCGUUCGCUCGUUUCAAUGCGGUACCACACUACGCAUAUCUAAAGCUUAAGAUGCCUGGUCCACGCGGUGUGAUAACGAUCACUGGAAAAAAGGAACAACCCCUCCGUUCCAAGGAGUAUACCACGGCCAUCACAGCCGAAGUACAAAGCAUACUCGUUAAACCACAUAACUUAUCAGCCAUUAAGCCAACAACCUCUACUGCACAAGACCGGUGAAUUUUCGAGCUGGAUUAGUAGUCCCGCCUCCUUCAUUCGCCGCAUAUGCCCAUUAAGUUCGCAUUGCACAUGCAUAAUUAUGCACUUAAAAUACCUUGGUCGUCGGCGGAGGCACAAUGCGGACGGACCUAUGGCAUGGUUCGUCCUCAUACAACUUUUCUCCCUUCUUUUUAAAUUAUUUCUUAUCUUUUGUCACAGAUGAAUCAAAACCUGCUCAUCCUAUGGACCUGCAAGGACUCUUUCGAAGCCCAGUUUCAUCCAAGCAACCAAAGAUUGCUCCUUUUAAGGAAUCCUCUUCCCUAAGGGAAAGGCAGCAGACGUGCGACAGGAGGUCCAAAAGAUUUUUUGUAGACCAAACACUCUAUUUAAAACCUGGAUACAACCUUUUUCCUUAGCCUUCGACCCCUGGCAUGUAAAAUGACUCGGGUAGAGGUGCUAUAAUCUGUAAGAUUGCGGUCGAUGUAUGAAUCAGAUUUUGGUGGACAUAAUCCAUCUUUAGUACUUAUUUUUUCCUCAUAGAAUUGUAUUUUACCCUUUCGGUGGUUUCACAUAUACACCUUGGCACCAAUUGCCAGGGGCUCGAUAUGGCAACAUAUUAAAUUGCCAGCAAGUCCGAACAACUCUACAACAUACUUCAGCGUCACGAGUUUUGGCCUUAUAUGCAUCAGCUCCGAAUCAUGUCUUUGGUCAAUAGUUGGGUUGCCUGGCUCCUGUGCUUACUACCUUACGUUCCGCUCUAUCGGCUAGGGUAGUAAAGGGAGAACUACUGCGAUUGUGUUUCCGGUUUACCUGGUUAAGAACCUCAGUAGAGAAAGCCAAAAACUGACUGUCAUGAUGCAGCAAGAGUUGGUCAACCACUCGGUGACUUAUUAAAAUCUUUUUCGAUUUUUGUUGUAUAACAUGAAGGACCGUUUCUCGGUCACCAAUGUAGCGCAGCCGUAUUCGGAUAACCGCGUACAUACAAGGGGCUAUAUCGUAGACCCACCGUCAAACUCCUAUGGCUAAGUGAAGGUGUUAAAGCCCUAUAGUCCAAUUGCCUAGUUCGCCGCACUGACACCUCCUUCACGGACCAAGACGUUGGGUCAAGUGCAGUCAGUUGCUAUUUCGAACACCCCCCACAUUAUAUGCGAGGGGGCUGAAGCCGACGAUUGGCAAACCUUCAGAUCAUAUAAAAAAACGACCGCACAGGAGGAAAUGCCUUUCAGGCAAAAGGCAUAAAUAUGACACAGCCUUAAUAUAUCAUAAUAUUGUUAUCACAAUUCUGAUACAUUCACUCGAACAUAAUAUUCUUCAAGCACUGACCCUCUAUCAAGCGGGCACCCUCUAGGACAUCUUCAAAAUAAUGCUCCGGCGUGCGAUGAUCCUUGCCCUCGGGUGGACUAUUUGCUACAACAUCGAUGGCCUUCAUUUUCGCCCAGUACGUCUUGACGCAGGCAAAGGCCAUCCGUGCACCUUCAAUGCAUGCUGACCGAUUUACGGCGUCGAUACGCGGCACCGCAUCAACAAAUCGCUGCACCAAACUGAAAUAUCUGUUCGGAAAUGACUCGUUUGGCCAUAGCCGAACCACGACUUCCUUCAUGGCAGCUCCGGACACCUUGUGGAGCUCGGCCCACUGGGCCAUUUGUUCGUUCAGCAAUGAACGCUUUGGUACAUUGAACUGUGACCAGAAAUGCUUCUCCACUGCAUGUCCGUCUUGCGCUUGAUAAAACUACGCCGCAUCGGCGAGACUCUUCGGCAGGUCCAAGAAUGAGUCUGGAGAACUCCACAAUUGAUCAAGCAGGGCAUACUUCGGGUCGCCGAAUUUAGUCUGUAAUAGAAAGGGCUUACCAACUGCUAUCUCCCCAGCUUGCCUGAUCUCCUCCUGAGCCGCUCUAGACUCGGAUCGUGCCUCUCGUGCCUCUUGUAAAGCCUUGUUGAGUUCGGCUGCCUUGGCUUUGUUAUCCUUCUCAAGUGAUUCGCAUUGGCUUUUGGCAUCCUUCAGCUCUCGCGAUAUGGUAGAUAUUCUCUCCUCACACUGGCGCCGAACGACUUGUUCGGCCUUUAACUCAACAGCUGCCUUCUUGACAGCUGCAUUGCUCACUCUGUCUUGCUCCUUGGCCCGGGCAAGUUCAGCCCGAAGGGUCUCAACCGCAGCAGCACUAUCUGCAAUUAUGCAUGUCCUAGUAUAUAAUUUUCAGCUUUGUGCUAAUAUUAGUAUACAUGCAUAAGAUGACGGCCCCAAAACAUACAUUGUGCCUCGUCGAGCUGCCUGUUGAUAAGAGUAAUAUCCUCAUCCCCUGACUCAAGUUUCCGCUUUAAAUCUACAACUUCCUUAGCAUGGGCAGUCGUCCUUGAUAUACCAGCCUAUUUUCAAAUUAAUCAUGUCAUUUCCUGAGCAUGCCUUUUUGAUCCUCUGAUCGCCUCCCUGUGGAGGCCGACUAGAGUCUCAGGGGAUACUAUCUAUACACAGGCACAUUCUGCAUGUAAAGAGCGGUUAAGAUAUUACAUUACAUACAUCAAAGCCUCUUAGCAGGCCCGUGAAGGUUUCAUUCAAUCCGCUUCUUGCGGACAGAAUCCUCUCAACUACCAUACCCAUUAAGGUAUGAUGUUCCUCUGAGACGGACGCAUCCUGCAACAUGCCCAUUAAUGUAUCUGGCGCCUUCGGACUCCUGGAAGCGGCUGCGGGAGUACGAACUCCCUUCGAAGGGAUAUGUUCACUAUAUCCUAGAGUCAUCCUCGGUUGUAAACCGGAUAGUCCGGGGCCUUCAUUGUUGAUCUCCGUAGGGGCUGCAUACCCUGGACCAUUGACGACCGAAGUAUCACCUUUGGGCGCUGCCUUCAUUGCCCCCCAUGCCACUUGAUGAUCGGGGGAAACCCUCUGGGAUGACACCUUGAAGUCGUCCGCCCUAAGGGGCGAGGAAGCAUGUGGAGGCGUCUUGCUUUCCAUCAUCUCCGGAAGCAGGUCUCCUAAGGAGGAGAACUGUUGAGGAAGACUGCGGGCCGGACUGCAAACAUAUAUUUAAGAGGUUACUCUUGUGACCUGGAAAGAACGGGAUAUGUCUAGAAUACCCUUGUUCACUUACGAUUCGGCGAAAGGCUUGUCCUUACGGAGGAACUGUGCGGUAACAUCGUUUCCGAACCCGAACCAUUUGACAGGGACAUUUUCCCUCUCUUGGAAGCCUCCGCCUUCAAAUCUUCGGAGGCAGUCCUUUUCUUCCCAUGGGGAGAAGGGAUAUCAACUUCUUCUUCCCCUUCGUCUUCAGAAGAGGGAGUUCCGGUCUUCCUGGACAUUGCGUCCGGUGUACCUUUAGAGUGAGAGCCACCCCUGGCCUUUUUGCUCUCCUCUUUGUCCUCCUUCGCCGACACUUGAUACACCGCCGGGGCCAGCAUCCUUGCUAACACGGGAUCGGCUAAGUCUUCGGGAAAUGGGGCCGAACAACUAAUUCGUUCCGCUUUCUUUAUCCAUCCCUGGCCAAAGACAGGUUUCUCAGUAUAUUGAUACGGGAUAAUCAACUAAGUUGUGUUCAGGAAUCGAGUGCUUAACGAGGUAUCCGGAUGGUUGCAGUCGAGGCCGAUGUCCUCGGUUGUAUCCGGCCACUGAUUUCGGGUCCCGAAGAAUAACUUCCACAUCCCUCUGUGCGUUGUGCCAAAGAAGUGCUGAAGAGUCCAUGGUCCUUCCAGAUUGAACUCCCACAUGCGAAGAGGCCGUCGCUGGCACGGUAGGACCCAGUGGACUAGCAUUACUUAGAUCACAUUGAUGAGGACGGUGUCCUUUUCAAGGAGGCUCCGGAUACGGCUUUAUAGCGUCUGCACUUCGUCAAUCGAUCCCCAGUCCAGCCCCAUAUCAAUCCAUGAUGCGAGUCAUAAUGGAGGGCCAGAUCGGAACGCAGGUGUAGCUGCCCACUUGGUACCAUGGGGUUCAGUGAUGUAAAACCACUCCCGCUGCCAUAGGUUGGAAGUUUCCAUGAAGGAGCCCUUUGGCCAAAGAGUAUUGGAGAGCCUGCUCACCGUAGCGCCGCCACACUCCGCUUGCUCCCCAUCGACUACCUUCGGCUUCACAUUAAAGGUCUUGAGCCACAAGCCGAACUGUGGGGGAAUGCGGAGAAAGGCCUCGCACAUGACAAUGAAUGCUGAGAUGUGAAGAAAGGAGCCCGGAGCCAGAUCGUGAAAAUCUAGCCCGUAAUAGAACAUGAGACCACGAACGAAGGGGUGGAUAGCGAACCCUAGCCCCCGGAGGAAGUGGGAGAUGAAUACAACCCUCUCGUCGGAUCUGGGUGUAGGAAUAACCUGCCCCUUAGCAGGGAGCCUGUGGAGGAUUUUCGCGGUCAGGUACCUCGCCGCUUGAAGCUUCGCGAUAUCCUCCUCUAUGACAGAGGAGGCCACCCACCAGCCUUGAAGGCUGGGUCCGGACAUGACUGGGAGGCUUGGAAUGAUUAAGUUGAAACAGGUGUUGGAAGCUCGAGGUUGGAAAAGUUGAGGAAGAGGUGGCCGUAGAGGAGGAGGACGGGUCUGCACCCCUUUAUAAAGGCCAUGAAUAUCGAACGCCUCCUCGUAAGCCUUAAAACAUGCCUAUUUCCUAAGAAUUGUACCGACGGGACGGUUGAAUUACCCACGCCGGUAUUGAUGAAAAUCCCGCAAUAAGGGGACACGAUCUCUCUUUGACAAGACAUGUCAAUAAAACCGCGUCUUGAAACAUGGAGCGGGAGGCUAAAAACGGUUUGAAAUAAGGAUCGGGCAGUGACGUGAUGUCACGCUACAAAAGCUAUCAGUAGAUUGGACUCAUGAAAUAUUAUGCUCUCUGUGGUUGUGCGUGGUAUUUUCUUUGAAGAGCCGGACACGUGUCUGUGUUCAAAAGCUAAUUUGAAGUAUUUGGAGGAGGAACCCGCCUUGCAAUGCCGAAGAAAAUCUGCGCGUCGGACACAUCGUCAUUGAAGCCUGGUUCAGGGGCUACUGACGGAGUCCUGUAUUAAGGGGCCCUCGGGCGUCCGGGCUAUGCAACAUGGGCCGGACUGAUGGGCUAUGAAGAUACAAGACAGAAGACUUCCACCCGUGUCCGGAUGGGACUCUCCUUUACGUGGAUGACAAGCUUGGCGUUCGGAUAUGUAGAUUCCUUCCUUUGUAAACCGACUCUGUAUAACCCUAGGCCCCUCAUGUGUCUAUAUAAACCGGAGGGUUUAGUCCGUUGAUACGUCUCCAACGUAUCUAUAAUUUUUGAUUGCUCCAUGCUAAAUUAUCUACUGUUUUGAAUGUUUAUGGUCUUUAUUAUACACUUUAUAUAAUUUUUGGGACUAACCUAUUAACCUAGAGCCCAGUGCCAGUUUCUGUUUUUACCAUGUUUUAGGGUUUUGAAGAAAAGGAAAAUCAAACGGAGUCCAAUUGACCUGAAACUUCACGGAACUCAUUUUUGGAAGGAAAGAAGCCCAGAAGACUUGGAGUGCACGUCGGGGGAUCUGCGAGGAGGUCACGAGGCAGGGGGGCGCGCCCACCCCCCUGGGCGCGCCCUCCACCCUCAUGAGCCCCUCGUGGCCCCCCUAACGUACUUCUUCCGCCUAUAUAUCUCCAUAUACCCUAAAACAUCCGGGGGCACAAUAGAUCGGGAGUUCCGCCGCUAGAAGCCUCCGUAGCCACCGAAAGCCAAUCUAGACCCGUUCCGGCACCCUGCUGGAGGGGCAAUCUCUCUCCGGUGUCCAUCUUCAUCAUCCUGGUACUCUCCAUGACAAGGAGGGAGUAGUUCUCCCUCGGGGCUGAGGGUAUGUACCAGUAGCUAUGUGUUUGAUCUCUCUCUCUCUCUCUCUCUCGUGUUCUUGAUGUGAUACGAUCUUGAUGUAUCACGAGCUUUGCUAUUAUAUUUGGAUCCUAUGAUGUUUCUUCCCCCCUCUACUCUCUUGUAAUGGAUUGAGUUUCCCCUUUGGAGUUAUCUUAUCGGAUUGAGUCUUUAAAGAUUUGAGAACACUUGAUGUAUGUCUUGUCGUGGAUAUCUGUGGUGACAAUGGGAUAUCACGUGAUUCACUUGAUGUAUGUUUUGGUGAUCAACUUGCGGGUUCCUCCCAUGAACCUAUGCAUAGGGGUUGGCACACGUUUUCGUCGUGAUUCUCCGGUAGAAACUUUGGGGAAAUCUUUGAGGUCCUUUGUGUUGGUUGAAUAGAUGAAUCUGAGAUUGUGUGACGCAUAUCGUAUAAUCAUACCCAUGGAUACUUGAAGUAACAUUGGAGUAUCUAGGUGACAUUAGGGUUUUGGUUGAUUUGUGUCUUAAGGUGUUAUUCUAGUAUGAACUCUAGGGCUGUUUGUGACACUUAUAGGAAUAGCCCAAUGGAUUGAUUGGAAAGAAUAACUUUGAGGUGGUUUCGUACCCUACCAUAAUAUCUUUGUUCGUUCUCUGCUAUUAGUGACUUUGGAGUGACUCUUUGUUGCAUGUUGAGGGAUAGUUAUAUGAUCCAAUUAUGCUAUUAUUGUUGAGAGGACUUGCACUAGUGAAAGUAUGAACCCUAGGCCUUGUUUCCUAGCAUUGAAAUACCGUUUAUGCUCACUUUUACCAUUAGUUACCUUGCUGUUUUUAUAAUUUCAGAUUACAAAAACCUUUAUCUACCAUCCAUAUUGCACUUGUAUCACCAUCUCUUCGCCGAACUAGUGCACCUAUACAAUUUACCAUUGUAUUGGGUGUGUUGGGGACACAAGAGACUCUUUGUUAUUUGGUUGCAGGGUUGCUUGAGAGAGACCAUCUUCAUCCUACGCCUCCUACGGAUUGAUAAACCUUAAGUCAUCCACUUGAGGUAAAUUUGCUACUGUCCUACAAACCUCUGCACUUGGAGGCCCAACAACAUUUACAAGAAGAAGGUUGUGUAGUAGACAUCCAGCUCUUUUCUGGCGCCAUUGCCGGGGAGGUUAGCGCUUGAAGGUAUAUCUUUAGAUCUUACAAUCAAGUCUUUUAGUUUCUUGUUUUAUCACUAGUUUAGUUUAUAAAAGAAAACUAUAAAAAAUGGAAUUGAGUUUGUCCCAUACGCUUCACCUUUUUAAUAUCUUUCAUGAGUAUCAUGGAAAGGAAAAUUGUGCUCAAAUGCUAGAAGAAGAAUUACAUAAAAUGUUUGGAACUAAAUAUUUGAAUGAUGAGCAUGAUUGCAAUGUUGUUAGUAUGAAUUCCUUGAAUAUCUAUGACGCUAAUAAUAUGCAAAGCCACAAGCUUGGGGAAGCUAUGUUUGAUGAAGAUGAUAUUUUUUGUCCUCCAAGUUUUGAUGAGCAAAUUUAUUAUGAUGAAAGCAUGCCUCCUAUCUAUGAUGAUUAUUGUGAUGACACGUAUGCUUUAAAGAAUAAUGAUAACCAUGAAACUUGUCACCUUGAUCUUAAUUUUCAAGCACAUGAUAGUUAUUUUGUUGAGUUUGCUCCCACUAUUAUUCAUGAGAAGAAUUUUGCUCAUGUGGAGAGUAAUAAAAAUUCUAUGCUUAUAGAUCAUGAAAAGAAUGCUUUAGGUGCUGGUUAUAUUGUUGAAUUCGUUCAUGAUGCUACUGAAAAUUAUUAUGAGGGAGGAAUAUAUGCUUGUAGGAAUUGCAAUAAUAUCAAGUUUCCUCUCUAUGUGCUUAAAUUUUUGAAGUUAUGCUUGUUUUACCUUCCUAUGCAAGUUGAUUAUUGUUACCAUAAGUUGUUUGCUCACAAAACCCCUAUGCAUAGGAAGUGGGUUAGACUUAAAUGUGCUAUUCAUAUUCUUCAAGAUGUUCUCUUUAUGUUACAAUUCUUAUCCUUUAUGUGAGCAUCAUUGAAAUCAUCAUGCCUAGCUAGGGGCAUUAAACGAUAGCGCUUGUUGGGAGGCAACCCAACUUUAUUUUAGUUCCUUGCUUUUUGUUACUGAUUAGUAAUAAAUAAUUCAUCUAGACUCUGUUUAUAUGUGGUUUUAUGCUUUUAAUUAGUGUUUUUGCCAAGUAGAACCUUUGGGAAGACUUGGGGAAAGUCUUGUUGAUCAUGCUGUAAAAAACAGAAACUUUAGCGCUCACGAGAAUUGCUGCCAUUUUUAUUUGGAGAGUGAUAUUUAGUUAAUUCUUUUUGCAGAUUAUUAAUAGAUAAAUUCCUCAGGUCCAAAAAUUUAUUUGAGAACUUUAUGAGUUCAAUAAGUAUAAGUUUGAUCCAGAUUACUACAGACUGUUCUGUUUUUGACAGAUUCUGUUUUUCAUGUGUUGUUUACUUAUUUUGAUGAAUCUAUGGCUAGUAAAAGAGUUUAUAAACCAUAGGUAAGUUUUAAUACAGUAGGUUUAACACCAAUAUAAAUAAAUAAUGAGUUCAUUACAGUACCUUGAAGUGGUGAUUUAUUUUCUUAUACUAACGGAGCUUACGAGUUUUCUGUUAAGUUUUGUGUUGUGAAGUUUUCAUGUUUUGGGUAAGGAUUCGAUGGACUAUGGAAUAAGGAGUGGCAAGAGCCUAAGCUUGGGUAUGCCCAAUGCACCCCAAGCUAAUAUUCAAGGAUAGCCAAGAGCCUAAGCUUGGGGAUGCCCAAGGCAUCCCCUCUUUCGUCUUCAUUCAUCUAUAACUUUACUUGGAGCUAUAUUUUUAUUCACCACAUGAUAUGUGUUUUGCGUGGAGCGUCAGUUUAUUUUGUUAAGAUUUGCUGGAUGUUAUUUAGAACAAUGUUUUGCAUCUUUUAUUUCAAUAAAAGUGGCAUUGAUAGCCUUUACUAUGACUAUUUUAGAAGUCCACAUGUUGCUGUUUGAAAACAGAAAGUUUACCGCUGUUGCAAUAAUUCCCUAGAAAAGUCAGAAUGUGAUAAAAUGUUGAAACCUUUUGCAUAUUAAGGUCUGAGAAAUUUACUACAGUGGGAAUUUUCUUUCAUAAUUUUGGAGCUAGGUAAGUAUGGAUGUCUCUGCAUUCUUUACAGACUGUCCUGUGUAGGCAGAUUGCUGUUAUGUUUGCAUUGUUUGCAUAUGUUUGCUUCUUUAAUGAUUCUAUUUGAGGAUAGGACUAUUAAAUAUGCAGAGGCAUUUAGUAUGCAAUGUUGAAUAAUAAUUUUAGUGAUUUGCUACAGUAUAUUAUGAUAAGGUUUUGGCAAUGGUUUAUACUAACUUAUCUCACGAGUCCUUGUUGAGUUUUGUGUGGAUGAAGCUUUUGAGAUUUAGGGAGACCGUGAUAUGAGAGGAAUUAAGGAGACAUAAAAGCUCAAGCUUGGGGAUGCCCAAGGCAUCCCAAGAUAAUAUUUCAAGGUGUCUCAAAUGUCUAAGCUUGGGGAUGCCCCGUUUGGCAUCCCACCUUUCUUCUUCAACAACUAUCGGUUAGUAUCGGUUGAUCCUAAGUUCUUGCUUCUUCACAUGAUGUUUGCCAUUCUUAGAAUGUUAUUUUAUUUAGUUUUGCUUGCUGUAUGAAUAAAAUACCAAGAUCUGAAAUUAUUAAAUGUUAGAGAGUCUUCACAUAGUUGCAUAAUUAUUCCACUACUCAUUGAUCUUCACUUAUAUCUUCUGGAGUAGUUUGUCGUUUGCUCUAGUGCUUCACUUAUAUAUUUUUAGAGAACGGUGGUGGUAUUAUAGAAAUAGAUGAACUCUCAUGCUUCACUUAUAUCUUCUUGACAGUUUCAAAUAUCAUGGUAAUUUGCUUAAAUAAUCCUAAUAUGCUAGGCAUCCAAGAAUAGUAAAAACUUUCAUAUAGAAUAUUGAAUACUAAGAGAAGUUUGAUGCUUGAUGAUUGUUUUGAGAUAUGGAGAUGGUGAUAUUAGAGUCAUGCUAGUUGAGUAGUUGUGAAUUUGAGAAAUACUUGUGUUGAAGUUUGUGAUUCCCGUAGCAUGCACGUAUGGUGAACCGUUAUGUGAUAAAGUCAGAGCAUGAUUUAUUUAUUGAUUGUCCUCCUUAUGAGUGGCGGUCGGGGACGAGCGAUGGUCAUUUCCUACCAAUCUAUCCCCCUAGGAGCAUGCGCGUAGUACUUUGUUUCGAUAACUAAUAGAUUUUUGCAAUAAGUAUGUGAGUUCUUUAUGACUAAUUUUGAGUCCAUGGAUUAUACGCACUCUCACCCUUCCACCUUUGCUAGCCUCUCUAAUACCGCGCAACUUUCGCCGGUACCGUAAACCCACCAUAUACCUUCCUCAAAACAGCCACCAUACCUACCUAUUAUGGCAUUUCCAUAGCCAUUCCGAGAUAUAUUGCCAUGCAACUUUCCACCGUUCCGUUUAUUAUGACACACUCCAUCAUUGUCACAUUGUUUAGCAUGAUCACGUAGUUGACAUAGUAUUUGUGGCAAAGCCACUAUUCAUAAUUAUUCAUACAUGUCACUCAUGCAUCAUUGCACAUCCCGGUACACCACCGGAGGCAUUCAUAUAGAGUCAUAUCUUGUCUUAAGUAUCGAGUUGUAAAUCUUGAGUUGUAAGAAAAUAAAAGUGUGAUGAUCAUAAUUAUUAGAGCAUUGUCCCAGUGAGGAAAUGAUGAUGGAGUCUAUGAUUCCCCCACAAGUCGGGAUGAGAGUCCGGGCGAAAAAUAAAGAAAAGAGGCCAAAGAAGCCCAAAUAAAAAAAGAGAGAAAGAAAAGAGGCCAUAAAAACAGAAAAGGCCCAAAUAAAAAAAUAAAAAAUGAGAGAAAAAGAGAGAAGGGACAAUGCUACCAUCCUUUUACCACACUUGUGCUUCAAAGUAGCACCAUGAUCUUCAUGAUAGAGAGUCUCCUAUGUUGUCACUUUCAUAUACUAGUGGGAAUUUUUCAUUAUAUAACUUGGCUUGUAUAUUCCAAUGAUGGGCUUCCUCAAAAUGCCCUAGGUCUUCGUGAGCAUGCGAGUUGGAUGCACACCACUAGUUUCUUUUGUUGAGCUUUCAUACAUUUAUAGCUCUAGUGCAUCUGUUGCAUGGCAAUCCCUACUCACUCACAUUGAUAUCUAUUGAUGGGCAUCUCCAUAGCUUGUUGAUAUGCCUAGUUGAUGUGAGACUAUCUUCUCCCUUUUUGUCUUCUCCACAACCACCAUUCUAUUCCCCCUAUAGUGCUUUGUCCAUGGCUCACGCUCAUGUAUUGCGUGAAGAUUGAAAAAGUUUGAGAACAUUAAAAGUAUGAAACAAUUUCUUGGCUUGUCAUCGGGGUUGUGCAUGAUUUAAAUAUUUUGUGUGGUGAAGAUAGAGCAUAGCCAGACUAUAUGAUUUUGUAGGGAUAACUUUCUUUGGCCAUGUUAUUUUGAGAAGACAUGAUUGCUUAGUUAGUAUGCUUGAAGUAUUAUCAUUUUUAUGUCAGUAUGAACUUUUGUCUUGAAUCUUAUGGAUCUGAAUAUUCAUACCACAAUUAAGAAGAAUCACAUUGAAAUUAUGCCAAGUAUCACUCCGCAUCAAAAAUUCUGUUUUUAUCAUUUACCUACUCGAGAACGAGCAGGAAUUAAGGUUGGGGAUGCUGAUACGUCUCCAACGUAUCUAUACUUUUUGAUUGCUCCAUGCUAUAUUAUCUACUGUUUUGAAUGUUUAUGGGCUUUGUUAUACACUUUUAUAUCAUUUUUGGGACUAACAUAUUAACCCAGAGCCCAGUGCCAGUUUCUGUUUUUUACCCUGUUUUAGGAUUUCGAAGAAAAGGAAAAUCAAACGGAGUCCAAUUGACCUAAAACUUCACGGAACUCAUUUUUGGAAGGAAAGAAGCCCAGAAGACUUGGAGUGCACGUCGGGGGAUCUGUGAGGAGGUCACAAGGCAGGGAGCGCGCCCUCCACCCUCGUGAGCCCCUCAUGGCCCCCCUGACGUACUUCUUCCACCUAGAUAUCUCCAUAUACCCUAAAAACAUUCGGGGCACAAUAGAUCGGGAGUUCCGCCGCCAGAAGCCUCCAGAGCCACCGAAAGCCAAUCUAGACCCAUUCCGGCACCCUGCCGGAGGGGGCAAUCUCUCUCUGAUGGCCAUCUUCAUCAUCCUGGUACUCUCCAUGACGAGGAGGGAGUAGUUCUCCCUCGGGGCUGAGGGUAUGUACCAGUAGCUAUGUGUUUGAUCUCUCUCUCUCUCUCUCUCGUGUUCUUGAUGUGAUAUGAUCUUGAUGUAUUGCGAGCUUUGCUAUUAUAUUUGGAUCCUACGAUGUUUCUUCCCCACUCUACUCUCUUGUAAUGGAUUGAGAUUCCCCUUUGGAGUUAUCUUAUCGGAUUGAGUCUUUAAAGAUUUGAGAACACUUGAUGUAUGUCUUGCCAUGGAUAUCUGUGGUGAUAAUGGGAUAUCACGUGAUUCACUUGAUGUAUGUUUUAGUGAUCAACUUGCGGGUUCCGCCCAUGAACCUAUGCAUAGGGGUUGGCACACGUUUUCGUCGUGAUUCUCCGGUAGAAACUUUGGGGAACUCUUUGAGGUCCUUUGUGUUGGUUGAAUAGAUGAAUCUAAGAUUGUGUGACGCAUAUCGUAUAAUCAUACCCACGGAUACUUGAGGUGACAUUGGAGUAUCUAGGUGACAUUAGGGUUUUGGUUGAUUUGUGUCUUAAGGUGUUAUUCUAGUAUGAACUCUAGGGCUGUUUGUGACAGUUAUAGGAAUAGCCCAAUGGAUUGAUUGGAAAGAAUAACUUUGAGGUGGUUUCGUACCCUACCAUAAUCUCUUUGUUCGUUCUACGCUAUUAGUGACUUUGGAGUGACUCUUUGUUGCAUGUUGAGGGAUAGUUAUAUGAUCCAAUUGUGCUAUUAUUGUUGAGAGGACUUGCACGAGUGAAAGUAUGAACCCUAGGCCUUGUUUCCUAGCAUUGCAAUACCGUUUAUGCUCACUUUUACAAUUAGUUACCUUGCUGUUUUUAUAAUUUCAGAUUACAAAAACCUUUAUCUACCAUCCAUAUUGCACUUGUAUCACCAUCUCUUCGCCGAACUAGUGCACCUAUACAAUUUACCAUUGUAUUGGGUGUGUUGGGGACACAAGAGACUCUUUGUUAUUUGGUUGCAAGGUUGCUUGAGAGAGACCAUCUUCAUCCUACGCCUCCUAUAGAUUGAUAAACCUUAGGUCAUCCACUUGAGGGAAAUUUGCUACUGUCCUACAAAUCUCUGCACUUGGAAGCCCAACAAUGUCUACAAGAAGAAGGUUGUAUAGUAGACAUCAUCCAUAGAGGGAAUCAUAAUCACAAUCAUACAGGCUAGACUUCUAAGGUUUAGCCACAACGAUCUCGUGGUAGAUCAACUCUUGUAAUCCUCAUACUCAUCAAUAUCAAUCAAGCAAGACAUAGGGUAUUACCUCCAUCAAGAGGGCCCGAACCUGGGUAAAACAUCGUGUCCCCGGCCUCCUGUUACCAUCGACCUUAGACGCAUAGUUCGGGACCCCCUACCUGAGAUCUGCCGGUUUUGACAUCGACAGACGCGCUAGAGAAAAUGAUAGGAUUGUUAAAGAAAAUAUGGCAACAUGCAAAUAUGGGCCCAAAUUGAAAGAACUGUACAAUAGUCGAAAUCAAAGGACAAAAAUCUAUGAUUAAACAGAUAGGGUAAACAUGAUGUCAUGGAAAUAUGAGAGUAAUUGAAAGAACAAUACAUCAUUAAUUUGCCUAAUAUGGAAAGAAGAGAGGGGAAAAUCCCCUUUGACGUAUAUGGUGCAUGUGGCACCUUUUAUCCAAAUGUAGUAAUAUUUAGAAUAUGUUCAGGAAAGUAGGCCAUGUCAGCCGAUUUAGGGUGAGAUUGAACAUACCGCGCGCAUCCUCAAGUCAUCUGGUACAGUGAGAUGGAAUAUCUGGCGGAGGUCGCAAGGUCCCGAUGUGUCCGUGCACUGUACACUCUAUGAAUGGAAGAAAACCUUCAAAUUGGCUCGAAUAAAAAUGAAUUCACGCUGAUUUUGGCUGGGUGAUUAUAGGAGGCAGAUGAAUUGGGAUAAGAGAUGAGAUAAUAUCUCAUUAAAUUAGUUACCUUUUGUCCAUGAGAAAUAACCCUCAGUACAGCAGAUUCCCCAACCGAGCGGAGCUGGGUCGACAGCGAGCAGCGUCGAGAAAAGUCGAUGGUGAUAGGCGGCGGCAAGUGGAAGUGGUGAAAUGCGGUGGGCUUUGUUGGGAGCCUGGCGGCGACAGGCGUCAAGCUAAGUGAUUACUGCCGUGAUAGGCGGUGACAUGCAUUAGACACGGAGGAGCCUGUGCAGGUGUGGAUGGGGACCGGAGGGGGUGCUGGGCGGGGUGAGGGUUUUUGUGACAUGGGGAUGGUGAGGGUUUUUGUUUUUCUUUUUUUAAUUGGGUGGUGAGGGUUUUCUGUCCCACAAAGAAUUUUGGAGGCGACGGUUUGCUAGAGCCAACCAUGUGUGAUUGACGCAACAGGCAAAAUGAAAGUCAUUGCACACGGUUCCAAUUUUGGGAACCGUGUGUUAUUGACGUACUACCUCCGUUCUGGUUUAUUGGUCCCCUUUGUAAUUUUUACCAAAUUUUGACCAAAUAUUUAACUAAGAAAUGUUUAUGCAUGUCACCAAAAAUUAUACCAUUGAACACUAUGCUCAAAUACCCAUCCAACGAUAUAAUUUUUGCUAACUUGCACUAACAUUUUGUCAGUUAAACCUUUGGUCAAAAUUCAACACAAAUUACAAAGGGGACCAAUAAACCAAGACGAAGGUAGAUUCCAUCAACCAAACUGAUUGCAUCCAUAUCCCAUGGUUAGACAUAAGUAAACAUAGAUUAAACAUACUCAGACAUAGACAAUAAGCACACACGUACACAAGCAUAGUUCAACCAUAAGUACAUAGUUCACCCGUCAUUAAGCAUACUCAAGCGUACAUAGUUCGAUCCCACAUCUCAUAUCGCAUGCCGUCAUGAUACUGAAGCUUCUCUGGGUACUCGGCGUAUGCACCGUGCGCCACCCCGAGAGAAAACUUCUACUUGAAGCAGCCAACGACCCAUCCUCUUGCAUGCGCCAAAACACUUAGAUGCGCGUCAUGAAGCUUGUGGUUGCAAAAUGGGCAUCGAUAGCCGUCGUUUCAGGUCCUAAUACGCCUGUUAUGCAUUACCGCAUAAAGGUCCCUCGGGAUUUGCCUCUUGUACCUCCUCUGGCCAUCUUCAUCCUCGAUGUCCACAUCGUCAGACAACACCUAUACAAAUAGUAAAAAAUAGCAUCAAAUCAUUGUUUACAUGCCGUGAAGUAGGAUUAGGAAUCUAUGGCUAUUUAUUUAUACAUAUCCAUAUAUUAUGGUUCGAUUUUUAAGCACAGUCGUCUAUGUACAGACAAAUCUUGAAGAAAUUAAUGGCACAAACAUAUGUAGGUCAUUCAAGAUCAAUUGUCAAGUCCUGGCUAGGAAUUAUUAACACGAACACUAACCCUAGUAGGAUUACUAGCAGAAAUCAUUUGCACAGAUGAAACAACUAAUCACUUAUCACUUGUACCAUUCAAACAAUCAAUACACUACAUGGAUCUAACGAAACUUACUCAGAUUUCAUGGAUUGGGAGAACAUAACCAUAGGAUUUCCAUUCCAAAAAGGGGGAGGUAGGAGUAACCAGAGAAACCCUAUGAUCUAUUUGACACAUAAAUGGGUAUAGAUGACUAACCAGCUGUCUGUCGUCGCCGAAGUGGUCGUCGGAGUCGUGUAGGAGUCGUCACCAGAGUCGGUGUGGAACUCCGCCUUCGGUUGUUGAAGCUCGACGCUGUCGACGACGUCAGGGUGCAGCGAUAACUCGCCCACGGUGAUGGCAACCUCUGUCUCCAUCUCCAUGUCGUGCUCCGGUGCUUUAGCAGCCCCAGCGUCGCCACUCCCUCUGAAGGGGCACUUUGGCGGCGUCCUCAUACACUGACGGCUUUGACGACUGAGAGCGGCGUCAAGGAUGCAAGUGGAGAGAGAGGAUUGUGUGUGUGGCGAGGAUGGGGGGUGCGGCCACUCGGCGCACCAUUAAUAUGGAGUAGUGGGAUUUGUGGGAGAGAGGCAGGCGGCGGUCAAACCGAUGGCUCGCCUCCCGGUGAGCCUGCACACCGGACUGUUUGCAUGCCUACCAAAGUUUCACACAGAUACUUGCAUGCCUCUCUAUGAGACUGCGCAGCGAGCACGCCUUUGUCAAUUCACACACCUGCACGCAUGCCUCCCGGUCUGCCAGCACGGCAGACUGCUCACAUGCGUCCCGUCAACUCACACCUACUCGCAUGACACACGGGUCGCACGGCGGCAUGUAUGUUGUUUUUCUAUUUGGAUGAUUAAUGUUGCUGCUUUAUUGCUUAACCGAAGCAUGGCAUGUAUCCAUUGUUGGUCUAAUGCUCACGGUUCGAAUAAACAAUCCGUUUGGGAUAUUGGUUCCCAAUUAUUAAUAAUCUCCCAUUUGUGAUUAGAUAAACAUUAAAUCAAAACUGGUCUCAAAUUUGACAAAAAAAGUACAAUGCCACUUUGUAUUGGUGUCCAUAUGACAACACGAUAAGUUUCGUGAAUUUCAAAUAAGUUUUGGAUGUACUAGAAUUUAAAAAUCAAGAUUCUCAAUGUUUGAAAUUUGUUGCACGGGGAGUAAAGAUGCACCCAAUCACACACAUGUGUUUUUGCAAUCCAUUUAGGUGCACUUUCAUGUGUGCAUGUAGCACAAAUUUGAUUUUUGCACAUUAUACCAGUAGAAAAUCAAUCAAUUAAUGUACUAACACGUCUUAAUGAUCUCUGUUUUUUUUUCAAAAUUCAAACAUCCCUCCUUUGGUAACAUAUGUUCACCGUGGGAUAAUUAACUUAACAUGCAUUGUAGUUGCGGUGGAUUCGCGGUGUGUGUGUGGGUGUGUACGUCUGGGGUGCACUACAAAAAAAGACACAUCCGUGACAUUUUGGGCCGAACGAAAAAAAAUUUUGUCAUACAUAUGACACUUCUAUGACGAUAAUUGUGACAAAACCCGGUAUCAUCAUAGAUGUGGUGGGCUCCUACUUCUAUGACAAAAAAUCAUUAUAGAAAAUGAGCUUUUCGUCCUGGGCGGGCCAGAGAUGCAGUUGCGUGACAUUCUUUGGGCCGUCCAUGACGGAAAAAACCGUGGUAGAAGCGAGGGGGAGGAAAAUUUUGGGGAGUUCCCGGUUACGGUGGGAGGUCGGGGGCCAAGCGAUGCGCGUUUCUCUCAUACACGUACGCGCGUGUGUGCGAGGCGUUGGCUCUAACUGAACCCGAGAGAGGCGUUGGGCUCUAAUUAACUGAACCCGAGCGAUUGUACUGCAGGAUACGCGUUACUGAACCCGAGCAAUCGUUCGAUGGAUGUUAACUGAACCCGAUCGAGUGAUUCCUUCGCUACUGCUGCUAACUGAAGCUGAUCGAUGCUGCCUCUGGGAUGAACAGUGAGCGUUGCGGGGGGUUUGGAUGAACAGUGAGCGAUGGCAUUUCCUCUGGAUGAACAGGACCCCGUGGUAUGGUGGAGGGCUGGAUGAAUAAUAGACGGUGGAGGGGUGCCCGUGGAGGGGUGGUUCAACAGGACCCCGUGGUGUGGAGGGCUGGAUGAACAGUAGACGGUGGAGGGGGUGGUUGAACAGUAGCCGGUGGAGUAGCACGCGGUGGAGGCUGGAUGAACAGGAGCCCGUGGAGGCUCGAGGAGGUCGACGAUGGAGAUGAACAGUAUCCCGUGGAGUCCCGUUUUGCGGUACGCCACACCCUCCCGAUGAACAUGACCCCCGUUUCGACCGUAGGAGGUCCGUUUCGUCCGUUUUGCGGUACGCCACACCCCUCCCGAUCAACAGGACCCCCGUUUCGACCGUAGGAGGUCCGUUUCCUCCGUUUUGCGGUACGCCACACCCCUCUCGAUCAACAGGACCCCCGUUUCGACCAUAGGAGGUCCGUUUCCUCCAUUUUGCGGUACGCCAGACCCCUCCCGAUGAAUAGGAUCCCGUUUCGAACGUGGCCGGUCGAACACAAGGCCGUUUCCUCCGUUUUGCGGUACGCCAGGCCUCGUUUCCAUCGGCUGUUCCAUCCAAGCCCUCUCAAUGAACACGACCACUCAUUCCGUUCCGACCCAGCCGGUUGGCUCCCAUGCGUUCCGUUGCCUCCCGAUGAACACGACACAUUCCGUUGCCUCCCCAUGAACACGACGCAUUCCCUUGCCUCCCCAUGAACACGACGACGACGCUAUUUCUCCGUUCCGACCCAGCCAUCUACACGAGCCCUGGCCGUACGUAUGCGCGAGUAGGCGUUCGAGACCCUGCCCGUAUGUACGUAUGUGGCUGUAUUUUCUUUCUUGCACCCUGACUGGUGUACGUACGUGUACAUGCUACAUGCGCGCCUCUACUACGACACGUGCGCGCCUCUACGUCCACCAGUAUAUAUGUACGUACACGUUCGCGACCAGAAUGACAACGCUACAUACGCUUCGACCAGAUGGGUCCCGACUGUCAGGCACUUCCUUGCCUGCGAAGAUGUAGCUGGUGGGUCCCAACAGUCAGGGGGCAAAUCAUUUUGUUUGUUUUUUUACCCGGGCACACUUCCUUGCGUGCGAAGAUGUAGCUGCUGGGUCCCAGCAGUCAGGGGGGAAUCAUUUUUUUUUGCCCGGACGCACUUCGUUGCGUGCGAAGAUGUAGCUGGUGGGUCCCAGCAGUCAGGGGGGCGAAUUGUUUUUUUCGGACGCACUUCCUUGCGUGCGAAGAUGUAGCUGGUGGGUCCCAGCAGUCAGGGGGGCGAAUCGUUUUUUUCGAACGCACUUCCUUGCGUGCGAAGAUGUAGCUGGUGGGUCCCAGUAGUUAGGGGAAACAAUUUUUUCUUGAAAUACGGUGGCUCGUCCGGUGGGUCCCCGCUGUCAGGUGGAGGAAUAAUUAUUUUGCACGUAAUAAGGAGGCACUUCCUUGCUGCAGCCGUGGACCCAGCUGUCAGUCUCUCCACUUAUAGUCCACGUCCAAUGGAAGCCAUUCCUUGACCACGUUGACCACGCCGCGCUGAGAGCACCAGGGCGGUGGACGACAGCGUGGCCUAGGAGGGGGACGACGCAGAUCUGGGGAAGACGCGGCAGUGGAUGCCCACACAUAGAGGAGUAUGAGGGUUCACUCGUUCGGCUGCGGUGUGAGGCUGCCGUCACCGCAGAAUAACAGGGGGUGUGGGUGCAUAGAGGGAUGGCCUGGCCAGCGGUGGGACUAGUAGGGGGCGGUGAGGCCUCCACGGCAUCACAGCCGGCCACUGGCGGCAGGAGCAGGCGGCACGACCGGCGCUACUUUGGGCGGCUGGAGCAAGAAGACCAGAGGUUGAAGAAGCACUAUGGCCGUUGGAUGGACAUUGUACGGUCACUGGAGCUAGAAUCGUUCAUAUAUUGACUAAAGUUGACAAAGGCCUCCGUCCCAGUCAACUUAGUAGGCCCACAAGUCAGCCUCCCACCAGGGUGGGUCCCAGGUAGCAGGGGGGUAUUCAUUUUUUGUGCGUAAUAAGGAGGCACUUCCGGUGGGUCCGAGAUAACAGCGGGGGGAACGUUUUUUUCGUGAAAUACGGUGGCCCGUCCUGUGGGUCCCAGCAGUCAGGGGGAAACGUUUUUUUUCGCGAAAUACUGGUGGCCCGUCCGGUGGGUCCCUGCUGUCAGGUGGAGGAAUAAUUAUUUUCCGCAUAAUAAGGAGGCACUUCCUUGCGGCUGCCAUGGACCCAGCUGUCAGCCUCUCCACUUACAGUACUCUUUUGAUGGAAGUCGGUCGUGGACCACAUUGACCACGCCGCGCCGAGAGCACCACGGCGGUGGACGACGGCGAGGCCUAGGAAGGGGACGACGCGGAGCCGGGGAAGACGCGACAAUGGAAGCCCGCGCAGAGAGGAGUACGAGGGUUCACCGGUUCGGCUGCGGUGUGAGGCUGCCGUCGCCGUAGAAUAACAGGGGGUGUGGGUGAGUAGAGGGAUGCCCUGGCCAGCGGUGGGAGUAGUAGGGGGCGCUGAGGCCUUCACGGCAGCAUAGCCGGCCACGGGAGGUGGGAGUAGGCGGUCCCGCCGGCGCUGCUUUGACGGCUGGAGCAAGAAGAUCAGAGAUUGAAGAAACACGACGGCCAUUGGAUUGACAUCCAACGGUUACGUCUGCUAGAAUCGUUUGUUGACGUAUAUAAUAACUAAAAAAUCUUGCAUAUGCGUCAACUAAACAGGCCCACAAGUCAGACCACUCCCUCUUUUUUUAAUAAUUUGUAUAUAGCUCAUGGCAACUUCUUAUGCAAUUUAUCGCAGUCAUUUUUUUGGUUGGCCAGGGCCAAUUUCGCAUAUUUUUGUGGGUUCCAAACUAUUUUUAGUACCGAAAUGUCGAGCCAGAUUUAAAGUACUUUGAAGAUAUAUUUAAAUUAGGUUAAUGCCCAGUGAAAUAGGAAUCUGAAAAUGUGAAAAAAUUCAGAAAUUAUAAAGUAAUUGCCAAUUUGUCAUCUGUUUUUAUAUUUACAACCCAUUUCAUAUUACUUUCAAGAUUUGCAGGCGUCUUGAAAGAGUUGCAGCCCAUCAAGGCGUAGAAAAAUAAGUAGGCCAGAUUGGGUAUUCUUCAGACAAAAUAAACUGGGCUCAUUUUCACAAAGAAACAAUAGCUGGGCUGGUCACAUGGUGAACAUAAAAUAUAAGCCUCGGCUAGACUGGCCACAUCCCAGUUCAAACCCUACUUCGUCUCAACAAUACCAAACAAAAAAAAUUACUGCUCGAGUAGCUACGUCCCAGGUGUCAGCCGAUCUUGUGCUGUUCUCUUGUCUAUUGACUAUAUACGCUCACAAUGUCGUGGGUCCCAGAUGUCAGGAAAACACUAGGAGGAAGCAUUUUAUUUUUCCAUACGCUGAAGUGGUGGGCCCCUACUGUCAUCCUCUCCACAUACUUCUGCCGAUUCCUGUUGUUUGUUGACCAUGUUGACAAUGCGAGAGGGCGGUGCCGUGGCGAGCGCACCAAAGCGCGUGGAGGACAUCGGCGUUAAUGAUUUUGGAGACGGUGGGGCAGUGAUGCGUGCGCUGAGGCGCAGCCAGCCGUGGGAGGCAGAAGCAGGCGGCCCCACUGGCGCUGGUUUGGUUUUGGCGGCUGGAGGAAGACAUGACUGAAGAAACACGACAGACUAUAAAAGCAGCAUGAGUACUUAACAACCUUAACUGAAACCAGCAGGGGCACUUAACAACCAAAGCUGAAAGUAGUAUGAGUACUUAUACAGGUUCUACCGUACAAAGCACGCCUCGAACAGUGCUACUUCGCCUACAGUUAACCAAGGGUGAGGCCGCCAAGCCCCAGGACAAGGCCCAGGCGCCACCCCGCGCAUCCACAACCUUCUAAAAGCGGCUUCAUCUCGCAACAUGGUCAAUAAACAGGAUAUUCGCUUUAGAGCCAUGGAAAAGCAUGAACAUAAUCUUCUGUCCUAUUCUCCAAGAUGGACGGGCCUUCAUUAUUUGAGACCACCCAAGAAUAAGUAUCUUUUCACCUCCAAGGGGAAUUGAGUAGGUCGACAUAAACAUCAUGUUGGGACCAAGCGCAAGUAUGACCCGACCAUGGUCAGGCAUCUGUAUAGGAACAAUAGAACUCGGCAGUUCCUGUUUCAAGAAGAUCACAGCUGUAAAACUGUGUAUAAGCAAUAGUUUAUGAACAACAUAUAUAACAUAAAAUAGCUCGUACCAUAAGUUUCUCGACACAGUUGGACCUGUUCAACGGGUGCAGGAGUGGCACACAUAUCCCACGUGACCUUCCACCAUUGAAAUGCCCCACAAGGACCUCAAGACGAUCAAUAAAGUGUAGGAACUUGUGGAUGUCGAUCCAGUCAACUUCAGUGCCAUUAGUAACAGCCGAGUUAUUACAGAGUAACAAACGAGCAGACUGCUUAACUCUGAAAAAACCUACACGUGCCACCAAUUAUAAGAAAAUAUUAGUUAGAAGUAGCAUCUUCGUGAGAGAUUCAUUGCUACUUGUAAAGUUAAAUUGUGAUUAGUUAGACAUAAUAGGUGGAUUAAGAAGUAAUCGAGGAAACAAGCAAGAACCAGAUACAAAACUAACAUGGAUGAACAACUGGAACGACGUCGGGGUGGAAGAUCGCAGUGAAGAUGAGACCAGGUUCUGCUAUUUCCAUCAACAUUCGUGCGCCAACUUUCAGUCUGUAACACUUGAGAAAGUUUAUCCAAGUUUGGCCCUAAAAAAGCAGCAAUCUUCUUGGUUCAUGAACCCAACUCGGAACUUAUAUCCUGGCUUGUCUUUACUGUGACCAUUAAACUAGUGUAUUCAUUUAUGGCAAGGCCCAGCAUCUUGAGUACAUGUGUUCUGGCAGAGCAAAUAAUACACUGCAGGAAAAAUAAUAUGAGAACACAGCAUGUUCAAAAAAACCCCACCCUCCCGAAUAGAAAAGAUGAUUCUAGGAACAUAUUGUGCGCGUUUCAAAAUGAUGUGUUAGGAUGAGAAGGAACAAGUGUGGCGUCUCGCCGAGGGCGUAGAAACCUGUAGGGUACUCGCACUUUGGGCACUACACAUGAAACACACUAGAUUCAGUAGGAAGAAAAAUGCAUCAACGGCGGCGGCUACCAUCCUAGGAUUACCUGCGACCAAGGGACUUGGAUUUAUCGGGGAUGGACGAAGGAUUCGUACCUGGUUCUCCAUGAGAAAACCCUAUGCAAUCACCGAGAGGGGGUUUUCUCUGAACAAGCAGACGAGGGAGAAGGGGAUUCAGGCCCAGUGAAAUAUUGCCGCUUCGUCCGUCCAGCUUACUGCUAAAGCUGGAAAGGGGGGUUGUGAUUUGAUGGCUCAUUGGGCAUUACUGCGGCGCUACGACCGGGGUGUGUCUACCAUGAAGUUGUGCACUCUAAUUUGUGCAUAUGGCAUAUGGACCCCGUUGCCGGUUGCCCCACAUAUCAGCAAAAUGAAGUAGAAAGACAGGAGUAACUAGUUACGCAUAAAUAUAUUUUUUGACAGAGAGAUACUCCCUCUAUAAAGAAAUAUACAAAUCUUUUAUAUCACAGGCUCACAUUGCUGCUCUGCAACGCACGGGCAUUAUGGGGGUUCAGCUGAGAAUAUAAUACUCAGAUAGGCUCACGGUUCUGGACUUUGGGCCGCAGGCCGACCCUGCAUGUUUGGGGGCCCAUGUGUUCUACCUCAACGCUUUUCAUAUUGCAAGUGAUCGGUACGGUGCUGGUUUUAGAUGCUGUCGCAAGGCGAAUACACAAAAUUGAAUAAAGCAUGGCAGUUGUUGGAAUGAAAUCGAACGAUAGUUCCUAACCAGCAAUCAGAGUUGCAAUUCUAUCAACGAUAUACCAUGUGAUAAAUAAUACUGUCGUACUGCUUAUACACACAGGACACUUAUUUCACCAUGCAUGAUUAUUACAUCAAAAUCUCUCAGAGGAUAGACCAGUUCGGCAGUUGUGUGCUGCUACUGAAGAAUUUCAAAGUUGAUUUGGACCAGCUCUCCUUGCCGAGAAAGUUUGAUUUUGACAUCAUCCCCUACCGCAAGAUAUGAUUUAGAUUUGAACAUUGACCAUCCUUUAGCAUCAAUCAUCAUGCGACCAUCCUUUGUACUUACGGUAUAUUGAGCAGGUUCAUUCACACCAAGGCUGUGCAUGGUAAGAGAAACUUGGCCGCGGUCGCCCGGAUUGUUGAAUGACUCCCUCGUUGCUCUAGGAAUUCUCUGUUUGCAAACAAGAAGACAUACCCAAACAGUUAGAUCAAUAUAGUGAAUCAUGUGAAACAACAUGGAAAUAAAAAAGAACGAAGCACUUGGGCGGCCAAUGCUUACCAAGAAGGUGGACAUGUCGGUUUUUGUAAGGACUUUGGUAUAUGAAGUGCGAAUUGCAGCCCAGUCUAUUGUCGGUGCAACUGCACGGGCCGGAGCAGAUGCAAGUGCAAGUGUUGGUGCAGGUGCCGAAGCCGCCGCUGCUGCCGGAGAUGGUGCUCCUUGUAGAGCUGGUGCCGGUGUCAGAGCAGGUGCCGGUGUCGAUGCCCGAUCCUCCGGUAGAUCAGAUUGAUCCGCUGAUGCGGUCGGUGCCCAAUCCUCAACUGGACCAGACUGAGCUGCUGCCGCCAUCAGUGCUAGAGCAACUGCCGGUGCUCGAUCUGUGCGAGACAGUGGCGAUCGUGUCUGGUCUGCUAUGAUCAGCUUUCUAACUUGACUAGGAUCCGUGACCGUGAUCCAGGUUUUUUCUUCAUUUCUUUUAAACGCGAGAAGGGCUAAUUGUGGCGUUUUUGUUAAACCAAACUGCAGUUCAUCAUAGGGAUUCAGCUUGUACUCAGAUAACAGACUGAUCCAAUUUUUUCCAGUAAUAUAAGUGAUGACAGUGCCUUCGUUACUGACACGACAUAAGAAGUGAAACCUGCAAAAAAUAGCCAUCGUAGAGCAAACCAAACGGUUUAUUCUGUGAUGAAUGUCACAUGGCAAAACCUGCAUCGUAAAAUUGCAGGAAAAGAAAGAAAACAUGACAUUAAAUUAAUAAGAUUUAGACAGUAAAUCAAUAAGAUUUACUUGAUGUGACACGAGUGAAUCCUUACCAGGAAAUCACUAUGUUGAAGUACUAAAUAGAAGAUUGAUCGUCCAACUACGCGUGGCAUGCAGGGGCCCCGCCUACUCCCACAAGCAGGACAGUCCAAAGGUCGUGACAAAUCAUAUGGACCGAACAUCCGUGGGACUGGAAAUCCUGGUGGGUGCGAUAAACCCUGCAAUGCAUACAUAUAUUGGAGUGUAACCGUAAUUGAUAAACCGUCCUCACAAAAAAUAAGAUCUGGAUACUUAAAAAUAUACAGACUGAAUUGAGUGGACAGACAUUAACAUAGACCGUUCUCAGGACUGACCACACACCAAAAGCGGCAGUACUAAUAAACAAUACAGGGUUCACAAACACAAAUCAAGUACUAAAAAAUAGUACUUACUACAAACAAGCAAAGUUGCACUAACUAAACUCUGCAGACUAUUUCUUGCCACCGAUCUACGGGAUGAACCCCGCAUAACUGACUAGGCCAUGGACUUCGUGCGAGAUGUCUACAUGCACCAUCACCAUCUUGUCAACCUUGGAGAACCUAACAGAGUGGUCUUUCCACUCAUAAACAUGAUGAUGAAGACAUGCCGCAUCAGAUUUGUUGGGAAGCUUUAAAAGAACCACACCAUUCGUAAUCGAAGGCACAACCAGGAAAUUGUUGUGGUCAAGUACAACCUCGAGAACACGCCUGACAACAAUGCUAUAGGAAAACACUAGUUCAGGACACGUGGCGAUAAGGACACAUCAGCUGGAUAGUUCAGCAGUAGAACUCAUCAUCAGGUCUUCCAGUUCACACGCCAUGACUUUGAUAACUUCAUCUCCACCGCGGACCUGGUUCUAAUUCAAACAGAAACCAUAUUUUAUUACUACCUCCAUUCAGAAAUAUAAGAUGAUUUUUGAUAUUAUACUCCAUAUAUGACUACAUAUACGCACAUAAAUGAGUGAACAAAGACACUAGAACAUGUCUUCAAAGGCAUGAGAGCAAAGGGAUUACAUGCAAUAUCCAUAACACAAGUUACUGAGGAAAAUAUACCCUCUUAAAAGGUAGCAUUGAUGUUCAUAAAGUACUCCCUCCGUCCAAAAAUUCUUGUCUUAGAUUUCUCUAGAUACGGAUGUAUCAAGUCACAUUUUAGUAUUAGAUACAGCCAUAUCUAGACAAAUCUAGGACAAGAAAUUUGGGACAGAGGGAGUAGUUGAAAAAAUCUAUAAGAAAUUAGUUUCAACCUCUCACAUGUUUUGGUCAAAAGAGGAAUUUAGAACCGUCAUUUGGCACACUAAAAUCACAUGCAAGAUCACCAAGAAAGUUGUACUACCAGUACUAGUACUGCGUGUUAGAUGAAAAAACAUGAACAAGAUCGAGAAAAAGAUCAUCAACAAGAGACAUUACCUGGACUUGCUUAAUGAGGGAUCCCGAAGAGGGGGGCUUGGAUAGGGCGAUGACUUUGAGCUUGUCUGCGGUAGUCUCGGCAGGGUGCUUGCGCUUCUUCGUACCAUGAUCCUCGACGGUUUUGGCCAGAGCCAUAGACAUCACGUCGGUCGGUGCUCCGGCGUCCAUCCAAGAGAGGAAGCUGAGAGAGAAGAGUGAAAGGAGGAACGAGAUGAAGGAGAAGUGAAGCGAGUGGAGGUUUUCUUCAAGAGAGGAAGCUGAGAGAGAAGAGUGAAAUGAUGGUUGCUUCGUCCGUCCAACUUACUGCUGGAAAGGAGGGGAUUUUGUGAUUUGGGCAUUACUGCGGCGGUUCGAUCGGGGUAGUCUACCGUCACUCUACUACGAAGUAAUUUAGUGCAUGGCUGGUGGACCCAGGUGCUGGCUGUCCCACACGUCAGCGAAACCGAGUAAUUUAGUGCAUGGUUGGAGGAGGAUCCACACGGUAGAGCGUGUCCACUGUUUUUAUGAAGAAAAAAUGAUUACAGCAAGCGUUUCCACUCUUACGGCGGAGGAGUGCGAAACACGGCAGCCACUUGAACAUACACAGUGGUCCUACGACUAGGCAUGUGCAGUGGUUCAUACGUUAGUACUACACAAUCUUGUUGCUAGUGUAGUAAGAUAUGACGAUAACAAAUGAUGUUGUGCGCAUGUCAACUACUCCUAUAUGUAACAUAGUACCGCUUUUUCGACUGUCCGGUCGAGAAUGAACGGUGAAAUCAAUGUUAACAGAACUAGGUCCACAGCGCACGGAGAGUACGGUGCUACAGUACUCCACGAAACAUGAACCAUAUGAAGCAUGAAUGGAUUCCAGUGACGGAGCCCUGAAAGGAUACGCCCGGCAACGGCGACGGCAGCCCGCAACCCCUCCUUGUCCAGCUCAGCACCCACCAUCAUGCGGAGACGGCUCAGCUCCUCGGAGAUAUAGGUGAAGAAGGAUACUAGGUCAGGAAGCCGCAGCUCGUUGAUGUCGACCGGGUGGUAGAACGGGUUUAGCCCGACGGCCGGCAUCGUCGCGCUGGCACGACGGUAGGCAUCGCGCAGCCGCAACACGUGCAUGGCAACUUGGUUCACCAAGUGGCUGAGGCGGUCCUGGACCUCGUCACGAUCGGCCCGCUCGCGCUCCAGCCGGCUCCCCUGACGGCCUAUCGUAUCUGCCGCUUCCUGCAGCAACGCCACCGAUGCCUCAAGCAUCUUUGUGGUGGACGCCUGCCGCUUUUGAAGCUCUGUGAACUCCCGCACAUAACGGAGGAGCAUGGCACUCCUCUCCUCCUUGAGCUCAUGGAGCUCCACGUCCUUGGCCCUGAGCUCCGCAUCCUUGGCAUGGAGCUCAUGUGUCAGGAGGCUCACCUCGGACUCCGUGAUCUGCUGCGCCGCCAUGGCACCAGGUAGAAGCAAUGGGGAGAGGAAGCAAAGGGGGUGAAACGGCUGAAAGGCAAUGCAAUCUAUAGGAAGGUGGAGUGAGCAGUGUGUUUUUACAAGCGGAGUCAUCAUGACUAAUUGCUGUCGCGCCUGCUCCCGUCAAUCAAAAAAAUAAAAAUCCUGUCGCGCCUGCUCCCGUCAAUCAAAAAAUUAAAAAUCCUGCCGCACCCAAACAACAGAGCAACACCACGGUGGAUAUUUAAAUUUACCUGCCGGCAAGUAGAUAAAAAAAGGGGUGAAAAAGAAAUUGUGGCAGUGGCCUAGCUAAUCGGUCGAACUAGCCCAACUAGCUAGCCAUCGUGCUUCACUGAUGUACUCGGCGGGAAUGGCGGUCUUUCAUGAUUUGACGACUCAUUUACUUGCUUCGGCACUGCGACCGAGGAGGACCUAGAAAACGCGCGGUAGGGCGUCCCACGUCAGGAAGAAUAUAUGCGUGCACCACCUGGGAGGACCCCGAAACCGCGCGGUAGGGUGUGCCACGUCUCGGCACGGAGGAAAAAUGUGCGUGUAAAAAUAUACUAUAUCAGACGUAGUACCUAUGGUUCGACCUCGUGACCCAGCCAGUCGGUCGAAAACACCCCACUAGCCACACGCUUCAUCAUGAAAACGUGGCACGGAGGAUAGAUGUGGUUAGCUCCGUCUUGACCAGCCACAACGUCUCUUGUUCUAGGCGAUUCUUCUAUUCUAAUAACACCACGGCAAGCUAGUGCCGCUCUUCGUGUGUGCCCGUGCAAAUGUUAGACGAUGGAGAGAAGAGAGAUUGAGAUCGCAGACCUGGGACCCACCAGUAAGUGAGACAACGGUCAUGCACGUGCUGACGAGGCACUCCCUCUACUCUACUCAACACAAGUACUGUAUAAAAUCAAGUUAUGGGACAAAGCCAACAACCGUUCGUUUUUUCAGGCUAUCGACUUACGCUUUGUAGUCCAGGUUGCCAGUUCGAAUCUCGUCAUUCAGAUUUGUUAGUUUUAGGUCCAAAUUUGAUUAAUGACAAGUGGGACCCCCGUGUGUUGUUCUGAUAUUUCGGUGUAGGAUGGUUUUUUUGAACAAACAGUUUGCACGGUUAGACAAGUAACGGCACGAGUUACAUGUAUUUUGCAAGUUUACAAACAAAAAUGACAGCGGCAUAGAAUAUCACAUCCACCCCGCAGCUUAGAUACUAUGGUGAUACGAGUUUUUACACCGUUGGAAGUGAGAUCCAAUGGCUUGGGAGUAGUCUUUGUAAUUAUGCGCAAUUUCCAAACUCUCCAAAGGAUUUUUUGCAAAUAAAACAUUCAGGCCUCGUGUGUGCCGCUGCAUCUUCGAUCCAACGGCUCCCCGGUGCUCAUAUUAGGUGCUCCCCGUAGCUUAAUUACCCGCUAUGGUGAUAUGAGCAUCUAGGCACAUGCAUAGUACUUGUACUUUCUGCGCAUUUCCCAAACUCUAUUAGCCGUAUAUUGCAAAAACAUUCAAACCUCCUACUGUGGGCCGUUAGAUCUCAGUGAACUCGUAUCACCAUAGAAUCUACGGUGCGGGUGCACCUCAUACUCUCCCGUGCGAGAAAACAUAAGGUGUUAUCGCAGCUUGGAUGCUACGGUGAUACGAGCUUGGAGGUCAUUUGAUCUGAGAUCCAAUGGCAUCUGAGCAGUCUUUGUGCUUGUAAGCAGUGGCCGAACUUUUUUGGGGCUUUUCUGCAAAAAACCAUUCAAACCACCGAGGAGGUCUUGGGUCACAAAUCCAACGCCUCCGAAGAGCUUGUAUCACCAAAGCAUCUAAGGUGUGUUAGCACAUGAUAUUCUUAAAUACAAGAGAAUAUGAUGUCCUCCUUCAUCUUAGAUGCUACGGUGAUACGAGCUUCGAGGUCGUUGGAUAUGGGAUCAAAGGGCAUCUAAGUAGUUUUUGUACAAAUUGUGUGCAAUUCUCAAACUCAUCAAGGUUUCCUGCAAAAAUAUUAAGACACGUCAUGUGAGCUGCUAUAUCUCAGAUCUACAAGCUCCAAGCAACUCGUAUCGGCAUAUAGCAUCUAAGGUAUGGGGGCACAUGAUAUUCUCCCGGGGAGGAGGGGUGGGGGUGCACAACCAAUCGAUGGUUGGGAGGGUGGGGAUAAAUAUAAUCUAAACAACCCUAAACAGAGCUCCACAACUUUAUCUAAGGUCGAGGGGUUGACCCCCGACAAUCAUACCUCCGCCUAAACACAACAUUUGCAUGUACUGUAGUACUAGACUUAAUAUUCAUGUUUCAGUUUCAUGUUCAUUUUAAAUAUUGAACUAAGGACCAUGGAUGUCUUACAUUUUACUCCCUUCGUUCCUAAAUAUUAGUAUUUUUAGAGGCUUCAAAUGGACUGGCACAUACAAAUGUAUAUAGACAUAUUUUAGAGUCUAGAUUCACUCAUUUUGCUCCGUUUGUAGUCACUUGUUGAACUCUCUAAAAGACUAAUAUUUAGGAAUAGAAGGAGUAUUUUUGAAUUCGUGUCAUACAUGCAUGGUUUGGAAAAAUAGAUGCACUAUACUUAUUGGAUUAUUGUUGUGUUCAUGCGUGUGUGUCUCUCUGUGUGUGUGUGUGGUCAUAUCCUUGAUACAUACAAAGUUUUCUCACCUCCAUAUUGUUCAUCUUUUAAAUUUGAAUUUGCAUUGGAAAACUUACUAGGGAUACCAUGAAAUGUGAAAUCCACAUUGAGAUUAUUAUAUCACAAACUCACUCGAAUUCAACAACUCGUCAUAAAUCAAUUACCACGUUGAGAUUAGUAUUUGCAAGGAAAAUACGGGUAUUGUAAUACACAUAGAUUCAUUCGGCAAUUUAAAAGGUUCCUUUCGUAUUCUCGAAUGGUAGGACCCAACGGUGUACCAGCCAGACCUUGGCUCGUGUUGAUCCUAAAAAAACCGGGCCCAUGUCCUUCGGUGGCGUGCGUGGUACGCACAUUAGGCAAACCCAACCAGUCGAGCCUCAGCGUUUCAAGUCGAAAUAUCUGGCGGCCAGAAUUCCAGCCCUAGGAAAUUCCCCUCAUGUCCCCGGUCCAUAAUGACUACCGAUGAACAACGGAGGGAUGCUUUAGUAACUAGACAACGCUAAGAAUUGAGCCCGUUUGUUCGUGCCUAGUACUUGAGUUAAUAUAUCAGACAUUGCACUGGUACGGAGGGAUUAUCCUUUUACUCUGCAUAUAUAACUUGUCUGAAGUCUAACUAAGCAAAAUGUUUGACCAAAUCCUUUCUUAAGAAAUACAACAGGACAGAUGUACGGCUUGAAAAUUUAUUGCAUGAUGCAGGUUAUGAUAUUGUUUCGAAUCCUGGAUCUUAAAUUUUAGAAAAUCCAAAAGUGAGCAUAAAUUCUUGAAACUAAGCACGGUCACGUGAUAUGGCACAAAUAUUACUUCGUAAGAUUUUUCUUCAAUUUGAGACAAGCUGCUUAUGACAAGUUGCACAAAUGAAGAGCCAAGGUAUUUUGGAACAAAGAAAGACCUGCCACGUUAAGGCGAACGCUUUCACUAUUGAAACCGUGGGCGUUUACGUGUCGCCACGCGUCCCAGCUUCUCAUCGACAAGUAUCGUCCGAGCAAGCGUGUGAGUCGGCGGGAGGCGUGCGAGUAGACCGCUGCUCCAGCUGUCAGGGAGGCGUGCAAGCAGACCGCUGUGCAGGCUCACCGGGAGGCGAGCCCUUUGACCAGGCUCCGCCGCCCACCGUCGUCCCAACUGCUCCCACUUUUAAUGUCGCCGGCACCGCAGUUUAAAAUCAACCCCGCACUACCCGGUAUCGCUACAAUCCUCUCUCUUCGUCUCUGAUUCUCCUGUCGUCUACCUCCAACUAGCCUGACCUAAACGUACGCCAUGCCGCAUCACGAUGGUCUGCCCUUAGUGUUCCAGUUUCCUGAGGAAGACACCCAGCCGGAGUCUCAAGAUCAUAAGGCGAUUUGGGACGAGCUUGAACUGUCCUUGCGGGAAGACGUCGCGCCUGUCCUCACUCCCGUUCUGGCUCCCGUCGCCCUGACUGCACCAACGCCCAUCCCCGUGCACAUGCCAGCGCCUGCGCGUGCACUGACGCGCACGCCCGUGCCGGUGCCCGUGCACCUGCCAGCGCAUGCGCCUGCACGUGCACUAACGUGCACGCCCGUGCUGGUGCCCGUGCACACGAAUGUCUCCUCCGCGCCGUUGAUAGCGCCUGUCCCCGCGUGGGUGCCAGUGCCCCCCUCAGCGGCAUGGAUGGCCGUCAUCGACCGCUUCCUUGCACCAACGCCAGUCACCUCUGAUGAAGCUAUGUACCUAGGGUAGGGUCAUGGACCUGUCCUAACUGCCCUACCCAAGGACAUCUCUAGAAGAAACCACCUUUCAAUCGACUUGGAGGUGUUCCACUUGACAGACUCGAAGACGCUCGACCAAGAAGCAAUCGCUCGACCAAGAAGCAAUCACUCGACCAAGAUCCAACCACUCGACGGCCAGGAGACCUGAAGUCACUCCGCACGCUAACGGUCGGUCAUUAAGUAGCUUUUAUGGUCAUCAUAGCACUUCAUUACUAGCGUUACCAGUAACGCCCUGCCUUAAUGUACAUUGAACCCUUUGUAACGUGGGUUGGCCGGGGUCCUGGCGCACUCUAUAUAAGCCACCUCCCUCCUCCGAGACAAGGGUUCGGACCUCUGUAACUCAUACUCACAUAAUCCAGUCGACUGCCUCCGGGCUCCGAGACGUAGGGCUAUUACUUCCUCUGAGAAGGGCCUGAACUCGUAAACCUUGCGUGCUUACAACUUCUCCAUAGCUAAGAUCUUGCCUCUCCAUACUUACCCCCCUACACAACUGUCAAACUUAGAACCACGACAGUUGGCGCCCACCUUGGGGCAGGUGUUUUAGCGUUUGUUGGAGGAGUUGCGACCUUUUCCGACCCAAAUCAUCAUGGUUUUCGGCGGAGUUUCGGUGGAGGGCCGCGAGAUCCGUCUCGGCGCGCUCACGUUCAUUGUUGACGACUCUGCUUGGAUCCAGGAGGCUCCGCUCGACGUGGACGCACUCCCUGCUCGCGGGGAAACGCACUUUAGCGCGUGCGUCUGCGGCGUUCUCCUACGGCAACCGUUGACCCCCUACCGGUCGGCUCCUGUGUUGUCCUCCCUCCCCGUUUCCAGCCGGCGCAAGCGCUCCGGUCGGUCGAGACUUCAGCGGUGGGUGAGGCACGUGGUGGCACGUCAGUCGGCCAUCCCUCAAGUCGCGGCAAUCGAGCCCGACGAAUCCCUCUAUGGCCUAUUCGACCUGUCGACUGGCUCCGCAGAGACCGCAUCCGAGUGCGACAGCAGCGAUCCGGUGGCAGAGGUUCUGAUGGUCGAUGGAUCACCCAGUCCUCCCGGUUUUCCCCGCACCGACGGAGGCGCAGGUGGAGGCGAUCCGUCCCGUCUCCAUGAGGAGUAUCUUCCCGAGCCUCUCACUUCGCUGCAGAGAGAAGAACUUCACCGCCGGAACAUGGAUGCACUGCACACUCCUAUCGUUGGAGAAACCCCCGAGGAUCGCGCCUUGGAGGAUGCGCGCCUGGCAAACUUGGCCGAGCGCACUCGACUGGAGAACCUCCAGCGAGCACUCGAUGAGCGUGCGCGACAACGGGUUCCCGAAUCCAGUCGACGUCAGCUCUUCCCGCCCCUGCAAGUAUAUCGAACUCCAAUUCAGAAUUUAGCAGCUGCGGCCCGUAUAGCAGAGUCGAUUCAGCCUUCCCAGUCGGAGGCUGGCAAAGGCUUGCUGCAGAUCAGAGCGUUACUCCGGGCAGCAGGAGAUCAGAAUUCCGCUGUUUCUCAGUCGCGGAACAAGAUUCACAGCAGAUCCGUUGCCGCAGACACAGUCCAGUCGGCUCACAGCCCGAGAUCGCCCCCGAGGCGUGAGGGACAUGGAGACCGGCGUGACCAGUGUGGGAACCAUGAGCAGUAUGAUCACCGAGUCGAUCGUGACGGUCGAUGUCGAGUGCCCACGCCUCCCCCGAGGAGCGGGUCGUAUGUGCCUCGCCAUCAGGAUGACAGGCGCCCUCAUAGUGGUGGGCGAGGGAUUCCAAUCGACCCCCAAGGGCCAGGCUUUGACGCGAGAUCCAUUCUCGUCCAGGGUUUGGUCGACAGGAACAGGGCUCACCGAGAAGGUCACGACAGAGAUGCACCUACCAGUAGCAGAGUACAUAUUUCGGGGCCAGAGUGCUUUAGUAGAGCCAUCAGGGCCGCUGUGAUUCCUCCCAACUUCAGGUUGGCGACUAGAGUCAGUAAGUUCACUGGCGAGUCCAAGCCCGAUACUUGGCUUGAAGAUUACCGAGUGGCCGUCCAGAUCGGCGGCGGCAAUGAUGAAGUGGCCAUGAAGCACCUGCCUCUCAUGUUGGAGGGCUCGGCCAGAGCGUGGCUGAACCAGUUAGCACCUAGCAGCAUUUACACUUGGGAGGAUCUCUCCCGAGUGUUUGUCACCACAUUCGAAGGCACGUGCAAGCGACCGGCAGGGCUGACGGAACUGCGGUCUUGUGUAUAGAAGCCGAAUGAAACUUUGAGGGAUUACAUCCAGAGGUGGAUCACGUUACAUCACUCGGUGGAGAAUGUGCCUGACCACCAAGCAGUUUGUGCCUUCAAGGAAGGCGUCAAGUACAGAGAACUGAAUUUGAAAUUCGGUCGAACCGGGGAUAUGUCCCUGAAUCAGAUAAUGGAGAUUGCCACCAAGUACGCUAAUGGCGAAGAUGAGGAUCGACUCAGGAGUGGCAAACUCAAGUCAGUCGCCCAAGAACCUGGAGGCAAUCCCAAUCGGAAACAGAAGCGGAAAGCCGAGCCAGCGGCUCCCGGGGAAGCCUUGGCUUUAACCCAAGGAAAGUUUAAAGAGAAACCUAAAGGGCCUUGGAACCCCAAAAAGGUUAAAGACCAGGACGGAAAUGAUGUAUUGGACUUGCCAUGUCUCGUCCACACAAAGAAAGAUGAAGAGGGUAAUUUCAUUUACUCGAAACAUACCACUCGACAGUGUCGACUCUUGAUCCAGCAGUUCCAGAGCAAGCAGCCCAAAGGUAAGGAAAAGGAGUCGUACAAGGUCGAGCACAAAGAGGACAGUGACGAUGGAUACCCUCAAGUCAAUUCCACCCUGAUGAUUUUUGCUGAUGUUGAGAGCAAAAGUCGACUGAAAGUUAUCAACCGAGAGGUGAAUAUGGUUGCUCCGGCGACACCAAGUUAUUUGAAAUGGUCCCAGACUGCCAUCACGUUCGACCAGUCCGAUCACCCAACGCAUAUUGCCACCCCUGGGAGGCACGCUCUGGUGGUCGACCCAGUGGUUGAAGGCACUCGACUGACCAAAGUCUUGAUGGAUGGUGGCAGUGGUUUGAACAUAUUGUAUGCUGAGACGUUGAAAGGGAUGGGCAUUCCGAUCUCCAGACUCAGUGCCAGCAACAUGAGUUUCCAUGGAGUCAUUCCUGGGAAGAAGGCUGAAUCACUCGGCCAGAUUGCUCUUGAUGUGGUUUUCGGUGAUUCCAAGAAUUACCGCAAAGAGAAGUUGACAUUUGAAGUUGUAGACUUCUAGAGUGCCUACCACGCUAUUUUGGGCAGGCUGGCUUAUGCACGCUUCAUGGCCCGACCAUGUUAUGUGUAUCUCAAAUUGAAGAUGCCUAGCCCCAAAGGUGUGAUCACCAUUAUGGGCAAUCGGAAGAAAGUGGAAGAAUGUUUUCAGAAAGGUUCAAAGAUCGCAGAUGCUCAGAUGGCAGUAGUGGAGUUGCAGGAGUACCAGAAGACUGCAGACCCGAGUGAUUUGUUGCGAGCCAAGAAGCCCGCUACAGAGUCAGCUUUUCAGUCGACUAGCGAUACGAAGACAACUCACAUCCACCCGACCGACCCCAGUGCUGCUCCAACUCAUAUCUCGACAACACUCGACUCCAAAUAGGAAGAAGUGCUCAUCUAGUUCCUCCGUGAGAACUGGGACAUUUUCGCAUGGAAACCCUCUAACAUGCCGGGUCUUCCCAGGGAGCUGGCUGAGCACCGCCUAAGAGUCGACUCAAAAAUAAAGCCUGUCAAGGAACAUCUCUGACGGUCCGCCGUCCAGAAGAUAAAGGCCAUUGGCGAAGAGGUAGCUCGGCUCUUAGUGGCGGAAUUCAUCCGAGAAAUCUACCACUCCGAGUGGCUCGCCAAUGUUGUCAUGGUCCCCAAGAAGGACAAGUCACUUCACAUGUGCAUUGACUUUAAACAUAUCAAUCGGGCCUGCCCGAAAGAUCAUUUUCCUCUCCCCCACAUCGACCAGAUAGUCGACUCGACUGCGGGAUGUGAGCGACUGUCUUUUUUAGACGCUUAUUCCGGGUACCAUCAGAUCCGUCUGUAUGGGCCUGACGAGAUCAAAACAGCUUUCAUCACUCCAUUCGGGUGCUUCUGUUAUGUUACCAUGCCAUUCGGCCUCAAGAAUGCCGGAGCCACAUUCAUGAGGAUGAUUCAGAAGUGUUUGCUCACCCAAAUCAGUCGGAAUGUGGAGGCGUACAUGGAUGAUAUUGUGGUCAAGUCACGGAAAGGUUCCGACCUGCUGACUGACCUUGCUGAAACCUUUGCCAACCUCAGAAGGUUUGAUAUCAAGCUUAAUCCAUCAAAAUGCACAUUCGGGGUUCCUGGCAGAAAGUUACUCGGUUUUCUAGUUUCCGAAUGGGGAAUCGAUGCCAAUCCAGAAAAAGUCGGUACUAUACUCUGAAUGAAAAGUCCUGUACGAGUGCACGAUGUUCAGAAGCUUAAUUGGUGCUUGGCCGCCCUAAGUCGAUUCAUAUCUCGUCUCGGUGAAAAGGCAUUACCUCUUUACCGAUUGAUGAAGAAGUCUGACAAGUUCGAGUGGACUCCUGAAGCUGACACAGCGUUCACAGAGCUCAAAGCUCUGCUCUCCACCCAGCCAGUGCUUGCUGCCCCAAUCAGCAAGGAGCCUUUGCUGCUUUACAUUGCAGCCACAAGACAAGUCGUCAGUACGGUACUUACGGUCGAGCGGGAAGAAGAAGGGAAAACCUUCAAAGUUCAGCGCCCAGUGUAUUAUAUUUCUGAAGUCUUGACCCCAUCGAAGCAAAGAUAUCCUCAUUAUCAGAAGCUCGUAUAUGGGAUUUAUAUGACCACAAAGAAAGUUGCCCACUACUUCUUUGAUCAUUCCAUUACAGUCAUCAGCGAUGCUCCGUUGUCAGAGAUCUUGCAUAACAGGGACGCAACUGGUCGAGUGGCAAAAUGGGCGAUUGAACUCCUUCCUCUAGGUAUCAAGUUUUAGGCAAAGAAAGCUAUCAAGUCCCAAGCAAUCGCUGAUUUUGUCGCCGAGUUGAUUGAACAGCAGCUGCCGACUCACGUUCACUCGGAGCAUUGGACCAUGUUCUUUGAUGGUUCCAAGAUGCUAAAUGGUUCCGGAGCCAGAGUGGUGUUGGUCUCCCCCAGAGGAGAUAAACUCAGAUAUGUUCUUCAAAUCCACUUUGAUUCCUCUAACAACGAGGCAGAAUACGAAGCACUUUUAUAUGGGUUGCGCAUGGCCAUUUCACUCGGUGUCCGACGCCUCAUCGUCUAUGGCGACUCAGAUUUGGUGGUCAAUCAAGUGAUGAAGGAAUGGGACGUCAGAAGUCCAACCAUGACUGGUUAUUGCAAUGCAGUGAGAAAGCUAGAGAAGAAAUUCGAGGGGUUAGAGCUUCAUCACAUACCCCGACUGAAAAAUCAAGCAGCUGAUGAUCUGGCAAAAAUAGGUUCCAAAAGAGAAGCCAUUCCCAACAAUGUGUUUUUGGAACACAUCCACACACCAUCAGUCCAGGAGGAUCCCUUCACUGAAGAGGCCCCGCAGCCAAAAAGUGCCACGGAUCUGACUGAAGUUGAAGUUCCAGCUGUGGUCGACCUGAUCAUGGAAGUCUUGGUUAUCACUCCCGUCUGGACAUAACCGUACAUCGCGUACAUCCUGAGGAAAGAACUCCCAGAAGACGAAGAAGAGGCUCGACAGAUCGUCCAUCGAUCCAAGGCCUUUACAGUCAUAAAGGGACAGUUAUAUAGAGAAAGCGUGACUGGGGUCGGCCAGAAGUGUAUUACACCAGAAGAAGGUCAGAUGAUCCUUAACGAUAUGCACUCGGGGACCUGUGCUCAUCAUACGUUCUAUCGGACCAUUGUGGCUAAAGCAUACCGAGCGGGGUUCUAUUGGCCAAAAGCCAAUGAGAUGGCCAAAGAGAUAGUCGACAAAUGUGAAGGAUGUCAGUAUUACUCCAAUAUGCCACACAAGCCUGCGUCAGCCCUGAAAACCAUUCCACUCGUCUGGCCUUUCGCUGUUUGGGGGUUGGACAUGGUUGGACCACUGAGAACAGGCAGGAGCGGCUUCACUCAUGUGCUGGUAGCAGUCAACAAGUUCACCAAAUGGAUUGAAGCCAAGCCUAUCAAGAAUCUUGAUGCUUGCACCGCUAUCAGUUUCAUCAGAGAGUUGAUAUUUAGAUAUGGAGUUCCACACAACAUCAUCACCGACAACGGGUCAAACUUCGAUUCCGACAAAUUCAGGGCCUUUUGCGCCUCUCAAGGCACUCGGGUCGACUAUGCUUUGGUCGCUCACCCCCAGUCGAAUGGGCAAGCAAAAAUGGCAAACGGCCUAAUUCUCAAAGGACUGAAACCCCGAUUGAUGCGCGAUCUCAAGCACGUAGCAGGUGCAUGGGUCGACGAGCUUCCAACAGUCCUUGGGGAUUGAGGACAACCCCGAAUCGAUCGACCGGAAGAACCCCAUUCUUUCUGGUCUACGGGGCCGAGGCAGUCUUACCGAGUGACCUGCUUCACAAUGCUCCCAGAGUCGAGCUCUACUCAGAAGAUGAAGCAGAACAAGCCCGGCAGGACGCAGUCGACCUUCUAGAAGAAGAAAGGGAAAUGGCCUUGAUUCGAUCGACCAUCUAUCAGCAAGACUUGCAUCGAUUCCAUGCCAGAAACGUGAAGAGCCGAGCCUUCCAAGAAGGAGACUUAGUCCUCUGAGUUGAUCAGCAGAAACCACACAAGCUCGCCCCUACUUGGGAAGGCCCCUUCAUAGUCACCAGAGUCCUCCACAAUGGAGCAUACCACCUCUACAAUGUCGAUCGCCAGAUUGACGAGCCACGAGCCUGGAAUGCGGAGCUACUUCACCCCUUUUAUACUUGAAUUCUCACUCGGAUGAGAUGUAAUAAGAAAAACUCCUAUAGUUUAUUUAUCAAAGACAAGAGCGUUAUAAUUUUCCCAGUGAUUAUUAUUGUUUUUGUUUGCGUAAGAAAUCCCCAGUGGGUGGCUUAGUUGCGAAUCUGCUUCGCCUAAGUUUGUAAAAACAGUUUCCUACCGAGUGGCGAGCCAGCCUCCCACUCGGGGGCUUAGCUGCGAAUCCGUUUCGCCUAAGUUUGAAAAAAUCCUACUGAGCGGAGAGCAAUCCUCCCACUCGGGGGCUUAGCUGCAGUCUAGUACUCGCCUAAGUUCUCCCACUUAGAGACUUAGCUGCAGUCCGGCACUCGCCUAAGUUUGAAAAAAUCCUACCGAGUGGAGAGCAAUCCUCCCACUCGGGGGCUUAGCUGCAGUCCGGCACUCGCCUAAGUUUGAAAAAAUCCUACCGAGUGGAGAGCAAUCCUCCCACUCAAGGGCUUAGCUNNNNNNNNNNNNNNNNNNNNNNNNNNNNNNNNNNNNNNNNNNNNNNNNNNNNNNNNNNNNNNNNNNNNNNNNNNNNNNNNNNNNNNNNNNNNNNNNNNNNNNNNNNNNNNNNNNNNNNNNNNNNNNNNNNNNNNNNNNNNNNNNNNNNNNNNNNNNNNNNNNNNNNNNNNNNNNNNNNNNNNNNNNNNNNNNNNNNNNNNNNNNNNNNNNNNNNNNNNNNNNNNNNNNNNNNNNNNNNNNNNNNNNNNNNNNNNNNNNNNNNNNNNNNNNNNNNNNNNNNNNNNNNNNNNNNNNNNNNNNNNNNNNNNNNNNGCCUAAGUUCUCUCACUUAGAGACUUAGCUACAGUCCGGCACUCGCCUAAGUUUGAAAAAAUCCUACCGAGUGGAGAGCAAUCCUCCCACUUGGAGGCUUAGCUGCAGUCUGGUACUCGCCUGAGUUCUCUCACUUAGAGACUUAGCUACAGUUCGGCACUCGUCUAAGUUUGAAAAAAUCCUACCGAGUGGAGAGCAAUCCUCCCACUCGGGGGCUUAGCUGCAGUCCAGUACUCGCCUAAGUUCUCUCACUUAGAGACUUAGCUGCAGUCCGGCACUCGCCUAAGNNNNNNNNNNNNNNNNNNNNNNNNNNNNNNNNNNNNNNNNNNNNNNNNNNNNNNNNNNNNNNNNNNNNNNNNNNNNNNNNNNNNNNNNNNNNNNNNNNNNNNNNNNNNNNNNNNNNNNNNNNNNNNNNNNNNNNNNNNNNNNNNNNNNNNNNNNNNNNNNNNNNNNNNNNNNNNNNNNNNNNNNNNNNNNGAAUGGAGAGCAAUCCUCCCACUCGGGGGCUUAGCUGCAGUCCAGUACUCGCCUAAGUUCUCUCACUUAGAGACUUAGCUGCAGUCCGGCAGUCGCCUAAGUUUGAAAAAAUCCUACCGAGUGGAGAGCAAUCCUCCCACUCGAGGGCUUAGCUGCAGUCCAGAACUCGCCUAAGUACGAAACAGAUCUCAUUCCUCAAGGACAGCAAGGGGAAGGUCGACUGCCACCUUCUCCUGGGGAGCUUCGCCACAAAUACAAUGCGCGAUUCAUCCCGCUCUACAGUAGCGAAGCGCGGGUCGACUGCCACCUUCUCCUGGGGAGCUUCACCACAAAUACAAUGCGCGAUUCAUCCCGCUCUACAGUAACAAAGUGCGGGUCGACUGCCACCUUCUCCUGGAGAGCUUCGCCACAAAUACAAGACAUGGGUCGACUGCUUCCCUCUCCUUCGGAGCUGCGCUGCGAAUGCAAAAGUUGUCUCGAAUGAAGAAUGGGUUCACUCAGAAGGAGAUUCAUAAAGAUAUUCAACGGUAAACCAAGUUCAGCUAAAUUCUAAAGCUUCCGGAUCACAGAUCGAAGUACUCAGGCAUGCAGCCCAAAAAAGUUUAACGGUUACAAAAACCACUCGGCAUUCCGAGGCAAAUUUAAGGUGGGACAUAAGAGUUUGUUCACUCCGUGGGAGGAGGGCUGGCAGGCUCGACGAACUCAUCCAGGUCGACGCCAUCGGCUAUCCAAGUGGCUGCAGCGAUGAAAGUCUCCAUAAAUGUUUGAAAGUCAUGCUUCUGGGUGUUGGCAACCUUGAUUGCUGCCAGUUUGUCCUGUCGCACCUCCUUGCAGUGGACACGAACCAAAGACAGAGCCACGUCAGCACCACACCGAGCAGCAGACUUCCUCCACUCCUGCACUCGGUCGGGGAUUUCAUUAGUCGAGUCAUCAGGGACUCAAUAUCAUUUUGGAGCACAGCCUCUGGCCAAAGUGCCGGGUCAAUCCACGACAUGGUGACCUUCAGUCGAGCCAAGUAGUCCACGGCACUGUCGAUGUGAGAUUCCAGACGGAGCAGAUUCUUGGCAGUUUCAUCUUUCACGGGAGAGUUGAUUGGAUCCAAACCUGGUUCAAUCCACCCAGUCUCCUCUUCAAAGUUCUGGCAAAACUCUGCAUUCACGAUCCAAGGAUAAGUCAAUUUUCGUACACUGAGUCGACACAAAAAAAAUCAGUCGGAACAGAAUGUGCAACUUCAAGCUUGAUGAACAACAUCUUGGCAAGACUUCUCAGAUAGCUCUCUAGAUCAUCCCUCCUGCGAGCAAUGCCUUCCAUUUUCUUGCCCUGGACGAGAUUCGCCUUCUUCCAGCGUGAGCACUCCUUGUUGGAGUCAUUCAAAGUGGUCUUCAGCCUGGUAUUCUCUUCUUCCAACUGGCCGACCAAAGCUAGCUUCUGUUCUGCCAGAGCGGUCUUGUCGUGAGCCUCCUUACAAGCAGCGACCAAAUCCUGAUCCUUCUUCGCCAGAGCUUCUCUCAGUUUUUCUGCAAAGAAAUGACGAUUGAUUCAGAAAUAGCAGAAGGGUACUCAAGCCUAAAACUGACCAGUCGACAAACUCGUCUUACCUACGGCGCCGUCUCUGACCUUUUGCAGCUCUGUCCUGGCCAGCUCCAAGUCAAGGUUCAGUUGAAUCUGCUGCUUCUCCAGGUCAGCAAAGCGAGCUCCAAGAUCACAAGAUUUUUGAAAUCAAAGGGGAGAAGUUAUUUUUACAGCAAAAACAACAAAGGCAAUAAAUACUACGCCGAAGUCGAGUCCAAAAAAGGGGCAGAAAGAGAGAAAAUAGAACUCAGACUACAGUCGACUGCCAGCAGUCCACCGUAGUCUCGGGGACUACACCCAGUGGGUGCACUUAGCGUGCCCCCACCGGUUCUGAUCCCACUCGACCAGACCGAGUGGAAGAGACAAACUACCAGUUUGGUUUAUACAUUCGGCAAAAUACAAAGACUACAAUCGACUGCCAGCAGUCCACCGUAGUCUCGGGGACUACACCCAGUGGGUGCACUCAGCGUGCCCCCACUAGUCCAAAAAUUCAAUCGACGCACACAGUGGGUGUACAGAUGCAAAGGUUUUCAGAAAGAAUCUUCAGGUAGCAUAUCCUAACAGAACAAGCGGCAACCAACUAACCUGAACAUUGCUCUGGACAGCCGAGCUAGCAUCAUAGGUGGCUUGGCUGGCGUCUCGCACCGUCUUCAUCUUCUCCAUCAUAAUGCCCGCCUGGCGUAUGGCUUCCCUAGCAGCAUUCACCUCGUCCUCUGGGACAUGAUGGGUCGCAAAAAGUGAAGGCGGGUCAACAGGGGCUCGAGCAGUCGACGAAGAAGGCAAGGCACUCGACAGUGGCUCGGGUAAGGUAACAGAACCCCGAUUGACGUCGCCAGUGUCCUGAACGACUGGAUCCGCCCUCGGCGUCGACUGUAGUGCCUCACUUACAGGAGCUCGCCUAUUCUUCCUCGUCAAAGGCCUCUCGGACUCUUCAUCAUCAUCAGGGAGGUCAAUAAUGUUGGGAGCUGUGCAAAGUUCAAUUGCCAAAAUCACGUCACCCAAUGAUGCACAUUGUAGUUGAAUUGACCGAGUAAAGAUAGUAUGGCAGAAAUCAUACCCGGAUUAGAAGUGACCGCAUCCUCCAUCACCUCAUCAUCAUCCCUGUAAGCUAAGGUCCCGGAAGUGGUAGCGCUGGCAAUUCCAAAGUUCGUCCAGUCAAAACAAGAAACACAAACAGCGCGGAGCAUCGAGUGAAUACAAAGAGAGACACUCACGCGGAGGCGACGGGGAUAUCAAUCUUGAUCUUCGGCAACGCCUUCCGAGUCCUCGGCUCUGCAACUUUGGGGUGCUUUGGUGCCUUCUCAGUCGGGGUUGGUGAAGAGAUCCGAGGACGCUUCAAAGACUGACCAGCCUGAGUAGUUGCCUUGUCGCGGGCACUCUACCGUUCUUGGUCGAGCUUGGAUCGCCUCUCCCUGCGAGGGGGGACUCGACUUCUUCUCCAUCACUUGAGCCGUCGCUUCCUCCAUCCCUUUCACCAUCGGAAGUCCACUCGCCACUGUCGCCGCCACUCGCCUCGCCUUCCAGUGCUUCCUCUUGCUCCCCGUUGGGCAUUGAAUACAUUUCAAUAAUAGCCUGAAAGGAAGCAGGGAGAACAAAGUCAGUCGACGCAAUAUAGGUAGCUGUGCAAGUGAAUUCAGAUUACAAGCAAAAACUCAGAAUCAGACCUGCUCUGGUGCAUGAGAUUGGUUGAAUGGGGGAACUCUCCUAGCUCCCCUGGGAUUGUCCUUGUUCCCGGUAAUGCCCGACAGCCACUUCUCCAGUGUGUCGUCGUCGACCUCCUUCGGGUGAAUCCGAGUGGAGUCUUCAAGACCCGAAUACAUCCACAUCAGAUGGUCUUGAGCUUGAAGAGGCUGGAUGCGCCGCUGAAGGAAGACCUCCAAGAGAUCCAUACCAGUGACCCCGAGCUGGACCACUCGAUCGACCAACAGCUUCACGUGCGCCUUCUCCUCCGGGAGCACCUUCAAAGGGGAGGGUUUCUCCACUCGGUCCAUGGUAAAGGGAGGGAGGCCAGUCGAUUGCCCUGGCGUCGACUGGUCUUUACAAUAAAACCAGGUCGACUGCCAUCCGCGAACCGAGUCGGGAAGAAUCAUGGCCGGAAAGGAGAUUUUCCCUCUCGUCUGGAUGCCAAGACCCCCACACAUCUGGAUCACUUGGGUCCUCUCAUCACUCGGAUUAGCCUUUUUCACUGUCUGGGAGCGACAAGUGAAAAUAUGCUUGAAAAGAUCCCAGUGAGGCCGGCAACCCAGGAAAUUCUCACACAAAGAAAUGAAAGCGGCGAGAUAAACGACCGAGUUGGGGGUAAAAUGGUGGAGUUGUGCCCCAAAGAAGUUCAUAAACCCUCGAGAGAAAGGGUGAGGAGGCAAGGAAAAUCCACGGUCGACGUGGGUGGCAAGAAGAACACGCUCACCCUCCCGAGGUUGCGGCUCAGAUUCCUUCCCCGGAAGCCGCGCCGAGUCAUAGGGGAUCAGCCCCCCUUCGGCCAGGUCGUCGAGGUCUUCUUGGGUGAUCCUCGAGUGGAUCCAGUCGCCCUGGAUCCAGCCCCUCGGGAGGCCGGUCCGCGAGGAGGAUCCGCCCCGGCUGGUCACCUUCUUUGCCCGCUCCAGAGCUGCCAUCUUCUCCUUCCCCAUUGUCGCCGGCGAGACGCGUAUGGAGCGGUGAUGCUGGGGCGAGAGCGAGCGCAGCGGAGGGGCGUGAAGAGGAGAAGAGGAAAUGGGAAUGCACUGUUCGGGAGACCCCGGUCCAACGCCUUAUAUGAGGCCGCUUCCGAGUGGCUGACGGGUAGGCCCAGGUGGCUCUGUCAAAUCCCAUAACGAUCGCGCGCGCGGUACGUGGCGAAAAAGGCGGCGCGAGGAUCGAGGCAUCUCCGCUCUAUCCAUCCGAUUACUGCAGCCUCCCCCGUCCUGCGCGCUUCCCAAAAUUCAGAUCCCACGGAAUCUGCGGGCAGCAAACAAACUUGUCAGUCUAAAAGAUCUCCUCCGCACCGUCACUCGAAGCCUUACGAGUGAAGAAACUCACUCGACGAAGAAUUAAGAAUGGAUCAAGGCGACUGAAAAGGAAGUUGUUGUCAUCACUCAGGUCCAUUAAUCCGGAACAAGAUAUCCUCACGGCAUGAAAAACGAGUCGGAGAGGUUCUCAACUCCUUCCCCACUCAAACCUCGAUCCAUUCGGGGGCUAAUGAUGAAGCUAUGUACCUAGGGUAGGGUCAUGGACCUGUCCUAACUGCCCUACCCAAGGACAUCUCUAGAAGAAACCACCUUUCAAUCGACUUGGAGUUGUUCCACUCGACAGACUCGAAGAUGCUCGACCAAGAAGCAAUCGCUCGACCAAGAAGCAAUCACUCGACCAAGAUCCAACCACUCGACGGCCAGGAGACCUGAUGUCACUCUGCAUGCUAAUGGUCGGUCAUUAAGUAGCUUUUAUGGUCAUCAUAGCACUUUAUUACUAGCGUUACCAGUAACGCCCUGCCUUAAUGUACAUUGAACCCUUUGUAACGUGGACUGGCCGGGGUCCUGGCGCACUCUAUAUAAGCCACCCCCCUCCUCCAAGACAAGGGUUCGCACCUCUGUAACUCAUACUCACAUAAUCCAGUCGACCGCCUCCGGGCUCCGAGAAGUAGGGCUAUUACUUCCUCCAAGAAGGGCCUGAACUCGUAAACCUUGCGUGCUUACAACUUCUCCAUAGCUAAGAUCUUGUCUCUCCAUACUUACCCCCUCUAUACAACUGUCAGACUUAGAACCACGACAGCCUCCUCCCGCCAGUUGACUCGCUCCGAAGUCCAGAACAUUUUGGCCUUCCUUGAAGCUAGGCCAACGUCCAGGAGUAUGCCAACAACGGCGCAAGACGCCGCCAUCACCGUCGGUCAGUGGCCCGACGACACACAGAGCACGAUAGAGGAGCCGCUUCCCACCGCGAGACGCCCCCGCCACCGCAGCGUAAUCUAAAUUUGCCAUGAAAAACGUUCGAAUUGCCAUGCAUAAAAUCCGAACGUUUAUCAUUUCCAUUUAUUUUAUAUCGAUCAUCGUAUAAUUAAAAGUUGGAGUCGGACUGAACGAAAUGUAUGGUUUGAUCAAUUGAAUGUUCUUCUAGAGCCGUAUCAAAUUAAAUAUAAAACGCCAUCAAGCCACAUGUAUUCCUUGUCAUCCAAUGACCUAGACUGCUUCAAUGUCAAGCGCUCAACAUGUUUAGCGUGUAGUUAAUUUCAUGCCAAAAAUAGGUAUAAUCACAUGACAACACACAAAUAAUAUCCUAGUAGUUAAUAUCCGCAUGCACUUAAUAUACUUCCAAAUUGACGUGCAUUGCACUUACACACUGACUAGUGCUGCUAGUACGUGAAACUGGUGCCAUGACUUGUGAACGCGUCCAGAUAUGGUUAACGGCAACAUCGCCCGCGUGUUCUUCCUGUUUGCCCGUGCGUCUAAACGCAUAAGGGGAGGAGAGAGAGAGAGCACACAUGGAACCCACCAGUAAGUGAAGGCGAAUAGUACUAAAAAUAUAUUCCAUGUUAUCCAUUAAUUAGGCUGUGGUAAUAUAAAAACAUUAUGUGAACAAAGGGGGUACAACAAGCAUUGCUAUUCUAUGUAUGUUGCCUAUUGACGUGCGACUUGAAGGCCCGGUCGCAUGUUCGAUCCUCGUCCUUUAUUUUUUUAAUUUGUAUAUGGGUCCAAAUUUGUUUGAUGACAUGUGGGCCCCUCGGUGUGUAGUUUGUAGCACUUUAAUUUGUGGGUCGAAAUUUGUUCCAUUCCAAGUGGACUAUCGGUGUGUAGUUUUGUAGCUUAUUUAUAAUAAUUAAAUAGAACAACAUAGUUUUUUCAAUAAUACCAUGGUGCGACGUUGAAGGCGAGAAAGGAUGUGCGAGAGAGUGAUGACCGAGCCAGAGGGAAAUCAACUAGGGGAGUUGCGUGGGUUGCAACGAUGUUUGGAGUAGUUGUGGGUCGAAUGCUAUGAAAAUAUAAUCUAAACCGACCGGAACAAAUGCCUACACAAAUUAAUCCAAGGUUAGAGUGCUCCUCGCAAUGUAAAUAGCUCCGGCUUUGCGAGGGAUGGAGAGGUAGUAGCUUCAACGUGUGGAAGAUACGGUGUGAGAAAGCGAGGUCAAUCGAGAGACAUAUAGAUAGAGAGACAAAGUGAGUGUAGUUGGACAUUCAUUGAACAAAUAUAUAUGCUCUGGAGAGAUAUUGUCCGAUUGAGCUUUUUUCGCAAGGGUGAGGGCUGUAAGAUAGAGCUUGAGAGAUGAUCCAGUCACAGACGUGUAGAUAUAUUUUGUGCAUGGGAGGAAGCAAGGUCAACCGAUCACAUAGGGUCGCCGUGCGAUCGAAAGAGUGAGACGGGUUGGAGAGAGUGACCUAGAUAGUAUACAAUGUGAAUAGGUCGAAUUGGGCUCAAACAUGGUGAUAUAUCGUUUUUGUCGGAGAAAGAGCGAGGUCAAUCGAGACAUACGGAGAGAGAGAGAGAUUGAGUGAGCGUGGCCCACCAUGAGGUCGAAAGAGUGGCGGCGGCUUGGAUAGACUGACCUAGAUAGACAAUCUGUGUGAGAGAGUAUAGAGUGUGUCGAUUGAGGACCGAACAGGGAGAUAUAUCAUUUGUGUGUGAAAUAAAAUGAGGUUAAACGAGACUCAGAUAAAGAGAGCGAGAUUGAGUGAGUGUGGCCCGCUGUGCGGAAGAAAGAGUGAGACAGUCUCGAGGGAGUGACCUAGAUAUACAACGUGCGUGCGUGCGCACGAGAGGUUGGGGGGCUAGAGAGGCAAUGCAUGUAUUUAGCGCAAGAGGGUGAGAGGGAGAGGGGGGAGAGAGAGAGCUCGGCAUGCGGUGGAAUGGCGGGUGUGUGAGGUAAAUACAUUUGGUAAUAGAGUGGAAAAAGGGGUUGUGUAGUUGAGAGACUUAGAGAUCGAAACAUGGAGAGAAAGAAUGACCGUGUGUUGGAAACCGAUAGCUUCCUAAGNNNNNNNNNNNNNNNNNNNNNNNNNNNNNNNNNNNNNNNNNNNNNNNNNNNNNNNNNNNNNNNNNNNNNNNNNNNNNNNNNNNNNNNNNNNNNNNNNNNNNNNNNNNNNNNNNNNNNNNNNNNNNNNNNNNNNNNNNNNNNNNNNNNNNNNNNNNNNNNNNNNNNNNNNNNNNNNNNNNNNNNNNNNNNNNNNNNNNNNNNNNNUAUAGAUGUUUCAAUUCGGUGUACAUUGUAAGAUUUGAACCGAGGACCAGGCAUACGGGUAAUUAUUUCGAAUUCGUGCCAUACUAAGUUUCAAAAAGUUUACAUUGACUCAGUUUGUUGUGCUAUUUUGUAUGUCAUAUGUUUGAAUCCAUCCAAAAGUUUUCUCAGUACCAUGGUGUUCAUCAUAUACAUAUGAAUUUGUAUUAAAAAAGUAGCAUGGAUACAGUGAAAUGAGAAAUCCACGUUAGAAUUGGAGAUCGCUACAUGACACACACUCUAAUUCAAAUAACUAACUACGUGACACACACUCUAAUUCAAAUAACUAAUUAUGUGACACACACUCUAAUUCACGUUAGCAUGGGUACUGUUUUGAUUUUUUUCAAAUAACUCCUCAUCAAUUAAUUUAUAGUACUCCCUCUGUUCACUUUUACAAGACCUUGAAGACAUUUCAGACAAUGUGCAAAACAGCUCAUUUUAAGUUGUCUGAAACGACUUACAAAAGUGAACGGAUGGAGUAUCUCGUUUCGAAUGACUAAUUAUUGCAAGGAAAACACGGGCAUGGUACUACAUACAGAUUCAUUGGCAAAUGAAAGAAGAUUCAUUUGCAUUCUCAAAUGCAGGCGCACCAGGUAGACCAGGGUCGUGUCGGGGUGGACGCUGCUUCGGUGCCUUAAGGCACCGAAGCAUAGUCUUGUCAGGGUGGUCGCGUGUGUCGGACGGACGCGUAGCACCCAGCCACCCACCCCCUCCCCCCCAAAAAAGGACGACGACAAUAUAAGUUCACGCUUCCACGUUUCGGAUUGAAAUAUCUGGCGGCCCCAAUUCCAGCCCUGCAAAAUCUCUCUUCUCCACCGUCCCCUUCCGCACCCAGAUUGCUCAAAUCCCUAAUUCGCCGCCCAACCUCGAAUCGCCCCUCCUCUCAUCUCUUUCCCCACCGUUCCCCACCUCUAUGCCAGAUGAAGAAGACGAAGACGAUGGUCGCGCUUCACCACCGCACCGGAGCUACCUCAUCUAUGCCCUCGUCCACCGCACCGGGUGGUCCACCGACAACGUCGGCCGCCGCAACCGACUUGCCUCACAGACACCGAGUUCCACAGCAUCAGGUGCGCUUCACCGACGCCAUCUCCCAGCUCACCGAGGCUACUUCACCGAGCACAUCGUCGCAUCUCCGCCCCCCGAGGCCGUUGGGGCUUCACCAACGGUCUCGUCCACCGCAUCAUAGCGCUCUGCUGCCACUCAAGAUCUGCAUCCGUGCGCGGCCAGCCAACGCCAGCGCAUCACCCUUAACGGCUCUGAAGUGACCCGCACUCUAGCUACGCGAGCAUGCCCAAACGCCGGCCCGAACUAGGUAUCCACACAUCAGUCCCUUGUGCACUGUUCCGACGAUGUUUGGAUAUCAUUUCACUGCUCUAUUAGCUUACACGCCGAUGCAACUCUGACUUUAACUCUUAUUUCUUCUGGAGAUAUCAUCUGAAACAAGCAACUCCAUUUUUUAGCAAAGCAUGACGGCGCUAUGGGAUCUGGUACACAUCCUGCACACCCGUAUAACCUUGUAAGUAUCUGUCCCCCAGUACAACAUCAAUGUCGAUUCCUCUUAUUUGAUCAACCAUUCGCCGUGUCAAAAAUGCAGAGGUGGAUGCAAGGAGCACAAGGCCUGCACAUCCAAGCAAGUGGUAACAUGGACUUGUACAUGGAACAUCCCAAGCGCAAGCGGAGCUGCAGUGAGCCUGUACAACGAGCUAGCGUAAGUCCCUGCAUUUCAUUUAAUUUGUACUGGCAUUCGUGUAUGAUUUUUGUGUAGUGGCUGAUCCACGAAUUCAAGUUACCAGUGGCGAACAUUUAACUUAAAAAUACGAAGGCACUUGCACUCCGGAAAUCAACAUAACUUGAGAAAUGUGAAGCUACAUGCACUUAACCAGCUAAUGAUCCAAAGUAGUUCAGAUUAUAAACACUAAAUGAUGCAAGCACCAAAAAACACAAAAUGCAACAUGGUGUACAAGGACUGCAAACAUGGUCUGUACCUGCUUGAAUUAUUUGUUCUCUGGCUGAAAAUAUCGAAGUGUAAUUGCACGUAUGACCAGUGCGCAAACUGCAUAUCAAUAUAUCUAUCCCGCACAAGUAUGCCAAUAGUUUCAAACAACAGAUUCGAAAAGUAUUUAUGCUAUGUUGUCAUGAUACAGGGACUUUCUGGUAGAUGGACUCGACAUUUCCUCAAGCUAUGAAAAUGCACUAUAAUUUGUUUGUCAUCAAUGCCUGCAAAUCUCUGUCUCUCUCAACAUAGUAGAUCAUCAUUAGACACUAAAUCCUUCAAUGAGCUUGCAAAAUGCUUGCAUUAGAUUCCUCAUUAGACACUAUAUGUUCAUCACCAGGAGCAUGUAAAAUGUUUGCAUCAAAUCCUUCAUUAGAAAUCUGUUCAUUAGACACUUCAAGCUCAAGAACAACAUGAGCUUGUAUGUUUGCACUGGAAACUUGAUUAGAUACAUCAUAUUCAGUCACUUCAGUAUUGAUUGGGGGAGUUAUGAAAUAAGUAGAAAUUGGUUUCAUUUUCUAAUAGAUUCCCUAUAUACAAGCAGUUUUACAACAACGUCAGGUUUAACUAUUGGCCAGAAAUUGAAGAGUUGAAUUAGAUAUAAUCAGGGAUGUGAUGUACCUGCUCGUUGCGCAUGCUACUCUUGCAAGCUGCGAUUGUCCAUUUGCGCAAGCUCGAUGCCAUGCCCGUGCUGCCACCGCUGCCUCCCACGCAGGCUACACCCAGGGUUGGAUCUUCAUCUUCUUGUCCUUCUGUUCGCUUGAAGCCCGGUGACCGCCCUCCAAUGAGGACGCGAGGAAGUUCUGUGUCGGUCUGUCCAGCGGCGGCUAGGUUAGGAGCGAAUCAGACUGGAGGCUAGAGCGAAUGAAUUGGGAUUUUUCCUGCCAUCGAUUGAUAUGUGAGGCGCUUGUUUGGGCCGUGAGCCUGCUAUAGGGCCUGCCUUGCACUUAUGUUAUUGGCCCAUCCAAAUUGAAACAUGCUUCUUCAUUUUUUACAUUGCCUGCUCGUGCAUUGGGACGAAUAAAACUAGCGUGGGCCAACCUGGACGACUCAAAAUAGGUGCACACUUUCCAGCCACCUGAGGCGGUCGCCCAUACCAGCCCCUAUGGUGGCGUCACCCCUUUUUGCGUGUAUGAUUGGAUAGUGAAAAAUAUUCCAGUGGCGCUUUUGAUUUACCCACAGAAUGGUUGAAUUGCUUGUUUCUAAGAACUGAGUUCGCCAAUAAUGUGAAGGAUGCCAGUCUUUUCAUCCUAUUGUAGAUUGCUUAGAUCUCGAUAUGCCAAAAGUAAUCGCAUGAAAUAUAUAGUAAUAGCCAGUGUGAUGUGUUUGGCUACAACUAGUCUAACUACAUGUCCUCAUAUAACAUAUCAAGGACGCACCAUCUUACCAGAUUAACCAUUCGACUUACCCAUGCAGUGUGGGUAUUAGGACUGCGUAUGCAAGCAAUUGAUGCCAUGGACUCCUUCGUACAACCUUGUAAGCAAAAAAGAAGUUGCAGUGUGCCUGUACAAAGAACUAGCGUAAGUUCAGUUACCCGCUUCUAGGAAUUUUAGUUAGCCACUUAUUGCAAAGUUGUUCAAUUACGUUGCUUGGCUUAAUUUAGUUUCCUACUGAUUACAUAAUGGCACAGCCUGUUAAUCAUAUUGUAGACUGCGCCUAUCUAUGUGUUUGAUACUUACUGUUAAGAAUUACCUGUUUGCCUUAACUUAAAUAUCUACUUGUUUGUUUAACUGCUUUGCUGCUGCAACAACGGGUUACAAUGAUGUUAAUAACUACUUUUCAGCAUCCAGUUGAAACUCUUUAAUUCCUUGUUUGUUUAAUUGGUUUGCUAUUAUAACUCCCAAUUGAGAUGUUUUGCUAACUUCAACUUUUCUGAAUCCAAUCGGAACUUUAAUGGCAAAACAGGUUAGCCCAAGAUCAAAGGGCGAGGUCCCCAUGGACGUUGCAUCAUCCCACAGCAGUGGCACCGGCCCAAUCGUGCAUUAUGAAUUGCCAACUGCUGAUGCUCUAGAGGCUAAACUAGUGGUAGAAAGAGAUUCUGCUUCUGCACUUAGAGAUGAAGUUGACAUGUUGAGGAAGCAAACAGCACAAUCACAAGCAGUACUCAAGACAACCAUUAAAUAUUUGGUGGAUUUCAAAAUGAAGCAAGCUGAGACUGACCAGAUUGUUAAGGCCCUGAAGGAAAAAAGGAAAUUAAAUUCCUACUUGGUAAAUCAUAGGUGAAAUGUUCUUUCCAUAGUUGAAUAACCUUUGUGUUGUCCGUUCAUGUAAUCAAUCAAACCAUUUGUUUUAGAGAUCAUGUAAUAAUUGUUUUUUUGGUUUGUAAUUUUAUUUGAGCACAAGUCUGUAUUAAUUGAUAAGACUCGGAGACAUUUCAUUUGGAUUGCUAUGCCAGACCAACAAAUAUGCCAAUUGGGCUGAAUGUGCAUUCAGCAAUAGUAGUAGUAUAGAUGGACCAUAAGUGGCACACAUCGGAAAGGGCCAAGAUGUUGGCUAAAAAAAGGAUGCUGUUGUAGCCAAAAAAAAGUAUAGCGGUCUGGCUUAUGUAUGUUAGUUGAUAUUAUUGAUCCAUAUACUCUAUAAGUGUUUAUAUGUCUAUUAGUUCUGUACAUUCUUGGUUGAUUGACUCGGAAUUUGAAUCUUGAUACAUCGCUUGUGUACAUAUCUAAAUGGGAGUACACAUUAUGCCGCGUGUGACAUUUGAGUUGGACAUGAAGUGUUCCAAAUAUUCGAAUUCACCUUAAACUGGAUUCUAGUUUCUGAAUUUGAGUAUCGGCAUUUGUAAACCAUAUUCAUAUAUGACAGUGGAAUACAUCUUUGUCGUCCUUUUGAAGAUAUAUAAAAACACAUAGAAUGAUUUAUAAAGAUUCAUAUAGGAAUACAAAAUGGAUUCGAAUUUAGUUGCCAGUGUAAACGUGGAUGCUUAUUGUCCCAAAAUUCGAAAGAAGCAGCAAAAUGUCCACUCCCAGGUCGGCUGCCCGAAGCCAAGUGUUUGGGAGAUGGAAAUUACUAUCUACCCAUUACACAGACAAUCCAUCGGCCCACUUUCCACUGCUCUAAAUAUGGGUAGGUUAGUAACUUCAAUUAGACGUGACACAACCGCCUCUGAGCCCAUUCAGACACGAUGGGUGUCAAACAUGGGCGGCAAAACUCAUUUGAUUCAAGCUCUUCCGAAAGACCUCUGUUUCUCCCUCCAUUACCCAUUCAUACACGGCGGGUGGCAAAACAAACUCGACUCGGCCGAAAUCGAUGUAGGCAAAUAUUUUCAAUAGGGGCAGGUUUGUAACUUCACCCAGACGUGACACAACCGCCCUACCUAUCAGCCCCGUUCAUACACCAUGGGCGCCAACCAUGGGCGCCAACCACCCUCUCCUCGCCCGAAAUCGCUCUGGGCAAAUAUUGGCGAGAUGCGAGAUUACCGUCCUAUCCCCAACCGACGAGAUGUCCAAAUUUUAAACGGGGGCUAAGUUCGUAACUUUCCCAUAUUUCAGACAGGCGUGUCCCAAAAACAUGGUUCCCCGUACCUCUCCCUCCAUUUUCCCAUUCAUACACCGUCCGCGCUAGAACACCCCAUCCCCACACCAGCCUCCGUCUGCCACCCCAUCCAUCGCCGCCGUCCUCCACCACAUCCAUCGCCACCGUCCUCCACCAUGUCGGAGCGCCUGCCAAGACCGUGUCGUCCACUGCUAGAGAUGGAUGUUUCUCUUCCACGACGACGGACCAAUAGCCUUGCAUCGCGUCCUCUCGCUUCAUCAGCGCCGUCGUCCUCUUUGCCGGGGCCGCUCACACGACCUUCUCUUCCACCGCAAUGGGACUUAUCCCCUGAUGCACCUGUCUACCAUCGCAGAUCUGCUUCAACGCCACCGACAACCAUCGCACCCCUGAUGCCUACACGGUGCCGCAAGAGAGGUGGUACUUCAUAUCUCCUCAACUUUUUGAUCUCAACCAGAAAAUAGAUCUUAACUUGGUUACUCUACUUUCUUUUCAGCUCUUAGAAUUUAGUUAUUAGUUUGAAGCAAACAAUGGAUGCUAAAUAUUAUUUCUACGGUUUGCAGCUUCAAAUCUGCCAUGGCACAGCCAUAAUACGAUUUAAUUGAUCAUGCUUAGGGUUUAAUUGAUCAUGUUGGUUCCGUGGUGGUUUCUUUAAUAGAAAUUGGAGGGGAAACCCUCUUUUGCUAAAAAAAAUAUGCUUAGAGUUUCCCCCUUUUAUGAUCACUAUACAAUCAGAAUACGUGCUUCGUAUCAUAAUAACACUGCUCCACCCAUCAAGCUAAACAAGCUUAGUUGUUCAAAUACGAAUCUGAUAUUAUUAAAACAGAGUUGUUUAAUUGGUUAGCUAAAUGUUCCUAAAUUAGUUUCAAAAAUGCAUGUUCGCAGCUUGGGUGUGUAUCUCUAUAGGGUGCCCACGGUGGGUCGGCCCACCCUGGGAUUUUGGGUCAUCCCAGGCCCCGAUUCCCCUCUGUUCUGCUGCGUGCUUCCGAUCUCUACUCGCCCCCAGCCGCCUGCCUCGCCGGCGACUUGCCGUCCCCGGACGGCAUGACUCUAGGAGGAGACGCUGGACUAACAGGAGGCCAGGAGCCGCUCGCCCAACAGCGUCACCGCUGCCCAGGCGCGCCGCCGUGCCUACAUUCCCAGUCCGUAUAGGGCUCAGGCGUGCAGCACCCACCAAGCCAACCCAAUUUAUCCUGAGAUACGUCCUCAACACUCAGCAACCACUCCUCAUCACCCAUUUUCUAAUUGAUUCAUUACUCAUUAGGCAGGACUGUCAUUAGGGUUUGUUGUGUGCUCAGUGCUACCUACACUUAAUGGUUCAGAUGUAUUUCGGUAAUCUUUAGUACCUCUAAAGUUCACAGGGUUUUCAAAAUUCUGGCCCUCGGAAUAGAUAAUCUGACUACUUUUUAUGUUUUCAUGAAUCUCAGAUACUGAACAGCAUCAUAAUGAUUAUGAGCUUGCGCGCAUGAAAGGAAUAAAGCAGAAUAAUGCCAUGGCUGUCAAACUUGGCAUUAAGGGACUGAAAUCAAGUCUGGAUGCAAUGCAAUGCAAACGCUCUCCACCUACAGAUUCAUGCUCAGAAUAUGAUCCUAACAGUGAUUCUGAGCUAGAGGGAGACCUAAGUCAAUGUAGCUCCCUAGUGGAGGAGUCAGAGGAAGAUGCCCUAUCUUAUUCACCCAUCAAGGUACUUGCUCUAACUUUCCAAGGUUACAUUGCUCGCACAUAUCUUGCAACUGAUGAUUUGCAUUGCUUGUACUUUGUUGAACUGCCAUUAGCUUAGUUUACACAUCGUGUAUGUCAAUACGCCCUGCCUAUCCAUUUUCAGUACAUAUUCCAUCUGUCAUCACACCAUAUGUAUCCAUUCAAAUGAUGUUCUUGUGUAUCAGACGUUUAAAAGGAAGAGGGCGAUUGCUGAUCGUGGAGGAGCACAAGCAAAGUAUUUGGAAAAGGUAGUGGCACCUGAUACAUCAAAUAGCCCAUUAGGUGUAGUUGCAAUAUCACCUGACCCACAAAAUACCCCAACUCUAGCAGACUCUAGCCCUACUACAUUGGUCAUUUCUGAUGCCCCAACUCAGCAGAACCCAACUGCAGCAAACAGUAUGAUUAUGCCAGUUGACAUAGCACCAGCUGUACGACGCAAAACCCCAAUUCCAGCAAAGAGUACACCAAAUCCAGUUGCCAAAUCCCUUUUCGAACCAGAGAGAGCCCCAAUUGCAGCAAAUAGGACCCCUGUUCCAUUUCUUCCCAGUUUAGAAGAUGAAGCUUAUGUUGUUGUCAUGAACUUUGUGCGCAUCUUUCCUUCAUGGAAAUAUUAUACCGCAGACACAAAACAAUUUCCAGUCUUCCUCCGCAACUUAUGCGUAAGUAAUGUACUAAUGUUAUUCAUGGUCAUUACUGCAUAUGUUUCUGCUGACAGAAGACACAAGAUUUCAUUAUUUUAAAUAGGCGAGGAGAAAACUGGAUUGCGAUGACGAGCAAGGGUUGGUUGCGCUUUUCAAGCACUCGUUGAUGAAGUAUCGUUCCUACCUGAGGCAAGCGCACUUCAAUGGCAAGCCUCUGAACGAAAUUUCUGUAAAAUCUCCGGUGCUACAUUUAUCCGACGGUGACUGGAAUAAUCUUGUUACACAUUGGUCUCGGCUGCAGCAUAAGGUACUAUCUAUGAUAUCACAUCACAGUUUGAACUACAUUUCUGCAUUUGCCUUAAUGUCUCACUUGUGAAAACUGUUAGCAGAAGAACAUUCGUUCUCAAGGGACCACAGAAUCUCGCAACUAUACUGCACACUGCAUUGCUCUUGUGAGUACCUCUUGCCAUGUAUGACCAUACUUACUUUCAUAGCUGUUUGAUUAUGUAGCAUCACUGCGCAUGUUAGCCUCGUAAUCGUCCAUUUGGUGGACAUUAUAAGAUCUGUAUGGACUCUUACAUAAAUUUAGAAUCAACCCAAUGCUUUUGAAGAGGUUUAGCUCUGCAGUCCUCUUGUAAGGACUAAACGUGGUCUAUCACUUUUCUUACAUUAACAGCUACUCCCUCCGUCCCAUAAUAUAAGAACGUUUUGUAUAGUACACCAGUGUUCAAAACACUCUUGUAUUAUGGGAAGAGGGAUUGGUUCAUUUUGUAGCAUUCUGCAUCUUAUCUCCCUCACCCACCAUUUACUAAAAAAGAUCAGAUCUAUCUUUAAUCUUACCAACAAGUAGAAUACAUAGACAAUGUCAGUGCAGAAGUGUAGCCCAUUGCUCUUGUCAGUACAUUUUGUCCUGUAACGCUUGUACUUCCAGGGAUUGGUAGUUGAUUAUGUAGCAUCAAUCUGCAUCUUAUCUUCAUUAUCCUAUAUCCCUUCCAGUAUUAUCAUAUCUAUAAUUACUCUCUACAAAAUGUAGAGUACAGACAAUGCUUAUGAAGAAGAUUCUGUGCUGAAAUUCUUGAGUUAUCCUUCCCUUGACAUGGAGAAGGGCAUUAUAAAGCCGGUGUUAACUGUUAAUGUAAGUCAGUCCUUCUAAAGCCUUUAUCCUCAACUGCUGUUUAAUUUGCUCAUACUCCCUAUCGUUUACUGCUGUUUAGUUUGCUGUUUCUACCAAAAUGCAUGUUCGUAAGAACCGUAAGUUCUAAGUUUUACUUGUAAAACCAAAUUCCUUAUUCAUAUCAUGCACAUUACGUAAUACUCCCUAUAUGUAUGCUUGUUUUUGUGGAUCUAUAAUCCAGUGUGUGGUGAAGUAGCCCACGUUUGCACCUUGUCAUCUCCUGUUUUAUCUUACUGAUGUGGCUGAUGAUAUGAACAACAUGCCAUGCACAUUAUCCAAAAUAGAUACAAUGAUUUUCUUUGCCCUUCAUCCAUGCUUGUUAUGUUGACAUGGUAAUCCAGUAGUGUGGUGAAGCUCCCCGCAUUAUGAACAAUGCCAAAUUAUGCAAUUAAUAUUUUGAACUUCUCUUUAUUUUCUAAUUUGAAAUUGGAUAGAAUUGACAGAACAGUUAUCAUCUUUGUUUAUACACGUGUAAAACAUGUCAUCUCUCUGCUUUGUUUCAGGGUGAUAUGCCUGAUGGCAUGCACAAAUCUGCUGAAGGCUGUGAGACAAACCCAACACAUAUUGCAGCAAAGAAGGCAAAACAUCUUGAAGAUAGCGAGACAACCCCAAAGUCUUGUCUUGAUGCAGUGUUCAAGUUACUUGAGACUAACAGUCAGACAAGCUCACAGAAUUCGUUGUCUGAAUCAAUUCGACUUCUUAAGUCCCAAGUUCUAGCAGAAAGGCAUUCUACAACUCAACUUCGACUUGAAGUUCUAUGUCUAAGAAAGAUUGUGGAGAACACUAAUUAGAACCUCAUCGCUAAACAGCUACACCUGGAAGCUAUGACUGACAUGCUAGGCCGGUCUCACAGCCUUGCUCAGCAGCUUGCGCAGCAGUUCCCCCGCAAGGCUAACCUUUCUUGAACUGUCUUGGAGGUGGUCUCGGUUCAGUAUUAUUUUGUUACGCUAUAAUGGUGCCCAGUUUUUGUAAUCUGCUUCUUUGUUGCGCUUUAUGAUCACUGGUGGCAAACUUCGAUGCCCAGUGUAUGUAAUAUACCUUAAAUCCUUUAUUGUAUAGUGUAGGUUUAUUCUUAGUUAUUAUGCCGUAAUUUCUUUAUUGUAUAGAGUAGGUUUGUUCUUAAUUCCUACUAGUUACUGCCAUCAUUCGCUAUCUGAAAAAAAAUCAGAUGUAGUCGACCGUACCGAAACAUUCGCCUCUAACGGGCCAGGUUUUUAGUGGGCCUGAAACGUGCCGAACAGCUCACGGGCCGGCAGCAGCCCGAAAUAAACCUCGACCCAUGAUUGUGCGAAUCAAAUCACGGGCUUUUAAUAGGCCAAAAUUGUCUCGGUCCUUGUUUGGCCCAAUCAGAUAUCGGCUAUGAGUAGGCCGGAUGCAAAUCGGGCCGUAGUUAGGCCCAACUAUAUGACGGGCUUUUAACAGGCCGAAAUUAAUAUAGGGCCGAAAUGUUAAACGGGCCCUUAACAGGCCAAAACUAAUAUCAGGCCGAAUUACUAAGUGGGCCUUUAGCAAGUGGGCCUAAAAGCAUAGUGUCCAGUUGACGGGCCGAAUCUGAUAUGUGCCAUAAUUGAGCCCAAAGCCUCUUAAAGGGCCGGACCUAAUCUGAGCCAUUAUUUGGCCCAGAACGUGGUAGGCUUUUAACGGGCCGGAUCUCAUAUGGGCCACUAUUAGGCCCGGAGCUCGGCAGGCCAUUAAUGGACCAGAUCAAAUAUGGGCCGGCAUUUGGCCCAAAACAUGGCAGCCAAUUAAUGGGCCGGCCUACUAGGGUCCUCAAAAUCUUGUGGGCCUAUAGCUGGGCCGGCCCAUUAAUGUCGACGAAAUCUCGUGGGCCUUUAGCUAGGCCGGCUCAUUGUGAUCCUCAAGAAUCUUGUGGGCCUUUACCUGGGCCGGCCCAUUAUGGCACACAAAAAUCUUGUGGGCCUUUACCUGGGCCGGCCCAUUAUGGCCCGCAAAAUCUUGUGAGCCUUUAGCUGGGCCAGCCCAUCAUGGUCUGCAAAAUCUCGUGGGCCUUUAGCUGGGCCGGUCCAUUAUGGUCCGCAAAAUCUUGUGGGCCUUCAGUUGGGCCGGCCCAUUUAAACUUGAUGGGGCGGUCCACGUGUCAACAUAUCAUAGGUGCGUCUCGCCCAUUGGAUGAGUGACACCUGUGCCAACGCGGGCCUGACACGUGUCUCCUCCAGCCAAUGAUGAUUUUACACGUGGAAAAUCCCUAUUGGUCGGGGCUGUUAACGGGUUAUCGGAUCCAAAACCCGACCCGAUAGCUUAACGGCGUUCUGUUACGGUGGAUGCCACGUGUCGGUCACCCUUGACGAAAGCACUUCUGGGACGCGCGAUUUAUCGUCAUGGAAGUGGACACUUCCGUGAUGAUAAUUUUGGUAAUGUCAUGGAACACUUCUACGACAGCACAGGUAUGACUAUCUUGAUUUUGUCAUAAAUUUGUCAUGGAUGUACAUGCAUGAAAAAAAACGCGACCUACUGUGACAAACACGUAUCAUCACGGAAGUGUAUUUUUUUGUAGUGGUGGCGGGUGGCUCGCAGUACACUACGAGUUGUGAGCCACCGUGUGGGUUGGCCGUUUUUUAGGCAGGCCGAUGCCACAUCAAAGUCGUGAAUUCGUUAUUUAAAACAUUACACAACCCUUUCAUACAUACAUGUUUUGGCCACAUGCAGUCGAUGGUUGUCCUACACGACACUCGAUACUCGCGUGUGACGCUUUCUGUGGGCCCGCGAGGUCAUCGUCCAUCACUUUGACAAACAGCCGGCAGUGAGGUUAAUUUGACUAGCAAGGUAUAAUCUUUUUUGUUUGUGUUAUGGUGGUAUAUAGUACGCAUCGAAGAUGUGGGAGGGGACUAGCAUAUAUACUAUAUGUACGCGUCCGUGAACAAGUACACCUCACUCAGUGUCAGGACUUUUUGGUUUUUGAGGCACGUGCCACAUCAAAAUUGUGAAAUUGACUAUUCAAACAUCACACAACACCUCAUUGGGCCACAUGCAUGCACACUGUGGUUAUCCUAGCUAGGACACUCACGUGUGACACUUCCAUCUAUGGGCCCAUGAGGCCAUCAUCUAUGCAUGCAUGCAUCACUUUGACCUACAUCAGGAGAGGUUAAUUAAUUUCACUAUCGAUGAGGAUUCUUUUGGGUUGUACAUAUUACGGUAGGAGCAUAUAGUAUGCGUCCAAGAGGAGGGAAGGGGACCAUCAUAUGUAGUAUGCUUCAUGAACCUCGCUCUGUGUGGGUGCAUGGUUUACGGUUUUGAGGCAUGUGGCACAUCAAAGUUGUGCAUUCUGGGUAUUCAACAUAUAUAUGUUGAAUAACCAAACGUCACAUUCUUGCAAUGGUGGCUUGACCAAAGGAGAAGAUUCAUAGGGAAGACCAAGAGAAGCGUGGAUUCAAUCGUGAUUCUCAUCGCGUGGGCACUCUGGAAGCAACGCAAUGCACGAGUCUUCAACAACAGGUCGUGACAGAGAUCCCCCUUGUAGCUUCGAGACGAAAUUCAAGAUGAGAUUGAGGAUUGGAAGAAGGCCGGUCUCGGCGGAGUCGGAGCUUUAGAUACUUUUAUGAGAGAGUAGUCUACGAUCUCAAGGGUGUAGGAGUGGCAUGUGUCCCCCCGACGACUUGUUUGCAUCUCGUUGGGCUCUUGUACAUAAACUUCUACCUUCUAUAAAAAUAUGGUAUGCCAUUGGCGUACUCUCGAAAAAAAACAUAUAUAUGUUUGGCCCACAUGCAAAGCGAUGGUGGUUGUCCUCUUGUACCCACUUAAGCGGUUAUCAGCGAUAUCGACGCUUUCCAUUUGUGGGCCCGCUUGGUCCACCACUACUUUUUUCCUGACAACGAGAGAGAGGUUAAUUUGACUUUGGAGGGGAUUUUUUGCUUGUAAUACGGUAUAUAUAUAUAUAGGUCAUGCUCUCGGAUGACAUGCAUGAUACAGUUUGAGCACACACACAUGCAUGUGUAUGCAUGAAUCCCUCCCAUCGAUUCGAAGUGGUUAGUACAAUGACACGUCAUGAACCGAUCUCGCUCUAUGUGGGGAGUGUAUGAUUUUUGAUACACGCGCCACAUCAAUGUUGUGAAAUGGUAUUCAAACAUGCAUGCACGCAUCACCUCCAUACAUAUGCAUGUAGUGGUUGCCUUCGAACGGUACACUCCCUCGCGUGGUUAUCGACGACAAGCCUAUGGACAUCCAUGAUCACCUUGACUGACAACAAGAUAGGUUACCAUGGCAGAUUCUUCAUUUGGUUCGUGUUAUCGUAGUAUAGGUCAUGGUGAGAUUCAGACCUAAUUAAGUUUGAGCGCAUCUACUAUGCACGCAUGCAUGCAUGAAUCCCCAUCGUUGGCUUGAAGUGUGGUGUAACAUACAUACGCAUCAUCAACGUAACCCUUAACAUGUCUCCAUCGUAUCUAUAAUUUUUGAUUGUUCCAUGCCAAUAUUCUACAACUUUUACAUACUUUUGGCAGCUUUUUAUACUAUUUUUGGGACUAACACAUGGAUCCAGUGCCCAGUGUCAGUUCCUAUUUCCUGCAUGUUUUUUGUUUCACAGAAAAUCCAUAUCAAACAGAGUCCAAACGGGAUAAAAACUUAUGAAGGUUUGUUUUGGAAUAUAUGUGAAUUUUGGGAGAGGAAUCACCGCGAGACGAUGCCCGAGGGGUCCACGAUGGUGAGGGGCGCGCCCCGGGGGGUAGGACGCGCCCUGGGCCCUCGCGGCCACUCCAUAAGGUAGUUAGAGCCCUUCUUUCGCCACAAGAUAGCCAAUAUCCGGAUAAAAACCAUGUCAAAAUUUCAGCCCAAUCGGAGUUACGGAUCUCCAAGAAUUUAUGAAAUGGUGAAAGGGCAGAAUCGGGGAGCGCAGAAACAGAAGGAAACACAGAGAGAGAGAAUCCAAUCUCGGAGGGGCUCUCGCCCCUACGCCGCCAUGGAGGCCAUGGACCAGAGGGGAAAGCCUUGUCCCAUCUAGGGGGAAGGUCAAGGAAGAAGAAGAAGAAGGGGGGCUCUGUCCCUCUCUGUCCCAGUGGCACCGGAACGCCACCGGGGGCAUCAUCGCGACAACGAUCUACACAAACAACUUCACUGCCCUCAUCACCAACUCUUCCCCCCUCUAUACAGCGGUGUAACCCCUCUUUUACCCACUGUAAUCUCUACUCAAACAUGGUUCUCAAUGCUAUAUAUUAUUUACCAAUGAUGUAUGGCUAUCCUAUGAUGUUUGAGUAGAUAUGUUUGGUCCUAUGGGUUAAUUGAUGAUCGUGAUUGGUUUGAGUUGCAUGUUUUAUUAUUGGUGUUGUCCUAUGGUGCUCUCCGUGUCGCGCAAGCAUGAGGGAUCCCCGCUGUAGGGUUUUCAAUAUGUUCAUGAUUUGCUUAUGGUGGGUGGCGUGAGUGACAGAAGCACAGACCCGAGUAAGUAGGUUGUUUGUGUAUGGGAGUAAAGAGGACUUGAUGCCUUAUAAUUCUAUGGUUGGGUUUUACCUUAAUGAUCUUUAGUAGUUUCGGAUGCUUGCUAGAGUUCCAAUCAUAUGUGCAUAUGAUCCAAGAAGAGAAAGUAUGUUAGCUUAUGCCUCUCCCUAAAAUAAAAUUGCAAUAAUGAUUACCGGUCUAGUUAUCGAUUGUCUAGGGACAAAUAACUUUCUCAUAACAAAAAGCUCUCUACUGAAACUAACUUAGUUGUGUCUUUAUCUAAACAACCCCUAGCUUUUAUUUACGUGUUCUUUAUUAUCUUGAAAACCUAUCCAACAACACCUACAAAGUACUUCUAGUUUCAUACUUGUUCUAGGUAAAGCGAAUGUUAAGUGUGCGUAGAGUUGUAUCAGUGAUCGAUAGAACUUGAGGGAAUAUUUGUUCUACCUUUAGCUCCUCAUUGGGUUAGAUACUCCUACUUAUCAAAGAUGCUACAAUUGAUCCCUAUACUUGUGGGUUAUCAAGACCUUUUUCUGGCGCCGUUGCCGGGGAGCAAUAGCGUGGGGUGAAUAUUCUCGUGUGUGCUUGUUUGCUUUAUCACUAUGUGGAUUUUAUUUGCUUUUCUAAGUUGUUCUCUAUCUCUAGUUAUGGAUAUGGAACACGAAAUACCAAGAAAAUUAGGUGUACUUGCUACUCAUGGUGAUGGGGAACCUCCUAAAACCCUCGAUGCUCAUUAUGUGAAACAUAUUAUGCACUACUUUAAUAAUCCUAAGAAAACCCUGUUCAAUUAUAUAAUGGGAGACACGUUGGAUCAACGUGAAUACUUUAGGGAUUAUCGCUUGACUCAAAAAGGGAAACUAUUAUGGGAUCAAAUUUAUAUGUUGCAUUGGUAUGCUCGGCAACUAUGCUUGAGAUAUGAUUAUACUUGUUGCUCUAGGAUGAAGGCUCCACACCUCCCCUUUUCAUGCAAAUUUAAUGAUAAUGAAACCUUAACUUCUUAUGCUAAUGGUAUAUAUGAUUACUAUGAUGUGGAAUGAAUAGAAGAAUUUGUUUCUUUUAAGGGUGCUUGUGAAAUUGAAUCUUUGUUUAAAGAGUUUGAAGAUUUUGAUGAUUCAGUUUAUAGACCUGAAAAUUUAGCUAUCCUUAAAUAUUGCUAUGAGAAUUAUAAAUACAAUUAUGAUAUUGAUGAAUUUAUUGAGAAAGUCUCCGCUGUCCGAGAAGAGACUAAUAUUUUGCACGAGUCUAUGGAAGAAGAAAUUGAUGAAACUAUGAGCUCAUUAGAUGAAAAAGAUGAUGAGGAGAGCGAAGAACAAAAGGAGGAAGAUCAGAUUAGCUACCCAUGCCCACCUUCUAAUGAGAGUAACUCUCCAACUCAUACAUUAUUUAAUGUUCUGUCGUUCUUACCGAAGGAUGAAUGCCGUGAUAAUUGCUAUGAUCCCAUUGAUUCAUUGGAAAUAUCCCUUUUUGAUGAACUUGAUGCUUGCUAUUCUUGUGGCCAAGAUGCCAAUAUGAAUUAUGCUUAUGGAGAUGAACUUGCUAUUGUUCCUUAUGUUAAACAUGAAAUUGUUUCUAUUGCACCCACACAUGAUAGUCAUAUUACCUUUUUGAAUUCUCCAAACUACAUUAUAUCAGAGAAGUUUGCACUUAUUAAGGAUUAUUUUGAUGGGUGGCCUUUUACCGGUGCACAUGAUAAUUUUGAUGAAUGUAAUAUGCAUGGGCUUGCUGCUCCUACUUUCAAUUAUUAUGGGAGAGGAACUACAUCUCCGCCUCUCUAUGUUUCCAACACGAUAAAAUUGCAAGAAACUUCUUAUGCUAUGCAUUGGCCUUUACUUGAUGUGCAUGAAUUGUUCUUGUAUGACAUGCCGAUGCAUAGGAAGAGAGUUAGACUUCAUAAUUGCUUGCUAUAUGUUGCUUUGUGCUCACUACUAAAUGUCAAAUCAUUGCUAAUUCAAAUUGGCUUUGAUAUACUUUGGGAUCCGGGUGGAUUCAUUACUUGAGCACCUUAUGCCUAGCUUAAUGGCUUUAAAGAAAGCGCUGCCAGGGAGACAACCCGGAAGUUUUAGAGAGUCAUUUAUUUCUGUUGAGUGCUUUUAUAGAGUUUAUAAAAAUAAAAAUAAAAAGGGGAACCCAAAACUUUUCAAAAAGGAAAGUGAAAGUGAGAGAGACAAGCAUUGUUGAAGUGAGGGAGCUCCUUGAACUUCGUUCAUGCUCACGAAAACUUUGUGAAUCUUGAUUACAGAAACUUUUCAACAAAAAUAAUUAUUCCCUUGUAUUAUAAAAAUAAUGUGCCAAGAUUUGCCUUUAGGAUGUUUACAUUGCUUGUUGGUUUGUGCGGUGCAAAACAGAAACUUUGGCUGUAGUGCGUGAUUUUACAUUUUUUUUACUGGAACGUAAAAUGGUUUCAAAACUUUUUGCAAUGUCUUUAUAUACAAGUUUUUUUAUUUUUAGUAAUUUUUUCAGAAUUCUUGGAGUACCAGAAGUAUGGUGAAUGUUCAUAUUACUACAGACUGUCCUGUUUAAGACAGAUUCUAUUUUUGAUGCAUUGUUUGCUUGUUUUGAUGAAACUAUCGAUUUCUAUCAGUGGAUUAAGCCAUGGAAAAGUUAUAUUACAGUAGCUUCAAUGCAAAAAAAUAUGAAUUAGUUUGCGACAGUACUUAGAGUAGUGAUUUGCUUUAUUAUACUAACGGAUCUUACUGAACUUUCUAUUGAGUUUUGUGUGGAUGAAGUGAUCAAGGAUCGAGGAGGUCUCGAUAUGAGGAGAAGGAGGAGAGGCAAGAGCUCAAGCUGGGGGAUGCCCCGGAAGGCAUCCCAUCUUUCUUCAACAAGUACCAGUAUGUUUUCGGUUCCGUCUCGUUCAUGUGAUAUGUGCAAAUCUUGGAGCGUCUUUUGCAUUCUGUUUUCACUUCUCUUUGAUGCACAAUGCUGGUAUGAGAUAGUCCAUGGUUGAUUUAUAGAAUGCUAAUUGCACUUCACUUAUAUCUUUUGAGUAUGGCUUUAUAGAAUGCUUCAUGUGCAUCACAUAUAUCAUUUGAAGUUUGGAUUACCUGUUUCCCUACACAUAGAAAACCACCAUUUGUAGAAUGCUCUUUUGCUUCACUUCUAUCUAUUAGAGUGUGGGCAUAUCUUUUGUAGAAAGAAUUAAACUCUCUUGCUUCACUUAUAUCUAUUUGGAGACAUGACAGGAACUGGUCAUUCACAUGGUUAGUCAUUAAAUCCUACAUAAAACUUGUAGAUCACUGAAUAUGAUAUGUUUGAUCCCUUGCAAUAGUUUUGCGAUAUAUAGAUGGUAAUAUUAGAGUCAUGCUAGUGGGUAGUUGUGGAUUGUAGAAAUACUUGUGUUGAAGUUUGUGAUUCCCGUAGCAUGCACGUCUGGUGAACCGUAAUGUAACGAAGUUGGAGCUUGAGGUAUUUAUUGAUUGUCUUCCUUAUGAGUGGCGGUCGGGGACGAGCGAUGGUCUUUUCCUACCAAUCUACCCCCCUAAGAGCAUGCACGUAGUACUUUGUUUUGAUGACUAAUAGAUUUUUUGCAAUAAGUAUGUGAGUUCUUUAUGACUAAUGUUGAGUCCAUGGAUUAUACGCACUCUCACCCUUCCAUCAUUGCUAGCCUCUUCGGUACCGUGCAUUGCCCUUUCUCACCUUGAGAGUCGGUGCAAAGUUUGCUGGUGCAUCCAAACCCCGUGGUAUGAUACGCUCUAUCACACAUAAGCAUCCUUAUAUCUUCCUCAAAACAGCCACGAUACCUACCUAUCAUGGCAUUUCCAUAGCCAUUCUGAGAUAUAUUGCCAUGCAACUUCCAUCAUCAUCAUAUACAUGACUUGAUCAUUUAUUGUCAUAUUGCUUUGCAUGAUCGUAAGACAGCUAGCAUGAUGUUUUCAUGGCUUGUCCAUUUUUUUAUUUCAUUGCCACGCUAGAUCAUUGCACAUCUCGGUACACCGUUGGAGGCAUUCAUAUAGAGUCAUAUCUUUGUUCUUGUAUCGAGUUGUAAGUAAAUAAAAGUGUGAUGAUCAUCAUUAUUAGAACAUUGUCCCAUGUGAGGUUAUCAAAAUAAAAGUGUCCAGAGAAGCCCCCAAAGAGAGAGAGGCCAAAGAAGCCUACAAAAAAGAGAAAAAAAUGAAAAAAAUGAGAGAGAAGAGAGAAGGGGCAAUGUUACUAUCCUUUUACCACACUUGUGCUUCAGAGUAGCACCAUGUUCUUCAUAUAGAGAGUCUCCUGAGUUAUCACUUUCAUAUACUAGUGGGAAUUUUCAUUAUAGAACUUGGCUUGUAUAUUCCAACGAUGGGCUUCCUCAAGUGCCCUACGUCUUCAUGAGCAAGCAAGUUGGAUGCACACCCACUUAGGUUCAGUUUGAGCUUUCAUAUACUUAUAGCUCUAGUGUAUCUGUUGCAUGAUAAUCCCUACUCCUCGCAUUGACAUCAAUUGAUGGGCAUCUCCAUAGCCCGUUGAUUAGCCGCGUCGAUGUGAGAUUUUCUCCCUUUUUUGGCUUCUCCACACAACCUCCAUCAUCAUAUUCUAUUCCACUAAUAGUGCUAUAUCCAUGGCUGACGCUCAUCUAUUGCGUGAAAGUUGAAAAGGUUUGAGAACAUCGAAAGUAUGAAACAACUGCUUGGCUUGUCAUCGGGGUUGUGCAUGAUUUGAAUAUUUUGUGUGAUGAAGAUGGAGCAUAGCCAGACCAUAUGAUUUUGUAGGGAUAACUUUCUUUGGCCAUGUUAUUUUGAAAAGACAAGAUUGCUUUAUUAGUAUGCUUGAAGUAUUAUUGUCUUAAUGUCAAAUGAUAGACUAUUGCUUUGAAUCACUUGUGUCUUAAUAUUCAUGCCAUGAUUACAUUACAUGAUCAAGAUUAUGCUAGGGUAGCAUUCCACAUCAAAAAAUUAUCUUUUUUAUCAUUUACCUACUCGAGGAUGAGCAAGAAUUAAGCUUGGGGAUGCUGAUACGUCUCGGUCGUAUCUAUAAUUUUUUAUUGUUCCAUGCCAAUAUUCUACAACUUUUACAUACUUUUGGCUAUUUUAUACUAUUUUUGAGACUAACAUAUUGAUCCAGUGCCCAGUGCCAGUUCCUAUUUGUUGCAUGUUUUUUGUUUCACAAAUAAUCCAUAUCAAACGGAGUCCAAACGGGAUAAAAACUCACGAAGAUUUUUUUGGAAUAUAUGUGAAUUUUGGGAAGUGGAAUCAAUGCGAGACGAUUCCCGAGGGGCCCACGAGGGUGAGGGGCACGCCAUAGGGGGUAGGGCCCGCCCUGGGCCCUCGUGGCCACUCCGUAAGGCGGUUGGUGCCCUUCUGUUGCCACAAGAAAUCCAAUAUCCGGAUAAAAAUUGUGUCGAAAUUUCAGCCCAAUUGGAGUUACGGAUCUCUAGGAAUUUAAGAAACGGUGAAACGGUAGAACCGGAAGCGCAGAAACAGAAGGAAACAAGGAGAGAGAGAGAGAGAGAGAGAGAGAGAGAGAGAGAGAUCCAAUCUUGGAGGGGCUCUCGCCCCUUCGCCACCAUGGAGGCCAUGGACCAGAGGGGAAACCCUUCUCCCAUCUAGGGGGAAGGUCAAGGAAGAAGAAUAAGAAGGGGGGCUCUCUCUCCCCCUCUCUCCCGGUGGCGCUGGAACACCGCUGGGGCCAUCAUCGUGACAACGAUCUACACCAACAACUUCACCACCGUCAUCACCAACUCUCCCCCCUCUAUGCAGCAGUGUAACCCAUCUUUUACCUGUUGUAAUCUCUACUUAAACAUGGUGCUCAAUGCUAUAUAUUAUUUCCCAAUGAUGUAUGGCUAACAUAUGAUGUUUGAGUAGAUCUCUUUGUCCUAUGGGUUAAUUGAUGAUCGUGAUUGGUUUGAGUUGCACAUUUUAUUAUUGGUGCUGUCCUAUGGUGCUCUCCGUGUCGUGCAAGCGUGAGGGAUCCUUGCUGUAGGGGUUGCAAUAUGUUCAUGAUUUGCUUAUGGUGGGUGGCAUGAGUGACAGAAGCAUAGACCCGAGUGACGGUGUCCUGGACUAGGGGGUACUCAUCAUGUCGUCUCCUGAUCAGUUGAAUUGGGCCGAGGACUCCCAUGGCCGCAUACUCAUGGGCCAGUUCGGACAGUUGCCGCGUACAAGGAAGAUUCCACAAGACUUGGCGAUCAAGACAAGGACUCCUCCCCACCGGCGUAUUCGGCUAGGACUCUUGUUAUCCUAGGCCUCUGGUGCAUUAUAUAAACUGAGGCCAGGCUAGUCGAUAGAACAUAUACAACAAUCAUACCAUAGGCUAGCUUCUAGGGUUUAGCCUCUCUGAUCUCGUGGUAGAUCUACUCUUGUACUACCCAUAUCAUCAAUAUUCAUCAAGCAGGACGUAGGGUUUUACCUCCAUCAAGAGGCCCCGAACCUGGGUAAAACAUCGUGUCCUCUGCCUCCUGUUACCAUCCGCCUUAGACGCACAGUUCGGGACCCCCUACCCGAGAUCCGCCGGUUUUGACACCGACAUUGGUUCUUUCAUUGAGAGUUCCGCUGUGUGAUCGACAAAAGGAUCGAUGGCUCAUCUGCAGGUCAACUACGAUGACGGCAUCUUCGUCGCCGGCUCGACUGAUCACCUUGGCUCGACCGAGGACCGUGCUCCAUCUCCGAUCACCAUGUUCGGACGAGGGCCUUCAUCAACAUCAACUCCGAUCUCUAUCAAGAUCAUGGAGGAAUCAUCCAUGGAGCUCGGGGGCUCAACGUCAACAUUGCCCUCGGGCGACCGUGCUGUUUUUCCGAACAACAAACUUGUAUCCGAUGCCACCACCUCUUAGAGCAUCACUUUGACGAUCCCUUUGGUGUAAUUGUGCGGAAUUGAGUCGACACAACCAUGCAAAAUUUCGUCGAGUUCCAAUGGAGGAAUCUCCGACAAUCUACGAUAUACCAGAGCCCUGUCAAAUCUGGAUGGGAAUCUGGACGAGUUUAGGGCAUGGUCUCCAGAGCGUAGAUCGGAGGUCCUUUGGAAGAUCCAACCGUUCAUCUACUGCGUAAUUCCCAUAUCUACCACCCCUCCAAAUUUAAGCUCGAUCUGACGGUCCAAACUCCGGGAACCUUUCGAUGAGUGGAUCAAUUUUCGGAUCCGUUUUUUGCGUGAAUACGGAUCCGACCCGAAUUCAUGUUUCUUUAUGAACGUGACAUCGGACAACCUUUUUAGAGGAAUUCUCUUCGAGGGUAUUGUGCGUUGUUUUUAAACAUGUGCCUGUAAAUUUUUAAGCCUCCCCUGAGGUCGCCUUCAUCAUCAUGCUGGUGUCAAACUAGUCCGGCGAUAUUGCUCCAAGGCUGCCGACCUGCGCUAGACACGUCGUCACUUUGUUGAGCCGAGCUCAACUUCUUCGGAUCAUCAUCUCGGCAAGCCGAACAAGAGUCCAGCAUCGCGAAGGAUAAAUCAUCACCAACAUCACUGCCCCACAGAUUACACGGAGCGGGCAUACCGGCAUCACCGCACGGUCACUUCAUCAAGUCGGCAUCGACCACGUCACGACCUGCAUCAGUAGGGCCACACUAUUGCUUCUUCAAGCUGGUGUCCAUCACGCCGACCUACUUCGACUCAUCAGAUGACAUUGAGGCUUGGACAUCUCGGCUGGACCGGGGGCUUCGCCAUCAACCUACUCCGGAGACUUCGGCGUCACUAGCCGACCAGCUCUGUCACGUUAGCUGGACCGAGGGCUUUGCCUCGGCGAGCCAACCUUUGCCAGCAUUGCCAUACCGUCGCUUUAUCGCCCAUCAGGCAAUGGGUGUGCGGAUCGAGUCCCAAUUUUGGGAAUCACCUUUCUUCGGAUUGCUACUACAAAUAAACCAGGUGCUAUUAAUCCUAGUAUUUUUUUGCUUGUUUGGGUUUAUUUUUCCCAAGGAAUUAUUACUCUGAUUUGUCCAUCAUCUAUACACAGGUCUAUCAAAUGAUGGCCGCAUUAACGAUGGUUGCGUGGUGGUUCGGUCGGUUUCCGUACAUAGUCCGGCGAACACCGCAUCCAGAACUCGGACCGACCUGUGAAUUCAGGCUUUGCCACGCCUUUACCGCAUCACACCGACACCCUGCAUCGACAUUGACUUCGGCGCCAGGCCAUAUUUCUUUUAUUACUCACUUUGCAUAAAUUAUUUAUUAUGCAACAAUUUUUUUAAUUAUUAUUAUUACUAUUAUCUCCGGUUGCACUAUUUUUUGUGCAUGGGAAAGUGAUCCGGGCACUUCGACGUCACUCUGCCGGUCUGCAUUGACCGUGCUAUGUCACCACUUCGGCGUGUCGAGCUCUCCGCUCCGCCACCUCGGGACCGGCUUGGGGGAUGGAACCUUGUCCCGCAUCAAGCUCGGACCGCGUCAUCAAUGUCGAACACAUUAACCAGCUAAGUCGCUUUCAUGCUCACAGUUUUAAUUUUUAACUUGUGUUCGGUUCGACCAAGCAUUAUACUUUUUUUGGAAAAGAAAUUCUUGUAAAAAAUUUUCCUUGUCCAAACUUUGUUUGUGACACACAUAUUCAAAUACCCCGUUUAUUUGAGGGCUUCCUUUAUGAAGCUUUUCCUCUUGCAUAUGAUUAUACUUGUACGGCUUCAUUCCUUGUUCGUGUAUUACGCCACAAUAUGCACCAUAUUGACUUAAGCGAUUUGCAAGCUGGGUUGCCUGGCUCCUGUGCUUACCCCUACGUUCCCGAUUGUUCGGCUAGGGAGUAAAGGGAGCACCUCUGCGAUUGUCACAACCGGGUCCUCCGAGCUCUGACCUCAAACUGGGUGAAGCCGAAAGCUAGCGCUCUUAUUGUUUUCAAUCAUGGUCGGCACACAACGGAACUCAUGAGUACAAAAAAUAUAUUGCACAAGUCUCAUAGUAAUAAUGAGCACCGAAGAAAGGUAUCGGUGGGGGUACUAUUUUCUUCGAAGAUGCUUCUUACACUUGGUCUGUAAUAUAGCAUAAGUUCCCUGAGCGCGCUUUGUCUGUUACAGCCUUCUGGUCCGGUUGCCUGGUUAUCAGAAACACUGUCGAUAUUCUCGACAGGUGGAGUACAUAACACUUUUCGGUCCUUGACCGAAGAGGGAGAAGCCGACGGUCGGUUAAGACGCGUUUAAAGUUCGGUUGAACAAAGAUAUGAUAUUAGUACUUCGGUACAUACAAUCAUUAUACAUAAAAUUCUUUUACCCAAGUCACUUGGGGGCUCUUAAAUUUAUAUGAGCUAUUUUAUAGUAAAUGUGUUUUCUUCUUGGUUGUUGCAAAGUCUUUAUUUACCACUCCCUUUUUCGACACGAGUGUGUGGUCACUAGCCGGGGAGCCUAAUUUCUCUCUCAAAGCCGCUAGAGUUUAGUUUGCUAAACUGGCCUAAUGAGAAGUACUCCGCCUUUGGGAUAGGAGGUUGAAGCCGUAGGCUGACCCGCUUGAAGUCUUGAGAUAGGAUGUGUCAUGUUAAAGCACGACAGAAGCACUUUUUUUUUCUAAAGUCCAAUUUUCAGAUUGGCACCGAACACUUGAUCUUGUUCGGACGUCAAGUUUUUACUGACGUUUUUUGGUUUUCCAAGCUUAUGGCACUUUCAAACUAUUUGUGUGUUUUCAGCACAAGUCUCGCAGUGCAAUGCCGGACACCUUUAUAGAUUCGGCAAAAACAUUCUCGGAUCUCACUAUAGAUGCAUUGGUUUCAAAUUGUGUCUUCGGUCAAUAGUUGGGUUGCCCGGCUCCUGCGCUUGCCUCCUACGUUCCGCUUUGUUCGGCUAGGUGUGCAAAUGGAGAACCACUGCGAUUGUGUUUCCAGCUCACAUGGUAAAGCACCUCAGUGGAGAAAGCCGAAAACUGACUGUCACAAUAAGCGUAAACUGGUCAGCAAUCCGAUGACAGUGUUAAAUGUCGGGCCAUUCAUAACAAUGGCCGAAGUGUUUACGGCUUGACCUCGAUUGUCGCCGAACACUACCGGGGGCUAUUAACUGGCCUCCCAAACUAAAUCCUCGAUAUUUUGCUCUUACAUUAGAGCUGAGGCUGCAUGUUCAUGCUUAGCAUGACAACCCAAAGAAAGGAACCGAUAGCGGGACUAUUUUUUUUGGAAGACAUUUCUUAUGUUAAACAGUAAUAUAACAUAUCUCUCUGCGUACCUUUGUUUAUAAAACCGUAUGGCCAGCUUUGCCCUCAUAAAGGCUUUAUAAAGUAGGACAAACACUCCUCGGCUACUAGCCGAGGAGGUGGAAGCCGAUGGUCGGUUAACAAAGUUUUGUACAAUGCGGAUCCGAGCAUUAGUGUCGUAAAGUACUUGGAUACAUAGAGUCAUUACACAUAAUUUGUGAUUUUACUAUGGAUAUCGAUCCUUAAUUCGGCCACCCGUGCCCACAUUAAGGCUCGAGGGCUACUGGGCUUCGGGCUUAUUAUUUACAAAUAUUAAAGGGGCACAUCGAUCCCCUGAUCUAGUGUUGCCACCCGACCAGUGUCUCGGGGGCUACUGUAUUGCCUGUUCAAUGUAGAAAAGUUUAAGUGCAAUACAGUUUCCGAGGAGAUUUUGAUCCUCAGGUUGAUCGGCCACACCCAACCUAAGUCUCGAGGACUGAGAACGCCGCUUUUUGUAUCCCGAAGUAUUCUGCCGAGCUAGGACUUGAUCCUCAGGCCGAUUUUGCAAAUCAACCUGAGUCUCAGCGGCUACUGGGAUCAGUGGUCUUACAUCAUCCUUCAAGUGCAUCUCGGGUUUUAAAACCGACGCACACCUUGAGGGCUACUGGAUAUACAUAUACCGGUUAUAUAUCUCGGCAGAGAAUAAAUUGCACCAAUAAAAAAUAUUCACAAAAUAUCAGCCCGCUGUCGGGUGGUGCACCACGUCAAAAGCAGUCCGACAUAAAGCUCGGGCGCUAGUGGCUGGCUCCAUAGAGGGCAUUUCCAGCAUUAAGCUCAGCUAAACUCCUUCAACUUUUUUGACCAAGAUGAUCUAUGACAUCUUGGAUAUAGUCCGGCAUUGGAGCUUGGACACAGUCCGGCAUUGGAGCUCGGAUACAUGUCGGCAUUGGAGCUUGGAAGCAGUCCGACAUUGGUGCUCGGCUACAAAAGAUACCUCGAAUGCAGUCCAGCGUUAGAGCUUGGACGCAAGAGGAACACUGCCUCCCAGGAACAACUUCAAACCCAAGGGGUGGCAUAAAAAUAACAAGGCAUUGAUAAAGGCCAGAAACUUAAAGGGGCUCCUCAGAUACCCGAUGUGUAAACUCGUCGAAUGCAUUUCAGCGAUCCUCAAGAUCGAAGAUGAGAAGACUUGUUGAACCAGUUUUCAAGACCGACAACCGAAGAUGAAGAACAGUUCGGAAGAACCGAGGAGCGUCCCUAACUUGAAGACCGGUUCAGGGGGCUACUGACGGUGUCCUGGACUAGGGGGUACUCAUCACGUCGUCUCCUGAUCAGUUGGAUUGGGCUGAGGACCCCCAUGGCUGCAUACUCAUGGGCCAGUACGGACAGUUGCCGCAUACAAGGAAGAUUCCACAAGACUUGGAGAUCAAGACAAGGACUCCUCCCCACCGGCGUAUUUGGCUAGGACUCUUGUUAUCCUAGGCCUCUGGUGCAUUAUAUAAACCGAGGCCAGGCUAGUCGAUAGAACAUAUACAACAAUCAUACCAUAGGCUAGCUUCUAGGGUUUAGCCUCUCUGAUCUCGUGGUAGAUCUACUCUUGUACUACCCAUAUCAUCAAUAUUAAUCAAGCAGGGUGUAGGGUUUUACCUCCAUCAAGAGGGCCCGAACCUGGGUAAAACAUCAUGUCCCCUGCCUCCUGUUACCAUCUGCCUUAGACGCACAGUUCGGGACCCCCUACCCAAGAUCCGCCGGUUUUGACACCGACACCAAGUAAGUAGGUUGUUUGCAUAUGGGAGUAAAGAGGACUUGAUGCCUUAUAAUGCUAUGGUUGGGUUUUACCUUAAUGAUCUUUAGUAGUUGCGGAUGCUUGCUAGAGUUCCAAUCAUGAGUGCGUUGAUCCAAGAAGAGAAAGUAUGUUAGCUUAUGCCUCUCCCUCAAAUAAAAUUGCAAUAAUGAUUACUGGUCUAGUUAUCGAUUGUCUAGGGACAAAUAACUUUCUCGUGACAAAAAGCUCUCUACGAAAACUAACUAAGUUGUGUCUUUAUCUAAACAGCCCAUAGCUUUUAUUUACGUGCUCUUUAUUAUCUUGCAAACCUAUCCAACAACACCUACAAAGUACUUCUAGUUUCAUACUUGUUCUAGGUAAAGCGAAUGUUAAGCGUGCGUAGAGUUGUAUCGGUGGUCAAUAGAACUAGAGGGAAUAUUUGUUCUACCUUUGGCUCCUCGUUGGGUUCGACACUCCUACUUAUCGAAAGAGGCUACAAUUGAUCCCCUAUACUUGUGGGUUAUCAACCCUCACUCAGUGUGGGGAUUUCUAGUUUGAAAUCAUGGUGCAACAACAAAGUUUUUCCAUUGUGUACUCAAAACACACCUCUCCAUACAUAUGUUUGGGACACACGCAUGCAGUGGUUGUCUUCGGGGACUAGCUACUUGCGUGAUUAUUGGUGAGCUAGCCCAUCUCCGGGGUCGCAUGGACGGCCAUCACUUUGACCAACAACAAGAGAGAGGUUGUACGACCAAGGUGGAUUAUUCUUGGUCCGUUUUACGAUCCAUCUUGGUGAGAUAUGCCUCUUUGGCCCGCUGACUGAAAGUGUGUGGGGGGCUGCUACUUCGCACUUCUCUAGGUGAACCUUGGUUGGGGGGCAUGCAUUCAUAGCCUAGGAUUCCCUUCAUGCAGACAUGAGGGAGGCUGCUAGCUACUUCGCACUCUUUUAGGUGAACCUCGGUUGGGUGGGAGGGGCAUGCAUUCAUAGCCUAGGAUUCCCUUCGUACCGACACGGGGGAGGGGGGCUGCUAGCUACUUCGCGCUUUGUUAGGUGAACCUCGGUUGGGGGGAGGGGGCAUGCAUUCAUAGCUUAGGAUUCCCUUCGUGCUGACACGAGGGAGGAUGGGGCAAGCAAUACCGUGUGCUUUGCGAGAUAGGUGCCACAUUGAAGUUGCAUUUGGUAUUUGAAAAUCAAACCACCCUUUUCAUACAUAAAUUUGGUCCACAUGCAAGUGUGUUCAUGUUCUGACCCUCUCCCGCAUCAUUUUUUGCCAAAUUUAUGAACAUUAGACAAGUCAGGUGACGCAACAGACACAGUUCACUCAAACUAACCGUGUGCAUUGGGCUCCACGAGGCUUCCCCUCUCAAAAAUAUCUACCUGCCUGUAGCUUUUUUCUGUUUGAUAACACACGGUUAUUGUGUUUCGACCGUGUCUGAUGUUUCUUGUUCCCAAUCCUGCUUGCAUCCCUCGAAAAUAUCUGCCCGCCUUGAGGGUUUUUCUAUUUCAUAACACACGGUUGUUAUCUUCGGACCGUCUGCGAUGCACCAUCAUCAAAAUUUUCAAUAGCCCCGACAUUUCACUCCCGCGUAAUAAAUUUUUCAGUACCCACAUCAUUUCCUUAAACACACACCCCUCCACACAGACACACACCAAAACCUCCUCGGGCGUUCGCACACACACACACCCUCCCUCGCUCAAAACGCUAGCAAGGUCCCCAUCGCCGCCGCCACAAGGCCUGCAUUUUUCAACAUUUGCCGGUUUGCCCGUGCAGCUUACCCACCGAUCUCCAUACCUAGGCCACCCUGAGUUUCUUUGAUGACGCCUGCCAAACACCCCCUUUCCCACAGAUCCCCAUCCCCACCCCCACCCCAGAGCAUCGUAGCCUAAGUCCGUUUCCUCCGUUUUGCGGUAUGCUAGACCCCUCCUGCUGAACAGGAUCCCGUUUCGAUCGUGGUCGAUCGAACACAAGGUCGUUUCCUCCGUUCUGCUGUACGCCAGGCCUUGUUUCGACCGGUUGUUCCGUCCAAGCCGGUUUAUACCUGAUGAACACGAUGACGAUGUAGUUUCGCCGUUCUAACCCAGCCAUGUACAUGAGCCCUGGCCGUACGUAUGUGUGAGUAGGCGUUCGAGACCCCGCCCGUAUGUACGUACGUGGUCGUAUAUACUUUCUUGCACCUUGGCCGAUGUACGUAUGUGUACACGUUAUUAACGGGACUGCGUGACAUGCUACGUGCGCGCCUCUACUACGACACAUGCCCUUCCUUACACGGCCACGGUUCAUCACUUCAGCCAGCAGACAGACCGAUCGACCAGUAUGUACGUACACGUUCGCAGCCAGAAUGACAAUGCUAUGUAUGCUUCGACCAGGUGGGUCCCGACUGUCAGACACUUCCUUGCGUGCGAAAAUGUAGCUGGUGGGUCCUAGUAGUCAAGUGUGAAUCAUUUUUUCCCGUAAUAUGGAUGCAUUUCCUUGCGUGCGAAGAUGUAGCUGGUGGGUCCCAGCAGUCAGGGGGGAACGAUUUUUUGUGAAAUAAGGUGGCCCGUCUGGUGGGUCCCUGCUGUCAGGUGGAGGAAUCAUUAUUUUCUGCAUAAUAAGGAGGCACUUCCUUGCUGCAGCCGUGGACCCAGCUGUUAGCCUCUCCACGUAUAGUACUCUUCUGAGGGAAGUCGUUCCUUGACCACAUUGACCACGCCGCGCCGAGAGCACCAAGGCGGUGGACGACGGAGAGGCCUAGGAAGGGGACGACGCGGAGCCGAGGAAGACGCGGCAGUGGAUGCCCACGCGGAGAGGAGUACGAGGCUUCGGUGGUUUGGCUUUGGUGUGAGGUUUUCGUCGCCGCAGAAUAACAGAGGGUGUGGGUGAGUGGAGGGAUGGCCUGGCCAGCGGUGGGAGUAGUAGGGGGCGGUGAGGCCUCCGCGACAGCAUAGAUGGCCACGGGAGGCAGGAGCAGGCGGCAAGACCAGCACUGCUUUGGGCGGCUGGAGCAUGAAGACCAGAAGUUGAAGAAGCACUAGGGCCGUUGGAUGGACAUCGUAUGGUCACUGGAGCUAGAAUCGUUCAUAUUGACUAAGUUGACAACGCCCUCUGUCCUCGUCAACUUAGUAGGCCCACAAGUCAGCCUCCCACUAUGCCGGCUCCCAGCUAGCAGGGGGUAUUCAUUUUUUUUGUGUAAUAAGGAGGCACUUCCUUGCGUACAAAGAUAUAGCUGGUGGGUCCGACCUGUCAGCGGGGGGAACAUUUUUUUGCAAAAUACUGAGGCCCUUCCGGUGGGUCCCAGAUGUUAGGUGGAGGAAUCAUUAUUUUGCACAUAAUAAGGAGGCAUUUCCUUGUGUGCGGCCGUGGACCCAGCUGUCAUCCUCUCCAUGUACAGUCCACGUCCGAUGGAUGUCGUUCGUUGACCACGUUGACUAGGCCGCACCGACAGCACCAGGGCGGUGGAUGACGAUGAGGCCUAGGAAGGGAACGAUGCAGAGCCAAGGAAGACUAGGCAGUGGUUGCCCAGGCGGUGGGGUGUAUGAGGGUUUACUAGUUCGGCUGCCAUCGCCGGAAAAUAAUAGGAGGUGUGGGUGAGUAGAGGAAUGGCCUGGCCAGCAAUGGAGUAGGGUGGGGCAGUGCGGCCUAUGCGGCAGCGCAGCCGACCACGGGAGGCGGGAGCAGGCAUUCCCACCGGCGCUGGUUUGGGCAGCUGGAGCAAGAAGAUCAGAUAUUGAAGAAGCAACAUGGCCAUUGGAUUAACAUCCAACGGUCACUACUGCUAGAAUCGUUUGUGGACUAAGUUGACUAAUCCUUUCGUACACGUCAACCUAGUAGACCCACAAGUCAGCCUCCAAAUCUGUCCCAAACAGCAUACGGCCCGAAAUUUCUAGCCAGAUUCAAAUUAAUUUAAAAACUAAACAUACCUUAAUUUAAAUCCAAUGAAAUUUUAAAAUAUCAAAAUCCAAAAGAAAAAAGUAUUUUGGAACUAAUUGCAUGUUUGUUGUAUUUUUCAUUUUACAGCCCAUUUAUUAUUACUUAUAGCCCAUUUCUUAUUACUUAUAGCCCAUUUUCUGGGGGAAAUGCAUCCCUCCUUGUCUUGGAAGAUUUCCGGCCCAGCAGGGCGUAGAAAAGCAAGUAGGCCUACGUUGGUUAUUCUACAAAAAAACAAAAUAGCUGGGCUAGCCAUUUUUAGAAAGGAAAAAAAUAACUGGACCAGUCAUGUGCUAAACAUAUGAAAUAAAAGCCUGGGCUAGGCAGGCCACAACUCCCGCACACCCAAUUGAUACCCUUCUCCAUCCCAAAAAAACAAAAUUACUAUGUGCAUUGAUGUGUCCCUACUAUCAUCCUCACCAUGUACAACCAUCUCCUUAUUCCUCUCGGUUGUCGACCAUGUUGAUAACAACGGAGGGCGGCACCGCGGUGAGCGAACCAAGGCGGACGACGAUGGUGAGGCCUCGGACGGGAAUGAACAGGAGCCAGGGAAGAUGCACAGAGUUUUAGGGUGUGAUGUGGCCACAUUGUGUGUGCGGCAGCACAGCCAUCCGUGGGAGGCGGGAGUAGGCGGUCCCACCAGCGCUUGUUUGGCUUUGGCGGCGGGAGGAAGAAGAGGCUGAAGAAACACGAUAGACGUUGAAUGUCAAUCCAACGAUGAAGGUUGGCACAAACGUUUGUUGACUAAGCCGACACCAAGUAGCAUACUUUUUUAUAUAUGGGUAGAAAAGAAAAAAUGGGCUCAUUCGCCUGAUAACAUUCCCGAAACUACGACCAUUCGAUCUUCUGUCGCAACUAAAACUGUGAGGAAAAUGCAUUCGUCCGCCAUCCUCCUCCCAGGGAAUGUUUGCGUCAUGAGUGACUAGCACCCUUGGUUUUCAACCGAGAGGUCUUGGGUUCGAGUCCGAGGAACUUCAAUUUUGUCCUCGGCAGGUCCUGGGGCCUGUGGGUUAUGGCCCAUCUCAUCACUUGUAAACCUUGAGCUCAUCCUAGGGGCAACUGAUUAUUUUCCCAAACAUCCAGCUUCCUAGUAUUCUUAAAUCCUUCCAUUUGUAUUGUCUUACUUCCUUCUAUUGGCACCAAACUAAGACAUGAUUACUCAGACUCAUCAUGGAGUUUCCAUUGAUCCAUACUUCCGACAUCGUACCUCCUUUAUAUCCAAUAGUAAUUUAUCUCUUCAUCCUCGUGGGUUAUCCCACAUACCGAGAUAUAAACUUAUACUUAUGGAGUCCAUAUUCCACUUCGUGGAACAUCAUUAUCCUUUCCAGGGUCAAGUGUCCUUACAGGGGAAUAUUGGCCAUCUCUGCAUGGCACUCCUUCAACUAGGAAACGUGAAACACAUCUUGAACUCCUAAUAGUCCUUCGGGUGACUCCAUCUUGUUGGCCACUUCUCUCAUACGCUCCAAAACUCUGUAUGUCCUGCAAUUCUUGGGGCAAUUUUUUUUAACUCCAAAUCGUUUAACUCCUCGCAGAGGGGUCACAUGAAGACAUGCUCUGUCUCCAAUUUCAUAGACUACCUCCUUGCGUUUUAAGUCUGCGUAACUCUUCUGCUUGGACUGAGCUACCUUCAAUCUAUCUCGAAUCAACUUAACACUCUCUUCUGACUCCUUGAUCAUGUUUGGUCCAAACAACUGACGUCUCCAACUUCAUCCCACAUACUCUUGGGGCAUCACACAUAUCGAGACAAAACUCGUAUUCAUUUUUGUCCGAAAUCCACUCAGUGGAGUAUCCUUAUCUUUUCCAGGGGUCAAUGGUUCUUACAGGGUACUACCACCCUUAAAAUGCACAAAUCUUCCAUAAACCAUAUUUCUCAUAUCCUCAAAAUGGUCAAAAUCCUUCUUCAUAGAGUAACAACUCAUAAAAUCCAUAUCAGUACCAACGAUGCUACUUUAUUCAUUCUCAAAUGAUUACAAUCUCUCGCUUUUCCAUUACAUGUCUCAACUCAACUCCUCAAUAUAAAAGAAAAUGUUCUCACUUCUACUACUCCAUUUCUUUUGUUGCAAACUCAACUAUCUAGCACAUGUUUCCUUCUCCUUGGGGCAUUCUCUGGCAAAGUGCCCUGCUCCAUUACCAUUAAAACAUAUUACUUCUGACAAGUAUCGAGGUUUCCUUUUUGGGCAAUUGUUGAGGUAGUGCCCUGACUCCUUGCACUUAUAACAGGUGACAUGACUAAGAUCCUUCCUGGAAUCCAAUCUACUUCUCUUUCUGGACUUUUCCAUUCCCAUCAGAGCUUCUAUUUCCAGUGGGUCAUACUCUACUUCCUCUGUCGGGAAUUCUACUAAAUCCCCAUUCAAACAAUUCUGGGAGAUGUGUCCUUCUUCUCCACAUGAAUAGCAUGACUUGGUGCAGGGUUUAAUUGGCUCUUCUUUGGGUGUGUCCUCCACAUCUUCCUUCAUCACAGGUUCUUCUAAACUUUCCAUAAGGGCUCCUCUCGUUGCUUCUUUCUUCUGCUGGAUGGUUCUUUGUACCAUGGGGUAAAUGUGACACUGAGCAGGGUAGUGGGUAGUCCCUUCACACAAGAAACAAGUGAUCUGCCUAGUUGGGCAUUCUUCAGCUGGGUGACUUCCUUCACAAUUAGGGCAUUCAUCCUUGUGUUCUUUAUGGUUGUGUCCUAUUUCUCCACAAAGCUUGCAUGCACAAGUUUUUUUCAUAUCCUUUCCAUAAGGCUUCAAUUUCUGGGACACAAACUGAGACUUUAGCAAAGUCAACUUAAAUUCUUUCCAAGUGGUUACUCCUUGCCAUCCAUUGAUGGUUUGGUACAUCCUCCACCAAGUAGCAGCACCUCUUUCAAAGCACUAAAGAGCAUGCUGGGUCAUAUCAUGUCCAACUAUAGGGUUAUUCUCCAUGUGAUCCUCCAUGUUCUGAAUCCAUAGGUCCGUCUCCAAUUGACUCAUCGGUCCCGAAAAUACAAGCUCAUCUCCAUUCAUCCUCUAUUGGGUCCAUGGGUUUUGGGGGUGAGAUAAGAGAGAUAGAGAGGGAUACACACAAUGCAAACAAUAGUUUUUGAAAAGACAGAUUUUAUUGCGGUUGUUGAGAAAAACAUCAACUAAUGACAACUUACAAUCGUCGCAUCUAACGUAGUUAUAUAACAGGGGUUUGGUCUUCUAAAGGUCAAUAAAUCUUCAACGUCUCCAAAUUCUUCAAGUCUUGGUCAUGUCUCUGAUGGCUUCUUCCGAUCAUGCUUGUCUUCUCAAGUUCUUUUGCCAGAUCAUCUCUGUUGACGUGAAAUCUCUCGUGACAUUCCUUCAAUAUUUCUGGCGUUGCAUUCCAAACUUCUGGGUUUCAUUAUCCUUGGCAUUAACCAUGGUCCUACUGUCCUUCAGUUCCUGACGAAUCUCCUGUAUCUCAAGGUUUUACUUCUCUAGCUUGGCUGCUUUCAACUUCUGGUCUUAAGUUCUUCACGAAAUGCUUCCUUAUCAAUUAAUGCUUAUUUUAGGUCCAUCUUAACUUCUUGAUGUAACACUCCAGAUCCUGGUGAUACACCGGCUAAGGUUAAAACUUCAUCUUGCUGAUAGGUGCUCCAUCAGCCUUCUACCAUUUAAUCCUUCCAUGCAUAUGCAUGCUUAACUCAGCACGGUGACAAUAGCAUAAGCGGGCGAUAACCUCAUGGAUAGCUGUGGUUGUUCUCUUGUCAUUUCCAUGAGCUUUCUCUCCAUAGUUGAUAUAUCUUGCCUUAGGGUUUUCCUUGACAAAUCCUUGAGUUCUUAAUUCUACAUGCUCCGGUCUUUCUCCAACACACCUUGAUCUCGGGCAUUGACAACUCCCAUAGUCUGCCAAGUUCCAUAAGGGGAGCAUUCCUAGGUCAUACAAAUCUGGGGAUUCUUUAGAGCCUCCAAUUCUCCUAGUCUUCAGAGUCUUCAACAACUGUAGUUUCCAUUAUCAUAAUGUAUGGUAAAAUCCUCUUCAUUCCGAAUGGUCUUACUUGUCUGAUAUCCUGUACUUCUUGGAGUGGUCUCAUCAGUCGAAUCUUCAAGUGGUCAAAAGGGAAAGGGGUAUGGUUUCACUAAAGGGAAAUUUGAAUAAACUCAGAAGAGAAGAGAGGUAAAAGAUCCUUUUGAAAGGGAAAGUUGUAGAGAAAAGUCUUUGCUAUGGGCUUGCCAGUUUCUAGGGUCACGUCCUACAGUCAACAUGUGCUCUGAUACCAUCUUGUAGCGACCCGACCCAAAUGGAUCAAGUCUCUGUGCUUAAGUGUCAUCCCUGGAUUGGUAUGCUGACACACACAGUACUCGAGGAUUUAUAACAAAGGUAAAUCACAUGUAUAAGUAAUGUAAAUACUAUUACCUCAAAUCCAAAAUAGCGGAAGUAACAAGGUUGUGGAUUCCCAUCAACACCAACGGCAAAGUUGAGUGUAGAAAUCGUAACCCUAACGUAUCACUUACUCGUCGUAAGAAACCUGCAACAUGGGACGUUGCAGCCCAAAACGGGUUAGUACAUUGAAUGUACUGGCAAAUUCACACCAUAGAGAAAAUGAUGAACAAUGGCUAUCACUAUAUGCAUAUAUGGCUGGUGGAAAAGCUCUAUGGUUAUAAGGUUUUUGCAUAAAGCCAAUUUUUCCCUACUGCAAAGGAAUAAAUUUUAUUUAACUAUCAUGGUGGUUGUUGAACAUUGAGAAUGGUUGACAGCAUUCUCAAUCCCAAUUAAGUAACAUCAUUAAACCCAACAAUAUUCAUUUAAAGUAACGUGAUGAUAUCACAGGAUAAUCCAAGAACUAGAUACUCCAGACGUCCAUAACCGGGGACACGACUAAUCAUGAUUAGUUUAUACACUCUGCAGAGGUUUGCGCACUUUUCCCCACAAGACUCGAUCUCCUCCGUUGGUUUUCUCGCACUACAUGGUGUUUGAGAAAUGGAUGACCGAGACAUAGCCUUUCAGAAGCGCUAGCACCUUACGUUGGAUAGACCGGUACACCUACUUUCCCCUACAUCUGUUAGUCUACCCUGUAAGAGUUCGCACGACUUAAUCAACUAUGCCAGAGCCCAUAAUGGCUUGUGGCUGCACACGGAAGUUUCUAGUAUGAAUAAUCUCAUGAUCCCUUUGAGCCUGGGUGGCGGACCGUAGGAUGAUCACACGGUAUAUCCCCGGGAUCUCCUAGGACAACACUGGUAUAUCCCCAGGUGUCCGGGCAAGUCCACUAGUAUAUCCCCAGGGUGCCCCUAGCAAUCCACCCAGAUGUGUAUUCAAGUUGCCACCUUAAGUUGAACCAUUAAAUAACAAUCUCACAUCUGUCAUGGAUUUCACUCAUACCCAAACCACGUCUACGAGCAUAGCAUGGCAAUAUAAGCAUAACGUAAAAGUAACUCCCAAGGUUUGAAUGCAGGGCAAUAGGUUCCUACCUCAUCAACUAGUUCCCAAUACCCACAAUUUAAUUAGAUCCCAAUCAUGCAAUGUGUGAAGAUUGAUCUAAUGCAGUAAAACUGGGUUGUAGAAAAAGGUAUGAUCAAAGUUUGAACUUGCCUGCAAUGUUGAUGAAGAUGAUUCGCACUCAAAACUCUUGAUAGUUCUACUCGUCACACUCCGGUCAAUCUAUCGUAAGCAAGCAAUAGUAACCACACAUAAGCAAUCACUCCAAAGAUCAGAAAGAACGAAUAAGACGAUUCGGAAACAUCAAAACGAAGCAAAUAACUCUUGCAACAUAAAACAAUUUCUAACAGUACCAAAAUUAUGUGAAUUUGGCCUUAUUAGAAUGUUUAGGUCAAGAGCUUCGAUUUGCAAAAAGAAUCAACUCAAACGGAGCUACGAAACUCAAGUUAUGACCAAACAAAGUUUGAAUUCAAAUCUGAUCUAAUUUAAAUUUUAAACUUGUCAAAAACAUGUUUGAGUUGGAUUAAUGGAUAGAGGGGAUCAUAACGAAGACGUGGGCGUUGGUUUCGUUGGAUUUGGAUAAACGAGUAAAAAGAUGUGGUCGUUUGAAGUACAGGGACAAAUCUGUAAAGAAAUCCUCACAUAUAGGUCCCUGGCCGAAAAUUAAUAGGAAAAAGGAAAAAUCUAUCGAGCGAACGGUCGCUACAGAAACCUAAUGAACACAUUCGUUCGCUCCGGAGACUUAGACAACGAACGUUCCCUCAAUAAAGGCGAACGUUUAGAGAAAAAAAACAAAAGGAUCCGGAUCGCCCGAUCCAGAUCGGACGGACGGGGUGGGGCGACGGUUACUACGGCGGCUGACGGCGUCGGCGGCUCGGCUUCGAGCGGGCGGCAGCUCCGGUGGUUCGCGGCGACGGUGGGCGGUCGAGGAAGGGCGGCUCGGCGAGGCGGAGACGACGGAGGGGACGGCGGUGGUCGAAGGCGGCGGCGUCGUGAGCUGGUGGUGGAGCGGAUCUCGUCGGAGUUGGAAACUCCGGCGAGUGCAUUUGGCUGGCUGCGAGGGGCUCCGAGCGUGCGAUUUGAUGAAAAAGAGGGCUGGGGUCGGGGGUAUUUAAAGGAGGGAGGCGUGGAGGAGGGGCAACACGAGGGGAGGCGCCCGCGUCGGGCAAGGCAGCUGCGGUGAACUCGUGCUGGAGAUGGACUCCAGCUGGAGGACGGGGACGAACCCGACAGGUGGGUCCCACCUGUCGGUGGCUGAGCGAGGCGGCGGCCGAUAGCAGGCGCGAGCGGGCGAGCGAAGCGGAGCGGCUUCGGGCGCGGCUGGGCUUCGGCUGGGCACUGGGCCGUGGCCUGGCCUGGGAGCUGAGCCGGCCCAGUCGGUGAGGGAAGUUCUUUUUUUAAACAUUAUUUUCCAGACAAAUAAAAUAAUAAAAGCAAAAUAAUUAAAAAUAUUAUAUAGGCAUAUAAUAUAUCAAAAAUUUCAGAAAAAGAUUUUCUACGACAUGAACAUUUUUAUAACUUCAAAUAAAAUCCACACAAAUUCAGAUAAAUCAAAGAGUGCUACUGGUCUAUUAAAAUCCAACUAAAAUCAUUUUUAAAAAAUACCAAAAUGAUUUCAAAUUAAUUUUUCUCCAAUUUUAUAAUGUAGGAAAUCAUGUUACCCUAUUUUCCAUAUAUUUUAUUUUUGGAGAAAAAUAAUUUGAAUAAAACUCAAAUAAAUCCAAAUUGAAAAUUAAUUCCAAAAGGACUUGAAAUUGAUCCUUUGAAACUCCCAACUCAUAUUUCAUAAUUUGAAGAAGUCAUUUUAUCUUCUCUCAUGAAAAUCAUUGAGUUGCAUAAAGUUUCUGAAUUGGAAAAAUAUUUCCCAAUGGAAUUCAAAUAUUUUUCAAACACCCUUUUCAUUUUAAAUGGAAGAAGUCAUGUCAUCUUCUCUCCAGGGUUUCGUGAUGAAAAAAAAGUAUUUGAAUUCACGGAGAGCAAAAUGCAAAAAAUGAAAGUUUGGGAAAGUCCUUUUAUUCCCUCUCAUUUAACUUUCAAAAAGUUUCGAGUUUCACUCACUUUCAGACAAUCAAUCAAACAAUCAAUCAAAUAUAUCUAUUUAUUAUAACAUUCCAAAAUUUAGAAUUUUGGGAUGUUACAUAAUCCUUCCGGAACAGAACACAAUUAUUCUUACAAACAUGGAUCAUGCCAUAUCCAAUUCCAACUGCACGAAGGAAAUUCUUCAUUUUACUGUAGGUGUGUGGCAGCUCAGACGCAUCUAUAAAAGAUUUGCUGAAAGCCGCCAACAUCGCAUCGAAUGAUUUGUUGGUCAUACGCUCAGAUGUCUUCACUUGAAGAAAGGUGACCAUAGCUGAUAAUACUGACAGCUUAUUUCCUGGGGUGACAGCCACGUUACAUUGUUCCAACAUGCGGGCCCACCAUUUUUCUUCUGCAGGUGAAAGUUCACGAAAUGCACAAGCAUUUUGUAGCAUUGUUUCAAUGUUGGUCAAACUCAGUGGCUCUGCCACCACCACCUCCUCCUCCUCUUCCACCUAAGCAUCAGGCAUAUCAGAUGGUGAUCUGCUGCUUCCAUGUAGUCAGUAACAUUAACGUUCAUAGCUUCACCAUGAUGAACCCACCUAGUAUAUGUGACCGACAUCCCAUACAAGUGUAGAUGAUUUUGUACAGUUGACUGGGGUCUUGUAACUGAAUUCAUACAAUAGCUACAUGGGCAGAGCACAUCUGAUUUUGGACAAUCGUACUCAGCUCUAAUAAAGUUCAUGAAGUUUUCAACCCCCUCGACAUAUGCAGCGGAUAAUCUUCGAGCAGAAGCUAUGCAAGUCAUGUCCAUCUGUUAGACAUACAAAUUAGUUCUUCCACUAUAUAUUACAGGAAAAACAUAUAUGUUUUUUAUGAAGUCCAGAAAAAAUACCUAGGUCGAUGUCUAAAGCUAUGGCAAGAUAUUUGGACGAGCAGAUCUAAGUAACGAAAUAUAUGUAAAGCUAAUUGAGGAAACAUAUUUGAGUGCUAAAUUAUGGCAGGUUGUUUCAGUAGUCAAUGAGGCCGAGCACACAGUCAUCGAACUAUCGAAGGCCAUCGCAGCAACAAAGAUCGAGUAUAAAAUGGUGUAGAGCUAUUUCACCUAACAGAUUGGCUACUAGACCAUGGCAAUCUACGUCACAAUAAAUAUAUGGCAGGAUAUUUUAGCAACUAAUCGGGCUUGGCAUGCCAUCUUAGAUAAGAAGAUUGAGUGCAGAACAGGGCAAUGAAGCUUCUUAAGCAGAGAAUAUUGACUGUAAACUAGUUCGGCAAACACUAAGAUUAACAGAGUCUAUCAGCUAACAUUCAGCGCUACACCAACAUGCACGGGGCCUCGGUCUAGAAUGUGUGUACCGUGGGAGAAGCUGACCACCGUGCGACUCCACACGAACGUUGCCAGUGGUGGCGGCGCUGACGGCCGUGUGCCUCCACAAGAACGUCGCCAGCGGUGGCGGCGCGGCUAGAGGACGGCAGUCUAUGAGAGUGUACUGUGGGAGCGAGAGGAUCGCUGUGCGUCCCCUCGACGGACCGCGGCGCUGACGUAUCAGCGCGGCAGGGAGGGCGGCUUUGGCGGAGCGAAUGAAGUGGAGGGGGAGGGGAGGGGGUUUGGGGAAUAUUAUUAGCUAGUUGGCCGAAGGGCGGUUGAAUUUGGGAUUUGGGGGAAUUUUUUUUGGGGGGGAGGGGGUUCGCGCGGUGGGCGGGGGGUGUUUGGUGCAUGGUCGAUUUCUCCAAGUGCAGUCCCACGUGUCAGUGAAGAGGCAAGCCGAAGCGUGUUCCAUUUGCUUGAGCCGUGUGCAGGACCGAAAGUGUGUGGGGUGCAAUGUGACUGCGACAGGGGUGCUAUGAGUGUACCGCCUUUUUUCCUUUUAAACUAGGUGCUUCGCCCCCUCAAAAAAAACUUGGUGAUCCCGACUAAAAUGGAGCGGCUGGGUCUUUUCCCGCGCGAUAUGCUGGGAUGUUGGCUUAGUUGGGUUUUUUAGGAUGACUAAUGCUACACCUACGUAAUCCCAGUUACGUAAUUAACAUAAUGUGAAACAUGUGAGUUUUUGAUUGUAGAUUGGGGGGGGGAUGGGCCCACCACCAUGAAAAUCAGGGAGGAGAGAGAGAGGCAAUUUAUGUUAACCCUUUUGUAGGUUCCCGUAGAUGUAGAAAGAUGUGAAAUGCGUGAAUGUGUAGUGGACGUACUAUUGGAGUGCCUAAGAUAAAUUGUGUAUGUAGACCCUAUGUGUUUAUUUACUUUGCAUGUUAGCUUUGUCUUGGUUCAAUAAAAAACAGAGUUGGUGAUGAUGUUGUGCCUAUCAUCCUGCAAUAUAGGCCGUAUGAUCUAUAUCUAACGGAUAGGAAGGAAACUAUGACAAUUUACCCGCACUCCUCUCCACAUUUUUGGAUAAGGCCUUCCCUCGUUCAUACUUUUCUCCCACAAGAUCUUGAUGUUCCGUGCAACGCACGGGCAUCUUGCUAGUACUCCUACAAUAUACUAUAUUAUUGUGAAAGUUCAUAUACACCGGCUGAGAUUAAUGCAAACACGGCAGAUACUCAUUACAUUUUGAACUUCUAUAGGACAGAAAAUAAAAGAAACCCGACCCUAAACCUAUUCUACGGCAGCGACCGACGUCCUCCAUCUACGAUCUCCAUGUACGGGGACGGGGUUCAAGACCCGUGAAGUGAAGGUGCGGUCUCAGGCGAGGAAGAGUAGAACACGAGAGACGGACCAGCCAGUUGGCACACCAUGCCCUGCCGCCUCCCAUGCCCUACUCAUCCUCGGAGGACUCCCCGGCCUCGGCGGUGCCGGACGUUGGACGGCGGCAAGUAGGACGCGUGGCUGACGGUGCUCCCAUCGUCGGCCGGCAGCAUGGCCACAUCUUGUGCGGUCGCGUCCGCGUCCAGCUAUGCUACUAUUGCAUCGCAAGCGGCGACUUGAGCGAGGGCGGCGACCUCGAGCUUCAUCCCCAAAGACAAGCUCUCUCGCAGAGCAUUUGCGCUUGUGGUCAUGGAAGAUGUGGUGCCAGGUAGCAGGACGAUGCGUUAUGGUGUGGAGGUUAGUUGGGCGUUGCCGCUUUAAGUAGCGCAUUCCGGUGAGGCCAAGCAUCCGGGUGCGUCAUUAAGUCGCCGGAGUUGGUUCCUCGGGCACCGAGCCUCUUAACGACGGCAUACGGACGGAUGACAUGAAUGCGGGCAGCUGGCGCCGGCUGGGAACGCACAGCGCGACGACACGAGGGACGAGGGUUCUUGGUGUGCCAGGGUAGUCAGCUGUGGUCGUGGCAACAUUGGGGAUGCCCUUUGCUCACAUGCGAUCCCCACAUGUCUAUACCUACUAAUAAAGCAAGGUGCGUUUCUCCAAUUUUUUCAUCCGUUCACUGUCGAAAAGAAUUUAUUUUUUCUAUCCGAGGUGGUACUAAACUUUUCUGCGUCUAUCCGCUAGAAAAGAAAAAUUGUUUGUCCAGUAUUCCGUAAUUGGCCAUGCACGCUUCGGCCCAACUAAGCCAGCCCACUUACCAUUACCCAAGCAGUUGGGAAGACAUUAUGUCGCGCAUAGAGCGAUAAAAUAGCAGAAGCUGUCCAUAGGGCGCCUAAGACUGGGCCGCCCCGUUUCCCCUUUUUGGGUGUUCUAUUUUUUUUGUUCCUUUCUCUUUCUCUUUUAUAUUUCUUUUUUCUAUUUACCUUCUUUAUUUUUAUCUUUUUUCAAUUAAAAAUUUAUAAAAAUAUUCAGAAUUUCAAUUUUUGUUCAAAUAUUCAAAAAUGGUAAUAAUUCAAAAAAACAAUUUCUUGAUUUGAAAAAUGUAUGAAUUUUUUUAAAACUAUUCCGGUUUUGAAAUUUCUCAUUUUUUUAAGAAAUCUUUGUGUUUUUUCAAAAAUUCUGAGUUUUUAUAUAAAGAUUAAUUUUUUUUAUAAAUGUUCCAUAUUUUAAUAUAUUCUUAUUUUAGUUAAAUGUUCACAAGUACAAAAUAAUAUUUUCAUCUAAUAAAACAUUUCCGAAAAUUGUUUUAAAUUCCCCCUUUUAAAAAAUCCAAAAAUUCACCAAAUUGUGUGUUUUUAUAAAAUUUUCAUGUUUUCAAAAUAUUUUUGUGAAUUUCAAAAAUAUUAAUGUUUCUAAUUUUGUUCGUGUUUUUCCAAAAAUAAUGGAAAUUUUAAAAAACGGUUGUUCGCAUUUUUUUCAAAAUUGUUCAGGAUUUAAAUAAUUGUUCAUGUUUCCAAGAAUAUUCGCCAAUUUAUUUUUUUAAUGUUUGAAAAAAAUAUUUCUAAUCUGACGCCAUUGGCAGUGCGUGUUCGUUCUAUGCUGGUUGACUAUAAAUAAAAGUAAUUAUGGGCACGUGCCAACAAAAGAGAAUAUGUUGUUUGGCUUUAAUUAGAGAAAAAAAUAUGGGCAAUUGUGCACUAAAAUAAUCAAAAAGAAUAAACCCUCAAAAAGAAGGAGCAUUCAUGCCUGAUUAUGCUAAUAAAAUGUGAUUUAUGCGUUGCAAUUAAUAAUCCACCUAGUUACGCCGUCGUAGGAAAUAGUGGUCGAGACAACCGUGUCCGAAGGUUGUCUCACAGCCACCAAAUAAGGAGGCAGGCACAAUCCCAAGUUGAGUGCUCGCUACCACGCUGACCAACCGCAUCACUAUCAAGAUUUCCCAUGUCAAACAUGUCAAGUGAGAAGACCAUAACAACUUUAUUUGGCGCCUACCAUUGUGGAGACAAUUUUAAUGAUGAAAAAUCUAUUGUCUUUUCCGUUGCUUCUCGCAAAAAAAUAUCUCUCCCGUUGCAACGCAUGGGCAUAUGUGCUAGUCAUUGAAAAAGCAAGAUGACCCAGCAUGGUCUCAUGUCCUGGGGAUGCAGUUGGCCAUGCUACACCACUCUGCGAAUGCGUCACGGCGUGCGUGCACUUCGGUGCCCCAUGCAUCCUCGACAAGCCGGGUGUAGAUCUACUGGUUGUGCCAUAGCGCUAACGCCACCCUCGGCACACUGAAACCGACCGUAUCGAGCGACGAUGAGUGUGUCGCUAACCGCAUCGCAGUGUCCAGAGAUGGUGCUGGAGCUGCGCCACAUUGCUGGUCACCACCCUUUUCCUUUUCAAGUAGUGAAGCGUAACACUUGAUUAAGUAACCGGAUGGUGUGCUAAAUGUAGGUGUCUGGCUGUUUGAAAGAAUAAUUGAGGUGUGCCUGGUCUGUGCCCGCAUUUAAGGGUCCAACUUACCAUGUUCCAGCAGUAGUAACUAUACUAGUCCCUGUGUACUGCCUCUGUUUUUAUUUACUCAGCAUUUUAGCUUUGCUCAAAGUCAAACAUUGCAAACUUUAACAAAGUUUAUAGACAGAAAUAAUAACAUAUACAAUAACAAAUCAAUACCAUUAGAUUCAUUAUCGAAUAUACUUUCACGUCAUAUAGAUUUGCUAUUGUAAAUGUUCAUAUUUCUACUCUUACCAGCAAGAUGCCUGUGCGUUGCACAUAACAUCAAGAUGCAUUUGUAUGACUAGUUUAUCUAGGGAGAGAAAAGGAUGAACGGGGAAGGCCUUAUUUGCAAAUGUGCAGAGGUGUGUGGGUACCAUUUUGCAAAAUUGCCAUAGUUUCCUUCCUAUCCAUCAGAUAUAAAUGGGACGGCCUAUAUUGCGGGAUGGCAGGGACACCAUCGUCACCACCUCUAUUUUUUAUAAGAGUCCAUCAAAUUUAUAUCUGACAGAUAGGAAGGAAACUAUGGAAAUUUGGCAAAAAGAUACCCACACCCCUAUCCACAUUUGCAAAUAAGGCCUUCCCUCAUUCAUCCUUUUCUCCCACAAGAUAAACUACUCAUACAAAUGCAUCUUGAUGUUCUGUGCAACGCACGGGCAUCUUGCUAGUCUACUUUUCUUUUAAAAAAUAGAGUUGGUGAUGAUGGUGUACCUGCCAUCCUGCAAUAUAGGCCGUCCGAUUUAUAUCCAACGGAUAGGAAGGAAAUUAUGGCAAUUUUGCAGAAAGAUACCCACACCUCUCUCCAGAUUUGCAAAUAAGGCCUUCCCUCGUUCAUCCUUUUCUCCCACAAGAUAAACUACUCAUACAAAUGCAUCUUGAUGUUUAAUGCAACGCAUGGGAAUCUUGCUAGUGUAGAUAAAAGGCAGAGUUGGUGAUGAUGGUGUGCCUACCAUCCUGCAAUAUAGGCCAUCCGAUCUAUAUCUAACGGAUAGGAAGGAAACUAUGACAAUUUAGCCGCACUCCUCUCCACAUUUGCAGAUAAGGCCUUCCCCCAUUCAUCCUUUUCUCCCACAAGAUCUUGAUGUUCCAUGCAACGCAUGGGCAUCUUGCUAGUUUUCUAUAAAUUUGGUCAAAUUUUAUGAAGUUUGACUUCAGUCAAACCUAAUAUUCAGAGUAAAUAAAAACAGAGUGAGUAUCUUAUUCCCUGACCAAGAUGGAAGGGAAAGCGAGACAACUUAUUGUUUAUUUGAGCCGUUCAAGUAUAAUCAUGUGGCGUUGAUUAUUUAUCAUUCCUCUCCAACCCUCUUCUCCAUCGAUCAUGCCGCCCUCGGGUCGAGUCCAUCCUCCCGCAUGGCUCAUUUGAACAUUCCGCCGGGUAUCAUUCGCAUGUGGGCCUAGACCAUGCUUGUAUUUCCAAUGUUGUAAUUUUCCUGACAUGCAUACAAACAAAUGGUUUGUUUAAAGUUUCACUUUGCCUCCACUACGUGUCGCUUCCCGUCUUAGUUUUGUCGUCCCAUUCGGUUCAUGCCCCGACACAUCUUGACGAGAUCGAUUGAUGUUGAGAGAUCAAUUGUGUGUCAUGCAAGGAGAUAAAGGUUUGGUUUGUUUCUAUGAUAGAAAUGACCCGCGGGGGGUGGGGGUCGGUGGGGAUCAGAGGGAGUAUAUUGUAUGUUCAUAAGCAAAACGAACGUAUUGUACCCACCCUAGUCCUCUUUCAAUCAAUCUUCGGACCCUGAGAUGAAAUCGAGAGAGAACGAGUGGGUGCAUGUGUGAUACCGAAGGCGGAUUCAAAAUUUUGAACCGGUGAUUAUAGCAUCCGGAAAUCAUAUAUAAAGGGUAUUCAAUGUUCGUUUCACUUUUGAACGUACAAUAUACUCCCUCCGACCCUUUCUAGUUUACAUAUAAGUUUUAUGUGUAGUCAAAGUAUCUCUACUUUGAUCAAACUUAUAGAAAAAAGUAUCAACAUUUAACAACGCCCAAUCAAUAUUGUUAUAUUCGUACGUACUCCUAGAUUUGUAUUCAAACAGAGAUGGUUUCCAAUUUGUUUUCAACCACGUGAAUGUGCUUGUUCUCGCGCAUGCUCUUCCUACUAGGAUUUCUCCACGUAUAGCCAGUCCAAUAGUAACUUUUUAAGCUCCAUGUCCAAUAGUACUAGUGGAGUACUGACAACAUCUGUAGUAGAGUAUGCAGUGCUCAUAGUACUCCCUGUUUCCAUUUAUAUAGGGCCUAAGAGCAAGUACAAUAGUGGGCUUAUAGCCCGCUUACAUGGCACUUUGCCUAUGUGGAGGAGAGAGAUGUGAAAAAGUAAGGGGAGUGAGCUCUCAUGCAAGAGUCUAGCUAUAUACGCAUUCCUAGGUAAAUACAAUAAAUAUGAAGAAAGAGAUAGAGAGGAGAUGGAAAAAAGUAAUAAUACAAUAGCCAACCUUAUUUUUUUUGUGGGAAAUAGCCAACCUGAUAGCCCACACUAUUGUAUGAGUGCAUAUAGAUGAUGGCUAUAGAUGACAUGGCAGUUCCUUAUAGCCAUCGGUUGGCUAUAUUACUAACCAUGCUCUAAUGUGUUUUUCAAAACUGCCUUUGACUAUUGACAAGAUUAAUAGUACAUGAGAUGUAUAAUGUGAAAAUUAUAUCAUUGGAAGCUCCUUUCACAUAUGAAUUUGACCAUAUGCUUUGUGUAAGUUGCAUGUCAUAUAUUAUUACUCUAACAUUUGAUCAAAGUUAGCCUUGAAAAAUGCAUUAGGCCAUGUAUAGUAGAUGGAAGGAAGGAGUAGUAGUGGAAGUGGAUCCUCUGAAGUAGGUAUCCCUGCCUUACCCUCCCUUUCGGUCACUUACUGGCGGACCCCAUGCUUGCUAGGCUCCACAUGUCAGUUACUCAAUGGGUUCGGCCACAUCAGGGGAUCCUCAUCCAUAGUAUACCUCCCUCUGUUUUUAUUUACUCCGCAUAAAACAGAGGGAGUGGUAGUAUAAAUGACACGGGCGGGGGAGGGGAGGGACAUCGGUUUGCUCUCAACUGCGGUCCCACAAGUGAGCGAAAACGCAAGACGAAGCGUGUUCCAUUCGGUGAGCGACGUGGAGGGUCCAGCGUGUCGGGGUGCAACGCGAACGCGACAAGAUCCAUGUACAGUCAAAACCGAUUGACCGGUCGUCACCAGAACCACUAUUCACACCAGAACCUUCGCUGCUCGGCCUACGCCAGCCACUGCCCCAAAACCACACCUCCUCUCCAGCCCAUCCCCCCACCUUUCGAUCCCCUAGCCCGCAUCAAGCGUCCCCUAGUUCGUCGGAAAGCCAUGGCGCGCUGCAAGAUCGCGUACUACAAGAUGCUGACGCCGGAGCGCCGCGCAGAAAUCACGGUGGCGGUCGGCGCCACAGACCUCCAUUCCCAAGCUCGCUUUGCGGCGCGCCAAUCCUCGAGUUCUCUGGAGCCAAGCUACAAGGAGGAGGAAGCCGAUCCAAUGUUCAUGGCGGAGGUCACGGCGCAGAAGGCCCUGAAUGGGUAUGAGACAACGGACGUUGACUUCGUGCCGGCGUCCGGGUCCCCCAUGGUUCAGGCAGACCAGCGGUUCAACCUGGUGAUACUAAAGGAGGACUGGGAGGGGGAGGCUCAACUCUACGCGGAGCACACGCAUGCCGCUACCAUCGAGGCUCUCCUGCAGACGGAACCGGAUGUCGUGGAUGUGAACCGGGCGACGGAGACUCAACUUGACGUGGAGCGCACGGAUGCCGCUGCCAUCGAGGCCCUCCUGCAGGCGGAACCGGAUGGACUUGAACCGGGUGGCAGAGGCUCAACUCGACGCAGAGCGUGUGGAUGCCGCUGCCAUCAAGGCCCUCCUGCAGGCGGAACCGGACGUCCUGGACUUGAACCGGGCGGCGAAGGCUCAACUCGACACGGAGCGCGCGGAUGCCGCUGCCUUCGAGGCCCUCUUGAGGCAGAACCGAACAUCCUGGACUUGAACCGGGCGGUGCUCUCAUCCGUGCAGAGCGCCCACAUGCUCCGCGUGAACGAGUAGCUGGAGGCUGACGACAACCAUGGUGCAGAGACACACGUCGACAGCUACGACUGGUUCGCAUCGGCAGCCAAAGACGACGAGGCCGUCUCAUUCCGUGAGCAUUGGUAGUUUUUCUUUAUGUCCUUGUUUUUAUGGGUCUUUUGUUGUGUAAAAAAGCAUAUAUUGUUAUGCAAGUCGCCCGAUUUUCAUCAUUUGGGUCAGUCUACCAUUUCAGGCGGUUGGAUGAAUAUCCUACGUCUCUUAACGCUUCUUUCUCACCUUUUCUUCUUCCCCAACAGACCACCGCAUGGGCCGUACGGAUCCACCCCAACAUGCGGUUGGACAAACAUAAUGUAUGAACGAAAAUUAUGUGUCAGCAGUAGGAUGGCUGAGUUUGGUUUGAUCACAUGAGGUAGCACGUGUCAGUGAGGGGUGCGUUCCCUUGGUUGGGUUUGCGGCAUGCAGGAGCGACUUUGUGAGGGUGCGGUGCGACCGCGGCAUGCAGGAGCGACUGUGUGAGGGUGCAGUGCGACCGCGACAGCCAUGCGCAAGUGUACGUCCUUUUAAUUUUGAAAACUUUAGGCAAGCUUGGCAAAAAUGUGUGGCGAAGUACGGCAAUGCAAGGCCUAGACCCAAACAGGAUACAAGUACGUACGUACUAGGAGUACUAGUGUUAGAAAAGAAAGGUGAGGUUUUCCUUCACGGGAUUAGUUGAUACAAAUCCUUGUUUGACGUGUCAAUUAAUGCGUAUUUGUUUCUCCAAAUCCCAAGGAGCUAACCAUCUCACUCCUCAUCGCUUGAUUAAUGCAGCGCCAUGCAAACCAACCUUCUCAAGUCCGCAUGCAUCAAGGGUAUAUUAAUGUCCUUGGUUGCUAGUAUGAGGCAAACCCCGUCAAUUUUGCCUCGAUUAGUGUUAGUGGCCUUUUGCAAAUUGUAAUUUUGAUAUACUGGCCUUGUGUACAAAAAAUGGAGGUAGUGACUAUUUGACUUCCUUCCCCAUUCGGUGACGUCGACGAUAUCUCGAACGUUGUGGUUUGGCGAAGUGCAUUCGACGGAGAACACCAUUGAGGGAGACCACGGUAAGUCAUUCGCAAGUGCCACGUGCAAGCCGAGAAAACUGCCUUAUUUGCAUCCAGGAAGUCCGUUGAACCAAAGGAUGCAUAAACGUACUAGCACUACUAGUACACAAUAGCAUCAUCCAUCCAACUUAGUGGGGUGAGGUGGUUUCUCGAAGAACACGAUGGAGAAGCGGAGUCAGCGAAGAGUGAAAUGAUGGUUACUUCGUCUGUGCUUUCUGAUUUGAUGCCUCACUGCUUUGUGAUUUGUGAUAGAAGGGACAUGGGAGUAGACUCUGUGCUCUAUAUUGUACAUGCGUCCAAGCACGGGAGAAAGAGGAGAGACGUUGCAUUUUUUAUUCCUUCAAUCAAUCAAUCAGGGAGCUUCGGUUCCAUCUUUUUGGCUUUGGCAGCGCCGUCCACAAUGGUUCCCAUCGAUGCCAAAAGCUAUUUUCACAUUGGCCUACACAUUGUGGAUGCCCUUAACCGUACCACUUGGUUUUGCUCCUGUGUGCUAUCUAUACAAAUCUCAAUUAUAUUGAUCUAAAAAAUUAUAGAAUCAAGAUUAGUAAAAAAGGAGGUGAUUUUGCCGCGCGGAUGGCGGGGGAGGUUUCCUAUUUUUAGAGGACGUUGGCCUGGAAGUUUGCUAACAUGCAGUCCCACGUGCCAGUGCUUUACCAAGCCGAUUCGCGUCCCACAUGAGGCAGAACAACGUCAGAAGCAACACGUAGUUAACUUGAAGAAGAUGAGAAGCGGAUUCAACAGCAAGUGAAAUGAUGGUUGCUUCGCCCUUCCAACUUCUUUUUUUAGCAUUAUUACUUCGUCCCUCCAACUUAACUACAGGAAAGGUGCAGCUUGUGAUUUGAUGCCUCAUUGCUCAUUACUACGACGGUGCCAUGACUGGGGUGCUUCACCCCUGCUGCUCUGCACUGUAUUUCGGUAUGGCACGUGGACCCGGUAGCUUUAUGUCCCACAUGUCGGCGAAAGGGACUAGAACAUUUAUGAAAGCGAGCGCUCCACUCUUAUGACGGAGGAGUACACGACACGGCGGCCUAGUGAACUGUUACUUGUACUGUAUAGUACUAUAGUAUUGCUGGUUCACGCGAUCCAUCGAUACAAAACCGAUUAAACAGGAAAGGGCGGGAUUUUUCCCACGCGGUAGAUGAUACUGACCAUACAUUUCAAUGGCAAUUUUAAUGUAUGCAAACUGAAUAAUUAAGUAACAAUAUGAUAUAUAGUAAAACUAAAAACACAUAUGAUUUAUUGUGUUAGAGUGUAGUAGUAGUGUUGUAUUGCAUAGUUGUUAGAUGUAACAUGCGAGAACGUGUAGAGAUGUAGUUUUGGAGGGCCUACAGAGAGAAAAGCGUAAUACAGUCACCGGAAAUCAGAAUACGCUCAUUACGGUCACUAUAUAUGUUUUGCGGUGAUUAUAUGAUCACUUGCUCACCAUUCAGCAUCGGAUUGCACUCUGUUGACCGGCCAAAUAGUCUGUGUCACCAUGUUGACUAGUUAAAUUGACCAUGUUCCUUGUGGGUCCCACCUGUUAGUUCGCAUAGGAAAAAGGUCAGAUAAACACAAAUUUACGUAGGCGCGACAAGACUCUAACCCAUGCGCGGGAACCACCUAGUUGUGUAUGUGUCUAUCAGGGCCUGAUGUGUGCGCAUGCACGUGUAGGUUGAGCACUUGAGCGUGAGAGAGUGUGUUGGUCAUGUGGUGUGUGCGUGUGUGCGUGUGAGUGUUGCAUGUGUGCGUGGCUGCAUGUGUAUGUGUGAGUGUUGCGUGCGUGCGUGGCUGCAUGUGUUUGUGUGAGUGUUGCGUGCAUGCAAUUCGUGUGCAUUCGUGCGUGUGUGUAUAAUCACCACACCAGCUCCUGUGUGUUAAAACAGACAUCUCAGCAUACCAAUACAAGGCCACCUUGUCUGUUGUGCCCGUGGUCAUGACUUCGAACCACCGUCCAAUAUUUUUUUGUCGUUUGUUUUCAUUCUUACUAGCAAGAUGCCCGUGCGUUGCAUGCAACAUCAAGAUGUAGUUGUAUGACUAGUUUAUCUUGUGAGAGAAAAGGAUGAACGAGGGAAGGCCUUAUUUGCAAAUGUGGAGAGGUGUGUGGGUACCUUUUUGCAAAAUUACCAUAGUUUCCUUCCUAUCAGUCAGAUAUAAAUCAGACGGCCUAUAUUGCAGGAUGGCAGGCACACCAUCAUCACCAACUCUGUUUUUUAUAAGAGUGUAGAGUAGAUACAAGCCGACAGGUGGGCCCAAUGGUAGUGAGAUAAUGUGAUGCAACACUAGAGGUGCCACGUGGAGCGUUUAACUGGUCAACUAGUCGUGUCUUGAGCAAAUACAGAGCUAUACGGUGAGCCCGUGACUGUAUAAUAACCACAAAACAUAAAUGGUGACCGUAAUAAGUGGAUUCUGAAGUCCAAUGUAUGUAUCGUGCUUUUGCUUGAAAUACAAUGAUUGUCACUGUAUAUAUCACGAGAGAAAGAUGGAACAUGCGUGAAUGUGCUGGGGGCGUACUUUUAGAGGACUUGGAGCUAGUUUGUGUGCGUACGUGAAAGGGGCAUAGAGGGGGUGUAUGUGAUGGAGAGAGAUGCUCUUCAUUUCUCUUUAUUAUGACUAACUUUAUACACAGUAUAAAAAUAUAAAAAUUCACAGUGCGGAAUAAAUAUCAUUGUGGGCACCAUGCAAUGCAAAUUAACGUUCAUACUCCUCCAUAUAACUUUGUAAUGUUGUAUAUAUGUAGAAAUUCUAAAAUAUUUUUUGGCCGCACUUUAUUCAAAAGGAAUGUUGUAUGCGAAAUAAAUGUGAAGAGAGGGCUUUUUAGAUCAAUGGGGUACAUGAUGUAACAUGUGUGAAUGUGUAGUUGAUGUAUUUGGUAGGGACUAGAGAGGUAUGUGUGUGUAUUACGUAUUCGAGAGAGGCAUGGAUAGAGGGGCCGGCGUGGAGAGGGGGCGUGGGAGAGAUAGCAUGAGAAAUGAGAGAGGUCUAGAGAGAGAGAGACGAAUAUGAUGUCAUGGCGAGAGAUUCCCUUGAGUGUGUAUAUGCAAGGGGGGGCAUAGAGGCAUAAGGAGAAUUUUUGUGUGUGGCGUCCGUGUUGGUAUGUGUGUGCAGAGGGUGUGUCACCGCGUGAGGUCCGGUGGGCCGAGGUGAGGCCCUUGGUUCGGUUCCAUCCUGCGCCACAUUGGUCGACCCAUGAUGCAUUUAGGGAGACCCAUGGAUGACUAAUCGUACAAGACAAAGAUAGCAGAAUCGUGAAGGACUCUGUGUCCACUAACAAAGCCGACUAGGAAUUGUAACCCUAGGUCCUCGGACUAAGGUCACCCAUUAUCUCUGAUAUUGCUAUUCAUCCAACCUAACUUUCAGGGGCAUCCUACAGAAUGCUCUUCUAGAAUCAUACUCGUCGAUUAGGAAGAGAGGUGUGAGACAAUGCGUGAGAGACAGGCCUAAAGAUAAUGUGUGUAGAGGAGACACGUAGGCAGGUCUAUGUAUAUAGAAAGGGUCAAUGGGGAUUGUGCGUGUGUAUGCUUGUGAGAGGAAGAGUGCUUGUGAUAAAGGUUAGUGAAAACAGUCGUAAAUGGUUACGAGAGGGAGGGAGGGUUAUAUCGAGAGCAUGUCUAUGAGAAAGACACCUCGGGAGAGUGUGUACGAGCAUGUGUGAGAGACCACCGAUGGAGAGUGAAACUACACGUAAAAGACUAUUGUACACAUUGAUUAAAGAUAUAAAUUGUAUCCAAAUAUUAGGAUGGGAUCAUGAUAUAUGCAAUUCGCGUAAGGAACGGUUAUUGAUCCAUCAUACAUCUAGAUUAUAUCGAAUUUGAGCAUGUCUAUGUUAUUAUUCGACAUAAUUGAUCCACAUUGUUAGUAUUUUGAACUCCAGACAAUGCAUCACUUUAGCAAUCGAAUAUAAACGUGAGUAUAGUUCAUGUUGUGUGUUUAAAGCACAUUAUACAUAUGAAAGUUACACAAUGAACAUUAUAAAUAGCUAGGUAUGAACUAGAAUACAGUUGAAUUCAACUUAAGGUGGUUUAAAAAAAUCGAAUUCAACAUGAAGUCCAUUCAAUUAUUUGAAUUCGAUAUCAUGGCAUUUGUAAAUCAUACCUAAAUUAUGGGGCACCAAUCUUUGCUCUGCUUUUGUACAUAAUAGCAUAUAUAGUCCUGUACAAAAUAGAUUCAAAUUUAGUUCCUCCAUUCCAAAAUAAUCAUAGUUAUAGGAUUUUCAAGUGUCAAAACUUCAAAAAGAAGCAGAUAAUUUAAUGAGGUUUUCAAACAUACAAGGUCAAAUUUAACGUUGUCUAUUUAGAUCAAUCCUCAAAGUUCAAGAGUACUUAAACGUGAAUGCUUCUAUUUCAAACUUUCGAACAAAGCGCCAAAAGAGCCUCUACUCGCCCGAAACUACGUGAGACCAAUGUUUGGUAGUAGAAGGAAAUUAUGUUUCUAACUCCGACACGUGAAACCUACCGGCCCGACAUCCAAAGGUCUAAACCGGGUUAGGUUUAUAGCUUCAUCUAGACGCCACGCAACCGCCUCCGAAAAACAUUCAUACACGAUGGCCGCCUAAGCACACAUGCGCGCGGCCGAAAUCGCUCCCGCUCACUAUUUGGGACACCUGGGAUUACCAUCCUACCGCCGACCCGUAGUAGGUCCAAAAUUUAAGAGGGGGGCAAAGUUUGUACUUUCCCCAAAUUCCAAACAAGCACGUCCCAUCUGUUCAAAAAAGCCAAAAACAAGCGCGUCCCAGACCGAAACAUGGUUCUACCUUCGCUCCCCCUCCCCCGUCCGAUUCCCCAUUCGUACUCCAUGGGCUCCUAAACUACCUCUCCACCAGCCGUGGAACCCCGACGUCCUCCGUCCGCCACCCCAUCCCACCCAUCAACCACCGCCCUCCUCCAUCACGCCAAAGCCGAUACCCCGACAUCAUCGUCCACCGCAACCUCAACCGCAACGCCCUCCACGGAUAGCAGUUGAAGCCGAGGCGGAGCUGUCCGUACCCGAGCCAGUUCAAGCACGUCGUCCUGCGCCUCACCGCUGCCGCUCCAACUUCGCCACAGUCCACCGCACUGGAGUUGUUCCUUCUACGCCGUCCUUCGCCGCCUCAGAUCUGCUUCCCCUCCGCCGACAUACGGCCACGGCAACACAGUCAACAAUUUAGCCAUGGGUUUGUCCAAAGCUGCACCCUCCUCCAAAACAUCGGUUUCCCUGACAAAAAGAAGAAAAUCGCCGUGACAUAUGAAGGACACAAUACUGGCAACCGGAAAUGGUACUCCUCUUCCCUUAUUCGUGCAAAUUUUACGUGUCUGCUUGCACGAUAUUCAUCCCACAGAAGACACUAGUUGACCGCUCCUUCUUGAUACUAGAAGUUCCUAGUAACUCGCAAUGCACAAGGUUUCUCCUCAUAUACUAUUUCACCUUAACUAGAGGUCCGUCGCCCACUGGAUUUCAAUUCCUGGUCAGUUGAUUCCCAAUUAACGGAGGCAUUCCCUAGCGUAACAGACGCUAGUCCACCUAUUACAUCGAGGAAGCAACGCCUCGGUGUUUAUCUUAGGGGCGUGUGGGGCCUAGAGCUGCUGGCACCCGAUCUGGAGGUCGGCCUAGAUUAAAGGGAUGGCCUGGGGGCGCUGCCAAGCACGGCGGUGGUGUGAGGUCGAGGGGAGGGCAGGGUGGCGGAGACAGGGGUCUGAGCCGGUGGUCGCUGGCGGUUCGAGAAAGAUCGUGAACACUGACUGGCGGGAGGUAGACGAAGGCCAUCUGCCCGUUCCUUAUAGAUCAGACGGUUCAUAAAAAAUCGACUGGCCUAUUUAUUUUCAAUCGACUGUUAUUUUGAUAGGACCACAUGUGGUGGUGUGCUGGAGGAGUACCUGCAUUUCCCAGCCAUCCCUAUGCUCAUAUAUUACAAAAUCGUACGGAGUAGAAUCUAAUUUUUGUUUGCCAUGCAAUGUUGUAGAGCUAUCAUAUGUCUCCUGUCAUUUAUUUUUCAGCCACCUGCUAUCUGCUACUUUUACAGUGCACUAGUUCUGUACACACUUCACCCAUACUCCCACUAUUGUGUUUUUAUGCAAGGGUAUUUCAGACUCUGCUGCCUUGACAGAAGCAUAAAAGAAAAGAGAGAAGUCGCUCCAGUUUGGUACGUGGUUAGGCCAGACACGUUUCAGCAAUUUAAAGAGUGUAGUGUCAGCAGAUGGAGACGGUAAACGUAGCUCUGAAGUUGAUGAUCUCACUCGCAAUGAACCACCAUCCCAGGUGCCUGCUUGACCUUCGCAGUGUCAUAUGUGGUUGCAUGUUGCACAUGGUGUCUAGCUUGUAUUCGAAAGGCCGAAGUUGGCCUUCAUUAAGAUAAGGAAAUAUAUAUUUUACAUGAACCACCAUCCCGGGAGCACCAGAAAGAAGACAAAUAGCUAGUCAGGUCACUGGCCGAGCCAGUGACAAGCCCAACACAGACAUGCAUCACCUGGAAGCCAACUAAAAAGCCACGAUGGUGGCGAAGCAGCGAGCCUCCCACCAGGCUCUUAGGUCCUCGAUGAUCAUGCUCACCACUCCAGCCGGAUGUCUAGCUUGUAUUGCUUCCAAUUUGGUUAAAUUGCAUCUGCUUACCUUACACAUUAUACCUUUGAAUAUGACAUGCAUUCCUAUUUUUGGUACAUACUAGUACAUGUGUCUAUUAACCAUGUUUUUACAUCAAACUAAUGUUCUUGUGUAUCCCUCAUCAAUCACUUAUGAUGAGACAACCACCCUAGUGGGUUACUUUGAGAAAAGAUUCUCUUUUGAAGAAUGCAGUGUCAGCCACCCCACAUGAUUCUCAAGAAACAACAAGGCUAGAUAAAGAUAGUGAACGUAGCUCUAUAGUUGAUGACCGCAUUUCCCCUACACCAGCAUCGUAGGUGCUUUCUCUAACUUGGUAGCAUGAUAUGUGGUUGCAUGUUGCAUAUGGUGUCUAGAUUGUAAUUCUUCCAAUAUGGUUAAAUUGCAUGUGCUAUUCUGCUUAGUUUAUACAUUAUACCUGUUAAUGUGACAUGUCUUCCUGUUUUUAGUACAUAGUACAUCUAUCUAUUAAGCAUGUCCUUACAAAAAAUAUUGUUUUUUGUAUCCCGCAUGAAUCAAUAUGAUGAGACACCUUUAGUAUAUGCAGUGUGAUAUUAGUUGCAUCUUUCAUAUGAUUUAUAGCAUGUGCUGCUUCUAAUUUGUUGAAACGCCAUUUAUGAUGGGACGCUUUUAACUUGGCAGAGUCGUAUUGGUUGCAUCUUUCAUGUGGUGUCUAGCUUGCAUUGAUUCUUAUUUAUUGAAAUGGCUUCUGCUUAGUUUACACAAGCAGUUGUGAAUAUGCCACGACGUCCUAUUUUUCAUACAUAUUCCAUCCUGGUAUCAUGUGUUUGCCUUACAUCAAAGUAGUGAUUGUCAGUACCAUGCACGAAUGAGUUCCGAAGAGUGAAUUUUGUUGCUUUUUCUUGUCGGUUUUACUUGACAAUUCAAAAUUAAUAAAGCGGACGGAAAGUAGCAAGGCAGCGGAUAUAGGUGCUCCUUCCANNNNNNNNNNNNNNNNNNNNNNNNNNNNNNNNNNNNNNNNNNNNNNNNNNNNNNNNNNNNNNNNNNNNNNNNNNNNNNNNNNNNNNNNNNNNNNNNNNNNNNNNNNNNNNNNNNNNNNNNNNNNNNNNNNNNNNNNNNNNNNNNNNNNNNNNNNNNNNNNNNNNNNNNNNNNNNNNNNNNNNNNNNNNNNNNNNNNNNNNNNNNNNNNNNNNNNNNNNNNNNNNNNNNNNNNNNNNNNNNNNNNNNNNNNNNNNNNNNNNNNNNNNAGACACUCAAUGUAGCUGUGUUGAUGAUGACCACGUCUCCCCUAGUGCACCAUCACAGGUGCUCCCUCUAACUUGGCACUGUUAUAUGUGGUUGCAUGUUAUGUAUGAUGUCUAGCUUGUAUUGCUUCUAAUUUUGUUGAAUUCCAUCUGCUUACUUUACACAUUAUACUCGUGAAUAAGACGCAUGUUCCUGUUUCUAGAACAUACAAUAUCUUUCUAUCACACCAUGUUCUUACAUCAAAGUACUACUGUUGUGUAACCUGCAACAAUCACUUAUCAUAAGACACGUUUGACUUGGGAGUGUGAUAUAGGUUACAUCUCGCAUUCUUUUCUAGCUUGUACUACUUCUAAUUUGUUGAAAUGGCACUCAUGACGAGACAAUUUUAACUUGGUAGAGUGAUAUUCGUUGCAUCUUUCAUAUGGUGUCUAGCUUUCAUUGCUUCUAAUUUGUUGAAAUGUCUUCUCCUUAGUUUACACAUCAUAAGUUGUGAAUAUGCAAUGAUGUGAAUAUGCAAUGGCACUAAUGACGAGAGACCUUUAACUUGGUAGUGUGAUGUUGUUUGCAUCUUGCAUAUGAUUUAUUUGUUGUACUACUUCACAUUUGUUUAAACGCCAUUUAUGACGAGACACUGUUAACUUGGCAGAGCGAUAUUUGUAGCAUAUUUCAUAUGGUGUCUACCUUACAUUGCAUUGCUUCUAAUUUAGUGAAAUGUCUUCUACUUAGUAUACACAUCAUAGUUCUGGUUAUCUCAUGUCGUCCUGUUUUUCAUACAUAUUACAUCCUCCUAUCAUGUGGUUGUCUAACAACAAAGUUUAGUUUGUCUGUAUCACGCAUCAAUUUUUUUUGAAGAACUAAAUUGUUAUUCAUUUUUCUUGUCGGCUUGACUUAACAUGGCACAGAGAAAGAGGAAGGAACACAGAAUGACACGGAAAGGGAAGCAGAAGAAUCCUACAGAUUCUGCUGGUACUGAUGGUGCAAUAGAAGCUCAAAGUCCAACGAAAAAUUGUACAAACAGAGUAUCCCGUGCUACAUGAGUUGCAGAACAAGCCAAACAGAAACCAAUAGCUGCCACCAAAAAAGCAGAGACAGCCCAAGUUGUUGCAACACCUUCCACAGUACCACCAACUGCACGAGUUACUCAUUGGUCAACUCAGCUAGUAGCACGUUCCCAACCUCCCUUGCCACCUGUCACUACUUCCAAAGCACUCUUGAUACAAGACGAGUUGGCAAGAUCAGAUGAACUUUGUGAGCUUCAACGGCAAGAAGGUAGUUGCUGGAGUCAAGUUAUAGUUGCAUGCUUCUUUAUAUGUAGUCUCACAGUUUGAUGUACACUAACACUUCCUAUGUUUGUUGUUGGACUAGCACCUAGGCGCAAGAGGAAACAAACAUCAAGAAUAAUGCUCGAUAGGUUAACUAAAUCUAGAGGAGGAAGAAUGGAGAUCCGCUUUGAGGCAGGUUUAAAAAGGCCACGUGAUGCUACAGAGUCAGCCAAGUUAGUAUCAGAGGCAGCAGUUACCGCUAGGUGUCAUGUACGUAUCCUCCCAACAUGGAUUCAAUACAGGAAUGACAAAGACAAAACCCAGUUCAACACCUUCCUCGACCAUUUAUCUAUAAGUAUGGUUAUGUAUGGAAACUAGUAAUAUCGUCUUGCUCUGUCCCAUACUUUCUAGGUUGCUGAUAAUGAGACUCCCAUGAUUUUCAACAAGUGAGGUUCAAGUUGUAUAACGCCCAAGAUGCGAUUCUAUCCCAAUCGCGUGAUGAAUUCAUGAUUGGGGCACAACCACAUUUCGAGCGCAUAGCAAGGUGGAUAUCAUUACAACAUACCAUGUACAGAAUAGAUGAGAAUACAAGAUAAAGGCUUACACUUGCCACAAAUUACAUCAUUCAUACAACAAUACAUCAAUACAUGGCAACCAUCAUACAGAAGAGCAGGAUCCGACUACGGAUGAAAUCAAUGAAAAAUAAGAACGACAUCCACCCUGCUAAUCCCAGGUUCCCCGACCCGGAACCAAUCCCUUGAUCUUAGAACAAGAACCAUAAGAACUCCAAACAAGCAAGCAUCACACUCGCAUCAUAUCAUCGCAUUACCUGUACCUGCAACUGUUAUUGUAGUAAUUUGUGAGCCACGAGGACUCAGCAAUCUCAUUACCAUGGGUAUCGAGACUAGCAAAGCAGUGAGGUUGCAGCAAACGACUAAGCAAUAUAUGGUGGCUAACUUACAAGUACAAGAGUAAGAUGAGAAACUACGCAACAGUCGCAAACUAGUAAUGAUCAAGAAGUGAUCCUGAACUACUUACGUUCAAACAUAACCCAACUGUGUUCUCCUCUCGAACUUCCCCGAAAAGAGAUAGUCACGGUUACGCACGCGGUUGGUGUAUUUUAAUUGAGUUUACUUCAAGUCCUCUACAACCGGAUAUUAACAAAUUCCCAUCUGCCACAUAACCGCGGGCACCACUCCCGAAAGAUGAAACCCUGCAGGGGUGUCCCAACUUAGCCCAUGACAACCUCACGAUCCGCGGAGACAAUCCUCCAUCGCGGGGCACCCAAUCAGAAUCGGAAUCCCGGUGCACAAGACAUUUCGACAAUGGUAAAACUAGUCCAGCAAAACCUCCCGAUGCACUGACCUAGCCUGAUAGGAGUUGCGCGGUCUCGUUCUCAGGGUACACCACAUGAGUGAAGCAUACAGGUAUAUACCAAAUACCCCAAGUUGCCAAGGGUCGGCCCUGCACGAUGCUCUAGUUUGGACCAACACUCAUGUGGAGCACUGGCCCGGGGGUUGAAUUAAGUCCACGGGGGCCGGCAAGUCCCUAUGCAAGUUUUAGUUGUUAUUAGGCAACUGUUAAAACCAAUGUUGGGCCUUGCUGGAAGAGUUUUAUUCAAAGUGAACUGUCAAGAGGGUCCCAUACCCCUCAUCGUGUUAGGGACGCAAAAUCAGGGAACAUAACAUUGGUAUGACGGAAACUAGGGCGGCAAGAGUGGAACAAAACACCAGGCAUUGAUACGUCUCAAACGUAUCUAUAAUUUUUUAUUGUUCCAUGCUAUUAUAUUAUCUGUUUUGGAUGUUUAAUGGGCUUUAUUAUACACUUCUAUAUUAUUUUUGGGACUAACCUACUAACCCAAGGCCCAGUGCAAAUUGUUGUUAUUUGCAUAUUUCAGUGUUUAGCAGAAAAGGAAUAUCAAACGGAAUCCAAACGGAAUGAAACCUUUGGGAGAGUUAUUUUUGGAACAAACGUGAUCCACGGGACUUGAAGUAGACGUCAAAAAAGAAGCGAGGAGGCCACAAUGUAGGGAGGCAUGCCCCCACCCUCGUGGGCCCCUCGCAGCUCCACCGAUCUACUUCUUCCUCCUAUAUAUAUAUCCAUAUACCCCGAAAACAUCCAGUAGCAACACGAAACCCUAUUUCCAACAUCUCAACCUUCUGUACCCAAGAGAUCCCAUCUUGGGGCCUUUUCCGGAGCUCCGCCGGAGGGGGAAUCGAUCACGGAGGGCUUCUACAUCAACACCAUAGCCUCUCCGAUUAUGUGUGAGUAGUUUACCACAGACCUUCGGGUCCAUAGUUAUUAGCUAGAUGGCUUCUUCUCUCUCUUUGGAUCUCAAUACAAAGUUCUCCAUGAUCUUCUUGGAGAUCUAUUCGAUGUAAUUCUUUUUGAUGUGUGUUUGUCGAGAUCCAAUGAAUUGUGGGUUUAUGAUCAAGUUUAUCUAUGAACUAUAUUUGAUUCUUCUCUGAAAUCUUUUUGGUAUGAUUUGUUAUCUUUGCAAGUCUCUUUGAAUUAUCAGUUUGGUUUGGCCUACUAGAUUGAUCAUUCUUGAAAUGGGAGAAGUGCUUAGCUUUGGGUUCAAUCUUGCAGUGUCCUUUCUCAGUGACAACAGGGGCAGCAAGUCACGUAUUGUAUUGUUGCCAUCGAGGAUAAAAAGAUGGGGUUUAUAUCAUAUUGCUUGAUUUUAUCCCUCUACAUCAUGUCAUCUUGCCUAAUGCGUUACUCUAUUCUUAUGAAAUUAAUACUCUAGAUGCAUGCUGGAUAGCGGUCGACAUGUGGAGUAAUAGUAGUAGAUGCAAAAAAAUUUCGGUCUACUUAUCGCGGACAUGAUGCCUCUAUACAUGAUCAUGCCUAGAUAUUCUCAUAAUUAUGCACUUUUCGAUCAAUUGCUCGACAGUAAUUUGUUCACCCACCGUAAUACUUAUGCUAUCUUGAGAGAAGCCACUAGUGAAACCUAUGGCCCCCGGGUCUAUCUUUUAUCAUGUAAGUUUCCAAUCUAUUUCACUUUGCAAUCUUUACUUUCAAUCUAUAUCAUAAAAAUACGAAAAAUAUUUAUCUUAUUAUCUCUAUCAGAUCUCACUCUCGUAAGUGACCGUGAAGGGAUUGGCAACCCUUUUAUCGCGUUGGUUGCGAGGUUCUUAUUUUUUUGUGCAGGUAUGAGGGACUUGCAUGUAGUCUCCUACUGGAUUGAUACCUUGGUUCUCAAAAACUGUGGGAAAUACUUACGCUACUUUGCUGCAUCACCCUUUCCUCUUCAAGGGAAAACCAACGCAGUGCUUGAGAGAACCUUUGGGAAGACUUGGGGGAAGUUUUUUGGUUCUGUUUAGUAAUAAAUAAUUCAUCCAGACUCUGUUUAGAUGUGGUUUAUGCUUUUAAUUAGUGUUUUUGCCAAGUAGAACCUUUGGGAAGACUUGGGGGAAGUUUUUGCGAUCUUCCUGUAAAAAACAGAAACUUUAGCGCUCACAAGAUUUGCUGCCAUUUUUUACUGGACAGUGAGAUUAGGUUGAUUAUUUUUGCAGAUGAUUAAUAGAAAAAUUACUAACAUCCACCAAUUUAUUUCAGAAUUUUUGGGGUUACAUAAGUAUUCAAAAUCUACAGAUUACUACACAUUGUUCUGUUUUUGACAGAUUCUGCUUUCGUGUGUUGUUUGCUUAUUUUGAUGAAUCUAUGGCUAGUAUCGGAGGGUAUGAACCAUAGACAAGUUGGAAUACAGUCGGUUUAACACAAAUAUAAAUAAAGAAUGAUUUCAUUAUAGUACCUUAAGUGGUGGUUUCUUUUCUUAUACUAACGGAGCUCAUGAGAUUUUCUGUUGAGUUUUGUGUUCUGAAGUUUUCAAGUUUUGGGUAAAGAUUUGAUGGAUUAUGGAAUAAGGAGUGGCAAGAGCCUAAGAUUGGGGAUUCCCAAGGCACCCCAAGGUAAAAUUCAAGGACAACCAAAAGCCUAAGCUUGGGGAUGCCCCGGAAGGCACCCCCUCUUUCGUCUUCGUUCAUCGAUAACUUUACUUGAGGUUAUAUUUUUAUUCACCACAUGAUAUGUGUUUUGCUUGGAGUGUCUUGUAUGAUUUGAGUCUUUGCUUUUUAGUUUACCACAAUCAUCCUUGCUGUACACACCUUUUGGGAGAUACACACAUGAAUCAGAAUUUAUUAGAAUACUCUAUGUGCUUCACUUAUAUCUUUUGAGCUAGACAAUUUUGCUCUAGUGCUUCACUUAUAUCUUUUAGAGCAUGGUGGUGGUUUUAUUUUAUAGAAAUUAUUGAUCUCUCAUGCUUCACUUAUAUCAUUCUGAGAGUCCUUUAGAAAAGCAUGGUAAUUUGCUUUGGUUAUAAAAUUGGUCCUAAUAUGAUAGGCAUCCAGGAUGGGUAUAAUAAAAAAACUAUCAUAAAAAGUGCAUUGAAUACUAUGAGAAGUUUGAUACUUGAUAAUUGUUUUGAGAUAUAAAGAUGGUGAUAUUAGAGUUGUGCUAGUUGAGUAGUUGUGAAUUUGAGAAAUACAUGUGUUGAAGAUUGCAAGUCCCGUAGCAUGCACGUAUGGUAAUCGUUAUGUAACAAAUUUGAAACAUGAGGUGUUCUUUGAUUGUCUUCCUUAUGAGUGGCGGUCGGGGACGAGCGAUGGUCUUUUCUUACGAAUCUAUCCCCCUAGGAGCAUGCGCGUAAUUCUUGGUUUUUGAUGACUUGUAGAUUUUUGCAAUAAGUAUGUGAGUUCUUUAUGACUAAUGUUGAGUCCAUGGAUUAUACGCACUCUCACCUUUCCAUCAUUGCUAGCCUCUUCGGUACCAUGCAUUGCCCUUUAUCACCUAGAGAGUUGGUGCAAACUUCGUCGGUGCAUCCAAACCCCGUGAUAUGAUACACUCUAUCACACAUAAACCUCCUUAUAUCUUCCUCAAAACAGCCACCAUACCUACCUAUUAUGGCAUUUCCAUAGCUAUUCCGAGAUAUAUUGCCAUGCAACUUUCCAUCGUUUCAUUUGUGACACGCUUCAUCAUUGUCAUAUUGCCUUGCAUGAUCAUGUAGUUGACAUCGUAUUUGUGGCAAAGCCACCAUGCAUAAUUUAUCAUACAUGUCACUCUUGAUUCAUUGCCCUUCCCGGUACACCGCCGGAGGCAUUCAUAUAAAGUCAUAUUUUGUUCUAGUAUCGAGUUGUAAUCAUUGAGUUGUAAAUAAAUAGAAGUGUGAUGAUCAUCAUUAAUAGAGCAUUGUCCCAAAUAAAAAAAGGAAAGGCCAAAUAAAAAAAGAAAGGCCCAAAACAUGAAAAAAAAUGAAAAAAGAGAAAUAAAAAGGGACAAUUCUACUAUCCUUUUUUCCACACUUGUGCUUCAAAGUAGCACCAUGAUCUUUAUGAUAGAGAGUCUCUUGUUUUGUCACUUCAAUAUACUAGUGGGAAUUUUUCAUUAUAGAACUUGGCUUGUAUAUUCCAACAAUGGGCUUCCUCAAAUGCCCUAGGUCUUCGUGAGCAAGCAAGUUGGAUGCACACCCACUUAGUUUCUUUUGUUGAGCUUUCACACAUUUAUAGCUCUAGUCCAUCCGUUGCAUGGAAAUCCCUACUCCUUGCAUUGACAUCAAUUGAUGGGCGUCUCCCUAGCCCGUUGAUUAGCUGCGUCGAUGUGAGACUUUCUCCUUUUUUUGUCUUCUCCACAUAACCCCCAUCAUUAUAUUCUAUUCCAUCCAUAGUGCUAUAUCCAUGGCUCACGCUCAUGUAUUGCGUGAAAAUUGAAAAAAGUUUGAGAUUACUAAAGUAUGAAACAAUUGCUUGGCUUGUCAUCGGGGUUGUGCAUGAUGAGAGCAUUCUUGUGUGACGAAAAUGGAGCAUGAUCAAACUAUAUGAUUUUGUAGGGAUGAACUUUCUUUGGCCAUGUUAUUUCGAGAAGACAUGAUUGCUUAGUUAGUAUGCUUGAAGUAUUAUUAUUUCUAUGUCAAUAUUAAACUUUUGUCUUGAAUCCCUCAUAUCUGAAUAUUCACGCCACAAUAAAUAAAAUUACAUUGAGAAUUAUUCUAGGUAGCAUCCCACAUCAAAAAUUCUGUUUUUAUCAUUUACCUACUCGAGGACGAGCAGGAAUUAACCUUGGGGAUGCUUGAUACGUCUCCAACGUAUCUAUAAUUUUUGAUUGUUCCAUGAUAUUAUAUUAUAUUUUUUGGAUGUUUAAUGGGCUUUAUUACACUCUUUUAUAUUAUUUUUGGGACUAACCUACUAACCCAAGGACACAUGCAAAUUGUUGUUUUUUGCCUAUUUUGGUGGUUCGCAGAAAAGGAAUAUCAAAUGGAAUCCAAACGGAAUGAAACCUUCGGGAGAGUUGUUUUUGGAACAAACGUGAUCCAGGGGACUUGGAGUAGAUGUCAAGGAAGAAGCGAGGAGGCCACGAGGCAGGGAGGCAUGCCUGCCCCCCUGGGCGCGCCCCCUACCCUCGUGGGCCCCUCGCAGCUCCACCGACCUACUUCUUCCUCCUAUAUAUCCAUAUACCCCGAAAACAUCCAGGAGCACCACGAAACCUUAUUUCCACCGCCACAACCUUCUGUACCCAAGAGAUCCCAUCUUGGUGCCUUUUCCGGAGCUCCGCCGGAGGGGGAAUCGAUCACGGAGGGCUUCUACAUCGACACCAAAGCCUCUCCGAUGAUGUGUGAGUAGUUUACCACAGACCUUCAGGUCCAUAGUUAUUAGCUAGAUGGCUUAUUAUCUCUCUUUGGAUCUCAAUACAAAGUUCUCCUCGAUCCUCUUGGAGAUCUAUUCGAUGUAAUUCUUUUUGCGGUGUGUUUGUCGAGAUCCGAUGAAUUGUGGGUUUAUGAUCAAGUUUAUCUAUGAACAAUAUUUGCUUCUUCUCUGAAAUCUUUUAUCUAUGAUUUGUUAUCUUUGCAAGUCUCUUCAAAUUAUCAGUUUGGUUUGGCCUACUAGAUUGAUCUUUCUUGCAAUGGGAGAAGUGCUUAGCUUUGGGUUUAAUCUUGUGGUGUCCUUUCCCAGUGACAGCAGGGGCAGCAAUGCACGUAUUGUAUUGUUGCCAUCGAGUAUUAAAAGAUGGGGUUUAUAUCAUAUUGCUUGAGUUUAUCCCUCUACAUCAUGUUAUCUUGCCUAAUGCGUUACUCUGUUCUUAUGAACUUAAUACUCUAGAUGCAUGCUGGAUAGCGGUCGGUGUGUGGAGUAAUAGUAGUAGAGGCAGAAUCAUUUCGGUCUACUUAUCGUGGAUGUGAUGCCUAUAUACAUGAUCAUGCCUAGAUAUUCUCAUAAUUAUGCACUUUUCGAUCAAUUGCUCGACACUUAUUUGUUCACCCACCGGAAUACUUAUGCUAUCUUGAGAGAAGCCACUAGUGAAACCUAUGGCCCCCGGGUCUAUCUUUUAUCAUAUAAGUUUCCAAUCUAUUUUACUUUGGAAUCUUUAAUUUCAAUCUAUAUCAUAAAAAUACCAAAAAUAUUUAUCUUAUUAUUUGUAUCAGAUCUCACUCUCAUAAGUGACCAUGAAGGGAUUGACAACCCAUUUAUCGCGUUGGUUGCAAGGUUCUUAUUUGUUUGUGCAAGUACGAGGGACUUGCGUGUAGUCUCCUACUGGAUUUAUACCUUGGUUCUCAAAAACUGAGGGAAAUACUUACGCUACUUUGCUGCAUCAUCCUUUCAUCUUCAAGGGAAAACCAACGCAGUGCUCAAGAGGUAGCAGGCAUAAGGCCGAGCCUUCCACCCUUUACCAAGUAUAUAGAUGCAUUAAUUAAAUAAGAGAUAUUGUGAUAUCCCAUGAUAUCCAUGUCCCAACAUGGAACAACAUCCACCUGCAACUAGCAACGCUGUAAGAGGGGCUGAGCAAAGCGGUAACAUAGCCAAACAAAGGUUUGCUAGGAAGGGUUAAAAAGGUUAGAGGCUAUCAUGGCAAUUUGGGAGGCUUGAUGAACAAGUGGUAGGUAGCACGACAUAGCGAUAGCAUCGGGACAACUAGCAUAGCAAAGAUAGUAGUGAGAUCCAAGGUGACGGUCAUCUUGCCUGAAAUCCUGCUAGGAAGAAGACCGAAUCCAUGAAGAAGAAGAUGAACCAACAUAGUUGAACGGAUCCUCACAAUAGCAAUGUAACCAAAAGGAGAAGCCCAACCGGAAAGAAGCAAAUGACAUAGUAAACAUGCAAGCAUAAUCAUGGAAUGAUGCACAAUCAAGUAUGAUGCAUGUCCGGUUUAAUGAGGCAUGGCAAAGUGCAACAAACUAAACUACAAAUUAAGUGGAGCUCAAUAUGCGACGAGUUGCAUAUUGACGAAACACCACAUUUCAAUUGUUUAGUUCACUCUAGUUUAUGUGUCCAACAAUAUUAAAUGUUGUUAAACAUGGUAAGAGGUGAAGCAUAACAAAACUAUCUAUCUAGGCAAGUUUAAAUGAGGUCGGAACAACAAGCAACAAUUCCAGAAAAUCCCCAUAUGCAUAUUUCGAAUUUGGUACUGUUCUGCCCUAUACACAAUUUUAAUGUUUUUAAACAUGCAAACUAAGUGCACCAAGUGAAACUAUCCAUUUUUCACCCCAUUUACAUAUAAAGUUUAUUAAAUUCGGAGCUACGGUUAUUUAGUUAUGAAAUAAAUCAUUUUAGAAAGUUAUUUAUGCAAAUUUAAUCAAACAGCAAGUUAAACAUUUUAAACAUGGAUGAGAGCAGCAUAUUAUGAAAGUACAUGAAAAACUAAGAAUUUUUACAUAUAUAAAACAUUUUAAACCGAUGCAUGGUUCGUGAGUUAUUAAAUGCAUGAAGAUUAGGGUGUUUUCUGCAAAUCUCGUAAACUCUGGAUAAAUGGACAAAUUCGCGGCACAUAGAAAAAAACAACUAUGGGCUGAAACUACACAGGCUGGGCCUACAGAGGGGGCUGCGGGGAAGCUCACUGAUACGUCUCCAACGUAUCUAUAAUUUAUGAAGUAUUCAUGUUAUUAUAUUAUCCAUCUUAGAUGUUUUAUAUGCAUUUAUAUCCUAUUUUAUAUGAUUUUUGGGACUAACCUGUUAACCUAGAGCCCAGUGUCAGUUUCUGGUUUUCCCUUGUUUUUGAGUAUUGCAGAAAAGGAAUACCAAAUGGAGUCCAAUUGAUGUGCCAAUUUGCGAUGACUUUUUAUGGACCAAAAGAAGCCCCGGGAGUAAAAGAGUUGGGCCAGAAGAGUCCCGAGCCAUCCACGAGGGUGGGGGGUGCGCACCACCCCACUGGGCAUGGGCCCCUAUCUCGUGGACGACUCGGAGACCCCCCUGAUGUGAAACCGAUGCCAAAAAAUCCUAUAAAUACAGAAACCCCUAGAAAAUAACCUAGAUCAGAAGUUCCGCCGCUGCAAGCCUCUGUAGCCAUGAGAAAUCAAUCUAAGCCCUCUCUGGCACCCUGCCGAAGGGGGCCAUCAUCACCGGAGGCCAUGGAGGACGAUCUCGGAGGGGCCAUCAUCGCCAUGAAGGCCAAGAUCCAGAGGGAGAACCUCUUCCCAUCCACGGGGGAGGCCAUGGAGGAGGAAGCACAAGGGGGAGAACCUCUCCUACUCUCUCUCGGUGGCACUGAAGUGCCAUCGGGAGGGGAAUCAUCGUCGCGGUGAUCGUCUUCAUCAACAUCACCAUCAUCAUCUCUUUUACGCGGUCCACUCCCACACCCCGCUGUAAUCCCUACUUGAACAUGGUGAUUUAUGCCACAUAUUAUGAUCCAAUGAUGUGUUGCCAUCCUAUGAUGUUUUGAGUAGAUAUCCUUUGUCUUUGGGUUGAUUGAUGAUCUAUAUUGGUACGAGUUGUAUGUUUUAUUUUGGUGCAAUCCUAUUGUGCCCUCCGUGUCACACAAGCGUGAGGGAUUCCCGCUGUAGGGUGUUGCAAUACAUUCAUGAUUCACUUAUAGUGUGUUGCUUGAGUGACAGAAGCAUAAACCCGAGUAGAGGGGUUGUUGCGUAUGGGAUAAAGGGGACUUGAUACUUUAAUGCUAUGGUUGGGUUUUACCUUAAUGAUCUUUAGUAGUUGCAGAUGCUUGCUAGAGUUCCAAUCAUAAGUGCAUAUGAUCCAAGAAGAUAAAUUAUGUUAGCUUAUGCCUCUCCCUCAUAUGAAAUUGCAAUGAUGACUAUCGGUCUUGUUUUCAAUUACCUAAGACAAUUCCGCACACCGAUCAACCAUUAUUCCACACUCGCUAUUUAUAAUAUUUAGUAAUAUAUUCUAACUUUAUGAUAGCAGCCCCUACUUUUAUAUUUCAUCUCUCUGAUACCAUGCAAAGUUAUCCUCUCCAUACCCACAACGUAUUUUUAUUUCUUGUUUCUAGUUGGAAGCAAAUGUUCGGUGUACGUAGAGUCGUAUCAGUGGCAGAUAGAGCUUGAGAGAAUAUUGAUCUUACCUUUAGCUCCUUGUGGGUUCGACACUCCGUACUUAUCACUUCCACCAUUGGGAAUUGCUACGAUGAUUCCCUGCACUUGGGGAUUAUCAAGCUCUUUUCUGGCGCCGUUGCCGGGAAGCAAUAGCAUGAGGUUGAUAUUCUUGUGUAUGCUUGUUUGCUUUCUUCACUAAGUAGAUUUUGUUUUUGCCUUUUUGUUUCUGUUUAGUUGUGGGUGAAACAUAAAAAAAAUUAAAGAAUGAAAAUACAAAAAAAAUACUUGCCUCUCAUGCCUAAAAAGUUUUUCAAUAAGACAAGUGAUUGGAAGAUUAUGCAUUGAAGAAAUGAGGGUCGACCUUGAGCACUUGUGUUCAUGCUCCUAGAAACAAUGUAAAAAAAUUCAUGGAAGCUUCUCUGAAAAUAAUUAUCCACUUGUAUAUAUCCAUUGUAUUAUAAAAAUAACGUGCCAAGCUUCGGUUUUAGGAUGAUUAGAUUGCUUGUUUAGUUUGUGCAGUACAGAAAUAGAAACUUUGGCUGUAGCGCGUGAUUUUACAUUUUUUACUGGAAAGCCAAAUGGGUCUGAAACUUUUUGCACAUUACUUCUGUACAAAUUGUUUAAAUUGUCAUAAUUUUUUUAAUUUUUUGGAGUUACAGAAGUUUACUAAACUUCCAGAUUACUACAGACUGUCCUGUUUUUGACAGAUUCUGUUCUCUAUGAGUUGUUCGCUUAUUUUGAUGAAUCUAUGGGUACUAUCGGGGGGUAUGAACCAUGGUGAAGUUUUAAUACAGUAGAUAUAGUUCUAAUAUGAAAUUGUAAUAAGUUUGCGACAGUACCUAAAGGUAGCGAUUUGCUUUAUUUACACUAACGGAUCUCACAAAGUUUUUGUUAAAGUUUUGUGUGGAUGAAGUGUUCGAAGAUCGAGGAGCUAUUUGUAACAUCCCAAAAUUCUAAAUUUUGGAAUUUUAUAUUAAAUAGAUAGAUUUGAUUGAUUGUUUGAUUGUGGUGUGGUUGCUUGUGUGAAAUUGAGUGAAAUUCAAAAAAUUGAAAGUUAAAUGAGAGGGAAUAAAAGGACUUUCCCAAACUUUCAUUUUUCAUUUAUGAUCUCCAUGAAUUCAAAUUCUUUUCAUCACAAAACCCUAGAGUGAAGAUUAUGACUUCUUCCAUUUAAUUAAAUGAAAGGGGUUUUUGAAAAGAUUUUAAUUCUAUUUGGAAAUAGUUUCCAAUUCAGAAAUUUUAAGCAACCUACUGAUUUUCAUGAGAGAAGAUAAAAUGACUUCUUCAAAACAUAUGAAAUAUGAGUUGGGAGUUCCAAAGAAUCAAAUUUGAAGUCCUUUUGAAAUUAUUUUCAAAUUGGAGUUAUUUGGGUUUUAUUCAAAUUAUUUUUCUCCAAAAAUAAAAUAUAUGGAAAAUAGGGUAAAAUGAUUCCCUACAUUGGAAAAUUGGAGAGAAAUAAAUUCGAAGUCAUUUUGGUAUUUUUUUUAAAAUGAUUUUUAUUGGAUUUUAUUAGAGUAGUAGGACUGUUUGAUUUAUUUGAAAUUUUGUGGAUUUUAUUUGAUGCUAGAAAAAUGUUCUUGUCAUAGAAAAUCUUUUUAUGAAAACUUUGAUAUAUUAUAUGCCUAUAUAAUAUUUUUAUUUAUUUUAUUUUUAUUAUUUUUGUUUGUCUGGAAAAUCUUUAUUUAAAAAAACUUCUCCCGACUGGGCCGGCCCAGCUCCAGCCAGACCCAGCCUAGCCGUGUCGCGCCGCACCGCCCCCAAGCUUGGGAUGGAGUCCCGAGCAUCGCCGCCGCCAGCCGGAUUCCGGUCGGACUCCGCGUCUGCCUCCCGCCCCCUCCUCCACGCAACCCUGCGCCGCCUUCCCGCCUAUUUAACCCGAAACCCCGGCCCCCUCUCUCUCCCUCCUCGCGCCGCGCCGCCGCUGCAGAUCCCGCCGCCGCGCUGCCUGUCGCCACCGCCGCGUUGCACUUCCCCGCCGCCGCCGCUGCUGCUUGCUUGUGCCGCCAUCGCUCGCCAACGCCACCGCCCCGCCUCGCCUCUCUUUGCCCGUAGCUGCCCCGCGCCCCCGCCGUCGCCGGAGUUCAUCGCCACCGUCGUCGGUUCUAUACGCCGGAACCGCCAUGGACCGGUAUAAACCAAACCCUAGAUCGGUUUCCUAGUUUUUCUUGGUUUCCUUUAAAAAACCCGGCUUUUAUUUUUAGUCUAUUUAUAUAGAGAACGUUCGCCGUUUAGACCUUCGUGAAGAACGGUUUUCGUCGGUUUAGGUUCUGUAGCGAGCAUCCGCUCGAUAGAUUUUUCUUUUUCUUUUUAAUUUCAGCCAGGGACCUAUCCAUAGUGUUUUUUAUAGAUUAGUCCCUAGUCUUAGAACGAUCACUACUUUUUGCUCGUUAGUCGGAAUUAGAUGAAACCAACACCCACUUCUUCAUUAUGAUCUCCUCUAUCCACUAAAACAACUUAAACAUGUUUUUGAAAGUUUUAAAAUUUGAAUUCAAACAGAUUUGAAUCUGAACUUCGUUUGAUCAUAACUUGAGUUUCGUAGCUCCGUUUGAGUUGAUUCUUUUUGCAAAUUAAAGCUCUUGACCUAAAAUUUCUGAUAAGGCCAAAUACACUUAAUUUUGGUACUAUUAUAAAUUGUUUUAUGUUUCAAGAGUUAUUUGCUUGGUUUUGAUGUUUUCCGAAUUAUCUUCUUCGUUCUUUUCGAUCUUUUCCAUGAUUGCUUAUGUGUGGUUACUAUUGCUUGCUCACGAUAGAUUGACCGGAGUGUGACGAGUAGAACUAUCAGGAGUUAUGAGUGCGAAUCAUCUUCAUCAACAGUACAAGGCAAGUUCACACUUUGAUCAUAUCCCUUUUAUACCCAGUGUUUAUGCAUUAGUUUCAACCUACACUGCAUGGUUAGGACUUGAUAACAUGUGGGUAUUGGGAAGUAGUUGAUGAGGUAGGAACCUAUUGUCUUGCAUUCAACCAUGGGAGUUACUAUGUUAUGCUUACUGCUAUGCUAUGCUCAUAGACGUGGAUUGGUUGAGUGUAUUCAUGACAGAUGUGAGAGUUAUCAUUAAGGGUUAACUUAAGGUGGCUACUUUAAUACACAUCUGGGUGGAAUGGUAGGGGCACCCUGGAGCACCCAGUGGUUUGCCCGGGCACCUGGAGAACCCAGUGCUUGCCCAAGGGGAUCCCGGAGGACCCGUGUGAUCACCCUAUGGAAUGCCACCUAGGCUCAAAGGGAUCAUAAGAUUAUUCAUGCUAGAAACUUCCGUGUGCAGCCACAAGCCAUUAUGGGCUCUGGCAUAGUUGAGUAAGUUGUGUGAGCUCUUGAAGAGGUGGACUAGCAGAUGUAGGGGAAUUGUAGGUGUACCGGUCUGCCCGGAGUAAAGAGUUAAUGCUUCUGAAAGACUGUCUCUCGGUCAUCUGUUUCUCAAACAACAUGUAGUGCACGAAAUCCAACGGAGGAGAUCGAGUCUUGUGAGGAAAAGUGCGCAAACCUCUGCAGAGUGUAUAAACUAAUCAUGGUUAGCCGUGUCCCCGGUUAUGGACGUCUUAAGUCUCUGGUUCUUGAAUUAUGAUGUUGAUCUCAACACUUUAUUUAAUUAAUUUGAUGAGGUUAAUGAUUAGUAUUUUGGGAUUGAGUUGGCGGAACCUUCUCAAUAUUUAUCAACCAACUUUGUAGUUAAAUAAAAUAUGUUCCUUUGAUGUAGGGAAAAAUUGGCUUUUCGCACAAACACUAUAACCAUAGAGCUUUUCCACCAGCCAAAUAUGCAUGUAGUGAUAGCCUUUAUUCAUCAUUAUCCUAUGGUCUAAAUUUGCCAGUACGUUCAAUGUACUGACCCUUUGUGGCUGCAACGUCUCAUGUUGCAGGAAUCUUACGACGAGUAAGUGAUACAUUAGGAUUAUGAUUUCUACACUCAGCUUUGUCACUGGUGAUGAUGGGAAUCCACAACCUUGUUGUUACUUCCUCUAUUUGGUUUGAGGUAAUAGUAUUUACGUUACUUUAUACAUGUGAUUUACCUCUAUUAUAAAUCCUCGAGUACUGUGUGUCGGCAUACCGAUCCGGGGAUGACACUUAAGCACAGAGAUUUGACCAUCUGAGGUCGGGUCGCUACACUAUCAAUAUGAGAAGAAUAAAGAGAGGCAAGAGCUCAAGCUUGGGGAUGCCCAAGGCACCCCAAGUAAAUAUUUCAAGGAUACUCAAGCAUCUAAGAUUGGGGAUGCCCCGGUUGGCAUCCCAUCUUUCUUCUUCAACAAUUAUCGGUAUACCUUGGUUUUUGUUUUGUUCACAUAAUUUGUGUCCUUUUUGUUUUUGUUUUUCCUUUAAGAACUAUGCUAGUAUGAGAUAGCCCUUUAUUGAUUUAUAGAAUACUUCAUGUGCUUCACUUAUAUCUUUUAAGUAUGAUCUUAUAGAAUUGCUCUUUGUGAUUCACUUAAAUCUUUUGAGUAUGGUUUUAUAGAAUGCUUCAUGUGCUUCACUUAUAUAUUUUGAGCUUGGAUGUUGGUUAGUCUAUAUUAAUUGUAGAAUGCUCCAUGAACUUCACUUAUAUCUUUUGGAGUGUGAAUAAUACUAUCAUCUAAAGUGGAUUUAGAAGAAGUUUGCUCCCACUAUUCCAAAUGAGGAGAAUUUUGCUUAUGUGGAGACUAGUGAAAUUUAUAUGCUUGUAGAUCAUGAACAGAAUGCUUUAUGUGCUGGUUAUAUUGUUGAACUCAUUCAUGAUGCUACUGAAAAUUAUUAUGAGGGAGUAAUACAUGCUUGUAGGAGUUGCAAUAAUAUCAAGUUUCCUCUCUAUGUGCUUAAAGUUCUGAAGUUAUACUUGUUUUGCCUUCCUAUGCUAGUUGAUUCUUGUUCCCAUAAAUUGUGUGCUCACAAAAUCCCAAGGCAUAGGAAGUGGGUUCGGUUUAAAUGUGCUAGUAAUAUUCUUCAUGAUGCUCUCUUUAUCUUUCAAUUCUUAUCUUUUAUGUGAGCAUCAUUAAAAUCAUCAUGCCUAGCUAAAAGGCAUUAAGGAAAAGCGCUUGUUGGGAGACAACCCAAUAUUUACCCUUACUAUUUUUGUGUGUUUUCAUGACUAAGAUACUAUAUUAAUCAUGUAUUAUAUAUUUUGUUUCAAUAAAGUGCCAAGUAAGACCUUUGGGAAGACUUGGGUGAAAGUUAAUGUGAUCUUGCUGUAAAAAACAGAAACUUUGCGCUCAUGAGAUUAGCUGUCAUUUUUUUUACAGAAGAGUGUGAUUGAGUUGAUUUUUUUCCAGAAGAUUAAUAGACAAAUUCCUCACGUCCACCAAUUUAUUUAAUAAUUUUGGGAUUAGCAGAAGUAUGGUUAGUGUUCAGAUCAUUACAGACUGUUCUGUUUCUGACAGAUUCUGUUUUCAUUGCAUAGUUUGCUUGUUUUCUAGUUUCUAUGGCUCAUAUUUCUCAAUAUAAAUUUUAGAAAUGAUAUGGUAUAGUAGGAAUUGUGUGAGAACAAUUAUGAACUUUGUCUUCGACAGUACCAAAGUGAAUUGUUUACUCUUUAUCAUACUAACCUAUCUCACAAAGUUCUGUUAAGUUUUGUGUGAUUGAAGUUUUCAAGCUUUGGGUGAGAUGUCGAUAUGAGGAGAAUAAGGAGUGUAAAUACCCUAAGCUUAGGGAUGCCCAAGGCACUCCAAGGUAAUAUUCAAGGAAGACUCAAUCGCCUAAGCUUGGGGAUGCCCCGGAAGGCAUCCCCUCUUUCGUCUUCAAAACUAUCGGUAUACCUUACUCAGAGCUAUAUUUUUAUUCGUCACAGGAUAUGUGUUUUGCUUGGAGCGUAUUUUCAAUUUUAUUUGAUGUUUGAAUAAAAUCAUUGGAUCUGAAAUCUUUAAUGAAAAAGAAUCAUCCCAUGUCUAGUUAAUUAUUUUACUAAUCAGUGUUAUUCACUUAUAUCUUUUUGGAGUAGUUUGUCAUUUACUCACGUGCUUCACAUAUAUCCUAUGAGUAAAUGGUUGAAUGAAUUGAAUAUCAUAAAUUUGAAUUUAUAUACGUUUCAUAUGCUUGCAACAUGGGGAAUAAUGACUUCACACAUAAUAAGUAUAGGUAGUAAACUUAUUGGAAGUUAGCAAACGCAGAAUUGGUCACUUGAACAAUUCAUGAGAGAAUAUUGAAGGAAGAGAGAUUUCACAUAUAAAUAUACUAUCUUGGAAAUCUUUUGUAAUUGUGAGCACUCAUUAAAAUAUGACAUGCUAAAAGGUUGAUGUUGGAUAAGGAAGACAACUUAAUGGGUUAUGUUUUCCUAUAUCCGAAAUGUUAUAUUGUCUUGGAUCAUCUAACAUGUUGAGCUUGCCUUUCCCUCUCAUGCUAGCCAAAUUCUUUGAACCAAGUAGAGAUACUACUUAUGCCUCCAAACAUUCCUCAAACCAGUUUUUCCAUGAGAGUCCACCAUACAUACCUAUGGAUUGAGUAAGAUCCUUCAAGUAAGUUGUCAUCGGUGCAUGCAAUAAAAAUUGCUCCCUAAAUAUGUAUGAUCUAUUAGUGCGAAGAAAAUAAGCUUUAUACGAACUUGUGAUAGGGAAGAAAUAAAAGCGAUGGACUGCAUAAUAAAGGUGUCUAUCACAAGAGGCAAUAUAAAGUGACAUUCUUUUGCAUUAAGAUUUUGUGCAUUCAACCAUAAAAGCGCAUGACAACCUCUGCUUCCCUCCGCGAAGGGCCUAUCUUUUACUUUUAUCGUCUACCCUUAUACAAGAGUCAUGGUGAUCAUCACCUUUCCUGUUUACACUUUUUCCUUUGGCAAGCACUUUGUGUUGGAGCGAUCUGCAUAUAUAUAUCCACUUGGAUGUAGGUUCUCAUAAAUUAUUAUUGUUGACAUUACCCUUGAGGUAAAAGGUUGGGAGGCGAAACUAUAAGCCCCUAUCUUUCUCUGUGUCCGAUUAAAACUUUGAACCCACAAAUAUCACAUGAGUGUUAGCAAUUGUGAAAGAUUAAAUGAUAGUUGAGUAUGUGGAGUUUGCUGAAUCAAAGCUCUUACAUAGACCCUUCCCGAAAAUAAGAUGAAUUGCAAUUGUUUGAUGACUAAGGGCACGGUUUGUUAGUUUUCAAGAAAGUUUAUGAUCUAUACUUUAACAUGUGAAUAGCUUGUUACUUGAAAUGAGACAUUUUAUGAAUUGAGCUACUGUUAUGAUAUAUAAUGAUGCUAUAAAAAGUGAUUGAAACUAUCAUUGAUCAAACUUAAGAACUUGCUAGCAUUAUGAUAACCCACAAGUAUAGGGGAUCGCAAUAGUUUUCGAGGGUAGAGUAUUCAACCCAAAUUUAUUGAUUCGACACAAGGGGAGCCAAAGUAUAUUCUCAAGUAUUAGCAGCUGAGUUGUCAAUUCAACCACACCUGGAAACUUAAUAUCUGCAGCAAAGUGUUUAGUAGCAAAGUAAUAUGAUAGUGGUGGUAACGGUGGCAAAAGGUAACGGUAGCAAAAGUAAUAUUUUUGGUGUUUUAUAGUGAUCGCAACAGAAAAGUAAAUAAGCGAAGAACAGUAUAUAGAAAGCUCGUAGGCAUUGGAUCGGUGAUGGAGAAUUAUGCCGGAUGCAGUUCAUCAUGUAACAGUCAUAACAUAGGGUGACACAGAACUACUCCAGUUCAUCAAUGUAAUGUAGGCAUGUAUUCCGAAUAUAGUCAUACGUGCUGAUGGAAAAGAACUUGCAUGACAUCUUUUAUCCUACCCUCCCGUGGCAGCGGGGUCCUAGCAGAAACUGAGGGAUAUUAAGGCCUCCUUUACUAGAGUACCGGACCAAAGCAUUAACACAUAGUGAAUACAUGAGCUCCUCAAACUACGGUCAUCACCGGGAGUGGUCCUGAUUAUUGUCACUUCGGGGUUGCCGGAUCAUAACACAUAGUAGGUGACUAUAGACUUGCAAGAUAGGAUCAAGAACUCACAUAUAUUCAUGAAAACGUAAUAGGUUCAGAUCUAAAUCAUGGCACUCGGGCCCUAGUGACAAGCAUUAAGAAUAGCAAAGUCAUAGCAACAUCAAUCUCAGAACAUAGUGGAUAGUAGGGAUCAAACCCUAACAAAACUAACUCAAUUACAUGAUAAAUCUCAUCCAACCCAUCACCGUCCAGCAAGCCUACGAUGGAAUUACUAACGCACGACGGUGAGCAUCAUGAAAUUGGUGAUGGAGGAUGGUUGAUGAUGACGACAGCGACGACGGAUUCCCCUCUCCGGAGCCCCGAAUGGACUCUAGAUCAGCCCUCCCAAGAGAGUUUAGGGCUUGGCAGCGGCUCUGUAUCGUAAAACGCGAUGAAUCCUUCUCCUCUAGUUUUUUCUCCCCAAAAGUGAAUAUAUGGAGUCCAGGUUGAGGUCGGUGGAGCGUCAGGGGGCCCACGAGGCAGGGGGGCGCCCAGGGGGGCAGGGCGCCCCCACCCUCGUGGACAGGUGGGACACCCCCUAACGUGGAUCUUCCUUCCAAUCUUCAUUAUAUGUUCCAUAAUAAUGCCCUGUUGAUUUUCAGGUCAUUCUGAGAACUUUUAUUUUUGCACAAAAAUAACACCAUAGCAAUUCUGCUGAAAACAGCGUCAGUCCGGGUUAGCUCCAUUCAAAUCAUGCAAGUUAGAGUCCAAAACAAGGGAAAAAGUGUUUGGAAAAGUAGAUACGACGGAGACGUAUCAACUCCCCUAAGCUUAAACCUUCGCUUGUCCUCAAGCAAUUCAGUUGAUAAACUGAAAGUGAUAAAGAAAAACUUUUACAAACUCUAUUUGCUCUUUUUGUUGUAAAUAUGUAAAGCCAACAUUCAAGUUUUCAGCAAAGAUUAUGAACUAACUAUAUUCACAAUAACAUUUAGGUCUCAUGUUUACUCAUAUCAAUGGCAUAAUCAACUAGCAAGCAAUAAUAAUAAAUCUCGGAUGACCACACUUUUUCAAAACAAUCAUGGUAUGAUAUAACAAGAUGAUAUCUCGCUAGCCCUUUCUGAGACCGCAAAACAUAAAUGCAGAGCACCUUUAAAGAUCAAGGACUGACUAGAGAUUGUAAUUCAUGGUAAAAGAGAUCCAGUCAAGUCAUACUCAAUGUAAACUAAUCAGCAAUGAAUGCAAAUGACAGAGGUGCUCUCCAGCUGGUGCUUUUUAAUAAGAGGGUGAUGACUCAACAUAUAAGUAAAUAGAUAGGCCCUUCGCAGAGGGAAGAAGGGAUUUGUAGAGGUGCCAGAGCUCGAUUUUGAAAUAGAUAUGAAUAAUAUUUUGAGCGGCAUACUUUCAUUGUCAACAUAACAACCAAGAGAUGGCGAUAUCUUCCAUGCUACACACAUUAUAGGCGGUUCCCAAACAGAAUGGUAAAGUUUAUACUCCCCCUCCACCAACAAGCAUCAAUCCAUGGCUUGCUCGAAACAACGAGUGCCUCCAACUAACAACAGUCCCGAGGGAGUUUUGUUUGCAAUUAUUUUGAUUUGAUUUGCAUAAAGCAUGGGACUGGGCAUCCCAGUGACCAGCCAUUUUCUCGUGAGUGAGGAGCGGAGUCCACUCCUAUUGAGAAUAACCCGCCUAACAUGGAAGAUACGGACAGCCCUAGUUGAUACAUGAGCUAUUCAAGCAUAGAAAACAGAAUGUAUAUUUGAAGGUUUAGAUUUUGGCACAUACAAAUUUACUUGGAACGGCAGGUAGAUACCGUAUAUAGGUAGGUAUGGUGGACUCAUAUGGAAUAACUUUGGGGUCUAUCGAAUUGGAUGCACAAGCAGUAUUCUCGCUUAGUAUAGGUGAAGGCUAGAAAAAGAUUGGGAAGCGACCAACUAGAGAGCGACAACAGUCAUGAACAUGCAUUAAAAUUAAUUAACACCGAAUGCAAGCAUGAGUAGGAUAUAAUGCACCAUGAACAUAAAUAUCGUAGAGGCUAUGUUGAUUUUGUUUCAACUACAUGCGUGAACAUGUGCCAAGUCAAGCCACUCGAAUCGUUCAAGGGAGGAUACCACCCCAUCAUACCACUUCACAACCAUCUUAAUAGCAUGUUGGCACGCAAGGUAAACCAUUAUAAGCUCCUAGCUAAUUAAGCAUGGCACAAGCAACUAGAAUCUCUAAUUGUCAUUGCAAACAUGUUCAUUCAUAAUAGGCUGAAUCAGGAACGAUGAAGUAAUCAUAUUUACAAAAACAAGAGAGGUCGAGUUCAUACCAGCUUCUCUCAUCUCAAUCAGUCCACCAUAUAUCGUCAUAAUUGCCUUUCACUUGCACGACCGAACGAUGUGAAUAAUAGUAAUAGUGCACGUGCAUUGGACUAAGCUGGAAUCUGCAAGCAUUCAAUAAACAGGAGAAGACAAGGCAAUAUGGGCUCUUGGUUAAAUCAACGACAAUGCAUAUAAGAGCCGCUUUAACAUUUUCAUUAUGGUCUUCUCCACUCGACCCCCAAAGGAAAGAAAAGAAAUACAACUAUUUACACGGAAAAGCUCCCAACAAGCAAAAGAAGAAUGAGAAAUCUUUUUGGGUUUUCUUUUUAAUUACUACUACAAGCAUGGAAAGUAAACUAAUUAAAAGCUACAACUAAUUUUUUUUUGUUUUUCUUAAGGUUUAUUAAACACACAAGAAGAAAGCAUAAAAAGAGAAAAUAAACUAACAUGGAUAUUACAGUGAAAGAGUAUGAGCUCCGACAUCUAGCCAUGAGUGUGUGAACAUAAAUGUAAUGUCGGUGGGAAAUACGUACUCCCCCAAGCUUAGGCUUUUUGCCUAAGUUGGUCUAUUGCCAUGGAUGGCCUGGCGGAUAUCCAAAGUUGUAGUUGGGGUCGUACUGAGAUGGAUACUCAGAUUGCCACUGGCUGGCAAUCACCUCCGGAUCCCACUGGUAAUCAGACUGUCGUGGAGGAUCAAAUUGUGGUUCUGGCUCUGGCUCUGUAGCUGAUGUAGGGUUCCGGUAGGCGUGAAUGGCCUCCAACAGAUCAAGGUACUUGCGUGCAGAUAAAUCAAACAAGGAAGGAGCAGGCAGGGUAAUAGUCUCAGGAUGAUGUUUAUCAAAGAACAAAUUGUAUUUAAGCUCCCUUUCCCUAUUCUUUACAAUAAAAUCAUGCGCUAUCAUACUCUUAUAAUCUAAAUAAACAGUAGGCAGCAAUUUUUCUUCCUUUUCAUAGUGCCUAAUAGGUAUGUUAUAGUAUGCAGCAAGGCGUGAAGCAUAGACACCUCCAAAGAUGGGGCCCUUUGUAUGGUUCAGACUUAACUGUUUGGCAAUAAUAACGCCCAUACUAACAGAGUCGUCACAGAAUAAACCAUGGAACAAAAUAAUAAUAUCAGAAACACUAAGGUUUCCAUAGUUUCCGCGACCAAUUAAGCAACGACUAGAAAAUAUUGCAAAGUAGCGUAAAACAGGAAAAUGUAUGCUAGUGAUUCUUGCAUCGGAAACUUUCCUAGUUUCCCCUACAGUAAUAGUGUCAAUAAACCCGUCCACAUCUCUACGAUGUGGUUCCUCGAAGCUACCUUCGAAAGGUAUUUUGCAAACCCUGCAAAAUUCAUAUAGUGACAUCUUCUUAACCACAUCAUAUAAAUGAAACUCUACUAAAGUAGGUGAUUCCUUAUGAUAAUAGUAGAAGUUUUGCACAAAAGUAUUGGUGAGUAAGAUAUAUUGUUCGUGUUGGUCGCAGAGGAAGUCGGUGAGGCCUGCAUUCUUAGCCAAUUUAUAAAAAUCAUCAUAAAUCCUGGCUGCUCUCAAUAAAUCAUUGGAAGGCCAUUCACACGGCCGAACCUCCGCGGUGCGAGGCAAAUUAUAUCUAGGCCUCUCUGUUUCUUCAUUUUGCUUUUCCUUCGAGCUUCGGCUCGAUGAGCCCCUCAAAAAUCUCUUCAUUAUUUUCUGAAAAAUUCUGAAAUUUUUAGUAACUUCAAAUAAAAGUGAACCAAGCUUAACAAAAUUGAUAGGAACUACUCCUACAAGUGCCUAGGACCUAUAUCAUGCAUUAGAACUACUUGGAACCAUAUAAAUUUGACAUGCAAGCUCAAGAACAUGGUCACCUAGGCAACACAAAUUUGCAAUGAAUAAAGUACUAGAACAAAAACUAAUUGGACCAAUGGAGGAGUCACAUACCAAGGAACAGUCCCCCAAAGAAGUUUUGUGAGAGGUGCUUUGAGCAAGGAGAUCGAAAAUCGUAGCAAAAUGAGCUAGAACCCGUGCUUUAGCUGGAUGGUGAUUUCUUUGGGAGGAAGGAGAAGUGUGUGGGUGCAGGAAUAAGUGGAGGGGAGCCACCAUGGGUCCACGAGGUAGGGGGCACGCCCAGGGGGUGGGCGCACCCUGGACCCUCGUGGCCAGGUGCUUGCUCCCCCUAAUGUGUUCUCAGUGCCAGAUAUUCUCAAAUAUUCCAGAAAAAAUCAUAUUAAAUUGGCAGGGCAUUUGGAGAACUUUUAUUUUCAGGGUAUUUUUAUAUUGCACAGAUAAUUUAGAAAACUGACAGAAAAUACUAUUUUUAUGUUAUUUCAACUAAAUAAUAGAAAUUAAAAGGAGGGUACAGAAGGUUGUGCUUUCUAACUUCAUCCAUCUCAUGCUCAUCAAAAGGAAUCCACUAACAAGGUCGAUCAAGUCUUGUUAGCAAACUCAUUUCGAGUAACAUGAAACCGGAGAAAUUUCGAAUGACAUUAUGUUACCUCGAUGGGGAUAUGCACAUCCCCAACAAUAUGAAUAUCAUAUUUCUUCUCGACAGUAGGAAGAGGAAAUUCAAAACCUCCAAAAAUAAUCGAUGGAAUUUUUCCAAUAGAAUUGAUACUGUGGACUUGAGGUUGUUUCCUCGGAAAGUGUACCGUAUGCUCAUUACCAUUAACAUGAAAAGUGACAUUGCCUUUGUUGCAAUCAAUAACAGCCCCUGCAGUAUUCAAAAAAGGUCUUCCAAGAAUAAUAGACAUACUAUCGUCCUCGGGAAUAUCAAGAAUAACAAAGUCCGUUAAAAUAGUAACGUUUGCAACUACAACAGGCACAUCCUCACAAAUACCGACAGGUAUAGCAGUUGAUUUAUCAGCCAUUUGCAAAGAUAUUUCAGUAGGUGUCAACUUAUUCAAAUCAAUUCUAAGAUAUAAAGAGACUGGCAUAACACUAACACCGGCUCCAAGAUCACAUAAAGCAGUUUUAACAUAGUUUCUUUUAAUGGAGCAUGGUAUAGUUGGUACUCCGGGAUCUCCUAGCUUCUUAGGUAUUCCACCUUUAAAAGUAUAAUUAGCAAGCAUGGUGGAAAUUUCAGCUUCCGGUAUCUUUCUUUUAUUAGUAACAAUUUCUUUCAUAUACUUAGCAUAAGGAUUCAUUUUAAUCAUAUCAGUCAAACGCAUACGCAAAAAGAGAGGUCUAAUCAUUUCAGCAAAGCGCUCAAAAUCCUCAUCAUCCUUUUUCUUGGAUGGUUUAGGAGGAAAAGGCAUGGGUUUCUGAACCCAAGGCUCUCUUUCCUUACCAUGUUUCCUAGCAACAAAGUCUCUCUUAUCAUAACAUUGAUUCUUUGAUUGUGGGAUAUCAAGAUCAACAGCAGGUUCCGCUUCUACAUCAUCAUCAUUGCUAGGUUGAGCAUCAACAUGAACAUUAUCAUUAACAUUAUCCCUAGUUUCAUGUUCAUUACUAGAUUGUGUUUCAGCAUCAGAAAUAGAAAUAUCAUUGGGAUUCUCAGGUGUGUCAACAACAGGUUCACUAGAAGCAUGCAAAGUCCUAUCAUUUUUCUUUUUCUUCCUCUUAGAAGGACUAGGUGCAUCAAUAUCAUUUCUCUGGGAAUCUUGCUCAAUUCUCUUAGGAUGGCCCUCAGGAUACAAAGGUUCCUGGGUCAUUUUAACACCUCUAGUCAUAACUCUAACAAUGUUAUCAUUUUUCUUACUAUUUAAUUCAUUGAGCAAAUCAUUCUGAGCUUUAAGUACUUGUUCUACUUGAGUGGUAACCAUAGAAGCAUGUUUACUAAUGAGUUUAAGUUCACCUUUAACUCUAGACAUAUAAUCACUCAAGUGUUCAAUCAUAUAAGCAUUUUGUUUCAAUUGUCUACCAAAAUAAGCAUUGAAGUCUUCUUGCUUAACCAUAAAGUUAUCAAACUCAUCCAAACAUUGGCUAGCAAACUUAGUAGGAGGGAUUUCAGCUUUAUCAUAUCUAUAGACAGAAUUUACCUUUACUACCUAUGUCGAGUUAUCAAGACCAUGUGUUUCUUGAAUAGGUGAUGGAUUAAGAACAUAUAUUUCUUCAACAGGUGUUAAAUUAAGACCAUGUAUUUCUUCAAUAGGAGGUAAAUUCUUAACAUCUUCAGCUUUAAUACCCUUUUCUUUCAUGGAUUUCUUUGCCUCUUGCAUAUCUUCAGGACUGAGAAAUAGAACACCCCUUUUCUUCGGAGUUGGUUUAGGAAUAGGCUCAGGAGUUGGCUCAGGAGCUGGCUCAGGAAGUGUCCAAUUAUUUUCGUUUGUCAACAUAUUAUUCAAUAGAAUUUUAGCUUCAUCUGGUGUCCUUACCCUGAAAACAGAACCGGCACAACUACCAGGUAAUCUCUGGAAGCAUCGGUUAGUCCAUUAUAAAAGAUAUCAAGUAUUUCAUUUUUCUUAAGAGGAUGAUUAGGCAAAGCAUUAAGUAAUUGGAGAAGCCUCCCCAAGCUUGUGGGAGACUCUCUUCUUCAAUUUGCACAAAAUUAUAUAUAUCCCUUAAGGCAGCUUGUUUCUUAUGAGCAGGGAAAUACUUAGCAGAGAAGUAAUAAAUCAUAUCCUGGGGACUAUGCACACAACCAGGAUCAAGAGAAUUAAACCAUAUCUUAGCAUCACCCUUUAAUGAGAACGGAAAUAUUUUAAGGAUAUAAAAGUAGCGAGUUCUCUCAUCAUUAGUGAAUAGGGUGGCUAUAUCAUUUAAUUUAGUAAGAUGUGCCACAACAGCUUCAGAUUCAUAGCCAUGAAAAGGAUCAGAUUCAACCAAAGUAAUUAUAUCAGGAUCAAUAGAGAAUUCAUAAUCCUUAUCAGUAACAAAGAUAGGUGAAGUAGCAUAAGAAGGAUCAUAUUUCAUUCUAGCAUUCAGAGUUUUUUGUUUAAGCUUAGCUUAUAAUUUCUUAAGAUCGCUUCUAUCAUUGCAUGCAAGAAAGUCUCUUUUAGUUUCUUCAUCCAUAACAUAGCCCUCAGGCACAACAUGCAAUUCAUAUUUAUUGGGAGGGCCUUCAUCAUCACUUUCAUCAAUAUUAUCAGUUUCAAUAAUUUCAUUCUCUCUAGCCCUAGCAAUUUGUUCAUCAAGAAAUUCACCAAGUGGCACAGUAGUAUCAAGCAUACGUAGUUUCAUCAUAAGUAUCAUGCAUAGCAGAAGUGGCAUCAUCAAUAAUAUGCGACAUAUGAAAAUUAAUAGCAGAAGCAGGUUUAGGUGUCGCAAGCUUACUCAAAACAGAAGGUGAAUCAAGUGUAGCGCUAGAUGCUAGUUCCUUACCUCCCCUCGUAGUUGAUGGAUAAAUUUUUGUUUUCCCAUCUUUCAAGUUCUUCAUAGUGACCAGCAGAUAUAAAUCCUAAGUGACUCAAAGAAUAGAGCUAUGUUCCCUGGCAACGGCGCCAAAAAAUAGUCUCGAUAACCCACAAGUAUAGGGGAUCGCAACAGUUUUCGAGGGUAGAGUAUUCAACCCAAAUUUAUUGAUUCGACACAAGGGGAGCCAAAGAAUAAUCUCAAGUAUUAGCAGCUGAGUUAUCAAUUCAACCACACCUGGAAACUUAAUAUCUGCAGCAAAGUGUUUAGUAGCAAAGUAAUAUGAUAGUGGUGGUAACGGUGGCAAAAGCUAACGGUAGCAAAAGUAAUAUUUUUGGUGUUUUAUAGUGAUCGUAAUAAUAGCAACAAAAAAGUAAAUAAGCGAAGAACAGUAUACGGAAAGCUCGUAGGCAUUGGAUCGGUGAUGGAGAAUUAUGCUGGAUGCGGUUCAUCAUGUAAUAGUCAUAACAUAGGGAGACACAGAACUAGCUCCAGUUCAUCAAUGUAAUGUAGGCAUGUAUUCCGAAUAUAGUCAUACGUGCUUAUGGAAAAGAACUUGCAUGACAUAUUUUGUCCUACCCUCCCGUGGCAGCGGGGUCCUAGCGGAAACUAAGGGAUAUUAAGGCCUCCUUUUAAUAGAGUACCAGACCAAAGCAUUAACACAUAGUGAAUACAUGAACUCCUCAAACUACGGUCAUCACCGGGAGUGGUCCCGAUUAUUGUCACUUCGGGGUUGCCAAAUCAUAACACAUAGUAGGUGACUAUAGACUUGCAAGAUAGGAUCAAGAACUCACAUAUAUUCAUGAAAACAUAAUAGGUUUAGAUCUGAAAUCAUGGCACUCGGGCCCUAGUGACAAGCAUUAAGCAUAGCAAAGUCAUAGCAACAUCAAUCUCAGAACAUAGUGGAUACUAGGGAUCAAACCCUAACAAAACUAACUCGAUUACAUGAUAAAUCUCAUCCAACCCAUCACCGUCCAGCAAGCCUACGAUGGAAUUACUCACGCACGGCAGUGAGCAUCAUGAAAUUGGUGAUGGAGGAUGGUUGAUGAUGACGACCACGACAGAUUCCCCUCUCUGGAGCCCCGAACGGACUCCAGAUCAGCCCUCCCGAGAGAGUUUAGGGCUUAGCGACUGCUCUGUAUCGUAAAACGCGAUGAAUCCUUCUCCUCUAGUUUUUUCUCCCCGAAAGUGAAUAUAUGGAGUCUAGGUUAAGGUCGGUGGAGCGUCAUGGGGCCCACGAGGCAGGGGGCGCGCCCCCACCCACAUGGACAGGUGGGACACCCCCUGACAUGGAUCUUCCUUCCAAUCUUCAUUAUAUGUUCCAUAAUAAUGCCCCAUUGAUUUUCAGGUCAUUCCGAGAACUUUUAUUUCUGCACAAAAAUAACACCAUAGCAAUUCUGCUGAAAACAGCGUCAGUCCGGGUUAGUUCCAUUCAAAUCAUGCAAGUUAGAGUCCAAAACAAGGGCAAAAGUGUUUGGAAAAGUAGAUACGAUGGAGACGUAUCACAUUCCCGCUUCAUAAAUUAUCUCUUUUAUCAUUUACCUACUCGAGGACGAGCAGGAAUUAAGCUUGGGGACGCUGAUACGUCUCCAACAUAUCUCUAAUUUAUGAAGUAUUCAUCCUAUUAUAUUAUCCAUCUUAGAUGUUUUAUAUGCAUUUAUAUGCUAUUUUAUAUGAUUUUUGGGACUAACCUAUUAACCUAGAGCCCAGUGCUAGUUUUUGUUUUCCCCUUGUUUUUGAGUAUUGCAGAAAAGGAAUACCAAAUGGAGUCCAAUUGACGUUCCAAUUUUUGAUGAUUUUUAUGGACCAAAAGAAGCCCCCAGAGUAAAAGAGUUGGGCCAUAAGAGUUCCGAGCCAUCCACGAGGGUGGGGCCGCACCCCACCCCCUAGGUGUGGGCCCCUAUCUUGUGGAUGACUCGGAGACCCCCCUGACAUGAAACCGACGACAAAAAUUCCUAUAAAUACAGAAACCCCCAGAAAAUAACCUAGAUCGGAAGUUCUGCCACCGCAAGCCUCUGUAGCCACGAGAAAUCAAUCUAGGCCCUCUCUGGCACCCUGCCGAAGGGAUCCAUCAUCACUAGAGACCAUGGAGGAGGAUCCUAGAGGGGCCAUCAUCGCCGUGAAGGCCAAGAUCCAGAGGGAGAACCUCUUCCCAUCCAGGGGGGCCAUGGAGGAGGAAGCACAAGGGGGAUAACCUCUCCUCCUCUCUCUCUCGAUGGCACCGGAGUGCCAUCAGGAAGGGAAUCAUCGUCGCGGUGAUCGUCUUCAUCAAUAUCACCAUCCUUAUCUCUUUUAGGCGGUCGACUCUCCUGCACCCCGCUGUAAUCCCUACUUGAACAUGGUGCUUUAUGCCACAUAUUAUGAUCCAAUGAUGUGUUUCCAUCCUAUGAUGUUUUGAGUAGAUAUCCUUUGUCUUUGGGUUGAUUGAUGAUCUAGAUUGGUACAAGUUGUAUGUUUUAUUUUGGUGUUGUCCUAUUGUGCCCCCUGUUUCACGCAAGCGUGAGGGAUUCCCGUUGCAGGGUGUUGCAAUACGUUCAUAAUUCGCUUAUAGUGGGUUUCUUGAGUGACAGAAGCAUAAACCCGAGUAGGGGGGUUGUUGCGUAUGGGAUAAAGGGGACUUGAUGCUUUAAUGCUAUGGUUGGGUUUUACCUUAAUGAUCUUUAGUAGUUGCGGAUGCUUGCUAGAGUUCCAAUCAUAAGUGCAUAUUAUCCAAGAAGAGAAAGUAUGUUAGCUUAUGUCUCUCCCUCAUAUGAAAUUGCAAUGACGACUAUCGGUCUAGUUAACAAUUACCUAAGACAAUUCCGCACACCAAUCCACCAUUAUUCCACACUCGCUAUUUAUAAUAUUUAGUAAUAUAUUCUAACUUUAUGAUAACAGCCCCUACUUUUAUAUUUUAUCUCUCUGAUACCAUGCAAAGUUAUCCUCUCGAAGUAGGGGCAUGGCGCCAUGCAGCAGAGGGUGGAGAAGUUCGGCCGGGACAACAUCUGAUGAGGGGAUGACGAGGAACGACAGAAUGGGGCGGCAUAGAGUGGAUCUAGAUGGGGGUCGAGCAGGACGACGGCGACUCAGCUCUAGCGGCUCCGGUUGGUGGUGAGCUGAAAUCCUGUUCAGAGAAAUAGAGAGGAGAGAUCAUGAGGGAGAGAGGGAACCGGAGGGAAGGGAAGAAACGGAGGAAGGAGAUGGUAGGGUGGCAUAGCAGGGUGGUCCUGGUGGUGGAGAGGACUUGGCGGCAUCGCAUCGGCGACCGAGCAAGAGAUUGGGGAUGAGCAUGAGGAGCUCGGGACGGGUGCGUCCCUUGGGCGCGCGAUGAGGAGGGUGCAUAGGGAGGCGAGGCGGCUCCUGCGAAGAAGCUGGCGAGGUGAGGAAGGGCUUCGGCGUCGUCGGUUCCUGGGGCAGCACGGAUCAGAAGCAGAGGCGGGCUCCAAAUCCAUGGCGUGGACGGUCGGCGUCGGGCAGAGGAGGAGCUCCUGCUGGAUGGCGCCAUGGCUGCUGCCUGGGUUCCUAGACAGAGAGAGAGAGGAAAUGAGAGAGGAGGGGCGCACGGGAAGGAGGAGGGAGGACAGGGAGGAGGCCGGUCCUGGUCGUGUCCGCCGGCAGCGGGGUCGCUGGAGGGCGCGGCCUGCAGGGUCGGUGAGGCUCAGGCGCGAGGGCUCCUGCUGGAUGAAGGAGGAGGUAGGGGACUUGAAUGCGGGUUGGUGGGGAGAUAUAGAGAGGUGGUUGGCCAGUUGGGGAAAUCGAGGGAGGUGGUGGAUCGGCUGCUGGAUCGGGAUGGAUCCCGAGGAAGAGAGAAGGCAGGUAAGUGGCAGCGGGCAGGAGGAUGGAUGGGACAACGCCCCUACAAACUAGGGUUAGGCUGAUUAUAUAGUAGGUGGAAUUUAGGUAGGAGCUAUCUAGGUCCCUUUGAUCGUAAUCGGACGGUCUGAGAUAAAUAGGUUAGGAGAGUCCAAUGAGAAACCGAUGAUGAUUUAGGGAUGUUUGGGGAUGAUCCGGAUCCAACAGUCAUGACUGCCCGGGUUGGGUCUGGGAAGUUUCAGACACGCAUGAAAAGGGGAUUAGGCGGUCACGGUCAAGAGGGAAGCGAAAACCCGAUUGGUCUGGAACGGUCAACGAAGGAAAGGGGUUUAAUGGUCUCAGAAAAGAGAGAGAAGGGAGUGGUCCAGCUAGUCUAAGAGAAGGUCAACAGAGACAACGAAGAAGCAGUGACUACGAGCAGAUGCAACUUUUGAAAACAUGACAGCAACAGAGUACCAAUGCAAUGCAGAUGCAAUGCGCAUGAUGUGAUGAACGCAACAAAUAAAUAAAACAAACAACAACAACGAAAUAACUAGAAGGCUUCUGGAGCGUCGGUCUCAGGUCGUUACAACUCUCCUCCACUUACAAGAUAUCUCGCCCCGAGAUCUAGGGAUGACAAACGAAGAGGAGGAGAAGAGGUAAAACUAAGUUGCUUCUUUACCAAUAAGUGAAACCAAUGAAUCUUGAGUGGUUGAAAACUUGAAAGAAAGAAGACAACAGAGUUGACAGAAAACUUAGAAUUGAUCUCGCGAAUGGGUAAAAAGAUAGGAUUAGCCUGAAGAGAAGCACGCUGGUUGGAAAAGAAUUGACAUGACAAUCUCGAUAAACAAGAAGGAUUAGCAUCCACAUAGAAAUAUGAGAACACCACUUAGGGAAGGUAUGGAAUCAACACUUGACAUUGAAGCAACUCGACUACCACAAACCAAAACAAAACAAGGAUUUGACUUGCAGAAUAAGCCGGAACAAACACAUAUGAUAGAGAUUUACCCAAUCCCAUAUCAUGCAUCUGUCGGAAAUAUAUUCUAGGAGCUAAUUUAAUUCCCACCUAUUAUCUCCCAAAACUUUCUGGUUAUGCAAUCCGGUGUUGGGGAUACAGGGAGGCACAAUAUAUAUCACACAACUAACAAGCCCUACGCUCCACUGUAUCCAUCCUUCGACACAUAACCAAGAAAACUCCGAAAAUCAUGUACCUCAACCUUCGAAAAGCAUCCGUUAUACAAGUUGUGGCAAUACUCCCGAACUCCCUCCUCGGUACUAGGUGGCAUCGAGGUUAUCUCACCACUAACUGCAUAAAAGAGAUUUUCGAUGUUGGCAAGCUCAGGUAUGCCAGAACUGCAACGAUAAAAUUGUGACGACAACACCUCGGAGCUCAACUCCCCGGGACACUGCCACAACCCCUAAAUGUCAGGAGGCACCAAGAACAAUGUUCUUGUCACAAAAAUAUCGGAAUGAUCCCAAGAUACUCAUGUGAUCCUAAAAAAAUAUUUAGUGAAAAUGAGGAGAGGAAAGUCAAAACAACUACAUCAGGAGACCUCACCAGAGCGACGAAGGGGGCUGAGGAGUAAAAAGAAUCCUACUCUCCGAUAUAUAUAAUCCUAAGACUCAAAACAUUUUUGUUCUAGACUCAACAAUGGUAGCGGUUCGAUUAAUCAAGGGGUCUCCUCAGGUCGGUAAGGCUCUGAUACCAACUUGUAAUGCCCAAGAUGCGAUUCUAUCCCAAUCGCGUGAUGAAUUCAUGAUUGGGGCACAACCACAUUUCGAAUGCAUAGCAAGGUGGAUAUUAUUACAACAUACCAUGAACUGAAUAGAUGAGAAUACAAGAUAAAGUCUUACACUCGCCACAAAUUACAUCAUUCAUACAACAAUACAUCAAUACAUGGCAACCAUCAUACAAAAGAGCAGGAUCCGACUACGGAUGAAAUCAAUGAAAAAUAAGAACGACAUCCACCCUGCUAAUCCCAGGUUCCCCGACCCGGAACCAAUCCCUUGAUCUAAGAACAAGAAGCAGAAGAACUCCAAACAAGCAAGCAUCGCACUCGCAUCAUAUCAUCGCAUUACCUGUACCUGCAACUGUUGUUGUAGUAAUCUGUGAGCCAUGAAGACUCGGCAAUCCCAUUACCAUGGGUAUCAAGACUAGCAAAGCUUAAUGGGUAUGGAAGGGAUAAGUGGUGAGGUUGCAGCAAACGACUAAGCAAUAUAUGGUGGCUAACUUACGAGUACAAGAGUAAGAUGAGAAACUACGCAACGGUCGCAAACUAGUAAUGAUCAAGAAGUGAUCUUGAACUACUUACGUUCAAACAUAACCCAACCGUGUUCUCCUCUUGGACUUCCCCGAAAAGAGACAGUCAUGGUUACGCACGCGGUUGGUGUAUUUUAAUUGAGUUUAGUUCAAGUCCUCUACAACUAGAUAUUAACAAAUUCCCAUCUGCCACAUAACCGCGGGCACGGCUCUCAAAAGUUUAAACCCUACAGGGGUGUCCCAACUUAGCCCAUGACAAGCUCACGAUCCAUGGAGACAAUCCUCCAUCAUGGGACACCCGAUCAGACUCGGAAUCCCGGUGCACAAGACAUAUCGACAAUGGUAAAACUAGUGCAGCAAGACCUCCCGAUGCACCGACCUAGCCUGAUAGGAGUUGCGCGGUCUCGUUCUUAGGGUACACCAGAUGAGUGAAGCAUACAUGUAUAUACCAAAUACCCAAUGUUGCCAAGGGUCGGCCCUGCACGGUUAUCUAGUUUGGACCAAGACUCAUGUGGAGCACUGGCCCGGGUGUCGAAUUAAUUCCACGGGGGCCUGCAAGUCCCUAUGCAAGUUUUAGUUGUUAUUAGGCAAAUGGUAAAAUCAAUGUUGGGCCUUGCUGGAAGAGUUUUAUUCAAAGCAAACUGUCAAGAGGGUCCCAUACCCCUCAUCGUGUUAGGGACACAAAAUCAAGGAAUAUAACACCGGUAUGAUGGAAACUAGGGCGGCAAGAGUGGAACAAAACACCAGGCAUAAGGCCGAGCUUUCCACCCUUUACCAAGUAUAUAGAUGCAUUAAUUAAAUAAGAGAUAUUGUGAUAUCCCAUGAUAUCCAUGUCCCAACAUGGAACAACCUGCAACUACACCUGCAACUAGCAACACUAUAAGAGGGGCUGAGAAAAGCGGUAACAUAGCCAAACAACAGUUUGCUAGGAAAGGUGAAAAAGGUUAGAGGCAAUCAUGGAAAUUUGGGAGGCUUGGUGAACAAGUGGUAGGUAUCGCGACAUAGCGAUAGCAUCGAUACAACUAGCAUAGCAAAGAUAGUAGUGAGAUCCAAGGUGACAGUCAUCUUGCCUGAAAUCCUGCUAGGAAGAAGACCGAAUCCAUGAAGAAGAAGAAGAAGAAGAUGAACCAACGGAGUUGAACGGAUCCUCACAAUCGCAACAUAACCGGCAGGAGAAGCCGAACCGUAAAGAAGCAAACGACAUAGUAAACAAGCAAUCAUAACCAUGGAAUGAUGCACAAUCAAGUAUGAUGCAUGUCCAGUUUAAUGAGGCAUGGCAAAGUGCAACAAACAAAACUACAAAUUAAGUGGAGCUCAAUAUGUUGCAUAUUGACGAAACUCCACAUUUCAAUUGUUUAGUUCACUCUAGUUUAUGUACCCAACAAUAUUGAAUGUUGUUAAACAUGGUAAGAGGUGAAGCAUAACAAAACUAUCUAUCUAGGCUAGUUUAAAUGAGGCCGGAACAACAAGAAACAAUUUCGGAAAAUCCCCAUAUGCAUAUUUCAAUUUGGUACUAUUCUGCCCUAUACACAAUUUUAAUAUUUUUAAACAUGCAAAGUAAGUGCACCAAGGUAAAAUAUGCAUGUUUCCACCCCAUUUACAUAUAAAGUUUAUUAAAUUCAGAGCUACGGUUAUUUAGUUAUGAAAUAAAUCAUUUUAGCAAGUUAUUUAUGCAAAUUUAAUCAAACAACAAGUUAAACAUUUUAAACAUAGAUAAGAGCAGCAUAUUAUGAAAGUACAUAAAAACUAAACAUUUUACAUAUAUUAAACAUUUUAAACCGAUGCAUGGUUCGUGAGUUAUUAAAUGCAUGAAGCUUAGGGUGUUUUCUGUAAAUCUGGUAAACUCUCGAUAAAUGGACAAAUUCGCACCACAUAGAAAAAAAACUAUGGGCUGAAACUACACAGGCUGGGCCUACAAAGGGGGCUACGGGGAAGCUCACCCAUGGGCUUUGGCCCAAGGCGGUGGAGAGGAAGCCGGGCAGGCCGGGAGAGGGGGUGCUUGGGCCGGCCUUGUUGCAUGCCUGGCAUGGGAUCCAGCCCAUGUCGGCGCCUUGCUCGCUCGCCCGCUCGAAGUAGGGGCAUGGCGCCGCGCAGUAGAGGGUGCAGAAGUUCGGCCGGGACGCGAUCCGACAAGGGGACGACGAGGAACGGUAGAACAGAGCGGCACGGAGUGGAUCUAGACGGUGGGGUCGAGCAGGACGACGGCGGCUCAGCUCCAGCAACUCCGGUUGGUGGUGAGUUGAACUCCUAUGCAGAGAAAUAGAGAGGAGAGAUCGUGAGGGAGAGAGGGAACCGGAGGGAAGGGAAGAAACGGGGGAAGGAGAUGGCUGGGUGGCACGGCCUGGUGGUCCUAGUGGUUGAGAGGACUUGGCGGCAUCGCAUCAGGGACCGAGCAGGAGCUUAGGGAUGAGCAUGAGGAGCUCGGGACGGACGCGUUCCUUGGGCACGCGAUGAGGAGGGAGCACAGGGAGGCGAGGCGGCUCCUUCGAAGAAGGUGGCAAGGUGAGGAAGGGCUUCGGCGUCGUUGGUUCUUGGGGCGGCACGGAUCAGAAGCAGAGGCGGGCUCCAAAUCCAUGGCGGGGACGGUAGGCGUCGGGCAGAGGAGGAGCUCCUACUGGAUGGCGUCAUGGCUGCUGCCUAGGUUCCUGGACAGAGAGAUAGGAAAUGAGAGAGGAGGUGGAGCACGGGAAGGAGGAGGAAGGACAGGGAGGAGCCGGUCCUGGUCGUGGCCGCCGACGGCGCGGUCGCCGGAGGGUGCGGCCUACAGGGUCGGCGAGGCUUGGGCGCGAGGGCUCCUGCUAGAUGAAGGAGGAGGUAGGGGACUUGGCUGUGGGUUGGUGGGGAGAGAUCGAGAGGUGGUUGGCUAAUUGGGGAAAUCAAGGGAGGUGGUGGAUCGGCUGCUGGAUCGGGAUGGAUCCGAAGGAAGAGAGAAGGCGGGUAGGUGGCGGCGGGUAGGAGGAUGGAUGGGACAUCUCCCCUACAAACUAGGGUUAGGCUGAUUAUAUAGUAGGUGGAAUUUAGGUAGGAGCUAUCUAGGUCCCUCCGAUUGUAAUCGGACGGUCCGAGAUAAAUAGGUUAGGAGAGUCCAACGAGAAACCGAUGAUGAUUUAGGGAUGUUUGGGGACGAUCCGAAUCCAAUGGUCAUGACUGCCCGGGUUGGGUCUGGGAAGUUUUGGACACGCACGCAAAGGGGGUUAGGCGGUCACGGUCAAGAGGGAAGCAAAAACCUGAUUGGUCUGGAACGGUCAACGAAGGCAAGGGGUUUAAUGGGCUUAGAAAAGAGAGAGAAGAGGGCGGUCCGGCUGGUCUAAGAGAAGGUCAAUAAAGACAACAAAGAAGCGGUGACUACGAGCGAAUGCAACUUUUGAAAACAUGACGGCAACGGAUUACCAAUGCAAUGCAGAUGCAGUGCGCAUGAUUGAUGAACGCAACAAAUAAAUAAAACACACAACAACAACGAAAUAACUGGAAGGCUUCUGGAGCAUCGGUCUCGGGUCGUUACAAGUUGGAUAGCCAAGAUGAUGCAACCAGACAAGCUUGCGCCCAUGUUUUCAAGUCUGCUCUGUGACAGUAUCGGUAUAACUUGAGGAAAACUCAGUUUAAGCCAAGGCUAAUAGAGAACUUGCCCAAACAUAUCCAGUGGAAAAUAUAUCGGAUGAAGACUGGAGAGGCCUCAUUAAACACUGGUUGAUCCAAAGUAUCAGGUACAUUAUAUAUAUGUGAUAAAAUCACAUGUUGAAGUCCUAUUUACGCAUGUGCCUCACAAAUCUAUCUUCUUGUAGGUGAACUGUUGAAAGAAUAAGGCCAACCGUAUGAAAGUGAAAUUCCAACAGAUGACAGGGUCUCGUAGCUAUAUUGCACACUGCGAGGCUCUUGUAAUUAGCUGUUGUUUCACUCUUUUCGUUGUAACAUAUUAUCAGAUCUAUAUUGACUUGUUCGAAAUGCAGAGGAAAGCCCACAUGGACCAAAAAUUACCUGAAUCAAAUGUUGUGGAAAUCUUCAAGGACUGUCACACCAGCAAGACGAACGACAUGACUACACCAGUCAAAGCCGCUGUUGUAAGUCCUUAAUCCUCAUGCCUUUUAACUACUACUUACUCUGACUUGUGCCUUGAACUGCAUGGUUAGCAGCCAAUGUCUAUUACUCUUUUCAAUUUUAUACACAAUUGUUUUAGCGUAUCAUUGCACCUUACAAGGUUUAAAAGAGAGGAGUGAUGUUCCUUUGAUGUUGAUCUAUAAUCUAGUUAUGUGCUGGACUUGACCACACAACGUUAUAAUUGCCUGUUUGUCUGUUCUUGGUUGUUUUGUGAUAUGAAUGAUGUCAUACUAUGCUUACUGUAUUAUAAAUUUUGUCCCUUUAUUCUUAGUUGUCAAUACAAUGUGAAGAAAGAGACAAUACAUUAGCCAUGGUACAUGGUCAUAUGUUUGGAACCUGGUUUUAUUAUGUACUUUGCAGUAAGAUACAACUAAUAUUUUGCAUGGGUUCACCAGAAUAAGUUCUGUAUAUAGACCAAAGCUAUUUUAUUUGGUUUUGAUGCCUCCUUAAUAUCUUCUGUUCUGGUACUACUAAUGUAAAAACUCAUCUUUUCACCAAGCUAUGGAAAAAAUGGUGGAACCGCCACCUUCUGAAGAUGGCGAGGCAACUAUAACCGCAAUGUCAUCUCUGGCUGCAGUGGGUCGGUACUUAUCCACUAACAGUGCUAAAAGCACGUUCCUGCGUAAUACUGGGUUGGUUGUUAAGGCAAUCUCGUCAAAACUGCCUCAUGAUCAAGAUAUGCAAGCUCAAAACAAUGUUAUAUCUGCGCUCCAGACACAAGUCAAUUCCCUAACAGAGACUGUUUGUGAAACAAGGACAGACAUUGUUCGAUGUCAUCAAGAUAUGCAUGGUUUUAAAACUAGACUAUCAGACAUUUGCUAUGUUGUUCAGGAGCCUAGAAGAAAUGAAGGCGAAGGUUAUGGUGCUCCAUCGGACAAUACAUCAUGAAAACGUAACAAUCAGGUCAAAUGAACUGAGCUUCUGAACUUCUGGUGGUGCAUUUGUUUGCCAGACUGUUAACUUUUAUGCCAACCUUACUUUUGUUUUAUAGUUGUAAUUUUUUUUGUUGCGAUACAAAAUUUGUUCUUAAUGUGCAGUCACCGGCUGAAGAAAUAGCAAGCCAUUUUUGUAUAGUGUAGGGUGUUCCCUAUAUUUGCACUGGUGGCGAUCUUUGAUGCCCAGUUGAUGUAAUCUGUGCAAUCGCCCUGAUAGCCUAGCGUUAGUUUCGGGCUUCUUUAUUUCCUAGUCUUCUUUUUCCCUGGUUUGCUAGUGGCCGCAACAACCAUGGGCCAUAUAUGGACUGUGGUAACCUUGACCCUGCUACAGGUCGUAGGAUCCUUGGGCCUCCUACGGGCCGUCGAUAAAUGGGCCUCCAAGAGGGCCGUAGAAUCGGUGGGCCUCGGGCCGUCAUAUAAAUGGGCCUACAUGGGUCAUAAACGGGCGUAAUUGGUAUCGGCCCAGGACGGUAAUGGGCCAUUAACAGGCCAGAGGAUAGCAAAGGCUUAAUUCUGUCACAGGAAUAACAGUCGUUAAUGGGCCAGAAUAUGGGACGGGCUGGAAAUGGCGCAACGGGUUAACAGGCCACAAACGAGCCGACUCUUGCCACGGGCUGAAUUGGACCCAUUAGGGGAACAUGCCAGUAAUGGGCCAUAAGUAAUCAAGGGCCGGAAAGGAGCCCAAGAACGUAUGGGCCAUCAGUAGGCCGAAAGCUAACACGGGCUGGAAACGGCCCACGUGAAUCAUGUGUCGUUAAUGGGUACAAAGAAAUUUACUGUUCAUUAUGGGCUAGAGUCACCGUGGGCCUCUAAAGGGCUUAAAGAUACAAAAGGCCUCAUAUGGGCCAAAAGACAUCGUGGGCUAUGAGGGAGUCCUAUAUUAGGGGGACCCCGGGCGUCUAGGACUCAUGACGUGGGAUGGACUGCUGGGCUGUGAAGAUACAAGAUAGAAGUCUUCCCCCCAUGUCCGGAUAGGACUCUCCUUUGCGUGUGUGGCAAGCUUGACGUCCGGAUGUAUGGUUUCCUUCCCCUGUAAACCGACUCUGUACAACCCUAGGGCUCUCCUGUGUCUAUAUAAACCAGAGGGUUUAGUCCGUAGAGGCAACAAUAAUCAUACAUGCUAGACAUCUAGGGUUUAGCCAUUACGAUCUCGUGGUAGAUCAACUCUUGUAACCCCUAUACUCAUCAAAGUCAAUCAAGCAGGACAUAGGGUUUUACCUCCAUCAAGAGGGCCCGAACAUGGGUAAACAUCAUCUCCCCUGCCUCAUCUUACCUUCGAUCCUUAGACGCACAGUUCGGGACCCCCUACCCGAGAUCUGCCGGUUUGGACACUGACAUUGGUGCUUUCAUUGAGACUUCCUCCAUGUUGUCAAUAGAAGGAUCGACGGCUUGCCUCUUCAUUAAUGAAGAAAUCACAUCUGGACAAGCCCUAGCUCCUGGGCGGAUCCUCCAGAUUGGCAAUUUUGCCAUAGGCGCCUGCCCGGCCAUCAAGUCCAAGGCGGUCCCUCGGAUUGCCAAAAAUCAACUCCGCAUUAACCCCGAAAGCAUCGAUAAGAUGGAUCCCGCAGAUGUUUCGUCUUUAAGCGAACUGCCAGAUCGCAUCGCCGCCCUGGGGGUCGCAACGGAUUAUGACCUAAUUGGGCUUAAACCCGAUCAGAGGGAAAUCGGGUCUCCACCUGUGACCCACCUGGUGACUAUUGUGGAAGAACAAGUUGAGGAUACCGCUCCUCCUAUGCUAAAAACAAACUAUGUUCGGAUCUCUGAGCCCUAUGAGCCGGAGACUCAUCUUCAAGAAGGGACUAUCUGUCUCUCGAACAUAGAAUCUGGCACUGAUUCUAAAAAAACCCCGGACACUUCGGGCCCUGGGCCAAUGAUCUCAGACAAUUUUCAAAAUCCAGAUUCCACAAUGGGUCAAGGUUCAGAUUCAAGCCCACCCACCCACCACAAUCAAUACUCUCCAAGCAAUUCCGGUCCCCCGGCUAUACGCGAUUUAAUGUAUAUAUGACAGCAACCUCUGGAAACAGUCCAUCACUUUUGGGCUAGAUUCCUACUUGUUAAAAACAAGAUCAAAGAUUGCGGCGACAACUAUGCGGUAUCAGUCUUUUGCCGCAACUGCACAGACGAGGGCAUCCUCAACGCCCUCAAUCGACGCCGCAUUCCACACUUUGCAGAUUUGGCACACAUAGUAUAGAAGUACUGCGCAAUGGAAAGUGCUUGGAAAGCCCAGACGACUCGGUGGGAGCCACCGGCCUUUAAGCCACCCACCGGCCGAACAAAAAGGAUGCACCCUUAUGGGGCACCUGAUCAUUCUUCCACGUAAAGAACAAUUCAGCCCUUACCGGGACACAGAACCGUCCUUGAUGGAUGGCUCGACAAGCCCUGUCAGAUACACGCGAUGCCAAACUCCGAGCCAACUCAUAACCUUCGGGCAUGUUGGAUACUAUGGCAGGUGGCUAAAAAUGGGGGGGCUAUCCUCGCCAACACUACUCGUACAAGGCAUUCCCCCGAGGAUAAUGACCUUGGCGUGUUUACGGUCUUCAAGACCUUCUCUUCAAACAACCGGUCCAAAAGGGCGCUCCGCAACCUCGCCGAAGUCAAUCACGUAGCCACAAUAAAUCCUUGGAAUGAUAUGGCGAUAACCUUCAACGCCAAUGACGAGCCAAGGGACCGAUCAGUCCGAGCACCAGCCGCUUUGGUUCUAAACCCAAUUGUAGACGGCUUUCGCCUCACUAAAGUGCUCAUGGACGGCGGCAGCAGACUGAACCUCAUCUAUGAAGACACACUCAAUAAAAUGCAGAUGGACAGGAGUCGCAUUAAGCAAAGCAAUACAUCCUUUCGAGGAAUCAUCCCCAGUCGGGAAGCAAGAUGCUCAGAGAAAAUUAAACUAGAUGUGGUAUUCGCCAUAGUGGAGAAUUAUAGGUCUGAAGAGAUAAUCUUCCAGGUGGCCCCUUUCAACAGCGGAUAUCAUGCCCUGUUAGGGCGGGAUGCAUUCACACGCUUUCAAGCCAUACCUCAUUAUGGGUACAUGAAGCUCAAAAUGCCCGGGCCCAAUGGUGUUAUAACUAUCUCCGGUGAUCCGGACAUAGCACUCCGCGCCGAAAAAUAAACCGCAUCCCUAGCCCUUGAGACACUGAGCAAAGCCCUGGCGGCCGAGGAGCUCACCGCUCUACAUUCCACGAUGGAUAAAGAUGAUGUAAUUCUUGAUAAAAGGCCUAAAUCCAGUUCUUUCAAGCCAACGGAUAAGAUAGUCAAAUUUCAAAUUCACCCAACUGACCCCAAGAAGACAGCUUCCAUGGGGGCACAGCUGGAUCCGGCGGUCGACGCCGCAUUCACUACAAAAAAUACACUUCCAUGAUGAUAUGUGUUUGUCACAGUAGGUCGCAUUUUUUGUCAUGCAUGUACAUCCAUGACAAAUUUAUGACAGAAUCAAGAUAGUCAUACCUGUGCUAUUGUAGAAGUGUUCCAUGACAUUACCAAAAUUAUCAUCACGGAAGUGUCCACUUCCAUGACGAUAAAUCGCGCGUCACAGAAGUGCUUUCGUCAAGGGUGACUGACACAUGACAUCCACCGUAACGGAAUGCCGUUAAGCUAUCGGCUCAGAUUUUGGAUCCGAUAACCCGUUAACAGCCCCGACCAAUGGGGAUUUUCCACGCGUAAAAUCAUCAUUGGCUGGAGGAGACACGUGUCAGGACCGCGCUGGCACAAGUGUCACUCAUCCAAUGCGUGAGACGCGCCUAUGAUAUGUUGACACAUGGACCGGCCCAUCAAGUUUAAAUGGGUCGGCCCAACUGAAGGCCCACAAGAUUUUGCGGACCCUAAUGGGCCGGCCCAGCUAAAGGCCCACGAGAUUUUGCAGACCAUAAUGGGCUGGCCCAGCUAAAGGCCCACAAGAUUUUGCGGGCCAUAAUGGGCCGGCCCAGGUAAAGGCCUACAAGAUUUUUGUGUGCCAUAAUGGGCCGGCCCAGGUAAAGGCCCACAAGAUUCUUGCGGAUCAUAAUGGGCCGGCCCAGCUAAAGGCCCACGAGAUUUCAUCAACAUUAAUCGGCCGACCCAGCUGUAGGCCCACAAGAUUUUGAGGACCCUAGUAGGCCGGCCCAUUAACUGGCUGCCAUGUUUUGGGCCAAAUGCCGGCCCAUAUUUAAUCCGGUCCAUUAAUGGCCUGCCACACUCCGGGCCUAAUAGUGGCCCAUAUGAGAUCCGUCCCGUUAAAAGCCUACCAUGUUCUGGGCCAAAUUACGGCCCAGAUCAGGUCCGACCCUUUAAGAGGCUUUGGGCUCAAUUAUGGCCCAUAUCAGAUUCAGCCCGUCAACUGGACACUAUGCUUUUGGGCCCACUUGCUAAAGGCCCACUUAGUAAUUCGGCCUGAUAUUAGUUUUGGCCUGUUAAGGGCCCGUUUAACAUUUCGGCCCUAUAUUAAUUUCGGCCUGUUAAAAGCCCGUCAUAUAGUUGGGCCUAACUACGGCCCGGUUUGCAUCCGGCCUGCUCGCAGCCGAUAUCUGAUUGGGCCAAACAAGGACCGAGACAAUUUUGGCCUGUUAAAAGCCCGUGAUUUGAUUCGCACAAUCAUGGGCCGGGGUUCAUUUCGGGCUGCUACCGGCUCGUGAGCUGUUCGGCACGUUUCAGGCCCAACCUACAUCGUGAUUGCAGGAUGGCCCGAUUAUGUAUCGUAAUUUUACGGUUUGGCCGGUUUACUGCGAAGACAUGAUAUAUAUAUAUAGUAAAAUAACUACAACAUCAUGAAUAAGAAAAAACCUAGACUAUACAAUAAAGAAAUUACAGCAUAUUACAUCCAAUGGGAAUCAAAGUUUGCCACUAUGAUAAUGAAGCACAAGCAGAUAGCAGAUUACAUACACUGGGCAUCAAAGAUCGCCACCAGUACAAAUAAACACGCCGACAAAAUAAUAUACAAAACCGAGAGCACUUCAAUAGAGUUCAAGAAAGGUUAGCCCUGCUGGGGAGCUGCAGCACAAGCAGCUGAGCAAGAUGAUGAGACUGUGCUUGUCCAACACUUAUAUCUUCCCCACUAUGAAAGAUAAACAAGCAGACAGAUGACAGGUUUUGCACAUAAAAGUAUCAGUGCUAACAAUUCAUCACAUUUCUUACUGACGAAUAAAGUGACACAGUUUAAAAUUGCAUUAACACAAUAUGGUAUUAUUCAGGUCAAGACAUGGCAGGAAAUUACAUUGUGAAGGAGUUGGCAGCUUCACGACACCACUGGAUUACAGAUCAAGAACUCAUAAGUAUCAAUGGUUAGUGUGUUGUCAAUUUAUACCAUUUCAGAUUGGAAAAUAAAGAGAUGGUUUAAAUAAUAGUAGAAUGAUAUGACAUUGUUCAUAGUUAAGACAUUGCAAAAUAUGACAUUGUGCUGUAGUGGGUAGGUUCACCACACCACUGGAUUACGGAUGAAGAACAGAAGCAUACAUGCAGUGCAAAAGAAGAUCACUUGCUAUGUAUAGUUUAAUUUACAUGGUAUGAAGAAGGAACUUGGUUGUACAACUGAAAACUUAAAUUGAGAAAGGACAAACUUUUGUUUAUGAACUGCAUAAUAAACUUUAAACAAGCAAUUUGAUGCAAACACCAAAAAUAAACAGCUGUUGCAGUCAUGCCUAACCAAAUAUAUACAACAAAGUUUGAAGGCUUGAGAUGGAAAAACUUACAUUAUUGGUGAAGACAGGCUCUAUAAAGGCCUUGUCCAUGCUGAUGGGGGGGUAAUUCAAGAAGUUUACCACAGAAUCUUCUUCAAAAGCAUUGCAUUUAUUCUACAUUUUUGUUAAGAGUAAAUAUAGAUGUGAUAAUAUACGGAAAAAAAUGGAGAAUAUUUAAGAUAAGAUGAAGAGUGAUGCUACAUAACCAAGUAGCUAUAAAUGUAAGUGCAACGAUACAGGCAAAAGGUACAAGCAAGAGCAAUGCACAGCUAAACUUCUUCAGUGCCAACCUUAUGGUAAGAGUAAAGGAAAAUAAGCUGCAGAGUGAUGGUACAUGAACAACUACCUGUCAUUAUAAGUACACUGAUAAAGGACAGCAUGUACUUACAAGAACAAUGCAGAGCUAAAAAAACAUUGGCAUUGGAUAUAUUCUACACUAAUGUAACCAUUCAUACAGAUCAGAUAAUUUGGAGCGAACAAUUGAUAAGCAAGCUAUCAUGCAUACUGUUGUCACAUAAUGAACCAGGUAUGUAUGCAAGUACAGUGAUACAGGACAUCAGGUACUAACAAGAGCAAAGCAGCAGGCAGCAUAUUUGUGAUAUCUUGUCGUUCUUGUCAAACCGGAAUUCUUCUUCGAGCAGAUUUCCUGCAAAAAAGAUCCGUAAGGCACAUGCGGAAAAGUAGAAGUUCAAAUUGUCAUGUGAUUUCAUAGACAGUACCUCAUCCUGGGAAUGAGACCAGUGCAUAACAAGGUUUUUCCAUUCAAUGUCUUCUAAAUUUAGCACAUGAGACUUCACCGGAAAUUCGUUUAUAGACUUGCCAUCAAAGUGUGAUUUCCUCAGGUAACACCGAUACUGCUGCAAUGCUUCCUUGAAAAGCACAAGCAAGCUUUGCUCGUCAUGACUAUCCAGAUUGACCCUCGCCUAGUUACAACAAUGUAAUGUAAAUCAUUGAUGUGUUCAAUCAGCGGAAAACAUGAAAAUAAUAACCAUGAAUAAUAGCACUUACACGUAAGUUGGACAAGAAGAUGUGAAAAUGGUGUUUGUCUUCACAAUAAUCUUCCCAUGAUGGGAAUAUAUGCAUGUAGUCCCUAACAACAUUGAAAGCAUUGUCUUUUAAACUAGGAAUAAAUGGAAUGGGGUUCCAAUCUACAUGAAUUGGCAGUCUAUGCAGUUGGGAUAGGUCUUCGGCCAGUGGACUUGCUGUACUUUUUGCUGGAGUGGGAUUUUUCUAUGGUACAGCUGGUGCUAUGGCAAAUGAAAUUGGUAUACCUUUUGCUGGAGUGCAGGUCCUGUUUGGUGGGGCUAGUGGUGUGGCCAGUGAAGUAUGGGUACAGUCUGCUGGAGUCGGUCCUACUUUUUGUGCCGCUGGUUGUACAACUAAUAUAAGUGGGGUGCUGUAUGAUUUCUCCGGCACCACCAUGUUUUUCAAGGACUUUGCUGGUGCUCCUUCAGGUUCGGCAAUCACCCUCUUCCUUUUUGAUGUCUGAUGCACAAGAACAACAUUUGAGUGGAAAAACAUGGUAUGAUGACAGAUGGAAUAUGUAUUGAUAAUGGAUGGGCAUGGCAUCUCGACAUAUAUGAUGAGUAAACUAAGCAGAUGGCGGUGCAACAAAGUAGAAGAAAUGCAAGACAACAUAUGCAAGAUACCCACAAUCAAUAAAACAUUGCCAAAUUAGAACAGGCACCUUGAUGGGUGAACUGGACAGGCCAUCUGCCUUUGACUCCUUGAGGUUAGAAUAGUCAUUAGGAUCAUAUUCUGAACAAGAAUCAACAGAUGGGGAGCGUAUGAGUUUCAUUGCAUCUAGAAUGGCACUCAAUGCCUUGGUGCCAAUUUUGUAAGUCAUUGCAGUGUUUAGUGAUGACCCACAAGUAUAGGGGAUCUAUCGUAGUCCUUUCGAUAAGAGAGAGUGUCGAACCCAACGAGGAGCAGAAGGAAAUGAUAAAUGGUUUUCAGCAAGGUAUUCUCUGCAAGUACUGAAAUAAGUGGUAACAGAUAGUUUUGUAAUGAGAUAAUUUGUAACGAGCAACAAGUAACAAAAGUGAAUAAAGUGCAGCAAGGUGGCCCAAUCCUUUUUGUAGCAAAGGACAAGCCUGGACAAACUCUUAUAUAAGGAAAAGCGCUCCUGAGGACACAUGGGAAUAUCGUCAAGCUAGUUUUCAUCACGUUCAUAUGAUCCGCGUUCGGUACCUUGAUAAUUUGAUAUGUGGGUGGACCGGUGCUUGGGUGUUGUUCUUACUUGAACAAGCAUCCCACUUAUGAUUAACCUCUAUUGCAAGCAUCCGCAACUACAAAAAAAGUAUUAAGGUAAACCUAACCAUAGCAUGAAACAUAUGGAUCCAAAUCAGCCCUUAAGAAGCAACGCAUAAACUAGGGUUUAAGCUUCUGUCACUCUACCAACCCAUCAUCUACUUAUUACUUCCCAAUGCCUUACUCUAGGCCCAAAUAAUGGUGAAGUGUUAUGUAGUAGACAUUCACAUAACACCACUAGAGGCUAGACAACAUACAUCUCAUCAAAAUAUUGAACGAAUACCAAAUUCACAUGACUACUAAUAGCAAGACUUCUCCCUUGUCCUCGGGAACAAACGUAACUACUCACAAAGCAUAAACAUGUUCAUAAUCAGAGGGGUAUUAAUAUGCAUAAAGGAUCUGAACAUAUGAUCUUCCACCAAUUAACCAACUAGCAUCAACUACAAGGAGUAAUUAACACUACUAGCAACCUACUAGCACCAAUCCCGAACUUGAAGACAAGAAUUGGAUACAAGAGAUGAACUAGGGUUUUGAGAUGAGAUGGUGCUGAUGAAGAUGUUGAUGGAGAUUGCCCUCUCCCAAUGAGAGGAGCAUUGGUGAUGAUGAUGGAGAUGAUUCCCCCCUCCGUGAGGGAAGUUUCCCCGGCAGAACAGCUCUGCCGGAGCUCUAGAUUGGAUCCGCCAAGGUUCCGCCUCAUGGCGGUGGAUUUUCAUCCCGGAAGGUUGCUUCUUCUUUUUUUUCUCGACAAAAGACUUCAUAUAGGAGAAGAUGGUCCUCGGAGAGCCACCAGGGGGCCCACGAGGCAGGGGGGCGCGCCCUAGGGGGCGCCCCCACCCUCAUGAGAAGGGUGUGGGCCCCCUGGUCUUCAUCUUUGGCGAGGAUUUUUCAUUAUUUAUUCUAAGGUGUUCUGUGGAGUUUCAGGACUUUUGGAGUUGUGCAGAAUAGGUCUCUAAUAUUUGCUCCUUUUCCAGCCCAGAAUUCCAACUGCCGACAUUCUCCCUCCUUAUGUAAACCUUGUAAAAUAAGAGAGAAUAGCCAUAAGUAUUGUGACAUAAUGUGAAAUAAUAGCCCAUAAUGCAAUAAAUAUCGAUAUAAAAGCAUGAUGCAAAAUGGACGUAUCAACUCCCCCAAGCUUAGACCUCGCUUGUCCUCAAGCGAAAAGCCGAAAUCAAAAAAUAUGUCCAGAUGUUUAGACAUGAAGGUGUGGAUACAAAUAAAAUACGGACAUGAGGGCAUCAUGAUCAUUCUUAUAACAGCAACUUAUAUAUUUUGUGUCAUAUGAUCUCUAAUGCUAGAGUAAUAAUUCAACCACAAUAUCAGGUAUGAAUCAUAAACUUCAUUGAAAACUAAGAAACUACAAUCUCGGUCAUUGAAGCAAUUGCAAUUUAUCAUAACAUAGGAAAGAGUCAAUGUAUAAGAGCUUUUCAGCAAGUCCAUAUACUCAACUAUCAUAUAAUCUUUCACAAUUGCUGACACUCGCGCAAUACUUAUGGGUAUGGAGUUUUAAUCGGACACAGGGAAAGAUAGGGGCUUAUAGUCUUGCCUCCCAACGUUUUACCUCAAGGGUAAUGUCAAUAGUAAUAGUUCAUGAAAACUCACAUCCAAUUAGCCAUAUAUACCAGGAUCUUUCCAACAUACUGUGCUUGCCAAAUGAUAAAGUGUAAAAAGGAAGGGUGAAAAUCACCAUGACUCUUGCAUAAGGUAGAAGAUAAUGAUUAAAGAUAGGCCCUUCGCAGAGGGAAGUAGAGGUUGCCAUGCGCUUUUAUGGUUGGAUGCACAAAAUCUUAAUGCGAAAGAACAUCACUUUAUAUUGCCCCUUGUGAUAUGAACCUUUAUUAUGCAGUCCGUCGCUUUUAUUACUUCCACAUCACAAGAUCGUAUAAAGCUUAUUUCUCCCACACCAAUCAAUCAUACAUAUUUAGAGAGCAAUUUUUAUUGCUUUGCACCGAUGACAACUUACUUGAAGGAUCUUAUUCAAUCCAUAGGUAGAUAUGGUGGACUCUCAUGGCAAAACUGGUUUAAGGGUAUUUGGAAGCACAAGUAGUAUCUCUACUUGGUGCAAUGAAUUUGGCUAGCAUGAGGGGGAAAGGCAAGCUCAACAUGUUGGAAGAUCCAAGACAAUAUAAUUUAUCUCAGAUGUAAGAAAACAUCACCCAUUACGUUGUCUUCCUUGUCCAAUGUGAACUCUUUAGCAUGUCAUAUUUUAAUGAGUGCUCACAAUCAUAAAAGAUGUCCAAGAUAGUAUAUCUAUAUGUGAAGACCUCUCUUUCUUUAUUACUUCCUAUUAAUUGCAACGAUGACCAAAACUAUGCUUGUCAACUCUCAACAACUUUUAUUCAUCAUACUUUUUCUAUGUGAGCUCAUUACUCUCGAUGGGAUCCAUAUGAUCUCUUUGUUUCUUUUUAUUUCUUUCUCUUUUCUUUUAUUCACUUAGGAUAAUGGCAAAACAAUCAAGCCCUUGAAUCAACACUAAUCUUUAUUAUAUAGCUCACGGACUCGAUUACAUAGAAGGAUAAUGAAGCAAAACACACAACUAGAUCAUGCCGCAAACAUUAUUCUACUAGAUCAAAAUACUACUAAUAAGAUCAAACUAAGGAAAACGGUAAAGAUAGGAGUUGUGAUAUGAUACCGGGGCACCUCCCCCAAGCUUGGCGGUUGCCAAGGGGGGUGCCCAUACCCAUGUUAUUAUAUCUCCUUGGUUGGUGAAGAAGGUGGAGGUUUUGUUGAUGAUGGAUAGUCGCACAUCGAGCGUAGGAGGUCUUCUAACUUGUGGAUAAUGCCCUUGAGUGCAAGGAUAUGCUCCUUCAACAAAAUAUUUUCACGUGUGAGAUACUUAUUUUGUAUACGAGCCAACACAAUCAUCUUGAAAGCUUUGAUUUCUGUAGGGGUAAGAAGAUUAUGAUCCAGUUGAAGGGUGUCUUCUGUUGCUGGGACUUGGUCCUCCAUGGCCUUCUUGAUCCCUUCAUCCUUAUUGAUCUCCAUAGGUUCUUCUCUCUUUAGCUCUAUCUUCAUUAGCCAAGCAUCAUUGCCCUCAUGGUUGGAGGAGGAGGGAGACGAUAUAGUGCCUGGUCUUGAAAACCCUGACAGAAAAUAGCUCUAAAGAAAGACAGGAGAUUUUUGCGUGACACGGGAGUCAAAACCCCCGGAAGAUUAUAUAAUGAAUUUUUACCGACCAAAAUACGUAUCGUGCAAGAAAAUGGAGUCCGGAAGGCACACGAGGAGCUCACGAGGUAGGGGGCGCGCCCUAGGGGGCGCCCUCCACCCUCAUGAGGCCCUCGUGUCCUUCCCGGACUGCUACUUAAUUUUCUAUUUUUCUAAAUAUUCCAAAACGGAGAAAUAUUGCCUUAAAAAUUCUUUUGGAGUCGGUGUACUUACUGUACCACACACCUAUUCCUUUUCGGAGUCUGAAACGUUCUGGAAAGUGUCCCUUAUGUAUUCCUCCGAGGUUACGGUUUCAAUAAUAUUGGUUUCAACAUUUAUGGGAUUACCUGAAAUAUAAUGUUUGAUUCUUUGACCGUCUACCACCUUCGUAUUUGUGCCUUCGAAGUUGUUGAUUUUUAUGGCACCGGAACGAUAGACCUCCUCGAUAACAUAGGGGCCUUCCCAUUUAGAGAGAGGUUUCCCUGCAAAAAAAUCUUAAAUGAGAGUUGUAUAGCAAUACAUAAUCACCUACAUUAAACUCACGCUUUUGUAUCCUUUUGUCAUGCCAUCUUUUAACUUUUUCUUUAAACAACUUGGCAUUUUCAUAAGCUUGGGUUCUCCAUUCAUCAAGUGAGCUAAUAUCAAAUAACCUCUUUUCACCGGCAAGUUUGAAAUCAUAGUUGAGCUCUUUAAUAGCCCAAUAUGCCUUAUGUUCUAGUUCGAGAGGUAAGUGACAUGCUUUUCCAUAUACCAUUUUAUACGGAGACAUACCCAUAGGAUUUUUAUAUGCAGUUCUAUAGGCCCAUAAUGCAUCAUCAAGUUUCUUGGACCAAUUCUUUCUAGACCUAUUGAUAGUCUUUUGCAGAAUUAAUUUGAGUUCUCUAUUACUCAAUUCUACUUGACCACUAGACUGUGGGUGAUACGGAGAUGCAAUUCUAUGAUUUACGUCAUAUUUAGCAAGCAUUUUACGGAAAGCACCAUGAAUAAAAUGUGAACCACCAUCAGUCAUUAAAUAUCUAGGGACUCCGAACCUCGGAAAAAUAACUUCUUUAAGCAUUUUAAUAGAAGUGUUAUGAUCAGCACUACUAGUUGGAAUAGCUUCUACCCACUUAGUAACGUAAUCAACAACAACUAAAAUAUGUGUAUAUCCAUUAGAGGCUGGAAAAGGUCCCAUAUAAUCAAAGCCCCAAACAUCAAAUGGUUCAAUAACAAGUGAAUAAUUCAUAGGCAUUUCUUGACGUCUACUAAUAUUACCAAUUCUUUGACAUUCAUCACAAGAUAGGACAAACUUACGGGCAUCCUUGAAAAGAGUAGGCCAAUAAAAACCGGAUUGCAAUACCUUAUGUGCAGUUCUAUCUCCCGCUUGGUGUCCUCCAUAAGUUUCGGAGUGGCACUUGCGUAGGAUCUGUUCCUGUUCAUGCUCAGGUACACAACGUCUAAUAACACCAUCUACUCCUUCUUUAUAAAGAUGUGGGUCAUCCCAAAAGUAAUGUAUCAAAUCAUAGAAGAACUUUUUCUUUUGUUGUUAUGUGAAGCUAGGUGGUAUAAAUUUAGCAACUAUGUAAGUAGCAUAAUCAGCAUACCAAGGGGUACUACGAGAAGUACUUAUGACAUUUAAUUGUUCAUCAGGAAAACUAUCAUCAAUAGGUAGUGGGUCAUGAAGAACAUUCUGUAACCUAGAUAAGUUGUCUGCAACGGGGUUUUCAGCUCCUUUUCUAUCAACAAUAUGCAAAUCAAAUUCUUGUAGCAAGAGAACCCAUCUAAUAAGUCUAGGUUUAGCAUCUUUAUUUUCCAUAAGAUAUUUAAUAGCAGCAUGAUCAGUGUGGAUAGUUACUUUAGAAUCAACAAUAUAAGGUCUGAACUUAUCACAAGCAAAUACAACUGCUAAAAGUUCUUUUUUAGUAGUAGCAUAAUUUCUUUGAGCAUUAUCUAGAGUCUUACUAGCAUAAUGGAUACCUUUUAGUUUCUUAUCAACUCUUUGCCCUAGAACAACACCUACAGUAUAAUCACUAGCAUCACACAUAAUUUCAAAGGGUAAAUUCCAAUCAGGUGGCUGAACAAUAGGUGCGGAGACUAAUGCUUUCCUAAGUAUUUCAAAUGCUUCUACACAAUCAUCAUCAAAGACAAAUGGUAUAUCUUUUUGUAAUAAAUUAGUCAGAGGCCGAGAAAUUUUUGAGAAGUCCUUGAUGAACCUCCUAUAAAAUCCGGCGUGACCAAGGAAACUUCUUAUACCUUUGAUGUCCUUGGGACAUGGCAUCUUUUCAAUAGCAUCAACCCUGGCUUUAUCAACUUCAAUACCUCUUUCAGAAACUUUAUGCCCCAAGACAAUACCUUCAUUAACCAUAAAGUGGCACUUUUCCCAAUUCAAGACAAGAUUAGUUUCUUCACAUCUCUGCAAAACUCGAUCAAGAUUGCUCAAGCAAUCAUCAAAAUAAGAUCCAUAGACGGACAUCCAUGAAAACCUCACAAAUCUUUUCACAAAAGUCAGAGAAUAUAGCCAUCAUGCAUCUUUGAAAGGUAGCAGGUGCAUUACAUAAACCAAAAGGCAUACGUCUAUAAGCAAAAGUACCAAAAGGGCAUGUAAAAGUAGUCUUUGAUUGAUCUUUAGCCGACACAGGUAUUUGAGAGAAACCAGAAUAACCAUCUAGAAAGCAGUAAUGUGUAUGUUUGCAUAAUCUUUCUAGCAUUUGAUCGAUAAAAGGUCAGGGGUAAUGAUCUUCCUUAGUAGCCUUAUUUAAUUUGCGGAAAUCAAUUACCAUCCUAUAACCGGUAAUAAUUCUUUGUGGAAUCAAUUCAUCUUUAUCAUUAGGAACAACACUAAUACCUCCCUUCUUAGGGACACAAUGAACAGGACUUACCGACUGACUAUCAGCAACGGGAUAAAUUAUACCUGCCUCUAGAAGCUUUAGUAUUUCUUUUCUUACCACUACUUUCAUUUUAGGAUUCAGAAGUCAUUGAGGAUCACGAACUGGUUUGGCAUCUGCUUCCAAAUUUAUUUUAUGUUGACAUAGAGUGGGACUAAUGCCCUUAGGAUCAUCAAGAGUAUAUCCAAUAGCAGCACGAUGCUUCUUCAGAGUUUUCAAUAAUCUUUCUUCUUCAUGCUCUGAAAGGUUAGCACUAAUAAUAACAGGAUAUAUCUUAGUUUCAUCAAGAUAAGCAUAUUUAAGAUUAUCAGGCAACGGUUUAAGCUCAAACACAGGAUCACCCUUAGGUGGAGGAGGAUCCCCUAGGAUUUCAACAGGCAAAUUGUGUUUUAUCAUAGGUUCUUGUUUAAAGAAUACUUCAUCUAUUUCCCUUCUUUCAUUCAUAAACAUAUCAUUCUCAUGGUCUAGCAAAUAUUGUUCUAAAGGAUCAUUAGGAGGUACGGCAAUAGAAGCAAGACCAAUAAUUUCAUCCUUACUAGGCAAUUCUUCUUCAUAGUAUUAUUUACUAAAUUUAGAGAAACUAAACUCAUGAGUCAUAUCAUCCAAACCAAUAGUAACAACAUUCUUUUCGUAGUCUAUCCUAGCAUUAACUGUAUUCAAGAAGGGUCUACCAAAUAUAAUGGGACAAAAGCUAUCUUGUGGAGAACUAAGAACAAGAAAAUCAGUAGGAUAUUUAGUUUUCCCGCACAAGACUUCAACAUCUCUAACAAUUCCCAUUGCUGAAAUAGUAUCUCUAUUAGCAAGUUUAAUUGUGACAUCAAUAUCUUCUAACUCAGCAGGUGCAAUUUCAUGCUUGAUUUCUUUAUACAAGUCAUAAGGUAUAACACUAGCACUAGCACCCAUAUCACAUAAGCCAUGAUAACAAUGAUCUCCUAUUUUAACAGAAAUAACAGGCACGCCUACCACAGGUCUAUGUUUAUAUUUAGCACAAGGUUUAGCAAUUCUAGCAGUUUCACCGCAGAACUGGAUAACAUGCCCAUCAAUAUUAUCAGACAAGAGCUCUUUAACAAUAGCAAUAUUAGGUUCAACUUUAACUUCCUCAGGAGGUCUAUAUGUUUUAAUAUUGCUUUUACGAACUAAAGUUGAAGCUUUAGCAUGAUCCUUUAUCCUAACAGGGAAAGGUGGUUUCUCAACAUAAGAAGUAGGAACAAUAGGAUCAUUAUAAGCGACAGUCUUUUCUUCAACUUUAAUAGGUGCAGCUACUUUUACUUAUGGGAGGAUGAUAUUUAAACCACUUCUCCUUAGGUAGAUCAACAUAAGUAGCAAAAGAUUCACAGAAAGAAGCUACUAUCUCAGAAUCAAGUCCAUAUUUAGUGCUAAACUUACAGAAAACAUCGGUAUCCAUGAAAGAUUUAACACAAUCAAACUUAGGUGUCAUACCUGACUCCUUACCAUUGUCGAGGUCCCAAUCUUCAAAGUUGCGUUUAAUUCUAUCCAAUAAAUCCAAUUUGAAUUCAAUAGUCUUCAUCAUAAAAGAGCCAGCACAAGAAGUAUCAAGCAUGGUGUGAUUGUUGUCAGAAAGACGAGCAUAAACAUUUUGAAGAAUUGUUUCUCUUGGAAGCUCAUAAUUGGGGCGAGAAUAUAACAUUCAUUUAAGCCUCCCCCAAGCUUGAGCGAUGCUUUCUCCUUCACGAGGCCAAAAAUUAUAUAUAUAAUUGUGAUCACGAUGAACAAGAUGCAUAGGGUAAUACUUUAGAUGAAAUACCAAUUUCAAUCUUCUAUACUUCCAUGAUCCCAUAUCAUCACAUAGCCUAUACCAUGUCAAUGAGUCUCCCUUCAAAGAUAAAGGGAGGACCUUCUUCUUAGCAACAUCAUCGGAAAUACAUGCAAGCUUAAAUAAUCCACAAACUUCAUCCACAUAUAUUAGGUGUUCAUCAGGAUGCUUUGUUCCAUCUCCUGUAAAAGGAUUAGCUAGCAGUUUUUCUAUUAUACUUGAAGGAUACUCAUAAGGAAUUUCAUUUUCAAUAGGUUCAGUGGGUUGAGGAGCAACUCUUUGCUCUACUGGUCGGGGUGAAGAUACCCCGAACAAGCCCCUCAGAGGAUUACUUUCCAUAGUAACAAGUGACAGUAAAUUUCAGCACACUAUAUAAAAUUUUCCUUACCAAAGGCGCUUCACUCCCCGGCAACGGCGCUAGAAAAGAGUCUUGAUGACCCACAAGUAUAGGGGAUCUAUCAUAGUCCUUUCGAUAAGUAAGAGUGUCGAACCCAACGAGGAGCAGAAGGAAAUGAUAAACGGUUUACAGCAAGGUAUCCUCCGCAAGUACUGAAAUAAGUGGUAACAGAUAGUUUUGUAAUGAGAUAAUUUGUAACGAGCAACAAGUAACAAAAAUGAAUAAAGUGCAGCAAGGUGGCCCAAUCCUUUUUGUAGCAAAGGACAAGCCUGGACAAACUCUUAUAUAAGGAAAAACGCUCCCAAGGACACAUGGGAAUAUCAUCAAGCUAGUUUUCAUCACGUUCAUAUGAUUCGCGUUCGGUACUUUGAUAAUUUGAUAUGUGGAUGGACCGGUGCUUGGGUGCUGUUCUUACUUGAACAAGCAUCCCAAUUAUGAUUAACCUCUAUUGCAAGCAUCCACAACUACAAAAAAAGUAUUAAGGUAAACCUCACCAUAGCAUGAAACAUAUGGAUCCAAAUCAGCCCCUUACGAAGCAACGCAUAAACUAGGGUUUAAGCUUCUGACACUCUAGCAACCCAUCAUCUACUUAUUACUUCCCAAUGCCUUCCUCUAGGCCCAAAUAAUUGUGAAGUGUUAUGUAGUCGACGUUCACAUAACACCACCACGGGCUAGACAACAUACAUCUCAUCAAAAUAUUGAACGAAUACCAAAUUCACAUGACUACUAAUAGCAAUACUUCUCCCUUGUCCUCAGGAACAAAUGUAACUACUCACAAAGAAUAAACAUGUUCAUAAUCAGAGGGGUAUUAAUAUGCAUAAAGGAUCUGAACAUAUGAUCUUUCACUAAUUAAACCAACUAGCAUCAACUACAAGGAGUAAUUAACACUACUAGCAACCUACUAGCACCAAUCCCGGACUUGAAGACAAGAAUCGGAUGCAAGAGAUGAACUAGGGUUUUGAGAUGAGAUGGUGCUGAUGAAGAUGUUGAUGGAAAUUGCCCUCUCCCGAUGAUAGGAGCGUUGGUGAUGAUGAUGGCGAUGAUUCCCCCCUCCGGGAGGGAAGUUUCCUGACAGAACAGCUCUGCCGGAGCUCUAGAUUGGAUCCGCCAAGGUUACGCCUCGUGGCGGCGGAGUUUCGUCCCGAAAGGUUGCUUCUUCUUUUUUUCUCGAUGAAAGACUUCAUAUAGGAGAAGAUGGUCAUCGGAGGCCACCAGGGGGCCCACGAGGCAGGGGGCACGCCCUAGGGGGGGCUCCCCCCACCCUCGUGAGAAGGGUGUGAGCCCCUGGUCUUCAUCUUUGGCGAGGAUUUUUCAUUAUUUAUUAUAAGGUGUUCCGUGGAGUUUCAGGACUUUUGGAGUUGUGUAGAAUAGGUCUCUAAUAUUUGUUCCUUUUCCAGCCCAGAAUUUCAGCUGCCGGCAUUCUCCCUCCUUAUGUAAACCUUGUAAAAUAAGAGAGAAUAGCCAUGAGUAUUGUGACAUAAUGUGAAAUAAUAGACCAUAAUGCAAAAUGGACGUAUCAUUUAGCUCCAAGAGUGGACUGCUGCUAGUGCGACACAAAGCAGCUACACAGAUCAUAGUGUAGAUAUAACGGGAAAACCUUAAGCAUCAGAGUAAAAUCAGCAAAGUGGAACUUGCUGGAAUAUAUGUGCUAGUAUUGCUGGUACGGCUAGGAAGGCUUCGGAUACCAGCUCUCUUCAAGUGAAGGUGCGGUACUAUUAAUAUCAGUGUAACUCUCAAAGGCGACACAGCUCCUCGCAUUUCCUUGCUAUUCUUAUAGGAUUCAAGUGGGCAGGCCACUACAAAUCAUAUUCCUAUGUUUACAAGAUCCUACGAAUCAAAGAGGCUCAAAGUGUCCAUCAUAACCGACCGUAUAGACCUCUACACUGCAAAUGUCCCUGCUCAUCUUUAGUACAAGGAACAUACUGUACUACUAUCAUACUCCCUCCAUUCCAAAAUAUAAGUCUUGGUAGAGAUUUCCACUAUGGAUCACAUACAGAUGUAUCCAGAUACAUUUUAGAGUGUAGAUUCACUCAUUUUGCUCCAUAUGUAGUCCAUGGUGGAAUCUAUACAAAGACUUGUAUUUAGGAACGGAGAGAGUACAUAUUAAAGAAGAACGGAAGACGAACAUGGUAAAGAAGAGCAAGCGGAUUUUGGAUAAUAAAAUGUUGGUUGUGCAGUGCCCACACAUGAUGAACCAGAGCGCAUUAAGAAUGCAACUCCCAGCUGUCUCUCGACCAUUUCAGGCGGUUGGAUGAAGAUCCUACGUCUCCUAACCCUUCUUCUUCCUCGUCUCUGAUUCUUCCCAUAUAGAACACCACACGGGCGGCCGGCCGAACCACCAGCCCCCACCGCCUGUGUUCCUCCGCCACCCCCACCCCCACCCCCACGCCCGCCCCAACCCCCACCCGCGUCGAGUUUUCUUUGUUCGGCGAGGCCCCACAACCACUGUGAUUUAACUAGUGUGGAAUAUAAAAGGGGGAAACCAUAAGCAUUGGGAGUAUAGUGUUGAGCAUGCCAUGGAGGAUCUGAAGGUGCAAACCGGACAAAGGAAACUUCACAACCAAGACAAGAAAUCAGAGUAAAGCAGUGGUGAUCUAUUUUCUUGCUGUGAUAAAUAAGUUGAGCAGAUACGAAAGAGUACCGCCUCUGGUGCGGCGCCGUGUAUGCAUCUACUGAGAAUUUGACGGUGCUGCGGUAGCGAUGGCUGUCGGUGGCGUGGAAGCAGAUCUAGGAGGGUAGACGAUGGUGGCGGGGUGCGGUGGACGAGACGGUCGUAGGAGCGACGCCGGCAAGGUGGACGACGGCGGGGAUGAAGUGAGAGGACGGGAUGCAAGGAUCCCGGUCCGAAGCCGUGGAUGAGAGAGGUCGAUCUCUUGUAAUGGACGGCAGCGUCGGGGUAUCAGCUCCGGCAUGGUGGAGGAGGACGGCGGUGGAUGGGGUGGCGGACGGCGGCGGACGGAGGAGGGUGGGGUGGAGAGGGUGUUUUGGCGCCCACGGAGUACGAAUGGGGAAAAGGGAGGUAGAGAGGAAGGGGGGAACCAUGUAUUCAGGGCGCGCUUGUCUCAAAUGCGAGGAAAUUUACAAACUUAGCCCCCGUUUCAAAUUUCUACUACAUCACAGCAACAUUAGUCGGUUGGGGAUAGGACGGUAAUCUCGCAUACACCGAAUAUUUGCCGACGGGAGUUUGAUUUUGGCGCCCACCAUGUAUGAAUAUGAAUCGGGGAGGGAGUCGAUUUCGGCCGAGGACACACUGUGUUUUGGCGCCCACCGUGUAUGAAUCCAGGUGAGAGGCGGUUACGUCAUGUUUGGGUGAAAUUACAAACCUACCCCUAUCGAAACCUAUAGAAAUCCAGCAGAUAGGCUUUGCGUGGCAGGGAUAGGCAGUAGUGAUUUCCAUCUCGCAGAUUUUGGUUUCGGGCGGUUACUGCGACUUUCCCCGCUUCGUUCAAAUUUUGCAGAGUGCACGUUUACCGUACCAACUCAAUUCAAAUCCCGUUUGUAUUCUAUUUUUUUCGGGCGGGAUCCAUUUUCAAUUGGAAUUACAUUCUAUAUACAUCAUUUUUUAUAUAUACUUUCAAAAUCACAACACCAUUUAUACAUAAAUAUGGUUUACAAAUGGCAUGAUCUCAGAUUCAUAAGGUUGUAUCCAUCAAUUUGGAUUUUCAAAUAUUUGAAACCACUUUAUGUUGAAAUCCAAUGUAUGCAUUCCUCGCUAACUGUCUCCAAUUAAUGUGUGUUUCAUGCGGGUUUUUUUACUUCUCAAACAUGUAUAAUGUGUUUCACACAUGCAACAUAUAGUGUAAUCCCGUUUAGACAUUAAUUGCAUAUAAACCAUGCAUUGUUUGUAAUUGAAGAAUCUAUGGAUCACCAAUAUUGAUAAACUAUAUAACAUUACACGUGUGCCCAAAUUCAAAUGAAUAUGCAUGUUUGAUACACCAAUUUGCGUUAUGAUAUUAUCGAUGUCGUGAUCUCCAGUUUAAAUAUUUGAAUCCCCUUUAAUCCAGAUAUUCGUCUCAUAUAGCUACCACUCAUGCUUAUAUAGGACUAUCUCUCUGGACCUAUACGCGUUCAUCGUCUCUCAGGUAUCUGUCGUCCUACAUGUAUGUCGACAAUGAUCUUUUAUCUUCGUAACACACUGAUGGUACUCUCUCCCUCGACCUUCAUCACUCUAUCUCUCUCUAAGUAUAUCUCGCUCCCUGCUAUGUGUCUCUAACUAUGAUUCUCCAUGUGGAAUCUCUUUCUCUCACACAAACACAAAACUUUGUCUCCCGGGGUCUCAUUUCUCUCUACUAUUCCCAUGUGUGCCACUCGCACACCCCUCAUAUAGAGAUGUCUUUUGCUCCUUAGAUAUGAGAACCUAGGACUCUUCCUCUUCAAUAUCUCUUUCUCACACACAAACACAAACUCUGUCUCCCGGGGUCUCAUAUUUCUCCAUUGUUCUCUUGUAUGUCGCUCACACACACCCUCUCUCCCUAGAGAUAUCUUGCGUUCCCUCGUAUGUCUCUCUAGCUAUCACUCUCGUUGUGAAAUAUCUUUCUCUCUCGCAGACACAAAACUCCAUCUCUCUGGAUCUCAUUUCUCUCUGAUAUCAGUUUGUAUGUGACUCACAUGCACCCUCUCUCUAUCUCUCUCACACCCACACACAUAACCCAGCCUUCUGAUCCACUCGACUCCUAUCUCUAACGCACACUAGCUAGCAUCUUUAUCUUUCUAUUUAUUUGUUUCUCCAUCAAACUUCUUUCUCGCCCUCACUCUUGAUUCCUAUCACGCACACUACAUAUGUUUCUCUCUACAUGCAGUCAAGUGCCCUCUCACACACAUAUAUAACUUCACCCUUUGAACCACCCGACGGUCAUCUCCAACACCCAAACUAGCGGAUGUCCCUCUAGCUAGCAUAUCCAUCUCUGUAUCUAUCUGUAGUUUCUCCGUCAACAUAUCUUUCUCGCAUGGAGUCUUGCUUCCUAUCACCCACACUAUAUAUGUCUCUCCAUACAUAUGCAUUUAUAGGUUGGUCUCUUUUGCACAAUCGUUGCACCUCACUCCCUCUACUCGCCAUAGAUGCAUGCUCCAGCCCACGCCACUAUCUCUUAAAGACAAAAACACAUGCUCAAUUGUCGGGCCUUCUUCCCUGCAUUCUCAUAUGCAUGAAUAUUGUCAUACCGAUCCGUCUCUCCCAUGUCGUUGAUCUUAUGACUUAUGUCUUCUUUAUUUUAUCUCGAUCAUGCGCGCGCGCACACACACACAUCCCACGUAUACAUGUAUACCUCUCACACAUGCACGUUCAAGGUCUCUAUGUCUCCAUACAUAGUUAAUUACCCUCAAUCCUAAUGCCACAUUGAAUCGUUCUCCUCUUUUGUGCACAUAACUUCCGCCUGGAUGGGUAAAACACACACUCACACUUAACAAUCUCCUUCUAGCUACACCCCCCCCCCCGCCUCUCACUCUUCCCCUAUAUCCCCGAAACCAAUAAGACCAUCCCUUUGUUUAAUUCCCGCCUACAUGCACCAUCGAUAUAUAGUAGUCUUCCUUGGUGUCUCNNNNNNNNNNNNNNNNNNNNNNNNNNNNNNNNNNNNNNNNNNNNNNNNNNNNNNNNNNNNNNNNNNNNNNNNNNNNNNNNNNNNNNNNNNNNNNNNNNNNNNNNNNNNNNNNNNNNNNNNNNNNNNNNNNNNNNNNNNNNNNNNNNNNNNNNNNNNNNNNNNNNNNNNNNNNNNNNNNNNNNNNNNNNNNNNNNNNNNNNNNNNNNNNNNNNNNNNNNNNNNNNNNNNNNNNNNNNNNNNNNNNNNNNNNNNNNNNNNNNNNNNNNNNNNNNNNNNNNNNNNNNNNNNNNNNNNNNNNNNNNNNNNNNNNNNNNNNNNNNNNNNNNNNNNNNNNNNNNNNNNNNNNNNNNNNNNNNNNNNNNNNNNNNNNNNNNNNNNNNNNNNNNNNNNNNNNNNNNNNNNNNNNNNNNNNNNNNNNNNNNNNNNNNNNNNNNNNNNNNNNNNNNNNNNNNNNNNNNNNNNNNNNNNNNNNNNNNNNNNNNNNNNNNNNNNNNNNNNNNNNNNNNNNNNNNNNNNNNNNNNNNNNNNNNNNNNNNNNNNNNNNNNNNNNNNNNNNNNNNNNNNNNNNNNNNNNNNACGCACGCAUGCACGCACCCCCCCCACACACACACACUAAGACUCCAUCUCUCUCACACACACACACAAACUAAGACUCCAUCUCUCUCUCUCUCUCUUACACACUAAGAAUCCAUCUCACACACACAUGCUCUAGGCGGAGCAUUUGUUCCUACCACCCUUCAUCCAACCUUACCCGUAUGAUAAACAAUCACCUUUAUUUACUUGCAUAACAUGGACAAAUUCUACUUUACUUUAGUAGUCAGCAAACUUAUCAUCUGUACCCUUAUAAAAAAAUGAGUUGGCAGUGAUGGUGUGCCUGCCAUCUUGUAAUACAGACCGUAUGAUCUAUAUCUGAGGAUAGAAAGCAAACUAUGAUAAUUUUACAAAAGAUACCCGCACCUCUCUCCACAUCAUUAUCUCUAGCAACCUCAUUGCUCAGCAAUUAAAAAAGGAAUAAGUCUCUGGAACAAUCUAGCAUGCAUGGUGGCAGUUGCCGCCUGCCGGCGCCGUCCAUCCCCAUGCCUCCGCCCAUUCCGACCACCAGUCACCACCACGCCCCACUCCUCCUCGCCUUAUCUCUCAUCUUUCAUUUUUUCGAUGACAUUCUCAAGAUACCAGUUUUCGGAUAAAAUUCUCAAGAUAUCAUUAGUUUUUACACAUGGGAUUACUCCUGCAUGGGCCAAUCACAACAGGUGUUUUAAAAAAAAUGCAUAUUGAUGUUCCCUGCAAUGCACGAGAAUCUUGCUUGUAAUUAUAUAACGCAAAUCACGAGCAGGAAGUGACAUUUUUUUGACACAACCACAUUAACAUGGCCACGUAAAUCACUAGCUAAAGUAAAUACCAUUAUACUUAUAUCCCGAUGCAAAAGGUUGAGUACAUGUCCGAAGAGUAGAGUCGCACACACGCACUCUGUCUCUCACAAUCUCUCUCACAAACACACCAGUCACGUGACACCCACUUAAGAAGACAUGUAUGUUACAAUUUGUGCACCCGCGGGUACACGUGGUGUUGCGCAUUUAUUUAAGCCGGAAGGCGAACCCAAACAGUAGCUGCAUUCAUUCCCCUCCCACCGCCUCUUCUCUGGUCACCGUCGCCCGGUAGCCAUGGGCCGGCCGAAGGUAACAACAUAUGCCAUACUCCCGCCGGAGCGGCGCUUUAAUAUGGAAAUUUUAGUGGUCAUGCAUGCAUCUUUUUGUGCUAGCACUCCUAUAUAAGGGUUGACCGGUCGCUUCCCGCGGACAUGCGCGGGCGGUGGAAGAGGAAGGAGAAGGGAAGCGGGCUGUGGAGUAACGUUUUUACCACAAUUUCUUAGGAAACUGAGUGCAAUAAUUGAGUAGUUUUGCAAACUACCAGUACUACACCUGAAACGGUUCCAAACCUAUACUCCCAUGCCAGCGCGCGCUUCUCGCGUGAAACGGUCAGCGUCGCCCUGGAGCGUCAGUGCUGCAUUAAUGCCCGGCCAGAGUAGAGGCGACCUCUCACUGGCGCCGGCUUUGAAGUGGCGCGACGGCCGAGAGAGCGCCGCUUCCCAAUGCACGCGACUGCUCCGCGUCGAGACUGGCCAUAGGCCCUGUUUGGAUCCAAGGAUACUCUAACACAGUUAGAGUUAGAGUUAUUUUCUAACCCACUCUAACCCAAAUAAGCAUCUCUCCAUCGGGAUAGUUGGGUUAGAUGAAACUAACCCACUCUAACCAUCCCUGUUUGGAUACUUUUGGGUUAUUUGAGCCUCCAACUAACCCAAACUAGCUCUAACCCCAUGAUCCAAACAGGGACCAUGGGUUAGAGUUAGUUUGAGCUAGUUGGGGCUCAAAUAGCCCUAAAGUGUCCAAGCAUGAGGGUUUAAAUUGGAGCAAGUUGCACUGAACCCACCAAAAAAAACUAUCCCACCCAAGAGGUGCUAACUGGAGAUAGUUCUCAUUAGGACCACUGAAAAAUCACUUUUCUCUCUCCAUGAAGUGCAUUUAUUGUCAAUCUAACCCUGUCACCCAAACACCUCUUUGGCUACAGUUAGUUCAGGGUUAGUCAUGAGUUAGUCUAACCUCUAGCUAAGUUAGAGUAUCAAACAGGAGCAGUAUAGGACAUGCAAGUUGCUGAAAGCAUACAGGCAAAUUCGUACGUGAAAGGAUUUUUUUCUUUUUGAAAACGGAACGUGAAAGGAAUUUUUUUAGAAUGCUCUUGGCAUGUAGCUAACAUGUGAUAGUUAACCGACCUCAAUAGACAGUAGAAACGCCAGCCCGCCGCACUUUGAUAGAGACGAGGAGGGAGAAGCGAUACGGGCUGCUGGAUUACUGGAGAUAGGUGUUGCACGGAAGCCAAGAAAUAGGGUGAUAGCGUGGGUUAGCCAUGUACUAGUAUGAUGUAACUACACUGGGCUGCCGUGUUUCGUACUCUUCCAGUCCACUGUGGAGAUGAUUGGUUAAUUUUAUAUCGCUGAAUAAUAUUAAAUAUUAUGAGUGCAGACGCUCCACCACGAGGUUCCUUGCUCCUUCUCGGCCGUCCGGAAUCUAUGUUCUUCCACUCUAUUUUUUACGUGAGCUUUGUUCAUCCUUUUGCCAACACGCGAGACAUCUAGCAUCAAGGUGCACGUGUUAUGCAAGGAUCGUUCCAUCUAUAUGAAGAACACGUGGGACUGGAACUACGAGACGGACAUGUAUCCAGGAGUGGACGUACGAACCUGAGUAAUGUAGCGCAGUAAGUGAAGUAGAAAGGCACACAUGGUAUGAACAUGCGUGGCAUAUAGGGUGUGUUUGGUUGUGUUCUCGUCUCAGCAUAGUUGUUCCCUCUUCAUGCAUGCUCAACUCAACACCCCUCUUCAUGCAUGCUUCUAGUGUAUUUGUGCUAAACUAGUGUGGACUCAUGCACCCUCCAUACACUCUACCAAACACCUAAAAGUAGGUCGAGAAGGGAACUCUUGGGCGGCAUUUGUCUCUUACUACGUACUACCACUAAAUGUUGUACGUGAAAUGCACGGUGAUGUUAUGGAGUAUGUGCCUAAGUACUCUACUACUACUAUAUUAGUUGGAGGCACAUAUUAACUUUUAUAUUUGUUUACGUGUAUGCCCCGAGACCUUCCAACUAGACGUGUCUUUCUCUCCAGGCCGCACUUUGUAUCGUUCAUACCACUAAGUACUACUACGUGUGGUCUCCGACCCGGAAGUGGAAGAAGUGGAGAUGCUCUACCACGCUGUUGUUUUACGCUGGGCUCUACCAUGCUAUUCAUGUCCCACUCCUUUCGCUGACGUGUGGGACAUACAGCACGUGCCGUGUUUGGCACCCUUCGUCAUAAGAGUUGAAAUGCUAGCAUUCAUCAGAAAUAAAAAAUACUAAUUAUAAAUCGGCAGUGAUACUAUUUUUUUGUGAACCAAUCAGCAGUGAUACUAUACCACGCAGUUUCCUUGCUCCUCAAUAUCGGAAAGAAUACUUCCGUUCGCCAACAUGUGGGACGUCGACCAUCCUGGUCCACUUGCCAUGCACGCAGAACUCCAAGGGAGAGUCACCCAGGUCGUCGCACCGCAGUAACAAUGACUAAUGAGCCGUCAAAUCACAGGCCCACUUCCCACUUUGAAGUUGCUCGGACGAAGGAACCAUCAUGACUUCUUUGAAUUCUGCUUCUUGAAAAAACUACUAUACCAGCAGUACUACUAGCUACAGUAGUUACUCCAACAGAGGCCUCCUUUCGUUCAUAGGAUAGGAAUAUGAAAAUCAUAGGAAGUGAGAUGACAUGCAUCUCAAUUCCUAUAGAGAAAGAGAUGACAUUUGAUGCUUACGAUAGGAAUUUUUUCAUUUAGUCUAGGCUAAUGUACUGGUAAUUUGCUCUAAAAAGUACAGUAGUAACUAGUAGUAUUGGUACAUGCUCGUACUCAGACACAGACACACACACUAACUACUAGUACUACUACUUCUCACAUGCUGGCCAGACGCCGUUGUUCUCCUUCCCGGCUUUGUCGUGACACCCCACCAUGCUUGGAUCCCCGCCGACCUCUCCGUAGCAACGCGUGCGUCCUUUUCUUUCUUGCAGCGGCGGUCCUCUCUUUUCUUGAGUGCUUUCUGACUUUUCCGCUCCCUCUAUGCGGCUUUGGCCGCCUCUUUCUCUACCGCCCAUUCGGCCUUGGCAUCUUCAAAUUCCUACCACAUAGUUGUGAGGUGAGCGGCAAUGAACUCGGCACGGCAGGAUGCCAUCGCUUCCCUACCAUUUUGUGUGCAGUCAUGGGCAGCGAGGAACUCGGCACGGCGGGAUGCCAUUGCUACCUUACCUGUUAGUGUGCGGCGCGGUGGCAUGAACGGCGCUUGGUGAGGGCUCUGGGGUGAAGUGGUCGGACAAUCGUAUAAUGCAUUGGUUUGUCAAGAGCUCAAGGACAGAAGACGAAGCAAAUUUGGAUUCCCCUUCAAUCCUGGUCAUUUAUUACCGAGUAAAAUGCAUUGGCGGUCAUCGAACUUGUCUUGAUAGCUCACUUUGAUCAUUGUAUACGAGAUAUGCUGAUUAUACGGUCACUGACUCAGCGUAUAUCUCCGUAUUUGUCUGGUUGACCAGUCAAACAGUCCACAUGCGCCUCAUCAGCUCAUGUUCUUUAUCUAUCUACGCGGGCCUACCUGUCAAUGGAGAAAGAAAUACUGUAAAAACCAAAAUUAUGCGUAUGUGGGGAAUCAAACCACAGACUCGUCGAUGCAACGCACCCUCGUCAGCCAAAUGUAAAUGAAAUACUUUGCGUCAGAUACUCACGCUCACGCUCUCAAAGCAUGCUAAUGCAUGCACGUCGCCCUCUAAAUCAAAGUCCUGCUCAUGGCGCAACGCAAACGGCGAGCCCAUCACCUGCGCGCCCUGGUGGUGCCUGACAUUACUGUUUAGACGUUUGAUGGAGGCCUACAUGAACGCCGAGCAUGUAUUCAUCUGGCUCAACACCAACGGUCAUACUCGGACCGCCUUGCUCAUGUAUAUGGGUACUAUAGUAGUAUGGUACGGAGUAUGUACUAUCAUGAGCGACCGAUCUUAGUGCCACUGCACACCGAAACCCCUUCCAUCGCUAGCACGCGCUUCCCGCCUGAAACGGUCACCGUCUCUCCAGAAUGUCAAUGCCGCAUUCACCGGACUUAACUGCAGGUGCAAUUGGUGUGUCACUGACAUGCGGGCCAGAUGCCCAUUGGGCCCACAUGUCAGUAACCCAAAUGCAUCCGCAGUUAAGUCACUGAAGCAAUGUCUGCAUUCAUGCCCGACGAACCUACUCCAGCGCCAGUUGUCCAUCCGUCUGCCGCGGCUCAUUGCCAUUCGCCUGCUAUAUUAACUUGAGCCCCAGCUCCCAGCCAUAGCCAAAGACCCACACUUAUUCUCCUCCGGUCCCUUCCUUCUGUUGGCACCACAUCAACCAUGGCCUCCUGGCGCUCCGAAGGUCUCUUGGACGUACUGUCACAGGAGCAGACGAGGUACAUCGGCAGCUCCGCUCCGGGCGCGCUCCAAAGCUCUCUUUGACGUACUGUCGCAGGAGCAAACAAAGGAGACCCCCCCGGGCCGCCCUCCGCCGCCACAACCACGAAGCCAGCACGCGUGCGCGGGCGCAGCCGGCAGUGCGGAAGAGUAGUACAUGGUAGGUCGCCGCCGCUCUGGUCCCGGGAAGGCCACCGCUACACCACUCAGUCGACGCCAAGCUUGGUGGGGUAAACAUCGGCGACCGAUUAGCCGCUUGAUGGCGAUGUGGAGGCGAAAAUCUUCAUAACCCUGUGCUCCGAAGGAAGAGCUUAUCGAGGCGGAUGAGGAGGAGGCAAAGGCAAUGGCCGGCUUUCUCGGGUUCAUGGCCGGACAUGGUGGUCGGGCGCCGCAGUGAAAUUGCAAGACAACAGUUAUCCCUCGAUCAAAAUCAGAUCCGCGGUGUUUCGCACUCCUCCUGCGUAAGUGUGUAAACUCUUACUUACGUAAAAAUGGAGCAAGUGGACGGCACUGUAGCACAUCAUAUCACUCGAACUAGCCCGCCUAACGAGCGGGAAAGCACCGCCCUCGUCAUUUUGUUCUGGAUUUCUAUCGAUCGAUCGCGCGAAAAUGUUACGCUUCGCAAGUUCUAAAGGAAAAGGCGGCACACUUACGACUCGUACGCGUCACAACCCCGACAGUCCGGCUCGCACGCCGCUCACCAGAGGGGACACGCGUUGUCUUGCAGUUUCACUGACAUGUGGGACCGUAAUUGAAUAAACUGUCGAUAGCCGAAAUCUAAUCGCUCGGUGGGCGUCGGCUGAGAAGAGAGAAACGGGGGAGGGAGAAGAGAUCGCCCACCUGCCGCGCACGGACUCCAAGAAAUAUAUGGUGAUAAUGUGAGGUGGGCCAUGCUGGAGUCCGGACCGCUUCCGGAGCCCGCUCUCACCGCCCUAGCCCCUCAAGACGCCAGCUGCCCACCGCAUGCAUGCAUAGCAAGUAGUACUCCUUAUGUGGAGGAGAGAGAGGCAUUGCCAAAGUCAAGGAGUGGGCUCUGCAAGAGCCCGUCUCUACACGUGCUCCUAGGUAUAAAAAAAUAAUUCUAAAAAAAGGCAUAAAAACAAUUGUGUCUUAAAAAAGAAAGGUAAAAAAACAUUUGAGAGUAAUAGAUAAAGAGAAAGUGAGAAAAAGCUGUAACCUGGGCAUUACAUGAGGAAGGAGGGAGUGGUGCACAAGCCAAGUUCACUGGGCUGUCAUGUUUCACACUCCUCCGUCGUAAUAGUGGAGACAAUAGCUUUCAUAAAAAAUAAACGAUGAAUACUCGUUGCUGGUCCUCUAUAUCGGAAGGAAUACUUUCAUUCGCCGACAUGUGGGACGUCGACCAUCCUGGUCCACCUGCCAUGCACAAAAUUAUCCUGGUCUACCCCGGUCGUAUCGCAUGCCCAACCUUUCCCACUGUAAGUUGUUCGGACGAAGGAACCAUCAUGACUUCGUUGAAUUCCGCUUCUUCAAGAAAACUUACUGUACCCGCAAUACUACUACCACACGCGAAGACUCGACGACAUUGUACCACGUCAUAUCACUGAAACCCACUAGGCCAAACUAGCCCACCUAGGUCAUCUAUUUUGGAACGGAGGGAGUACGUCUCUGCAUUACUAUGAUUUUGUGUUGCGCGUUCUCUGUACUUUUGCUACGAUUUUCCUACCCUAUGAACCAAAUGAGGCCUGAAUGUAUGUCGACAAUUUUCUGAUCGAUCGCUAAGCCUACAAUUUUAGGAGCUAGGGCUAUUGGUCGAUCGACGAGGGAUAAGUAUAAGCGUACCACGAGCUCAUCAGCCCCAACAUUUCUCUUCGGUGAGUGUUUUGCAAGUACUAUAGCUCGCACAGUAGCUAGCCUACUAACACUAAGAAUCAUCAAACAAGCCCUGCUGAUAUGAUAAAUAGUUCGAACUUACAUCUAAGCAUGCCAUAUAUUACAUCAAAAGCUGGUGAGGAUACAUCUGUUUCCAUAACUCGGAGAGGGUUCGCAUGAUUCAUCGCAUGAUUCUCUAUCAAACAAAAGUAGCAAGAUCCGCCCACACAAGACAGUGCACUAGCCCUAAGAUGGUUUGAUAACAUGCAUCGUUCUAGUAAUUAAACACAGGGAAAUGCAAACUACCCUGAAGGAUUAGCGCGACCAACUAUUUCUUGUCAUCGAUCUCUCGGGCAAUGACCACAGCACGAACAGCGGCAUGGGAAUUGAUUUCUGGGGCGAUGUCCACAGGACUGACCACGACAUCGAAAUCGAUCUCUGGGGCGAUGUCCACAGGAUGGACAGCGGCAUCAGAAUCGAUCUUCGGGGCAAUGCCAACAGGACGGGCCAUGACAUCGGAAUCAUAAAGGAGGUCCACCGGCACCUGCACAACCCUAACAUAUUAGCAAGCACAUUGCAAAUAAUCAAAAACCACAACUAUGGUAAUAAGCCAUUAUUUUUUACCUUGUGCAGCUCACCAGGGGAUCUCAUCCCUCCGGGGGGGCCAUCUCCUCGUCCUCGAUGGGGGCCAUCACCUUGCCAGGGGAAUACUGCUUCUCAAUGGUGACUAUCUCCUCAAACUCGGUCUUGAGCCUCACAUAGGUGGCAAUCAGAGUUCCUGGGGUAGGCACGGUGGGGCGCUUGCUGUUCUUCAAACUUCCUUUGAGGAGUUCGUCCGCCAAAGUCCUCAACUCUUUGGCCAGUGCUUGUUUCUUGGAGUUCUUUGUCUCCAUGGGUUGGCCCGCCAACAUGGUCAACUCGUUGGUCGAUGCUCGCUUCCUGGAGAUCGCUGUCUCCAGUGGGUUGUCCGCCGGCAACUCUUUGCCUAGUGCUCCAGGAUCCAUCAAUGAACUAACAAACAAAAAGAAAUCGAAAGGAAACCACAAUCGCAAUGAAAACGGGAAAAGAAUAGGAUGUGAGAAUCGGUCGGUGCUUCGCAAAAAGAAGAUUCUUGGAAUGAAAAUAUAGCAGCAUAACUGAUUCGCCCACCUUUCCUUCAUCGGUACAGAAGAAAAAUGGCAGAAGUGAGUAGCCUGGAGUGAGGUUUUCUUCAAGGAAGGGAAGAAAGGGCUUGAAUGAGCGUUCUAGUGAAAUGAUGGUUGCUUCGUCCAGUCCAACUUGGAGGCCACCUUACCACUGCUGGUAAAGAUGUGGGUUUUGUGAUAUGACGGGUCAUGACGGCCACACCGGGGUUACAGGUGAGUCUCGACUGUAGCACCUCAUUGUGAUUUGGUGGAUGGCACGCGGGCCCGGAUGCUUUGAAAUGUCCCGCAUGUAGAUAGAGCGGCUAGUCAUAUAGGAGUGCUCAAUAUUGUGCACCGCAACCAAGGUGCAGAGGAAAACGAGAGAACUACGUAAUUAAUGCAUGUGUUUAAUUAGGGUAGUUUUGUAAAGUACGAGAUACAUUCCUCCAAUCGCAAAAUGCCUUGGUUCAUGAGAUUUGAGGUUUGAUCCCUAUAAACCGGAAGGGAGGGAGUACUGCACACGGUGUAGUCUAGUCACUUGUUGAAAUCUCUAGAAAGGCAAAUACUCCUUUCCGGUUUACAGGGCUAUACUACUCCCUUCGUCUAGGUGUAUAAGUCAUCUUACGAAAACCAAAUAGUCCCAAAACACUUAGGCGCGGUGCAUUAACUUCUACCUUGUUUCUUGUUUCUUGACAUAUCAACCAAUAAGAGAUGAGAGGUGUGCAUGCUUUUAAUGACUUGCAAUGGCUAGUUCAUUGCAUGCAAUGCUAUUAAUUAGCAAAUAAACAUUGGUGACCCUAGGAGGAAACGGUGCUAAGCGCGUGGACCUAUGCAGAAUGAGUAUCAACCAAUGGAUAAUGGAGUUUAAUUGUUAAACAAUAGCAAUUUUGUCUCAUGCAAGAGCCUGGCUAGUACUCCAAGGAACCGCACCACGCGAGCGUUCACAACUGCCAAUUCAAGAAGACGAACAAUGAUGUUACUCCUACUUCUACAGUAUCGAAUCCGCUGCUGCAUGUCCGUCCACCUCGUGCGGGAGGGAUAGCGUGUAGCGAAAGCUUCUACUUACUGCUCCUGCCUUUGCAUCUAUGACAGGUGGGCCCAACAGGUGGUUGGUCCUCCUGUCAUGCAGCCAAAGGCAGGUGCAGUUAAGGCACCGGAGCUCAGUCCGCGAGGCAGAGGGCGUUGUAGUAAUCAAAUUUCUUGGUCUUGUACGAGUUGACGCGACACAUCAAAGAACUGCACUCGAUAUAAGUCUUUUUACACAUUUCAAGUGGGCUACUUCGUAUGUAGGAGUAGACAUAUUCUGCUUCGUAUGUAGUCACUUGUUGCAAUCUCUAAAAAGACUUAUAUUUGGAAACGGAGGGAGUACAAUGCAUGCAUGCAUGUCGUGACUUUCCUUUUGAUACUUGAAUGUGUUCAUCUGAUGCACCUUGCCAAAUUUUGACUAUAAAUUUAACUAACCAAAUUUGCAUGCAUGUCACAAAAAAUUACGGGGCUGUUUGGAUUGUGACUAUGUUUGUCUUAUGUUGCCACAUUAUUUUUCCCACACUUGCCACACUUGCCUAACCUGAGUUGCUCAAAUUGUUAGACACACUUUGGCUUGCCUAAGGGAAUCUUGCCACAAUUUUUGUGUCUAUGACAUGUGGGGUUCACUGCUAAUAAACAAAUUCUUGUCUUAGGUGUGGCUAAUAAAAAAGACUUAUAUUUAGGACGGAGGGAGUAGAAAAUAUAAAUAAUAAUGCAUGUUGGGGCAACCCAUGUUUCCGCUAAUUUUAGCCGUGGGCUUGUUCACAAUUUUUAUGAGGGGGUGGUUGUUCAUUUAAUGGAGGGACUUGUAGUACCAGACUUGAACGAUACAAAGUGCGACCUGGCACACCGUAACACCACUUGGAACAAGCGGGUAUCUAUCUCAAAAAACAAUCAACAACUAAAAAACGCGACCUGGCAUGUAGUAGUACACAAUUUUAAAUUAUUGUUUUGAUGGAGUGAAAAAGGAAAACUACCCCACUACAUAUACAUAGGCCGGAGCCUCCGAGCUUGCUUGCUAGGGUUGCUCUAUUCACACACUCUCAUCCUCUCCAGAUCUAAACAAGAUAGGGGUAGUAACACUAUCGUUCUCCCUUCAAAAAACAUUGGCUUUCUAUCCUCACCGCUGGUUACAGAUCCGGACGUAUCCCCCUCCGCCGGUGAAGGGGAGGAGGGGCAGAGUUUAGGUCGUCGUCGACAGCGAGGGAGGAGACCCACUACCGGCCGCACCGUUAUCCCUGGCCGAGCUCCGACGCGGGAGGUCCUCUGAUCCCUUCUUCGUUGCCUGUGGGCGGAUCUGGCCUCCCGCCGCCCACCUAUCCACAUCCCGACGACCUUCGGGUAUAUCUUUGUUCGAAACCGCCUUAGCUCUACUUCCCCAGCUCGCUACGUCGCUGCAUGUGCAUCAUUUUCUACCUCUCAGCCCCUCUCGAUCGGAUGGUCCAACGUCACAUUUUUUCUAUUGUUAGAGGUAAAGCUACUUCAUGGAGUCGAAUCUUGUAGUACUUGGUUCAAACAAGAAAUAAAGUGGGGGUGGGGGAAUUUAGUAUGUACAUCGGACUUGGUACAAACAGGAAGGAAAGGGGGUGAAAGUAGUACAGACUGGUCAUCCAAUUGGUCUCUUGGUCGAAAAGGGAAAUAUAGGGGUAAUGCUAUACACAGUGGUAUGACCAGGACUAGAUUUGCUAUCCACACAUAGGAGUAGGUGGCUAGAGUGAACAAAAAUGGUACCAACCUAGAUAUGUUUCUUGGAUGUUUGUUUCUCGGGGCAACAAACUAUGAAUCACCACUUUAUGCCCCUGUUUACGUACAUGGUGCUGGACUGCUGGUGCACCCACUGUUCUUAGUCUAAUGUCCCUGGUAAAAAUGAAGCCAUGCCACUGUUAUAAGCCAUGAAAAUUUUAGCCAAAUGUUUUUGCCUGUAAUUGUUUGAGACUCUUACUGUUUCGUCUGUGCCUUUUUGUGCAAACAGGGAUAUCCAAUUCACCUGGUUGCUGUUGUGAACUUUUGGUGCACUGCACAAAACUCUUCUUAAAAGAAGUGACUUUUGUGCUGUUUAACUGGAAUGUCAGAAUGGAACGGUUGGUUCAUUUUGGUGGAACUGCACAAAGGGAGAUCUAUGUUCUAAUCCUCAUCAUCCAUAUUUGUGCCAUAACCUUCCUUUGGGUAAGAAUGAUAUUUAAUGCAUGUGUUCAUCUCUAUUUUCCGACUGCCAUGAGAAAAUAAUGUUGUUUUUUACUAGUACACUUGUACUCCCUCAUUGACAAAACCAAUUCUGAAUUAGAAGGCCAAUCAUGUACUUGGUUUCACCAACAGGUGAGGAGAAAGAGAAAGAGAGCAUGAAGAGGAAGAAGAAGAAGAAGAAUAAACAGUGCCAAGGUGAUCUUGCUGAAGCCUGAGGCCUCAGUUGAGGCCAUUCAAGGGCUCCGGUAACGACUACCUUACAUGUGAGACGAUCCUCACACAGGUUGGUACUGGUCUUUAUCCUGAUUAUUGUGCCUAUCAUAUGUAUUGGUAAUUUGGUAUUGUGCUACUGUUUGCCGAUUUCAUAAAGGAGUAAUUUGGAGCCUGAACUUGCAGGCAAAUCAUUACAUCGGGUGAUUUCAGUAGAACUGCACAAAAUGAUCAGAUGGACAGGUACUUCGGCUGCUACUAUGUACUCCAAAGUUCACUCAGACAAGCAUCGAUGUUGACAAGAAGUGCCUAUAUUCAUUCGAGUAUCAACCAGCGUCAACCAAUUGUCAAACUCCAAGUACUAGGAGAGUGAACGCCAAAAAUAUUGCUUGGUGCAUAGCCCAGAAAAACGCAGUCCAGUCUUUGGUCCCAACUUGUGCCUUUUGGUUAUCGACACAUAUGGUAGCGAACUAUAUGGCAUGGAGUCUAAAGAUUCCAGACAAGUUGGUUGACGCGUAUAUUCAUCUGGCACUUAAUCAGUCUGCACGCCAAGGAUGCUCCAUUUCAGUUGAACUGCACAAAAAAUUUGGGUGGUUCAUUUUCUCAACCGCCUCCUUUCUCGUCUGCAAUGUAGAAUUUUGGCGAGAUACAGGUCCAAGAUGAGCCAGUAAACUAGUUGGAUGAAGGUAGUGGCCAAGUUGCUCAAACCUCCCUCGGCACGAGGCCACUAUUUGAGGAUAAACCUACAAGCAAUGUUCAGAUUGUCUGUGCUGCCUCUUAUGUACUCGAAAGUUUACUCGUACAAGAACUAAUUUUAGCAAGAAGUACCUCCGAUUGAACACCAUCUACCAGUCUGUACCCUAGGUAAUUAAAGUUCGUCCAUGGAUCAUAUUGGCUGUGAUCUCAAUCAUUUGGAUGCAUAAACAUACUGAACAUGUGUAUAUCUGAAUCUUUUUGUGAAUUAUGUAUGAAUAUUGUUGUGUGAUCUAUCAAUCAUUUGGAUGCAUAGAUAUGCUGAGCUUGUGUAUAUAUGAAUCUUUUGAGUUGUUGAUAGUGAAUGUUGGCUAUGAAUAUGAACGUGUCCUGUGAACCUGAGUUUGAUAUGAAUGUUUACCUUUUCUGUUGUAUUUGUGUGUGAACUUGUUAGUAUGCCUACUAUGGGGUAUAAAACGCAGGUCUCUUAUAAAAUUAAUGUUGUGUCCAAUUUAUGUUUUCCCUUCUAACCACAUUAUAUGUACUAGCAAAAGGGCCCGUGCAUUGCAACGGGAAAAAAUAUGGCACACACUUACGUUCUAUUCUUCUUUACCGGGUCUGUCAUUACAUGUGCUCCGGUGUAAUAACAUCAUAAAUUACCAAACUGCCUUAGGAGUUUUUGUCUCAGGCACCACAGUGAGAAUGAUUGACAAUAUGAGCAUCACCAGCCUGAAGAAAGUUGUUGCUGUUAUGACCGGCAUGGCCAAGAGGAUAUAUGAUGCGCACUAACAUCCAACAACAACAUUUCUCAUGGUUUCGGUUUUUUUUUCUGAACCAGUGCUAUAUUUGAUUAUUUGGCACAAAAAAGUUGUAAUUCUUUCACUCCAACUACGGCCAACAUGGCUCGUCAUUCUUCCAAAAGAUGUCCCUUAUGAUAUAUUUUUCAGAAAAAAGGAGUGCAUUAUCUCCUUGCUGUCAUCUAACUGAAGGAAACUGAAUGUGAAAAUUUAAGUGUAUAUAGACUGACCCACUCGGAGUGCAUACAAAAAUAUUUUUAUCCAAGUCAUUAGUGCAAACACUGUACCUCCAAUGUCCAUCUGCAUCUACAUGUCUAGGUCUAAUCUUAACCAAGAAUGAAACUACCAAGCAAACUGAGACAACAGUAGCCGACCCCGGGCAGCAGGUGGUCAGGGAUCAUCAGCAGAGAAACAUGAAGUCGGCUGACGACCGCCGAGAAUGGAUAGGCCCAUCUCGCUCUCGUGGCUGCUGUGGUGGCUCCCGGGCCUCUCCAUGGCCCCUCCACUCUGAGUCCAUAGCCCGACCUCGGCAUUCCGCCUCCAUCCUCCUCCGCCCUCUGUCCCGCAUGCUCCUCCACACCUCCCUCUCCAAGCCGACGAAUCCGACCUUCCCCUCACUGGAUCCGGUCCACCACGAGCCUCAAGCCACCCUGCCGCCACGCUCGUGUCCAUGUCGUGCGUGGUGUAGAAGUGGCCAGCGUGUGGAAUAGGCUGCGUCGUAGGCAUCUGCGUGCUGCGCCUCCGCCGGACUGCCGUUUUGUUGUACAAUUUCCCUUCGUUCUCAUUCUGUGUUUGUUGAUUCAAGAGGCUUGUUGUUGAUAUGCAAUUUUCCUAGGUAUAUAAACUGGUAGACUUUCAUGUAAGCAAUCGAGGUGGGAUUACUCCGAGUACAUGUGUGAAAAUCAGGUAAGGUACAGAUACGGAAGCGUGCAUGCAGACCAAAACAUGCAUGCAGGCCCAAUAAGAGAAUGUGGAUGUGGACUAAUUGGAUGGACAAAGUUUUUAGUACCGCCUCGCAGCAAUUGGACGGACUGUCGAUCAAAACUAACGGAAAAAAACAGAAAGCGUAAAUUCAUGGAAAGAAGCGUAUUCUGACGGUGAAACCAAAGAGUCAAUCCGUGCUUUAUUAUUAGGGAAAGAUUUAUAUUAUUACUAUUAUCGUAUAUUUUAUAGAGACUCAUAUAUACAUUAUAAAAACAUCCCACGUGUUAUUAACUUAUUAAAGUAAAUGUUUAACGGAAGUUGGCAAGGAAAAUCCUGGUUGUUUUUGACUCACAGGCAAGGAAAAUCCUGGUGAUUGCGUACAAAAGCUUGCGAAGAUUUUAAGGACCAAUUUAAUAAUAACGCGCUCAUUUUUAUUUUGAGCAAUAACUUGCUAAUUUCUUAAUUAUAUAUAUAUAUAUGUGCCUCUCCGGUUUAUUCUUUGAUAUUAAUUGCUCCUUCUAACAUAACAUUAUAUAUAUAACGAGCCCACCUAAUACGUGUAUUUCAAGGAAAUGCAAAUGGGCUGGGAUUUCUUAGAAAAUAUAAAUGGGCCUCAUUGACGUGUGGACUGUACAUUCUAGAAAACAUGGGUUAAAUAUAUGCCACAUUUUUGCAGGCUGACAUGUGGGCCAAUAGGUCAAAGCCUACGCAGAGCGUUGUCCACUUGGUCAACAAAUGAUUGUGUCAUCCAUAGCCAUUGGAUUUAUAUCCAACGGCCGGCAUGCACCUUCAAUCUCUCAUAUUCUUCCUCCAGCAUCGCCGGAACCGCCUGGUCCGGCCUCCAACGGCUAGCGGCUCUGCUUAGCACGCAUCGCUGAGAAGCGCUACCCCACCGCUGGCCAGGCUAUCCCUCCACCCCUCGACACCUCCUGUUAUUCUCCACAGACUACAGCCCCACGCCGCAACAGAACCAGUUAUAACUCUUCUCCUCCUCUCAAUCUGCGACUCCACUGCCGCGUUUUCCCAUCUCCGAGCCGUUCCCAUCCGGGGCCUCGCCGUUGUCCACCGCCUCGCUGCAUUCGGUGUGGCAUGGUCAACAAACGAGAGUCGUUGGAAGAGGACUAUACGUGGAGAGCCUGACGGCUGGGACCCACGAGGUCCAUGGUCGCACGCAAGGAAAGUUCCUCCUUAUUAAGCUGGAAAAAAUAUUUCCUCCACCUGACAGCUGGGACCCACCGGCUGUAUCUUCGCACGGAAGGAAGUGCCUCCUUGUUUUGUGAAAAAAAAAAUUAUUCAUCCCGCUGACAGCUGGGACCCGUCAGAUUUGGUGACUGACUUGUGGGCCUACUAAGCGGACAUGUACGCACGGCUUUGUCAACUUAAUCAACAAAUGAUUCUAGCAGCUGGACCGUUGGAUGUUAGUCCAACAGCCGUGCUCCUUCUUCAACCUCUGUUCUUGCUCCUGUCUCCCGUGGGUGGCACCGCGUCUGUGCUGCCGCGCACCCGAACCAGUGAAGUUUCCCACUCCUCUCCAUCUGCAACUCCACUGCCCCAUCUUCCCCAUCUCCUGGUCGUUCCAGUCUGGGUGCGCUCGGCACGGUGUGGUCAACAUGGUCAACAACCGAGAGUCAUCGGAAGAUGACUGUACGUGAGAGGCUGACAGUGGGGACACACCAUGCCCAUGGACGCAUGCAUGCAACGGAACGCGGCGAGGUCAACGUGGUCAAGGAACGACUUCCAUCGGAAGUAUACUGUACGUGGAGAGUCUCAGCUGGGUCCACGGCCGCAGCAAGUAAAUGCCUCCUUAUUACGCGGAAAAUAAUGAUUCCUCCAACUGACAGCAGGGACCCACUGGACGGGCCACCGUAUUUUGCGAAAAAAAACAUUUGCCCCCUGACUACUGGGACCCACCUUAUGGGCCACCGUAUUUCGCGAAAAAAAUGAUCCCCCCGCUGUCAGCUCGGACCCACCGGAAGUGCCUACUUAUUAUGCACAAAAAAAUGAAUACUCCCCCGGCUACCUGGGACCCACCUUGGUGGGACGCUGACUUGUGGGCCUACUAAGUUUACGGGGAUGAAGGGCUUUGUCAACUUAGUCAAUAUGAACGAUUCUAGCUCCAGUGACCGUACGAUGCCCAUCCAACGGCCUAGUGCUUCUUCAACCUCUAGUCUUCUUGCUCCAGCCGCCCAAAGCAGCGCCGGUCGUGCCGCAUGCUCCUGCCUCCCGUGGCCGGCUGUGCUGCCACGGAGGCCUCACUGCCCCCUACCAUUCCCACCAUUGGCCAGGCCCUGCGGCGACGGCAGCCUCACACCGCAGCCGAACCAAUGAACCCUCGUACUCCUCUCUGCACGGGCUUCCACUGUCGCGUCUUCCCCACACUACUAGAAAAACCCCUACUAAUGGCGCACCUAGUAUAGCCAUUAAUGGCGCAUCUGUGGUGCGCCAUUAACAGCACGCCAUUAGUAAUUUUUACUAAUGGCGCACCACCUGGUGCGCCAUUAGUAUCUGGUAUACUAAUGGCGCACCGCGGGUGCGCCAUUAGUAUAGGCCAGGGUGCGCCAUUAGUAUGCCUCCCAGGGGCCAUGUAUAUCCAGGUGCUUUGGCAUACUAAUGGCGCACCACCACUGGAUGCGCCAUUAGUAACCAUGGCAUAUUAAUGGCGCACUUACCAGUGAUGCGCCAUUAGUAUGCUUUCUCAUACUAAUGGCGCACUGUCAUGUGAUGCGCCAUUAGUAUGAAUAUUAGGUUUUUUUAUUUUUUUAUUUUCUGUUUUUUGCACAGGUUACAGAAUGUAUAAUUUGACAAAAUAUAGACAGCACACAUCAACAACAGAUUCAUCGAAUACAAUAGAAGAUUAGUCUUUGAAUACAAUUCAUCAUAUUAGUCUCCUAAUACAAUUCAUCAUAUUAGUCUCCGAAUUGAAAAGACCGAACAAAGAUAGAACAUUAUAUUACAAGUCUCGAGACCGCGAGUAGCGAGUUUGUCUUCACAUUACAAGUCGAUAUCGAUCAUCUAAACUACCAUCACAUAGAAGAGAGCUGCGGUCAUCACGAUGAGCAUCAUCACGAUGAAACUCGUCUUCAUCCGGUUCCUCCAACGCUCCCUCCCCUCUCCCGCUAGAUAGCGGGCGUAUCUAGAUUCGGCCUCGGCCCUAGUGGUGUACCCUUUGUAACUGUUACCGCUAAAUCGGUGAACCUGUCUCCAACACUCCUCCCAGUCAUCGUAGACUCCGGGAACCUUACCCUUGUACACGACAUACGUCGGCAUCGCUAUGCACUAGCCAAACGAAACGUUAGUACCAAUUCACAGACAAUACAUAAGCAAUAUAUAAUUAUGCAACAGAACGAUCGGAAGAGAAAAGCAAGACAUUAAUAGCAUCGAUUACAUCUAAGUUGAACGACUCUCGAAACCAAAGAGACAUACUACAAGUUCAUUAAAGUUUAAUUACAACAUGAGCCAAUCGAUGUUUCAGAACUAGACACAGCAUCACUGCUUUCGACUCGACUCAAGGGACCGGAGCGUGGAUGAAGCCGCCGUCUAUCGUGGAGUCAUAAAAUAACGGUCGUUGUCAGCCUGCAUUUGUAGCAUUGUGUCGAUGUCACUGUUGGACGGUUGAUUUCUAAGGUAGAACUGCCCCGAGGUACGAAGGACAUCUUGAUGGAUGAUUUCCGCAAACUCCGACUGGAUGUGAAAGAAUUCUUGUCGGAGGUCCGCGUCCUGGAUUUCCGACACGCUCGCGGCCCAAUCUUUGAGUUUACUCGGUAGCAAAAGUUGAUGAUGGUCCCGUACGAUCGCCCGCAUGUGAUGGAUGGCGUAGUAGGCACCCUUCUGACCGCCAGGCGGCUGCUUGACGCAGCAGAACGUCGUAUUGUGGGAGAACACGUGCUUGCUGUACUUACGAAUAGGCCUGGUGAAGGUGCCUCCAGAUUUGGCAUAGCCGGGGAGAACAUCAUCAAGAACCUUCUUGACAUUUGUGUAGUCUACGUUCGACUGACGGUCCGGGUCGAAAUACGUGGCCAUGGAAUAUUUGGGGCUUAGGAGGAUGAGCGUGCAACGUGUGUCACUGCAGAAAACACGGAAUGUUAAAAGAAAAACGAUCGAAAUGUAAGAAUUCAUAUGUUACGGGCCGGUUGAGGGGAGGACUUACUCGGGAAAGUAAGGCACGAGGAAGUUAUCCUUAUCUUGGUUUGCCAGAAUGACGCCUUCGAGGUAAGAACUCGCGACUUGCCGGUCCCCAGCGCUGCCCAAGAUCUUGGCACGCAUGUAGAAGGGGUCGACUAUCACGAUGUCCGGGGUCUUGUCGCGAAUGAUCCGCAUCUCCAUACUCAGCGAAAAUAGCCGAACGAAGGUGUAGUGCAGCGGAUGAAGGUUCAACAUAGCAUGGAUGUCAUCAAAACGCAGGACAAUCGUACGCCCGAUGGAGUUAUCCACAAAGCCCUUGCCCUCUGGCACCUUGGCCGCGAAAAUUGGGUAUGCCACAUCCUUCUCCCUGAGACGCCGCUUCUCCAAAGAAAGAACAUUGUCAUGCAGACUCCGCAUAGCACCGGUUGCAGCAUUGAGCAUAUUUGUCGGUAGCAUCGCCCUACCCACCACAUGCACCCUCCUCGGGAUAUCCUGCGGUGAAGGUGGCCCGUCCUAAGCACGGAUCGUACUCGGUGCCGGCUGGCUCGCACCCUUCUUAGUCUUUCUUUUGCGUGCCUUCUUCUUCUCCUGUAAUGGGACCGAGUUCUGCUCACAGACCGCCUUCUUGAGUGUGUUGGGGCUGAUAAUAUUUGGCACCUCGCCUAUCUGAGGCUCGGUGAAGUCGGCAGCUGGAGGCGUCUCCUGAGAGCUGAACGUCAGACGGCGCCUGUUGCAACUUGGCUUCUCCGCGGUACCAGCUAGAUCGCACACGUCUUUUGUUGGGUUUGGUUCUUGAGAAGGAGGCCCCAUGAAGUCGCCAUCGUACCCAUGAUCGGCAAAGUACUGAUCGACGUUGCCAAAUGUAUCGUCGUCGUCGUCGUCGUCGUUCUGAUCUUGUGCCAUAUGCAUGUUUGGAUCCAGUGGCAUAGGGAUGUCCGGCACCGUUACGGCGGUCUUGCCAUGGGGCCGACUUGGCGCCGGCACGACUGGCGGUGUUGUCUUUGGGGUGGUGUCCCCCGCCCCCAAACGAAUCUGGCUCUUCGGCCAAAGCAGGGGCCAGCUCAGGCAGGCGCUAAGGGUCAUCACGUCUUCAUCGUCAGCCCCGACGGGUCGAAUCGGAGGUAACAAGUCGUCGCAGCCUGGUAGCACCCGAACCAGUUGAACCCUAAACAAGUUGGGUGGCAUCUGGGUAGUCAUUUCCGGUCUUCUUGGCCUUUUUGCCUUUGCGAUGACUUUAUGUGUCCUGCUUCGCCUCAUCAUCAUCAUCAUCAUCAUCAUUAUAUAUAGCGUGAAGCUCCUGCCUGAUGCCCAUUGAUUUCAAGUCUGCCCUUGCUUUCGGCCCAUCUUUGGUCCUCUCUGGCAUGUUGAGCAGGGUACCAAGCAGACUCUCGCACACGUUCUUUGUGAUAUGCAUGACAUCAAGGCUGUGAGGCACACGGUGGAUCUUCCAGUACGGCAAGUCCCAGAAAACAGACCUCGUUUUCCAUACCUUCAGCAGCGGCUCUGGCGCCUUUUGCUUCUUUCCCGGCAGUGGGUAGUCUUUCCAAUUUUUCAACAGCUUGUCUAUUUCCUCGCCGCUCCUCGUACACGGGCGUUUUCGGGGUUCGGUUUCACCAUCGAACAGAUCCUUGCGUUUCCUCCACGGGUCAUUGUCGCGAAGCCACCUUCGAUGUCCCAUGAACACGGUUUUCGAAGACCCGGGAUCUCUAUCUAGCUGGCGAUACGUUGUGUCAUCCAUGCACCUUACGCAUCCAGAAAAUCCGUGGACUACCUGCCCCGCAAGAUAUCCGUAACCGAGAUAGUCGUGCACCGUCGUGAGCAGUGCGGCUCUCAUAGGGAAAUAUUCUUUCUCUGCGGCGUCCCACGUAUUGGCUGGCGUUUUCCACAGCGUGUCAAUCUCCUCUUUCAGCAGCCCCAGAUACAGAUUGAUGUCGUUCCCUGGUUGUUUCGGCCCUUCAAUUAGCAUACUCAUGUAAAUGUACUUCCUCUUAAUGCACAACCAGGGGGGAAGGUUGUACAUCCACACGAACACAGGCCAGGUGCUAUGUGUGCUUCUCUGGCUGCCAAACGGAUUGACUCCAUCGGUGCUCGCGCCCAGCAUGAUGUUCCUUGGAUCGUUCCCAAAUUCUGGGUAUUCGAAGUUCAACGCUUGCCACUGGCUCGCAUCCUUAGGGUGACUCAGCAUCUUGUCUUUUUUAUCUAUCUCCGGAUCAUUUGCGUCAUCUUCUCGCUUCUUCUCCUCCCUAUCCGCGUGCCAACGCAGGAUCUUUGCUACCUUAGGUUCCGCGAAAUACCGCUGCAGACGAGGAGUGAUCGGAAAGUACCACACCACUUUUCGAGGAGCUUUAUUCCUCUUCUUGUAUCGAGUGACACCGCACACCGGACAUAUGGUAGACUCCGCGUGCUCGUCCCGAUAAAUGAUGCAAUUGUUCAUGCACACAUGGUAUUUCACGUGCGGUAAACCAGAGGACACACGAUUUUCUUCGCCUCCUCCAAACUGGUCGGUCACUUGUUCCCCUUGGGAAGACGUUCGUGCCAGAAUGACAUGUUCUCGCCGAAGCAUGCGUCGGUCAUUUUGUGUUUUACCUUCAUCUCCAGAGCCAUGAGCGUUACUUUCAGGCGGGUAUCCUCGGGCCUGCAUCCUUCAUACAAUGGAGUAACCGCGUCUAACUCAAGUUGAUCCAUCUUGGCUUUCUCUCGGGCGGCAGCUCUUGCGUUAUCCGUCUGCUUGAGAAGCAGCUCUUGAAUAUGAGGGUCCUGCACCCAGCCCAUCGAUGGUCCAGCGUCGUCUGCUCCGCCGGCAUCAUCAUCAUGUCCUGCAUCUUCUACAUGAUGACUGUGUACAGCAUCACCAUCGUGAUCAUCUCCUGGGGAUUCUUCGUCUUCUCGCCCCCCGAGCCGCGGUGGUUGUCUUGCUGCCCUUCCUCAUUUCUUGCCCGGCCCCCAUGGACGACUUCGUAGUCAUCUUCAUCACCUUGCCACCGAUAGCCAUCCAUGAAACCACGCAAGAGCAGGUGGUCCCGCACCUACCCGGAAUCCGGGUCCGCAAUAAGGCUAUUCAGCUUGCAUCUUCGACACGGACAUCUUAUCUCCGUCUCGUUCUUUUGAAGCAUCUCGGCCUUCGCGGACCUCAAAAACCUAUUCAUGAUGCCUUCGGUCAUCGUGCGGACCAUGGUCGCCUGCGGGGUAGAGCAAAACGAUAUUUUAGAACCAAGAAAAAAUUUGGCAUGACUUUCCCUAAAAAUAGGACCAAAAAGAAUGCUUAAUGCCAAAAUUCUCGCCGAAACGGAAAUGAAUCAACAUUCCGGCAAAAUAUUGGCAACUAUCGCAUUUCAAAUACCGGUACACCUCCAAACACAAACACAUAUGCAACACCACAAACAUAUGCAACACCACGAACAUACAUAGAUCUAGAUAGGCCAUAAAAAGUGCAUGUGCACAUUGUUGUAGGGAGAACAACAUAAAUAUAGCUUCCCCCCUUACUUACCUAGCAAAAUAAGGUAACUUAACCACUUAAUUUGAAUGAAUCUAUGGUGGAAAUGAGGUGAAAAAGAGGAGGCACCCGAGACAAGGAGGAGGCGGUGGAGAGAAUGAAGUGGGGAGAAAGUGAGUGUGGGAGGAGAGGCUGUCCAAAAUAUCUUGUUGCUGCCCACUUACUAAUGGCGCACCAGCAACAAAUGCGCCAUUAGUAAUCCAGGUUACUAAUGGCGCACCCCCUGGUGGUGCGCCAUUAGUACUUUUGCAAAAAAAGGAAUAAAAACAAUAAUAAAAAAAAUAACAUUAGUGGCGCACCUUCUGGCUGGUGCGCCAUUACUAGUUACAACUAGUAAUGGCGCACCACCAGUGGAUGCGCCAUUAGUAUGUUUGGACAGGCGCACUAGUUCAAAAAAAUGGUACUAAUGGCGCACCAUGGGCAGGGUGCGCCAUUAGUAGUUUCAACACUAAUGGCGCAUCAGAAGGUGGUGCGCCAUUAGUAUAUACUAAUGGCGCACCACAUGUCUGGUGCGCCAUUAGUGUCAUUUCCAUCUAUAGCCCUUUUCCUAGUAGUGCCGGCUCCGUGUCGUCCCCUUCCUAGGCCUCGCUGUCGUCCACUGCCGUGGUGCUCUCCGCGCAGUGUGGUCAAUGUGGUCAACGAACGACUUCCAUCAGAAGAUAUUGUAUGUGGAGAGGCUGAUAGCUGGGUCCACGGCCACAGCCCAGUUUUUUUGUGAUUUCCCAAGUAAGUCGCUUUGUCAGGCCUGUUGGGAUGCAAAUCUUUCAAGACGAGGAGAGCUUUCAUUCGGCUGGCCGAGAAAAUGUCCCAUCAGUAAUGAGAAAUGGGUGUCCCAACUUAGCCCAUCACAAGCUCUCACAAUCAACGAAGGAUAUUCCUUCUCCCGGAACAACCCGAUCAGACUCGAAAUCCCGGUUAUGAUACAUUUCGACAAAGGUAAAGCAAGACUAGCAAGACCGCGUGGAUCUGCCGACAAAUCCCGAUAGGAGCUGCACAUAUCUCGUUCUCAGGGCACACCGGAUGAACACUACAUACAGCUAAAACCAGCCCUCAAGUUUCCCCGAGGUGGCGCUGCAAGUGGCUCUAGGUUGGACCAACAUUCGGGGGGUUAAAAUAAAGAUGACCCUCGGGCUCGCGAAAACCCAAGGAAAGUUAUAGGUUGUUAGGAAAAUGUAAAAACCAAGGUUGGGACUUGCUGGAGGAGUUUUAUUCAAAGCAAACUAUCAAGGGGGGCCCAUAACCCCAACCACAUUAGGACCGCAAAAUCAAGGAACAUAAUACCGGUAUGACGGAAACUAGGGCGGCAAGAGUGGAACAAAUCACCAGGCAUAAGGCCGAGCCUUCCACCCUUUACCAAUUAUAUAGAUGCAUUAAAAUUAAACAAUAGAUAAUAUGAUAUCCCAAACAUAUCCAUGUUCCAACAUGGAACAACCUGCAAGACACUUGCAACUAGCAACGCUAUAAGAGGGGCUGAGCAAAGCGGUAACAUAGCCAAUCAAUGGUCUGCUAGGAAGGUGGGUUAGAGGCUUGACAUGGCAAUAUGGGAGGCAUGAUAAACAAGUGGUAGGUAACGCGACAUAGCGAUAGAAUGAACAACUAGCAAGCAAAGAUAGAAGUGAUAUCGAGGGUAUGGUCAUCUUGCCUGAGAUCCCGCAAGGAAGAAGAAUGAGUCCAUGAAGAUGACAAACGGAUGUAGUCGAACGGAUCCUCAGAAACGCAACGUAACUGGAACUAUCAAGAAGAAGCAACACCGGAAAGAAGCAAACAAUAUGGUAAACACACAAGCAUAAACCUGGCAUGAUGCACAAUCAAGUAUGAUGCAUGUCAAGUUUAAUGAGGCAUGGCAUGGAAAAGUGCAGAAACAACACUACAAAUUAAGUGGAGCUCACUAUGCAACGAGUUGCAUAUUGACGAAACACCACAUUUGGUUAUUUAGUUCUCUCUCGGUUAUGUACCCAACAAUAUUAAAUGUUGUUAAGUAUGGCAAGAGGUGAAGCAAAAGUAAACUACACAUUCUAAGCAAUUUAAAUGGGGUCAGAAACAUCAAACAACAAUUCCGGUAAAUACCCAUAUGCAUUUAACAAUUUAAUGCAAACAACAAUUUAAACAUUUUAAAUGUUGUUAUCAUGAUGCGGAUGACAUGUGCAAGUUUUUAUACAAUCUUUAUGAAAAGGUUACAUGAGAAUGUUAUGAAUAGCCAUGACGAAAUGAAAAGGGGUGCCAUGGCGGUGAAUCCGAAAAUGAUGCCAUGGCAACAUAUCGAUUCCGAUAGCUCACGGAGAUAUGGUGCAAAAGAAGCAAGUGUGCGGAUGUGUGGAACACGCAAGAGAUGGUGGGGUGCUCCCGGUUACCGGGUUCCCACGGGUCGACGGUGGUGUCAAACGAGGGAACAACUAACGUUCAUGGGCGGAUACAACAUCCAAACAUGCAUCUCAUACUGUCGGCGUUCUGGGAACGGGGGUCCCUAGACUUGCCUGCCUGCGGCCCAUGGCGUGGCUGAGCUAGCAGGCCCAAGCGGCCCAUCUUCAUUGACAAGGCAUUCAAGACCCUCGCGAGGGGCCAAGCCUCGCGAGGCGGACGAUGCAAGACCUCCUCAGGAGCGGCCUCGCCAGGCAGGCUCACGAGGGGCGGAGAGAUCAAGGCAAGGCAAACCUCGCGAGGUCCUCGUGACGUGAGCCAUGAUGAUCGAGACCAGGCGGGCGCCAGCGCGUGUAGUGUCCUUGCUUCCUCUUUGGUGCCAAGGGGGCAAGCGCAGGCGCGGAGUACCGAGGCAUCAAGCAAAGGUUUCCAUACUGGUGCAACGAGACCAAGACUAGAAGGACGGCUGGACGGAGGUCACCAUGGAGCCCAAGACAGCGUCACCACCAGAGCCUUUACCAGGCGAAGACUACUUUUGUCAGGAUAAGCUGUACUAGUUGUCCCCUUUCGAAUUGGCCGUUGUGGCAUCCCUUCCCGCUCAAUAUUUGGGGAGAGGACCAGGGCCUAUAUAAGUAGAACUAGCUACCACAAUAGGGGGGCUGAUUGGGGACGGAUCCAAGAUCAUCUCACCCACACAAGUUCGCCAAGCACAAGAGCACCUAAACCUCAGGAGGCUGUUCUUCCCCUUGUACUGUUCAUCAUCAGCCCAAGAGGCAAUCCACCACCACCACACUGGAGUAGGGUAUUACACCACAACGGUGGCCCAAACCAGUAUAAAUCUCGUGUCUUUUUGUGUUGUGAGUUCGUCGAGUUCGUCCGCGAGAUCUUAGAGAGCUAGGAUGUGGAUCGAUAGGGAGAAAACCUUCACGCGCACCCCAGUGUUCGAACCUUGAGGGUUUUUCGGAACCCGUGAUCCAACAUUUGGCGCGCCAGGUAGGGGUGCGCCAAAGCUUCCUUCCGUCGCUCCACGCUCCGUCGCUUCGUCGUCCCCAUGGCAGACACGCGCUGCGCUCGUGCUGAGCGUCGGGCUGCCCUCACCGCCCACAUCGCUCAGACGGCUCCCAUCGGCGGGCCCGGCAGGGAACGAGCAGCAAGCAUCCUCGCUGCACCCCUCGGUGCGGCGGGACGGCUGCACCGCCACUCCAUCGCUGACCCCGGCAGGUUCUUCUGCCCAUGCACGUCGCCCUCCCAUGGAUGCACGGGCCGCGCUCCUCAUGGCGCACAAGCUCAUGCGCUACCGACCAGUCGAUGACCUCUACGAGGACUGGCUCGACCGCAUCACCGAGCUUGUCCGUACCGCAGGGGGCUCUCCAGUGCCGUCCCUCUCUCUGCCUCGCCCUCCACCAGCUACGGGCGUCGUGGCUCCCGGAGCGCCUCCGCCACCUCUGCCCCAAGACGGCUCCCUGGAGCCAAGGUGUGCGGCUCCACGACGCGACCCGCCGCGUCCCACGCCCGCACGUGAAGAAAGAAGCUGUCAAGAAGUCCCUCGAUCGCAAGCAAACGCUCCGCCACUCCUCGCGCCACCGCGCCAGGACCGGCUUCCGCGGCAAGACCGCGCGCCACCUGUAGCGGUAGGGUGCGGACCCCAUCAAGACCAAGCUCCACUCCCAAGGCGGGCCCUGGUGACCACAGCUGGCUGCUGCGCUUUCACCCCAAGCUGCGUAGCGUCGCUUGGCUGGGCAAGUUCAAGCCGGAUCUGCCUCCUCGCUACGACGGCACCCCCGACACCGCGGAGUUCUUGCAGCUCUACGAGCUGAGCAUCGCAGCGGCCAACAGCGACGAGAAAGUCAGGGCGAACUGGUUUCCCAUGGCUCUCAAAGAGGGCGCCUGCUCCUGGCUCCUGAACCUACCUCCAGACUCGAAUCUCCUCCUGGGACGAGAUGCGCAACCGCUUCAUCGCCAAUUUCCAGGGCACUCGCAACCGCCCCCCGGUCGCGAGCGACCUGCACCGCAUCAAGCAACAUCCAUGAGAGACCCUGCAGAAGUACAUUCAGCGCUUCAACAACGCACGGAUUAAGAUCCCAAGGUGACCGAUGAGGCCAUCAUCUCUGCCUUCUUGAUAACCCACAAGUAUAGGGGAUCGCAACAGUUUUCGAGGGUAGAGUAUUUAACCCAAAUUUAUUGAUUCGACACAAGGGGAGCCAAAGAAUAUUCUCAAGUAUUAGCAGCUGAGUUGUCAAUUCAACCACACCUGGAAACUUAAUAUCUGCAGCAAAGUAUUUAGUAGCAAAGUAAUAUGAUAGUGGUGAUAACGGUAAAAAAAGGUAACAGUAGUAAAAGUAAUGUUUUUGGUAUUUUGUAGUGAUGAUAGCAAUAUGAUAGCGCGGGGACCGGGGCUACGACCGAGGAGGAGGACGUGGAGGCGGACUCCUGGACGACCGUGGCCCGCGCCAUGAUAGCGCGGCGACCGGGGCUACGGCCGAGGAGGAGGACGUGGAGGCGGACGCCUGGACGACCGUGGCCCGCGCCAGGAGUGGCGCGACCGGCCUCGCGAGGACCGCUGGCAGGAUUAUCCUUGCGAGGGCGCCUGGAGGGAUCAGCCUUGUGAGGAACGUCCUCAAGGCAAUGCCAGACUCCCUCCACUGGUGCCACCGCCAAGAAGGAAUGACGAACACCAUCAAUACGAGGGGGCUGGGGGCUUCCAGGAACCGCGUGCUAUCGCCUGCAUCUUGGGCGGUGCCCAGGCCCUAGCCUCGUAGCGUAUCUUCAAGCAGUUUGCUCGUGAAGUGAAUGCAGUCCUCCCCAAGCUCGAGGCCACACGCCCACUCAGAUGGUCCCAGUGCCCCAUCACGUUCAAUUCGGCAGAUUAGCUCAAGUGUGCGGCUACCGCUGGCGCACUCCUGAUGCUUUGCUCCCCAGUCAUCAGCAACAUGCAAGUUACCAAGACCCUCAUCAACAGCGACGCAGGGCUCAACAUCCUGUCCGUCGACACAUUCGACAGCCUCAAGUGCCAUAUGACCAACUUCAGCCCACCAAGCCUUUCUCAGGAGUGACCGACGGUUCCACCACACCGAUAGGGCAGGUCCGCCUCCCUGUCACCUUCGGCGAAUGCAAGAACUACCACACUGAGCUCAUCGACUUCGACGUCGCGCACAUUCAUCUGCCAUAGAAUGCCAUCCUCGCGUAUCCAGCCCUGGCUAAGUUCAUGGCGGUGACCCAUCACGGCUAUAAUGUCCUUAAGAUGUCGGGAAGCGGCGGGAUCAUCACGGUCCCAUGUGAAGAAAGAGAUGCGGUGUGCUCCCUCGAGUGUGCCUUCCAAGCAGCAGCAAUCGACGGCCCCGACAGCAAGGGCGAGGGCCCUCCUUUUAAUAGAGAACUGGAACAAAGCAUUAACACAUAGUGAAUACAUGAACUCCUCAAACUACGGUCAUCACCGAUAACUAUCCCGAUUAUUGUCACUUCGGGGUUACCGGAUCAUAACACAUAAUAGGUGACUAUAGACUUGCAAGAUAGGAUCAAGAACACUAAUAUAUUGAUGAAAACAUAAUAGGUUCAGAUCUGAAAUCAUGGCACUCGGGCCCUAGGGACAAGCAUUAAGCAUAGCAAAGUCAUAGCAACAACAAUCUUAGAACAUAGUGGACACUAGGGAUCAAACCCUAACAAAACUAACUCGAUUACAUGAUAGAUCCCAUCCAACCCAUCACCGUCCAUCAAGCCUACGAUGGAAUUACUCACACACGGCGGUGAGCAUCAUGAAAUUGGUGAUGGAGGAUGGUUGAUGAUGACGAUGGCGACGGAUUCCCCUCUUCGGAGCCCUGAACAGACUCCAGAUCAGCCCCCCCGGGAGGUUUUAGGGCUUGGCGGCGGCUCCGUAUCGUAAAACGAGAUGAUUUCUUCUCUCUGAUUUUUUUCUCCCCGAAACUCAAUAUAUGAAGGUGGAGUUGGAGUCGGAGAGGCAACAGGGGGCCCACAAGGUAGGGGGCGCGCCCCCCACCCUCGUGGCAAGGUGGUGGCCCCCUUGCCUUCAUCUUUGGCACGUAUUUUUCUUAUUUUCUGAGAAGUGUCUCCGUGAAGUUUUAGGUCAUUCCGAGAAUGUUUGCUCCUGCACAUAAAUAACACCAUGGUAAUUCUGCUGAAAACAGCGUCAGUCCGGGUUAGUUCCAUUCAAAUCAUGCAAGUUAGAGUCCAAAACAAGGGCAAAAGUGUUUGGAAAAGUAGAUACGUUGGAGACGUAUCAACUCCCCCAAGCUUAAACAUUUGCUUGUCCUCAAGCAAUUCAGUUGACAAACUGAAAGUGAUAAAGAAAAACUUUUACAAACUCUGUUUGCUCUUGUUAUUGUAAAUAUGUAAAGCCAGCAUUCAAGUUUUCAGCAAAGAUUAUAACUAACCACAUUUGCAAUAACGCAUAGGUCUCAAGUUUACUCAUAUCAAUAGCAUAAUCAACUAGCGAGCCAUAAUAAUAAAACUCGGAUGACAACACUUUCUCAAAACAAUCAUAAUAUGAUAUAACAGGAUGGUAUCUCGCUAGCCCUUUCUGAGACCGCAAAACAUAAAUGCAGAGCACCUUUAAAGACCAAGGACUGACUAGACAUUGUAAUUCAUGGUAAAAGAGAACCAUUCAAGUCACACUCAAUGUAAACUAAUAGUAAUGAUUGCAAAUGACAGUAGUGCUCUCCAACUGGUGCUUUUUAAUAAGAGGAUGAUGACUUAGCAUAAAAGUAAAUAGAUAGGCCCUUCACAGAGGGAAGCAGGGAUUUGUAGAGGUGCCAGAGCUCGGUUUUGAAACAGAGGUGAAUAAUAUUUUGAGCGGUAUACUUUCAUUGUCAACAUAACAACCAAGAGAUGGCGAUAUCUUCCAUGAUACACACAUUAUAGGCAGUUCCGAAACAGAAUGGUAAAGUUUAUACUCCCCCUUCCACCACAAGCAUCAAUCCAUGGCUUGCUCGAAACAACAAGUGCCUCCAGCUAACAAGAGUCCCAGGGGGAGUUUUGUUUGCAAUUAUUUUGAUUUAGUUUGCAUAAAGCAUGGGACUGGGCAUCCCGGUGACCAGCCAUUUAUCUCGUGAGUGAGGAGCGGAGUCCACUCCUCUUGAGAAUAACCUGCCUAACAUGGAAGAUACAGACAGCCCUAGUUAAUACAUGAGAUAUUCGAGCAUACAAAACAUGAUAUUUAUUUGAAGGUUUAGAGUUUGGCACAUACAAAUUUACUUGGAACGGCAGGUAGAUACCGUAUAUAGGUAGGUAUAGUGCACUUAUGUGGAAUAACUUUGGGGUUUAAUGGAUUGGAUGCACAAGCAGUAUUCCCGCUUAGUACAGGUGAAGGCUAGCAAAAGACUGGGAAGCGACUAGCUAGAGAGCGACAACAGUCAUGAACAUGCAUUAAAAUUAAACAACACCGAAUGCAAGCAUGAGUAGGAUAUAAUCCACCAUGAACAUAAAUAUCGUGAAGGCUAUGUUGAUUUUGUUUCAACUACAUGCGUGAACAUGUGCCAAGUCAAGUCACUUAAAUCAUUCAGAGGAGGAUACCACCCUAUCAUACCACAUCAUAACCAUUUUAAUAGCAUGUUGGCACGCAAGGUAAACCAUUAUAACUCAUAGCUAAUCAAGCAUGGCACAAGAAAUUAUGAUCUCUAGUUGUCAUUGCAAACAUGUUUAUUCAUAAUAGGCAAAAUCAGGAACGAUGAACUAAUCAUAUUUACAAAAACAAAAGAGGCCGAGUUCGUACCAGCUUUUCUCAUCUCAGCCAGUCCACCAUAUAUCAUCAUAAUUGCCCUUCAUUUGCACGACCGAACAAUGUGAAUAAUAAUAAUAGUGCACGUGCAUUGGACUAAGCUGGAAUCUGCAGGCAUUCAAUAAACAAGAGAAGACAAGGCAAUAUGGGCUCUUUUGUCAGAUAAACAAUAAUGCAUAUAAGAGCCACUUAAAUAAUUUAAUUAUGGUCUUCUCCUAUUGACCCCAAAGAAAAGAAAAGAAAUAAAACUAUUUACACGGGAAGGCUCCCAACAAGCAAAAGAAGAACAGGAAAUAUUUUUGGGUUUUCUUUUUAAUUACUACUACAAGCAUGGAAAAGUAAACUAAUUAAAAUCUACAGCUAAUUUUUUGGUUUUUCUUAAGGUUUAUUAAACACACAAGAAGAAAGCAUAAAAAGAAAAAUAAACUAGCAUGGAUGAUACAAUGAAAAAGUAUGAGCACCGACAUCUAGCAAUGAGUGUGUGAGCAUAAAUGUAAUGUCGGUGAGAAAUACAUACUCCCCCAAGCUUAGGCUUUUGUCCUAAGUUGGUCUAUGGCCACGGCUGGCCUGGCUGAUAUCCAUAAUAGUAGCUGGGGUCACACUAUGAUGCAGCAGCUAUCGCUUGCUGAGCUGCAGCGUGGCGACGAGCGACCUCCUCUCUCCUCUCGUACUCAUCUGCCUCCUCUCUGGUAAUAGUAUAUCCUCCUCUUGCCUGAUAAUCAAAGAAAGCAGGAGCAGGGAGAGUAAUACGGACAGCACGGCGUCUGUUAAAGAUUAGUCGAUACUGGAGAGGUGAUUCGUUCCUCUUGAAAAACUGGUGGUGAACCAUAGCAUUAAAAUCUAGAUAGGCAGGAGGCAAUUCAAUAUCAUCUUCGCGUACAUCUAUACCAAGAAAGUUAGCUACGCGGGUUGCAUCAAUUCCAUCAAAAAAAUCUCCAUUAAAUCUAUUAAGAUGCAACCUACGUGCAACAAUGGCUCCCAAAUUAUAAGAUUGGUCUCCUAACACAGCACUCCUAAGAAUACUGAGAUCGGGGACACACAUGUGACAUGCCUCAUCUUUACCAUUAAUGCAUCUACCUAUGAAGAGAGCAAAAUAAUGUAUAGCGGGAAAGUGAAUGCUCCCUAUGGUAGCUUGUGUAAUAUCUGUAGAUUCUCCCACAGUUAUGCUAGCAAGAAAAUCUCUAAAUUCAGAUUUGCGAGGAUCCAUUAUACUACCCCACUGUGGAAGUUUGCAUGAAGUGGUAAAAUCCUCUAAGUGCAUGGUAUAAGAUUUAUCAUAAAGAUCAAAUAGGACAGUUGGAGAAUUACGUGAAGUUGAAAAUUCAAACCUCCUCACAAAGGAACUAGUGAGAUUCUGAUACUGACUGCACUUCUCUUCCUCGAAGCUCACGAGAUCAGCGUUACGAAAAUAUGCGUUGAAUUCUUCUCUUAUUCCCGCUCGAUCCAUAAAAUUUUCAGAAGGCCACUCACAAGGACGCACUGGAGCGUCUCUUGGUGGCUCUUCGUCAGCAUCACGCAUUGCAAGCCUAGGUCCUUGCUUCCUUGAAGAACCACCUUGGACAUUUUCCUAAGCAUUUUUCUUCCUCUGAAAAGUUCUGAAAAUUUUUAGUAACUUCAAAAUAAAAGUAAACCAAACUCAAUAAUAUUUAUAGUAACUACUCCUACAAGUGCCAAGGGCCUAUAUCAUGCAUCAAAACUACUUUUGACCAUAUAAAUUUGACAUGCAAGCUCAAGAACAGGGUCACCUAAGCAACACAAAUUUGCAAAGAAUAAAGCACUAGAACAAAAACUAAUUGGACCAAUGGGGGGUCACAUACCAAGGAACAAUCUCCCCAAGCAGUUUUGUGAGAGGUGCUUUGAGCAAGGAGAUCGAAAAUGGCAGCAAAACGAGCUUGGACUUGGGUUUGAGCUGAUUAUUCGUGUUUGGGGGGAAGAAGGGGUGUAUGGGUGAAAGGAUAAGUGGAGGAGGGCCACCAUGGGCCCACGAGGCAGGGGGCACGCCCUAGAGGGGUGGGCGCGCCCUCCACCCUCGUGGGCAGGUGGUUGGCCCCCCUGGUGUGUUCUCAGUUCCAUAAAUCCUCAAAUAUUCUAGAAAAAAUCAUAUUUAAUUUUCAGGGCAUUUGGAGAACUUUUAUUUUUGAGGUAUUUUUAUAUUGCACGGAUAAUCAGAUAACAGACAGACAAAUAUUUAUUUUUAUUUUAUUUAAUAUAAAUAACAGAAAGUAAAAGUGGGGUACAGAAGAUUGUGCCUUCUAGUUUCAUCCAUCUCAUGGUCAUCAAAAGGAAUCCACUAACAAGGUUGAUCAAGUCUUGUUACCGAACUCAUUCCGAAUAACAUGGAACCGGAGAAAUUUCGAAUAACACUAUGUUACCUCAACGGGGAUAUGCACGUCACCAAUAACAACAAUAUCAUAUUUCUUCUUGACAGUAGGAAGAGGAAAUUCAAAACCUCCAAAUAUAAUUGAUGGAAUUUUUCCAAUAGAGUUGAUACUAUGAACUUGAGGUUGUUUCCUUGGAAAGUGUACCGUGUCCUCAUUACCAUUAACAUGAAAAGUGACAUUGCCUUUAGUCCAAACAAUAACAGCCCCUAUAGUAUUCAAAAAGGGUCUUCCAAGAAUAAUAGACAUACUAUCGUCCUCGGGAAUAUCAAGAAUAACAAAGUCCGUUAAAAUAGUAACAUUUGCAACUACAACAGGCACAUCCUCACAAAUACUGACAGGUAUAGCAGUUGAUUUAUCAGCCAUUUGCAAAGAUAUUUCAGUAGGUGCCAACUUAUUCAAAUCAAGUCUAUGAUAUAAAGAGAGAGGCAUAACACUAACACCGUCUCCAAGAUCACAUAAAGCAGUUUUAACAUAGUUUCUUUUAAUAGAGCAUGGUAUAGUGGGUACUCCUGGAUCUCCAAGUUUCUUUGGUAUUCCACCCUUAAAAGUGUAAUUAGCAAGCAUGGUGGAAAUUUUAGCUUCCGGUAUCUUUCUUUUAUUUGUAAUAAUAUCUUUCAUAUACUUAGCAUAAGGAUUGGUUUUGAGCAUAUCAGUUAAUCACAUACGCAAAAAGAUAGGUCUAAUCAUUUCAGCAAAGCGCUCAAAAUCCUCAUCAUCCUUUUUCUUGGAUGGUUUGGGAGGAAAGGGCAUGGGUUUCUGAACCCAAGGCUCUCUUUCUUUACCGUGUUUCCUAGCAACAAAGUCUUUCUUAUCAUAACGUUGAUUCUUUGAUUGUGGGUUAUCAAGAUCAACAGCAGGUUCAAUUUCUAUGUCAUUAUCAUUACUAGGUUGAGCAUCAUUAUGAACAUUAUUAUUAGAAUUAUCACUAGUUUCAGUUUCAUUACCAGGUUGAGUUUCAGCAUCAGAAAUAGAAAUAUCAUUUGGAUUCUCAAGUCUUUCAACAAUAGGAUUACUAGAAGCAUGCAAAGUCCUAUCAUUUUUCUUUUUCUUCUUUUUAAAUGAACUAGGUGCAUCUAAAUUAUUUCUGUGAGAAUCUUGCUCAAUUCUCUUAGGGUGGCCUUCAGGAUACAAAGGUUUCUGAGUCAUUCUACCACCUCUAGUCGUAACUCUAACAGCAUUAUCAUUAUUCUUAUUACUCAAUUCACUGAGCAAAUCAUUUUGAGCUUUAAGUACUUGUUCUACUUGAGUGGUAACCAUAGAAGCAUGUUUACUAAUAAGUUUAAGUUCACCUUUGACAUUAGCCAUAUAAUCACCCAAGUGUCCAAGCAUAUUUGAAUUAUAUUUCAGUUGUCUACCAAAAUAAGCAUUAAAGUCUUCUUGCUUAGCCAUAAAUUUAUCAAACUCAUCUAAGCAUGGGCUAGCAAUUUUAGUAAAUGGGAUUACAACUUUAUCAUAUCUAUAGAGAGAAUUUACCUUUACUACCUGUGUCGGGUUAUCAAGACCAUGAGUUUCUUCAAUAGGUAAAGGAUUUGGACUAUAUGUUUCUUCAACAGGCGGUAAAUUAAGACCAUGUAUUUCUUCAAUAGGAGGUAAAUUCUUAACAUCUUCAUCUUUAUAACCUUUUUCUUUCAUAGAUUUCUUUGCUUGUUGCAUAUCUUCAGGACUGAGAAAUAGAAUACCCCUCUUCUUCGGAGUUGGUUCAGGAAUAGGCUCAGGAAUUGGUUCUAGAGGUGUCCAAUUAUUUUCAUUUGUCAUCAUAUUAUUCAAUAGAAUUUCAGCUUCAUCCUAUGUUCUUUCCCUGAAAACAGAACCAGCACAACUAUCCAGGUAAUCUCUGGAGGCAUCGGUUAGUCCAUUAUAAAAGAUAUCAAGUAUUUCAUUUUUCUUAAGAGGAUGAUCAGGAAAAGCAUUAAAUAAUUGGAGAAGCCUCCCCCAAGCUUGUGGGAGACUCUCUUCUUCAAUUUGCACAAAAUUAUAUAUAUCCCUUAAAGCAGCUUGUUUCUUAUGAGCAGGGAAAUAUUUAGCAGAGAAGUAAUAAAUCAUAUCCUGGGGACUACGCACACAACCAGGAUCAAGAGAAUUAAACCAUAUCUUAGCAUCACCCUUUAAUGAGAAUGGAAAUAUUUUAAGGAUAUAAAAGUAGCAAGUUCUCUCAUCUUCAGUGAACAAGGUAGCUAUAUCAUUCAAUUUAGUAAGAUGUGCCACAAUAGUUUCAGAUUCAUAACCAUGAAAAGGAUCAGAUUCAACCAAAGUAAUUAUAUCAGGAUCAACAGAGAAUUCAUAAUCCUUAUCAGUAAUAAAGAUAGGUGAAGUAGCAAAAGCAGGGUCAGGUUUCAUUCUAGCAUUUAGAGAUUGCUUACUCCAUUUAGCUAAUAAUUUUUGAAGUUCAGUUCUAUUUCUGCAAGCUAAAAUGGCUAAAGAAGCAUCUUGAUCAAAAACAUAACCCUUAGGAAUGGCAAGUGGUUCUUCAUCAUCACUUUCAUCAGUAUCAUCAGAUUCAAUAUUUUCAAUUUCUCUAGCCCUAGCAAGUUGUUCAUCAAGAAAAGCACUAAGUGGCAUAGUAGUAUCUGCCAUAGAGGUAGUUUCAUCAUAAGUAUCAUGCAUAGCAUAAGUGGCAUCAUCUAUAACAUGCGACAUAUCAGAACGAAUAGCAGAAGUAGGUGUAGGUGUCGCAAGCUUACUCAAAACAGAAGUUGAAUCAAGUGCAGAGCUAGAUGGCAGUUCCUUACCUCCCCUCAUAGUUGAGGGAUAGAUCUUGGUUUUUGGAUCUCUCAAGUUCUUCAUAAUGAUAAGAAGACAUAUAUCCCAAGUGACUCAAAGAAUAGAGCUAUGCUCCUCGGCAACGGUGCUAGAAAAUAGUCCUGAUAACCCACAAGUAUAGGGGAUCGCAACAGUUUUCGAGGGUAGAGUAUUCAACCCAAAUUUAUUGAUUCGACACAAGGGGAGCCAAAGAAUAUUCUCAAGUAUUAGCAGCUGAGUUGUCAAUUCAACCACACCUGGAAACUUAAUAUCUGCAGCAAAGUAUUUAGUAGCAAAGUAAUAUGAUAGUGGUGAUAACGGUAACAAAAGGUAACAGUAGUAGAAGUAAUGUUUUUGGUAUUUUGUAGUGAUGAUAGCAAUAGCAACGGAAAAGUAAAUAAGUGAAGAACAAUAUAUGGAAAGCUCGUUGGCAAUGGAUCGGUGAUGGAGAAUUAUGCCAGAUGCGGUUCAUCAUGUAACAGUCAUAACCUAGGGUGACACAGAACUAGCUCCAGUUCAUUGAUAUAUUGUAGGAAAGUAUUCCGAAUAUAGUCAUACGUGCUUAUGGAAAAGAACUUGCAUGACAUCUUUUGUCCUACCCUCCUGUGGAAGCGGGGUCCUUACGGAAACUAAGGGAUAUUAAGGCAUCCUUUUAAUAGAGAACCGGAACAAAGCAUUAACACAUAGUGAAUACAUGAACUCCUCAAACUACGGUCAUCAUCGGUAAGUAUCCCGAUUAUUGUCACUUCGGGGUUAACGGAUCAUAACACAUAAUAGGUGACUAUAGACUUGCAAGAUAGGAUCAAGAACACUCAUAUAAUGAUGAAAACAUAAUGGGUUCAGAUCAAAAAUCAGGGCACUCGGGCCCUAGUGACAAGCAUUAAGCAUAGCAAAGUCAUAGCAACAUCAAUCUCAGAACAUAGUGGAUAUUAGGGAUCAAACCCUAAAAAAACUAACUCGAUUACAUGAUAGAUCCCAUCCAACCCAUCACCGUCCAGCAAGCCUACGAUGGAAUUACUCACGCAUGGCGGUAAGCAUCAUGAAAUUGGUGAUGGAGGAUGGUUGAUGAUGACGAUGGCGACGGAUUCCCCCCUCUGGAUCCCCGAACGGACUCCAAAUCAGCCCUCUCGAGAGGUUUUAGGGCUUGCCGGCGGCUCCAUAUCGUAAAACGCGAUGAUUUCUUCUCUCUGGGUUUUUUCUCCCUGAAACUCAAUAUAUGGAGGUGGAGUUGGAGUCAGAGAGGCAACGGGGGGCCCACGAGGUAGGGGGCGCGACCCACCCUCAUGGCAAGGUGGUGGCCCCCCUGGCCUUCAUCUUUGGCAGGUAUUUUCUUAUUUUCUGAAAACUGUCUCCGUGAAGUUUCAGGUCAUUCCGAGAACGUUUGCUCCUGCACAUAAAUAACACCAUGGUAAUUCUGCUGAAAACAGCGUCAGUCCGGGUUAGUUCCAUUCAAAUCAUGCAAGUUAGAGUCCAAGACAAGGGCAAAAGUGUUUGGAAAAGUAGAUACGUUGGAGACGUAUCACUUCUCUGACGGCGUCCGCGACGUCAAGAUGAAGGAAGAGCUCGCUAUCCACGAGAGUUGUGCACGACCCUGGAGCUGUUCAACAUCGUGACCAAGUGUGCCAGAGCUGAGGAGGGGUGCCUCUCCCUCCUCGAGCUCCCUGCUGCAGACCCAGAGGAGAAGAAAGCCAAGGCCAAGAACAUGAAGCGCAAGGGAGCAGCCGUGCUCGCAGCGGAACUAGACACCAAGCGUGGCAGAGACCAACUAGAGUCACCCAAGAGCAGCCGCCUGUUCUGCGCCUUCCACAACCUGAACACCCACAACACCAGUGACUGUCAAGAGCUCAGAGCCAUUCACGAAGGACACUUCGGUCGACGCCCCCAGCACAGCGACCGGGGCUACGGCCGAGGAGGAGUACGUGGAGGCGGACGCCUGGACGACCGUGGCCCAUGCCAGGAGUGGCGCGACCGGCCUCGCGAGGACAGCUGGCAGGAUCAUCCUCGCAAGGGCGCCGGGAGGGAUCAGCCUCCUGAGGAACGUCCUCAAGGCAACACCGGACUCCCUCCGCUGCUGCCACCGCCAAGAAGGAAUGACGAACACCAUCAAGACGAGGGGGCUGGGGGCUUCCAGGAACCGCGUGCUAUCGCUUGCAUCUUGGGCGGAGCCUAGGCCCCAGCCUCGUAGCGUAUCUUCAAGUAGUUUGCUCGUGAAGUGAAUGCAGUCCUCCCCAAGCUCGAGGCCACACGCUCGCUCAGAUGGUCCCAGUGCCCCAUCACGUUCAAUUUGGCAGAUCAGCUCAAGUGCGCGGCUACCGAUGGUGCACUCCCGAUGCUUUGCUCCUAGUCAUCAGCAACGUGCAAGUUACCAAGACCCUCAUCAAUGGUGGCACAGGGCUCAACGUCCUGUCCUCGACACGUUCGACAGCUUCCAAGUGCCAUAUGACCAGCUUCAGCCCACCAAGCCUUUCUCAGGAGUGACCGACGGUUCCACCACACCGAUAGGGCAGGUCCGCCUCCCUGUCAACUUCGGGGAAUGCAAGAACUACCGCAUCGAGCUCAUCGACUUUGACGUCGCGCACAUUCGUCUACCGUACAAUGCCAUCCUCGCGUAUCCAGCCCUGGCUAAGUUCAUGGCGGUGACCCAUCACGGCUACAAUGUCCUCAAGAUGCUGGGAAGCGGCGGGAUCAUCACGGUCCCAUGUGAUGAAAGAGAUGCGGUGUGCUCCCUCGAGCGUGCCUUCCAAGCUGUAGCAAUCGACGACCCCGACAGCAAGGGUGAGGGCCCUCCUUUUAAUAGAGAACCGGAACAAAGCAUUAACACAUAGUGAAUACAUGAACUCCUCAAACUACGGUCAUCCCUGGUAAGUAUCCCGAUUAUUGUCACUUCGGGGUUAACGGAUCAUAACACAUAAUAGGUGACUAUAGACUUGCAAGAUAGGAUCAAGAACACUCAUAUAUUGAUGAAAACAUAAUAGGUUCAGAUCUGAAAUCAUGGCACUCGGGCCCUAGUAACAAGCAUUAAGCAUAGCAAAGUCAUAGCAACAUCAAUCUCAGAACAUAGUGGACACUAGGGAUCAAACCCUAACAAAACUAACUCGAUUACAUGAUAGAUCCCAUCCAACCCAUCACCGUCCAGCAAGCCUACGAUGGAAUUACUCACGCACGGUGGUGAGCAUCAUGAAAUUGGUGAUGGAGAAUGGUUGAUGAUGACGAUGGCGACGGAUUCCCCUCUCCGGAGCCCCGAAAGAACUUCAGAUCUGCCCUACCGAGAGGUUUUAGGGCUUGGCGGCGGCUCCGUAUCGUAAAACGCGAUGAUUUCUUCUCUCUGAUUUUUUUUCUCCCGGAAACUCAAUAUAUGGGGGUGGAGUUGGAGUCGGAGAGGCAACAGGGGGCCCACGAGGUAGGUGCGCCCUAGGGGGCACGCGCGCCCCCACCCUCGUGGCAAGGUGGUGGCCCCCCUGGCCUUCAUCUUUGGCAGGUAUUUUUCUUAUUUUCUGAGAAGUGUCUCCGUGAAGUUUCAGGUCAUUCCGAGAACGUUUGCUCCUGCACAUAAAUAACACCAUGGUAAUUCUGCUGAAAACAGCGUCAGUCUGGGUUAGUUCCAUUCAAAUCAUCCAAGUUAGAGUCCAAAACAAGGGCAAAACUGUUUGGAAAAGUAGAUACGUUGGAGGCGUAUCAACUCCCCCAAGCUUAAACGUUUCCUUGUCCUCAAGCAAUUCAGUUGACAAACUGAGAGUGAUAAAGAAAAACUUUUACAAACUCUGUUUGCUCUUGUUGUUGUAAAUAUGUAAAGCCAGCAUUCAAGUUUUCAGCAAAGAUUAUAACUAACCACAUUUGCAAUAACGCAUGGGUCUCAAGUUUACUCAUAUCAAUAGCAUAAUCAACUAGCGAGCCAUAAUAAUAAAACUCGGAUGACAACACUUUCUCAAAACAAUCAUAAUAUGAUAUAACAGGAUGGUAUCUCAAUAGCCCUUUCUGAGACCGCAAAACAUAAAUGCAGAGCACCUUUAAAGACCAAGGACUGACUAGACAUUGUAAUUCAUGGUAAAAGAGAUCCAGUCAAGUCACACUCAAUGUAAACUAACAGUAAUGAAUGCAAAUGAUAGCGGUGCUCUCCAACUAGUGCUUUUUAAUAAGAGGAUGAUGACUCAGCAUAAAAGUAAAUAGAUAGGCCCUUCGCAGAGGGAAGCAGGGAUUUGUAGAGGUGCCAGAGCUCGGUUUUGAAACAGAGGUGAAUAAUAUUUUGAGCGGUAUACUUUCAUUGUCAACAUAACAACCAAGAGAUGGCGAUAUCUUCCAUGAUACACACAUUAUAGGCGGUUCCCAAACAGAAUGGUAAAGUGUAUACUCCCCCUUCCACCACAAGCAUCAAUCCAUGGCUUGCUCGAAACAACGACUGCCUCCAACUAACAAGAGUCCCAGGGGGAGUUUUGUUUGCAUUUAUUUUGAUUUAGUUUGCAUAAAGCAUGGGACUGGGCAUCCCGGUGACCAGCCAUUUAUCUCGUGAGUGAGGAGCAGAGUCCACUCCUCUUGAGAAUAACCCACCAAACAUGGAAGAUACAGACAGCCCUAGUUGAUACAUGAGCUAUUCGAGCAUACAAAACAGGAUAUUUAUUUGAAGGUUUAGAGUUUGGCACAUACAAAUUUACUUGGAACGGCAGGUAGAUACCGUAUAUAUGUAGGUAUAGUGGACUCAUGUGGAAUAACUUUGGGGUUUAAGGGAUUGGAUGCACAAGCAGUAUUCCCGCCUAGUACAGGUGACGGCUAGCAAAAGACUGGGAAGCGACCAGCUAGAGAGCGACAACAGUCAUGAACAUGCAUUAAAAUUAAUCAACACCGAAUGCAAGCAUGAGUAGGAUAUAAUCCACCAUGAACAUAAAUAUCGUGAAGGCUAUGUUGAUUUUGUUUCAACUACAUGCGUGAACAUGUGCCAAGUCAAGUCACUUAAAUCAUUCAGAGGAGGAUACCACCCUAUCAUACCACAUCAUAACCAUUUUAAUAGCAUGUUGGCACGCAAGGUAAACCAUUAUAACUCAUGCUAAUCAAGCAUGGCACAAGAAACUAUGAUCUCUAGUUUUCAUUGCAAACAUGUUUAUUCAUAAUAGGCAAAAUCAGGAACGAUGAACUAAUCAUAUUUACAAAAACAAAAGAGGUCGAGUUCAUACCAGCUUUUCUCAUCUCAGCCAGUCCAGCAUAUAUCAUCAUAAUUGCCCUUCACUUGCACGACCAAACGAUGUGAAUAAUAAUAAUAGUGCACGUGCAUUGGACUAAGCUGGAAUCUGCAGGCAUUCAAUAAACAGGAGAAGACAAGGCAAUAUGGGCUAUUUUGUCAGAUAAACAAUAAUGCAUAUAAGAGCCACUUCAACAAUUUAAUUGUGUUCUUCUCCUAUCGACCCCCAAAGAAAAGAAAAGAAAUAAAACUAUUUACACGGGAAGGCUCCCAACAAGCAAAAGAAGAACAUGAAAUAUUUUUGGGUUUUCUUUUUAAUUAGUACUACAAGCAUGGAAAGUAAACUAAUUAAAAGAUACAACUAAUUUUUUUUUGGUUUUUCUUAAGGUUAAUUAAACACACAAGAAGAAAGCAUAAAAAGGAAAAUAAACUAGCAUGGAUGAUACAAUGAAAAAGUAUGAGCACCGACAUCUAGCAAUGAGUGUGUGAGCAUAAAUGUAAUGUCGGUGAGAAAUACGUACUCCCCCAAGCUUAGGCUUUUGGCCUAAGUUGGUCUAUGGCCACGGCUAGCCUGGCUGAUAACCAUAAUAGUAGCUGGGGUCGCACUGUGAUGCAGCAGCUAUCGCUUGCUGAGCUGCAGCGUGGCGACGAGCGGCCUCCUCUCUCCUCUCGUACUCAUCUGCCUCCUCUCUGGUAAUAGUAUUUCCUCCUCUUGCCUGAUACUCAAAGAAAGUAGGAGCAGGGAGAGUAAUACGGACAGCAUGGCGUUUGUUAAAGAUUAGUCGAUACUGGAGAGGUGAUUCGUUCCUCUUGAAAAACUGGUGGUGAACCAUAGCAUUAAAUUCUAGAUAGGCAGGAGGCAAUUCAAUAUCAUCUUCGCGUACAUCUAUACCAAGAAAGUUAGCUAUGCGGGUUGCAUAAAUUCCACCAAAGAAAUCUCCAUUAAAUCUAUUAAGAUGCAACCUACGUGCAACAAUGGCUCCCAAAUUAUAAGAUUGGUCUCCUAACACAGCACUCCUAAGAAUACUGAGAUCGGGGACACACAUGUGACAUGCCUCAUCUUUACCAUUAAUGCGUCUACCUAUGAAGAGAGCAAAAUAAUGUAUAGCAGGAAAGCGAAUGCUCCCUAUGGUAGCUUGUGUAAUAUCUCUAGAUUCUCCCACAGUUAUGCUCUAGCAAGAAAAUCUCUAAAUUCAGAUUUGGGAGGAUCCCUUAUACUACCCCAUUGUGGAAGAUUGCAUGCAGUGGUAAAAUCCUCUAAGUCCAUGGUAUAAGAUUUAUCAUAAAGAUCAAACAGGACAGCUGGAGAAUUACGUGAAGUUGAAAAUUCAAACCUCCUCACAAAGGAACUAGUGAGUUUAUGAUACUGACUACACUUCUCUUCCUCGAAGCUCACGAGAUCAGCGUUACGAAAAUAUGCAUUGAAUACUUCUUUUAUUCCCGCUCGAUCCAUCAAAUUUUCAGGAGGCCACUCACAAGGACGCACUAAAGCGUCUCUUGGUGGCUCUUCGUCAGCAUCACGCAAUGCAAGCCUAGGUCCUCGCUUCCUUGAAGAACCACCUUGGAACAUUUUCCUAAUCGUUUUUCUUCCUCUGAAUUUUUUUAGUAACUUCAUAAUAAAAGUAAACCAAAGUCAAUAAUAUUGAUAGUAACUACUCCUACAAGUGCCUAGGGCCUAUAUCAUGCAUCAAAACUACUUUUGACCAUAUAAAUUUGACAUGCAAGCUCAAGAACAGGGUCACCUAAGCAACACAAAUUUGCAAAGAAUAAAGCACUAGAACAAAAACUAAUUGGACCAAUGGGGGAGUCACAUACCAAGGAACAAUCUCCCCAAGCAGUUUUGUGAGAGGUGCUUUGAGCAAGGAGAUCGAAAAUGGCAGCAAAACGAGCUUGGACUCGGGUUUGAGCUGGUUAUUCGUGUUUGGGGGAGGAAGAAGGAGUGUAUGGGUGAAAGGAUAAGUGGAGGAGGGCCACCGUGGGCCCACGAGGCAGGGGGGCAUGCCCUCCACCCUCGUGGGCAGGUGGUUGGCCCCCUGGUGUGUUCUCAGUUCCAUAAAUCCUCAAAUAUUCUAGAAAAAAUCAUAUUUAAUUUUCAGGGCAUUUGGAGAACUUUUAUUUUCGAGGUAUUUUUAUAUUGCACGGUUAAUCAGAUAACAGACAGACAAAUAUUUAUUUUUAUUUUAUUUAAUAUAAAUAACAGAAAGUAAAAGUGGGGUACAGAAGGUUGUGCCUUCUAGUUUCAUCCAUCUCAUGGUCAUCAAAAGGAAUCCACUAACAAGGUUGAUCAAGUCUUGUUAACGAACUCAUUCCGAAUAACAUGGAACCGGAGAAAUUUCGAAUAACACUAUGUUACCUCAACGGGGAUAUGCACAUCCCCAAUAACAAGAAUAUCAUAUUUCUUCUUGACAGUAGGAAGAGGAAAUUCAAAACCUCCAAAUAUAAUUGAUGGAAUUUUUCCAAUAGAGUUGAUACUAUGAACUUGAGGUUGUUUACUCGGAAAGUGUACCGUGUGCUCAUUACCAUUAACAUGAAAAGUGACAUUGCCUUUAGUGCAAUCAAUAACAGCCCCUGCAGUAUUCAAAAAGGGUCUUCCAAGAAUAAUAGACAUACUAUCGUCCUCGGGAAUAUCAAGAAUAACAAACUCCGUUAAAAUAGUUACAUUUGCAACUACAAUAGGCACAUCCUCACAAAUACCGAUAGGUAUAGCAGUUGAUUUAUCAGCCAUUUGCAAAGAUAUUUUAGUAGGUGUCAACUUAUUCAAAUCAAGUCUACGAUAUAAAGAGAGAGGCAUAACACUAACACCGGCUCCAAGAUCACAUAAAGUAGUUUUAACAUAGUUUCUUUUAAUAGAGCAUGGUAUAGUGGGUACUCCUGGAUCUCCAAGUUUCUUUGGUAUUCCACCCUUAAAAGUGUAAUUAGCAAGCAUGGUGGAGAUUUCAGCUUCCGGUAUCUUUCUUUUAUUUGUAAUAAUAUCUUUCACAUACUUGCAUAAGGAUUGGUUUUGAGCAUAUCAGUUAAUCGCAUACGCGGAAAGAUAGGUCUAAUCAUUUCAGCAAAGCGCUCAAAAUACUCAUCAUCCUUUUCUUGGAUGGUUUGGGAGGAAAGGGCAUGGGUUUCUGAACCCAAGGCUCUCUUUCUUUACCGUGUUUCCUAGCAACAAAGUAUUUCUUAUCACAAUGUUGAUUAUUUGAUUGUGGGUUAUCAAGAUCAAUAGCAGGUUCAAUUUCUAUGUCAUUAUCAUUACUAGGUUGAGCACCAUUAUGAACAUUAUUAUUAACAUUAUCACUAGUUUCAGUUUCAUUACCAGGUUGAGUUUUAGCAUCAGAAAUAGAAAUAUUAUUUGGAUUCUCAGGUGUUUCAAAAACAGGAUCACUAGAAGCAUUUAAAGUCCUAUCAUUUUUCUUUUUCUUCUUUUUAGAAGAACUAGGUGCAUCUAAAUUAUUUCUCUGAGAAUCUUGCUCAAUUCUCUUAGGGUGGCCUUCAGGAUACAAAGGUUCCAGAGUCAUUCUACCACCUCUAGUCAUAACUCUAACAGCAUUAUCAUUAUUCUUAUUAUUCAAUUCAUUGAGCAAAUCAUUUUGAGCUUUAAGUACUUGUUCUACUUGAGUGGUAACCAUAGAAGCAUGUUUACUAAUAAGUUUAAGUUCACUUUGACAUUAGCCAUAUAAUCACUCAAGUGUCCAAGCAUAUUUGAAUUAUAUUUCAGUUGUCUACCAAAAUAAGCAUUAAAGUCUUCUUGCUUAGCCAUAAAUUUAUCAAACUCAUCUAAGCAUGGGCUAGCAAUUUUAGUAAAUGGGAUUACGGCUUUAUCAUAUCUAUAGAGAGAAUUUACCUUUACUACCUGUGUCGGGUUAUCAAGACCAUGAGUUUAUUCAAUAGGUAAAGGAUUUGGAUUAUAUGUUUCUUCAACAGGAGGAAAAUUUAGACCAUGUAUUUCUUCAACAGGAGGUAAAUUCUUAACAUCUUCAGCUUUAAUACCUUUUUCUUUCAUUGAUUUAUUUGCCUCUUGCAUAUCUUCAGGACUGAGAAAUAGAAUACCCCUCUUCUUCGGAAUUGGUUUAGGAAUAGACUCAAGAAUUGGUUCCGGAGGUGUCCAAUUAUUUUCAUUUGUCAACAUAUUAUUCAAUAGAAUUUCAGCUUCAUCCUAUGUUCUUUCCCUGAAAACAGAACCAGCACAACUAUCUAGGUAGUCUCUGGAGGCAUCGGUUAGUCCAUUAUAAAAGAUAUCAAGUAUUUCAUUUUUCUUAAGAGGAUGAUCAGGCAAAGCAUUAAGUAAUUGAAGAAGCCCCCCCCCCCCAAGCUUGUGGGAGACUCUGUUCUUCAAUUUGCACAAAAUUAUAUAUAUCCCUUAAAGCAGCUUGUUUCUUACGAGCAGGGAAAUAUUUAGCAGGUAAGUAAUAAAUCAUAUCCUGGGGACUACGCACACAACCAGGAUCAAGAGAAUUAAACCAUAUCUCAGCAUCACCCUUUAAUGAGAAUGGAAAUAUUUUAAGGAUAUAAAAGUAUCAAGUUCUCUCAUCUUUAGUGAACAGGGUAACUAUAUCAUUCAAUUUGGUAAGAUGUGCCACAACAGUUUCAGAUUCAUAACCAUGAAAAGGAUCAGGUUCAACCAAAGUAAUUAUAUCAGGAACAAUAGAGAAUUCAUAAUCCUUAUCAGUAACAAAGAUAGGUGAAGUAGCAAAAGCAGGGUCAGGUUUCAUUCUAGCAUUUAGAGAUUGCUUACUCCAUUUAGCUAAUAAUUUUUUAAGUUCAGUUCUAUUUCUGCAAGCUAAAAUGGCUAAAGAAGCAUCUUGAUCAAAAACAUAACCCUUAGGAAUGGCAAGUGGUUCUUCAUCAUCAAUAUCAUCAGAUUUAAUAUUUUCAAUUUCUCUAGCCCUAGCAAGUUCUUCAUCAAGAAAAGCACUAAGUGGCAUAGUAGUAUCAGGCAUAGAGGUAGUUUCAUCAUAAGUAUCAUGCAUAGCAGAAGUGGCAUCAUCUAUAACAUGCAACAUAUUAGAACGAAUAGCAGAAGCAGGUGUAGGUGUCGCAAGCUUACUCAAAACAGAAGGUGAAUCAAGUGCAGACCUAGAUGGCAGUUCCUUACCUCCCCUCGUAGUUGAGGGAUAGAUCUUGGUUUUUGGAUCUCUCAAGUUCUUCAUAAUGAUAAGAAGACAUAUAUCCCAAGUGACUCAAAGAAUAGAGCUAUGCUCCUCGGCAACGGUGCCAGAAAAUAGUCCUGAUAACCCACAAGUAUAGGGGAUCGCAACAGUUUUCGAGGGUAGACUAUUCAACCCAAAUUUAUUGAUUCGACACAAGGGGAGCCAAAGAAUAUUCUCAAGUAUUAGCAGCUGAGUUGUCAAUUCAACCACACCUGGAAACUUAAUAUCUGCAGCAAAGUAUGUAGUAGCAAAGUAAUAUGAUAGUGGUGAUAACGGUAACAAAAGGUAACAGUAGUAAAAGUAAUGUUUUUGGUAUUUUGUAGUGAUGAUAGCAAUAGCAACGGAAAAGUAAAUAAGUGAAGAACAAUAUAUGGAAAGCUUGUAGGCAAUCGAUCGGUGAUGGAGAAUUACGCCGGAUGUGGUUCAUCAUGUAACAGUCAUAACCUAGGGUGACACAGAACUAGCUCCAGUUCAUUGAUAUAAUGUAGGCAUGUAUUUCGAAUAUAGUCAUACGUGCUUAUGGAAAAGAACUUGCAUGACAUCUUUUGUCCUACCCUCCCGUGGAAGCGGGGUCCUUACGGAAACUAAGGGAAGGCCUCCUUUUAAUAGAGAACCGGAACAAAGCAUUAACACAUAGUGAAUACAUGAACUCCUCAAACUACGGUCAUCACCGGUAAGUAUCCCGAUUAUUGUCACUUCAGGGUUAAUGGAUCAUAACACAUAAUAGGUGACUAUAGACUUGCAAGAUAGGAUCACGAACACUCAUAUAUUGAUGAAAACAUAAUAGGUUCAGAUCUGAAAUCAUGGCACUCGGGCCCUAGUGACAAGCAUUAAGCAUAGCAAAGUCAUAGCAACAUCAAUCUCAGAACAUAGUGGACACUAGGGAUCAAACCCUAACAAAACUAACUCGAUUACAUGAUAGAUCCCAUCCAACCCAUCACCGUCCAGCAAGCCUACGAUGGAAUUACUCACGCGCGGCGGUGAGCAUCAUGAAAUUGGUGAUGGAGGAGGUUGAUGAUGACGAUGGCGACGGAUUCCCCUCUCCGGAGCCCCGAACGGACACCAGAUCAGCCCUCCCAAGAGGUUUUAGGGCUUGGCGGCGGCUCCAUAUCGUAAAAUGUGAUGAUUUCUUCUCUUUGAUUUUUUUUCUCCCCGAAACACAAUAUAUGGAGGUGGAGUUGGAGUCGGAGAGGCAACAGGGGGCCCACGAGGUAGGGGGCGCGACCCACCCUCAUGGCAAGGUGGUGCCCCCCCUGGCCUUCAUCUUUGGAAGGUAUUUUUCUUAUUUUCUGAAAACUGUCUCCAUGAAGUUUCAGAUCAUUCCGAGAACGUUUGCUCGUGCACAUAAAUAACACCAUGGUAAUUCUGCUGAAAACAGCAUCAGUCCGGGUUAGUUCCAUUCAAAUCAUGCAAGUUAGAGUCCAAAACAAGGGCAAAAGUGUUUGGAAAAGUAGAUACGUUGGAGACGUAUCAUUUCUAUGAUGGCGUCUGCGACGUCAAGAUGAAGGAAGAGCUCGCUAUCCACGAGGAGUUGUGCAUGCCCUGGAGCUGUUCAACAUCACGACCAAGUGUGCUAGAGCUGAGGAGGGGUGCCUCUCCCUUCUUGAGCUCCCUGCUGCAGACCCAGAGGAGAAGAAAGCCAAGGCCAAGGACGUGAAGCGUAAGGGAGCUGCCGUGCUCACAGCGGAACUAGACACCAAGCGUGGCAGAGACCAACUAGAGUCACCCAAGAGCAUCCGCCCGUUCUGCACCUUCCACAACCUGAACACCCACAACACCAGCGACUCUCAAGAGCUCAGAGCCAUUCGCGAAGGACGCUUCGGUCGACGCCCCGAGUGCGGCGACCGGGGCUACGGCCGAGGAGGAGGACGUGGAGGCGGACGCCUGGACGACCGUGGCCCAUGCCAGGAGUGGCGCGACCGGCCUCGCGAGGACCGCUGGCAGGAUCAUCCUCGCGAGGGCGCGUGGAGGGAUCAGCCUCGUGAGGAACGUCCUCAAGGCAACGCCGGACUCCCUCCGCUGCUGCCACCGCCAAGAAGGAAUGACGAACACCAUCAAGAUGAGGGGGCUGGGGGCUUCCAGGAACCGCGUGCUAUCGCCUGCAUCUUGGGCAGAGCACAAGCCCCAGCCUCGCAGCGUAUCUUCAAGCAGUUUGCUCGUGAAGUGAAUGCAGUCCUCCCCAAGCUCGAGGCCACACGCCUGCUCAGAUGGUCCCAGUGCCCCAUCACGUUCAAUUCGGCAGAUCAGCUCAAGUGCGCGGCUACCGCUGGCGCACUCUCGAUGCUUCGCUCCCCAGUCAUCUGCAACGUGAAAAUUACCAAGACCCUCAUCAACGGCGGUGCAGGGCUCAACGUCCUGUCCAUCGACAUGUUCAACAGCCUCCAAGUGCCAUAUGACCAGCUUCAGUCCACCAAGCCUUUCUCAGGAGUGACCGAUGGUUCCACCACACCGAUAGGGCAGUUCCGCCUCCCUGUCACCUUCGGGGAACGCAAGAACUACCGCAACGAGCUCAUCGACUUCGACGUCGCGCACAUCCGUCUGCCGUACAAUGCCAUCCUCGCGUAUCUAGCCCUGGCUAAGUUCAUGGCGGUGACCCAUCAGGGCUACAAUGUCCUCAAGAUGCCGGGAAGCGGCGGGAUCAUCACGGUCCCAUGUGAAGAAAGAGAUGCAGUGUGCUCCCUCGAGCGUGCCUUCCAAGCUGCAGCAAUCGACGACCCCGACAGCAAGGGCGAGGGCCCUCCUGAGGCCAUCCCCAAGAAGAAGAAGCAGUUGCACCGUGCAGGACCUCAAGAGGGUGGCGUCAGAGGCGGAGCCUCGUCAGGAUCAGCGCCCGCUCUAGGGGCGCCUCCCUCCAUCGCAUAGGAAGGCGCGCCCGGCGCCCUUCUCGAGCAGGGCUCGGGGGCUUUAUUCUGGAAGGCCUCAGACCUUGCCCACAUCAUGCGGGAGGCGCUUGGGCACCACUUGGAGGCGUGCUUCACGACACGUUUCCCUCGGGAGGGCACAUGGCAAGGAUUGUCCACCGUUCAGGAGUUCAUCACUGAGACCACCCAGGAAUUGCAAGACGCAAGGGCCAUGCGCGGAGGCCGUCACUCACGAGGCGCAGCUUCCCAUCCAGGCGAGGAUACCGGGCUGCGCGUCUGCAUCAACGUUCUAGGGCUCAACAGGGCCGCUUCUCAGGAGCUUUUCUUGCCUUCGCGCGUGGGACGCUGCAAGGGCCCACCGCACAGCUACGUUCGCAUGCCCUUUGGCCUGCCGAGCGUGUCGUCUGCCUACCAGUGCAACUUGCGGCGCAUCCUAGCGGCUCAGGAGGCCAGGCACCACGUUGUCCUGAUGGAGAUGGAGACGGUCCUCAAGGAUCCACCUGAGCCUCCAGAGCCUCCUGAGGCUCGGGGCCCCAGCGGCUCGUGAGGAGCAACCCCUUUGCUGUGCACCUUCAGCUACCCCAACUCUCCUUCGUCAACAUAACCAGGUGACAUCUUUCCAAGUUCAUUUAGCUGGGAGCGCCCCUCGGGCUGCAUCAUUCCCAGGCCGCGUGGGUCCGUCCCUGUGGCAUGUAUCCAUUUUUAUGUCUUUAGCUUACCUUGUUGGGAGCGCCCCUAGGGCUGCAUCAUCCCCAAGCCACUCGGGCCUGACCCAGUGGCACGUAUCUCCCAUGCACUUACUUAAGCCUGCUACUCUCAUGAUUAAUCUACCUAUGAUUACUACUUGCUCGAUCGCCACCAAUCAUGGGGACCGCGCGCCGGCUGUCUUUCUUCAGGACCCUUCGCGUGAGUAAGUUGAGCACGGCGUCUGUGCUCGGGCCCGUCCCUGCAGCGUCGAUAAAUCCAACGGCUGAGCUCUGUCUGGCAGGACGGCCCCGUUUACAUCACCUCCUGGGGCCGUUGGUGCUUGGCUUUCUCACAUGAUAACCUCAGGAGAUUCGUUCGGCGCAGGUUGUCUGACCACCUCGCAGGACAAACACAGCGAACAAGAACCAAGACCAGGCGCAACCAGCCUUGAGGUAGGGCCUCGUGAGCCCCGCGCUGGCUCAUGAGUGCCCAGAUACACCUCGUGUAGCCUCGCCGUGCAAGCCACGUGUCAGGGUGGGGCUGUACAUGCCCCGGGGGCUCUCCAUAGAGGGAGCCCCCCUCCCAUGCACAAGUGGAAGCACCAUGCUCUGCACUGGCCGUGGACACUACUGAGGAGCGGCUAUGCCCGUGCACAAGCAGAAGCACUAUGCUCCGCACUGGUGAUAAACAACUGAGGGCGGCUUCAUGGUCGUAAAAACCUCAGGGAGCCCAAGAGCUCAACGUCCGGCCUCAUCGCAACGCCUCCCCUCGGGAAAGCCACGCAAGGGGGCUGGGCACGGGGGCUGUGCUCGGGUCACGCCCAAGCGUACGUCGCCCAGCCAGGUCUCCCGGACCUGGUCAUCGCAUGCCCCUCCCGAGCCGAGCCUCGGCGAGGGCAAAGGUAUAGAGAUUGUUUGCACGUCAAGGGGGACUCCUAAGCAUCGCGACUCAGGAGCCUAACUGGUCACAUAGCCCCUCACCCCUUGGUCUGUCCUGGUCUCCGGUCGGCCCAACGGCGGUUGAGGUAUGCACGGGGCCGGGCUCUGCCGACACAGAACACAAAGCAAAUAGGAAGAAAAUCGCAAAAUCUCGAAGCAAAUAUUACAAGACAUAUUGUUCUCACAAUAUCAAAUGAAAGUUUAACGCCUCCACGAGGCCUGAUGCAUAUCGCAGGAAUGAAACAGGAAAGCAGCCGCAAGUCAACCCUGGACACCGCCAUCGCAUGCAGAAGUUGCUCCUCCCUUGGUAGUGUCGCCUUCACCCACAUCACCAGCCACAGGAUCGGUGACAUCGCCGGUCGAGGGCGCGAGGACAAAGCCGCGGAACUUCUUCAGCAGGGCCUCCACCUGACCUUUCACGGCUGCGGCGACGGCCGCACAAUGUUCAUCAGCUACAGGCUCCAGCAGCUCAUCGAAACGAGCAUUGGGGUUGCGAAGGUACUGAUGGCUGAAGACACGCGUCAGCGCAGCUAAAGAAAGGACAAGAGCCUCUGCCUCAGCCAUGGGACCGAUGCCCUCCACGACUUCCUCAAGUGCCUUCACCAAGUGGGGAAGCAGCUGAGCGGGGCCAUCCUCGUCGGUGGUCAGCGGCUUCUCUAGGCCCUUCUCGUACAGUGACUUCAGCGCCACGAUGGACCUCUUCUCAAGAAGCGAGAAGGUCGCACGGUCUCCGGCCAGGACCUUCGCCUUGGCGUCGAGCUCGGCCUCCCUCGCCUUCGCCUUCUGUUCCAGCCCCUCCAGUCGACUGCACUCUGCGGCCUACGCCUUCGUCAGCUACCCCAGCUCGGCGUCGCGGCCCUUGAUGGCAUCCUCUCGAGCCUUCAUCUCCUCCUCCCUCGCUUCACGGUCACGUGCUUCUUUUGCGUGCUCAUCGCGCAGCCUCUUCACCAAACCCUCUAGCACUCGGUAGCGGUCGCGGGCGGCCUCGGCGUCCUUCAGCGCCACCUCACGAUCGGCCACAGCUCUAGCGGCAGCCUGCUUCUCCUUCUCGAAGGUCGUCGCGGCCUGGCUCAGCGACGCUUGAACCGCCGAGUUGGAGUGAAGCCAGCCUGAGGCCAGCUCUAGGAGCCCGGCCACUAGGUGCGGGUCCGUGCCUAGGAGGUCUUCCCGCAGCUUGGCCAUCCCCGAGAAGACGCGCUCCAAGACUAUGGAGGGAGCAGAAGAACUUGGGGCCGGAGGCACGGUAGGAGGAGGAGGCGACGUCAUUACUAGAGCCUGGAAGAUCAAGGGCUUCAGAGCCCUUGGGACCUCAUCAGCAGAGCCAGGUGCCGGCACUUCCAGAGCCAGCGGGGCCAUGGGGGCUGGUUCAUCAUGUCGAUGCUCCUCUUGGCCUCGCGAGGGCGACCGGGCUAGGGAGGUGCGGGUGUUGUCACCUCUCUUCUCCGCAGAGGGGGGCACGGCCGCGGCAUAUGGAAGCACAUGGAGGUCACAAAAAAUAUGGAAGUCUUCUGGAGCAUCGGUCUUGGGGUGUCACAGGAUGCCACAUGUCGGUCACCCUUGACGAAAGCACUUCUAUGACGCGCGAUUUAUCAUCAUGGAAGUGGACACUUCUGUGAUGAUAAUUUUGGUAAUGUCAUGGAACACUUCUACGACAGCACAGGUAUGACUACCUUGAUUCUGUCAUAAAAUCGUCAUGGAUGUACAUGCAUGACAAAAAACGUGACCUACUGUGACAAACACGUAUCAUCACGAAAGUGUAUUUUUUUGUAGUGCAUGUCCGACACUCAUACAAUGAUUAGCUAAUCUUCUUAAUUAGUUACCGCAUAUGGUUUGGGAAAAGCAAAUGUGUGUGAUUGUAUGCUUAUCAUACACAUUCUAUCAUAGUGAACCAUCUGUUAUGGGUCGCGCAUCGUAAACGUAGCACCACAGAAUACCGACUGCGAUGGCAAUGCAAGCACAAACGAGUAGGAGUACUGUAUACGCAUCUUGGCUCCCUAUCCCUGACGGUUUCUGGUUUGUGUGGGAAGGACCCCCCCUAUCGACGUCACUCACUAGGCGACAGUUCCAAAUGUCGUCGUGGAAAGGGGUUAAAAACCGUUUGUAUAGCACCGAUGUGUACAUGUGGUUGUUCGGGUUUUUGCUGACCACAAAAGGCCCUUCCCAAGGUGGGGAUAAUUUGUGCAUAUCUGUUUGAUCCUGGAUGAGCCGGAGCACCAAGUCACCUUCUUGAAAGGUCUGGGUUUUAACCCGGCGACUAUGAUAACGACGUAGAUCUUGCUCAUAGAUUGUUGAAUCAGCCACCGCAAGGUCACGCUCCUCAUCCAGGAGGUCAAGAUCAUCCUUACGUGCUUUUUCAUUAUCAGCUUCAACAUAAGCCGCCACUUGGGGCGAGUCGUGACGAAUGUCACUGGGAAGAACCGCCUCUACUCUGUAAACCAUGAAGAAAGGCGUAUAACCCAUGGACCUAUUGAGGGUAGUAUUUAUACUCCAAAGCACCGAGGGUAACUCCUCAACCCAAAAAUCCGGCGUCCUCUGCAAAGGAACCAUAAUCCGGGGCUUUAUGCCUCUCAAGAUUUCCUGAUUGGCUCUUUCAGCCUAACCAUUGGACUGGGGGUGAGGCACUGACGAAACGUCAAGACGAAUAUGCUCUCAUUGAGAGAAUUCUUUCAUAGAACCUUUGGACAGAUUAGUACCAUUAUCAGUUAUGAUGCUACGAGGGUAGCCAAAACGGAAAAUCACUUUUUUGAUGAAUUGAAACGCCAUUGCUGCAUCACACUUGCUGACUGACUCUGCUUCAAACCACUUUGUAAAUUUAUCAACCGUCACCAAAAGGUGGGUCUUUUGUCUUUGGACCUCUUGAAAGUCCCACCAUAUCCGGCCCCCAGACUGCAAACGGCCAAGUGAUUGGAAACAUCCUCAAUUCUUGAGCCGACACAUGAGCUCGUCUGGAAAAUUUCUGACAGCCGUCGUACUUUCUAACCAGAUCUUCUGCAUCAGCAUGAGCCGCCAGCCAAUAAAACCCAUGAUGAAAAGCCUUAGCCAUGAGAGACAUAGAACCGACAUGAUGGCCAAAAUCUCCCUCAUGAAUCUCUCGUAGAAUCUCACAGCCCUCCUCGGAAGAAAUACAAUGCUGAAACACCCCUGUGACACUGCAUCGGUGCAACUCGCCAUUGACAAUGGUCAUUGACUUAGACUGUUGGGUUAUUUGCCUGGCCAAAGUUUCAUCUUCAGGUAACUCACCCCGGGCCAUAUAAGCCAAAUACGGAACUGUCCUAUCAAGAAUAGCAUGCAGAGCUGCCACCAACUAUGCCUUCGGGUCAGGGAUAGCAAGAUCCUUCUCCGUAGGAAAUUUCACUGAAGGAUUAUGCAGAAUGUCAAGAAAGACGUUAGGUGGUACCUGCUACCUCUUGAGCACUGCGUUGGUUUUUCCCCGAAGAGGAAGGGAUGAUGCAGCAAAGUAGCGUAAGUAUUUCCCUCAGUUUUUGAGAACCAAGGUAUCAAUCCAGUAGGAGGCUACGCGUGAGUCCCUCGUACCUGCACAAAACAAAUAAACCCUCGCAACCAACGUGAUAAGGGGUUCUCAAUCCCUACACGGCCACUUACGAGAGUGAGAUCUGAUAGAUAUGAUAAGAUAAUAUGUUUGGUAUUUUUAUGCUAAAGAUGCAAAGUAAAAUAAAAGCAAAGUAAAAAAGCAAAGGAAAUAACUAAGUAUUGGAAGAUUAAUAUGAUGAAGAUAGACCCGGGGGCCAUAGGUUUCACUAGUGGCUUCUCUCAAGAGCAUAAGUAUUCUACAGUGGGUGAAUGAAUUACUGUUGAGCAAUUGACAGAAUUGAGCAUAGUUAUGAGAAUAUCUAUGCGUGAUCAUGUAUAUAGGCAUCACGUCCGAGACAAGUAGACCGACUGCUGCCUGCAUCUACUACUAUUACUCCACUCAUCGACUGCUAUCCAGCAAGCAUCUAGAGUAUUAAGUUAAUGAAAACAGAGUAACGCCUUAAGCAAGAUGACAUGAUGUAGAGGGAUAAACUCAUGCAAUAUGAUGAAAACCCCAUCUUGUUAUCCUCAAUGGCAACAAUACAAUACGUGCCUUGCUGCCCCUACUAUCACUGGGAAAGGACACUGCAAGAUUGAACCCAAAGCUAAGCACUUCUCCCAUUGCAAGAAAGAUCAAUCUAGUAGGCCAAACCAAACUGAUAAUUCGAAGAGACUUGCAAAGAUAACCAAUCAUACAUAAAAGAAUUCAGAGAAGAUUCAAAUAUUGUUCAUAGAUAGACUUGAUCAUAAACCCACAAUUCAUCGAUCUCAACAAACACACCGCAAAAAGAAGAUUACAUCGAAUAGAUCUCCACAAGAGAGGGGGAUAACAUUGUAUUGAGAUCCAAAAAGAGAGAAGAAGCCAUCUAGCUAAUAACUAUGGACCCGUAGGUCUGAGGUGAACUACUCACACUUCAUCGGAGGGGCUAUGGUGAUGAUGUAGAAGCCCUCUGUGAUGGAUACCUCCUCCGUCGGAGCUCCGAAAUAGGCCCCAAGAUGGGAUCUCAUGGAUACAGAAAGUUGCAGCGGUGGAAUUAGGGUUUAGGCUCCGUAUAUGAUCGUUUGGGGGUACGUAGGUAUAUAUAGGAGGAAGGAGUACGUCGGUGGAGCAACAGGGGCCCACAAGGGUGGAGGGCACGCCUGGGGGGUAGGUGUGCCCCCCUACCUCAUGGCCUCCUCCUUUGUGUCUUGAUGUAGGGUCCAAGUCUCCUGGAUCAUGUUCGGCGAGAAAAUCAUGUUCCCGAAGGUUUCAUUCUGUUUGGACUCCGUUUGAUAUUCCUUUUCUUCGAAACCCUAAAAUAGGCAAAAAAAACAAUUCUGGGCUGGGCCUCCGGUUAAUAGGUUAGUCCCAAAAAUAAUAUAGAAGUGGAUAAUAAAGCCCAAUAAUGUCCAAAACAGUAGAUAAUAUAGCAUGGAACAAUCAAAAAUUAUAGAUACGUUGGAGACGUAUCAAGCAUCCCCAAGCUUAAUUCCCGCUCGUCCUCGAGUAGGUAAAUGAUAAAAAUAGAAUUUUUGAUGUGGAGUACUACUUGGCAUAAUUUUAAUGUAAUUCUUCUUAAUUGUGGUAUGAAUAUUCAGAUCCGAAAGAUUCAAGAUAAAAGUUCAUAUUGACAUAAAAAUAAUAAUACUUCAAGCAUACUAACUAAGCAAUUAUGUCCUCUCAAAAUAACAUGGCCAAAGAAAGUUCAUCCCUACAAAAUCAUAUAGUUUAUUCAUGCUCCAUUUUGGUCACACGAGAAUGCUCUCAUCAUGCACAACCCCGAUGACAAGACAAGCAAUUGUUUCAUACUUUAGUAAUCUCAAACCUAUAAACUUUCACGCAAUACAUGAGCGCGAGCCAUGGAUAUAGCACUACGGGUGGAAUAGAAUAUGAUGAUGGGGGUUAUGUGGUGAAGACAAAAAAGGAGAUAGUCUCACAUCAAUGAGGCUAAUCAAUGGGCUAUGGAGAUUCCCAUCGAUUGAUGUUAAUGCAAGGAGUAGGGAUUGCCAUGCAACGGAUGCACUAGAGCUAUAAAUGUAUGAAAGCUCAACAAAAGAAACUAAGUGGGUGUGCAUCCAACUUGAUUGCUCACAAAGACCUAGGGCACUUGAGGAGGCCCAUUGUUGGAAUAUACAAGCCAAGUUCUAUACUGAAAAAUUCCCACUAGUAUAUGAAAGUGACAAAACAAAAGACUCUCUAUCAUGAAUAUUAUGGUGCUACUUUGAAGCACAAGUGUGGAAAAAGGAUAGUAGCAUUGUCCCUUCUUUAUUUUAUUUUUUUAUUUUUUUUAUUUGGCCUUUCUUUUUUUGGCCUUUCUCUUUUUUUUAUUUGGGACAAUGCUCUAUUAAUGAUGAUCAUCACACUUCUAUUUAUUUACAACUCAAUGAUUACAACUCAAUACUUAGAACAAGAUAUGACUCUAUAUGAAUGCCUCCGGUGGUGUACCGGGAUAUGCAAUGAACCAAGAGUGACAUGUAUGAAAGAAUUAUGAACGAUGGCUUUUCCACAAAUACUAUGUCAACUACAUGAUCAUGCUAAGCAAUAUGACAAUGAUGAAUGUGUCAUGAUGAACGGAAUGGUGGAAAGUUGCAUGGCAAUAUAUCUCGGAAUGGCUAUGGAAAUGCCAUAAUAGGUAGGUAUGGUGGCUGUUUUGAGGAAGAUAUAAGGAGGCUUAUGUGUGAAAGAGAGUAUCAUAUCACAGGGUUUGGAUGCACCGGCGAAGUUUGCACCAACUCUCAAUGUGAGAAAGGGCAAUCCACGGUACCGAAGAGGCUAGCAAUGAUGGAAGGGUGAGAGUGCAUAUAAUCCAUGGACUCAACAUUAGUCAUAAAGAACUCACACACUUAUUGCAAAAAUCUACAAGUCCUCAAAAACCAAAGCAUUACGCCCAUGCUCCUAGGGGGAUAGAUUGGUAGUAAAAGACCAUCGCUCAUCCCCGACCGCCACUCAUAAGGAAGACAAUCAAAUAACACCUCAUGUUUUCAAAUUUGUUACAUAACGUUUACCGUACGUGCAUGCAACGGGACUUGCAAACUUCAACACAAGUAUUUCUCAAAUUCACAACUACUCAACUAGCACGACUUUGAUAUUAUUACCUCCAUAUCUCAAAACAAUCAUCAAGCAUCAAACUUCUCUUAGUAUUCAAAACACUCAUAAGAAAAAAAUUAUUAAUCUUGAACACCUAGCAUAUUAGGAUUAUUUAAGCAAAUUACCUUGCUAUUUAAGACUCUCAAAAUAAUCUAAGUGAAGCAUGAGAGAUCAAUAGUUUCUAUAAAACAAAUCCACCACCCUGCUCUAAAAUAUAUAAGUGAAGUACUAGAAUAAAACUAUAUAACUCAAAUGAUAUAAGCGAAGCACAUAGAGUAUCUUAACAAAUUCCAAAUCAUGUAUGGCUCUCUCAAAAGGUGUGUACAGCAAGGAUGAUUAUGGUAAACUAAAAAUCAAAGACUCAAAUCAUACAAGACGCUCCAAGCAAAACACAUAUCAUGUGGUGAAUAAAAAUAUAGCUCCAAGUAAAGUUACCGAUAGAAGUAGACGAAAAGAGGGGAUGCCUUCUGGGGCAUCCCCAAGCUUUGGCUUUUAGGUGUCCUUAGAUUAUCUUGGGGGUGCCAUGGGCAUCCACAAGCUUAGGCUCUUUCCACUCCUUGUUCCAUAAUCCAUCAAAUCUUUACCCAAAACUUGAAAACUUCACAACACAAAACUUAAAGUAGAAAAUCUCGUGAGCUCCGUUAGCGAAAGAAAACAAAAGACCACUUCAAGGUACUGUAAUGAACUCAUUCUUUAUUUAUAUUGGUGUUAAACCUACUAUAUUCCAACUUCCCUAUGGUUUAUAAACUAUUUAACUAGCCAUAGAUUCAUCAAAAUAAGCAAACAACACACGAAAAAAGAAUCUAUCAAAAACAGAACAGUCUGUAGUAAUCUGUAGCUAGCGCAAGAUCUAGAACCCCAAAAAUCUAAAAUAAAUUGAUGGACGUGAGGAAUUUAUCUAUUAAUCAUCUGCAAAAAGAAUUAACUAAAUAUCACCUUCCAAAUAAAAAUGGUAGCAGUUCUCGUGAGCGCUAAAGUUUCUGUUUUUUACAGCAAGAUAUCAAGACUUUCCCCAAGUCUUCCCAAUAGUUCUACUUAGCACAAAAACUAAUUAAACACAAAAAACACAACCUAAACAGAGACUAGAUAAAUUAUUUAUUACUAAACAGUAGCAAAAAGCAAGGAAUAAAAAUAAAAUUGGGUUGCCUCCCAACAAGCGCUAUCGUUUAACGCCCCUAGCUAGGCAUAAAAAGCAAGGAUAGAUCUAGGUAUUGCCAUCUUUGUUUUUCAACUUUUUAGCGGAAUCAAGCUCGAAUCCGGGAGGUUCUUUACGUUUCCCUUCAUAUUCUGAAAUUUUUAGAUCUAACAAAUCCAACCGCUUAUUGCAAAGGGUAAUCAACAUAUUCAUGCGGUGGAGAUUCCCGCUAACGUUUUUAAGAGGUUCAAGAGACUUUUGUAAAAUCUUGGUUACUUCGCAAAUUUUCUCAAAAACUUGUGUUUCCUCUUGGGUAUGAUGAGGCCCCUUUUGUUGAGGUAUAGUUCCUACUAUACCUUCUAUAAUUUCAUGCGCAAUACUGGGAUCAAUUUCAAUAAAAUUGCCUUUGGCAACGCAAUCCAAGAGUUGUCUAUGAGACAUAUUUAGUCCAACAUAGAAGUUGCGAAGCAAAAUUCUAAAAUUCACCUCUAGGGUACAAUUACGAUAAGAUUCCAUCAUUCUAAACCAAGAAUCUUUUAAAUUUUCUCCUUGCCUUUGUUUGAAGUGAAGAACCUCAAACUCGGGAGACAAAGGAGCAGAUAAGGGACUAGCCAUAACGACAAGCAAACGGAAAAGAGGCAAACGGAAAAAGAGAGGGAGGAUAGAGAGAGAUGGCGAAUAAAACGGCAAGGGUGAAGUGGGGGAGAGGAAAACGAGAGGCAAAUGGCAAAUAAUGUAAUGCGGGAGAUAAGGAUUGUGAUGGGUACUUGGUAUAUUGACUUUUGCGUAGACUCCCCGGCAACGGCGCCAGAAAUCCUUCUUGCUACCUCUUGAGCACUGCGUUGGUUUUUCCCCGAAGAGGAAGGGAUGAUGCAGCAAAAUAGCGUAAGUAUUUCCCUCAGUUUUUGAGAACCAAGGUAUCAAUCCAGUAGGAGGCUACGCGCGAGUCCCUCGUACCUGCACAAAACAAAUAAAUCCUCGCAACCAACGCGAUAAGGGGUUGUCAAUCCCUACACGGCCACUUACGAGAGUGAGAUAUGAUAGAUAUGAUAAGAUAAUAUUUUUGGUAUUUUUAUGCUAAAGAUGCAAAGUAAAAUAAAAGCACAGUAAAAAGCAAAGGAAAUAACUAAGUAUUGGAAGAUUAAUAUGAUGAAGAUAGACCCGGGGCCAUAGGUUUCACUAGUGGCUUCUCUCAAGAGCAUAAGUAUUCUACGGUGGGUGAACGAAUUACUGUUGAGCAAUUGACAGAAUUGAGCAUAGUUAUGAGAAUAUCUAGGCAUGAUCAUGUAUAUAGGCAUCACGUCCGAGACAAGUAGACCGACUCCUGCCUGCAUCUACUACUAUUACUCCACUCAUCGACUGCUAUCCAGCAUGCAUCUAGAGUAUUAAGUUAAUGAAAAUAGAGUAACGCCUUAAGCAAGAUGACAUGAUGUAGAAGGAUAAACUCAUGCAAUAUGAUGAAAACCCCAUCUUGUUAUCCUCGAUGGCAACAAUACAAUACGUGCCUUGCUGCCCCUACUGUCACUGGGAAAGGACACCGCCAGAUCGAACCCAAAGCUAAGCACUUCUCCCAUUGCAAGAAAGAUCAACCUAGUAGGACAAACCAAACUGAUAAUUCGAAUAGACUUGCAAAGAUAACUAAUCAUACAUAAAAGAAUUCAUAGAAGAUUCAAAUAUUGUUCAUAGAUAGACUUGAUCAUAAACCCAGAAUUCAUCGGUCUCAACAAACACACCACAAAAAGAAGAUUGCGUCAAAUAGAUCUCCACAAGAGAGGGGGAGAACAUUGUAUUGAGAUCCAAAAAGAGAGAAGAAGCCAUCUAGCUAAUAACUAUGGACCCGUAGGUCUGAGGUGAACUACUCACACUUCAUAGGAGGGGCUAUGGUGAUGAUGUAGAAGCCCUCCGUGAUGGAUACCUCCUCUGGCGGAGCUCCGGAACAGGCCCCAAGAUGGGAUCUCGUGGAUACAGAAAGUUGCGGCGGUGGAAUUAGGGUUUUGGCUCCAUAUCUGAUCGUUUGGGGGUACGUAGGUAUAUAUAGGAGGAAGGAUUACGUCGAUGGAGCAAUAGGGGGCCCACGAGGGUGGAGGGCGCGCCUGGGGGGAAGGCGUGCCCCCUACCUCGUGGCCUCCUCCUUUGUGUCUUGACGUAGGGUCCAAGUCUCCUGGAUCAUGUUUGGCGAGAAAAUCACGUUCCCGAAGGUUUCAUUCCGUUUGGACUCCGUUUGAUAUUCCUUUUCUUCGAAACCCUAAAAUAGGAAAAAAAAAUAGCAAUUCUGGGCUGGGCCUCCGGUUAAUAGGUUAGUCCCAAAAAUAAUAUAAAAGUGGAUAAUAAAGCCCAAUAAUGUCCAAAAGAGUAGAUAAUAUAGCAUGGAGCAAUCAAAAAUUAUAGAUACGUUGGAGACGUAUCAGUACCGGCGUACGCUGAGACCCCAGCCGGCUUAAAGCAUCAGUCCUCUCAUUUUCCUGCGAUCAACAUGUUCCACUUGAUAGCCCUUGAAGUGACCAACAAUACCAUCAACUGCCCGACAAUAAGCCGCCAUGAGUGGGUCCUUGGAAUCCCAAGUUCCUGAAACUUGCUGAGCCACCAAAUCUAAAUCGCCAAAACACCUGGCCCGGCUCAGGUCCAUCUCUUUUGCUAUUCGAAGACCAUGGAAAAUGCCUCAUAUUCAGCUGCAUUAUCAGUGCAAGGAAACAUUAGCCUUAAGACAUAACGAAACUUAUCACCUUGUGGGGAAGUCAAAAUAACUCUAGCCCUCGAGCCUUCCAACUGCCUGGAUCCAUCAAAAUGAAUAGUCCAAUGUGUAUUAUCAGGCUUCUCCUUAGGCAUCUACAACUCUGUCCAGUCAUUGAUGAAAUCCACAAGCGCCUGAGACUUGAUAGCUAUCUGAGGCAUAUACUUUAAACCACGGGGUCCAAGUUUAAUGGCCCACUUGGCCACCUGGCCUGUAGCUUCUCUAUUUUGAAUAAUAUCCCCUAAAGGAGCAGGACUGACCACAGUGAUGGGAUGACCAAGGAAAUACGGCUUCAACUUACGAGUAGCCAUGAACACUCCAUAAACUAGCUUCUGCCAAUGUGGGUACCUUUCCUUAGAUUCAAUUAAUACCUCACUAAGAUAGUAAACCGGCCUUUGAACCGGAUAUUCCUUGCUCGACUCCUUCCUUUCCACAGCAACCGCUACGCUGAUGGCUCUGCUGUUAGCUGCCACAUAUAAAAGCAAGGGCUCCUUAUCAAUGGGAGCUCCAAGAACCGACGGCUCAGUCAACUGCUUUUUAAGCGCCUUGAAUGCCUGAUUUGCAGCCUCACUCCAGACAAAGUGAUAUCUUUUCUUCAUCAUCUGGUAGAGGGAUAGCCUUUUCUCCCAUGCAGCUUAUAAACUGGCUCAAAGCCGCAAUACGACCCGCCAAACGCUGGACGUCAUUGAUACAUGUCGGCUUAGCCAAAGAAGUGAUAGCCUUCAUUUUCUCCGGGUUAGCUUCAAUGCCUCUCUCAGAAACCAAAAAACCCAACAGCUUGCCUGCUGGCACACCAAAGACACAUUUGGCUAGGUUAAGCAUCAUCUUGUAGACCCGGAGAUUGUCAAAGGUCUCCUUCAAAUCAUCUAACCAGGUGUCCUUCUUCCUGGAUUUCACAAUGAUGUCUUCCACAUAAGCAUGAAUUGCAUCCAAUCUGGUUGUGGAGGCAAUUCUGAACACACCGCUAAUAAGUCGCCUGGGCACUCUUGAGCCCAAAAGGCAUAGACACGUAGGAGAAGGCUCCGAAGGGAGUGAUGAAAGAUGUUUUCUCCUGGUCCUUAACUACCAUCUUGAUCUGAUGAUAACCAGAAUAAGCAUCCAAAAAACUCAAACGCUCACAACCCGCCGUAGCAUCAAUAAUCUGAUCAAUACGAGGGAGAGCAAAAGGAUCAGCCAGACAGGCCUUGUUAAGGUCUGUGUAAUCCAUACACAUGCGCCAAGUGCCAUUUUUCUUAAGUAACAGACCGGGUUAGCCAACCAUUCAGGAUGAAAAACUUCAAUAAUAAACCCGGCUGCCAAGAGCCGGGCCACUUUUUCACCAAUGGCCAUGCACCUCUUUUCAUUAAAACGACGAAGGAAUUUCUUGGCCGGUUUAAAUUUUGGAUCAACAUUGAGAGUGUGCUCAACGAGUUCCCUAGGUACACCUGGCAUGUCUGAAGGCUUCCAUGCAAAGAUGUCCCGGUUCUCAUGGAUGAACUCGAUGAGCGUGCUUUCCUAUUUCAGAUCCAUAUUGGCAUUGAUGCUGAACUAUUUAGAUGAAUCACCGGGAACAAAAUCAACCUGCUUGGUGUCAUCUGCCGACUUAAACUUCAAUAAAGGGUCAUGCUUUAUGGUUGGCUUCUUCAAGGGAGUCAUAUCCGCCGGGUCAACAUUAUCUUUGUAGAACUUCAACUCCUCUGUUGCACAAACAGACUCGGCAUAGGCAGCAUCGCCCUCUUCACACUCCAAAGCUAUCUUCCUAUCACCAUGCACCAUGAUGGUACCCUUACGACCCAGCAUCUUAAGCUGCAGAUAAACAUAACAAGGUCGGGCCAUAAAUUUGGCAUAAGCCGGCCGUCCAAACAAGGCAUGAUAAGGACUCUUGAUCUUGACCACCUCAAAAGUCAAUGUUUUGGCCCUAUAGUCAUGCUCAUUUCCAAAAGCCACUUCCAAGACUAUCUUACCCACCGGAUAUGCCAACUUACCAGGCACCACCCCAUGAAAAACAGUAGAAGACAUUUUAAGAUCUUUGUCAGUCAAAUUCAUACAGCGAAAAGUAUCAUAAUAAAGGACAUUGAUACUGCUGCCCCCGUCCAUAAGCACCUUCAUGAACUUGUAUCCUCCAACCUAAGGAGCAACCACCAAAGCUAGCUAACCCGGGUUGUCAACCCGGGGCGGGUGAUCCUCAUGGCUCCAUGCAAUAGGCUGCUCUGACCAUCGCAAGUAUCGAGGGACAGCUGGCUCAGCCGCGCUCACCGCUCGUUUAUGAAUCUUCUAGUCUCGCUUGCAUAAGCUCAUGGUAAAAACAUGAUACUAGCCACUAUUCAGCUGCUUUGGAUUACUCUGAUAACCGGACUACUACUGAUUGCCUUGACCGGGUGCUGAUUAAAACCGCCUUGAUUGCCUUGGCCUUGAAAUCCAGAAUUUGAGUCGCCACCUCCAAAGUCGGGCCCGUGAGAGCCGGAUCCUGACCUGCACUGCAGGCCAUGAUUGUCCUGAUAAAAGCCAGAAUUUCUAUACUCCCUCAUGAUGAAGCAAUCUUUCCAUAGAUGAGUGGCCGGCUUGUCUUGAGAACCGUGCUUUGGGCAAGGCUGAUUCAUUAUCGCCUCAAGGUUGAACUUUGGCCUGCCAAACCAGGGCAUUGAUGAUUUCCCCUUAUGAUGCUGAUUAUUAUUCUAUGUAUUGGUAUUAUCCAUAAAGUCUGAACUGCUGUCAGUUUGCUUGCGCUUACCAUUAUUACCUUGACCCGCCGUAUUAUGUUGUUAUCCCUUUGCAUUGCCGUUUUUCCCCUUGCCGGCCUUUUCCUCAUCAGACUCGGGGUCUUUAGUACUAUCAGAGUCAGCGUAUUUGAUGAGAGCCGCCAUGAGCACUCCCAUAUCAUCGCGGUGGCGCUUAAGCCGCCCCAGCUUCUUCUUGUGGGGGCGAUAAUUUUUCUCCAAAAUCAGCACGGCUGAGCCGGUGUUGAUGCUUUUUGAUGAGUGGAUAAGAGCCGAGAUCUGGCGUACCCAAUGGGCGGUUGACUCACCCUCACUCUGGAUACAAGUGUCUAAAUCAAGAAUCGACAGAGGCUGCUUGCAUGUGUCCUUAAAAUUAUGAAUAAAGCACAUUUUCAAUUCAGCCCAUGAUCUGAUGGAGUUAGGGGGUAGUCCUUUUAACCAGGUGCGAGCCGGCCCAUCCAACAUCAUGGUGAAAUAUUAAGCGCACACAGUGUCAUUAACGUCCAACAUCUCCAUGGCUAGCUCAUAGCUCUCAAUCCAAGCCUCUGGGGGUUGAUCCGUUGUGUAAUUGGGCACCUUGCGGGGGCCCUUAAAAUCCUUGGGUAGGCUCUCAUUACGCAAAGCCAGCACUAGGCACCGCACACCAAUGGUUCUAUAAGUCAUCCCAGCUUCCACACACACCAACAGGUUAAGCUGAGGUUGCUGAUGAGCCGCUAGCUGAGCCGCCAGCUCAGCCUCCCGACGUGCCCUGGCCUGGUCCACCAAAACCUGGGCAUGGUUAUCAGCAUGCGGCGGGUCACGCCAACGAGGCUGGUUAUGGCGCCGCUCACUGCUCAAAACCGUCGGCGACUCAAUAUGUCGGCUAUAACUCCGACUGGGGCAUGGAGUCGAAUGAAUCCGAUCACGACUGUAUGAGUAAGCCGCCUGCUGAGCUACUACUGUCAGAAGAAGCUCCCCUGCCUUUCGUAUCUCCAUCGCGGCAGGAGACUCGGCUUCAAUGGGAAGAUCCGCCAGCUGCGAUGCCUCAGCAAUCAUGUUGUCCAAAGGGUUAGAAUAAUGACCCAGCGGUGUCGGCACCUGCUGAGGCGGGUUAAAUUCUAAUGAGGCGGGUCUGCAACAUGUGGCUGAACCGUCGCCCCAGUCACGGGCGCCUCAACAGCCUGGUUUACCUUGGGCGGAUUACUUGUUCCAGCCCCAGGCAUGUUGAAAACAUUCCUCGCAUCGUACUCCAAAGGUAAACGACUUUGGUGCCUCCUUCGUAGAACGGCGUUAGAUGCAUUCUGAUCCAAGCUUAACCGGAAAUUUUCAGCUUGAAUCCGUUGUGACGCAGCGUCUAGGGCGGCUCGUAACGUCGCCAUCCUAGCAUUCUCAGCAUUACACUCCUCCUUGGCCUGAGCUAUCUCAUCUUGCAGUUUCGCGACAUCCACCUUAUGUUGUGCUUGCGUCUCUGGUGUUACCUCUGCAGCUAAUAAGGUUGCCAAAGCAUCCAAGAGCUCGAAUAAAACCUGAGCCAACGGGCGCACAGAGCCGCUCGCUACGGCUGUCGCCACGACCGUCGAGCUGGAAAUCGUAGCCACAGCGGUUGAUGAAUUCUGCACCGGUUGCGUGCCUACCAUGAAGAUCAUGACUCUAUUUGGUGGCUCAUAAGGGCCCGGAAUACUGUUGCCAUCGGAAUAGCCCCCAAGCCCGCCAUCUUGUAGUUGAUACAUUGAAUCAGUCUCGCCGGUUGAGGAUUCAUCAUCAGAAUAGAUGGCCGUCUCUCCACCGGAUACAGAUCCUUCCUCAAGAUCCGCCCUGUGGAUGAAACCAACAAAAGAGUGCUUCACGACGGUUUUAACCUUGGCGGGUCAUGCGCGCUGAGCCGUCUCCAUGAUGUCGGUGCAGGUGUCCUGCUCAGGCUCUAACUCGCCGAUCUUGCCGAUGAAGACGUGGAUUCCACCGAAGGGGGCCCGGUACCCGUACUCGAUUGAGCCGGCCUCGGGGCCCCAGCCAGCGUCGUCGAUGUAGAGCUUGCCGCGUCGGCUCUUAGUCAUCCAGCCUACGGCAUAUCCCUUGAUCCCUGCGAAGUUGCCCUUCAAGAACUCAAAACAAUCAUGCUCUGGACCCACGGUGGGUGCCAACUGUCAUGGACUUAACACGGCAGAUGUCCUAGCUAAAGGACUUCGGUGUGGAGCCAUCGCAGCUAGGUUAGCUUAAAGGGGUUGAACGGGACAAAGAACACAAAGAGUUUACCUAGGUUCGGCCCCUCUCAAUGAGGUAAAAGCCUACUCCUGGUUUAGGUUGUAUUGCUUGGGUUUCAAUCACCGGGGAGCGAAUACGCUUGACCUAGUUGUCGAUUGAUUAUUUCUUGAGGUAACCCACCACCGGGUCACCCAUUUAUAUACAGGUUGAUGCCCGGUGGCUUAUAGAGUCCCGGCCGGCUCACACAAAUGUGACUGUCUCGGUUUCUAACUAAGCUUGCCUUACAAAACAAGUUAACAUAUGGCGGCUCACCCCUUUGGGCCCCAAGUCGCCUCCGGGUUUUGGGCUUUCAAUAGGCUUGCUCUAUGAACCGCCAUCUUCAUGUCUUCUUGGACCUUAUCAGGCCUCUUUGUCUUUAAGUCGCCCAUGGCAUGACCCGACCCCUUCUGGGCGGGUCAUACCUAGUAGUUAUAUCCCCAGCAUCAUCCGAGGAAGAAGAAGCCUGAUCUGCAUGAUGUAGAGGCACCGAGCUCGAACAGGUGGCCGUAGAUGAAGUAGGCGAGGCAGGCGAUGCUCCUGGUGAGGUUUCAGCCGGUGGGGACAAAGGUGGCCACGAGAACAAUGACGACACAGUGACGGCAAGCUCGGUCAAGCGCGGGGGAAGAGCAAAGCUGCACGAGGGGGAAGGGUGCCAGGUUAGGGUUUGUCUAUGAGGACGGGGUGAUCUUAUCCAUCUAGGGGUGUCGUGGAUGCUCGACACAAGACUAAUCAGGCAUGUGGAUGGGCGUACGCGAGCCACACCAUGGCACAGCCUCCUCUUGUAGCGUGAGGAAGGAGAUGGCCCUGUCGGGCUGGGCCACAGUGCACUGUGGCACUUAGGCCCAGUUGCGCACAGCGUCACACCUUUUAUUUUUAUUCUAUUUUGUUUUCUUCAUUCCUCCUCUAUUUUGCAUUUAGUUUACCUAGUAAAUGAUUUUUGCUCAAUAUGAAACUUGGCACAAAAAUACGGGGCAAUAUCCUGGGUUGGUACAAAAAGUUUUAAAGCAUUUGGGAGUAUUCAACUAUUUUUAGAAAUUGAGAAGGUCAAUUUAUUGGUUGUUGGUCCACUGUUAUAAUUUCCAGGGGCAUUGUAAACAUCUCCAGAAAUGUUUGUUGAUGCAUGACAAUUAUGUAGUGAAUAUUUUCAACCUAAGGAGCAUUUCUUAUUUACUAUUUUAUAAAAUUAUUAUUUGACUUUGCAUUUGAAUUUGGAAUUGACUUCAAUUUUUAUUAAGUGGCAAUUUGCAUAGUAAUCAUGAUGACAUGGCCGUCAUUAGGGGGAGAUUACUAUAGCAUGAUUCUCGUUACAGAUAAGGAAGUCUAGGAGCAUAGCAUAUCCAUUAUUUUUCCAUUUUGGAUUAUAGCUAUUGCGAGCAAUAAAAUUCACAACACUAGUACCUUCAUUAGUGAUGGCAUUUAUCUUUACCUUUGAUUACGGAGAUGAGUUCAUCAAGCUUGGCUGUCAACUCUGUAUUGUUUUAUUCAAUUACAUUCACCCUCUUGGUGAUGGUCCUUUCAACAUGCCAUUGUGCAUGGUUCUUUUUCAUAUCAUCAAGUAGUUUCUUGACAUCAUCUAUGCGCUUUCCCAUGAUUGUUCCUCCUGCAGCUGUUUCAAGCAUCGUUUUUGACAUAUGAUUCAAACCAUUAUAAAAUAUAGAGGUUCUCUCGCAAAAAAAUAUUAAAAAAAUAUAGAGGUGAUAUCACUAAUAGUCAUAUAAUUUGCUUAGGAUGUUUAGUUUGAUGCUAAAACUAUAAAAAAUACAAAUUUGUAGUCAUCUAACUUGUUGUUUUGUGCAAAUACGAUGAUUUUCUACUAUAUCCAACGUACAACUACGUGCAUGGCAUGCCAGUAUGGGAGUGGCCCACAAGUCAGUGGCCAGAGAAUAUUUUUCUAGAUAACUCCAUGGAUUUUUUUUUCUAAGUACGCACUCGUGUCAGUGUACAGUAACACCCCGGAUGUAACUUGCCAUAAUUGUAACUCCAACUCUGCCAUUUUCGGCUUUAAGUUAUGAGAUUUCCCUUCGUGGUUGGGUUUUUAUCUUCGUUUUACAUUUUGUUCAUGUCAUUCAUUUCAUAUCAUAUCAUCAUGUGCAUCUCAUUUGCAUAUGUGUUCGUCUCAUGCAUUCGAGCAUUUUCUCCGUUGUCUGUUUUGCAAUUCGACACUCCUACGUGCACCGGCGCACCCCUCUUGCCUCUUUUUGUGAGUGGGUGUUAAACGUUCUCGGAAUGGACUGAGAUUUGCCAAGUGGCCUUGGUACACCACCGGUAGACCGCCUGUCAAAUUUCGUUCCAUUUGGAGUCCGUUUGAUACUCCAACGGUUAACCGGGGAACUGUAAAGGCCUCGUGUGUGUUGCAGCCCAACACCCCUCCAAAACAGCCCAAUAACCCAUCCAAACCACUUCCAUGUCCUCCGUCAUCGGAUCACGAUCGUGUGGGCGAAAACUACACUCCAUUUGGACACUCAUACCUCCUCCUAGCUAUAAAUAUGUGAUCCCCUCCAUUUUUUCGCGCAGACGAAACCCUAGCUACCUCCCUCUCGGCAGUCGGACAACUUCGCCACCGCACCCGCGCCAAUAGGAGCGCUCCAUGUGUCCCGUCCGCCCCCCCACGCCGUCGGCCCAGUGAGGCCCGGUUCGGGCCCCCCGAGCCCAUCGCGCCUCCCUCGAGCGCGCCGAUCCACCGCCGCCCUCUCCUCGCGCGCCGGCCGCCGCCCCGCGCCGCCUUCCCCGCCGACCCUCGCCGACGCUGCCGCGAGCUUGCCGUGCCGCAGAGCUCCCCGUCUCCCCGUCGCUGCCUCGUCCUGCACUGUCGUCGUCUCCGGAGGCCGGAUCCGGGCGGCGUCGCCCCGGAUCCAGCGAUCCCCUUCCUCUCCGGCCACCUCUCCUCUCCGGCGAGUUUUCCGGCGAGUACUCCGGCCCUGCCUCAAUUUCCGCGCCAAAGUCAAACCCUAGAUCUAAGAUCCAGAGGGUAUUUUUUCGUCUAAGCCCUUUUCCCCUUGCUUUUUAUGCCUUUGUUCAUUGCAUCAUAACUCCAUGACUGUAGCUCCGUUUCAUGCGCAUGAUAUAUCAAAAUGUUCAUUGGGAGAUGCUCUUCAUUUCAUUACAUUGUGGCAUUCUUGUUUGAGUGCAUAUUGAUUCCCAAAUCAUUGAUGCAAGAGUGCUAUAAAAUGUUUACUCCUGUUACUUAGCAGAUUAUGAUGAUUUGUCAUUUUUGUCACAUUUGUUGUGUGCAUAAUAUGGGCAUGAGCUCUACAUGUGUUUUGGGAUAUGCCAUGCCAUCUUUACAAGGGUUCUUGCCAUGUACUUUUUUUGAUAAAUGUGGUGACUAGCACAAGCAUGCAAAGUAGCCUUCAUGAUAUUGCUGUUUUUAGGGAUAGGUUUUUCCUAAGUUUUUGUUCUGCUGUUAUUUUGAUGCCAUGUAAACAUGAUUCUACAGUGAGAUACAUGCUUAUUUUGAGUAUCUUCAGUAAGGAUGUUUUGAACAUAUGGUUAUGCUCUAUCCAUCCAUUCCCCUGUUUGCAAUUAUGGAGUGACCUAGCAUGUCUUAAUCUUGCUCUACUUUUGCUAUAAAAUGUUCCUGGUAGAUUAUUUACAUGUUAAUCAAUUUUGCCAUGGUUUUUGCUAUUGAUCCAUGCAUGAUAUGAACUUGCUCUUGCCAUGGAUUAGCUUCAUGAACAUGUCUUCUUGCUGUUAGUAUGCUUAUCUUGUCAUGCAAUGCCUUGUGGUGAGUGAUUUGAGCUCGCAAAGAUGCCUUCAUAAUUCUGUUUAUGCCAUGCUCAGUUUUCUGCUAAGUCUGAAACUCAUAAUAAAAAUUGCUAUGUUUACAUGGGUGCCAUCAUGUCUUCUGUGCCUUUUUGGCUCAUGUUCAGUAAGGGAAUUUUGAUCUAUGCUUUUAGUAGAAUCAUGCCAUGCCUUUAUUAGCUAUGAUAUGUUCCUAUAGCAUGUUGUUUGCUAGCUCUAAACAUGGCUUCCUGAUGCUAAUUCUGGCAUGUUAGUAUUUUCACAAAGUCUGUGAUGCUGAUAUCUUUGCACUUUUGCCAUGCUUGUUUGAACCUGCUAUUUUGUGAUUCAGCCGUAGAUCAGUGCUCAUGUUUUGUAAAGCAUCUUGAGUACAUCCCUGCCAUAUACUUUGUUGUUAUGUUGGAGUGCAGUAGCUUAGUUUAUUGUUGCAUUCUAGAUGGCAUCAUGUUGUUAAUCGCAGAAUUGUGUCAUUCUUUUUUUGCUUGCCAUUUGCAAACCGUGCCUCCGUUUCCAGUGAUCUCUAUAUCGAUUUCGACCGAAAUCAUCUCACCUUUCCAGCGGCACACUUGGGUUGCCAAUGUGAUGCCUUGAUCAUUCUUUCUCUUCCGGAGCAUGCAUAUGCAUUGCAUAUCACAUCUCGCAUGCCAUGCCAUAUUUUGCAUCAUGUUGAUUGUGCGUUGCACCGUGAUUGAUUGUUGGUCAUUUGCUUGUGUUCUUGCUUUGGGUAGAGCUGGGAGACAAGUACGUGACUGAGGAACCUGUUGAGUACGCUAACGAGGAUCAAGCUUUCGUCAACUCUGAGAACUUUGCAGGCAAGAUGACCAUACCCUCGAAAUCACUUCUAUCUUUGCUUGCUAGCUUUUCGCUCUAUUGCUUUGCCACGCUACCUACCACUUGCUAUAUCAUGCCUCCCAUAUUGCCAUGUCAAGCCUCUAACCCACCUUUCCUAGCAAACCGUUGUUUGGCUAUGUUACCGCUUUUGCUCAGCCCCUCUUAUAACGUUGCUAGUUGCAGGUGAAGAUGAAGUUUGUUCCAUGUUGGAACAUGGAUUCUGUUGGGAUAUCAUUAUUAUCUCUUAUUUACUUUAAUGCAUCUAUAUACUUGGUAAAGGGUGGAAGGCUCGGCCUUAUGCCUGGUGUUUUGUUCCACUCUUGCCACCUUAGUUUCCAUCAUACCGGUAUUAUGUUCCUUGAUUUUGCGUUCCUUACACGGUUGGGUGUUAUGGGAACCCCUUGACAGUUCGCCUUGAAUAAAACUCCUCCAGCAAGGCCCAACCUUGGUUUUACCAUUUGCCACCUAAGCCUUUUCCCCUUGGGUUCCGUGGACUCAAGGGUCAUCUUUAUUUUAAACCCCUGGGCCAGUGCUCCUCUGAGUGUUGGUCCAAAACAGAGCCACUUGCAGCGCCACCUCGGGGAAACUUGAGGGUUGGUUUUAGUUGUACGUAGUGUUCAUCCGGUGUGCCCUGAGAACGAGAUAUGUGCAGCUCCUAUCGGGAUUUGUUGGCACAUUCGGGCGGCUUUGCUGGUCUUGUUUUACCAUUGUCGAGAUGUCUUGUAACCGGGAUUUCGAGUCUGAUCGGGUCUUCUUGGGAGAAGGAAUAUCCUUCGGUGACCGUGAGAGCUUGUGAUGAGCUAAGUUGGGACACCCCUGCAGGGUAUAAACUUUCGAAAGCCGUGCCCAUGGUUAUGGGCAUAUGGGAAUUUGUUAAUAUCCGGUUGUAGAGAACUUGACACUUAACUUAAUUAAAAUGAAUCAACCGCGUGUGUACCCGUGAUGGUCUCUUUUUUGCGGAGUCUGGGAAGAGAACACAGUCUCGUGUUAUGCUUGAACGUAAGUAGCUUCAGGAUCACUUAUUGAUCACUAUUAGCUUCUCGGCCGUGCUUUGCUUCUCUUCUCGCUCUCAUUUGCAUAAGUUAGCCACCAUAUAUGCUUAGUGCUUUGCUGCAGCUCCACCUCACUACCCUUUCCUACCCUUAAGCUUAAAUAGUCUUGAUCGCGAGGGUGUGAGAUUGCUGAGUCCCCGUGACUCACAGAUACUUCCAAACAGAUGCAGGUGCCGAUGAUGCCAGCACAGGGGACGCUACUGAACUCAAGUGGGAGUUCGACGAGGAUUCAGGCCGUUACUAUGUUUCUUUUCCGGAUGAUUAGUAGAUGAGCCCAGUUGGGACGAUCGGAGAUCUAGCAUUUGGGGUUGUCUUUAUUUAUGUUGGUUCCAUAGUCGGACCUUGAUUGUAUUCUGGAUGAUGUAUGACUAUUUAUGUACUGUGUGAAGUGGCGAUUGUAAGCCGACUCUUUAUCCCUUUCUUAUUCAGUACAUGUGAUGUGUAAAGAUUACCCCUCUUGUGACAUGCCUACCAUGCGGCUAUGCCUCUAAGUCGUGCUCCGACACGUGGGAGAUAUAGCCGCAUUGUGGGUGUAACACGUGCACACCAUGUUAACCACCUCGCCCAAUGACAACUAAUAAUUAUGUAGGAUAGCUAGUUUCUAUAUCCCUUCCCUUAAAAUACGUGGGCCUGUCAGCUCAAAUGGGCAGCCCAUUUUGUACCUUUGUUUUUCUUUAAUUUGUAUCUAAAUUAUUGAUCUACGGAUUACAAUUUUUUGUAUAAUUUAAAAUAAUAUAAAUAUUUGUAAAAUGAAAAUUCAAAAAUAUUAUACAAAAAUUGUAUUACUUUUGAUUAGUCGAUGCCAUAUAGGUAGCAGGAUGUGUUUAAGUUAAUUUGAUCCAAGGGUAUUGGUUAUUCUAUAUACAGUUUGUUGUGUGACUUUAGAAUAAUUUAUAUUUGCUCUUUUAAUAGUAGUGUACAUGUAGAUAUAAAACUUGUUGUCCUUUAAAUUAGUUACCUGUCAUUUGGCAUAUUGGUUACAGCGUAUGCGCGUAUUUAGAGCAACUCCAAUAGGGUGACCCAAACGAACACGGAUUUUGUCCCUUUUUUAUCCGUUUGGGUCAUCUGUCCACCUAGUGGACAUGGGGCGGACAAAUGCGGCCGGUGGAUCCACCCAACGCACAACACAUAAAAGCGGACGACAACAACAACAACAACACAUAAGCGGUCGAUCCCCUUCUCUGCUUCCUCUCCCGUGCGUGUCGCCGACACCUUCAUCCUCUGCUCCGGCCGUUGCCGGCUGGCUCCGGCGCCGCCACGCCCUGGCACUGCUCCACCGCCGCCUUCUCCUCUGAUUCUCCGCCUUUCCUUGACUAGUUUGGCCCUUGUGUGCCCAAUCGAGGCUGCCCCCAUGAACGUCCAUGGCGCUGCAGUUCCCCUCUAUUGUGAAGCUCGUCCAUGGUGAUGCCCUUCUGGAUUUCCUCUCCUCCUAAAGCGAGAGCUCCUCUCAGCUCACUCUCUGCCAGCGUCGCCACGACCUGGCGCUGCUUCGCUGCCGCCUUCAUCGUGUCAGCCGCCGCAGAGCCGAACUCCCCCGACCCUCCCAGCUUGAGGUCGCCGGAGCACUCGGGCUGGCCAAGCAGCCGCGACAACGAUGCCCGCUGCGUCUGGAGCGGCCAUGGCUGACGCCCCUUCGACGAGAUCUGCAGCUCACCAGGUCUCCUCGGGCCCAUGUCGCCUGCCUGCGUUUCCCGACAGCGCCAUGAUCCAGUUCCCCGGGCCUGCGCAGUGAUGUCUUCUACACAACCUUCUUCUUGUAGACGUUGUUGGGCCUCCAAGUGCAGAGGUUUGUAGGACAGUAGCAAAUUUCCCUCAAGUGGAUGACCUAAGGUUUAUCAAUCCGUGGGAGGCGCAGAAUGAAGAUGGUCUCUCUCAAGCAACCCUGCAACCAAAUAACAAAGAGUCUCUUGUGUCCCCAACACACCCAAUACAAUGGUAAAUUGUAUAGGUGCACUAGUUCGGCGAAGAGAUGGUGAUACAAGUGCAAUAUGGAUGGUAGAUAUAGGUUUUUGUAAUCUGAAAAUAUAAAAACAGCAAGGUAACUAACGAUAAAAGUGAGCACAAACGGUAUUGCAAUGCUAGGAAACAAGGCCUAGGGUUCAUACUUUCACUAGUGCAAGUUCUCUCAACAAUAAUAACAUAAUUGGAUCAUAUAACUAUCCCUCAAUAUGCAACAAAGAGUCACUCCGAAGUCACUAAUAGCGGAGAAGAAACGAAGAGAUUAUUGUAGGGUACGAAACCACCUCAAAGUUAUUCUUUCUGAUCGAUCUAUUCAAGAGUCCAUAGUAAAAUAACAUGAAGCUAUUCUUUCCGUUCAAUCUAUCAUUGAGUUCGUACUAGAAUAACACCUUAAGACACAAAUCAACCAAAACCCUAAUGUCACCUAGAUACUCCAAUGUCACCUCAAGUAUCCGUGGGUAUGAUUAUACGUUAUGCAUCACACAAUCUCAGAUUCAUCUAUUCAACCAACACAAAGAACUUCAAAGAGUGCCCCAAAGUUUCUACCGGAGAGUCAAGACGAAAACGUGUGCCAACCCCUAUGCAUAAGUUCACGAGGUCACGGAACCCGCAAGUUGAUCACCAAAACAUACAUCAAGUAGAUCACGUGAUAUCCCAUUGUCAUCAUAGAUAAGCACAUGCAAUACAUACAUCAAGUGUUCUCAGAUCCUUGAAGACUCAAUCUGAUAAGAUAACUUCAAAGGGAAAACUCAAUUCAUCACCAGAGAGUAGAGGGGCAGAAACAUCAUAAGAUCCAACUAUAAUAGCAAAGCUCGCGAUACAUCAAGAUCAUGCCACCUCAAGAACAUGAGAGAGAGAGAGAGAGAUCAAACACAUAGAUACUGGUACAUACCCUUAGCCCCGAGGGUGAACUACUCCCUCCUCGUCAUGGAGAGCGCCGGGAUGAUGAAGAUGGCCACCGGAGAGGGAUUCCCCCCCCCUCCGGCAGGGUGCCGGAACGGGUCUAGAUUGGUUUUCGGUGGCUAUGGAGGCUUCUGGCGGUGGAACUCCCGAUCUAUUAUGCUCUCUGAUGUUUUUAGGGUAUAUGGACAUAUAUAGGCGAAAGUAGUCGGUCAGGGGAGCCACGAGGGGCCCAUGAGGGUAGGGGCGCGCCCAGGGAGGUAGGGCGCGCCCCCUGCCUCGUGGCUUCCUCGAAGCUUCCCUGACGUCUACUCCAAGUCUCCUGGAUUGCUUCUGUUCCAAAAAUAACUCUCCCUAAGGUUUCAUUCUGUUUGGACUCCGUUUGAUAUUCCUUUUCUUGAAAUACUGAAACAGGCAAGAAAACAUCAAUUUGGGUUGGGCCUCCGGUUAAUAGGUUAGUCCCAAAAAUAAUAUAAAAGUGUUUAGUAAAGCCCAUUGUCGGAUCAAUAUCCGGCGCAUCGCGUGGUAGGGGUCCUAAGCUAGGCGUCUUGGAGUGAUGGUAACAUGGACACGGGAUUUUACCCAGGUUCGGGCCCUCUUGAUGGAGGUAAAACCCUACAUCCUACUUUUGAUUAUAUUGAUAUGGGUGUAGUACAGGGUACAUGUUUCUACCAAGAGACUGAUCUAAUGAAUAUGAGAUUGUCUAUUGACUAGCCUGGCCUCGGUUUAUAUAAGACACUGGAGGCCUAGGGUUUUAGGAGAGUCCUUGCCUUGGGUGCCAAGUCUUGUGGAGUCUUCCUUGUAUGCGGCAUGGGCUGUCCAAACUGGCCCAAUAGUGAACCGCCGUGGGGGUCCUCGGCCCGAUCCAGCUGGUCGGGAGACGACGUGGUGAGUACCCCUAGUCCAGGACACCGUCACCCAUAAACAUCCAAAACAGAUAAUAUAAUAGCAUGGAACAAUCAUAGAUAAAUUGGAGACGUAUCAAGCAUCCCCAAGCUUAAUUCAUGCUCGUCCUCGAGUAGGUAAAUGAUAAAAACAGAAUUUUUGAUGUGGAAUGCUACCUAACAUAUUUAUCUAUGUAUUCCUCUUUAUUCUGGCAAGAAUAUUCAGAUCUGAAAGAUUCAAGACAAAAGUUUAAUAUUGACAUAAAAAUAAUAAUACUUCAAGCAUACUAACAAAGUAACCAUGUCUUCUGAAAAUAACAUGGCCAAAGAAAGCUAUCCCUACAAAAUCAUAUAGUCUGGCUAUGCUCUAUCUUCAUCACACAAAAUAUUUAAAUCAUGCACAACCUAGAUGACAAGCCAAGCAAUUGUUUCAUACUUUUGAUGUUCUCAAACUUUUUCAAUCUUCAUGCAAUACAUGGGCAUGAGCCAUGGACAUAGCACUAUAGGUGGAAUAGAAUGGUGGUUGUGGAGAAGACAAAAAGGAGAAGAUAGUCUCACAUCAACUAGGCAUAUCAACGGGCUAUGGAGAUGCCCAUCAAUAGUUAUCAAUGUGAGUGAGUAGGGAUUGCCAUGCACCGGAUGCACUAGAGCUAUAAGUGUAUGAAAGCUCAACAAAAGAAACUAAGUGGGUGUGCAUCCAACUCGCUUGCUCACGAAGACCUAGGGCAUUUUGAGGAAGCCCAUCAUUGGAAUAUACAAGCCAAGUUCUAUAAUGAAAGAUUCCCACUAGUAUAUGAAAGUGACAACAUAGAAGACUCUCUAUCAGGAAGAUCAUGGUGCUACUUUGAAGCACAAGUGUGGUAAAAGGAUAGUAGCAUUGCCCCUUCUCUCAUUUUUUUUUAUUUGGGCCUUCUUUCUUUUUUUUCCUUUUGGCCUCUUUUCUUUUUUUAUUUUUCAUCUAGAGUCUCAUCCCGACUUAUGGGGGAAUCAUAGUCUCCAUCAUCCUUUCCUCACUGGGACAAUGCUCUAAUAAUGAUGAUCAUCACACUUCUUUUUACUUACAACUCAAGAAUACAACUCGAUACUUAGAACAAAAUAUGACUCUAUAUGAAUGCCUCCGACGGUGUACCGGGAUGUGCAAUGACUCAUGAGUGACAUGUAUGAAAAAAUUAUGAACGGCAGCUUUGCCACAAAUGCGAUGUCAACUGCAUGAUCAUGCAAAGCAAUAUGACAAUGAUGGAGCGUGUCAUAAUAAACGGAACGGUGGAAAGUUGCAUGGAAAUAUAUCUCGGAAUGGCUAUGAAAAUGCCAUAAUAGGUAGGUAUGGUGGCUGUUUUGAGGAAGGUAAAUGGUGGGUUUAUGGUACCGGCGAAAGUUGCGCGGUACUAGAGAGGCUAGCAAUGGUGGAAGGGUGAGAGUGCGUAUAAUCCAUGGACUCAACAUUAGUCAUAAAGAACUCACAUAAUUAUUGCAAAAAUCUAUUAGUUAUCGAAACAAAGUAUUAUGUGCAUGCUCCUAAGGGUAUAGAUUGGUAGGAAAAGACCAUCGCUCGUCCCCGACCGCCACUCAUAAGGAAGACAAUAAAUAAAUAAAUCAUGCUCCGACUUCAUCACAUAACGGUUCACCAUACGUGCAUCCUACGGGAAUCACAAACUUUGACACAAGUAUCACUCAAAUUCACAACUACUCAACUAGCACGACUCUAAUAUCACCAUCUUCAUAUCUCAAAACAAUCAUCAAGUAUCAAACUUCUCAUAGUAUUCAAUGCACUUUAUAUGAAAGUUUUUAUUAUACCCAUCUUGAAUGCCCAUCAUAUUAGGACUAAAUUCAUAACCAAAGAAAAUUACCAUGCUUUUUAGGAAUCUCAAAAUAAUAUAAGUGAAGCAUGAGAUUUCAUCUAUUUGUUCAAAAUAAAACCACUGCCAUGCUCUAAAAGGAUAUAAGUGAAGCACUAGAGCAAAUGACAAACUACUCCGAAAGAUAUAAGUGAAGAUCAAUGGGUAAUCAAAUAAUUAUGCAACUAUGUGAAGACUCUCUAACAUUUAAUAAUUUAAGAUCUUGGUAUUUUAUUCAAAUAGCAAGCAAAACAAAAGAAAAUAAAAUGACGCUCCAAGCAAGACACAUAUCAUGUGAUGAAUAAAAAUAUAGCUCCACGUAAAGUUACCGAUGAACGAAGACGAAAGAGGGGAUGCCUUCCAGGGCAUCCCCAAGCUUAGCCUCUUGGUUGUCCUUGAAUAUUACCUUGGGGUGCCUUGGGCAUCCCCAAUCUUAGGCUCUUGCCACUCCUUAUUCCAUAGUCCAUCGAAUCUUUACCCAAAACUUGAAAACUUCACAACACAAAACUUAACAGAAAACUCGUAAGCUCCGUUAGUAUAAGAAAAUAAAUCACCACUUAGGUUCUGUUGUGAACUCAUUCUAAAUUCACAUUGGUGUAAUAUCUACUGUAUUCCAACUUCUCUAUGGUUCAUACCCUCCGAUACUACUCAUAGAUUCAUCAAAAUAUGCAAACAACACAAUGAAAACAGAAUCUGUCAAAAACAGAACAGUCUGUAGUAAUCUAUAUUAAACGUAUACUUAUGGAACUCAUAAAAUUCUGAAAUAAAUUGGUGGACAUGGGGAAUUUGUCUAUUAAUCAUCUGCAAAAAUAAACAACUUAAUCUCACUCUCCAGUAAAAAAUGGCAGCAAAUCUCGUGAGUGCUAAAGUUUCUGUUUUUUUACAGCAAGAUCGCAAAGACUUCACCCAAGUCUUCUCAAAGGUUCUACUUGAUACAAACACUAAUUAAAAGCAUAAAACCACAUAUAAAAAUAGGCUAGAUGAAUUAUUUAUUACUAAACAGGAUAAAAAAGCAAGGAACAAAAAUAAAAUUGGGUUGCCUCCCAACAAGCGCUUACGUUUAACGCCCCUAGCUAGGCAUGAUGAUUUCAAUGAUGCUCACAUAAAAUAUAAGAAUUGAAACAUAAAGAGAGCAUCAUGAAGAAUAUGACUAGCACAUUUAAGCAUAACCCUCAUCCUAUUCAUAGGGAUUUUGUGAGCAAACAACUUAUGGGAACAAUAAUCAACUAGCAUAGGAAGGCAAAACAAGCAUAACUUCAAAACAUUAAGCACAUAGAGAGGAAACUUGAUAUUAAUGCAAUUCCUACGAGCAUAUAUUCCUCCCUCGUAAUAAUUUUCAGUAGCAUCAUGAAUGAAUUCAACAAUAUAACCAUCACAUAAAGCAUUCUUUUCAUGAUCUACAAGCAUAAAAAAAUACUACUCUCCACAUAAGCAAAAUUCUUCUCAUUAAUAGUAAUGGGAACAAACUCAACAAAAUAACUAUGAUAUGAGGCAUAAUCCAAUUGAAAAUUAAGAUCAUGAUGAAAAAUUUCAUGGUUAUCAUUGUUCUUUAUAGCAUACAUGUCAUCACAAUAAUCAUCAUAGAUAGCAACUUUGUUCUCAUAAUCAAUUGGAACCUCUUCCGAAAUAGUGGAUUCAUGACUAAAUAAAGUCAUGACCUCUCCAAAUCCACUUUCAUAAUUAUCACAAUAAGAUUCAACAUCCUCCAAAAUAGUGGGAUCAUUACUUCCUAAAGUUGACACUCUUCCAAACCCACUUUCAUCAAUAUAAUCAUCAUAAAUAGGAGGCAUGCUAUCAUCAUAAUAAAUUUGCUCAUCAAAACUUGGGGGACAAAAUUAUCAUCUUCACCAAACAUAGCAUCCCCAAGCUUGUGGCUUUGCAUAUCAUUAGCAUCAUGGAUAUUCAAGGAAUUCAUACUAACAACAUUGCAAUCAUGCUCAUCAUACAAAGAUUUAGUGUCAAACAUUCUAAUGCAUUCUUCUUCUAACAAUUUGACACAAUUAUCGGAAUCCUUAUUUUCAUGAAAGAUAUUAAAAAGAUGAAGCAUAUGAGGUACCCUUAAUUCCAUUUUUUAUAAUUUUCUUUUAUAAACUAAACUAGUGAUAAAACAAGAAACAAAAAGAUUCGAUUGCAAGAUCUAAAGAUAUACCUUCAAGCGCUAACCUCCCCAGCAAUGGCGCCAGAAAAGAUCUUGAUGUCUACUACACAACCUUCUUCAUGUAGACGUUGUUGGGCCUCCAAGUGCAGAGGUUUGUAGGACAGUAGCAAAUUUCCCUCAAGUGGAUGACCUAAGGUUUAUCAAUCCGUGGGAGGCGUAGGAUGAAGAUGGUUUCUCUCAAGCAACCCUGCAACCAAAUAACAAAGAGUCUCUUGUGUCCCCAACACACCCAAGACAAUGGUAAAUUGUAUAGGUGCACUAGUUCGGCGAAGAGAUGAUGAUACAAGUGCAAUAUGGAUGGUAGAUAUAGGUUUUUGUAAUCUGAAAAUAUAAAAACAGCAAGGUAACUAAUGAUAAAAGUGAGCACAAACGGUAUUGCAAUGCUAGGAAACAAGGCCUAUGGUUCAUACUUUCACUAGUGCAAGUUCACUCAACGAUAAUAACAUAAUUGGAUCAUAUAACUAUCCCUCAAUAUGCAACAAAGAGUCACUCCAAAGUCACUAAUAGCAGAGAACAAACGAAGAGAUUAUUGUAGGGUACGAAACCACCUCAAAGUUAUUCUUUCUAAUCGAUCUAUUCAAGAGUCCGUAGUAAAAUAACACAAAGCUAUUCUUUCCGUUCAAUCUAUCAUAGAGUUCGUACUAGAAUAACACCUUAAGACACAAAUCAACCAAAACCCUACUAUCACCUAGAUACUCCAAUGUCACCUCAAGUAUCCGUGGGUAUGAUUAUACGAUAUGCAUCACACAAUCUCAGAUUCAUCUAUUCAACCAACACAAAGAACUUCAAAGAGUGCCCCAAAGUUUCUACCGGAGAGUCAAGACGAAAAUGUGUGUCAACCCCUAUGCAUAAGUUCACGAGGUCACGGAACCCGUAAGUUGAUCACCAAAACAUACAUCAAGUAGAUCACGUGAUAUCCCAUUGUCACCACAGAUAAGCACAUGCAAGACAUACAUCAAGUGUUCUCAAAUCCUUAAAGACUCAAUCCAAUAAGAUAACUUCAAAGGGAAAACUCAAUUCAUCACAAGAGAGUAGAGGGGGAGAAACAUCAUAAGAUCUAACUAUAAUAGCAAAGCUCGCGAUACAUCAAGAUCAUGCCACCUCAAGAACACGAGAGAGAGAGAGAGAGAGAGAGAGAGAGAUCAAACACAUAGCUACUGGUACAUACCCUCAGCCCCGAGGGUCAACUACUCCCUCCUCAUCAUGGAGAGCGCCGGGAUGAUGAAGAUGGCCACCGGAGAGGGAUUCCCCAGCCCCCUCCGGCAGGGUGCCGGAACGGGUCUAGAUUGGUUUUCGGUGGCUACGAAGGCUUCUGGCGGCGGAACUCCCGAUCUAUUCUGCUCUCUGAUGUUUUUAGGGUAUAUGGACAUAUAUAGGUGAAAGAAGUCGGUCAGGGGAGCCACGAGGGGCCCACGAGGGUGGGGGCGCCCAGGGGGUAGGGCGCACCUCCCUGCCUCGUGGCUUCCUCGAAGCUUCCCUGGCGUCUACUCCAAGUCUCCUGGAUUACUUCUGUUCCAAAAAUAACUCUCCCAAAGGUUUCAUUCCGUUUGGACUCCGUUUGAUAUUCCUUUUCUCGAAACACUGAAAUAGGCAAGAAAACAACAAUUUGGGCUGGUCCUCCGGUUAAUAGGUUAGUCCGAAAAAUAAUAUAAAAGUGUUUAGUAAAGAUCAUAAACAUGCAAAAUAGAUAAUAUAAUAGCAUGGAAUAAUCAAAAAUUAUAGAUACGUUGGAGACGUAUCACGCAGGAGGCCUCGUCGGCGAGCAUGGCGGUCCCACCGCAGGUGGACUCGCCGGUGCGCCGGUCUUCGCUCGUGGUCAUUGAUAUGUGGGUCCAGAGCGGACACGAGCGGAUGAGAGUGUGCGACGAGAGUGUCUGCUUCUGUCUGUCGCGGGCCCAUUUGUGGCUCAUAUUUGGGCUUAGUGUGGGUCGAGACGGACAGCAGGCGGACGCUGUGCCCGUUUGGGUCGCCCCGUUGGGCCAACUUUUGUGUCCGGAUGACCCAAACGGACGAAAUGGGUCGCCCCAUUGGAGUUGCUCUUAGUUGGUCGCGAGUUUGAAUCCUGCCAACUCCUUAUUUUUGUUUUAUACACUGCUCACUGACAAUGGGUCUCACCUGGGCUUCUCUACGUACUUAAACAAAAAACCACGGAGUUAUCUGAAAAAAUGUACUCCAACCACUGACAUGUGGGGGCACUCUCAUGCUGUCAUGCCACAUAGGCAGGUCAUACGCCAGAUAUAGUAUAUAGCAUCGUAUUUGCACCACACAACAAAUUAGAUUACCACAAAAGCGUAUUUUUAAAGUUUUAGCAUCAAACUGAACAUUCAGCGCAAGUUCUACGAAUGCCAAUGAUAUUACCUCUAAAAUAUAUGAAGGAUUAACCAUUCCUCCAUUCCAUGGUUAGGAUAGUUCCUUAUGGCUUAUUUCAUUCUAUCCCACGUAAGCGCUAGUGGCUCACGUUCUUCCUGCUUAAAACCUGUAAUCAGAGAACGUAGUUGCAUAAUUUUUGCAGGUAGACAAAAUUUAGAUAAAAAUUUGCUGCAAAAAUCAACCCAAGAAGUUAUAUUGCUUAUAGGUAAAGCUAGAAGCCAUUCUUUUGCUUUUCCUCACAAAGAGAGAGGAAAUAGAUGCAACUUCAAAGUACGUCCCCGUGAAGCGGUAGGCAACCAUCCAACGCUAGUCGUAUACAGUUUCGCAACAACUCAAACCAACCAGACGAAAUUCAUGCAAACAUAGUGUAUUUUGCUAUAAACAUGGUGGAUUUCUUUGAGAGUAGGAUAAUUUGCACAUAAAACCGGACGAUAUUUCGUCCGGUGAACUAAAAACCUAAAACUUGUUGGGGAACGUAGCAGAAUUUUAAAAUUUUCUACGCAUCACGAAGAUCAAUCUAUGGAGUCAUCUAGCAACGAGAGAGAGGAGUGCAUCUACAUACCCUUGUAGAUCGCGAGCGGAAGCGUUCAAGAGAACAGGGUUGAUGGAGUCGUACUCGUCGUGAUCCAAAUCACCGAUGACCGAGCGCUGAACGGACGACACCUCCGCGUUCAACACACGUACGGUUGGGGAAGACGUCUCCUCCUUCUUGAUCCAGCAAGGGGGAAGGAGAGGUUGAUGGAGAUCCAGCGGCACGACGGCGUGGUGGUGGAAGCAGCGGGGAUCUCGGCAGGGCUUCGCCAAGCUCAGCGAGAGGGAGAGGUGUUACGAGGGGAGAUGGAGGCGCCAGGGACUAGGGUGCGGCUCCCAUGCGCCUCACCACUAUAUAUAGGGGUGGAGGGGGAUGGUUUCUUGCCCUCCAAGUCCAUUGGGGCGUUGGCAAAGGUGGGGAAAGAAAUCCCAUCAUUUCCCUUCCCCACCGAUUGUUAUCCCCCCUUUUUAGGGAUCUUGAUCUUAUCCCUCCGGGAUAUGAUCUUAUUCCUUCUAAGGGGGGAUCUUGGUGUGCCUUUACCAGGGGUGUGGGGCCUUGCCCCCACUACCCACAUUCAUGUGGGUCCCCCCAUGCAGGUGGGCCCCACUCCGGAACCUUCUAGAACCUUCCCGGUACAAUACCAAAAAAUCCCGAACAUUUUCCGGUGGCCAAAAUAGGACUUCCCAUAUAUAAAUCUUUACCUACGGACCAUUCCGGAACUCCUCGUGACAUCCGGGAUCUCAUCCGGGACUCCGAACAACUUUCGGGUUACCGCAUACUAAUAUCUCUACAACCCUAGCGUCACUGAACCUUAAGUGUGUAGACCCUACGGGUUCGGGAGACAUGCAGACAUGACCGAGACGACUCUCCGGUCAAUAACCAACAGCGGGAUCUAGAUACCCAUGUUGGCUCCCACAUGUUCCACGAUGAUCUCAUCGGAUGAACCAUGACAUCGAGGAUUCAAUCAAUCCCGUAUUCAAUUCCCUUUGUCCAGCGGUAUUGUACUUGCCCGAGAUUCGAUCGUCGGUAUCCGAUACCUUGUUCAAUAUCGUUACCGGCAAGUCUCUUUACUCGUUUCGUAACACAUCAUCCCGUGAUCAACUCCUUGGUCACAUUGUGCACAUUAUGAUGAUGUCCUACCGAGUGGGCCCAGAGAUACCUCUCCGUCACACGGAGUGACAAAUCCCAGUCUCGAUUCGUGCCAACCCAACACACACUUUCAGAGAUACCCGUAGUGCACCUUUAUAGCCACCCAGUUACGUUGUGACGUUUGGCACACCCAAAGCAUUCCUACGGUAUCCGGGAGUUGCACAAUCUCAUGGUCUAAGGAAAUGAUACUUGACAUUUAGAAAAGCUUUAGCAUACGAACUACAGGAUCUUUGUGCUAGGCUUAGGAUUGGGUCUUGUCCAUCACAUCAUUCUCCUAAUGAUGUGAUCCCGUUAUCAACGACAUCCAAUGUCCAUGGUCAAGAAACCGUAAGCAUCUAUUGAUCAACGAGCUAGUUAACUAGAGGCUUACUAGGUACAUGGUGUUGUAUAUGUAUCCACACAUGUAUCUGAGUUUCCUAUCAAUACAAUUCUAGCAUGGAUAAUAAACGAUUAUCAUGAACAAGGAAAUAUAAUAAUAACCAAUUUAUUAUUGCCUCUAGGUCAUAUUUACAACAGUCUCCCACUUGCACUAGAGUCAAUAAUCUAGUUCACAUCGCCAUGUGAUUAACACUCACAGGUCACAUUGCCAUGUGACCAACAUCCAAAGAGUUUACUAGAGUCAAUAAUCUAGUUCACAUCACUAUGUGAUUAACACUCAAUGAGUUCUGGGUUUGAUCAUGUUAUGCUUGUGAGAGAGGUUUUAGUCAACGGGUCUGCAACAUUCAGAUCCGUAUGUACUUCGCAAAUCUCUACGCUAUAUUUGGAGCCAUUUCAAAUAACUGUUCUACUUGGAGCUAUUCUAAAUUGUUGCUCCAUUAUACGUAUCCGGUAUCUCUACUCAGAGCUAUCCGGAUAGGUGUUAAGCUUGCAUCGAUGUAACUCUUUACGUCGAACUCUUUAUCACCUCCAUAACCGAGAAACAUAUCCUUAUUCCUCUAAGGGUAAUUUUGACCGCUAUCUGGUGAUCUACUCCUAGAUCACCUUUGUACCCUCUUGCCAGACAUGUGGCAAGGCACAGAUCAGGUGCGAUACUCAGCAUGGCAUACCGUAUAGAGCCUAUGGCAAAAGCAUAGGGGAUGACCUUCAUCCUUCCUCUUUCUCCUGUCGUGGUCGAGCUUUAACUUCAUAACUUCAUACCUUACAACUCAGGCAAGAACUCCUUUGACUGAUCCAUCUUGAACACCUUCAAGAUCAUGGCAAGGUAUGUGCUCAUUUGAAAGUACCAUUAAGCGUUUUGAUCUAUCCUUAUAGAUCUUGAUGCUCAAUGUUCAAGUAGCUUAAUCCAGGUUUUCCAUUGAAAAACACUUUUCAAAUAACCCUAUAUGCUUUCCAGAAAUUCUACAUCAUUUCUGAUCAACAAUAUGUCAACAACAUAUACUCAUCAGAAAUUCUAUAGUGCUCCCACUCACUUCUUUGGAAAUACAAGUUUCUCAUAAACUUUGUAUAAACCCAAAAGCUUCGAUCAUCUCAUCAAAGCGUACAUUCCAACUCCGAGAUGCUUACUCUAGUCCUUAGAAGGAUUGCUGGAGCUUUGCAUACUUGUUAACAUUUUUCAGGACUGACAAAACCUUCUGGUUGUAUCACAUACAACCUUUCCUCGAGAAAAUUGUCAUGGAAACAAUAUUUUGACAUCGUAUCUGCAAGAUUUCAUAAACAAUGCAGUAACUGCUAACAUAAUUCCAACAGACUCUUAGCAUCGCUAGAGUGAGAAAGUCUCAUCGUAGUCAACUCCUUGAACUUGUCGGAAAACAUCUUAAUGACAAGUCGAGCUUUCUUAAUGGUGAUACUUACCACCAUUGUCCGUCUUUCUUUUAAAAUCCAUAUGUACCCAACAGCCUUAUGACCAUCAAGCAGUUCUUCCAAAGUCUACACUUUGUUUUCAUACAUGGAUCCUCUCUCGGAUUUUAUGGCCUCGAGCCAAUUUUCGGAAUCCGGGCCCACCAUCGCUUCUCCAUAGCUCGUAGGUUCAUUGUUGUCUAGCAACAUGACUUCCAAGACAUGAUUACGUACCACUCUAAAGUAGUACACAUCCUUGUCGUCCUACGAGGUUUGGUAGUGACUUGAUCCGAAGUUUCAUGAUCACUAUCAUAAGCUUCCACUUCAAUUGGUGUAGGUCCCACAAGAACAACUCCAUGUGCCCUACUAUACACUGGUUGAAGUGACGGUUCAAUAACCUCAUCAAGUCUCCACCAUCCUCCCACUCAAUUCUUUCGAGAGAAACUUUUCCUCGAGAAAGGACCCGAUUCUAGAAACAAUCCCUAUUGCUUUCGGAUCUGAGACAGGAGGUAUACCCAACUAUUUUGGGUACUCUAUGAAGAUGCAUUUAUCCGCUUUGGGUUCGAGCUUAUCAGCCUGAAACUUUUUCACAUAAGUGUUGCAGCCCCAAACUUUUAAGAAAUGACAGCUUAGGUUUCUCUAAACCAUAGUUCAUAUGGUGUCAUCUCAUCGGAAUUACGUGGUGCCCUAUUUAAAGUGAAUGUGGUUGUCUCUAAUGCCUAACCCAUAAACUAUCAUGGUAAUUCAAUAAGAGACAUCAUGGUAUGCAUCAUAUCCAAUAGGGUGCAAUUAUGAUGUUCGGACACACCAUCACACUAUGGUGUUCCAGGCUGUAUUAGUUGUGAAACAAUUUCCACAAUGUCUUAAUUCUGUGCCAAACUCGUAAUUCAGAUAUUCAUCUCUAUGAUCAUAUCAUAGAUAUUUUAUCCUCUUGUCAUGACGAUCUUCAACUUCACCCUGAAAUUACUUGAACCUUUCAAUAAUUCAGACUCGUGAUUCAUCAAGUAAAUAUACUUAGCAUCUACUCAAAUCAUCUGUGAAGUAAGAAUAUAACGAUAUCCACUACAUGCCUUAGCACUCAUUGGACUGCACACAUCAAGAUGUAUUACUUCCAACAAGUUGCUUUCUUGUUCCAUCUUACUGAAAACGAGGCCUUUCAGUCAUCUUGCUCAUGUGGUAUGAUUUGCAUGUCUCAAGUGAUUCAAAAUCAAGCGAGUCCAAAGAUCCAUCAACAUGGAGCUUCUUCAUGCGUUUUAUACCAUUGUGACUAAAAUUGCAGUGCCACAAGUAUGUGGUACUAUCAUUACUAUCUUAUAUCUUUUGGCAUGAACAUGUGUAUCACUACAAUCGGGAUUCGAUAAACCAUUCAUUUUAGGUGCAAGACCAUUGAAGGUAUUAUUCAAAUAAACAGAGUAACCAUUAUUCUCCUUAAAUGAAUAACCGUAUUGCGAUAAACAUAAUCCAAUCAUGUCUAUGCUCAACGCAAACACCAAAUAACAAUUAUUUAGGUUUAACACCAAUCCCGAUGGUAAAUGGAGCGUGCGAUGCUUGAUCACAUCAACCUUGGAAACACUUCCAACACAUAUCAUCGUCUCACCUUUGACUAGUCUCCGUUUAUUCCGUAGCCUUUCAUUUCGAGUUACCAACACUUAGCAACCAAACCGGUAUCUAAUUCCCUGCUGCUACUAGGAGUACUAGUAAAGUACACAUUUAAUAUAAUCUAUGUCCAAUACAUACUUCUUUCAACCUUGCCAGCCUUCUCAUCUACCAAGUAUCUAGGGUGGUUCUGCUUCAGUGACCGUUCCCAUUAUUACAGAAGCACUUAGUCUUGGGCUUGGGUUCAACUUUGGGUUUCUUCACUAGAGUAGCAACUAAUUUGUCGUUUCAUGAAGUAUCCCUUUCUUGCCCUUGCCCUUCUUGAAACUAGUGGUUUUACUAACCAUCAACAAUUGAUGCUCCUAUUUGAUUUCUACUUUCGCGGUGUCGCGAAUAGCUCAAGGAUCAUCAUAUCUAUCCCUGAUAUGUUAUAGUUCAUCACGAAGCUCUAGUAGCUUGGUGGCAGUGACUUUGGAGAACCAUCACUAUCUCAUCUGGAAGAUCAACUCCCACUCGAUUCAAGUGAUUGUAGUACUCAUACAAUCUGAGCACAUGCUCAACGAUUGAGCUUUUCUCCUUAGUGUGCAGGCUUAAGAAACUUGUCAAAGGUUUCAUACCUCUUGAUGUGGGCACUAGCCUGAAAUCCCAAUUUCAGUCCUUGGAACAUCUCAUAUGUUCUGCGAUGUUUCAAAACGUCUUUGGUGCCUCAAUUCUAAACCAUUUAGCAUUACGCACUGAACUAUCAUGUAGUCAUCAACACGUGUAUGUCAGAUGUUCGCAACAUCCACAACCGACGUUCGAGGGUCAGCUCACUGAGCGAUGCAUUAAGGACAUAAUCCUUCUGCGCAGCAAUGAGGACAAUCCUCUGUUUAUGGACCCAGUCCGCAUAAUUGCUACUAUCAACUUUCAACUAAAUUUUCUCUAGGAACAUAUCUAAAACAGUAGAACUAAAGCGUAAGCUACGACAUAAUUUGCAAAGUCCUUUUGACUAUGUUCAUGAUAAUUAAGUUCAUCUGACUAUUUAAUGAACUCCCACUUAGACAUCCCUCUAGUCAUCUAAGUGAUACAUGAUCCGAGUCAACUAGGCCGUGUCCGAUCAUCACGUGAGACAGACUAGUCAUCAUCGGUGAACAUCUUUAUGUUGAUCGUAUCUUCUAUACGACUCAUGUUCGACCUUUCGGUCUUCCGCGUUCCGAGGCCAUGUUUGUACAUGCUAGGCUCGUCAAGUCAACCUAAGUGUAUUGCGUGUGUAAAUCUGGCUUACAUCCGUUGUAUUCGAACGUUAGAAUCUACCACACCCGAUCAUCACGUGGUGCUUCGAAACAAUGAACCUUCGCAAAGGUGCACAGUUAGGGGGAACACUUUUCUUGAAAUUAUUGCGAGGGAUCAUCUUAUUUUAGCUACCGUAGUUCUAAGCAAAUAAGAUGUAAAACAUGAUAAACAUCACAUGCAAUCAAAUAGUGACAUGAUAUGGCCAAUAUCAUUUUGCUCCUUUUGAUCUCCAUCUUCGGGGCGCCAUGAUCAUCAUCGUCACCGGCAUGACACCAUGAUCUCCAUCAUCAUGAUCUCCAUCAUCAUGAUCUCCAUCAUCGUGUCUUCAUGAAGUUGUCUCGUCAUCUAUUACUUCUACUAACAUGGCUAACAGUUUAACAAUAAAGUAAAGUAAAUACAUGACGUUUAUGUUGACACGCAGGUCAUAAAUAAAUUAAGACAACUCCUAUGGCUCCUGCCGGUUGUCAUACUCAUCGACAUGCAAGUCGUGAUUCCUAUUACAAGAACAUGAUCAAUCCCAUACAUCACAUAUAUCAUUCAUCACAUCCUUUUGGCCAUAUCACAUCACACGGCAUAUGCUGCAAAAACAAGUUAGACGUCCUCUAAUUGUUGUUUGCAUGUUUUACGUGGCUGCUAUGGGUUUCUAGCAAGAACGUUUCUUACCUACGCAAAAACCACAACGUGAUAUGCCAAUUUCUAUUUACCCUUCAUAAGGACCCUUUUCAUCGAAUCCGAUCCGACUAAAGUGGGAGAGACAGACACCCGCUAGCCACCUUAUGCAACUAGUGCAUGUCAGUCGGUGGAACCUGUCUCACGUAAGUGUACGUGUAAGGUCAGUUCGGGCCGCUUCAUCCCACGAUGCCGCCGAAUCAAGAUAAGACUAGUAACGGCAAGUAAAUUGACAAAAUCGAUGCCCACAACUACUUUGUGUUCUACUCGUGCAUAGAAACUACGCAUAGACCUAGCUCAUGAUGUCACUAUUGAGGAACGUAGCAGAAUUUUAAAAUUUUCUACGCAUCACCAAGAUCAAUCUAUGGAGUCAUCUAGCAACGAGAGAGAGGAGUGCAUCUACAUACCCUUGUAGAUCGCGAGCAGAAGCGUUCAAGAGAACGGGGUUGAUGGAGUCGUACUCGUCGUGAUCCAAAUCACCGAUGACCGAGCACCGAACGAACGACACCUCCGCGUUCAACACACGUACGGUUGGGGAAGACGCCUCCUCCUUCUUGAUCCAUCAAGGGGGAAGGAGAGGUUGAUGGAGAUCCAACAGCACGACGUCGUGGUGGUGGAAGCAGCGGGGAUCUCGGCAGGGCUUCGCCAAGCUCAGCGAGAGGGAGAGGUGUUACGAGGGGAGAGGGAGGUGCCAGGGGCUAGGGUGCGGCUCCCAUGCGCCUCCCCACUAUAUAUAGGGGUGGAGGGGGCUGGUUUCUUGCCCUCCAAAUCCAUUGGGGCGUUGGCAAAGGUGGGGGAAAGAAAUCCCAUCAUUUCCCUUCCCCAUCGAUUGUUAUCCCCCCUUUUUAGGGAUCUUGAUCUUAUCCCUUCGGAAUAUGAUCUUAUUCCUUCUAAGGGGGGAUCUUGGUGCGCCUUGACCAGGGGUGUGGGGCCUUGCCCCCACUACCCACGUUCAUGUGGGUCCCCCCGUGCAGGUGGGCCCCACUAUGGAACCUUCUAGAACCUUCCCGGUACAAUACCGAAAAAUCCCGAACAUUUUCCGGUGGCCAAAAUAGGACUUCCCAUAUAUAAAUCUUUACCUCCGAACCAUUCUGAAACUCCUCGUGACAUCCGGGACUCCGAACAACUUUCGGGUUACCGCAUAUCUCUACAACCCUAGCGUCACUGAACCUUAAGUGUGUAGACCCUACGGGUUCGGGAGACAUGCAGACAUGACCGAGAUGACUCUCCGAUCAAUAACCAACAGCGGGAUCUGGAUACCCAUGUUGGCUCCCACAUGUUCCACGAUGAUCUCAUCGGAUGAACCACGACGUCGAGCAUUCAAUCAAUCCCGUAUUCAAUUCCCUUUGUCCAGCGGUAUUGUACUUGCCCGAGAUUCGAUCGUCGGUAUCCGAUACCUUGUUCAAUCUUGUUACCGGCAAGUCUCUUUACUCGUUCCGUAACACAUCAUCCCGUGAUCAACUCCUUGGUCACAUUGUCCACAUUAUGAUGAUGUCCUACCGAGUGGGCCCAGAGAUACCUCUUCGUCACACGGAGUGACAAAUCCCAGUCUCGAUUCGUGCCAACCCAACAGACACUUUCAGAGAUACCCGUAGUGCACCUUUAUAGCCACCCAGUUACGUUGUGAUGUUUGGCACACCCAAAGCAUUCCUACGGUAUCCGGGAGUUGCACAAUCUCAUGGUCUAAGGAAAUGAUACUUGACAUUUAGAAAAGCUUUAGCAUACGAACUACACGAUCUUUGUGCUAGGCUUAGGAUUGGGUCUUGUCCAUCACAUCAUUCUCCUAAUGAUGUGAUCCCGUUAUCAACGACAUCCAACGUCCAUGGUCAGGAAACCGUAACCAUCUAUUGAUCAACGAUCUAGUUAACUAGAGGCUUACUAGGGACAUGGUGUUGUCUAUGUAUCCACACAUGUAUCUGAGUUUCCUAUCAAUACAAUUCUAGCAUGGAUAAUAAACGAUUAUCAUGAACAAGGAAAUAUAAUAAUAACCAAUUUAUUAUUGCCUCUAGGGCAUAUUUACAACAAAACUAAAACUAAAACCCUAAACUAUCCUAUACUUCACGGUGAUCUCGUAGCCAAUGCUGGGCUGGUCGGCUGCUCCUCCUCCGUCAUCAUCGCCUGACCCGUCGUCAGAGUCGGGCUUGGGGCGACGAAAGGUGGUGGCGCGGUGGCAGGGCUUCCCGGCGGCCUCCUAAUGCUCGCGGAUGAUCCUCUCCACCUCUUCCUGCGUCGUGCGCAGUGCAGUCGCGGCCACCGAGGAUGUGGGUUGGGGGAGAGGGCAGCGAUCUCAGCGAGGAACUAUUCCUCGCCGUACCUGGCUAUCUCCCUGUCGAGGCGGCGAAGACGGCGCUUGGCCAUCUCCGACGUCAUCACGGAGCGGUUCAGGGUCCGCCAUUAUGUGUGGCGCGCGGGACGUCGAAAUCCGUGAACUGGGAUUGGCCCACGACGUUGCACCUGUCUCAUCGCCGCUGCUCCCGAUCAGUGUACUCCUUCGUCGUCAUGGUGCUCUAGGACAACGACGAGGAGGAGCCGCUGCAGGGGUAGUGCAGAAUGCUCCCGCGUGCCUUGGGCAGGGGCGGCGGCGACGAACGACGCUCCUCCUUGACGAUGCGGCGAGGUAGCGGCGAAAGGCGCUCCACCUUUACGACGUGUCGUGUCGGUGGCGAGAGCCGCUCUUCCUUCACGCGGCGUUCAAUUUGGACACUGCUGCUGGGCGACGAUGGAGAGCGUGGAUGGGAUGCCGGCUCCGACUUCAUGGGAAGGAGCGCCCCCGGUGGCAGAGUCGGGUGUUGGUGUGGGCAACAGAUCGACGGAGCAUCAGCUCCAUCUGCUCCUCGAACUCCGCGUCAGUGUCGGCGUAAACCUAGCCCGACACCGCUGGCGUGGACUUCGGCGGCGACUGCUUGUCCUCCUUGCCCCCGCAGGAGAUGAUGAUCUCCUCUCGCGUCGAGUCACCGCCAGCCGACGAGGACGACAGCGUCUCCACGAGUCGCCAGAUCCUGCACCAGAACCGCCUGCCAGCAUUGACGCCCAGGACUUGCCCAUCGCCGAAGAUGUGGAGAAGGGUGCGACGAGGAGGAGGAAGAGGAAGGAGGAGGAUGUGAUGUGGACGGCACCGGAGCGCGGCUUAAAUAGCCGCGACUAGGCCAUGUGAAGGGCCGGUCAGCCGCUUCAAUGCGGCGCAAUGGCCAGAGUUGGUUCCUCGGGAACCUGCUCCGCAUUGAAGCGGUGGCUGCCGAGAGGCCACGUCGGUCAGUGCCGCCCUCCCUCUGGUCACAUUGCGGCAUCAAUGCCGGCUUCCGCGUGCUGUGGGCUGACAUGAGUGCGGCGUGGUAAGCAACACGUGCAUCGAAAGGAAAGCGCGGGAGGGGCAUGUGACGGGUUCUUGUUGGGUCAGGACGGUCAAAAACGGGCUUGAGAGCGGCCAGGACUCCCACAAACCUCCUCCAUUUUUGUCUCUGGUUUGCGAGAGAAAUCGCAUCCAGAUCGCCCCGCGAACCGAUACAGGUCGACGUUGGAUGGCUUCCGUGAUCCGGACAACACGGUCCAAACAAUUUUUUUUAAGGGAUACACGGUCCAAAUAGUUGCAAAAGACUUACGUAUCCGACUUGAAGAUACCCUAAGAAUAUAGCUGGCCAAAUGGGCCGGGCUAACCAGGCUGGCCCGUGAGCGCCGGCACGGCCCGCCAUGAACCUGACACGGGCUAAACGGGCCGGGUCCGGCACGCGGCAUGCCCUGGGCCGUGUUUGGGACGGAAAGCAGUGGGUGGUCCCACGUUGACACGCCCCCAGAAUAUCAGCCGGGUGCUUUUCACGCGGAGGCAAAAGCGAAAACCCUAAAGCCGCCGCCCACACAUCCCCAAGGAAUAAAACCUCAAGGCCGCGGCUGACAUCCCUCCAAGCUUACACCUAGCCGCCGUCGCCGACGAAAUCCACCCAAGCCGCCGAGCUCGUCUCGCCGUCGUCGCGCUCUAGGCUUUUGGGAUGGAGGCCGAGACGGCGGCGAAGAGGGCGCGGGAGAACGAGGGCGCUGCGGCGGCGGACGGAGCCGGGGAGCAGGCGGGGAUCUCCGCCGUCAUCCCCGGAUGGUUCUCCGAGAUCAGCCCCAUGUGGCCCGGCGAGGCGCACUCGCUCAAGGUGGAGAAGGUCCUGUUCCAAGGCAAGUCGGACUACCAAGACGUGCUGGUUUUCCAGUCCUCCACCUACGGGAAGGUGCUCGUCCUGGAUGGGGUGAUCCAGGUGACCGAGAGGGACGAGUGCGCCUACCAGGAGAUGAUCACCCACCUCCCUCUCUGCUCAAUCAAAGACCCCAAGAAGGUCCUGGUCAUCGGGGGCGGGGACGGCGGCGUUCUGCGUGAGGUCUCGCGGCACUCCUCGGUGGAGCAGAUCGACAUCUGCGAGAUCGACAAGAUGGUGGUCGAUGUGUCCAAGCAGUUCUUCCCUCAUCUGGCCCUCGGGUUCGAGGACCCUCGCGUCUCCCUGCACAUCGGCGACGGCGUCGCCUUCCUGAAGAAUGCUCCAGAGGGCACCUACGAUGCGGUUAUCGUCGAUUCCUCCGACCCAGUAGGCCCUGCCCAGGAGCUGUUCGAGAAGCCGUUCUUUGAGUCCGUCUCCAGGGCUCUGCGUCCGGGCGGGGUCGUCUGCACCCAGGCGGAGAGCAUAUGGCUGCACAUGCACAUCAUAGAGGACAUCGUCACCAACUGUCGCCAGGUUUUCAAAGGCUCGGUGAACUACGCAUGGACUACGGUGCCCACAUACCCAAGGUACGCACCACUGAUCCUUCCUGUCUAUGUGACCGAAGUCGGUUUUCCUUUCUUUAGCCACCGAGUUUAUGAUUCAGCUUAUGAUUCUUGGUUGUUGUUGCAGCGGAGUGAUAGGUUUCAUGCUCUGCUCCACGGAGGGGCCUAGUGUUGAUUUCCAGCACCCUGUCUUCAGCAUUGAAGAGGACGAAUACUCCACAAAAUCCAAGGGGCCGCUCAAGUUCUACAAUUCUGAGUUCCACACUGCAUCGUUUUGUUUGCCAUCAUUUGCGAGGAGGGUCAUUGAGGCCAAGGCUAACUAGAUUCUCAUGAAGAUGGUCACUGGAACCAAGGCCAACUAGAAUAACUGGUUUGGUUUCAAUUUCAACACUGGGAGCAAUCUGUCUGAGCGUAGACAGAGGAAAAGCCCCCCCUUUUUUUAUUAACUUGCAAUAAGCCCACAUGGAAAUUAUUGGUACCUGUGAUUCUGUCUGCUGUAUGUCUCAGGUUGUAUUUCCUGGUUACCUGGUGGUAUGAGAACCUUCUGAAUUUAGUUUUUUGCCCUGCAGUUUUCUUAUCUUAUCUUAUGCUUCCUCUGUAUCAAAAUGUCAGUUCCUUCCUUCAAGCGUUUUUUUUUUGUUUGCAAAAACUGCCAUCCAUUGGAUGGAGAUCGUGUGAUUCAUGGGGGUUCGCUGGCAAAACGUCCCUGGGG
rnacentral:lncRNA from 1 species